UCACGGCGAGGCAAAAAUGACAAUCAAGAACGAAUCAAGCGGCUGUAAAUAGAGCAACACUGAAUGCGACUCAACUGGAAAAGAAAAUCGGCUUCAAAUCGUAACUGUGUCUUACAACGAGCAGAAGAACGUCGACUUGAUAGGGGACACGUAAUUUAGGAAGAGAUCGGCUUGGAUCCGUGUAUGACUUCACGAGAUGUAUGCGUCGACGGCUUCACGGAGGUGAAGACAGACGCGGUCGGAGAGUCGCGCGGCAGUGCAGAAAACGGAGGAGAAAGGAACGGGCGGCGGCUGGGCUUGGCUUCGACGGAGACAGAGAUUGCGCAGCAGGUCUUCACGAACGGAGAGGAAAGGAAUGGGCACGGCGACGCAGAUCUGGACGACUGCUGCAAGGUGACGCGUACGGCUUGCUUCACGAACCGACCGACGAUUGCAGCGACGGAUCUGGGUUAUGGCGAACUGCAAGGGUGAAGCACAUGCGGCGGCGAGGACCUGGACGGCUCGGCGAUGCAGAUCUGGACGACGAUUUGCUUUCCGAGGGAGGCACGACGGUUGUGAGCGAGAGGCACGGCGGUUGUGAGCGGCACGGCGGUUGUGAGCGAAUGGGCGCGGCGGUUUCGAUCCGAAGGAGAAAAGGAAGACGACCGGAAAGAAGAAGAAGAAACGACCGGCAGCUUGUGUGGCCGACUGGGUGAACGGAGAAGAGAGGGAUGUGCGGCUGCUAGGGUACGGGAAGGAGAAAGGGAUGGAGGACGCACGGGAGGAAGAAGGAAGGAAAAAUUUCUUUUUUCUUUUCUUUUAUUUAAAUAAUAAAAAUAAAACUAAAAUAUAAAUAAAUAUAUAUAUAAUAAAAUUUCUUUUUCUUUUCUUUUAUUUAAACUAAAUAAUAAAACUAAAAAUAUAAAUAAAUAUAUAUAUAAUUAUAUUAUCACAUUUUCAAAUCUUCUUUCCCCCCUUCAACAUAUUUUCUUCAAAACAAUAAAUCUUGUACAAAUCGAAAAAAUCUCUUAAAAUAAAAUACCUUCGAGUUUGGGGCGUUACACCAACUCACACAUCAAGAGGUAAAAUGUCACAAAUGCCCUCGUUAUUGAUGUACAUUUGAUACACCUUAUACACGUCUGAUACACCUAAUACCUCUUGAUACAUUAAGUCCAUUUAUGAGUUAGUUUGAUUAGAUUAUGUCACAUAUACAUGUAUUACAAUUAAGGGACACUUGCGAAAAUGGCAAAAUAAGUUAUAAUAAUUAAGUCCAUAGAACACAUACUUUAUUAUUUGAGAAAAUGACAAAAACAAAGACCAACUCACACAUCAAGAGGUAAAAUGUCACAAAUGCCCUCGUUAUUGAUGUACAUUUGAUACACCUUAUACACGUCUGAUACACCUAAUACCCCUUGAUACACUUGAUACUUCUUACUGAUACACUUGAUACAUUUGAUAGAUACAAUUCAUGCACUCGGUACUCAUUGAUACACUCGAUACUUUUUGAUACACACCUGAAACAUCUUCAUACACAUAAUACUUCUCGUUCCACAUAAUACUUCUCGUUACACUUGAUUCUUCUUGAUACACUUGAUACCCCUGAGACCUUGAUACACUUGAUUAGUUUGAUACACUUAAAGACUUCACUUAUAAGUUUGAUACACUUGAUACACCACUAAUAAACUUGUUAUACUUCAUUGGUACACUUAACAAAUUCGAUAUGUUUGAUGUACAUGCACUACAAGAAAUUUACCCUUUGUCGAUGACAAAUAUCGUCAGUAAAUCUUCAAAAACUAAUCAACUUUUCUUUUGCCAACGAAAUUAAGCUGUCAACACACACCGUCAGGUAGGUCUGUCGGAAGAUCCUCUAUCGAUGGCAAAAAAUAAACUGUCAGCAAAAAUAGGAACUAUCGAUGAAAUUGAACCAUCAGUGGGCGUGUGUGUGUGCGCUCGUGUGUGCGCAUGUCCACGUGUGCUUGGGUGUGUGUAUGCGCACAUACAUGUGUACGUGAGUAGGUGUUUGCGUGUUUCCGUGUGCAUUUGUGUGCGUGCGGUUUGGUGUGCGUGUGCAUGUGUGUGUUUGUGUGUGUGUGCCUAUGUUCGUUUGUGUGUGUGCGUGUAUGGGUGCACGCGCGUGCAAGUGUAUGUAUGUGUGUGCGCGUGUGAUUGUGUGUGAAUAAGUUGAUAUUUUUUAAUGUUGAGUUUCUCCCAAUUUUAAAACAAUAAUUUAAUUAUCUUGAUAUUCAAGCCAUUAAUAUUAUUGUGAGAUAAAGAUAGUGAAUAAGUUGAUAUUUUUUAAUUUUGAAAUUCAGUUAAAGUUAUUUUGAUACAAAAUCUAUUGCUGAGAUUAUCAUAUUCUGAAAAAUAAUAAUUUUGUUAUUUUGAAAUUCAAUUUGGUUAUUUUGAAAUUCAAAUUCAAUUAGGUUAUUUUGAAAUUAGUAAGAUUAAAUAAAGUUGAAGUCUUGAAUCCAUUAGUUGAGUCCCGAGAUAUUAAGAAAAAAGUAUGAUAUGAGUUUAUGUAUCUUUUUCAGGUAAAAAAUAAUUAAAAGCUGAUAAAUGCAUAAUAUAAAUUAAUUACAAUAUAGAAACAAGAUAAUUUUAGUUGGAGAAUGUGAAUAUUUUGGUAUUUUAUAAAAUAUUAUGCACGUGCAAAAAAUGUUAUUUGCUAAAAUUAACAAAAAAAUAGUUUUGCCAUUUUUCAAAAUGACCCAUAAAAAUGUUGCUAUAUCUCUUAUGACAGAGUGUAUAUCUACUGGUUCAUAUUCGACAUGUUUGUUGCUAAUAGAAUUGGAUAAAAUCGCAUUAUAUUGAAAUAAUUACACGAAUGACACUUUUAAGCCAAUAUUGGUAGAAAUUAUAGUUUAAUUAAUGUUAUUAAGUCAAAUGAACAUGGUUUAAAAGUCCUUCUAAACACAAUUAAUGUAGUUGUUUUUUAAUUUUAACUCAUUUAUACAUCUUUAUGCAUAUGUGCGUGUGUACGUGUGCGCGUGUAGGUAGGUGUGCGUAUGUGUAUGUGCGUGUGUUCGUGCGAGUGUCCGUGUGCAUGUGUGUGUGGGUGUGUGCAUGUUUGUAUGUGUUUGUGCAUGCGUGUGUGUGCACGGGCUAUUGCGUGUGUGCUUGGGUGUGUGGGUGUGCUCGCGCGUGCGUGUUUGUGCGCGUGUGUGUAUGUGUUUACGUGUGUGCUUUUGUGCGUACGCGUGUGUGCGUUUGUGCAUGUGUGUGUGCUUGUGCGCGUGUGGAUAGGUGUGUGUGUGUGCAUGCGUGCGCGUGUGCAUGUGUGUGUGCGUGCGUUCGUGCGUCUGUGGGUGUCUAUGUGUAGGUGUGCGUGUGCACGCGUGUGUGUAAGUGUGCAUGUGUACGUGUGUGCGCAGUGCUUCUAUGCUUGUGUGCGAACAAGUUAAUAUUUUUUAAUGUUGAGUUUCUUCCAAUUUUAAAAUAAUAAUUUAAUUAUCAUGAUAUUCAAGGCAUUAAUGUUAUUUUGAGAUAAAGAUAGUGAACAGGUUGAUAUUUUUUAAUUUUGAAAUUCAAUUAAGGUUAUUUUAAUACAAAAUCUAUCGUUGAGACUCUCAAAUUUCGAAAAAUAAUAAUUUUGUUAUUUUGAAAUUCAAAUUCAAUUAGGUUAUUUUGAAAUUAGUAUGAUUGAAUAAAGUUAUUAAUAUGUUGAAUUAAUUAGUUGAGUCUCGAGAUAUUAAGAAAAAUAUUAUGAUAUGAGUUAAUAUAUCUAUUUCAAGUAAAAGAUAAUUAAAAGCUGAUAAAUGCAUAACAUAAAUUAAUUACAAUGUAGAAACGAAAUAAUUACAGUUGAAGAAUGUUGAUAUUUUGGUAUUUUAUAAAAUACCAUGCACGUGCAAAAAAUGCUAGUUGCUAAAAUUCAAAGGAAAAAGUAGUUUUGUCAUUUUUCAAAAUGACCCCUAAAAACGUUGUUAUGUCUCUUAUGACAAAGAGUGUAGAUCUACUGAUCCAUAUUCGAUUUGUUUUUUGUUGGUAAAAUUGGAUAAGACCGCAUUAUAUUGAAAUAAUUACACGAAUGACAGUUUUAAGCCAAUAUUGAUAGAAAUUAUAAUUAAUCAAUGUUAUUAAGUCAAAUGAACAUGGUUUAAAACUCUUUCUACACAUAAUUAAUGUAUUUGUUUUUUAACUUUAAUUAAUUUACACAUCCUUGUGCGUGUGUGCAUAUGUGCGCGUGCGUGUGCGUGUGUGGAUGGGUGUGUGUGCGUGCGUGUGCGUGUGUUGUGCACGUGUGCGCGUGUGCUUGUGUGCGAACAAGUUGAUAUUUGUUAAUGUAAAAUUUCUCCCAAUUUUAAAAUAAUAAUUCAAUUAUCUUGAUAUUCAAGUCAUUAAUGUUAUUUUGAGAUAAAAAUAGUGUACAAGUUGAUAUUUUUUAAUUUUGAAAUUCAAUUAAAGUUAUUUUGAUACAAAAUCUAUCGUUGAGAUUCUCAAAUUUCAAAAAAUAAUAAUUUUGUUAUUUUGAAAUUGAAAUUUAAUUAGGUUAUUUUGAAAUUAGUAAGAUUGAAUAAAAUUAAAAUCUUGAAUCAAUUAGUUGAGUCCCGAGAUAUUAAGAAAAAAGGAUGUAUCUUUUUCAGGUAAAAAAUAAUUAAAAGCUAAUAAAUGCAUAACAUAAAUUAAUUACAACGUAGAAACGAAAUAAUUACUGUUUGAGAAGGUGAAUAUUUUGGUAUUUUAUAAAAUAUCAUGCACACGUGCAAAAAAUUCUAUUUGCUAAAAUUUAAAAGAAAAAGUAGUUUUGCCAUUUUUCAAAAUGACCCAUAAAAACGUUGCUAUAUCUCUUAUGACAAAGAGUGUGCAUCUACUGGUACAUAUUCGACUUGUUUUUUGUUCGUAAAAUUGGAGAAAUUGAGGACACAACUCCAAUUCCUAGCAUGGUUUCUCCCUAAGACUAUGCUGGUCCUAGUCGGGGAGUGGCAUUUACAUCCCAGAAAGACACACAUGUAUCACCUCGUGUUGGCACUUCCAUUGCAAUGCACAACUCUGACAUAUAUAGUGCCGACAUUUCCUUCCUUAAGCUUGAAAAAAAGGUGAUUUGAUGUCCAUAAAAAAUUAACUGAGCAGUUAGAUAUUUUCUAAUAUGUAUCUCACGUAAUUUGAUGCUCAUUGAUACUGCAGUACUGUGUCAGGAACGUGUUGAUGUAAAAUCUUUCAGUUUUGAUGGAUCUUAUUACAAGCUUUCAACUCUUCUUAGCACGACUUCUGACAGAACAAAGGUUUGAUAUAUCUUUACACGAUCGCAUAUCACAUAUGAACGAUCGCAUAUCCCAUCUGAAAUAUCGAUCACCCUUGGUAAAACAACCGUUUAGAUAUUCUACACGAUUGUUUGCUUAAGGAUACACGAUCAUUUUGUAACUAUUUUUUUUAUUAUCCUUUUUUCUUUCUAUACUAGAACCAGAAUCAAUUGUUUGAUGAUAUUAACAACAUGUAUGAUGAUCUUCGUGAUGAUUCUAGUCAUCACAAUCUGGACAAGAAUGAUGACCAUCAAAAUAACAAACAUGUGAUCAUCCAUGAGAAUCCAUUUGUUCAAGAGUCACAUCUUCAAGAAUCUACUGUAGAAACUCAACAGUUAGUGUUUAAUUCAUUAGUUACCGCUUUAUAUUGUUUAAAAUUGCUUAGAUUAUAAAUAAACAACAAUAAUUUUUUUUCUUUUCUGUGUAGGGAACAAAAAUGAACAACGCCUCAACAUCAAGAGUAGUCAGGCAGUGAUAUUAGCAUAUAUGGAAGAGAUGCACAUUUGAUAUUAACUAUAAGUAAUAUAGCAGAAAAUAUGGAAGGUCAUACUCAAACAGAAAAGGGAUUGCUAGAAAUGAUUGAAAAUCUUCCGUUGGUAAGCCAACCACUUCCACUUUGUGAGAUGCUACCAUUAACUACUGUCAAAGGUCUUGCAUUAGUUUAAUUGGUAUGUGUGCCCUAAAGGGAUAAAAGCUCUUGGCAGUGAAAGAUUUUACAAAACCAUUCAUCAAUUUUAAUUUGAAAAUUCCAAAAUACCAGUACAUUGACAAUAUUUAGAAUCAAAGUUCUAAAUAAAGAACUAAAUAUGCUUUUAAAUUAAAAGAUACAUAGAAUUGACUCUUGUUGACGUCUCUGAAUCUAGAAUCCACAGAAUUUGGGACACCACCCGUUGGAGACCUUCCUAUCUUCGAAGAUGAGAUUGGUUUGUGGAAAACAAUUGGAAUGAAAAAAAAAUUUAGAGAGAAACUAUGUAACACCCCCAAUAUCAAGGUAUUUCUCUCAAGCUAAAUUUUUAAAAUUUUAUUAAGAUUUUAAGGAAUUUGGUUGUGGUGUGGAUUUAGCAGGAAGUGAAGGGGGCUUUUAUGAAAAAAUAUACUAAUACUAAAGGUUAAAUAAUAAUAAUAGAAUUAAUGUUAUUAUUAAUUUAAAAUAUCAAUUCUUUAUUGAUUCACGUGCAACCCCAUCUCUUUCUCCUUCACUCUUCCUCUUCCCCGUGCCCACCGCCACCUGCCUCCCUUAGCCAUUUUAUAUUACUCUUGGACGUCAGCCGGCCACGCCGUCAUCGAUCCCUUCGUCUCCGUUGAAGCCGAAGCACCGUUCGUCGUGAGUUCGAACUCUCGGCAUCGCGUCUCACCUCUGUUUUCCAGCCAAGCUGUGAUUCAUUCGCGCGUAGCUCCUUCGACGUUCGCGCCACCACAUUCUGCUCCAGGUGACGAGGAGCGUCAACGAUUGACCUAUCAUCUCACCGGCAUUGUUACUUAGUUGAAGCAGCCGUCGACCAGACCUGAGCCCGUCACGUCUGUUGAAGUGCUGUCGCGCGGCUCUUCACCUUUCAGCCAUGGGUUGUAAGCUGAAGUUUGUUUUUUGUUUCUUGAUUAGAUCUGAUCUAUUACACGCGACGAUUCCAGUUAUUCGAAGUUGUUGCCCCCAUUUUACUCUAAUUUUUGGGAUUUUUGUGGUAAGUUGUAUUGGUGAGUGUGGUGGUUUUACAUUGUAAUUAUCCUUGGGUUGUAGUUUUGGAUAAUUAGUUAAAUUGUUAAUUGAUUCUUGAAGUUAGCGUUUGAGUUCUUUGGAUUCACAACUAAAUUGUAGAUUUGUUGGAGUUCGAUUCGCCAAUACUUUGAUAAAGCUAGAAUUUACAUUGAGGAAAUUAAAUGAAAGAAAGUAUUGUGAAAGUAAUUGAGUUCCAUAUUCUUAGUAUUAGGUUUCCUUCGUUCGAGAAAUUUAAGUAACAUUAAAGUAAGGGGUUUCUAUUACUGGACUCUUUGAAAGUUUUGAAAUGUGUUGACUGUUUGGAUCUCUGGACUUAGUAUGGUUUACCAAAUAUGUAGAAGUAGAUAUGAUGACAAAUGUAUAUUAUGCCAGACUAGUAUAGAAGUAGAUACGAUGGAUAAUGUAUUUGUAAACUGAGAAAGGUGUUAUGUAUAUAUAUAUAUCUUGACUGUCUGGUGUGUUGUUAUAGUAUCAACUGAUUUUGUGAUAGAUUGAAUAGAUUGAACGUAAGUGUGUUAAGUUGGAUUGAUGAUAUGAUUGUAACGACCCAACUUUUCUAAGUAAGUCGAGGUCGUUAAUUUUUUUUACAAAUAAAAGACUUUGGUUAAUAUAAAACAAAACAUAAGCUAAUUUAAAAACAUCUUUAAGUCAGGCCUGAAUUUCAAACAUUUAAGAAAACAUAAAAACAAUACUAUUUACAAUAAACGUUUGUAAGCAAACUUUCAAUUCAUCUUAAACCUCACAAAAACCCAUAAGCGGAAGCAAACAACAUAUUUCCUAUGGCAGUCACGCUUCCUUCCUGCCCUCGCCGGUUUGCCGCUUUUAUUACCUUUGCCUGAAAAUUAAACAUAAGAAGGGUGAGUAUUUAAAUACUCAGUAAGAGACCCUCUACUGUCUCGUCAGGGGAAAAUAAAUUGUUAACGUUCUAUUGGGACACCCUGUACAGUCGCAGUCUUGUGAUCCCGUAGGAUACACAUCUCAGUCUAACGCCCCGAGGGACGUACAUAUCAGUCUAGUGUUCUGCAGAAACACAUAUCAGUCUAAUGCUCCCGAAGGUGCACAAUAAAUUGGUGAUCCCGUGGGACACCUACAAGGUACACAUCCCAAUACAAUCUAACAAUUUUCCCCUCAUUCCAUUCAAUCCAUCUUUCAAUUACUUCAAAACACAAAGUUCUUUCUUUCAACGUCCUAACAGUCAACUUAUUUUACUUCAGUCAUAUGUCUGUCAAUAAUAUGCUAAUACAUCAGUCAAUCAAACUAUACAGUCAACACACCCCUCAGUUCAUCAGCACACAGUCAUACUUUAACGUAACGUACACCCAAUCUAAAUGAAAAUCACAAGUUCACAUCUGCAUCUCAUACAAACACAAUCUACAAUCUUCGUCUUGUCCACAUACACACACUUAUAUAUAUAUUCCAUGACAAUCACGAUAUACAUUCGAUGUCAAGUCUACUUCAAUUCAUAGGGAAAUGUCCUUCAAAUUGCUUAUACUUUAUAUUUUUUUUAUUUUGGUUUUCUUUAGUAAUUGAGACUGUUUUGGGUUUCAUGAUUGAACGACUUUUAUGUUCUUGAACUUUCUUUAUUAUCGAUACUUUUACACUUUCAAAAUUUUAUUUGAAAUAGAGACCGAAUAAAAACUCUUUAAUGUUGUUAAAAAAUAUUUUUUUAAAUUACAAAGUUUUAUGGUUAAAGGACGAAUCUAGUCUUAAAGUAAUAACUUCAGCUUAAUUCGAAAAAUUAGGUCGUUACAAUCUAUUUUGCAUAAAAGAAAAUCAUCGAUUUUAUUUUGGUUAAGAAAAGCUGUUUUUCUUCUACAUAUUUAUAACUCUCUUUCUUUCAUUGAGUAGGAGACGGGGUAGGAGAAAAUCAUAGGAUUCUAUUAACUUAAAAAAUAUUAAAUUAAUAGAAGUUUCAAAUCAAUUAGUUAAUAAUUAAUUAAAUUAUAUUUAAUUAAUUUUUCAUUUAAAUCUUAUUGAAUGAAUAUCUCUAAUUGAACUAAGCAUGGUAGCUACAGGUAGUUCUCUAAGAUCUUUAAAAACUAAAUUUACACUGUCUACACAAUUUGAUGUCAUCAUUCUAUAUAUGAAACUCAUUAUACCUGAGAUAGAUUCAACCAAUUUAUCAAAGAACCUUGGAAUCAACAUGUAUGAUUUAACUGUGUCACCUUUUAAUAUCUUUACUAUGUGUUCUUUUGCCCUCCAAGCUUUCUGCUAACUUAUAUUAACUCCAAGAUUUGUACAUGCCUUAUGCACAAUUGCUUUCAGAAUGAAACGAUCAAUAGACAUGAACCUGAACUCAUCUAUCAAGCAACUGUCAAUUACUGUUGAAGAAGCUUGCAUAUGACAACUAGUAUUCAAUGAACGGUCAUGUUCAUAAUUCUACUUAUCCAUCCAAUUGAAUCUGUUCACAUAUUAAAUCAACUAGAGAAUUAAAGCUGACUCGGACAUCUACCAAAAUUUCAGCAACUAAGUAAUUCUCAUAAAUAUUACAUCCAUUCCAUUGACCUCCAUAAAAAACAACAAUAGGAAAAGACAUUAUAAUCUGUAAAAAAAAAAAAAAAAUUAAGUAUUUAAUUGGGAUAGAAAGAAAUAGAUAGACAUAGAUAUACAUUUAUUACUGAAUAAAAGAAUAAAAUGUACAAAAUGAUAAUACUAAACACAAUGCAAGAAUAAGUAAACGAUCGUGCAAUGAAAUAAUAUACAUUAAACGAUCCUAUUAACCGUGAUAAACGACCAUUUAACAACGGUAAAUGAUAAUAUUGAUUAAAAUAAAUUAUCGUGUUGACAUGGGUACACGAUCAUAUGAUAUUGGUGAUCGUAUUGAAUAGUGUAAACAAUCGUCUUGUUAUCGGUACACGAUCGUGUUAAUAUUUGUAAGUGAUUCUAUUGAUAGUGGUAACUGAUCGUGUAAUUCGAUGUAAAUUAUCGUAAAAAACUUUAAACUAUCGAUCUUUAUAAUGAAGUACAUAAUUCUUACAUUAAUACUUAAAAUUUGUUGUAACGAUCCAACUUUUCUAACUAAGUUGAAGUCAUUAAUUUGGACAAAGAGACCUUGAUUGACACAAAUUAUAGUAAAAUUCACUUGAAAUCAUACGAUCAAAGAAAACAAACUUAAGUUCGGGCCCUAUUUCAAAUAACCAAAACUUUAAAAGUACUAUUUACAAAACAACAGUUCGUAAACUCAGUUCCAUCACAAAAUUUUUAAACAACCUCAUGUACAAAGGAAAAACAAGAAACAUAAAGCGAAAGCAUUUGAAGAACAUUCCCUUAUGGCAAUCACGUCUCCUUCUUGUCCCUCGUCGGUCUACCUCCUUUGUUACCUUUGCCUGAAAUAGUUAAACAUGAAAGGAUGAGUAUAAACAUACCCAAUAAGAGACCCGCUAUUGGUCCCAUUAGGGGAAAAAGAAACUGUUAACUUCCUAUUGGGGUACCCUGCACAGUCACAGUCUUGUGAUCCUGUAGGAUACACAUAAUCAGUCUAAUGCCUCAAAGGACGCAUAAAUCAGUCUAGUGUUCCGCAGAAACACAUAUCAGUAUAAUGCUCCCGAAGGAUGCACAUAUCAGUCUAGUGCUAUCGAAGGAUGCACAUAUCAGGUGGUGAUCCCGUAGGACACCUACAAGGUAACUACCCAAUAGAAAUCUAAUAAUUUUCCCCUCAAUCCAUUCUAAACAUCUUAACACUCAUUCAUAGUACAGUCCAACUACUUCAACAUAUAAUCCUUUCACUUAACACCCUAAUAGUCAACCUAUCUCACUUGAGCCCAAUGUCAGCCAGUAACAUAUUAAUACAUCAGUCAAUCAAACUAUAUAGUUAUAACACCCCUCAAUUCACCAGUACAUAGCCCUACUUUAGUAUAACCUACACCAAAUCUAAACGACAAUCACAAGUUCACAUCCACAUUCCAUACAAACACAAUCUACAAUUGUCGUCCUGUCUACAUCCAUACAUAUAUAUAUAUUCCCAGACAAUCACAAUAUGCAUUCAACAUCAAGUCUACAUCAAUCCAUGUAUAUAUAUAUUUUUUUUCAGUCAUUCACAGUAUACAUUCAACACCAAGUCUACAUCCAUAUGUAUAUAUAUCGUUUUGACAUCUUUACUCAAUCAGAGGUAACUAUACAGACAUCACAAUUCAAAACUAUAGGUGAGUCCAGUAGUAGAGAAUCCCUUACCUUAUAACCUUACUUAAGCUUCUUUUUCAAACUAAAGUGCAACGAACCGACCUAAACAUAAUUGAAGAGAAAUCAAUCACUUCCACAAACAAUUUAAUCCAUUCAAUUCACUCUAUAUGUAAAUUCCAUAACUUACCCAAAUUGUGGAGAAUCAAAUUCUAACGGAGACGGAUCGGUGCAACAAAUAACCAAACAAUUCAGAUCUAAACAUACAUGGCGUGACAGAACUGGAGUGACUCGGGCUAACGGUUAUGCGACGAUAGGAAAAAAUUUGCUUGACGUUCUGUGUAGGUGGAAGACGGUGGUGAAGUUGAUUGGAGAAGGAAAAGAGAAUGAAGAAAAGAGAGAUUAUGCAUACACUGUGAGAAGCACACAAAAAAAUUGAAAAUAAAUUGAAAAGAAGAGAGAGAUAAGUCUGAGGGAGAAAUAUUCAUUUCCUUUUCAAAGUGAAUUGCAAAGAAAUUUUCUCAAAUUGAAAAGAAAGGAGAAAUAUACAAAGUCAGCCACCGCUUCUUCUCCCUUCAGUUUGCAGUUUUCGUCUCCCUCUCUUCUAUUAUUAAAAUAAAUAAAUAAAAUAUCACAACCCGACUUAACACAAACUAUUUACUCCAACUUUUUAAACUACAAAUUUAAUUUCUCAACUUUUAAACUAUUUUAAACUUACAAAUCUACUUUAUUCAUUUCUUCAUAUUUAUAUCUAACAAAUAAAAAAAAAAUCAAAAUUUAUAGACACUUAAAACAUAAAAUUGAAAGACCUAUUAAACAAUUGAAAGGUUUAAGAGGUAACUAGACAAACUUUAAAAGUUCUAAGGGAAAGAAUCUUUUGUUUAACUAUUACAGUAAUUAAUUUUGAAAAUAUGUUAUUUUAGAAAAACUACAAGUGUUUGACAACUCUUUGAAAGCUAUUGAAAUACUCUCAAAUUGUAUUUUAAGCAAUUUUAAUAAAAAGAAAGUCUACAUAAAAAAAUUACCCUUUUUAAAGGAACAUUUUUUCUCUAAUCACUCCAAUGGAACUCAAACACGUACUUCAAGUUAAUUCUGGUAUCCAAGAAUCAGUCUCAUCCAACAUAAACAAGAACAUUCAACUUGAUAGAACUUCAUUACCUCAUUUUUACAAUUCCCAAAGUUACUAUAUGAAGGACCAUUCCUAAAACAUACUUACAUCCAACUUUCUCCAUGAAUAAACUUAUCGUCUUUUAUGUACUGAUGAAUAUAGAGAUGGAGCGAUCAGAGUUUGUUUAUGUACAAAAUUAGAGUGAGUUGAGAAAAGAGUGGAUUUACACAAGGACGAAAUGGCUGGCUGCUGCUUGUUCAAAACUGAAAGUUAGGGUGACCUUGUUUCUCAUAGGGACUCAGCAAAUUGAGGGGCCUCCAGGUCUACUUCUGGUCUCAUUAUACAUGCCAUUAGCCAUUCAACGUUGAAAGUCCAUAUCCCUUUUUCUACGGCCACCAAGGCUUCCUCCACGUCUUCCUCACAAGCCACAAAGAUCGUCUUCCAUACGUUGUUUACUUUAUCUAGCUCAUGAAUCACCUAAAUUUUCAAGCAUAAUGAAUUUGCCAAAUGAGAGAAAAAAUUAUGUAUAUACUACAAGGAAAUUGCAAGAAUUCACCCUAUCAAAAAAUAUUAAACAAAUUCUUGUUCUAGUCCCUAAAAUUUUCCAUCUUUUCCCAACUUUCAAAAUGAUUCCUAUGAGAUAUAUUCCAAUCACAUAUAGCAGAAAUGACCGAUGAGUAUUGGAUAAAUGAAUAUUAGUUGAUAAAAUAAUUUACAAAAUACUAAAAUCGUUAGUUGGCUACGUUUUGGAAGCUCGAUGAUUAAAAUGGAUGUUUUGAAAGUUCUAAGGCUAAAAUGGAAUUUAAAUCAACAUAAUAGUAAGUUCAAGAUCAAAGACAAGCUAAACAAUAAAAUGUUGCAAGCAGAAAACAAUCUAAUCAUAAUUAGAAACAUGAAUGUAUGUAUUUGUAAACCAAAUCACAAAAAAUAACUCCAAAUUUCGAUCUAGAGACAAUUAAAAACUUGAACAAAUUUGAUAAAUAAAGAAACACGGAGAUGGCCAUAUGACCCCUUGUGCAUAGACUUUUUACAUUACAUGCUCAAUUCCUAGGAUCAAAACAAACAUAAAUAUUAAAGACUUAAGCACAUACACUCUAGAUUGGCUAGUGUAUCAAUAAACAAUAUGUAUGGAACACUCGGAGAACACGUGUUGAACACUAGUUAGUACAGUAGAUGUGUUAGACAACAAGUACUUAUUGACUUUGAAUUUCUAUAUAAAUAUGAGACAUACUUUUUAAAUUAUAUAUAUUAAAACUGUGUUCUAGCACUAUCCUAUAUUUUUUAGAAAAAAAUGACACGUCACCAUGUCUAUAAUUUAUUGACCCAUGUCUAGAAUUCGUAUACGUGCUUGUUUGUUGAGAACUUCACGUCUUCAUUAGAUGGGAGGAUAGCCAUAUUAUAGUGGUCUAUAUGUAAUAUAGAGAACCAAACCUAGUACUCGAGAUUUGUACAAUAACAGAGAACUUACAUUUCCACCGGUUGACUUGACUAUCAAGGAUAGAGUUUCAGGUGGUGGUUGAGCGUGAGCUGAUAUGCAAACAUCAUACCCUUCAAAUAAAGCUCAAGAACAUGCUUUUGCCCUGAGAACUGCAGCUUUUAGGCUGGCUCGAUACUUCGAUAUGUAGUCAUCAUCAUUUAGUAUGUAAGGAAACUCGUCUGCAUAUCAAUAAGGAAUUAAUCAAUCACAAAAAUUAGGUAGGAUGAAAAACAUAAGUGGAAGAAAAUACAUUACGCUUUGAUACUAGCAAGCCAUUCGAACUUACCAACAAAUCUGCCUUCCCGUUAGGUUUCCUUUAACCAACUGGAGGAGAAAAUCCAAGCUCUGAGUAAUUUGCAAUUAACUUGCAAUUUUAGUAACAAGAUAUAGUAAAAAUUAUGAGCAAGAGCAUACUGACACACUUGAAGCCACAUGGUAAUGCAUAUGCUCGAUAAUCAUUGAGAACAUUAACAGGAGAAAAUAAAGUUAAGAAAAGUAGCUUGAAGAACAAAAAACAUUCUACAACAUAAAAUCUUCAAAAACACAUUGCUUAAAAUCAAGUUUACUAAUAUAAAAGGUAAGAUAUUACGUUCCACUCUCCACACUACUGAAGUUCAACAUUUCACAUGAAAGAAAUGAAAUACUACUCUCAAAUAUAACUGAAAAAAGCAUAAAUGGGUAAUGAAAAAGCAUAGAGAAAUGCAAAAGAAUCCUUGGCUUUGAUAUAUUGAAAGGUAAAGAAUAUCAACCAUAGAUGCCCGGGAGAAGAACUCCUACAAAUACACACUUAACGCAGAUUAUCAUUCGCUAACAUGAGACCUUCUAGACGAAUUCUGUUAGGAUACUUCCAAACAAGAACAAAAUCUUAAUUUAUUAUAAUGAACUAUAAGAAAAUACAAGAUAAAACCAAGUAUAAGGCACUUGGAACCUCUCUCUUGAGUACUCUCACCCAAGCCCUAGAUCACUCCCCAGAAUUCUCCCCUCACUUACCCUCCCUCCAUUUAUAAUAAGAUGUAACCACACUUACAUAAUAACUACUAGUAACUUUCUAAAUGAAAGAGGUGGGCGGCUGCUAGGGUGAACGGAGAAGAAGAAAGAGAUGGAGGACGCACGGGAGGAAGAAGGAAGGGAAAAAUUCUUUUUCUUUUCUUUUAUUUAUUUUAAAUAAUAAAAACUAAAAUAUAAAUAAAUAUAUAUAUAAUUAUAUUAUCACAUUUUCAAAUCUUCUUUCUCCCCCUUCAACAUAUUUUCUUAAAAAAAUAAAUCUUGUACAAAUCGAAAAAUUUUCUUAAAAUAAAUUACCUUCGAGUUUGGGGCGUUACACAAGGACUUGAACAUAGGACCUUUUGGACCACCUGCUCUGAUACCAUAUUAAACCCCAAAUUCACCCAAAAGCUUAAGCUAGUGGUUGAAGGUAAAUUUAAUUAUAUAUUACCAAAGUAUGAGGUUUCAUCACAAUACCAAUUGGCAAUGAGAGGAGUAGCUCAUCUAUUUUAUAAGGAGUCUAAGUUUCCUUGGUUUUUCAAUUGUGGGAACAUGCCCCUUCAAGAUGGUGCCUCUUUGGUUUCACCUAUCUUGAACCAAAUAUCCGUUUAGGCUUAAUGAGCUCUAAUACCAUAUUGAAAGCAAUAUAUACGAAACCAAAGCUUACGUGAAAACGCAAGAAUCGAAAGAAAAGCAUUGUGUUUGUAGAGGCACAAUUGGUUGUUUAAUAUAUAUCACUAACACUAUUGCUGCAAUGAUCGAUCAUCUCGAUGGAUUACCCAUUUAAGAGUUGUUGACAAGAGUUGACACUCUAGAAUCAAAAGUUGUAAGAACUAGAUGUUGUAAUUUAUGUCCUAAAACUCGUUGUAAUCAUAAUCUAUUCAAUUAAGUCGUUAUUGAUACUAUAAUCUUAAAGCCAAUAAACUAAGGACCCGAGGUUAUUAUUAAGUAAACUUGAACUUUAUGUAGAGACAUAAAAGUUGAUCAAGUUUAAGUAUAGAGCCUAAAUAGUAUAGAUUGUACGAAUACAGUUAGGCACCUUAUUCCAGGACACAAUGAAUGCAGUCUGCUUUGUAUUUAGUAUAACGAUGUGAUCCUAAAUCCUAGAGACAUGAAAGUAUGGACAUCCUAUGUAAAGAGUUUACAAAAGAAUAGAACCAUGAAAUAGUCACUUUUAAGUUAUAACACCGUUAACUUUGAAAAACUUACUAUUUCAUUGAUAGAUAUCAAAUAUAACUUAAUCUUAAUACUGGGCUAACUAUAAGCUUUUGUUCUCACCAGCAUGCUUGUUUAAGGCGUUGUUUAUCUAUGGCCACAUGCCCAAAUACCCCCAAAUCACCUUUUCUUUAUGUCUUGUAUUUAGUUUAGUCUAUUGCUUUCCUUUUUAUGUCAUAGACCUAGGGUGUGAGGUGUCACACAUUUUCAUUUGCAAACCUGUCAAAGCUCAAAAAGUCUAAACUAUACUAUAGGAGAGACCCAAUAGUUGAAUCCCCAACCAUUUCUUAUCGUAUUCUUUAUAAUUAAAUUUUUAUUUGCAAUUGAAAGUCUUCAACGCAUUCUUUAAUGAUGUUUUUAAUGAUACUCUCUCUCACAUUUUAUAAAACAAUUUUUUCAAGAACGAGAAGGGAGGUUAUAUCAUAUCGUGAGUUUGUUUGUGAUUUUCGGAUUUUACAUGCCUGACUUAUUGACUGAGCAAAACAAGUGUUCUACAAUUGUCCGUUCCAUGUUUGAAAGAUUGCGAUUGUGGUACGCAGAGUGUCACAAGUGUGCUUGUCCAAGGCAUUAUUUGCCUAUGGUCGUAUGCUCGUAUAUCCUCAAACCACUUUAUCUUUAUGCUUUGUACUUAGUUUAGUCAACUGCUUUCCUUUUGUUGUCACCGACCUAAGGUGCGUCGUUUCGCAAUUUUCAUAUGCAAUGUUGUCAAUGCUAAAAAAGUUUAAGAUGUAUUGUAGGGGAGGCAUGGUAGUUGAAUCCCCAACUAAGCCCUAUUGUGAUUUUUGCAAAUCUAAGCUUUCUUUGUAAUUGACAAUAUUCAAUUUUUUCUUUAAGGAUGUUAUCAAUGUUUUUCUUUAUCUCUCACGUUUUAUAAAACCAAUUUCUCUCAAAAGAUGAAGCGAGGCUACAUCGUACCACAAGUUUGUCCGCAACUUUCAAAUUUCACAAGGUUGCCUUGUUCAUCAAUUUAGAACAAGUGUUGCACAAUCGCCCGUCCCGUAUUUGAAAAGUUGCAUUUUGUGACAAGUGGUAUUAAAGCUUUGUUAGCUCCUUGGCUAAGCGAGAUGCAAUUAUGUCAACAAUGAAACAACUAUCAAAGUUGCAACCGGAGCGACUGACUGAGAUUGAAGAGGAAUUCUUGGAUAUGAAAGAAUUGCCAAACGAAGUAAGAUUUCUCUAGACCCAACUUGAGAUGUUUAAAGAAAAAGUCAGAGAAAUAGACGCAUUGAAUGCCUAAAUAGACAAACUACCCAUAAAUGAAUUGGUGCUGAGGGUUGAUUCGUUAGAACAUAAAACCACCAAAGUAGGUAGUUUUGAACGUGGAAGUAGCUCUUCAAGUUCUAUUGCACAAAUGGAAGAGCGUGUCGAAGAUUUUGACUUUUGACAAGCUCCAACAUAAUCAGUUAUAUUUCAAGAAAGAGAAAAGUGUUUUUGCUAAAUAGCGUAUCAAUUUUCUAGGUCACAUCAUCGAAUGUAGAAAGAUUUGAAUGGACGAACAUAAGUUGUAAGCUAUUAAGGAGUGGAGAGCCCCCACUUCCGUGAAAGAGUUACGUUUCAUCCUUCAAUAUAUUCUAAAAUAGGGUUCACCUACUAUCCUCUAGACUCAGUACCGGGAGAAAGAAAUAGAUGGAAAAAGAAAUGGGCUUGGUAAUUUUUUUCUAUGUAAAUAAGAAAAAGAAAUCCAAUUUGGUACAAGAGCCCAAAUUCAAUAGCCAGCCCAUCAAAUGAGGUCAACGACCCUAUUUAUAAGGAUUUUCCAUGCAAAAUUGCAUGUCCAUGGAAUACUAAAGCCCAACAACUCAAAGCUCUAUUUCUAAUAUGAAAUUCGAUGGCUAUAACACAUAUACUUGUCAGUUUCUCUCUCUUCUCCCAAUUCGAACAAUUCGACUUAUUCCAUCACACUGUUUUAAGUUUAUUCCAUAUGAGCUAGCAAGGGAACCUAAUGGACCUAUAUAUCAUGGACUCCAAUGAUUCAAGAUUAAUUGACAAAAUUCUUAUAGACUGAGUUAAUCAACAUUCGUUAACUAACGGGUCAUUCAUGUAUGUACUGGAACGAUUCAGAAUCACCUCGUUUGUACUAACUACAAAGCGGGCGGCAUCCACAAUUUCUCUGAAAAAAUCUGGGUUACUACAACGUCACCACGAUGUACAAUUUUCCUGAUAAGAUGGUACUUACGUUCGAUAUGUUUUCCCCGUUUACGGCUUUUAGGUUCUCUUGAAUUUGCAACUGCACCACUGUUGUGACAGUAUAAAGUGAUUGAUAGAUGCAUAUUUGGAACGACUUUCAGAUCUGUCAAGAAUUUUCUUAGCCAUAAUGCUUCUGUUGUUGCUUCAAAAGUUGCUACGUAUUCUCCCUCCAUUGUGGAAUCAACUAUACAAGUUUGUUUUAUGCUUCUCCAAACUACUACUCUUCUAUUUAGAGUGAAUACUAAUCCUGAUGUAGACUUUCUAGCAUCUUUAUCAGUUUGAAAAUCAUAAUGAGUGUAUCCAGUAAGGAUCAAAUCUUUUGUACCAUACACGAGAAUGUAGUGUUUUGUUCUUCAAAGAUAUUUUAGAACAUUCUUAACGGUUGUCUAGUGAUCACGUCCAAGAUUGGACUGAUACCUACUGACCAUCCCUACUAAGUAGCAAAUGUCAGAUCUAGUACACAACAUUGCAUAUAUCAAACUUCCAACAGCGGAAGCAUAGGAAAUUUUUCUCAUAUCCUCAAUUUCUUGAGGUGUCUUAGGACAUUGUUCCUUUGACAAAUGAAUUCCGUAGAUGUAUAAUAGCAUACCCUUUUUGGAAUUCUACAUUUUAUAUCUAGACAACAUUUUGUCUAUAUAAGAUGCUUGAGACAUGGCUAGUGUUUUGUUCUUGCAGUUCUGUACAAUUUGGAUCUUAAGAACGUAUUGUGCAUUUCCCAGAACUUUCAUUUGAAAUUGCAUAGCUAGCCAUUUCUUGAUAUUAGUAUGAAAUCCUAUGUCCUUUUCCAAUAAGUAGAAUAUCAUCUACAUACAAGACUAAGAAUACUACAAUGGAAUUGACGACCUUUUUUGUAAACAUAAGGUUCGUCAACCUUUUGUAUCAAAGCCAUAAGAUUUGAUCAUAGUAUCAAAUCUUAUAUUCCAGGAUCUAGAUGUUUGUUUUAAUCCAUAAAUGGAUUUUUGAAUCUUACAAACCUUUUGUUCUUGAUCUUGAUCUAUAAACCCCUAUAAUUGAGUAAUAUAGAUACUCUCUUCAAGAUUGUCAUUCAAAAAAAGUUGUCUUGACAUCCAUCUGCCAAAUUUCAUAAUCAUAAAACGUGGCGAUGCAUAAGACUAUUCUAAUUGACUUUAGCAUGGCAACGAUAGAGAAAGUUUCUUCAUAGUCUAUGUUAGAAAGAGACAUGCGCAGUGGAAAAAUGGAAUACAAAAUUCCCCUAAUUGCACCUAUUUAACUUGCAACCCUAAAUUAAAAGAAUUAGGGUUUAGGAAAUAUUAUACCUUUGUAUCUAUUCGAAUAUGAAGUCUAUACCUCUCACAAAAUUCCAAAAGUUUUUGAAACCAAAAUGUAACACCUUAAACUUAGGAUUUGGAAUUCGUAUCUCCAGCAUUCUCUGCAUCCCCUGCCACCUGGCAGCAUCAUCCUUACUAUUCUUAAAAACUUAUUAGAAUGAAAUUCCUCUUCACAAAACAACACGAAAUCUUUCAGCAUGCUUUUCCUCACUCACAUGCAUCCUAGGAAAAUUUCCAAGAGGUCACCCAACAUAGAAUUUCUUCAAGCUAAGCACGCUUAACUUUGAAGUCCCUAUAAUCGAGCCACCGAAAAAAAAAGGUUCACAUUGUUGGUAUAGGUAUUAAGUUUUAAUUCUUUUCAGUCUUUCUUAACAUGACUUUCAUGUCCUCAAGGUGCACCUUGUCGGUAUACUUGUCGAUUUCUCUCUCUUCUCUCAAUUCGGACAAUUCGACUUAUUCCAUCACAGUGUUCUAAGUUUAUUCCAUAUGAACUAGCAGGGAAACCUAAUGGACUUAUAUAUCAUGGGCUCCAACGAUUCAAGAUUAACCAUGAUCAAUAAGUUAAUCCUUCACAUGUUAUUCGUAACCUCGAAUGGAUCAAAUUACUGUUUUAUCCUUGAGACUACAUCUUAUUUCUUAAGUCUCAUUGAUCCACUAUUGAACAAUUGGUUUAAGGUCCAACCUAUAAACUUAAUCCCUCUCGGGCUAAUGUGAGGGUGGGGCCCCUUGUUCAAGACAUGGAUUUAGUGCUUAAGAGAACAACCUAUCUACUAACCCUAAAACAGGUAGAAGUGAAUUUUUUCUUGCAUCCUAUGUUCCCAGCCAUUCAUCUGAUCUUACCCUUGAAAUAGGAGGCUUAUUGGGAGAACGUUGAUGAGAUACCCUCACCUAUGCAGAUGUAACCCUAAAACAAGUAGAAGUGAAUUCAGUCUUAUGUAAGUACUUUAUAGUGUUUAAGAGAACAACCUAUCUACUAACCCUAAAACAGGUAGAAGUGAAUUAUGUCUUGCAUCCUAUGUUCCCAGCCAUUCAUCCGAUCUUACCCUUGAAAUGAGAGGCUUAUUGGGAGAACGUUGAUGAGAUACCCUCACCUAUGCAAAUGUAAGGAUAAUCUCAUGUGAACAGGAGUUCAUAGUUAGCUUAGGAUUAAGAUUAAGCUACCUAAGUCAUCAAUAAACGAAAUAGUCAGUUCUAAACAGUAAACGGUGUUUAACGUAAAAGUGACUAUUUCAUGGAUCAGUCUUAUGUAAGUACUUUACAUAGGAUGCCCCCACUUUCAUGUCUCUACAUGAACAAUUUAGGAUCACCUCGUUUGUACUAAUUACAAAGCGGGUCACAUCUGUAGUUUCUCUAAAUAAGGCACUAUAGACUAUUGAGGCUAUAUACUCGAACUUGAUCCACAUUUAUGUCUCGACAUAAAGUUCAAAUGUAUUAAAAAAUAGCAUCAAGACUUAGUUUAUUGGAUUUAAGAUUAUAAUUUUUAAUUUUUCAAUAAUGAUUUUAUUGAACUGAAUAUGAUAACAAACUACGAGUUUUAGGACAUAAAAUCCCAACAUAUGUAUUUUUGCCUCUAAUAAUAAUGUUGAAAGAUGUUUAUUGAUGUUGUCUCUUUGAUUUGGAGUCGCCAUGUAGGAGUUUCUCUGAUUGUGAGUUUCGUAAGAAAUUUACAUAACCACAAGCCUACCCUCCAUAUACAGUUUGGUAAGCACAUUCAGAGCCUAAGUGAGGAGGUUCGUAUUGCUAAAGAGUCCAUGGAUAAAGCUCAGAGAAAGGUUGGGCAAAAUCCUAUGUCUGAUGUUUUGAGUCGCCAAGCAGGUCUUGCCAUUGAGGCCUUUUGGACGGCUGUUAAAUUGGAGGAAGCCUUCAUGUGUUAGAAGUCCAAGAGGUUUGUGAGUUUCCUUAGAACUUGUGUUACCUCCUCGAUGUUCUCCAUUAUGAUUAAUGGCUCUUUCAAGGGUUUUUUAAUGGGAAGAAAGGUUUGCGGUAGGGUGAUCCUUUAUCUCCUUUCCUUUUUAUCAUGGUGAUGGAGGUCCUCUCUCGUAUGUUAAAUCGGCCUCCUCCGAGCUAUCAGUUUCACAGGCAUUGUGAGAAGGUUAGCUUAACUCAUCUGACCUUUGCUAAUGAUCUUAUGAUUUUUUGUGCUGCUGAUGAUUCCUCUUUGAGUUUUAUUAACGAGACUAUUCGAAAGUUUGGUGAUCUCUCGGGGCUAUUUACUAAUCUUAGUAAAAUUUCUAUGUUUGUUGUAGGGGUUAAUAGUGAUGAUGUUUAUCGUUUGACUACCAGUUUGGGUUUUGUCCUCAGGCAUCUCCCUGUUCGUUAUCUUGGGCUUCCUUUACUUUCUGGAAGGUUACGACCUACUGAUUGUGCUCUCUUAUUCAACGUAUUACUAGUCAGAUUCAUUCUUGGUUUGCUAGAGUUUUAUCAUUUGCAGGUAGAUUGCAACUGGUUCAAUAUGUGCUUGAUAAUCUUCAGGUUUACUAGGCUAACGUGUUUGUGCUGCCUGUGAGUGUGCAUCAUGAGGUUGAUAAAAUCUUGAGGUCUUAUCUUUGGAGGGGUAAGGAGGAAGGUAGAGGAGGUGUUAAGGUGGCGUGGGCUGAGGUGUGUUCCUUUUGAGGAGGGUGGUCUUGCUAUUCUUGAUGGGUCUUCUUAGAAUGUUGUGAGUACUAUGAAGAAUCUUUGGUUGUUGCUGACUAGUUCGAGUUUUCUAUGGGUUCCUUGGGUGGAGGCUUAUAUUCAUAAAGGAAGGUCAUUGUGGGAGGUCGAUUCUUGUGUUGGUCGGUCUUGGUGUCUUUGCGUUAUCAUGUGGAAACGAGAUAGUCUAAAAGAGCAUGUUCAGAUGGAGGUUGGGGAUGGUAGGCAUUGUAAACUGUGCCUGGAUCCGUGGUUGCAGGGUGGUCCUAUCCUUCAACAAGUUGGUGAGAGAGCGCUUUAUAAUGUAACGAGUAGAUAGGAGGCUAGGCUCUCUAAGUUUAUUGGUUCGAAAGGGGAGUGGAGGUGGUCGAGGGUGUCUUUGGAUUUGAUUAAUUUAUGGGAUAGGGUUCAAGUUGUAAGUUCGUGUCCUAAUGUUGGUGAUAGGUGGGUUUGGGUUCUUGGUCGUCAUAGUGGUUUUUUGAUUGCUAGUGCAUGGGAUACUAUUCAUCCUCGUAGUGUUAAGGUUCGUUGGACAGGUUUCUUGUGGGGUGGGGAUUGAGAGUCUCGUUAUCAUUUGUUUUUUCAUGUCCUUUUGGGUGUGAUAUUUAGUCUCGGGUCCUUCAGGUUAUGGCUUCCUCUCACAGGAUUGGGUAUUGGAGGGUUGAGUUGUUUGGGGUUUGUCAUUAGAGUAUUGGUAAGGGUGUGAGAAGGAAGUUGUGGUAUGUUCUCUGGUGUGCUACGAUUUAUUUUAUGUGAAAGGAGCAUAAUCAUUGUCUCCAUGGUGGUCAAGCUCGUGAGCUCAUUGUUCUGUUUCAGCUUAUUCCAUCUUGUAUCAGUGCUCGUGUUGUUUAUUUGCGUGAGGAUGCUCAUGGUAUUAUUUAGCUUGUUUUCUUUUGAUUUUUGUUUUAUCUGCUUGUUCUCGGGCUGUGGGGUUGUUUGGACUUUUUAUGUUUUUGUUGCUCUUAAUUUUGUUGGGUUUAUUAUUGUUCUUUCUUUUGAUACUUUGGAUUCUUCCUAUUUUUGUGAGCAUUGUCCGCUCUUGUGAGGUCAUCCUUGUUGUAUUAUGAUAUUAACUUUUCAAAAAAAAAAAGAAAGAUAAUGCAAUUCAACUUUAGAUAAAAACAUGAUUCGAAUUUUCAUUUCAAGAAAAUACAAGGGGACAGAACUUUUCUUUCACUAUUUCAAUUACUAGAAUCUAAAUUUCAAUUCUCACUUUUUUGUAUUUUGAAUUUACAAGCCUCUUUUUUCUUUCUUUGGUAUGAAAGGUGGCAACUAGGCCUUGCUAGAACGAGUGGGGUAACCUUUCUAUGGUUCUACACUUAGUUUCGAAGUUCGAAGUUUUCCUCCUACAGUGGAUCAUCGCUAUUGAUUUUUCUACUGUUAAUUCGACCUCCCACGAAUUCUCUUCUUCUAAGGAUUCACUUUUCUUUAAGGCUCUGCACUCUACUAAAAAGCCUUGAUCUUCUUCCCCCCAAUGUUUUCAUAAACUUCUUAAGACAGACCCUGACCUUGGUUAGGCUCGGAUCUCCUUGGAUUAUCACCUUCUUCCCCUAAUAUAUCAAUGUUAACAUCAUAUUCUUCCAAUCCACUCCAGUCGUUCCCAAGGAAUACAAUCACUGCAUUCCAAGUAUGGCAACUACCCCUCCCAACUUCAAGGGUAAAAACUCAUUCACUACCUUCUAGUCUCCCAGCAUUAACUCAACAUCUUCACAAAUUACCUUCCCUUUGACUACAGUGCCCGAGCCCAAAAUGACUCCAUAAUUCGACGUUUCUCUUGUACUCAGUUGCAACUCUUUCACUAUUUUUUUUAAAUGAAAUUGCGUGUGACUCCACAAUCAAUUAGUACUAUAGCCACCUUCCCUUGUAUCAUCUCUUUUACCUUCAUUUUCCCUAGGUUGGAUAAUCCCACCACAUAAUUAAUGGAUAAUUCCACCAUCACUUGACUCUCCUCUACGAUCUCAGGGGCAUUCAAUUCUUUCUGAUCAAUUCCUCCUUCUUCAAUAAUUUCAUACUCCUCGCCUUCUUCCUUGACAACAAUCAUUCGCAAUUCCCUUUGCUCUUUCAUCUUGCAUUUGUGGUCAUGAGAAUAUUUCUCAUUACAACGAAAGCACAAUCCCUUCUUUCUAGAUUGAAAUUCAGCAUCAAAUAAGCGCUUCGUCUGUCCCUUUUUCCGUACUUCCUCUUUUGUUGUUCCUCGUAGAGUAAUAGUUCUCAUCGGCCAAUUCAUUCCUCCUUUACUUUCUUCUGUAUUCGCAAUGGUAUUAGCCUUGGUGCUAUUAUGGGAGUUUAUCACCUUUUCUCCAGAAUAUCCAGAAAGAUUUGCUUCCUGACGUAUAUCUUCCUUGUUCUCUACCUUUUGCGCGAUUCGUAUCAUUUGUGCUAAUCCCUUCGACUCACAUAAAUCCAUCUCCGCGUAGAUCCAUAGUUUCAAUCCCGACAUAAAUGUCUCUUUUACCACCUUCUCUAAUAGGUCCGACAAAGGAGCUACCCACUUAUCGAAUAAAUUUUGAUAUUCCUCUAUCGUUGUCUUUUGUUGAAUUUGCAAGAACCUUACAUACAGCGAUUCCUCCCUAACGGAUCGAAAUCGCACCAAUAAUCUUUCCUUCAUAUUCACCCAAUCUACAAAGUUCUCUCGUUCUUCUUGAGAACGGUAAAAGUUCAAUGCUAGUCCCUUAAAACUAAUAGUGGAUACAGUCAUUUUCUCAAAUUCAGUAAGUUUAUGAAUGUGCAAAUACCUCUCUACGCGAAACAGCCAAGAAUCAGGAUCAUCUCCAUUGAAUAUCGACAUCUCCACCUUCUUAAACUUAUUGCAGUCACUAUUACUUUCAUCAUCUAUUUUCUUUCCUUCCUUCCUUGUUUCGUUCUCCCAUCUUGGUCACCCUUCGCCUUCGUCCACAUUCUUCGUCGAGGAAUUGUGCAUUGUUGUCGAUUCCAUAAUUCGUAACAUCAUCUGAUUCUACCUCUCCAUAUUUUUGGAUAUUUUGGCUAACGUCUUUUCGAUCACCAGUAUCUUACUAAUCUCUUUCUUAAUGUCCUGUAUUUCCUGGUCAAACGUCUCCAUCUCUUCGAUCCGAGUCUGAACCAUUUGCAUUCUUCUUGCCCAAGAUCAAUGCUCUAAUACCAAUUUGAUGGAAACCAGUCUUGGAAUAAAAUUGCUACUAUAUUAUUAAUGAUAGAAUAGGAAUGAAAUCCUAAUUACAAUAUGAAAUCCCUCUCCUGUUAUCCUCUCUCUCAAGGAAGAAUAGAAAUUCACUUUCUCAAACAAAACCUAACUUUCCCGCCCACGAUUACUUUUUAUUUAUACUAACAAUAAGGUAACUAACCCUUCCCUUUACUAACCCUCACAUGCUAUUCAUGUGCACGUGAUAUUUUUUUUUUAAUUUCUUUAUCCCUCUUCUGCUGUACAGAUGUAAUAUAGGGGGUCUAUCAGAUUCCUCCUCUUUUCAAAGCCUCCAAUCAAACUCAAUGCUAAGUUUGACUGCUCCCUUCAGAGUGACGACCCUCAUUUUCCCCCUUCCGUGGUUUGGGGAGGAUUCCUCCUCUUUUUAAAGCCCUCAAUCAAACUUGAUGCUAUGUUUAGAACGCUAAGAAUAGGUGGUUUAGUUUUGGUUAGGCCAAAAGUGAAAUUUUCCCCCACAAGCACUAAUAGUUAGGGAACUCAACACAUUCUACUUGACUUAAUCGACUUGACUCUCUAAUUUUUAUGAGCUUUUUUCAAUGCAUAUUGCAUAUGCUUUUUUUAUAGUUGUUGAUUGUCUCACAUUUUUAUGGUUUGCAUUUACAAGCCCCUUUUUUCUUUCUUUGGUAUGAAAUAUGGUAAUAGGCCUUGCUAGAACCGGUGGUGUAAUCUCUCUAUGGUUCUACACUUAGUUUCAAAGUUUGAUUACUCCCUUCGAAGUGACAACAAGCCUCGUUUUCCCCUAUUGUGGAUCAGAGAGGAUUCCUGCUCUUUUCAAAGCCCACAAUCAAACUCAAUUAGAGUAAAAAGGAAAAAUUUUCAUCUCGGGCGCGUGUACCUCACACGCAUCUCUCUAGGAUUUCCAAGUUCUCUCACUCGGCUGGUGAAGGAGGCGAACGGUUGGUGAGUGCUGCGGCCAGCAAGGGAUCAAAUUCGAAGGUAAUUCGUUCAAUUUUGGCAGAUUGAAUGUGAAAACUAAUGUCAUUUGGUAUCCAUUUCGAAAUUGAUUACAAUUGAUCAAUUGAACCAUUACGAAUGAUAUUCGUUUUGAUUCGGGAGAAUUAACGUCUGUCCAGAAAUUGUUUAAAUCGGUUUCCAAGCUGAAUUGAUUUGAACUAUCUUGAAAGUAUUGCGUGUGGUACAAAAUCGAUUUAUUGGCUAUCAGUUCUGGGUUUGGAGACUGUGAUUUAAUUCACUCGCUGGAGGGAUCUCGCAUGAAUCUCCUCGGUUGAAUUUCAAUUCUUUUUUAGUUCAUUCAUGUUCCCAAAUUGGGCCGAAAAGAUCAUCACGGGUGUUGGGUUGAUGUCUUAAGCAUGAAACAAUGAAGAAAUUAUCCAGUGACAUUGAGGAGGUGAAGAAACGCGUACAUGAUAUGGCGGCGAACGACCGAAGGGCGGCGACUGCAAAGGCUGACCUAAUUUCUGUGAGGAAGAAAUGGUCGGACAUGAGUGGACCCGAACCGGUUUACGUGAACCAUGAAACAUAUAGAAAUCGAAAUACAGGAAAUGGACCGAGCGGAGAUGGUCCCAUGAAGAUUGUUGGCCCAAAGGCGUGUGGACCGAUUGUUUCGAAUGAAAACUUGAUGAAGCCCAGUGAGCCGGUAAAGGGGUGAAGCCGAAUGGUGUGUUCACAUUUACGAAUGGAAUUGGUCAUGGAUCUCUGGUUGAUGGGCCAUCGUUGAAUGAUGGGCCGUCCAUCUCACACGAAAUUGGGAUCUCACAGAAGGAGUGCUUACCUGCUGGUGCUUCAUGUGUUCAGCAUGUUGGGCAAAUUGCAGCGGCCGAAGGAUAUGGACCUCGACUGGAUGCUAUUGCAAGUGCCCCAAAGAUUGGGCCGGUUGAUGGGCAUUUGAAUGAUGGGCCAGCCAUUAGAGAACCGUUUGGUACUAAUUCCAAUGGUAGGCCGCCUGUUUCGAUUCGUGGGCAUGAGGUGCAGAAAUCUAAUAAUUCUAGAGGUGCAGGCAAAAAUUCAUGGGCUUCCUUAUUUGGCUCAACAAGAGGUUUCUCUAUGACCUAUACACCUCUGACUACCGUGGGAGAGAAAAUUGUGGUGACCCCGUUUGAAGAAGUUAUUAGUUAAGGAGUUAGAGUGUGGGAGAACUCCCUCGUCAGCCAAUUAAUUGAUGCAAAAUUGUUGUAUCUAGUCAUCUAUCGUCUUAUAGAGAAGAUUUGGGGUAGAAUUGAAAUGCCAACAAUUACUCUGAUGGAGAAUGGGCUCAUCUGCUUUCAAUUCAAACAUCUGAAGUCAAUACAGUGGAUCUUAUCCCGUGGCCCAUGGCACCUUGGAGGCAAACCUAUGCUCCUCCGCAAAUGGACUCCAGGUAUAGUUCCUGAAUCCUUCGUCUUUGAUUCAGUUCCUGUUUGGAUAAAGUUAGGGAGGAUUCCGUUGGAGCUAUGGACGGAUGCUGGUUUGGCUGUGGUAGCGAGUGCAAUAGGAAAACCUCUUUUAGUUGAUCUUGCUACUAAAGAGAGGCGUCGUCUUUCUUAUGCCCGUAUAUGUGUGGAAUUGAAUGUGGACAAUAUUAUGCCUGCCGAAGUAACAGUCAACCUUAGAGGAGAGGAAUUUAUUGUAACUGUCACUUAUGAGUGGAAACCGAAAAAAUGUAACUUGUGUAGAUCUUUUGGACACUUGCAGAACACCUGCCCUAAGAAAAGAGGCAAUGAAGAUAGUAAAAAGGAAGCUGCAAGUAAAGAGGUUCCUGUUAAAGAGGUUGUUCCUACUAAAGAGGUGGUUCCAGAUUGUGGGGAGUAUGGAGAUGUUGUGUUGGAAUCCUUCCAACACAUGGAAGAAGGAGAAAUUAUUACCCAUAAACUUCCUGAAAAGGUGGAGGUGAAUCGGGAGGAAUUUACCCCAGUUGACAGGAAAAAUAGGGGAAUGAUCUCUAUUCGGGACAGAGGGAAAAGGGCAGAAGUGAGUAUCACUAACUCCUUUAAGAACCUCAUGGAGGUGGAUAAAGGAGAUAAAUGGCUUUUAUCUAUAGUGGAUGGCUCCCCUCCUCCCUUACGAGUAGAUGACUCUUCUAUGGUCCUUUUGAGUACUACAGGUGAUGUAAUUCCUAUGGGAGAGGCGGCUCCCAUAUGACCUCAUGGUUAGUUGGUGUACGUGGAACGUGCGGGGCCUUAAGAGCCCUGUAAAGUGUAGAGCGGUGAAGGACCGGGUAUGGUCUUGGGUGAUUUUAACACCAUCAGACUCCACUCUGAAGCCUUUGGGGGUGCUCCGAACGUGGUGGAUAUGGAGGAGUUUGACAUGGCUAUUAAAGAGGCGAACCUUGUUGAACCCGCGGUCCAGGGGAACUGGUUUACUUGGACUAGUAAGAUACAUGGGUCGGGUUUGAUGAAGAGACUUGAUCGUAUCCUAGUGAAUGAUGAGGGGCUUAGUACAUGGCCUAACAUGAGGGUUAACGUCCUCCCGUGGGGUAUUUUUGAUCAUUCUCCCAUACUUGUCGAUCCCAGUAAUCAGCGAAGCCAACAAGUGGUCUCUUUUCGUUUCUUUAACCAUUGGGUUGAAGAAGCGUCCUUUAUGGAUGUUGUGUCCUCUACUUGGACCAAAGAUACUAGAGUUUCUCCAAUUGUGAAUAUUGUGAGGAACUUAAGAAAUCUCAAGUCGAUUCUUCGCAGACAUUUUGGUAGGCAUAUCCGGACCAUCAGUGAGGAUGUUCGUCUUGCCAAUGAUACCAUGGACCGAGCUCAAAGAGAGAUGGAGACGAACUCUCUGUCGGAGGAGGCGAGUAAUCACGCGAGCUUAGCCACGGUAAACUUUUGGAAAGCGGUUAGAGUGGAGGAAGCCGCUAUGCGCCAGAAGUCGCAAAUCAGAUGGUUGAAGCUAGAUGACCAGAAUACUGCCUUUUUUCAUCGAUCUGUUCGAUCAAGGCAGAGCAGCAAUGCUUUGAGAUCAGUUAUUGACCCAGAUGGAAAUCGGUUGACUAACUAUGAUUAGGUGACUCGGGUGGUAGUGAAUUAUUUCAAAGAUAUAUGGGUUCUCAGAAUAUUAGCUAUAGAGAGCUCUCUACUAGUAUUGAGGAGAUUGUUCAGUUUAGAUGGACUGAGAAGUGUUGUCAGGCCCUCCAGUCGCCUAUUGGUAGGGAGGAAGUGAGACUUGUUCUGUUCUCCAUGGAUGGUGGAAAGGCUCCAGGCCCCGAUGGGUAUUCAGUUGGCUUCUUCAAAGGAGCUUGGACGGUGGUUGAAGAAGGUUUCUGUGAUGUCGUCUUACACUUCUUUGAGACCAAUUACUUCCCUCAAGGGGUGAAUACGACUGCUAUUACACUUAUUCCUAAAAGGAAUGGUGCUGAUCGAUUGGAGGAUUUCAGCCCUAUAUCUUGUUGCAGCGUUAUUUAUAAGUGCAUUUCAAGAAUAUUGGCAGAUAGGCUUCGUGUGUGGCUUCCUUCUUUUGUUAGUGGAAAUCAGCCAGCUUUCAUCCCUGGGAGGAGUAUUAUUGACAAUAUUCUUCUUUGUCAGGAGCUUGUAGGGGCAUACCAUUUGUACAGAGGUAAACCUCGGUGCACUAUGAAGGUUGACCUCCACAAAGCUUAUGAUUCUGUUAAUUGGGAUUUCCUCUUUGGCCUGCUGAUUGCCAUAGGUACGCCUUUAAGAUUUGUGAGUUGGGUUCGAGCGUGUGUGACCUCUCCGAUGUUCUCCAUUAUGAUUAAUGGAUCGUUGGAAGGUUUUUUCCAUGGGAGGAAAGGACUUAGACAAGGUGACCCUUUAUCCCCGUUCUUAUUUGUGAUGGUCAUGGAGGUGCUUUCUCGCAUGUUGAACAACCCACCUCAGAAUUUUCAAUUCCACCAGUUUUGUGAGAAGGUCAGAUUAACUCAUCUUACUUUUGUAGAUGACCUGAUGAUCUUUUGUACUGCUGAUAAUCAUUCUAUGAGUUUCAGAAAAGAGACUAUUAAGAGGUUUGGUGAGCUUUCGGGACUGUUUGCUAAUCUUCCUAAAAGCUCAAUUUUUCUUGUCGGGGUUAAUAGUUCGAAAGCUUCUCGGCUUGCUGCUAACAUGGGUUUUUCCAUUGGUCAUCUCCUUGUUCGUUAUCUUGGGCUUCCUCUCCUCUCUGGAAGAUUGCGGAGCUCUGAUUGUGAUCCCCUUAUUCAGCGUAUUACCAGUCGUAUUCGGUCUUGGUCUGCUAGAGUGUUAUCUUUUGUAGGUAGACUUCAGCUUGUUCGCUCAGUCCUUAGGAGCCUUUAGGUUUAUUGGGCUAGUGUGUUCAUGCUUCCUAUGAAAGUCCACAGAGACGUUGAUAAGAUCUUGAGGGCUUAUCUGUGGAGAGGUAAGAAGGAGGGAAGAGGUGUUGCUAAAGUUGCCUGGGAUGAGGUUUGUCUUCCUUUUGAUGAAGGAGGUCUUGAUAUUCGCGAUGGAUCUUCUUGGAAUAUAGCAAGCACGUUGAAGAUAUUAUGGUUGCUACUUGUUAAAUCUGGUAGUUUGUGGGUUGCUUGGGUGGAAUCUUAUAUCCUUAAAGGGAGAUCGCUGUGGGAGAUCGAUGCUGGGGUGGGUCGAUCUUGGUGCUUUAGGGAAAUCUUGCGUAAGCAGGAUAUCCUUAAAGCUCAUGUUAAGAUGGAGGUGGGCAAUGGAAGGAAGUAUAGAGUGUGGUUGGUUUCAUGGAUUCAGGGUGGGCCGAUUAUCCAGCAGUUUGGGGAGAGGGUGAUCUAUGAUGCGGGUAGUCGGUGGGAUGCGAGGCUGGUGGAUUUCAUGGGUCGGGAUGGUGAUUGGAGGUGGCCACUUGUUUAUUUGGAUUUGAUGGACAUUUGGGAUAGGGUUCAGGGAGUGAGGCCGAGUCCGAGUGUUGAGGAUAGGUGGGUUUGGGUGCCGGGGAGUCAUGAUAGUUUUUCGAUCACCAGUGCGUGGGAGACUAUUCGUCCUCAUAGUAGUAGGGUUGGCUGGUCGGGUUUACUAUGGGUUGGGGGAAAUAUUCCUAAGCACUCCUUUUGUGCUUGGUUGGCCAUCAGGGAUAGGUUGGGUACUAGAGGUAGGUUAAGUCGGUGGGAUAGGUCGAUUCCUUUAUCGUGUUUGCUUUGUGGAGGGAACUAUGAGUCUCGUGAUCAUUUGUUUUUUUCUUGUCAUUUUGGGUGGGAGAUUUGAUCGAGGAUCCUUUUGCUUAUGUCAUCUUCUCAUAGAACCGGUUAUUGGGGGGUUGAGUUAUCUUGGAUUUAUAAUCAGGGUAUUGGGAAGAGUGUGAGGAGAAAACUGUGGCGCCUCUCUCUAGUGCUACAAUUUAUUUCAUUUGGCAGGAGCGAAAUCAUCGUCUUCAUGGAGGUGCUAUUCGGGAGCCUCUGGUUGUAUUCCAGCUCAUUCGGUCGUGUAUUAAAGCGCGUGCUGCUUCUUGGUCGGAUGGUGUUCAUGGUCUUAUUUAAUGUUCUUUUCGUUUGCUUGUCCCCGGGCUGUGGGGUUUCUCUUCUCUUUAUUAACUUUGUUGUCUUUCUCUCUUCUUCUUGUCCUUUUAAUGUUUGGAACACUAGUUGGUUUCUUUUGGUUUUAGUUAUUGUUCCCGAGAUGUGGGGUUGUUUUGGGUACUUAUGGGUUGUUUUGUCUAACUACUUGUUCUGUGAGUGUUGUUCGCUCUUUUGUCUUGACCUCAGGCUGUGAGGUCCACAUUGUUGUUGUAUAAUAUUAUCAUUACCUUUUAAAAAAAAAAAAUCAAACUCAAUGCUAAGUUUGACUGCUCCCUUCGAAGUGACAACAAGCCUCGUUUUCGCCCUAUUGUGGAUCGUGGAGGAUUCCUCCUCUUUUCAAAGCCCUCAAUCAAACUUGACGUUAUGUUUAAAACACUAAAAAUAGAUGGUCUAGUUUUGGUUAGGCCAAAAGCGAUGUUUUCCCCCAAAAGCUCUAAUAGCUAGGGAACUCAACAUUCUACUUGACCUAACCGACUUGACUCUGCAUUUGUUAUGAGCUUUUUUUAAUGCAUAUUGCAUAUAUUUUUUUUAUAAUUGUUGAUUGUCUCACUUUUGUAUGGUAUGCAUUUACGAGCCUCUUUUCUUUCUUUGUUAUGAACUGCGGUGACUAGGCAUUGCUAUAACCGAUGGGGUAACAUUUCUAUGGUUCUACACUUAGUUUCUAAGUGUGAUUGCUCACCUCUAAUUUUCAAAAUACUUAAUUUCUAAGCACAUACAAUGUUCACCUAGAAAAAAUUGAAAAUUGUUGUAGUUAAGAUCAAAACUAAAUAGUUAUGAAAUAAGACAUAAGAGAUAUGAUUUUAACAACCUUCCCGUUGUACUUGGGAUCCACUCUGGCUUUGUGCUGGAAAAUUGGUUUGGAGCUGAUCGUAAGCUUUCGGUUGCUCUUCUAUAACCUUUAGAUACCCUUCAAAGCUAUAAGCUUUGCUUCCUGACGAAGAAUCUUCUACUAUUACAAUACAUAAGAAAAUUCUAUUUCAUAAACCCUGUAUCAUAAUUGAGGCUGAUAGAAUGAUUAUUCUAUAACCCUACCGAUAGUUUCAUUCUUAACAUUCAUAGACACGAUGCAUGGCAGCUAUCCAAUUCUAUUUCAUGUUCUCGAGAAUGGCUCGGUUUAACAAUAAUGUUAAUUUUUGUUUUCAAUUUUAAAAUAAUAACGCUGCUUACUAAUCUUUUUUUUUUUUCAUUUGGCAUUCUACUUUUUCUACUUAGCUUUCUUUCCCUAGUGAUAACAAAUAACACGGGUGAUAAAAAACUUAAUCACUCACUUGUUUUAGCAACCGAAAGCCCUUCUGUUCAUUGAACUCUCAAUUUCAUCGAGACUAAUUUCUCACUCAAACAUGGUCUUGCAUUCUCUAGAAACGUCCUACAAACAAAAAUGAAGAACAAAAAACUACAAUAAGGUCUAUGAAAAAGUUACAAAGGAAAAUCUCAAAAACUGAUAUGUAAGUCAUAACAACCUUAAGUCCUCUUAUCGUGGGUUAAAAUGCACGUAAGGUUUUUCCAAGAGUCCGAGCAACUAGCAUGUAAAUAAGUUAAGUCAACUAAAUUUGCUAUAAAUUUACUCGUAUUAACAUUAUCAUUGUUAUAGACUUGACAACUUCAAAUUUAUCAAUAUAAAAUAUGCUUUAACAAAACGUACCUUGAGGUUCCUCCAACCUCAUUAAAAAAGCAAAUAAUCCAAAAAAAGAUAACUAAUAUAUAUAUAUAUAUAUACAUACAACAGUAUUUAGUUAAAUUACAAAAAAAAAUUCUUUUGAAUUUUGUAGUUUGUGUAAAAAAAUAACCUUAAACUUUGAAAUGUUAAAAAAAAUUGUUUUGAACUUUUAAAAAUUAUUCAUAAAUACAUCUACAUACGUAGGAUGAAGGUAUUGGCAUGCUUCUCUAAAAAAACUUUCCAAAAAGAUGUUGUGUGACUUUUGAAAAGAAAAAUUACAAAUGGGGUCGUUUUUAAACAAAUUAGAUAUAUCGAGUUAUAUUUCUUUAAUUUUUUCCUUUUUUCACAUAUUAUCAAUCACAUCUUACUUUUUUCUUUUUUCUUUGGAACCCUGUAAAAGUAACAAAAACAUUUAUAAUCACAUGACUCAUGUCACUACAUUUUCUAAAUUUUAAAAGUAGUAAAUUUAAAAGUUGAUAACCCUAUGAUUAUCGUUUGAUAGUCAUCUAAUAUCACUAAUUUUGUCAUAUUCUUAAUAUCCAAAUAAGGUUUCUUGGUGAGUCUAGAGUCGAACGUGAGGACUUAUACUAAAAAUAUAUUUUUAUUUUGAAAUUAUCUUAAGGUGAUUAAUAACAUACGCCUAAGAACAAUAGCGGUAUCAUCCACUUGUAAGGGGGGAGGGGAGUCAUCCACUAUAGAUAAGGUCCACUUGUCUCCCUCACCCAACUUCAUAAGGCUGCCAAAAGAGUUAGGCAUAAUCACAUCCACACGUUUACCCUUCUCUCGAACAUAAACCAACUCUCUUUUCUUCCUAAUAACGAGUAAUUUCAUCUCGAUUACCUACCUCCUUUUCCUUAAUAUGCCUAAUGGUGGAGCUAUUAGUCUUACUUUCCUCCAACUAUUUAAAGUCUAACACCACAUCAACAAGACACAAUUGUCCGUUCCUCCUCUUUGUUUGAAACCACCUUGCUCACAUCCUCCUCUCGAUGAACUUUGUUUUCCACAUUCUUAGGACACUUACCACUAGAAUGCCCAAAAGACUGGCACAAAUUACACCUUCGAGGCUUCCACUCAUAAUUCACAGCCAUAACGAAAUCCUCUCCCCUAAGGUGAAUUGUAAAUUCAGCAGGCAUAGGAGAGUCCACAUUUGAUUCAACAAAUACUCAAGCAUGUGACAACCUUCGUCUUUCCUUAGUAGCUAGAUCUAAAGAUAGAGGUUUUCUUAUAGCACUAGCCACAACAGUCAAUCUGACAUCUGUCCAUAACUCCAUUGGAAUCCUACCUAGUUUAAUCCAUAUAGGAACAUAAUAAAAAACAAAGGAUUUAGGGACAAUACCUGGAGUCCAUUUACGGAGGAGCAUACUUUUGCCAGCAAGAUGUCGCGAUCAACGAGAUAGGAUCCAUUCAACAAGUUUUGGGCAUCUGAAUUGGAAACAGAUGAGUCUGUUCUCAAGAAUUGUAAUCGUUGGCAUUUUAAUUUUAUCAACAAUAACAACGAGCUAAACAAAAUCCUCUAUCCAGGACGCACUAAUGAAAACUAAAAUGUAAAAUAAGUACGAAGUAAUUAAUUAAAACAAAAUACAAAAGAAACCCACAGUAAGUUGACAAAAUGCCCAUAAUAAGCUUCAAGAUGAGUGAGAGGGAACACCAAGAGAAACAUGAAUAGCCUUGCUAACUUUUCACUACUAGCCAACUACAUAUUUUUUACAAUACGUGUUAGGGAAAUCUUUCCCUUUGCAAAACAGACCAAUAUAUAAUCAAUCAUUGGCUCCUUAUGGGAAAAUACAGAAGCCCUAUACAUGUAUGUUUCAAGCCUGUGUUGAACAACUUUUAAUUCCCUAAGAUAAGGAGAUUUAUCUGAAGGUUCGAGAAUAAUGACAUGUCCUAAACUAACCCACCAUUUCGCAACAGUGAACCAGUUUGAUCGUUAGGGGACAACUUUUGAUAAUAAGUGCACAACCAUACCCUAAUUCCAAUGUUGCCCAAAAGUAAAGGCCUUUCUUCACAAGGCUCCAUAAAAAAAAGUUCGACUUUCACAUAAAGAUCUUAUUUCUUUUUUAUUGCUCCAAGAGAUCUAAUAGAUCUAUUUUCACCACGCAAAUCCCUUUUGUUAUCAUGGGAAAUGUGUUGGUUGUGCUCAAACCAAAUCUCUGCUAGCAACACUUUUAUCAAAUUAACCCAUAUUGUUUUUUUUUAAAAAAAAGGAUAUGAGUCUCACUAUUAUUAAUAUUGAAAAAUGAAGAGACAAAGUUCAAUGUCAUGAGGAUUAUACAAAGAGCAAUAGGAUGGAGGAUCAACAGACGCACCUGGACAUCUCAACUAGGUUGACACCCCCUUAGCGCCCUCAUCACAUCCAAAAAGCGACAACACAAGAUCAAAACCAAAAGCCACAAAUAGAAGGCUUUUUUUGUGUUUGUUUUGCCUUUGGACAUUACUCCUUUGUUAUGGGUUUUAGCUUGGUUGGAUAUGAUGAGGGUGCUAUGGGGGUGUCAACCUAGUUGAGAUGCCAAGGUGCACCCCCUGAUCCAUGGUUACAUGUUCCUUGUAUAACUCUCUUGUACUAUGAGCUUUUGUCUAAUUAUUAUUAUUAUUUUAAUAUUAAUAAAGAGGUUGUCUCCUUUUCAAAAAAAAAAAAAAACAAAACAAAACAAAACAAAAGCCACAAAUAUAAAACCAAACAAAAUGAUAAAAUAAUAUGUCCAAAACAAAUCAUAAAUCAUAGGUAGCAGGUUUAGAACAAAGAAGAAUAAGCCUUGAUUGAGCAAAAAAUCCCAACAAAUAUUGAAUGUUUAGAGAAGACGGAACCAACAUUUCGAUACAAAGACAUAGUCAAUUAAAAGGUGCUAAAUAUUUUUCAUGUUAUCAACACAAAUGGGGCAGACAUGAGGUGAGAGGACAUGGGAGGGAAGUUUUCUUUGAAGUACUAAAGCACAGUUUAAUUUUCCAAACAACGUAAUCCAUAUGGGGAUAUUUAUCCAAAGAGUGAGCUAAAUAGCCCAAUAUGUGAUUGUUUUAUAAAACAUCGUUUUGAAAUAACAAGUAUUUAACAAUUAACUCUUAACAUAAAUGAAAUCAAACUCAAACAACUUAUCUCAAACUUUCCCUUUCAGUUGCUAUACCUAGAAUCGUCGAGACGAAAAACAAUAAACUAGGCAUAGAAGCCCUAUCCCGUGAUACGAUACUUACGAGAUGAAACUCUAGGCAUCAAUUGUGCCCUAUCUCGUUAUAACUACAAUGGGAUGGAAAACUAGGCAUUCGUACAGGCUCUCGUCCCUUGAGAUGGGAAACUAAGCAUCUUUAGAAGUCUUCAUCUCUUAUCUAAUACCAAUGAUGGAAAGCUAGGUAUUUACUGAAUAUCCAAAUCAAAUGACCUCUAUGCACAAGAAAAUCUCUCCCGAAAGGUUGCUAUAUAUCUUAGAAUAUUUUAGGUAUAGACUAAAACAUGCUAAUAUUAUUUUCAAGCUUAAACAUUUUGAAAACUUAGCACAAUCAUGAUUGCUUAUAAUUUUCAUUAGUAAAUUCAUCAAUAAAAACAUGUUUACCAAAAUGUUUCUAAAUUCAUGCUUUGGAAAUACAUUAUAAGUCAGUAUCCUCAAAUAUUCAAACAUCAAAGCAUGCUUGAAACAUUUGAUAGUAAAUUCAUGUUUAGAAAUCAACUUUAAACUCAUUUUUGUCACUUAUCGAGAGUAGCUUGGACCCUUGGCUUAUAAACUUGUUCUAUCUCCUUCAGAUCUAAAAUAUCAAAACUUUGCUUAAAAUUUCCAAAAACCACAAAAACAGCCCAAAGACAUUAGCUUGCGUACAAAAUAUUGUGGCAGAAGUUGGCAGGCGCGCGUAGGGCUUGCCUUGCCAUGUCUCAUUCUAACCUCAUGUGCAGCGUGUCACAAUCACAACUUUUCAAACACGGAACAGACAAUUGUGCGGCACUUGUUGUAACUCGAUGAACACGUCAGUUGUAUGAAAUUUGAUACGAUGUAGCCUCCCUACAGGUUUUAAGAGAAAUUGGUUUUAUUAAACAUGAGAGAGAAAGGAAAGCAUUGGAAACAUCGUUAAAAAAACUUUGAAGAUUGUCCAUUGCAAAGAGAGCUUAAAUUGCAAAGAGUACCUCUGUGAUGAGAUUGGUUUGUGGAACCAAUUGGGAUGGGAAAAAGUUUAGAGAUAUUUGAGAGAAACUCUUUUCUUUUUGCAAAGAGCAAUAGCGUUAGCCUUAUUUUUUUCUUUUUUUAUUAAUUCAUUUUUUUAAGAAAAUUGUUUUCUUCUAAAUAUUAUAACUCUCUUUCCUUCUAGGAAUAGAAAAUGAAGUAGAAGAGAACCAUGAGAUUCUAUUAAUUUACAAAUAAUUAAAUUAAUAUAUAUAUUUCAAAUCUACUGAUUAAUUAAACAUUAAUUCAAUUAGUUUAAUGAAAUCGAAUUUAAUUAAAUAAUAUUAAACUAAACUAUUAAUUAAUUCUCCAAUUAACUAAUAACACUAAAUUAUUUAUCUUAUAUUUAACUUAAAUUAAAUUUGAAUCAUAUUCAAAUAUAAGUUUCUCUCAAUAAUUUUAAUAUGAAUCCAAUUCACAUUAAAUUAAUAUUUGAACUCAUUCAAAUAUUUUAUCUCUCAUAAAUUAAUUUUGAAUCAUCCCCAAAGUUAAAUUUAUAUAGUAAAGUUUGAUAAACUUUAUAUUAUAAUGUAUCACUAUACAUUAUACUAAUUCCCAAGUUAAAUUUAAACAUUUUAAAUUACAACCAAUAUAAAUAAAUCUCAUUACCCUUUACGAGCUAGGAAAGGGACCUAAUGGAUCUACAGAUCAAAAGCUACAACGAUCUAAGAUUAAUUGGCUAAACUCAUUAACCACAUUAAUCAAUAUUCGUUAGCUGUGUGUACACUCCAUUAAAGACUCACAACUGAACUCUUCUCACUAAAAAUAUAUGUCUGUGUCCACGGAUAUAGACCAAUAAUAGUAAGUUAGUCCUUCACGAGUGUUUGUAACACCAGUUGGAUCAAUUUACCACUUUACCCCUAUGUUACCUCUAAUCCUUAAAAACCAGUGCUCCUCUAAUGAACAACUUGUUUAUGGUCCUACUAAUAAACAAAAACCCCCUCUCAUGUCAUAGAGAGGGUACGAACCCUUUGUCCAAGUUUUGGAGCCACCAUUUAAGCUAAAAUUCAUCUACUUACCCUAAAGUAGGAAAUGAGUGAAUUCUAUUUUGUUUAAUUAUAAUCCCAACUCCCCACUCAGUCUUGUCCCCAAAAUCACUACUACAAAAAUAGGCUCUCUUGACGGUUGUAGUUUUCCUUUCUUGACGUUUUUAAAUAAAAAAACGUCAAGAAUUUUUAUGAAAGGCCAAUUUUCAACUUUCUUGACGUUUAUUAAACGUCAAGUAAGAUGUAUUUUUUCUUGACGUUUAAAAAACGUCAAGAAUGUUUAUGAAUUCAACAUUCUUGACGUUUUUUAAACGUCAAUAAUAUAUAGUUUUCCUCGACGUUUUAAAAACGUCAAGAAAUUUAUAAAAAAUUCUUAACGUUUUUAAAAUGUUGAGAUAAUUCUAAAAAGUUCUUGACAUUUUUAAAAACAUCAAGAAAUUUAUAAAAAAUUCUUGACGUUUUUAAAACGUCAAGAUAAUUCUAAAAAAUCAUUGAUGUUUUUAAAAACUUCAAGAAAUUUUAAUUUGUUUUUGAGUCUUUAAAAACAUCAAGAAAUUUCUAAAAAAUUAUUGUGUGAAUAUUCUUUUACAAAACGCAACGUUUCAAUUAGAUCACUUCCCCUUUUCUUAAUUAAACCUAAUUCGCCGCGACUUUGUCCCUUCUCCACCCGAAAUCAAAAGCGUCGUUCACCUAACCUUCCCUUCGCGUUCAUCUGUGCAUUCAUCUGCGUUCAUCGCCGAAAAAGACUUCCCUUUGCGUUCAUCAGCGUUCACCUUCAUUCAUUUGCGUUCAUCGUCCGUCACCGUUCGUCUGCUUUGCGUUCCCUUCACCUUCGUUGAUUUGCGUCUGUCUGUUCACCGUUCGAAAUGUGUAAACACAUUCUCUGUUUGAAAACGAGUAAACACGUUCACCGUCCUUCUGUCGCAUUCCACUUUCGCUAAACCUCUAUUCGUUUCCAAAUCCUUCAUGGUUACUCAUUCAUUUUCUUCCCUUUCUAAAGGUAAUAAUUUUCCUUUUUUCCUUUGUGAUUAAAAUUUGUAAUUUGUUAUUUAAAAUUGGAAUGCAAAAUUAAAGAAGAGGAAAUGUGCCUUAGAGAAUGGAAGAAAGGUUUUGCAUUUUAGGCUUGAAAAGGGGGGAUACAAGUUAUUAUAAUUGUAAUAUAUAAUAUUUUGAACAAGGCUACCAAGCGUGCAAAUAUGAUUCAUUGGUUAGUUUAGGGAUUGGAAAAAGAAGGAUUGUGGAGUUUGUGAUAAUAUUUUGGUACACUGGAGCUGGAAACAGAGAAUAUUAAAAAACACAUACUGUUAUACACAGUAUUAUAAUAAUACGAAUCACUAGCUUUUCUUCUUCGUUUUCUUUUUCUUCUCCUUGAAUUUUUGUUAUGGGUAUUGUAUUCCAUUUUGUGUUUUAGAUUGUGAAGUAUGGGGUAGCUAAACUCUUAAUCCUAGGGAUAGAUGUAGACAAAGUUUAUGAAUUAUUCUUUGUAAUGCAUCUGAUUAUUUGCUCUUCAUCUUUUCAUGUUUUUAUGUGAAUAACGUUCAUAAUAUCUUAAUCACAGAUUAAUUGUUGAUUGGCCAUGAACCUUAAUCUUUGCAUGACUAGAGUGGUUAUGAACUUGGAAAGAGAUAAUUAAGGAUCCUUGAGGAGGUUGUUGAAAGAAGUGGACCUAAAAACUUUUGUUUGUUAAUAAAAAGAAAAAUGAACAGAGAUUCAUCUUCGUCAUGGGUCUUGAUGUUUAAUUUAAUUUAAAUUGUGUAUGAAUUUUUAAUUACGAGAAUUUUAAUAUGUUGCAAGAGCACUAUAGCCAAGGUAUAGAGUGAGGGAGAUAAGGUUUAUAUGUCUUAGAGAAUGGAAAGAUGGAAUUUGUGCUAAAAUCAUUAGUGUUCCAAAUACAAUUAUGAAUUGGGUAUAGUUGCAUUCCCCCUUCUGGAUUGCAUAGCACAUAAAUAUACUCUCAUGGAUUGCAUAGCACAUAAAUAUACUGUCAAAAACAAUAACAUAAAACACAAACUUGAUUUAGUUUCAUUCACACUUGUACACCAACAUGUUUCAAGUAAUGAUCAUAUAUUAAAAAUGUCAUUUUCAAAUUUGGUAAUAUAAAAUGGAAGAAGUGAGACCUUGAGGUUUUGACCACCAAUACUAUCUAACUGAUGAGUUUAUGAUUUUUGUUUCUAUUGUGUUCUUUCCUUAAGCUUUAACUUGUUUUAGGGGCAAGAUGGUGAAGGUCUAGUCCACAACCUUUCCCAAGAAUUUAAUGAUGUUUGGGUUGACCCAAUUAUUGUUAUUGGACACCGUUUUAUGGUAAUUGGUUGUUAUGGUUUUUAAGUGUGUUUUGAUAUCUUGUGUUAAAAAAUAAUUGCAAAAAGUCGGAAAAGUUUGUUAAAGAUUAGGUGUUUUUAAGUUUGUCAUUCCACUUUAAUUCUCACCAGUACUUGCUGAAUGGAAGCCUCUUGUCUAAGACAAUUCGAGUGGAAUAACUCUUGUGACUACCACAACAUUUGGGAACUCACCAAAUGUAAGACUAUUCCUUUAUCCUAGCAUUUGAUCUCUCUCUAUAAUUUGGUUUGCUAUCGUAAGUUUCAUUAAAAUAAAUGCUGAUAAUUCAACUCCAAUGUUCUUAUUUUCUUAACUCCCAUUCAGUCAGUUAGAAUCAGAACUCAUUUAUUUAUCUUGUCUCCAUAAUUUGGAUUCAAAGAUUCAUCACAAUAAUCUUCUCAACAACAUUCUUGAAAAGGUAUUGAAUUUUCAACUGUGUGACCUUUAUACACAAAUUUCUUCAAAGAAAUUUACAUUCUUUAGAGUUUAGAGCUUUGAAUUCUAGUACAACUUAUAAAGCUUUUGAUACUUGUUAGAAUUUUUUGCUUGGUGCGGAUAAAACCUUAUUUACAUUCUUUCUUUCCUGCAUGUUCUCUUUUGAUAUUUGUUAGACUUUUUUGCUUGGUUGUCCUUAGUGUUUUCCUCUUUAGCUGAAAUUUUUCUAUCUUGAAAAAAAUAGAGCUUUAAAAUUCAACUUUAACUUUAUUUGAUACUAUCUUAGUCCAUACUUAUUUUGGUAUUUCUUUCCUUUCUCACAAACAAAUCUAAGAGGUUGCCUUCACAAUAUGGCCACAUUAACAAUAUGGCAACCUUUUUCAUUGCAAAACAUAUUAGAGGUUGGUUACUUAGUUAGCCUUAUUGGGUAAAUAAUUGACAUUUAGGUACUUUUUAGUUUGUAUAUUUAUAGAUGCCAAAUCGAUAUGUGAAUUUUAAUUGUUGCUUAUUUGAAACAUUGCAACCAUUUGAUAAAAUGUUGCUAUGUGAAUCCAUCUUAACUUGAUAUAUUAUUUUAUUUUGGUUUAGGUUGUGGAAUCCAAGUUUGUAUUUGAAGUCAAAUUCAUCCAAGAUCAUUGAGUUUCAAAGCUUCUUUAAUUAAGAUUUUGUUUCUUGAACUAGAAUUGUAGUCUUGUGAUUUUUGGAAUAGCAUAGUUGGAUUGGUUUUGUAAUUUUGGUUUUGUAGAUUCAUCCAAGAUCACUGAAGUAGUGUUUUGUAUAUGACAAUAUCGAACAAACAUGUAAAGUUUUCGAAAUGUUCAUACAUAUAUGAUUAAAUGUUAAUAUAUGUUAAAGUUUUGGAAUUGUACUCGUGCAUAUUUAUGAGAUUGUUGGGCCACACUACAGGAAUUAUAGAGACAAUACAGGAACAAAAAUAUAAAUAAAUUAUAAUUUAGAAAAAAAAUGAAACAAGCUUGACGUUUUUUAAAUGUCAUAAACAAAUACAUUCUUGACGGUUUUUCAAUGUCAUUAACAAGUAAAUUCUUGAUGUUUUUUAAACGUCAUAAACAAUUGUGUUCUUGACCGUUUUUAAAUGUCAUAAAUUACAUUCUUGAUAGUUUUUAAAUGUCAUGAAUACUCAUUCACUUGACGAUUUUUAACUGUCAUGAAUAUUUGUAUACUUGACGUUUAUAAACUAUUAAGAAUCGCUAUUCUUGACGUUUUAUUAACCGUCAAGAACUUUGACUUUCUUGACGCUGGCUUCAACGACGGUUUUAAAACCGUCAAGAAUAGUGAUUCUUGACAGUUUAAAAACGUCAAGAGAAUCUGUUUUUGUAGUAGUGAAUGAUAAGCUUAUUGAGUCGGCGAUCUAGCCACUCUCACUCGUACAAAUCAAAGGACAAUCUCUCGUGAACAAGAGUUCAUAAUACACUCAAGAUUAAGACUAAGUUAUCUAGGUCAUCCUAGUGAAAUAGAAACCUAACUAGUUAAUGUAGUAACACCAAGUGGUUACUAUUUCACGAUCUGGUCUAUUGCAAUCUCAUUGCAUAGGAUACCUUCACUCGCAUGUCAACUACAUGAACACAUUGGAUCAUUGUAUUUGUAUCAAAUACAAAGUGAGUCGUAUUCAUAAUGUUACCAUGAUAAAGGUACCCAGUCUUAUCCCUAUACUAUAGACCCUUUAAGCUGAUCUCGAACAUUGAUCCCUGUAUGUCUCUACAUACUAUUCAAUACUUAUUAAACAGUUUAGGAUGUUAGUUUAUUGGAUUUGAGUUAUUAAGACAAAACUAAUAAUAUAAUCAAUAACAAAUAUUACAAUAAUAACACUUUAUUAACAAUGGUCAAUGGAUUAUAUUUACAAUCUACGAGUUUUAGGACAUAAAUUCCAACAAACUCCCACUUGGACUAAAACUCUAGUCUCUUUGGGAUGUUCAUAAUAAAGUAAUCCUCUAACAUUGAAAAUGGUAAAAUGUACAAGUGUAUUACAUAAAAUGUGUAUAUACAAAUACAAUAAACUAGGGCAUCCUCAUACCCAUUACACAUCUGCCACUUUUCCUAGAUUACCAAAUGUACAUAACUCGCAGAUCUAGACUUUCUAGAAGACCCUCGAACACUUUAGCCAUGAGAGUCUUUGUAAAUGGAUUAGUAAUAUGCCCCACUAUUAUCACAAUAUAAAGUGAUGGGGCAUGUUCAUGUUUGGAACAACUUCCAAAUUAUGCAAGAACUUCCUUAGCAAAACUGCUUCUUUUGCUGCUUCACAAGUAGCAAUAUACUCAACUUUCAUAAUAGAGUGUGUAAUGAUGCGUGGCUCAGGCUGCUUGAUCAUGCCAGGACAUGCUUCUUGCAUGUCCCAAGCCUAAAUAACCUCUUUCGCUCAAAACACACGCUCAUCUCACCUUGUCAUUCUGGCAAUCAACCCACCCUUGGCCUUGCCUAGAAAUAUGAUUUUUCUACCAGAAACUUAACUCGACUUUGAAGCUUAAAUCAAUAAGAUUCCUUCUACAAACUUACUUAGAAUGUCUUCACUAGCUUACCACAAAGUGUCACUACCAAAUUCCAAGUAUUGAGUUAUGUAGCUCCAAAAUACUCUACAUUGUUCAAGUUUUUUUUUUUUUUUUUUUGAAAAUGACCUUUGAGUCUUUCUUCACUUCAAUGCCUUUCUUCCUGGUAGCCUUUCUCCUGAUACUACACUCAAUUUAGGAGAUUUUCGAAGUAGAGUUACCCAAUUAACACAAGUUGAUUGUUAACAUAAUUCAUCCAAAGUUGUACAUAUAGUGAUCCUUGCAUGCUCUUUGGUUGACACUUUUAUUCUCACCUCUUACGCCUAUACUUGCCACUUUCCACCUCAUGCAAGACACUUAUUUGGCAAAACUUAGGUAUCUUGUAUGUAGUCCACUUGUACUCUACCGCACAUCUUACCUCAUAUUGCUUAAGUCAUCCUUGGACGCAUAUCCCUUUUUCUAUGAGGGUUCUUUAGUAAAUUCUUACUGCCAAGAAUGCCUAAGACUUUUUUUUUCUCGCCUAAUCUCCCAAACAUCCCUCAAUGCCUUCAACAAACCAUGCCAUCCUGACUAGCAUUUGGUUGAAUUGCCCCAUUGGCCGCAUGGCCUAUGUCCACAUAGCCCACCUCUUUGUUGCAUGACAUUCCUUAUCCACGUUCUAACUUCUUUAGAGUUUCUUGACAUUUCUUAGAUGCUUAGCUUCCUUGCCUAGCGCAUACCCUUGGUCAUAUAGCCUUGUCUUAUAGAGGUUGUCUUGACACCUUUCGGCCAUACCACAUCUCAACCUUUGGCCACCCAACAUGUCUCUUUAGAGGUUCGCUUGACACUUUUGGCCGCCUAGAGUAUGCAACAUGCCCUAGCCAACACUUAGCCAUAUUUUCAAACACCCUUUAGGCCUUUCUUUGUUACGAUGACACUUUUCUUUUGUCAUCUUAAACAAUAUUAACACAUCUUCCAUAACACUUCAACUAAACUAUUUAAUCUUAAACCAUCUUUCUCCUAACAUCAACCCCUAAUGUCCUAUUGAGUUCUUUAGAUGAAUUAAGGAUUAUUGAGUAUCGGGGUUUACACGCGAGAUGUAAGUCUUCCUCCUUGGAAUUACGUAUAGUAGUGUGCGGAGGGAGAGGAAUGUGAUGCAGGUCUUCCUCCUCAACCCUAAGGAAUUUUUCUUCGCUAACAAUGCCCUUUUGAUCGGGUAAGGGCUUGUUCGGUCAGGUCGUGAGGUGAAGGAUGUUGUUAUAAUGAUGGGGGAUUUGGUGGUGAGAGGAUAAUAGACAUGCGAGAGGACUUGGGUAAGAUUGAUGAGGGGGAGGUUCAAUUUUUGGAUGAGGACUGGAAUUGAAGGAUUUGGAUUUUGGAGGAGGCGAUGAGAGAGUUAAGGGUCAGAUUGCAAGAGCUUUAGGGUCGAUGACCAAGAUGUUUAUUAAUAACAUGUGUUUGAUACAUAAUUACAACACUUUGACCAAACAACCAAUGCUUAACUAUUUUCAAAACGUCUGGUCAUCUCGCUGCAAAUCCUUCAACCUUCUUCUCUACUUGGCCUAAACACCUCAUCUUGGAAGAUGAAUUUUUGAAAGAAUGUCUAAAAGACUAAGGUUUUAUGAAAUCCUUUUCGCAAUACCUUUUCAUAAACAUCAUUUCGCAUAAACAACAUCAAAUAAUUUUAUCUCGCAUAAACCUUUCUUUAUCCUUAACAUACUCAUAACAUAACAAUUUCACAUAAACACACAUUAGUUAACAUUCAUUCCUUUCACCAAAGAUUUUGAAUUGUUCUCUACACUUUGAUGUAGAACAUCUCCCUUCUUGAUGUUUCUUGAGUUUUAUCCUAGAGGAGGGGUUUGAAUUACCAUUUUUGUAGUUUAGGAUUAGUUAUUUGAAUUACCAAUUUUGUAUCUUGAGUUAGUUAUAACUAACUCAACUCCAAGUUAAACUAACUCAACCCCAAGUUAGUUUAACAACUCUUGUAAUCUCCAGCCUAUAAAAAAGCUUCUCAUUUUCAUUAAUAAGACAUAAAAAAAAGAGGCAUUAUACAUAAAGAUUUCUAGCUUUGCAAUUACUGCAUCAAUUGGUAUCAGAGCAUGAUCCUAGCUCACUCUUCCCUAAAAAAACUUGGAUCCUACCACUCUUAUCCAUGGACGCGGAAGCCUCCUUCAACCAACGCUUGCAGUUGGUAGAACAAGCUAUUGAAGAACUUCGAAAAGGGCAGUCGGAUAUACAACAAUCGUUAGUAGAAUUAACAAACCUUUUUACCCGAUUUCAUGUCCAACCUUUAGAAGAAGCAAUUUAGCCCCCAAGAAACCCAAUUGCAGGAAACCAAGAAAGACAAGAAAGACCAAUAAACUCUGUUGUAAACCAAGAACUACUAAGAAAUCAACCUAUUCACAUCCACAAUAAUCGAUUGUAUGGAAACAACGUACCUGGAAAUUUCUUAAGCGAUUCUGACUCUUCCGAUGAAGACAACUUGCUGAACAUUCAUCAAGAACCUCAACAAAGGCUUGGACUUCGACCAUACUUUCAAGAAGAUCAAGAAAUACGUAUGAAAGUGGAUCUCCCUACCUUCAAUGGUCGAAUUGACGUGGAGAAGUUUCUUGAUUGGAUCAAGAACGUAGAAAAUUUUUUCGACUAUGCCAAUACACCCAAACACAAGAAGGUUCGAUUAGUUGCUCUCAAACUUUAAGGUGGCGCAAGCGCUUGGUGGGAUCAAUUACAAAACAAUAGACGAUUAUUCGGUAAACAAUCUAAAGAUUAGCUGAAUAUCUUAUAAAAAGAUGUUGCCGUAGGCUUAGUGGUGACAGGUGAGAAAGUAAGCUGUGUCUUUUAUGACUCUUAAACGUUGAAGUCAAUCAAUGAGUUCCAAAUGCAAUAUUGGAAGUUUUCUUAAAUAUUUUGAUGCUUUUGCAUGUUAUGAAAGAACUUGGUUAGAUGUGAGAAAGGGGUUUAUGAGAUUAGUUACUUACUAUUCCCUUUUUCACUGUCAUUGCUACUCAGUAGACAUGCUAUGGGCUCGUGUUUCUGUAGAAUAUAAUUCAGAUGCUCUUUCUCUAGAUUAUAAUUUAUAUGUUCUCUCUACAAAUUUGAAGUAAUUUCUACUGCUUUUGCUAAUAUUCUCUAAAGCUUAUUCAAAAUGUAGUUGUUUAAUAACUGUUCAGAUUUAAAAUAUAUUAUAGAGUUAAAUUUAACACAGUUAAUCAGCUUAAGCAUUUGACUCUGGUGUUCUUAAGAUAUAAAUUCAAAUCCCUAUAAUUUUAUCAUGUGGAUCUUUUCAAUCUUCUCACAUACUGUCUUCAUUUCAUAAUCUUGCCUACUAGCUGCGUAUCAUCAAUGAAAUUACCAUAGGAGUCCACAUGUGGUAAUUAUGGAUCUAGCACGAUAUACUGCGUAUCAUGUUGUUGGAGAUCAUUUUAAAUGAUUAACCAGUCUAUUGGUGGUUUGAGUCUUUCCUUUUGAAUCUAUAGGUUGUUCAAUGGUCUAAUAUUAACUGUGUUUAGAUUUAUGGUAAUUUUCAUUCUUUUACAGCCUUAAUAACCAAGAAAAGGUGUGCUUUGAUAAUCUUUUCUUUCUCUUCGGCAGGUUGGUAAUGUAGAAAGGAUACAUGUAUACUAUGCCCAUGGACUAGAUAGCCCAACCUUUGUUCGCCGAUGUUAUUGGCUCCUAGAUAAGUAUGUUAUGGUUGAAAGAAAAUUGUUAAAUUUCUUGCUACCAGUUGUUUCAGUGGGGUCUAUCCCCAUCAUGCCACAAGCAAAGAAAAAUGAAAUUAAACAGUGGAAGUAUAUCGUGUUCUACUUAUAUAAUUUAUGACUUGCUUCUGCUUUUUGUUCAGGACCUUUGAACACAUUGUCCUUGUUUAUUACCGUGAAACACAAGAGGUUAGGUUCAGCACAAUGCAUCUGCAGUUACUGAAAUAUUAUCUUGAGACAAACUUUUAUCAUUGGACUACUACAUCUAUUUAAGAUUUGCUAAUUUUUCCUCCAUGGUUGCAAUAUUAGAACUUCAUCCAAAAUAAUGUUGUCAUGUGUGUCUUUAAAUUUUUACUGGCAGUCUGGCACCAUAUAGAUCUAGUAGUUGUGCAUGCAUGUCUUCCUCUCUAUCCUCCAUUGAAAAACUCGAUAAUUAUCUGUUUGUGUUUUAUUUUGAUGAUUUAAUCCAACAUUUAUUAUGGAUAAAGUCAGCCAUAAAAUACAUAUGUUUACUACUGCUCUUUGUACAUUUUAAAUACUAGAUUUCUUGAUGAUUGUUGUCUUUAAGUUGCUCUUAAUGUUGUUGCAUAUCGAGAAAUGCACUGUAAUUUCUGUACCAAUUUUAUCACUGCUUUUAACUAAAUCUUCAAAAAUCAAGGCACCACCUGGAUGUAGAGUGCUAUAUGGUGAUUCAAGUGUUGAGAGUUCUCUUUCUUCUGCUAUCCAUAAAUUUAUGGAAUGGAAAGGCAAUGAUCAUGACACUAUUUUUUGUCAGAUAAACACUGGUUUCAUAUGCUUCAACUCUGUGGUGCUUCACAGCACACGGAUAAAACUUCCAAACAUUCUGCACCCAAUAUUACCAUAAUGCAUUUGGACAUUUCAUUAACAACUUCUUACAAUUAGCCUUUCUAUAUUGAAAAUAAUUCGUUGUCUUAACUUCCUGUUGCUCCUAGUUUCAGAAUUUUCCAUCCACAUCGUUGAACUCAAAUUCUGGUUCUGUCUCUAACCCAUCAACUCCGUGGCUUUUAUCGGAGGAACUUGAUUCCAAGGCUACUCAUGUUUAUUCUCUUGGUGAAAAUGAAUUGUCAGGUGAUACUGGCCGAACCUGUCAAAAAUAAAUGAGUCAUAGUUUGUUUGAUCAUUCAUUUUCUAAUCUUUCUUCUUUAUAUUUAAUUAGUUGUUUAAUUUCUUAAAAAAGAAUUCUGGUUUAUUUAUAGUAUAUUUGGUAGUAUGCAUGCCUCAGCUCCUUUAAUGCAUGUCUCUUACAGUAUAUUUGGUAGUCUUUUAUAAUGUUACACCCUUUUUUUUAAUUCCUAAAACCUUUUAACUUUCCAAAUUUUCAUUCAUUCUUUUAGAAAAUUAUUUUCAUUAUUUUUUUAUGGUUACAAAACCAUCCAUUAACUACAUUAAUUAGACAAUUCACUCCAAUAAUAAAUAAAUAACUUUUUUGGAUCUAAGGUCUUUUCUCAUUCUACAAAUUUAAUUUACUAUAUAAAGGUUAUUAUGCUAAUUGAAAAAUAUAUUUCUCUCAAGUAUGCAAUGACAGAAAAUUAGGUUAUAACUAUAUAAAAAAUAUAUUUUUAGGUAUUAUAAUUUUUUUAAAAAAAUUAUAUUUUAAAUUUUUAAUAAAACCUUGCAUUUGGGGAUUCACAUGUUGUUACUUGUCGAACCAAAAAAGAUAAAUUCGUGGUGAAAACUCUUUAAAAGCCCAAUUCGUGGAAGGAAAAAUUGAACUGUGGCGUUGAGUUAUUUUGUUGUUGAAGAAGAUCGGUAAAAAACCCACAGCAUUAAAACUUCUUUUUGUUUCUUUAAGUAUAUUUUAGAUUGCAGCGUAUUUUCUAUUUGGGUUUAGUUAGGGUUUCUCUUGUUUAUUCCAAGAUAUGCAUGGAUAAUUCAUGUUCGACUAUUUGGAAAGAGGGAUUUAUGUAGCACGGGUAUUAUAUUAUGGUUUUGGAAGUGUCGAGAUAAAUUAAGGACUUUUUUAAUCUUCUUCAAACAAACCUAUACGAAGGCGAAGAAUAAUUUGUGCUUGUAUUUUAGUCGGAAUAAGAAGAAACAUGAAGAGAAUGCCCACGAGGAAAAUGACCAUGAGAAAAAGUUGUGUAUUCCUCCAUCCAUAACUGAGCUCUCUAAUGUGUAUUCCUCCCUCCAUAACUGGCUUACUUUGGACUGUUUGGAUAGAAAGAAACAAUAGAAUUUUUAAGGAUAAAUCAAGGUUUAUUGUUAACUUGUGGGAAGACAUAUGUAACUUGAUCGGAGUUUGGUCUAGGCGUCAUUCAUCUUGUAACCAAUAUGAUGUUAAUUACUACCAACUCUUAACUUUAAGCUUUGUUAGAUUAGGUUGUUCCGGGCUUCCCUCUAGCCUUCAACCUUGUAACUUUAACUCAAUUUGAAAAACGUCAAGAAUGUUUAUAUAUUCAACAUUCUUCAAAAUUUUCAAACGUCAAGUAAUAUGUACUUUUACUUGAGAUUUUAAAAACGUCAAGAAAUAUCUUAAAAAUUCUUUAUGUUUUAAAACGUCAAGAAUUUUUAUAAAAAGCCGGAGAAGAGUUAUUUUUUAAAUAUCUUGAUGUUUUUUAGACGUCAAGUAAGAUCGUUUUUCUUGACGUUUUAAAAACGUCAAGUGUUAUUACUAUAUAUUAUAUAUAUAUAUAUAUAUAUAUAUAAAAGAAAAUAUUGGGUUGAAUCCUUCGAAGCCCUAGACUUGUCUCUACCGCAUUCGAAAAUGCCAAGUUCUCUCAGAGGAUCUCUCACUUCUGCCGUGUUCACCGUCCGUCCGUCCGCGUUCACCACGCCCUCUCCGAAAAUGCGUACUAGAUCCUUCGCUUUCAGUCGUUCACCAUCCACUGAGUACGAGAUCCCUAAGACUUCCGCCAUCUGCCAUCUCUAAUACUCUGAAAUCGUCGUCCGUUGUCCCUCAAAGUUGUCGUCCUUCUCUACGAAAAUGUCGUCCUUCUUUCGAGUCUUCAUUCCCCUUUAUGUCGUCCUUCUGUAUUUAGAGGUUAUACUUCAUUCCCCUAAAACUUCCAUUGGUUUCCAUAUUUCAAGAAUUUGAAAUUUUUAUAGGAUAUUGCUAGUGGAAAUUAAGUCAAUUCUGUUUGCUCCCAACUACCUCCUGAUUAUGCUGUCUGGUUGGGAGAAAUAAAGUCUUUGUCAUAUUUUAAGGUAGUGUAUGUUAACCAACACUUAGUGCAUUUUCGUGUUUAUGAGCUUAUUUUAGUUAAUAUGUUUUUGUAGGAAAAAUAUGAUGUCAAUAUGGCAUAUUAUACGAUGAAAUUGUAGUCGUUUAACACAAAAUUUUGAGGUUCUUUUUCAACUAAUUAUGCUUUAUCUAAUAUAUUUUUCCAAAUCUUAAAAAAGAACUUUUGAUUUCAUUGGAGUUUAUCAUUAGAGGCAUUACUAUAUUGGCUGCCUCUCAGUGGGCUAUAGGUUUUCCAAUGGUCAUUUGAGACUGAUUGAUAAUAGCAAAAGUUAGAGCUUAAGAAGAAGGAGCGAAGAAAGUAGUGAAGACAAAAGAAGAAAGAAAGCUGAGUGAAAAACGAAAAUUGACAAGGUAGAGAUGUGACAUGAAAAUGAUGAUGAGAAGUGAAGGAGGCACGACACAAUACUGGUACACAAUGACAAAGCCUUGAUAAUUAAAAAAAGGAUGGUGCCAAGAAAAUUUAAAUACAAAAAAAUGAAGGUUCUUGCAAGUGUAUUGAGUGAAUGGGAGAAAGAAUGGAUAAAAAAGGUAGAAAGAGAGAAAGAGAAGUCAAGGUAGAGAUACAUAGCUUUGUAUAUAGAAAUUUUAUGUUUAUACUCCAUUAUACGUUGUGGAGAAUAUAACAUCCUUAUAUGUUUGAUUCAAUUUGAAUGAUGCAAUUAUUUAUUUUUCUCCAAUAAUUCUACUUUUAGAAACUAAAUUUUGAAAGCCUACUAAUUUUGCAGAAUUAAUUCGAGACCCCACUUUUGCUCCCCUUCCUACCUACGGUUACUUUUUGCUUAAACUUUAAAAGUUGUUUGAAAAUUUUUGCUGAAACUUGUAAAAUUUGUUUGAAGUUCGUAUAUCUCUCACAUAUUGCAAGGUUUCUUAAUUAUUUUAUUGAAUUUCCUCUAGAAAUGCAUUCAAACAUGAGUUGACAUUAUUGGAAAAGAUUCGUCACCCUAAUGUAGUUCAGUUUUUUGGUGUCGUUACCCAGAAUUUGCCUAUGAUGAUUGUUUCUGAAUACCAUCCGAAGGUAUGGAUAUAUUUUCUUACCCUUUAUUUUAUUCUAAUGAAAAUUAUUUCAUCAUGUUUCAUUCCAAGCAUUUCAUUACAUAUUUUGUUCAUAUAUGAUGAAUGGUGAUUAGUUUUUGUAUCAACUUAUUCCCUCUUUCAUGUAUAUUUCAUCUUCCAGGGUGAUAUAUAUCAAUUUAUUCCCUCUUCAAUUGAUUCUUGUUUUUACUCUUGGCUUAUAGGUUGCUACAUGAUCGUAUAUUAGGAGCAAAAUUGUGCAAUUAGUUUAUAGUUAGGGAGAUUUCAAUAGUAAAAAGCAAAGAGAGUAAAUGGUAACAAAAUCAUAUUGUUCACAUGAAAUGAUAAAAUAAUCAUUACACAUUUACAAGAACAAUAAAUAAAUUAUGUGAUUUUCGUGAGAAAAAUGAAGAAGAAAUAACUUCUAACAAAAGUGAAUAUAAAUUAAAGGAGAAUAUAAAAUUGUUGAAAAUAUUUAUUUUCAAUAAUUUGGAAGUUCUUUGGCUAUAUAUAAUGAAAGAGAGCCUUUCCAAGGUGUGAUGCCUGGCGUCAACAAUGACGCGCUUAGCACAGAUACGGAACCGGACACCAUCUUCUUGGUGUUUGUCUGUGCAAAAGCCUCGAGUGGCUAUGGUCUUCUUCUUCUCUGUGAGGGAAAUGGUUGAAGUUGCUAGACUAUUUCAAUUACUAUGUGAGAGGUGGCUGAAUUUUAUUGGACCUCUCUUCUUGGGCUUACUUUUUACAAUUGUUUAACAAUCUCUCUCCGAAUAUACCUUCGUCCCCUUAGCUGCUUUCCACUUUGGUAAAAUCGCCAAAGCUUUAUGUGUACAUUGCAAGAGACAGAGGAGCAAGGCAAAAUAAGGUUAUUGGAACAAGGCGAAAGUUAUCAUUGCUAGCUGCAACUUUCCUCAUUCUUCUCACCCUCCUUCAAACCAUAUUGUCUGCUAUGUAUGCAUUUCCUAGCUAGCCUUCCCCGGCAUAUUCUAUUUUAGCUUUUUUCCUCUCCAGUUUCUGUUAUGUAUUUUUACUGAAUAUUGAUCUCCUUUUUGCUAUCAAGAUAGUAUACCAUACAUGCAUGUGUAGGACUUUAAUUUUAUCCCUUAUAUUUUAUAAUUUGUCUUACUACUGUUAUUGACUGAUAUACCAAUAUACAUGUGUAAAGUAUUGAUCAUAUAAUUAAUAUUAAAUUUAUUACAUUCACUCAUCAAUUUAAGUUUUUUAGUCAAUGUAUGUUCAUGAUGUACCAUGGUCAUAUCAUAAUAGAAUAGAUCCAAGAUUAUAUAUGUUCAAACCAACUGGUGAUUUAAUUAUCAAAGAUAUUAUGAUUUUGUCCAGUUUUUUUUCAGUCACUACUAGAAAAAUGGAUUUUAAUCAAGACAUUGUGUCGUUGAAAAUAAAAGAAAAAAGAGGUGGGAUGAGGUACAUUGUGUUGUUGAAAAUAAAAAUAUGGAUUAUUUCUUAAAACAAUUCUAUUGAUACAAUUUAAUUUAUUUCAACACAAUUUUUGCGUCAUUAAUUAACGACAAUUUUUUUGUCAUUAAAAACAUUUUCAAAUGAAAAAACCUCAAAUUUCAAAAUUUUAUAAUUUCCCUCUCUCACGCACUUACAACAAAGUAAAAACCUCAAAUUUUCUCUUAAGCAAAAACGAUGUCGUCGAAUGAAGUCUUAAUGCAAUUUUUUUCUCACUCUACCAAAAAUGCAAAAAAAUUCUCGUCGAACGAAGUGGGCUACCGAGUCGUUAUGAAGAACCCUUGCCUUCCAAUUUUUUGCCACUUGCCGUCGUCGAUUCCACACUCCAACCACUGUUGUCGUUGCUGCCACAACAAGCCUUCGCCGUCGAACCCACCAAUCUAGCCACUUUCGUCGAAUAAAUUUAUUUAGAAAUAUAAGUUUUAAUGACACUUGAAAUCAAGAAAAAGGGAUAUGAGGGAAUAAAAUGUGUCGUUAAAAAUAAAAAUACAAAAUUUUUCGUGACACAAAUUGAGUUUUCAUCCCACAUCGUCGUUGUCUUUCUCUUUCGCAAAUGCUCUCUGGCGACGUUCCCCCCUCUCUAUCAAUUACUCUUCACGACUUUUCCUCUCUCUCAAAAUUAAGCUCUCCGCCCACCGUUUGAAGGAACUCACCAAAUUUGCAAGUAAUUGAAGAAUUUGUGGUCCAUGAGAUCGAUUAAGUCCAUUUAUGAGUUAGUUUGAUUAGAUUAUGUCACAUAUACAUGUAUUACAAUUAAGGGACACUUGCGAAAAUGGCAAAAUAAGUUAUAAUAAUUAAGUCCAUCGAACACAUACUUUAUUAUUUGAGAAAGUGACAAGAACAAAGACCAGCUCACACAUCAAGAGGUAAAAUGUCACAAAUGCCCUCGUUAUUGAUGUACAUUUGAUACACCUUAUACACGUUUGAUACACCUAAUACCCCUUGAUACACUUGAUACUUCUUGCUGAUACACUUGAUACAUUUGAUAGUUAUAAUUCAUGCACUCGGUAUUCAUUGAUACACUCGAUACUUUUUGAUACACACCUGAAACAUCUUCAUACACAUAAUACUUCUCGUUACACUUGAUUCUUCUUGAUACACUUGAUACCCCUGAGGCCUUGAUACACUUGAUUAGUUUGAUACACUUAAAGACUUCACUUAUAAGUUUGAUACGCUUGAUACACCACUAAUAAACUUCUUAUACUUCAUUGGUACACUUAACAAAUUUGAUAUGUUUGAUGUACAUGCACUACAAGAAAUUUACCCUUUCUCGAUGACAAAUAUCGUCAGUAAAUCUUCAAAAACUCAUCGACUUUUCUUUUGCCAACGAAAUUAAGCUGUCAACACACACCGUCACGUAGGUCUGUCCGAAGAUCCUCUAUCGAUGGCAAAAAAUAAACUGUCAGCAAAAAUAGGAACUAUCAAUGAAAUUGAACCAUCAGUGUGCGUGUGUGUGUGCGCCCCGUGUGCGCAUGUCCACAUGUGCUUGGGUGUGUGUAUGCGCACAUACAUGUGUACGUGAGUAGGUGUGUGCGUGUUUGCAUGUGCAUUUGUGUGCGUGCAGUUUGGUGUACGUGUGCAUGUGUGCGUUUGUGUGUGUGUGCCUACGUUUGUGUGUGUGUGCGUGUGUACACGCGUGUGUGUGUGCGUGUAUGGGUGCACGCGCGUGCAAGUGUAUGUAUGUGUGUGCGCGUGUGAUUGUGUGUGAAUAAGUUGAUAUUUUUUAAUGUUGAGUUUCUCCCAAUUUUAAAACAAUAAUUUAAUUAUCUUGAUAUUCAAGCCAUUAAUAUUAUUGUGAGAUAAAGAGAGUGAAUAAGUUGAUAUUUUUAAAUUUUGAAAUUCAAUUAAAGUUAUUUUGAUACAAAAUCUAUUGUUGAGAUUAUCAAAUUCUGAAAAAUAAUAAUUUUGUUAUGUUGAAAUUCAAUUUGGUUAUUUUGAAAUUCAAAUUCAAUUAGGUUAUUUUGAAAUUAGUAAGAUUAAAUAAAGUUAAAGUCUUGAAUCCAUUAGUUGAGUCCCGAGAUAUUAAGAAAAAAGUAUGAUAUGAGUUGAUGUAUCUUUUUCAGGUAAAAAAUAAUUAAAAGCUGAUAAAUGCAUAAUAUAAAUUAAUUACAACAUAGAAACAAAAUAAUUUUAGUUGGAGAAUGUGGAUAUUUUGGUAUUUUAUAAAAUAUUAUGCACGUGCAAAAAAUGUUAUUUGCUAAAAUUAAAAAAAAAUAGUUUUGCCUUUUUUCAAAAUGACCCAUAAAAAUGUUGCUAUAUCUCUUAUGACAGAGUGUAUAUCUACUGGUUCAUAUUCGACCUGUUUGUUGCUAAUAUAAUUGGAUAAAAUCGCAUUAUAUUGAAAUAAUUACACGAAUGACACUUUUAAGCCAAUAUUGAUAGAAAUUAUAGUUCAUUUAAUGUUAUUAAGUCAAAUGAACAUUGUUUAAAAGUCCUUCUAAACACAAUUAAUGUAGUUGUUUUUUAAUUUUAACUCAUUUAUACAUCUUUAUGCAUGCAUGUGUGUGUACGUGUGCGCGUGUAGGUAGGUGUGCAUUUGUGUAUGUGCGUGCGUUCGUGCGAGUGUCGUGUGCAUGUGUGUGUGGGUGUGUGCAUGUUUGUAUGUGUUUGUGCGUGCGUGUGUGCUUGGGUGUGUGGGUGUGCUCGCGCGUGCGUGUUUGUGCACGUGUGCGUAUGUGUUUACGUGUGUGCGUAUGUGUCUACGCGUGUGUGCGUUUGUGCAUGUGUGUGUGCUUGUGCGCCUGUGGAUAGGUGUGUGUGUGCAUGCGUGCGCGUGUGCAUGUGUGUGUGCGUGCGUUCGUGCGUCUGUGGGUGUCUAUGUGUAGGUGUGCGUGUGCGCCUGUGUGUGUAAGUGUGCAUGUGUACGUGUGUGCACAGUGCUUCUGUGCUUGUGUGCGAACAAGUUAAUAUUUUUUAAUGUUGAGUUUCUUCCAAUUUUAAAAUAAUAAUUUAAUUAUCAUGAUAUUCAAGGCAUUAAUGUUAUUUUGAGAUAAAGAUAGUGAACAGGUUGAUAUUUUUUAAUUUUGAAAUUCAAUUAUUAAGGUUAUUUUAAUACAAAAUCUAUCGUUGAGACUCUCAAAUUCGAAAAAUAAUAAAUUUAAUAAUUUUGUUUUGAAAUUCAAUUUUGUUAUUUUGAAAUUCAAAUUUAAUUAGGUUAUUUUGAAAUUAGUAUGAUUGAAUAAAGUUAUUAAUAUGUUGAAUUAAUUAGUUGAGUCUCGAGAUAUUAAGAAAAAUAUUAUGAUAUGAGUUGAUGUAUCUAUUUCAAGUAAAUGAUAAUUAAAAGUUGAUAAAUGCAUAACAUAAAUUAAUUACAAUGUAGAAGCGAAAUAAUUACAGUUGAAGAAUGUUGAUAUUUUGGUAUUUUAUAAAACACCAUGCACGUGCAAAAAAUGCUAGUUACUAAAAUUCAAAGGAAAAAGUAGUUUUGUCAUUUUUUAAAAUGACCCCUAAAAACGUUGUUAUGUCUCUUAUGACAAAGAGUGUAGAUCUACUGAUCCAUAUUCGAUUUGUUUUUUGUUGGAAAAAUUGGAUAAGACCGCAUUAUAUUGAAAUAAUUACACGAAUGACACUUUUAAGCCAAUAUUGAUAGAAAUUAUAAUUUAAUCAAUGUUAUUAAGUCAAAUGAACAUGGUUUAAAACUCUUUCUGAACAUAAUUAAUGUAUUUGUUUUUUAACUUUAAUUAAUUUACACUUCUUUGUGCGUGUGUGCAUAUGUGCGCGUGCGUGUGCGUGUGUGGAUGGGUGUGUGUGCGUGCGUUGUGCACGUGUGCUUGUGUGCAUGUGUGCGAACAAGUUGAUAUUUGUUAAUGUAAAAUUUCUCCCAAUUUUAAAAUAAUAAUUCAAUUAUCUUGAUAUUCAAGCCAUUAAUGUUAUUUUGAGAUAAAGAUAGUGUACAAGUUGAUAUUUUUUAAUUUUGAAAUUCAAUUAAAGUUAUUUUGAUACAAAAUCUAUCGUUGAGAUUCUCAAAUUUCGAAAAACAAUAAUUUUGUUAUUUUGAAAUUGAAAUUUAAUUAGGUUAUUUUGAAAUUAGUAAGAUUGAAUAAAAUUAAAAUCUUGAAUCAAUUAGUUGAGUCCCGAGAUAUUAAGAAAAAAGUUAUGAUAUGGGUUGAUGUAUCUUUUUCAGGUAAAAAAUAAUUAAAAGCUAAUAAAUGCAUAACAUAAAUUAAUUACAACGUAGAAAUGAAAUAAUUAUUGUUUGAGAUGGUGAAUAUUUUGGUAUUUUAUAAAAUAUCAUGCACACGUGCAAAAAAUUCUAUUUGCUAAAAUUUAAAAGAAAAAGUAGUUUUGUCAUUUUUCAAAAUGACCCAUAAAAACGUUGCUAUAUCUCUUAUGACAAAGAGUGUGCAUCUACUGGUACAUAUUCGACUUGUUUUUUGUUCGUAAAAUUGGAUAAGACUGCAUUAUAUUGAAAUAAUUACACUAAUGACACUUUUAAACCAAUAUUGAUAGAAAUUAUAAUUUAACUAACGUUAUUAAGUCAAAUGAACAUGGUUUAAAAGUCUUUCUAAACACAAUUAUUGUAGUUAUUUUUUAAUUUUAAUUCAUUUAUACAUCUUUGUGCAUAUGUGCGUGUGUGCGUGCGUGUGCGCGACUGCGUAUGCGCGUGUCCACGUGUGCGUGGGUGUGUGUGUCUACGUGUGCGUGGGUGUGAGUGUCCACAUGUGCGCGUUUGUGCGUGUGCGUGUGGGUGUGUGUGCGUAUACGCGCGUGCGUGUGUACGUGAGUAGGCGUGUGCGCUUUUUGUGUUUUUCUUCCAAUUUUAAAAUAAUAAUUUAAUUAUCUUGAUAUUCAAGUCAUUAAAAUUAUUUUGAGAUAAGGUUAUUUAAAUAUAAAAUCUAUCGUUGAGAUUCUCAAAUUCUAAAAAAUAAUAAUUUUGUACUUUUGAAAUUCAAUUUGGUUAUUUUGAAAUUCAAAUUCAAUUAGGUUAUUUUGAAAUUAGUAAGAUUGAAUAAUGUUAUUAAAAUGUUGAAUCAAUUAGUUGAGUCCCGAGAUUUUAAGAGAAAAGUUAUGAUAUGAGUUGAUGUAUCUAUUUCAAGUAAAAAUUAAUUAAAAGUUGAUUAAUACAUAACAUAAAUUAAUUAUAACGUAAAAACAAAAUAAUUAUAGUUGGAGAAGGUGAAUAUUUUGGUAUUUUAUAAAAUACCAUGCACGUGCAAAAAAUGUUGUUUGCUAAAAUUGAAAAGAAAAAGUAGUUUUGCCAUUUUUCAAAUUGACCCCUAAAAACGUUGGAUUUUUGUGUAUUCCCUUGGGCUUUCUUGUUCAAUAUUUAGUCAAAUUGCAGUAUACAUAAAAUUUGUGUUUGUUACGUCACAAGAUUUCAUUCACUAAUUGUGUGUAUUAUUUUAUAUUUUAUACAGGAGACUCCGUUUGAGUGUUGAGCUAGUAAUGGGAGGGACUACCGUUGACCCCAAAAUUACAAGGUUUCAUGUUGCUUACUGGAUCAUUAAUGAUUCGUCUCUAUCUUUGGCUCAUCGAGUGGUGGAGUUGGAACCCCCUGAAAGUGUAGAUUUAGACUCUCUACCGUUGUCAAGAGCUGUUAAGUAUGCAAAAAUGGCCUUGAGAAAUCCUAUAAACUCUCUGAACAGGAGACAUUCUAGUGUAAGAUGAAAUGCUCAAGUCCUUGAAGAAAUUGAGGACACAACUCCAAUUCCUAGCAUGCUUUCUCCCUAAGACUAUGCUGGUCCUAGCCGGAGAGUGGCAUUUACAUCCCAGAAAGACACACAUGUAUCACCUCGUGUUGGCACUUCCAUUGCAAUGCACAACUCUGACAUAUAUAGUGCUGACAUUUCCUUCCUUAAGCUUGAAAAAAUGUGAUUUGAUGUCCAUAAAAAGUUAACUGAGCAGUUAGAUAUUUUCUAAUACGUAUCUCACGUAAUUUGAUGCUCAUUGAUACUGCAUUACUGUGUCAGGAACGUGUUGAUGUAAAAUCUUUCAGCUUUGAUGGAUCUUAUUACAAGCUUUCAACUCUUCUUAGCACGACUUCUGACAGAACAAAGGUUUGAUAUAUCUUUACACGAUCGCAUAUCACAUAUGAACGAUCGCAUAUCCCAUUUGAAAUAUCGAUCACCCUUCGUAAAACAACCGUUUAGAUAUUCUACACGAUUGUUUGCUUAAGGAUACACGAUCAUUUUGUAACUAUUUUUUUAUUAUCCAUUUUUCUUUCUAUACUAGAAUCAGAAUCAAUUGUUUGAUGAUAUUAACAACAUGUAUGAUGAUCUUCGUGAUGAUUCUAGUCAUCACAAUCUGGACAAGAAUGAUGACCAUCAAAAUAACAAACAUGUGAUCAUCCAUGAGAAUCCAUCUGUUCAAGAGUCACAUCUUCAAGAAUCUACUGUAGAGACUCAACAGUUAGUGUUUAAUUCAUUAGUUACUGCUUUAUAUUGUUUAAAAUUGCUUAGAUUAUAAAUAAACAACAAUAAUUUUUUUUCUUUUCUGUGUAGGGAACAAAAAUGAACAACGCCUCAACAUCAAGACCAGUCAGGCAGUGAUAUUAGCAUAGAUGGCAGAGAUGCACAUUUGAUAUUAACUAUAAGUAAUAUAGCAGAAAAUAUGGAAGGUCAUACUCAAACAGAAAAGGGACUGCUAGAAAUGAUUGAAAAUCUUUCGUUGGUAAGCCAACCACUUCCACUUUGUGAGAUGCUACCGUUAACUACUGUCAAAGGUCUUGCAUUAGUUUAAUUGGUAUGUGUGCCCUAAAGGGAUAAAAGCUCUUGGCAGUGAAAGACUUUACAAAACCAUUCAUCAAUUUUAAUUUGAAAAUUCCAAAAUACCAGUACAUUGACAAUAUUUAGAAUCAAAGUUCUAAAUAAAGAACUAAAUAUGCUUUUAAAUUAAAAGAUACAUAGAACUUACUCUUGUUGACGUCUCUGAAUCUAUAAUCCACCGAAUUGGGGACACCACCCGUUGGAGACCUUCCUAUCUUCGAAUACUAAAUGUUAAAUAAUAAUAAUAUAUAAUAAUAAUAGAAUUAAUGUUAUUAUUAAUUUAAAAUAUCAAUUCUUUAUUGAUUCACGUGCAACCCCAUCUCUUUCUCCUUCACUCUUCCUCUUCCCCGUGCCCACCGCCGCCUGCCUCCCUUAGCCAUUUUAUAUUACUCUUGGACGUCAGCCGGCCACGCCGUCACCGAUCGCUUUGUCUCCAUUGAAGCUAAAACACCGUUCGUCGUGAGUUCGAACUCUCGGCAUCGCGUCUCACCUCUGUUUUCCAGCCAAGCUGUGAUUCAUUCGCGCGUAGCUCCUUCGACGUUCGCACCACCACAUUAUGCUUCAGGUGACGAGGAACGUUACCGAUUGACCUAUCAUCUCACCGGUGUUGUUACUUAGUUGAAGCAGUCGUUGACCAGACCUGAGCCCGUCGCGUCUGUCGAAGUGCCGUCACGCGGCUCUUCACCUCCAGCCAUGGGUUGUAAGCUGAAGUUUGUUUUUCGUUUGUUGAUUAGAUCUGAUCUAUUACACGCGUCGAUUCUAGUUAUUCGAAGUUGUUGCCCCCAUUUUACUCUAAUUUUUGGGAUUUUUGUGGUAAGUUGUAUUGGUGAGUGUGGUGGUUUUACAUUGUAAUUAUCCUUGGGUUGUAGUUUUGGAUAAUUAGUUAAAUUGUUAAUUGAUUCUUGAAGUUAGCGUUUGAGUUCUUUGGAUUCACAACUAAAUUGUAGAUUUGUUGGAGUUCGAUUCGCCAAUACUUUGAUAAGCUAGAAUUUACAUUGAGGAAAUUAAAUGAAAGAAAGUAUUGUGAAAGUAAUUGAGUUCCAUAUUCUUAGUAUUAGGUUUCCUUCGUUUGAGAAAUUUGAGUAACAUUAAAGUAAGGGGUUUCUAUUACUGGACUCUUUGAAAGUUUUGAAAUGUGUUGACUGUUUGGAUCUCUGGACUUAGUAUGGUUUACUAAUAUAUGUAGAAGUAGAUAUGAUGACAAAUGUAUUGUAACGCCCCAAACUCGAAGGUAAUUUAUUUUAAGAAAAUUAUUCAAUUUGUACAAGAUUUAUUUUUUGAAGAAAAUAUGUUGAAGGGGGAAAAAGAAGAUUUGAAAAUGUGAUAAUAUAAUUAUAUAUAUAUUUAUUUAUAUUUUAGUUUUAUUAUUUAAUUUAAAUAAAAGAAAAUAAGAAAAAUUUUCCUUUCUUCUUCCUCCCGCGCGCAACUCCCCUUUCCCCCUUCAUUUUCUUUUUCUAUUUUCUCCUUCACCAUGCCCUACCUCCAGCCGCACCCUCCAACCGACCACCAUCGCUCUCCUCCUUCUUUUCUUCUCCGAUCCACGGCCGCCGCCCCUAUUCUUCUUCAAUUUCUCUUUCUUUUCUACCAUACCCAGCCGCCGCUGCAACCGUCGGCCGCCAUCUCUGUUCGUGAAGCAAGCCGUACGCGUCGCCUUGCAGUUGUCAUCCAGAUAUGUGUCACCGUGCCUCGUCCUAAUCGCCUCUGUCUCCGUUGAAGCCAAGCCCAGCCGCCGCCCAUUCCUUUCCUCUCCGUUCGUGAAGCCCGGUCGCCGCGUCAGAUCGUCGAUCGAUUUUGAGGCAGCGCGCACGUCUCCUUCCAGUCGCGUGUUUCCUCUUCUUCCAGCAGCGUGUUCUUCUUCCAGCCGCAAUUCACAACCGACGUACACUCUAAUCUGUUUGUACGAUCUUUGUUGUUAGGUUCGAUCGUUGCUGCCGCCGUUUUUGUUGUGAGUUCUCUUAUAAGUAAAAUUGAUAGUUUCUGUUUGAUGGAUUGUUAAGAUAAAAUAUCAAAUGAAACGUUUGGUUAAUACUGUUCUUGAAGGUGUUGGAAGUGACAUUGGGUCCCUCGUGUUCAUAACCGAAAUUGUGAAUUUUGGAGUUUGGCUCGCCAAUACUUCGUAUCUUUCGUGGGAUAUAGUUUGUUUAAGAAAUUGAGCAACCUUGAGGUAAGGGAUUUUCUACUGGACUCAACAACAAAAUUAAGAUAUAAUGACUAAUUAAGAUGUAUUGACUGUAUGGACCGUAUUAUAUUAUUUGAACUGAGUAGAGAUGACUGUUAUGAUGUAUGUUUGGACAUUGACUUAAAGUUUAAUGUUUGCUGUGUUUGACUGGGAGAAAUUAAUACAUAUAUGUGCAUGGGUUGAUGUGGACUGUGGUUGAGUAUAUGUUGUGACUGUCUGGUUAUGUAUGUGUACAAGGAUAAGGAUGUGGAAACGACUGAAUCUCGUAGAUGUUGCUUAUAUAAAGUGUGGAUUUGAUUAGUAGAUUGAUUGUUGUCUAGACUGAAUGUAUAAUAUCUACUCUUAUGUUGUGUGCUUGUGAACGGAAGAAACGUCGUGGUUGUGCCCUUGGUGACUGAGGAGGAGGUUAUGAUUGUUUAGCUUGUUAACUGAUGUAAUGAUAUGCUUUUUACUGACCUUGGGCUAAAUUAGAGUAAGACGACUGGUUGAGGUUAAAUAAGGAGUUUACGUGAUGAGAAUGUUUAGCUGAUUUGUGAAUGACUGUUAAGAUGUUUAGAAUGGACUGAGGGGAAAAAUUGUUAGCUUUUAUUGGGAUGUGUGCCUUGUAGGUGUCCCACGGGAUCACCAAUUAUUCUACACCUUCGGGAGCAUUAGACUGAUAUGUGUUUCUGCAGAACACUAGACUGAAAUGUACGUUCCUUGGGGCGUUAGACUGAAAUGUGCAUCCUACGGGAUCACAAGACUGCGACUGUACAGGGUGUCCCAAUAGAAUGUUAACAAUUUAUUUUCCCCUGACGGGACUAGUAGAGGGUCUCUUACUUGGUAUUUUUAUACUCACCCUCCUUAUGUUUAAUUUUCAGGCAAAGGUAAUAAAGACGGCAAACCGGAGAGGGGCAGGAAGGAAGCGUGAUUGCCAUAGGGGUUAUUUUAAAUUGCUUAUGCUAAAUGUUUUGUUUCACGUGUUUUGUUUUAGUACUUGAGAUUGUUUAGAAAUUUUUAUAGUUGAACUGUAUUCACGAAUUAGUAAAUUUUUCUUGAAAGUGUUGGUUAUUUUAAACAGGGCCCAGAUAUAAAUUUUUGUUUUCUUGAGACUUUGAAAUUGUUUGAGAUUGAGAUUUUGAGUAAACUCAGGUCUUUAUUUGAAAUUAAUGACUUCGACUUACCUAGAAAAGUUGGGUCGUUACAUGUAUAUUAUGCCAGACUGGUAUAGAAGUAGAUACAAUGGAUAAUGUAUUUGUAAACUGAGAAAUGUGUUAUGUAUAUAUAUAUAUCUUGACUGUCUGGUGUGUUGUUAUAGUAUCAACUGAUUUUGUGAUAGAUUGAAUAGAUUGAACGUAAGUGUGUUAAGUUGGAUUGAUGAUAUGAUGGAGUAGUUUGACUAUACUAGGAAUGGAUUGAUUAAAUGUUUAUAACGGACUAAGGGAAAAUUGUUAGCUUUGUCGAUUGGGUAGUGUGCCUUGCAGGUGUCCUACGGGAUCACCACCUGUUGUGCAUUCUUCGAGAGCACUAGAAUGACAUGUGCAUUCUUCGAGAGCAAUAGACUGACAUGUGCAUUCUUCGAAAGCACUAGACUUACAUGUGCUUUCUGCAGAGCACUAGACUAAUAUUUGUGUCCUUUAGGGCAUUGGACUGAUUAUGUGUAUUUCUACAUGAUCACAAGACUUUUAAAGUGCAGGGCACCUCCAAUAGGAAGUUAACAAUUUCCUCCAAUAGGGAAAUGUCCUUCAAAUUGCUUCUACUUUAUUUUUUAUUUUUAUUUUGGUUUUCUUUAGUAAUUGAGACUGUUUUGGGUUUCAUGAUUGAACGAUUUUUAUGUUCUUGAACUUUCUUUAUUAUCGAUACUUUUACACUUUCAAAAUUUUAUUUGAAAUAGAGCCCGAAUAAAAACUCUUUAAUGUUGUUAAAAAAUAUAUUUUUUUAAAUUAUAAAGUGUUAUGGUUAAAGGACGAAUCUAGUCUUAAAGUAAUAACUUCAGCUUAAUUCGAAAAAUUAGGUCGUUACAAUCUAUUUUGCAGAAAAGAAAAUCAUCGAUUUUAUUUUGGUUAAGAAAAGUUGUUUUUCUUCUACAUAUUUAUAACUCUCUUUCUUUCAUUGAGUAGGAGACGAGGUAGAAGAAAAUCAUAGGAUUCUAUUAACAUAAAAAAUAUUAAAUUAAUAGAAGUUUCAAAUCAACAAACUAAUUAACCAUUAAUCAAUUAGUUAAUAAUUAAUUAAAUCAUAUUUAAUUAAUAUUUCAUUUAAAUCUUAUUGAAUGAAUAUCUCUCCAAUACCUUAUAGUUUUAUAUUAAUUUAAUUAAAUCAAAUUUAAUUAAAUAAUAUUAAACUAAACUAUUAAUUAAUUAUUAACUAAAUUAAAUAUUUUAUAUUUAACUUAAGUUAAAUUUGAAUCAUAUUCAAAUAUAACUUUAUCUCAUAAUUAAUAAUUUUAAUAUCAAACAAAUCCACAUUAAAUUAAUAUUUGAACUCAUUCAAAUAUUUUAUCUCUCAUAAAUUAAUUUUGAACUUUAUCUAAAAUUAAAUUUAUAUAAUAAAGUUUCAUUAACAUAUAAACUUUAUAUUAUAAUGUAUCACUAUAUAUUAUACUAAUUAUACUAAUUUCCAAGGUAAAUUUGAAUAUUUCAAAUUAGAACCAAUAUAAAUAAAUCACAUUAUCAUUUUGUAUCAUCCAUUACUUUCUAUUCAGUCAUACUAAUUGGAUCAACCUAAUACAUAAAACAAAUAUAGAAAAAUUAAAAAAAAAAAAGCAUGCACAAAUAGAGACAAAUAGACAUUUGAUAGUUAUCUAUCUCUAUCUAUCUGAAACAAGCACACAUAAAUUGUUAUAUUUCUCUAUCGGAUGGACAAAAAUAGCAGUCUAUUUAUAUCUACCUGAGAUACAAACAUUCAAAGAAAAAAAAAAAAACCUUACCAAUAAAAUUCUUGACUUUUCAUGUUAUUCUAAAUGCAACACGUUCUCAGCCCAAGAAGUCAAACAACUCUUCAUUGUAAAAGUAGCUUUACUUCUUUCAUCAAACCACUUUUGCAAUACAUCUCUAAUUGAACUAAGCAUGGUAGCUACAGGUAGUUCUCUAAGAAGAAGAAGACCUUCUAAAAAAAAUCAACAGUUACAUGAGCAACUAAUGGAUGUAUAUUAGUUGCAUCUUUAGCAAAAGAUAAAUACCAAGCCACAUCAUUGUCUUUCUUUACUGGCACCACAGUUGGACCUUGCUUUUACCAAAAUCAAGUAAAACAGAUAAUUCUACUUAUCCAUCCAAUUGAAUCUGUUCACAUAUUAAAUCAAUUAGAGAAUUAAAGCUGACUCGGACAUCUACCAAAAUUUCAGCAACUAAGUAAUUCUCAUAAAUAUUACAUCCAUUCCAUUGACCUCCAUAAAAAACAACAAUAGGAAAAGACAUUAUAAUCUGUAAAAAAAAUAAAUAAAAUAAAAUUAAGUAUUUAAUUGUGAUAAAAAGAAAUAGAUAUACAUAGAUAUACAUUUAUUACUGAAUAAAAGAAUAAAAUGUACAAAAUGAUAAUACUAAACACAAUGCAAGAAUAAGUAAACGAUCGUGCAAUGAAAUAAUAUACAUUAAACGAUCCUAUUAACCGUGAUAAACGACCAUUUAACAACGGUAAAUGAUAAUAUUGAUUAAAAUAAAUUAUCGUGUUGACAUGGGUACACGAUCAUUUGAUAUUGGUGAUCGUAUUGAAUAGUGUAAACAAUCGUCCUGUUAUCGGUACACGAUCGUGUUAAUAUUUGUAACUGAUUCUAUUGAUAGUGGUAACUGAUCGUGUAAUUCCAUGUAAACUAUCAUAAAAAACUUUAAACUAUCGAUCUUUAUAAUGAAGUACAUAAUUCUUACAUUAAUACUUAAAAUUUGUUGUAACGACUCAACUUUUCUAACUAAGUUGAAGUCAUUAAUUUUGACAAAGAGACAUUGAUUGACACAAAAUAUAGUAAAAUUCACUUGAAAUCAUACGAUCAAAGAAAACAAACUUAAGUUCGGGUCUUGUUUCAAAUAACCAAAACUUUAAAAGUACUAUUUACAAAACAAUAGUUCGUAAACUCAGUUCCAUCACAAAAAAUUUAAACAACCUCAUGUACAAAGGAAAAACAAGAAACAUAAAGCAGAAGCAUUUGAAGGACAUUCCCUUAUGGCAAUCACGUCUCCUUCUUGUCCCUCGUCGGUCUACCUCCUUUGUUACCUUUGCCUGAAAUAGUUAAACAUGAAAGGAUGAGUAUAAACAUACCCAAUAAGAGACUCGCUAUUGGUCCCAUUAGGGGAAAAAGAAACUGUUAACUUCCUAUUGGGGUACCCUGCACAGUCACAAUCUUGUGAUCCCGUAGGAUACACAUAAUCAGUCUAACGCCUCAAAGGACGCAUAAAUCAGUCUAGUGUUCCGCAGAAACACAUAUCAGUAUAAUGCUCCCGAAGGAUGCACAUAUCAGUCUAGUGCUAUCGAAGGAUGCACAUAUCAGGUGGUGAUCCCGUAGGACACCUGCAAGGUAACUACCCAAUAGAAAUCUAACAAUUUUCCCCUCAAUCCAUUCUAAACAUCUUAACACUCAUUCAUAGUACAGUCCAGCUACUUCAACAUAUAAUCCUUUCACUUAACACCCUAAUAGUCAACCUAUCUUACUUUAGCCCAAUGUCCGCCAGUAACAUAUCAAUACAUCAAUCAAUCAAACUAUAUAGUCAUUUCCUUUUCAAAGUGAAUUGCAAAGAAAUUUUCUCAAAUUGAAAAGAAAGGAGAAAUAUACAAAGUCAGCCACCGCUUCUUCUCCCUUUAGUUUGCAAUUUUCGUCUCCCUCUCUUCUAUUAUUAAAAUAAAUAAAUAAAAUAUCACAACUCGACUUAACACAAACUAUUUACUCCAAUUUUUUAAACUACAAAUUUAGUUUCUCAACUUUUAAACUAUUUUAAACUUACAAAUCUACUUUAUUCAUUUCUUCAGAUUUAUAUCUAACAAAUAAAAAAAAAUCAAAAUUUAUAGACACUUAAAACAUAAAUUUGAAAGACCUAUUAAACAAUUGAAAGGUUUAAGAGGUAACUAGACAAACUUUAAAAGUUCUAAGGGAAAGAAUCUUUUGUUUAACUAUUACAGUAAUUAAUUUUGAAAAUAUGUUAUUUUAGAAAAACUACAAGUGUUUGACAACCCUUUGAAAGCUAAUGAAAUACUCUCAAAUUGUAUUUUAAGCAAUUUUAAUAAAAAGAAAGUCUACAUAAAAAAAUUACCCUUUUUAAAGGAACAUUUUUUCUCUAAUCACUCCAAUGGAACUCAAACACGUACUUCAAGUUAAUUCUGGUAUCCAAGAAUCAGUCUCAUCUAACAUAAACAAGAACAUUCAACUUGAUAGAACUUCAUUACCUCAUUUUUACAAUUCCCAAAGUUACUAAAUGAAGGACCAUUCCUAAAACAUACUUACAUCCAACUUUCUCCAUGAAUAAACUUAUCGUCUUUUAUGUACUGAUGAAUAUAGAGAUGGAGCGAUCAGAGUUUGUUUAUGUACCAAAUUAGAGUGAUAGAGUGGAUUUACACAAGGACGAAAUGGCUGGCUGCUGCUUGUUCAAAACUGAAAGUUAAGGUGACCUUGUUUCUCAUAGGGACUCAGCAAAUUGAGGGGCCUCCAAGUCUACUUCUUGUCUCAUUAUACAUGCCAUUAGCCAUUCAACGUUGAAAGUCCAUAUCCCUUUUUCUACGGCCACCAAGGCUUCCUCCACGUCUUCCUCACAAGCCACAAAGAUCGUCUUCCAUACGUUGUUUACUUUAUCUAGCUCAUGAAUCACCUAAAUUUUCAAGCAUAAUGAAUUUGCCAAGUGAGAGAAAAAAAUUAUGUAUAUACUACAAGGAAAUUGCAAGAAUUCACCCUAUCAAAAAAUAUUAAACAAAUUCUUGUUCUAGUCCCUAAAAUUUUCCAUCUUUUCCCAUCUUUCAAAAUGCUUCCAAUGAGAUAUAUUCCAAUCACAUAUAGCAGAAAUGACCGAUGAGUAUUGGAUAAAUGAAUAUUAAUUGAUAAAAUAAUUUACAAAAUACUAAAACCGUUAGUUGGCUACAUUUUGGAAGCUCGAUGACUAAAAUGGAUGUUUUGAAAGUUCUAAGGCUAAAAUGGAAUUUAAAUCAACAUAAUAGUAAGUUCAAGAUCAAAGACAAGCUAAACAAUAAAAUGUUGCGACCAGAAAACAAUCUAAUCAUAAUUAUAAACAUGGAUGUAUGUAUUUGUACACCAAAUCACAAAAAAAUAACUCCAGAUUUCGAUCUAGAGACAAUUAAAAACUUGAACAAAUUUGAUAAUUAAAGAAACACGGAGAUGGCCAUAUGACCCCUUGUGCAUAGACUUUUUACAUUACAUGCUCAAUUCCUAGGAUCAAAACAAACAUAAAUAUUAAAGACUUAAGAAGCACAUACACUCAAGUUUGGCUAGUGUAUCAAUAAACAAUAUGUAUGGAACACUCGGAGAACACGUGUUGAACACUAGUUAGUACAGUAGAUGUGUUAGACAACAAGUAUUCCAAUGCAAUAAAGGUCAAGAUUGGUCACACACACAUAUUAAACUCUUGGCUUUGAAUAAGUUUUGAGUGAAGGACAAGCUUAUUUUUAAGCAUAUAAAUACAUAAACUUAUUGACUUUGAAUUUCUAUAUAAAUAUGAGACAUACUUUUUAAAUUAUAUAUAUUAAAACUGUGUUCUAGCACUAUCCUAUAUUUUUUAGAAAAAAAUGACACGUCACCAUGUCUAUGAUUUAUUGACCCAUGUCUAAAAUUCGUAUACGUGCUUGUUGUUGGAAUUUUUUGUCCUAAAACUCGUAGUUUGUAAUCAUAUUCUAUUCAAUAAAGUUGUUAUUGAGAAAUUAAAUAUUAUAAUCUUAAAUCCAAUAAAUCAAGUUCCAAGGCUAUUUUUGAAUAAACUUGAACUUUAUGUGUAAAUAUAAACGUGGAUCAAGUUCGAGUAUAUAGCCUAAAUAGUCUAUAGUAUAUGAAAUAAAGGUUGGGCGCCUUAUUUAGAGAAACUAUGGAUGCGGCCCACUUUGUAGUACAAACGAGGUGAUCCUAAUCGUUCAUGUAGAGACAUGAAAGUGGGGGCAUCCUAUGUAAAGUGUUUACAUAAGACUGAACCAUGAAUUUGUCUUUUUUACGUUAUAACACCGUUUACUGUUUAAAACUGAGUAUCUCAAUUAUUGAUGACCUCGGUAACUUAGUCUUAAUCCUGAGUUAACUAUGAACUCUUGUUCACACGAGAUUAUCCUUAGAUCUGCAUAGGUGAGGGCAGCUCAUCUGCGUUGGCCCAAUAAGCCUCCAAUUUCAAGGGUAUGAUCGGGUGGAUAGCUGGGAACAUAGGGUACAAGAUGGAAUUCACUCCUACCCGCUUUAGGGUUAGUAGAUAGGUUGUUCUCUUAAGCACUGAAUCCAAGUCUUGAACAAGGGGCCCCACCCUCUCAUUGGCCCAAGAGGGAUUAAGUUUAUAGGUUGAACCUUAAACCAAUUGUUCAAUAGUGGAUUAGUGGGACUUAAGGAGCAAGAUGUAAUUUUUGGGGGUAAAACGGUAUUUUAACCCAGCCAAGGUUACGAGCAACCUGUGAAGGAUUAACUUACCAAUUAUGGUUUUAUCAAAUGGACACAAAUAUAUCUAUAGUGAGGGGAGUGCAACUACGGGACUUUAGUGGAAUGACCCGUUAGUUAACGAAUGUUGAUUAACUUUGUCUAAAAGAGUUUAGCUAGUUAAUCUUAAAUCGUUGGAGCCCAUGAUCUAUAGGUCCAUUAGGUUCCUCUGCUAGCUCAUAUGGAUUAAACUUAGAACAGUGUGAUGAAAUAAGUCGAAUUGUUCGAAUUGAGAGAAGAAAGAGAAACCGACAGGUAUAGUGAUAUAGUCGUCGGUCUUCUAAAUAGAAAAAGAGCUUCAUGUUUUUCAUACUAUAAGUAUGAAUGCGGAUUCAUACUAAGAAGCUCGGAAUUGAUGGAAUUGGUCAAAAAUUGUAAAAAGUUAAAAUGUUGACUUUUGCCUCUUUUAUCAUUUUCAUCAUCUCAACCAAAGAAAAAAAAGAAACCUUCUAACCCCCUUUUAUCUCCAUUACUUUCUACACCAAAAUUGGGUCCCACAACCCGGUUCUUUGUUUAGAGGAUAGCAGUUGAGUACUAGUGGUGGUCUCGGUUUGAAUUGGUAAGAAGAUAUCAAACUUUUUGAAAGCUUCAAAGGUAAUAUUUCCUAAAACCCUAAUUUGAUUAGUUUAUGGUUACAUGUUAAUUGUGGCAAUUAGAGUAGAAAUUCGAUUCUUUUUCCGCUGUGCAUGACUUAGUUCUAUCACUUGUUUGUUGAGAACUUCACGUCUUCAUUAGAUGGGAGGAUAGCCAUAUUAUAGUGGUUGUAUAUGUAAGAAAGAGAACCAAACCUAGUACUCGAGAUUUGUACAAUAACAGAGAACUUACAUUUCCACCGGCUGACUUGACUAUCAGGGAUAGAGUUUUAGGUGGUGGUUGAGCGUGAGCUGAUAUGCAAACAUCAUACCCUUCAAAUAAAGCUUCAGGACAUGCUUUUGCCCUGAGACCUGCAGCUUUUAGGCUGGCUCGAUACUUCGAUAUUUAGUCAUCAUCAUUAGUAUGUAAGGUAACUCGUCUGCAGAUCAAUAAGGAAUUAAUCAAUCACAAAAAUUAGGUAGGAUGAAAAACAUAAGUGGAAGAAAAUACAUUACACUUUGAUACUAGCAAGCCAUUCGAACUUACCAACAAAUUUGCCUUCUCGGUAGCUUUCCUUUAACCAACUGGAGGAGAAAUCCAAGCUCUGAGUAAUUUGCAAUUAACUUGCAAUUUUAGUAACAAGAUAUAGUAAAAAUUAUGAGCAAGAGCACACUGACACGCUUGAAGCCACAUGGUAAUGCAUAUGCUCGAUAAUCAUUGAGAACAUUAACAAGAGAAAAUAAAGUUAAGAACAGUAGCUUGAAGAACAAAAAACAUUCUACAACAUAAAAUCUUCAAAAACACAUUGCUUAAAAUCAAGUUUACUAAUAUAAAAGGUAAGAUAUUACGUUCCACUCUCCACACUACUGAAGUUCAACAUUUCACAUGAAAGAAAUGAAAUACUACUCUCAAAUAUAACUGAAAAAAGCAUAAAUGGGUAAAGAAAAAGCAUAGAGAAAUGCAAAAGAAUCCUUGGCUUUGAUAUAUUGAAAGGUAAAGAAUAUCAACCAUAGAUGCCCGGGAGAAGAACUCCUACAAGUACACACUUAACGCAAAUUAUCAUUCGCUAACAUGAAACCUUCUAGAGGAAUUCUGUUAGGAUACUUCCUAACAAGAACAAGAUCUUAAUUUAUUAUAAUGAACUAUAAGAAAAUACAAGAUAAAACCAAGUAUAAGGCACUUGGAACCUCACUCUUGAGUACUCUCACCCAAGCCCUAAAUCACUCCCCAGAAUUCUCCCCUUACUUACCCUCCCUCCAUUUAUAAUAAGAUGUAACUACACUUACAUAAUAACUACUAGUAACUUUCUAAAUAUCUAAUUACCCUUAUACCCCUAACCUUAUACUAAUCUAGGUAUCUAACAUUACCCGAUCCUUCAAAACACCUUGUCCUCAAGGUGAGCUUACAAACAUGAUCAAGGCCCCCUUUUCUUUUUUUCUCUUUUUAAUUGCAAACAAUCCCCAACAUUCUGCUCUUCAAUGUUGAAAAAGAAAUCCUCCCCUUCGGCUUUGAAAAACUCUCGAUUCCAAUAAGGUCCAUUGACUUCAGCCCACAAAGCAGCCCAAUGUACUUGAAUUUUCCUUUUCCAAAACACAUUGUCUUAGUUAACCCUUUGCAUAUCACCAACAAGUGUUUAAUUUUCAAACUCUUCAUCUCUAGUGGGCUAGGCCAUAAUCAAAGUGUUGCGUCAAGACCAAAAUCAUACUGUCGCCGGUUUCAUUCCUAGGACCCACCUACAUACACGUUUUUCUUCCCUCCUAUUUUUGGAACUCUCCAUCCACUUCAUCUACAAAAUGAUGUGCCCCCAAUGUUUUAUUUAGAAUAAGUUGAAGCUCAUUUAGAGUAAGUUGAAGCCCACUUGAAAUAGUAAAACCCAAGAUUGUUCCUUUUGUCCUAAUCCUCUUUCCUACAAAUUUCUACCACGUGAUUGGCACCAUCAGGUGUUCAGCAACUUCUUCCUCGUCACGUGAUUCACCCCUAUUCCAGAUCACCUUCUCGAGCCUCUAUAGACCGGUAACUGUUGGCUUCUUCUUUCUCCAUUGCAACCAGCCAUUUUGUGUUUCUUUGAGCAACAAGUUUUUCUUCACUCGAGUCUUCAUUUCGAGCCUCACAGGUAAUCCUCGUCGACCUUCCUCUAUAGUUUCUUCUUGGUCACUCUUUGCCAUCCUCUUCACCUUCGUUGUAUACCCGUUGCAAUCGCGUUUUCCUCAAUUCUUCUAUGGAUUCAGCAACUUCUUGGAAUCCAUCGAUUUAUGGACCUGAAGAUUCCAAUCCGUUCUAAAUAAACACAAUCCAGAUCAGUGCCACUAAACACAGGCAUUUCAACCUUCUUGAAUUUGCUAUGAUCGUUCGAGUUUUCAUCCCUUUCAAACUUGUUUGUUUUACCUUCUACCUUGAUUUCCUUCAAUGUCUUACCUCCACCUUCGAUGAUACUCUCAAUCGUUGAUCCUUUGCUCGACAAUCCUUCCAUUCUUCUGAAGAUUGUCGAAUUAUCCUUCUGCUAUUCCUUCGAUGCAUUUAGCAACCGUUCUUGUUUUUCCAACUAGAUGACCAGUCUUUCGAUGCUUUUUGGCAACCAUGACAAGUUUUCUUCAAUUGCCAACAACUUGUAUAACUCCACUUGUAUCCCCGAGAUUUCCUUAUCAUAGGUCUCCAACUUCUCUUCGAUCCGUUUUUGUGCUGCUCUAUCGUUCUCCCAAGUAAAAACGCUCUGAUACCAAAUUGUUAAGAUACUGUAAAUAUACGGCAAGUGUAUCUUACUUUAUUGAAUUACCUCAAUGAAUUAUAGUAUAGAGAAUAAAAAAUCACUCACAUCUACUUCCUAAAGGCACACUCCAGUGAGGAUCACAACAAAGAACAAGAAAAACUAAGAACAAACCGCAACCAUGAAAAUGACCAAAACAAAUAAUAAAAAGAACUUGACUUGGACCCUCUACUUCUCCCAAGCACGAAAGACGGCAGCCUCUACUUCUUUGGAAUAUUUUGUCCCCUUUCUCCCUCCUCUUUCCUCCCUUUUAUUUUGCUUUACUAACAAACUAAUGGGAAAGAUCUCCUCCGAUAUUCUCUCCUCCUAUAAUCUCUCCUAUAUUCUCGUGUGGGUCAAUAUUACCCUUUUUAAUUCUUCUACUGUAUUUAAAUAAUAUUGGAGACAUAUACUUCCUAACAAUAACAAGAUCAGAAUUUAUUAUAAUGUAACUAUAAGAAAAUACAAGAUAAAACCAAGUAUAAAGCACUUGGAACCCUCCCUCUUGAGUACUCUCACCCAAGCCUUAUAUCACUCCCCAGAAUUCUCCCCACUUACCCUCCCUCCAUUUAUAAUAACAUGUAACCACCCUAGUUACCCACUUACAUAAUAACUACUAGUAACUUCCUAAAUAUCUAAUUACCCUUAUACCCCAACCCUAUACUAAUCUAGGUAUCUAACAAAUUCCAUAACAUAAUGUAUUAGCGGAAGAAGGAAAUCGAGGAUAAAAACACUAGCUAGCCAACAAAUAUCUUUCAUUAGUGAGCUUGAGCCAUUUUACACGUAAAAUGGGAAAAGUAAGCCUGCAACCCAAAGUAGCCUAAUGGUUGUCUUAACAACCACUACCCACCAUCACGAUAGAAACAACUGAAAAGGAAGUGCAUGAUACAAUCCAACUCAAACAUAAGAAUUGAUUUUGAUGUUUAACUAAAAGUAAACAGGCAGUAGAAUAAGAAACUAUGCCCUUUUAGAUCUAGAAGGUUCACAACAAUUUCCAGCCUAAGCACAACUACGAGGCAAUGGAAGAAUAACGGCAAAGGCCUUGUGUGCAUGGAAUCGCUAACUUUGGUGCAAAUGAGACGAUUAUCGGUAUUCAAAGGCCAAAAGGACACAUAGAAGAGUGUUCGUCUAAGAUUGCAAGACUAACCCUGAAAAGAGAUCAAUACAAAAAUUUAGAGUUUUCCGCACUUUUCCUGUAAUGACAUCAGUGCUUGUACUCCCAUCAGCAGUGAGAGAACCACCAAGCUCCUCAAUCAUCUGAAUCAGAAAACAACUGCACAUUAGAGCAGUCACAAUUUGGAAUAAUAGAACUUUUUAUUGUUUGAAUCUUAGAAUAUUUAUGAAAAGUUUAUGGGAAUAUUUUUCUUAAUUCCUAAAUAUUUUCCUUUUUUAUUCCUCUGUAUAUUCUAUUUAUUCUCCCUUGUAUCUAUUAUAUUUUUAAUCAGAAAAUAAUAAGAAGAAAAAUAUAGUGCUUUUUUUCCUGGUACACAUGUUUCCACGUAAAGUUGUGUGUUUGUUUGUCUCCCUUUCAAAAUGGUAUCCGAGCAAGUGGUCCAAGAAGGUCUUGUGUUCAAGCCUCGCAUUGUCGUUUCCUCCCCAAUUAAAAUCCAUUUCCAGUUGUUGGGCCUUUCAAAUAUUUGAAGCCCACAAGUGAGGAGAGUGUUGGUGAUAUAUAAUUGUAAUGGAGAAGUAUGUUAGGAUUCUAACAAUAAAACACAAAAUAUCCUAACCAAAUGGCUAAACAGAGGCAACACUCUAUAAUUCUUUACUUAUGUAAAAGCCAAAACACAUUCAACAGUAGUAGAUAUGAAAAAUAAAGGAAGAACAACAUAGAAAACUUACCCAGCUCCUUUAUACGGGGCUGGAUACCCUCAGGCUACAGCAACCUUUACUCUCCUUGAAAUAACCAAAAAGACCUAGCCUCCCCGACCCCAACAUUACAUAUUUAUACCUCUCUCUCUCAUCCCUCCUGACGGGCCCCACCUGCACGAUCCUCUCCCAUUAUUCUCUCAUCAUUGGUUGCUAAGGAAUUUCCCUUUCUACCCUUCCUUUUAUAGGUAUAGAUAAUAGGAGGUCUUACAAAGUAAUACCUGGCCUGACUUUCUUUAAUCUUUCUGCGAGAACCUUUCCAAACAACUUAUAAGCCACACUGUAAUGACCUUCCUUCUCUUUACCAAACUUCAAUAAUCGACAACUUGUAUUUAUCCACAUAAUCAACAAAACUCUUAAUCUGCCACUAGCUUCAAACAAAGACCCAGCCAAUUCCUUUUGAACUCCAUAGUGCCUUUACAAUACAACUGGCAAUCUCUUCUCUUUUGGUCUCCUGAAUGGCCUAGAAAGGAACGACCAGACUUAGAACGGGUUCGGAGGCCUCGAAAGUUCACAUCUAGCUACUAGGUGGUCCGAUUCUGAGUGAUCUCGAAGUUUCUUUCCCACGAAAGCCGAACGGUGAUGCCCCAGACUCGGUUUUUCGAUUCCGUCCCGAACCGCCAAAGAAAGGCAUAAUGGCCUAGAACGGAACGAUCGGGCUUAAAACGGGGUCGGACGCCUCGAAAGUUCACAUCUAGCUACUGGGUGCUCCGAUUCUGAGUGAUCUCGAAGUUUCUUGCCCAUGAAAGCCGAACGGUGAUGCCCCAGACUCGGUUUCUCCGUUCCAUCCCAAAACGCCGAAGAAAGGCAGAAUGGCCUAGAAAGGAACGACGGGACAUAGAACGGGGUCACAGGCCUCGAAAGUGCACAUCUAGCUACUGGAUGGUCCGUUUCUUAGUGAUCACGAAGUUUCUUGAACACGAACGCCGAACGGUGAUGCCCCAGACUCGGUUUCUCGGUUUCAUCCCAUAACGCCAAACAAAGGCACAAUGGCCUAGAAAGGAACGACCGGACUUAGAAAGGGCUCGGAGGCCUCAAAAAAUCACAUCUAGCUACUGGGUGGUUUGAUUCUGAGUUAUCUCGAAGUUUCUUGCCCACGAAAGCCGAACGGGGAUGCCCCAGACUCGGUUUCUUGGUUCAAUCCCAAAACGUCGAAGAAAGGCACAAUGGUCUAGAAAAGAACGACUGGACUUAGAACGGGGUCGGAGGCCUCAAAAGUUGACAUCUAGCUACUAGGUUGUCCGAUUCUGAGUGAUCUCAAAGUUUCUUGCCCACGAAAGCCGAACGUUGAUGUCCCAGACUCGGUUUCUCGGUUCCGUCCCAAAACGCCGAACAAAGGCACAUUGGCCUAGAAAAGAACGACCGACUUAGAACGGGGCCGGAGGCCUUGAAAGUUCACAUCUAGCUACUGGUGAUCUGAUUCUGAGUGAUCUCGAAGUUUCUUUCCCACGACAGCCGAACGGUGAUGCCUAGACUCCGUUUCUCGGUUUCAUCCAAAAACGCCGCAGAAAGGCACAAUGGCCUAGAAAGGAACGACCAGACUUAGAACAGGGUCGGAGGCUUCGAAAGUUCACAUCUAGCUACUGGGUGGUCUGGUUCUGAGUGAUCUCGAAGUUUCUUGCCCACGAAAGACGAAUGGUGAUGCCCAGACUCGGUUUCUCAGUUCCGUCCCAAAACGCCGAACAAAGGCACAAUGGCCUAGAAAAGAACGACCGGACUUAGAAGGGGGCCGGAGGCCUCGAAAGUUCACAUAUAGCUACUGGGUGAUCUGAUUCUGAGUGAUCUCAAAGUUUCUUUCCCACGAAAGCCGAACGAUGAUGCCCAGACUCGGUUUCUCGGUUUCAUCCAAAAACGCCGCAGAAAGGCACAAUGGCCUAGAAAGGAAUGACCAGACUUAGAACGGGGUCGGAGGUUUUGAAAGUUCACAUCUAGCUACUGGGUGGUCCGGUUCUGAGUGAUCUCGAAAUUUCUUGCCCACGAAAGACAAACGGUGAUGCCCCAGAUUCGGUUUCUCGGUUAUGUCCCAAAACGCCGAAAGAAAGGCACAAUGGCCUAGAAAGGAACGACCGGACUUAGAACGGGGUUGGAGGCCUCACAAGUUCACAUCUAGCUACUGGGUGGUCCGAUUCUGAGUGUUCUCGAAGUUUCUUGCCCACAUAAGCCGAACAACGUUGCCCCAGACUCGGUUUCUCAGUUCCGUCCCAAAGCGCCGAAGAAAUACACAAUGGCCUAGAAAGGAACGAUCGGACUCAGAACGGGGUCAAAGGCCUCGAAAGUUCACAUCUAACCAUUGUUUGGUCUGAUUAUGAGUGAUCUCGAAGUUUCUUGCCCACAAAAGCCGAACGGUAAUGCCCGAGACUCGGUUUCUUUGUUCCGUUACAAAACGCCGAAGACAGGCACAAUGGCCUAGAAAGGAACGACUAGACUGAGAACGGGGGAGGAGGCUUUAAAAGUUCACAUCUAACCACUGGGCGGUCCAAUUCUGAGUGAUCUCGAAGUUUCUUGCCCACAAAAGGCGAACGGUGAUGCCCCAUACUCCGUUUCUUGGUUCCAUCCCAAAACGCCGAAGAAAGGCAUAAUGGCCUAGAAAAGAACGACCGGACUCAGAACGGGGUCGGAGGCCUCGAAAGUUUACAUCUAACCACUAGUCGGUCCGAUUCUGAGUGAUCUCAAAGUUUCUUUCCCACAAAAGCAGAACGAUGGUGCCCAGACUCGGUUUCUUGGUUCCGUCCCAAAACGCCGAAGAAAGGCACAAUGGCCUACAAAAGAACGACCGGACUCAGAACGUGGUCGGAGGCCUCGAAAGUUCACAUCUAGCUACUGGGUGGUCCAAUUCUGAGUGAUCUCAAAGUUUGUUGCCCACGAAAGCCGAACAGUGAUGCCCCAGACUCGGUUUCUCGGUUCCGUCCUAAAACACUGAAGAAAGGCAAAAUGAACUAGAAAGGAACGAUUUGACUCAAAACGGGGUCCGAGGCUUCGAAGCUUCACAUCUAACCACUGGACGGUCUGAUUCUGAGUGAUCUCGAAGUUUCUUGCCCACAAAAGCCGAACAGUGAUGCCCUAGACUCGAUUUCUUGGUUCCGUCCCAAAACGCCGAAGAAAUUCACAAUAGCCUAGAAAGGAACGACCGAACUCAGAAUGGGUCGGAGGCCUCAAAAGAUCACAUCUAACCACUGGGCGGUCCGAUUCUGAGUGAUCUCGAAGUUUCUUGCUCACAAAUGCCGAACGGUGAGGUCCCAGACUCGGUUUCUUGUUUUCGUCCCAAAACGCCGAAGAAAGCAACAAUGGCCUAAAAAGGAACGACCGGACUUAGAACGGGAUUGGAGGCCUCGACAGAAACGACCGGACUUAGAAUAUGGUCGGAGGCCUCGAAAGUUCACAUCUAGCUACUGGGUGGUCCAAUUCUAAGUGAUCUAGAAGUUUCUUGGCCACGAAAGCCGAACGGUGAUGCCCCAGACUCGAUUUCUUGGUUCCGUCCCGAAACGCCGAAAAAAAGGCACAAUGGCCUAGAAAGAAACAACCGGACUCAGAACGGGGUUGGAGGCCUCGAAAGUUCACAUCUAACAACUGGUCGAUCUGAUUCUGAGUGAUCUCGAAGUUUCUUGCCCACCAAAGCCGAACGGUGAUGCCCCAGACUUGGUUUCUUGUUUCCGUCCCAAAACCCCGAAGAAAGGCACAAUGGCCUAGAAAUGAACGACCGGACUGAAAACGGGGUCAAAGGCCUUGAAAGUUCACAUCUAACAACUGGGCGAUCCGAUUCUGAGUGAUCUCAAAGUUUCUUGCCCACAAAAGCCGAAUGGUGAUGCCCCAAACUCGGUUUCUAGGUUCCGUCCCAAAACGCCGAAGAAAGGCACAAUGGCCAAGAAAUGAACGACCGGACUGAAAACGGUAUCAAAGGCCUCAAAAGUUCACAUCUAACCACUGGGCGGUCUGAUUCUGAGUGAUCUCGAAGUUUCUUGCGAACAAAAGCCGAACGGUGAUGCCCCUGACUCGAUUUCUAGGUUCCAUUCCAAAACCCCGAAGAAAGGCACAAUUGCCUAGAAAGGAAGGACCCAACUCAAUACGGGGUCGGAGGCCUCGAAAGUUCACAUCUAACCACUGGACGGUCCGAUUCUGAGUGAUCUCAAAGUUUCUUGCCCACAAAAGCCGAACAGUGAUGCUCCAGACUCGAUUUCUUGGUAUCGUCCCAAAACGCCGAAUAAAUUCACAACGACCUAGAAAGGAACGACCAGACUCAGCACGGGGUCGGAUGCCUCGAAAGUUCACAUCUAACCACUGGUCGGUCCGAUUCUGAGUGAUCUCGAAGUUUCUUGCUCACAAAAGCCGAACGGUGAUGCCCUAGACUCGGUUUCUUGGUUCCGUCCCAAAACGCCGACGAAAGGCACAAUGGCCUAGAAUUGAACGACCAGACACAAAACGGGGUUCGAGGACUCAAAAGUUCACAUCUAACCACUGGGCGGUCCGAUUCUGAGUGAUCUCGAAGUUUCUUGCCCACAAAAGCCAAAUGAAGAUGCCCAAGACUCGGUUUCUUUGUUCCGUCCCAAAACGCCGAAGAAAGGUACAAUGGCCUAGAAAAGAACGACCGGACUGAGAACAGGGUCAACGGCGUCGAAAGUUCACAUCUAACCACUGGGCGGUUCGAUUCUGAGUGAUCUCGAAGUUUCUUGGCCACAAAAGCCGAACAGUGAUGCCCAGACUCGGUAUCUUGGUUCCGUCCCAAAACGCCGAAAAAAGACACAAUGGCCUAGAAAGGAACGACCAGACUCAGAACGGGGUCGGAGGCCUCGAAAGUUCACAUCUAAACAUUGUUCGGUCCUAUUUUGAAUGAUCUCGAAGUUUCUUGCCAACAAAAGCCGAACGGUGAUGCCCCAGACUCGUAUUCUUGGUUCCGUCCGAAAACGCCGAAGAAAGGCACAAUGGCCUAGAAAAGAACGACCGGACUCAGAAAGGGGUCGGAGGCCUCGAAAGUUCACAUCUAACCACUGGGCGGUCCAAUUCUGAGUGAUCUCGAAGUUUCUUGCCCACAAAAGCCGAACGGUGAUGCCCCAGACUCGGUUUCUUGGUUCCGUCCGAAAACGCCGAAGAAAGGCACAAUGGCCUCGAAAGGAACGACCAGACUCAGAACGGGGUCGGAGGCCUCGAAAAUUCACAUCUAACCACUGGUCGGUCCGAUUCUGAGUGAUCUCGAAGUUUCUUGCCCACAAAAUCGGAACGGUGAUGCCCCAGACUUGGUUUCUUUGUUCCGUCCCAAAACGCCGAAGAAAGGCACAAUGGCCUAGAAAGGAACGACCGGACUCAUAACGGUGUCGGAGGCCUCGAAAGUUCACAUCUAACCUUUGUUCGGUCCUAUUAUGAAUGAUCUCGAAGUUUCUUGCCAACAAAAGCCGAACGGUGAUGCCCCAGACUCGUAUUCUUGGUUCCGUCCCAAAAUGCCGAAGAAAGACACAAUGGCCUAGAAAAGAACGACCGGACUCAGAACGUGGUCCGAGGCCUCAAAAGUUCAUAUCUUACCACUAGACGGUUUGAUUCUGAGUGAUCUCGAAGAUUCAUGCCUACAAAAGCCGAACGGUGAUGCCCCAUACUCGGUUUCUUGGUUCCGUCCAAAAACGUCGAAGAAAGGCACAAUGGCCUAGAAAGGAACGACCGGACUCAUAACGGGGUCGGAGGCCUAGAAAGUUCACAUCUAACCACUGGGCGGUUCGAUUCUGAGUGAUCUCGAAGUUUCUUGGCCACAAAAGCCGAACAGUGAUGCCCAGACUCAGUAUCUUGGUUCCGUCCCAAAACGCCGAAAAAAGACACAAUGGCCUAGAAAGGAACGACCAGACUUAGAACGGGGUCGGAGGCCUCGAAAGUUCACAUCUAAACAUUGUUCGGUCCUAUUUUGAAUGAUCUCGAAGUUUCUUGCCAACAAAAGCCGAACGAUGAUGCCCCAGACUCGUAUUCUUGGUUCCGUCCGAAAACGCCGAAGAAAGGCACAAUGGCCUAGAAAAGAACGACCGGACUCAGAAAGGGGUCGGAGGCCUCGAAAGUUCACAUCUAACCACUGGGCGGUCCAAUUCUGAGUGAUCUCGAAGUUUCUUGCCCACAAAAGCCGAACGGUGAUGCCCCAGACUCGGUUUCUUGGUUCCGUCCGAAAACGCCGAAGAAAGGCACAAUGGCCUCGAAAGGAACGACCGGACACAGAACGGGGUCGGAGGCCUCGAAAAUUCACAUCUAACCACUAGUCGGUCCGAUUCUGUGUGAUCUCGAAGUUUCUUGCCCACAAAAUCCGAACGGUGAUGCCCUAGACUUGGUUUCUUUGUUCCGUCCCAAAACGCCGAACAAAGGCACAAUGGCCUAGAAAGGAACGACCGGACUCAUAACAGUGUCGGAGGCCUCGAAAGUUCACAUCUAACCUUUGUUCGGUCCUAUUAUGAAUGAUCUCGAAGUUUCUUGCAAACAAAAGCCGAACGGUGAUGCCUCAGACUCGUAUUUUUGGUUCCGUCCCAAAAUGCCGAAGAAAGACACAAUGGCCUAGAAAAGAACGACCGGACUCAGAACGUGGUCCGAGGCCUCAAAAGUUCAUAUCUUACCACUAGACGGUUUGAUUCUGAGUGAUCUCGAAGAUUCAUGCCUACAAAAGCCGAACGGUGAUGCCCCAUACUCGGUUUCUUGGUUCCGUCCAAAAACGCCGAGGAAAGGCACAAUGGCCUAGAAAGGAACGACCGGACUCAUAACGGGGUCGGAGGCCUCGAAAGUUCACAUCUAACCACUGGGCGGUUCGAUUCUGAGUGAUCUCGAAGUUUCUUGGCCACAAAAGCCGAACAGUGAUGCCCAGACUCGGUAUCUUGGUUCCGUCCCAAAACACCGAAAAAAGACACAAUGGCCUAGAAAGGAACGACCAAACUCAGAACGGGGUCGGAGGCCUCGAAAGUUCACAUCUAAACAUUGUUCGGUCCUAUUUUGAAUGAUCUCGAAGUUUCUUGCCAACAAAAGCCGAACGGUGAUGCCCCAGACUCGUAUUCUUGGUUCCGUCUGAAAACGCCGAAGAAAGGCACAAUGGCCUAGAAAAGAACGACCGGACUCAGAAAAGGGUCGGAGGCCUCGAAAGUUCACAUCUAACCACUGGGCGGUCCAAUUCUGAGUGAUCUCGAAGUUUCUUGCCCACAAAAGCCGAACGGUGAUGCCCCAGACUCGGUUUCUUGGUUCCGUCCGAAAACGCCGAAGAAAGGCACAAUGGCCUCGAAAGGAACGACCGGACUCAGAACGGGGUCGGAGGCCUCGAAAAUUCACAUCUAACCACUGGUCGGUCCGAUUCUGAGUGAUCUCGAAGUUUCUUGCCCACAAAAUCCGAACGGUGAUGCCCCAGACUUGGUUUCUUUGUUCCGUCCCAAAACGCCGAAGAAAGGCACAAUGGCCUAGAAAGGAACGACCGGACUCAUAACGGUAUCGGAGGCCUCGAAAGUUCACAUCUAACCUUUCUCGGUCCUAUUAUGAAUGAUCUCGAAGUUUCUUGCCAACAAAAGCCGAACGGUGAUGCCCCAGACUCGUUUCUUGGUUCCGUCCCAAAAUGCCGAAGAAAGACACAAUGGCCUAGAAAGAACGACCGGACUCAGAACGUGGUCCGAGGCCUCAAAGUUCACAUAUCUUACGACUAGACGGUUUGAUUCUGAGUGAUCUCGAAGUUUCUGCCUACAAAAGCCAAACGGUGAUGCCCCAUACUCGGUUUCUUGGUUUCGUCCAAAAACGCCGAGGAAAGGCACAAUGGCCUAGAAAGGAACGACCGGACUCAUAACGGGGUCGGAGGCCUCGAAAGUUCACAUCUAACGACUGGGCGGUUCGAUUCUGAGUGAUCUCGAAGUUUCUUGGCCACAAAAGCCGAACAGUGAUGCCAGACUCGGUAUUCUUGGUUCCGUCCCAAAACGCCGAAAAAAGACACAAUGGCCUAGAAAGGAAACACCAGACUCAGAACGGGGUCGGAGGCCUCGAAAGUUCACAUCUAAACAUUGUUCGGUCCUAUUUUGAGUGAUCUCGAAGUUUCUUGCCAACAAAAGCCGAACGGUGAUGCCCCAGACUCGUUUCUUGGUUCCGUCCGAAAACGCCGAAGAAAGGCACAAUGGCCUAGAAAAGAACAACCGGACUCAGAAAGGGGUCGGAGGCCUCGAAAGUUCACAUCUAACCACUGGGCGGUCCGAUUCUGAGUGAUCUCGAAGUUUCUUGCCAACAAAAGGCGAACGAUGGUGCCCAGACUCGGUUUCUUGGUUCCGUCCCAAAACGCCGAAAAAAGGCACAAUGGCCUAGAAAGGAAUGACCGGACUCAGAAUGGGAUCGGAGGCCUAGAAAGUUCACAUCUAACCACUGGGCUGUACAUUCUGAGUGAUCUCGAAGUUUCGUGCCCACAAAAGCCGAACGGUGAUGCCCAGACUCGGUUUCUUUUUUCCGUCCCAAAACGUCGAAGAAAGGCACAAUGGCCUAGAAAGGAACGACCGGACUCAGAAAUUGGUCCGAGGCGUCGAAAGUUCACAUCUAACCACUGGCGGUCCGAUUCUGAGUGAUCUCGAAGUUUCUUGCCCACAAAAGCCGAACGGUGAUGCCCAGACUCGGUUUCUUAGGUCCGUCCCAAAACGCUGAAGAAACGCAUAAUGGCCUACAAAGGAACGACCGGACUCAGAACGGGGUCGGAGGCCUAAAAGUUCACAUCUAACCACUGGGCUGUCCAAUUCUGAGUGAUCUCGAAGUUUCUUGCCCACAAAAGAGGAACGGUCAUGCCCCAGACUCGGUUUCUUCGUUCCGUCCUAAAACGCUGAAGAAAGGCACAAUGGCCUAGAAAGGAACGACCGGACUCAGAACGGGGUCGGAGGCCUAGAAAGUUCACAUCUAACCACUGGGUUGUCCAAUUCUGAGUGAUCUCGAAGUUUCUUGCCCACAAAAGCCGAACGGUGAUGCCCCAGACUCGGUUUCUUUUUUCCGUCCCAAAACGUCGAAGAAAGGCACAAUGGCCUAGAAAGGAACGACCGGACUCAGAAAUUGGUCCGAGGCGUCGAAAGUUCACAUCUAACCACUGGGCGGUCCAAUUCUGAGUGAUCUCGAAGUUUCUUGCCCACAAAAGCCGAACGAUGAUUCCCUAGACUCGGUUUCUUGGUUCUGUCCCAAAAGCCGAAGAAAGGCACAAUGGCGUCGAAAGGAACGGCCGGACUCAGAACGAGGUCCGAGGUUUCAAAAGUUCACAUCUAUCCACUGGGAGGUCCGAUUCUGAGUGAUCUCGAAGUUUCUUGCCCACAAAAGCCGAACGGUGAUGCCCUAGACUCGGUUUCUUGGUUCCGUCCCAAAACGCCAAAGAAAGGCACAAUGGCCUAGAAAGGAACGACCGGACUCAGAACGGGUCGGAGGCCUUGAAAGUUCACAUCUAACCACUGGGCGGUCCGAUUCUGAGUGAUCUCGAAGUUUCUUGCCCACAAAAGCCGAACGGUGAUGCCCAGACUCGGUUUCUUGGUUCCGUCCCAAAACGCCGAAGAAAGGCACAAUGGCCUAGAAAGGAACGACCGGACUCAGAACGGGUCGGAGGCCUCGAAAGUUCACAUCUGGCUACUGGGUGGUCCGAUUCUGAGUGAUCUCGAAGUUUCUUGCCCACAAAAGCCGAACGGUGAUGGCCUAGACUCGGUUUCUUGGUUCCGUCCCAAAACGUCGAAAGAAAGGCACAAUGGCCUAGAAAGGAACGACCGACUCAGAACGCGGUCAGAGGCCUCGAAAAGUUCACAUCUGGCUACUGGGUGGUCCGAUUCUGAGUGAUCUCGAAGUUUCUUGCCACAAAAGCCGAACGGUGAUGCCCAGACUCGGUUUCUUGGUUCUGUCCCAAAACGCCGAAAGAAAGGCACAAUGGCCUAGAAAGGAACGACCGGACUUAGAACGGGGUCGGAGGCCUCGAAAGUUCACGUCUGGCUACUGGGUGUCCGAUUCUGAGUGAUCUCGAAGUUUCUUGCCCACAAAAGCCGAACGGUGAUGCCCCAGACUCGGUUUCUUGGUUCCGUCCCAAAACACCGAAAGAAAGGCACAAUGGCCUAGAAAGGAACGACCAGACUGAGAACGAGGUCGGAGGCCUCGAAAGUUGACAUCUAACUACUGGGCGGUCCGAUUCUGAGUGAUCUUGAAGUUUCUUGCCCAAAAAGCCAACGGUGAUGCCCAGACUCGGUUUCUUGGUUCCGUCCCAAAACGCCGAAGAAAGGCACAAUGGCCUAGAAAGGAACGACCAGACUCAGAACGGGGUCGGAGGCCUCGAAAGUUCACAUCUAACUACUAGGCGGUCCGAUUCUGAGUGAUCUUGAAGUUUCUUGCCCACAAAAGCCGAACGGUGAUGCCCUAGACUCGGUUUCUUGGUUCCGUCCCAAAACGCCGAAGAAAGGCACAAUGGCCUAGAAAGGAACGACCAGACUCAUAACGGGGUCGAAGUUCUCGAAAGUUCACAUCUAACCACUGAGCGGUCCGACUCUGAGUGAUCUCGAAGUUUCUUGCCCACAAAAGCUGAACGGUGAUGCCCAGACUCGGUUUCUUCGUUUUGUCUCAAAAUGUCGAAGAAAGGCACAAUGGUAUAGAAAGGAACGAUCGGACUAAGAACGGGGUCGUAGGCCUCGAAAGUUUACAUCUAACCACUGGGCGGGGUGUGUGUGUCUACGUGUGCGUGGGUGUAAGUGUCCACGUGUGCGCGUUUCUGCGUGUGCGUGUGCGUGUGCGUGUGUGUGCGUAUACGCACGCGUGCGUGUGUACGUGAGUAGGCGUGUGCGGUUUUUGUGCUUUUCUUCCAAUUUUAAAAUAAUAAUUUAAUUAUCUUGAUAUUCAAAUCAUUAAAAUUAUUUUGAGAUAAGGUUAUUUUAAUAUAAAAUCUAUCGUUCAGAUUCUAAAAUGCUAAAAAAUAAUAAUUUUGUAAUUUUGAAAUUAAAUUUGGUUAUUUUGAAAUUCAAAUUCACUUAGGUUAUUUUGAAAUUAGUAAGAUUGAAUAAUGUUAGUAAAAUGUUGAAUCAAUUAGUUGAGUCCCGAGAUUUUAAGAGAAAAGUUAUGAUAUGAGUUGAUGUAUCUAUUUCAAGUAAAAAUUAAUUAAAAGUUGAUAAAUACAUAACAUAAAUUAAUUAUAACGUAAAAACAAAAUAAUUAUAGUUGGAGAAGGUGAAUAUUUUGGUGUUUUAUAAAAUACCAUGCACGUGCAAAAAAUGUUGUUUGCUAAAAUUGAAAAGAAAAAGUAGUUUUGCCAUUUUUCAAAUUGACCCCUAAAAACAUUGGAUAUUUGUGCAUUCCCUUGGGCUUUCUUGUUCAAUAUUUAGUCAAAUUGCAGUAUACAUAAAAUUUGUGUUUGUUACGUCACAAGAUUUCAUUCACUAUUUGUGUCUGUAUUAUUUUAUAUUUGAUACAGGAGACUCCGUUUGAGUGUUGAGCUAGUAAUGGGAGGGACUACCGUUGACCCCAAAAUUACAAGGUUUCAUGUUGCUUAAUGGAUCAUUAAUGAUUCGUCUCUAUCUUUGGCUCAUCGAGUGGUGGAGUUGGAACCCCUUGAAAGUGUAGAUUUAGACUCUCUACCGUUGUCAAGAGCUGUUAAGUAUGCAAAACUGGUCUUGUAUUAGUUUAAUUGGUAUGUGUGCGCUAAAGGGAUAAAAGCUCUUGGCAGUGAAAGACUUUACAAAACCAUUCAUCAAUUUUAAUUUGAAAAUUCCAAAAUACCAGUACAUUGACAAUAUUUAGAAUCAAAGUUCUAAAUAAAGAACUAAAUAUGCUUUUAAAUUAAAAGAUACAUAGAACUUACUCUUGUUGACGUCUCUGAAUCUAUAAUCCACCGAAUUGGGGACACCACCCGUUGGAGACCUUCCUAUCUUCGAAGAUGAGAUUGGUUUGUGGAAAACAAUUGGAAUGAAAAAAAAAUUAGAGAGAAACUAUGUAACACCCCAAUAUCAAGGUAUUUCUCUCAAGCUAAAUUUUUUAAAUUUUAUUAAGAUUUUAAGGAAUUUGGUUGUGGUGUGGAUUUAGCAGGAAGUGAAGGGGGCUUUUAUGAAAAAAAAUAUACUAAUACUAAAGGUUAAAUAAUAAUAAUAGAAUUAAUGUUAUUAUUAAUUUAAAAUAUAAAUUCUUUAUUGAUUCACGUGCAACCCCAUCUCUUUCUCCUUCACUCUUCCUCUUCCCCGUGCCCACCGCCGCCUGCCUCCCUUAGCCAUUUUAUAUUACUCUUGGACGUCAGCCGGCCACGCCGUCACCGAUCGCUUCAUCUCCGUUGAAGCCGAAUCACCGUUCGUCGUGAGUUCAAACUCUCGGCAUCGCGUCUCACCUCUGUUUUCCAGCCAAUCUGUGAUUCAUUCGCGCGUAGCUCCUUCGACGUUCGCGCCACCACAUUAUGCUCCAGGUGACGAGGAACGUCACCGAUUGACCUAUCAUCUCACCGGUGUUGUUACUUAGUUGAAGCAGUCGUCGACCAGACCUAAGCCCGUCGCGUCUGUCGAAGUGCCGUCGCGCGGCUCUUCACCUUCCAGCCAUGGGUUGUAAGUUGAAGUUUGUUUUUCGUUUGUUGAUUAGAUCUGAUCUAUUACACGCGUCGAUUCCAGUUAUUCGAAGUUGUUGCCCCCAUUUUACUCUAAUUUUUGGGAUUUUUUUGGUAAGUUGUAUUGGUGAGUAUGGUGGUUUUACAUUGUAAUUAUCCUUGGGUUGUAGUUUUGGAUAAUUAGUUAAAUUGUUAAUUGAUUCUUGAAGGUAGCAUUUGAGUUCUUUGGAUUCACAACUAAAUUGUAGAUUUGUUGGAGUUCGAUUCGCCAAUACUCGGUAAGCUAGAAUUUACAUUGAGGAAAUUAAAUGAAAGAAAGUAUUGUGAAAGUAAUUGAGUUCCAUAUUCUUAUUAUUAGGUUUCCUUCGUUUGAGAAAUUUGAGUAACAUUACAGUAAGGGGUUUCUAUUACUGGACUCUUUGAAAGUUUUGAAAUGUGUUGACUGUUUGGAUCUCUGGACUUAGUAUGGUUUACCAAUAUAUGUAGAAGUAGAUAUGAUGACAAAUGUAUAUUAUGCCAGACUGGUAUAGAAGUAGAUACGAUGGAUAAUGUAUUUGUAAACUGAGAAAGGUGUUAUGUAUAUAUAUAUAUAUCUUGACUGUCUGGUGUGUUGUUAUAGUAUCAACUGAUUUUGUGAUAGAUUGAAUAGAUUGAACGUGAAGUGUGUUAAGUUGGAUUGAUGAUAUGAUGGAGUAGUUUGACUAUACUAGGAAUGGAUUGAUUAAAUGUUUAUAACGAACUAAGGGAAAAUUGUUAGCUUUGUCGAUUGGGUAGUGUGCCUUGAAGGUGUCCUACGGGAUCACCACCUGUUGUGCAUUCUUCGAGAGCACUAGAAUGACAUGUGCAUUCUUUGAGAGCAAUAGACUGACAUGUGCAUUCUUCGAGAGCACUAGACUGACAUGUGCUUUCUGCAGAGCACUAGACUAAUAUUUGUGUCCUUUAGGGCAUUGGACUGAUUAUGUGUAUUCCUACAUGAUCACAAGACUUUUAAAGUGCAGGGCACCUCCAAUAGGAAGUUAACAAUUUUAUUUUUCUUCUAACAGGAUCAGUAGUGGGUCUCUUACUGGGUAUGUUUAUACUCACCCUUUUAUGUUUAAUCUUUUUCCGCGAAACUGCCAUAGGGAAAUGUCCUUCAAAUUGCUUCUACUUUAUAUUUUUUUUAUUUUGGUUUUCUUUAGUAAUUGAGACUGUUUUGGGUUUCAUGAUUGAACGACUUUUAUGUUCUUGAACUUUCUUUAUUAUCGAUACUUUUACACUUUCAAAAUUUUAUUUGAAAUAGAGCCCGAAUAAAAACUCUUUAAUGUUGUUAAAAAAUAUAUUUUUUAAAUUAUAAAGUCUUAUGGUUAAAGGACGAAUCUAGUCUUAAAGUAAUAACUUCAGCUUAAUUCGAAAAAUUAGGUCGUUACAAUCUAUUUUGCAGAAAAGAAAAUCAUCGAUUUUAUUUUGGUUAAGAAAAGCUGUUUUUCUUCUACAUAUUUAUAACUCUCUUUCUUUCAUUGAGUAGGAGACGGGGUAGGAGAAAAUCAUAGGAUUCUAUUAACUUAAAAAUUAUUAAAUUAAUAGAAGUUUCAAAUCAACUAACUAAUUAACCAUUAAUCAAUUAGUUAAUAAUUAAUUAAAUCAUAUUUAAUUAAUAUUUCAUUUAAAUCUUAUUGAAUGAAUCUCUCCAAUACCUUAUAUUUUAUAUUAAUUUAAUUAAAUAAUAUUAAACUAAACUAUUAAUUAAUUAAUAACUAAAUUAAAUAUUUUAUAUUUAACUUAAGUUAAAUUUGAAUCAUAUUCAAAUAUAACUUUAUCUCAUAAUUAAUAAUUUUAAUAUGAAACAAAUCCACAUUAAAUUAAUAUUUGAACUCAUUCAAAUAUUUUAUCUCUCAUAAAUUAAUUUUGAACUUUAUCUAAAAUUAAAUUUAUAUAAUAAAGUUUCAUUAACAUAUAAACUUUAUAUUAUAAUGUAUCACUAUAUAUUAUACUAAUUAUACUAAUUUCCAAAGUAAAUUUGAAUAUUUCAAAUUAGAACCAGCAUAAAUAAAUCACAUUAUCAUUUUGUAUCAUCCAUUACUUUGUAUUCAAUCAUACUAAUUGGAUCAACCUAAUACAUAAAACAAAUAUAGAAUUUUUUUAAAAAAAAGCAUGCACAAAUAGAGACAAAUAGACAUUGAUAGCUAUCUAUCUCCAUCUAUCUGAAACAAGCACACAUAAAUUGUUAUAUUUCUCUAUCGGAUGGACAAAAAUAGCAGUCUAUUUAUAUCUACCUGAGAUACAAACAUUAAAAAAAAAAAAAAACCUUACCAAUAAAAUUCUUGACUUUUCAUGUUAUUCUAAAUGCAACACGUUCUCAGCCCAAGAAGUCAAACAACUCUUCAUUGUAAAAGUAGCUUUACUUCUUUCAUCAAACCACUUUUGCAAUACAUCUCUAAUUGAACUAAGCAUGGUAGUACAGGUAGUUCUCUAAGAAGAAGAAGACCUUCUAAAAAAAUCAACAGUUACAUGAGCAACUAAUGGAUGUAUAUUAGUUGCAUCUUUAGCAAAAGAUAAAUACCAAGCCACAUCAUUGUCUUUCUUUACUGGCACCACAGUUGGACCUUGCUUUUACCAAAAUCAAGUAAAACAGAUAAUUCUACUUAUCCAUCCAAUUGAAUCUGUUCACAUAUUAAAUCAACUAGAGAAUUAAAGCUGACUCGGACAUCUACCAAAAUUUCAGCAACUAAGUAAUUCUCAUAAAUAUUACAUCCAUUCCAUUGACCUCCAUAAAAAACAACAAUAGGAAAAGACAUUAUAAUCUGUAAAAAAAAAAAAUUAAGUAUUUAAUUGUGAUAGAAAGAAAUAGAUAGACAUAGAUAUACAUUUAUUACUGAAUAAAAGAAUAAAAUGUACAAAAUGAUAAUACUAAACACAAUGCAAGAAUAAGUAAACCAUCGUGCAAUGAAAUAAUAUACAUUAAACGAUCCUAUUAACCGUGAUAAACGACCAUUUAACAACGGUAAAUGAUAAUAUUGAUUAAAAAAAAUUAUCAUGUUGACAUGGGUACACGAUCAUAUGAUAUUGGUGAUCGUAUUGAAUAGUGUAAACAAUCGUCUUGUUAUCGGUACACGAUUGUGUUAAUAUUUGUAAGUGAUUCUAUUGAUAGUGGUAACUGAUCAUGUAAUUCCAUGUAAAUUAUCGUCAAAAACUUUAAACUAUCGAUCUUUAUAAUGAAGUACAUAAUUCUUACAUUAAUACUUAAAAUUUGUUGUAACGACCCAACUUUUCUAACUAAGUUGAAGUCAUUAAUUUUGACAAAGAGACCUUGAUUGACACAAAAUAUAAUAAAAUUCACUUGAAAUCAUACGAUCAAAGAAAACAAACUUAAGUUCGGGCCCUAUUUCAAAUAUCCAAAACUUUAAAAGUACUAUUUACAAAACAACAGUUCGUAAACUCAGUUCCAUCACAAAAUUUUUAAACAACCUCAUGUACAAAGGAAAAACAAGAAACAUAAAGCGAAGCAUUUGAAGGACAUUCCCUUAUGGCAAUCACGUCUCCUUCUUGUCCCUCGUCAGUCUACCUCCUUUGUUACCUUUGCCUGAAAUAGUUAAACAUGAAAGGAUGAGUAUAAACAUACCCAAUAAGAGACCGCUAUUGGUCCCGUUAGGGGAAAAAGAAACUGUUAACUUUCUAUUGGGGUACCCUGCACAGUCACAGUCUUGUGAUCCCGUAGGAUACACAUAAUCAGUCUAACGCCUCAAAGGACGCAUAAAUCAGUCUAGUGUUCCGCAGAAACACAUAUCAGUCUAAUGCUCCCGAAGGAUGCACAUAUCAGUCUAGUGCUAUCGAAGGAUGCACAUAUCAGGUGGUGAUCCUGUAGGACACCUGCAAGGUAACUACCCAAUAGAAAUCUAACAAUUUUCCCCUCAAUCCAUUCUAAACAUCUUAAAACUCAUUCAUAGUACAGUCCAACUACUUCAACAUAUAAUCCUUUCACUGAACACCCUAAUAGUCAACUUAUCUCACUUUAGCCCAAUGUCCGCCAGUAACAUAUCAAUACAUCAGUCAAUCAAACUAUAUAGUCAUAACACCCCUCAAUUCACCAGUACACAACCAUACUUUAGUAUAACAUACACCCAAUCUAAACGACAAUCACAAGUUCACAUCCACAUUCCAUACAAACACAAUCUACAAUUGUCGUCCUGUCUACAUCCAUACAUAUUUAUAUAUAUAUAUUCCCAGACAAUCACAAUAUGCAUUCAACAUCAAGUCUACAUUCAUACGUAUAUAUAUCGUUUCGACAUCUUUACUCAAUCGGAGGUAACUAUACAGACAGCACAAUUCAAAACUAUAGGUGAGUCCAGUAGUAGAGAAUCCCUUAGCUUAUAACCUUACUUAAGCUUCUUUUUCAAACUAAAGUGCAACGAACCGACCUAAACAUAAUUGAAGAGAAAUCAAUCACUUCCACAAACAAUUUAAUCCAUUCAAUUCACUCUAUAUGUAAAUUCCAUAACUUACCCAAAUUGUGGAGAAUCAAAUUCUAACGGAGACGGAUCGGUGCAACAAAUAACCAAACAAUUCAAAUCUAAACAUACAUGGCGUGACGGAACCGGAGUGACUCGGGCUAACGGUGAUGCGACGAUACGACAAAAUUUGCUUGACGUUCGAUGUAGGUGGAAGACGGUGGUGAAGUUGAUUGGAGAAUGAAAAAGAAGGAAGAAAAGAGACGGUGGUGUGGCCGUAGGUUGAAGAGGAAGAGAAAGGAAGAAGAUGAAUAGGAAAAGAGAAAAAAUAAGAUUAAAUAUUAUAAAUAUAUAUAUAUAUAUGAAAUACAAAAAUAAAAGUAGAAUAACGAUGAAAUUUUGAAAAAUGAAAAUUUGGAUAAAGUAAAAUUUGAAAAUAAAGAUUUGAUAUAAAUCCAAUAUUUGGAGGAAAAAAAAGUGUGUUAAGAUAAUGUAGGAGAAAAUCAAUAUUUAUGCUAAAAUUUUGCAUAUUUCAAAAUUAGUUACAGUUUAACUAAAAAGCAGGCGAGGAGAUUUUAGGGUUAAUGAAAAUUCAAAACACAUGAAAUGCUCGUGUUUGCUAUUCUUCUAAUAAAAUUUUGCUAUUUUCUCAAAUGAGUGUAAUCCAACAAAAUGAAGUUGUGUGUGUGUGAACAAAAAUGAGGUAAAUAGCUUUGAUGAUGAUGGCAAAUGGGUAAAGAAAAUCUUAUCUUAUUCUUCACUUUUCAUUUAAUUGACAAAAAGUAACCAACCAUAUGAAGGGAAAAACAAAAUGCUCUCUCAGUUACUUUACUCAUUUCUUUGUUCUUUGUGUGGGAGAUAUUUGAAAUGGAGAUGAAUAUCAAAAUGAAAGAGAGAUUAUGCAUACACUGUGAGAAGCACACAGAAAAAUUGAAAAUAAAUUGAAAAGAAGAGAGAGAUAAGUCUGAGGGAGAAAUAUUCAUUUCCUUUUCAAAGUGAAUUGCAAAGAAAUUUUCUCAAAUUGAAAAGAAAGGAGAAAUAUACAAAGUCAGCCACCGCUUCUUCUCCCUUCAGUCUGCAGUUUUCGUCUCCCUCUCUUCUAUUAUUAAAAUAAAUAAAUAAAAUAUCACAACCCGACUUAACACAAACUAUUUACUCCAACUUUUUAAACUACAAAUUUAAUUUCUCAACUUUUAAACUAUUUUAAACUUACAAAUCUACUUUAUUCAUUUCUUCAGAUUUAUAUCUAACAAAUAAAAAAAAAUCAAAAUUUAUAGACACUUAAAACAUAAAAUUGAAAGACCUAUUAAACAAUUGAAAGGUUUAAGAGGUAACUAGACAAACUUUAAAAUUUCGAAGGGAAAGAAUCUUUUGUUUAACUAUUACAGUAAUUAAUUUUGAAAAUAUGUUAUUUUAGAAAAACUACAAGUGUUUGACAACUCUUUGAAAGCUAUUGAAAUACUCUCAAAUUGUAUUUUAAGCAAUUUUAAUAAAAAGAAAGUCUACAUAAAAAAAUUACCCUUUUUAAAGGAACAUCUUUUCUCUAAUCACUCCAAUGGAACUCAAACACGUACUUCAAGUUAAUUCUGGUAUCCAAGAAUCAGUCUCAUCUAACAUAAACAAGAACAUUCAACUUGAUAGAACUUCAUUACCUCAUUUUUACAAUUCCCAAAGUUACUAAAUGAAGGACCAUUCCUAAAACAUACUUACAUCCAACUUUCUCCAUGAAUAAACUUAUCGUCUUUUAUGUACUGAUGAAUAUAGAGAUGGAGCGAUCAGAGUUUGUUUAUGUACCAAAUUAGAGUGAGUUGAGAAAAGAGUGGAUUUACACAAGGACGAAAUGGCUGGCUGCUGCUUCAAAACUGAAAGUUAGGGUGACCUUGUUUCUCAUAGGGACUCAGCAAAUUAAGGGGCCUCCAAGUCUACUUCUUGUCUCAUUAUACAUGCCAUUAACCAUUCAACGUUGAAAGUCCAUAUCCCUUUUUCUACGGCCACCAAGGCUUCCUCCACGUCUUCCUCACAAGCCACAAAGAUCAUCUUCCAUACGUUGUUUACUUUAUCUAGCUCAUGAAUCACCUAAAUUUUCAAGCAUAAUGAAUUUGCCAAAUGAGAGAAAAAAUUAUGUAUAUACGACAAGGAAAUUGCAAGAAUUCACCCUAUCAAAAAAUAUUAAACAAAUUCUUGUUCUAGUCCCUAAAAUUUUCCAUCUUUUCCCAACUUUCAAAAUGCUUCCUAUGAGAUAUAUUCCAAUCACAUAUAGCAGAAAUGACCGAUGAGUAUUGGAUAAAUGAAUAUUAAUUGAUAAAAUAAUUUACAAAAUACUAAAACCGUUAGUUGGCUACGUUUUGGAAGCUCGAUGACUAAAAUGGAUGUUUUGAAAGUUCUAAGGCUAAAAUGGAAUUUAAAUCAACAUAAUAGUAAGUUCAAGAUCAAAGACAAGCUAAACAAUAAAAUGUUGCGAGCAGAAAACAAUCUAAUCAUAAUUAGAAACAUGGAUGUAUGUAUUUGUACACCAAAUCACAAAAAAUAACUCCAGAUUUUGAUCUAGAGACAAUUAAAAACUUGAACAAAUUUGAUAAUUAAAGAAACACGGAGAUGGCCAUAUGACCCCUUGUGCAUAGACUUUUUACAUUACAUGCUCAAUUCCUAGGAUCAAAACAAACAUAAAUAUUAAAGACUUAAGAAGCACAUACACACAAGUUUGGCUAGUGUAUCAAUAAACAAUAUGUAUGGAACACUCGGAGAACACAUGUUGAACACUAGUUAGUACAGUAGAUGUGUUAGACAACAAGUAUUCCAAUGCAAUAAAGGUCAAGAUUGGUCACACACACAUAUUAAACUCUUGGCUUUGAAUAAGUUUUGAGUGAAGGACAAGCUUAUUUUUAAGCAUAUAAAUACAUAAACUUAUUGACUUUGAAUUUCUAUAUAAAUAUGAUACAUACUUUUUAAAUUAUAUAUAUUAAAACUGUGUUCUAGCACUAUCCUAUAUUUUUAAGAAAAAAAUGACACGUCACCAUGUCUAUGAUUUAUUGACCCAUGUCUAGAAUUCGUAUACGUGCUUGUUUGUUGAGAACUUCACGUCUUCAUUAGAUGGGAGGAUAGCCAUAUUAUAGUGGUUGUAUAUGUAAUAUAGAGAACCAAACCUAGUACUCGAGAUUUGUACAAUAACAGAGAAAUUACAUUUCCACCGGCUGACUUGACUAUCAGGGAUAGAGUUUUAGGUGGUGGUUGAGCGUGAGCUGAUAUGCAAACAUCAUACCCUUCAAAUAAAGCUCAAGAACAUGCUUUUGCCCUGAGAACUGCAGCUUUUAGGCUGGCUCGAUACUUCGAUAUGUAGUCAUCAUCAUUUAGUAUGUAAGGCAACUCGUCUGCAGAUCCAUAAGGAAUUAAUCAAUCACAAAAAUUAGGUAGGAUGAAAAACAUAAGUGGAAGAAAAUACAUUACGCUUUGAUACUAGCAAGCCAUUCGAACUUACCAACAAAUCUGCCUUCCCGGUAGCUUUCCUUUAACCAACUGGAGGAGACAAUCCAAGCUCUGAGUAAUUUGCAAUUAUGAGCAAGAGCACACUGACACGCUUGAAGGCACAUGGUAAUGCAUAUGCUCGAUAAUCAUUGAGAACAUUAACAGGAGAAAAUAAAGUUAAGAACAGUAGCUUGAAGAACAAAAAACAUUCUACAACAUAAAAUCUUCAAAAACACAUUGCUUAAAAUCAAGUUUACUAAUAUAAAAGGUAAGAUAUUACGUUCCACUCUCCACACUACUGAAGUUCAACAUUUCACAUGAAAGAAAUGAAAUACUAUUCUCAAAUAUAACUAAAAAAAAGCAUAAAUCGUAAAGAAAAAGCAUAGAGAAAUGCAAAAGAAUCCUUGGCUUUGAUAUAUUGAAAGGUAAAGAAUAUCAACCAUAGAUGCCCGGAGAAGAACUCCUACAAAUACACACUUAACGCAGAUUAUCAUUCGCUAACAUGAGACCUUCUAGAGUUAUUCUGUUAGGAUACUUCCUAACAAGAACAAGAUCUUAAUUUAUUAUAAUGAACUAUAAGAAAAUACAAGAUAAAACCAAGUAUAAAGCACUUGGAACCUCCCUCUUGAGUACUCUCACCCAAGCCCUAAAUCACUCCCCAGAAUUCUCCCCUCACUUACCCUCCCUCCAUUUAUAAUAAGAUGUAACCACACUUACAUAAUAAUUACUAGUAACUUUCUAAAUAUCUAAUUACCCUUAUACCCCUAACCUUAUACUAAUCUAUCUAACAUUACCCGAUCCUUCAAAACACCUUGUCCUCAAGGUGUGCUUACAAACAUGAAAUAGUAAAACCCAAGAUUGUUCCUUUUGUCCUAAUCCUCUUUCCUACCAAUUUCUACCACGUCAUUGGAACCAUCAUGUGUGCAGCAACUUCUUCCUCGUCACGUGAUUCACCCCUAUUUCAGACCACCUUCUCGAGCCUCUGUAGAUCGGUAACUGUCGGCUUCUUCUUUCUCCAUUGCAACCAGCCAUUUUGUGUUUCUUUGAGCAACAAAUUUUUCUUCACUCGAGUCUUCAUUUGAGCCUCACAAGUAAUCCUUAUCGACCUUCCUCUAUAGUUUCUUCUUGGUCACUCUUUGCCAUCCUCUUCACCUUCAUUGUAUAACCGUUGCAAUCGCGUUUUCCUCGAUUCUUCUAUGGAUUCAGCAACUUCUUAGAGUCCAUCGAUUUAUGGACCUGAAGAUUCCAAUCCGUUCUAAAUAAACACAAUCCAGAUCAGUGCCACUGAACACAGCAUUUCAACCUUCUUGAAUUUGCUAUGAUCGUUCGAGUUUUUAUCCCUUUCAAACUUGUUUGUUUUACCUUCUACCUUGAUUUCCUUCAAUGUCUUACCUCCACCUUCGAUGAUACUCUCAAUCAUUGGUCCUUUGCUCGACGAUCCUUCCAUUCUUCCGGAGAUUGUCGAAUAAAAAGAACUUGACUUGGACCCUCUACUUCUCCCGAGCACGAAAGACGGCAGCCUCUACUUCUUUGGAAUAUUUUGUCCCUUUCUCCCUCCUCUUUCCUCCCUUUUAUUUUGCUUUACUAACAAACUAAUGGGAAAGAUCUCCUCCGAUAUUCUCUCCUCCUAUAAUCUCUCCUAUAUUCUCGUGUGGGUCAAUAUUACCCUUUUUAAUUCUUCUACUGUAUUUAAAUAAUAUUGGAGACAUAUACUUCCUAACAAGAACAAGAUCUGAAUUUAUUAUAAUGUAACUAUAAGAAAAUACAAGAUAAAACCAAGUAUAAAGCACUUGGAACCCUCCCUCUUGAGUACUCUCACCCAAGCCUUAUAUCACUCCCCAGAAUUCUCCCAACUUACCCUCCCUCCAUUUAUAAUAACAUGUAACCACCCUAGUUACCACACUUACAUAAUAACUACUAGUAACCACACUUACACAAUAACUACUAGUAACUUUCUAAAUAUCUAAUUACCCUUAUACCCAACCCUAUACUAAUCUAGGUAUCUAACAAAUUCCAUAACAUAAUGUAUUAGGGGAAGAAGGAAAUCGAGGAUAAAAACACUAGCUAGCCAACAAAUAUCUUUCAUUAGUGAGCUUGAGCCAUUUUACACGUAAAAUGAGAAAAGUAAGCCUGAAACCCAAAUUAGCCUAAUGGUUGUCUUAACAACCACUACCCACCAUCACGAUAGAAACAACUGAAAAGGAAGAGCAUGAUACAAUCCAACUCAAACAUAAGAAUUGAUUUUGAUGUUUAACUAAAAGUAAACAGGCAGUAGAAUAAGAAACUAUACCCUUUUAGAUCUAGAAGGUUCACAACAAUUUCUAGCCUAAGCACAACUACGAGGCAAUGGAAGAAUAACGGCAAAGGCCUUGUGUGCAUGGAAUCGCUAACUUUUGUGCAAAUGAGAUAAUUAUCGGUAUUCAAAGGCCAAAAGGACACAUAGAAGAGUGUUCGUCUAAGGCUGCAAGACUAACCCUAAAAAGAGAGCAAUACAAAAAUUUAGAGUUUUUCGCACUUUUCCUGUAAUGACAUGAGUGCUUGUACUCCCAUCAGCAGUGAGAGAACCACCAAGCUCCUCAAUCAUCUGAAUUAGAAAACAACUGCACAUUAGAGCAGUCACAAUUUGGAAUAAAUAGAACUUUUAAUUGUUAGAAUCUUAGAAUAUUUAUGAAAAGUUUAUGGGAAUAUUUUUCUUAAUUCCUAAAUAUUUUCCUUUUUUAUUCCUCUGUAUAUUCUAUUUAUUCUCCCUUGUACCUAUUGUAUUUUUCAUCAGAAAAUAAUAAGAAAAAAAAUAUAGUGGUUUUUCUCCUGGUACACAGGUUUCCACGUAAAGUUGUGUGUUUGUUUGUCUCCCUUUCAAUAUGGUAUCCGAGCAGGUGGUCCAAGAAGGUCUUGUGUUCAAGCCUCGCAUUGUCGUUUCCUCCCCAAUUAAAAUCCAUUUCCAGUUGUUGGGCCUUUCAAAUAUUUCAAGCCCACAAGUGAGGAGAGUGUUGGUGAUAUAUAAUUGAAUUUUCUUUCUUUUUUUAAAAAAGGAUACGAGUCUCACUAUUAUUAAUAUAAAGAAAGAGACAAAGCUCAAUAUACAUGAGGAAUAUACAAAGAGCAAAAAGGGAGAGGGAAGAUCAACAGCGCAUCCGGGCAUCUCAAACUAGGUUGACACCCCCUUAGUGCCCUCAAAACAUCCAAAAAGCGACAACACAAGAUCAAAACAAAAAGCCACAAAAACAGAGACAAACAAAAUGAUAAAAAGAAUCUUUCCAAAGCAAAAUCAUAAUCAAAGGCAGCAUGCUGAGAACAAAGAAGAAUAAGCCUUGAUUGGUUGAGCAAAAACUGUUUGAAGCAGAGGGCUGAUCCGAAAGUCCUGAUCAUCAAAGACUUCAAAGUGGGGAUGCUGUAAAGGCUGGCCAAUAUAACACAAUAUCCUACGUCGAAGAUCUUCUUUUGCAUUACAUUUUCUAAAAUUUCCAAUCCACUCUGUUAAAGGCCUUUUCAAGGUCUAAUUUAAUGAUCCAUCUUUUCUUUUUUCGGAUACUAUAGACCUCCACAGUUUCUUUUGCUAUUAAAAUAGGAUCCAAGAUUUGGCACUCUUCCAGAAAGCCACAUUGUAAUGGAGAAGUAUGUUAGAUUCUAACAAUAAAACACAAAAUAUCCUAACAAAUGGCUAAACAGAGGCAGCACUCUGUAAUUCUUUAUUUAUGUAAAAGCCAAAACACAUUCAACAGUAGUAGAUAUGAAAAAUAAAGGAAGAACAACAUAGAAAACUUACCCAACUCCUUUAUACGGGGCUGGAUACCCUCAGGCUACAACAACCUUUACUCUCCUUGAAAUAACAAAAAAAGACCUAGCCUCCCCUACCCCAACAUUACAUAUUUAUACCUCUCUCUCUCUUCCCUCCUGGCGGGCCCCACCUACACGAUCCUCUCCCAUUAUUCUCUCAUAAUUGGUUGCUAAGGAAUUUCCCUUUCUACCCUUCCUUUUAUAGGUAUAGAUAAUAGGAGGUCUUACAAAGUAAUACCUGGCCUGACUUUCUUUAAUCUUUCUGCGAGAACCUUUCCAAACAACUUAUAAAUUAAUGUUGAAACAACUUAUAAGCCACACUGUAAUGACCUUCCUUCUCUUGACCGAACUUCAAUAAUCGACAACUUAUAUUUAUCCAUAGUGCCUUUAUAAUACAACUGGCAAUCUCUUCUCUUUUGGUCUCCGGAAUCAAUGCUCUAUCUGGAUUAGCUUUCUUCAAAAGAUUUUUAAUAGCCAAUUUGUUUCGAAUGGCCCAUGGAAUCCUCUAGUGUUCCAAUGAUAUAAUCUCCAUCUUUGCUACCUCUGCCCUUAUAUCAAUUCAAUUUCACAUGCUGCCAAGAAAGGAACCAACUCUUGAGGGGGAAGGAUACUUGCUGACCUGCACAAAAUUUCUUUUUAUGGGGAGGAAAACAAUUUAAUAAAAUCUGGACCGAGAGAGUCACUGUCUGUUUUCUGUCUCUGAUUGAAUUAUUUCUUCCUCAACUGGUUCAAAUUCUGCACUACUUACACUGGUGACUGAUUCAACUUCCUUGAAUUCAUCUUCUAGGUUCUCAACUUUUUUUAGAUAAGAAGUAUCUUGCACAAAAUUAAAGAAUGAACCAGAAAGUUUGGAGGAGGAUUGAGAAAAUUUAUUACUUAAGGAGGAAGGCAGUACUGACCUUUUGCCAACUGAAUUUUGAAUUUGUAUCUUCACACAACUUUCCUCUAAUAAAUCAGAAUUAGUUAAGCUCAUCCAAAUGUUGCGAAAAGUUCUCCCUUUGGUAUAGGUCUUGAGGUGCUUAGAAAAAUUUAUGGCAUGAAAUGGAAUAGCUUUCAUUGCAGAGGAUAUUUUAGUCUUGGGAGAGGCUGGUAAUUUUGGUUGAGAACUGAAAACAGGAGAUGGCCCGCAAGUGAAGUUCCUUGAUGGAGGAGAGGACUCUGAUUCUUCCUCCAAUUCGUCAGAAUACCAAAAGCCAUUGGAAUUCUGUUUAAUAGAAUUCUUGGGGCCUACCAUCUGUGUGUCAGCUUUAAAAAUGUCUGCAAAUACAUUAAGUUUGAAAAAAUUUGGUUGGGGAGGGCUAGGUGAGCUGUUUUUUAGAUAAUAAAAUGCCGACUGGCUGCCUUUUCUUCUUUCGAGGUCUGUUUUUCUCUCUUUUCUGUUGAAGUCUUUUCCCCUUCUAAGUACAUGGAGAUGCCAGCUAUACCCAAAUUUGAAUUUUGCCUUCUGAAAUUAUUUUUUUUCGGCGAGGAUUCAAGGGCUGAAACUCUUUCCGGUCGAACAAGGUUUUCUUCUUCAUCACCCAACUUCCUAAGUGCUUCGAAAGGAUUUCUUGAGAUGGAUAAGCCAUUCUGUUUGAGAAAAUUAAGGUAUCUGGGAGACCAUCACUUUGGAGCCCUUCAUCUAAAAUCACUGAAUUUAUUCUACAUAAAUCAAUAGGAUUGGAAAAAUCACUUUGAAAUAGAUCAUAUUGGAUUAUUACAGGAGCUUCUAAGGGUUCAAAAUCCCCAAAAUUAAGGGAAAAUUUUUUCCGAACUUUAAUUCUUGCUUCAAAGAACUUGAUCAGAUUGAGUGUUUCUAAGAUUAUACUUUCUAGUCCACCAAAGUAGCUUAAGCUUAAGGCUAUAAUUGAAUUUUCUUUCAACCAUCAGCUUAAAAUUUUUGGUGAAUCGGUGGUUUAAUAUUUAUAUUAAUAUUUUAUAAAAAAGUAUACAGCUAAUGCCAUAUAAAAUAAAUAAAGAAAUACUAUAAAAUCUACAUCCAUAAAAUAUGCAUGUGAACACAUAUCAGAAGAUGGAUAUUCGUAAGUUAGAAAGACCGAUAACAAAAUGUCAUAAUUAAACAACACAUUAAUAUUAUAGGUAGUUUCAAGCUUCAUUUGUCUAUUUAGGUAGGGAUAUUGAAUAACUCUUAAAAAUAAUAUAAAGAUUGAAUCCCUAAACUUCAUGUGCUUGCUAGUAUACAACCUAAAAGUUCAAUAGUUAAAGAAACUGAUUAAUCAUUUUUGGCAGGAUGUCAGAUUCGCCUUUCGAAAUCCUACAUGAGUAGAGCUAGCCAAAUAAGCCAAGCAAGAUAUGCCUCUUAAGGAAUAUGGAGAAAAUGGCUGGGUAUGUAUAUGAUAAGCCUUAACCUCAAUUUUAUUUAUCAAUAAUGGAGGGAAGGAAUCAGAAGCUUCUCUAGCUCUCCCAAUUAUUCUAAGAAACCUGAUACAAGCUAUGCCAAAACAUACCCUCCCCAAACAAUCAUAAUAGUAUUUAUAUGAAAGCAUAAAAGACUCAUGGCCCCCUUAACUAGCAGCAUUCAACCAACAAAACAACUUCCCAUCCUCCUCUCCUGAAUCCUUUCUUGUGCCUACGGGUGUACACCUUCACUACCAUGGGCCUAUCAGUAUGUAGAGAUCGUAGAGGCUGUAUGAGCUAAGGAGCUGGAAGAGUAGGAUUAGGGAAGUGUGGAGUUUUCCGCUCUUUGUUUGGCCAAAAGUGUUUGUGGACUCCCGACAAGAAAAUUUAAAUUUUAUGCCUUAUUGACUUCGUAUGUCCUAGGCCCUAAGAGUUCAAAACUUUCUAGAUUUCACAACUUCUUGGACCACUCCUUGUGCCAAACACCCCUUUAUAGAAUACUAAGCCAAGGAUAUAAAACUUCAAUACUAUCAAUAGAAAAUCUCAUAAAAGAAACAUGAAUGAUGAAUAUUUUAGAAGACUAUAAAUUGGUACCGUACCUUCAUGAGCUGAGUUUUCUUAGUUUCGUCUGCAAUGUUCAUCAGCAUAAUUUUAAAUGGUUUUCCUAAUGUGUUCUCUUCAGAAUUGAGGUCCUCUAAUGCCACAUUUACACUUCCAAAUUCUUGACAGAAAUUUUGUGUACACUGAUUGGUUGGAUUUUUAGGAUAAAUACUUGAUAAAAUCUCAUGCUUUGAAUUGGCUAAAGAGCAUCCUUGAGAGCAGGUAUCGUAUACAUCACUUUCAGGAUCAAGAUUUUUGUUAGAGUGAGAAUGAAAAUGGUCCAGAUUGACUCCUUUUACUUUCUUUGACUUCAAGGAAGAAAGUGAUGCUUCCCAAACUCUCUUUGCGCUAUGUUUAGAGCAAGAACAAUGUGUCUCAUCCAAAUUACCAAGAGUAUUGGAUAAUUCUACAAUACUAGCUGUCGUGUUGUUCUCUAUUUCUGCAAAAGAAACCGGACCGUUGCUAUCAUGCACUGCAUCCUGGUUUUAAAUAAACCGUUAUGAGAUAAUUAAGCAACAUAUGGAGAAUAAUUUAAAUUGUACUAUCUUGUGGAACAAAACCUGAAUUACAUAUACCCUGAAUUUCAUUUUCUUCUCCAAGGGGCACUAAAGUUACAAACUCGUCAUGUUGAAAAUUCAAAUUUUGAAUGGUAUGCUGAUCAGUUGAAUUUGAAACGUUGCAACCUCGAUUGGCAACACUGAUUCUUGCAGCAUACGGGGCUUCAGGCUUUUAUAGAGAAAGUAACUUUGGAAAGUCAGUCGAACACAUUGAAAUUCCCUGAAUGUGCGAAAUCCAUGGAUUUUAUUACACAUCCCAAAGGUUAUAAUCAAUUAGUUCUCGAAGUACGCCACCUUCAUCCCCAUUACAAAACUAUGUUCUGUCGAGCUGAUAGCACACUUGUUCUUUAAGAAUGUCUUGAAGUGAUGGGAGUUCCAUCAAGCAUUGUGAGUGACAGGGAUGGUAGAUUCAUUGGUACUCUCCGGACCGAACUAUUCGCCUUCUUGGGGACACGCCUAAAUAUAUCCUUAAGCUGCCAUCCUCAGACGAAUGGCCAAACUGAAGGAUUCAAUUGUAUGCUUAAGGAAUAUCUACGACAUUUUGUUGUUUUGACAAAAGAAUUGGGCCUAGUUGAUGGAUGUGGCUCAAUUUUGUUUUAAUGCACAAACUAGUCUAUCCACAAGAACGAGUCCUUUCGAAAUCUUGAGUGGAAGACAACCUAUACUGCCUCAUAUUGUUGAUCAUCCUUAUGCAGGAAAAAAUCCUCAAGCUCAUAACUUUACGAAAAAGUGGGAGAAGACUACGAACAUCACUCGAGCAUACUAAGAGAAAGUCUCGAAGCGUAUGAUAAGAAGCAUCAUCCUCUCAAGUUUUGAGCUGAAGACCAACUCUUCAUAGAGUUUAAAGCAAAGAAAAUUUGAUUUAGAGGACAUCAACAUCAGCAUCUCAUAGAAAAUACGAAGGGCCUGUUGAAGUUCUGAAGAAAAUUGGAAAUGCAUCCUAUGGGUAUCGUUGCCUGCAUGGAUAAAAAAUCAUCUAGUAGCUCAUGUGAGCAACUUGAAACCUUACCAUCAAUAUCAGAUGACCAGUAGUGCAACAAUGGUGUAUGGUCAUCUAGUGACCUAAAGCAGAAAGACGAUAAAGAAAUGGAAGAAAUCCUUCCUAAGAGAGUGAGGAAGGGUAUACCCAUGAAGAGGAUACAUGAAUUCCUACUGAAGUGAAAGAACCUCCAUGUGGAAGAAACACGUUAGGAAUGUGCUGAAGACCUUGAAGCGUGAAAUAAGAAGAUCGAGGAAUUCUAGCUUCGCCAGUCGACAGGGACAUCAAUUGUUUAAGUGGGGGAGAAUGUAACAAGCAUGCUUGUCCAGGGCGCUGUUUGCUUAUGGCCGCAUGCCCAAACACCCCAAUUUACAUUGUUUUAAUGUUUUGUAUUUAGUUUUACUUUUUGCUUUCCUUUUUAUUUCAUAAACCUUGGGUGUGACUUGGCUUUUUCUUAUGCAAGCCUACCAGAACUAAAAAAGUCUAAAAUGUACUAUAGAUGGGACAUAGUAGUUGAAUCCCUGCCCAAGCCUUGUUGCACUCUUCGCAAUCAAAGUUUUUCUUUGCAAUUGACAGUCUUCAAUGCUUGCUUUAACGAUAUUUUCAUUGAAUUUCUUUCUCCUCACGUUUUAUAAAACAUUUUCUCAAGAACGUGAAGAGAGGCUACAUCGUAUCAUGUGUUUGUCCGUGGUUUUUAGAUUUUGAUCAGCUAACUUGUUGUCUACGUAAAACAAGUGCAACAUAAUCGCUCCUCUCGUGUUUCAAAGCUCGCGAUUGUGACACAAGAAAUGCACUAGCCAAGAAUGCACACGAGGAGGGCUACACAAAAUGCCAAGCACGCAACCAAGUGAGGUUCACAAUGUGCUUGUGUGUGAGGUUAGCACGCAGGCAUGCCCAACGCGUGUGAAAAGCCUCUUGUGAGAUUCACACACAGUAGCCAGCGCCCAACCAAGGCCCUGCCGCCCAUCCAUUCGUGCCAGGCAAUGUCAUAUUGCGUGUUGAGCUAUUUUUGGUAAUUUUUUGAGUUUUUUAAGUAUACUUUUGAUAUUUUCUUGGCAAAAGAUAAUUAAUUGUACUAUUUUACCAUUAUUUCAGGACAUGAGAAGAUCGUAAAAAUUUAUAAACCAAGGAUUUGAGCUUGUAUCUGUGAGUGGAAAAUGUUUUAUUUAAAGUGAUUUCAAGCAUGUUCUUAAGUCAUGAUUUAUGAUAAAAUGUUUAAGUUAUGUUAUAAAAAGUCUUUCAAGCGUGUUAUUGUUUAAAGGUAUUUAUUCAAGCAUAUUGUUUACUCUUCAAAAUGCAUAAUAUUCAAAAUGUUUUCCCACUUUCUAGGUAGAGAUCGUGUCCUCUAAGCCUAACUUGCUGCUACCUGUCUACUAAAGGAAUUCAUUUGUUAUCGUAUGUGCCCUGUUAUUUUGCACUAAUGAUAAAUUAGAGUCUUUUGUGCUAUCAGACUUAGGCUUUUGGGAAGGUUUUAUAAGGUUUUGUUCUAGAUAAAUAAGAUUACGUUUUGUCUAUGUAAAACUUGUCUAAGGUUGUUAAAUGAAAAAAGGUUUAGCCCAAUUGGUUUUAGUAAAAUUUAUGUGUUAUGUUUCCGCUGUUAUUUAGAGUUUAAAGGUUCAGGCUAAGGGUCAGAUGGUGUCGUUCUUGACGUGGGUGUGAUAGCCUAAGUUGGCUUAUUAACAGUUAAAAUGUAAACAUGUCCAUAACAAAAUAGUCGGGCAAGGCCUAUGUGGACCGACUGGUAAAGGUUGAAGAUCAAAUGCUCUACCUAAUGAAAGUUCCUAACUCAAUUCGCUUCUUGGAAACCCGCCUUGAAGAAAUUUUUUAGAAAGCUGAUGCUAUUAAUUAAACCACCACCCAAAAUCUUAAGGUAGUGAUUAAAAGUAAAUUUAAUUAUAUAUCACUAACAAUCCCCCACUUAUGGGUUCGAAAUAUCUAAAAGGUCCAACAAGUGAAAAUCAAUUUUAAUUGGGCCUGAAACACCAAUACAGGGACUUGAACAUAGGACCUUUUGGACCACCUGCUCUAAUACCAUAUUAAACCCCAAAUUCACCCAAAAGCUUAAGCUAGUGAUUGAAGGUAAAUUUAAUUAUAUAUUACCAAAGUAUGAGGUUUCAUCACAAUACCAAUUGGCAAUGAGAGGAGUAGCUCAUCUAUUUUAUAAGGAGUCUAAGUUUCCUUGGUUUUUCAAUUGUGGGAACAUGCCCCUUCAAGAUGGUGCCUCUUUGGUUUCACCUAUCUUGAACCAAAUAUCCGUUUAGGCUUAAUGAGCUCUAAUACCAUAUUGAAAGCAAUAUAUACGAAACCAAAGCUUACGUGAAAACGCAAGAAUCGAAAGAAAAGCAUUGUGUUUGUAGUUUUAUUAUUUUUAUGAUAAUUACAGAGGUACAGUUGGUGGUUUAAUAUAUAUCACUAACACUAUUGCUGCAAUGAUCGAUCAUCUCGAUGGAUUACCCAUUUAAGAGUUGUUGACAAGAGUUGACACUCUAGAAUCAAAAGUUGUAAGAACUAGAUUUGUAAUUUAUGUCCUAAAACUCGUUGUAAUCAUAAUCUAUUCAAUAAAGUCGUUAUUGAUACUAUAAUCUUAAACCUGUCAUUUGCAAACCUGUCAAAGCUCAAAAAGUCUAAACUGUACUAUAGGAGAGAGCCAAUAGUUGAAUCCCCAACCAUGUCUUAUCGUAUUCUUUAUAAUCAAAUUUUUAUUUUGCAAUUGAAAGUCUUCAACGCUUUCUUUAAUGAUGUUUUUAAUGAUAUUCUCUCUCACAUUUUAUAAAACAAUUUUUUCAAGAACGGGAAGGGAGGUUAUAUCAUAUCGUGAGUUUGUUCGUGAUUUUUGAAUUUUACAUGACUGACUUAUUGACUGAGCAAAACAAGUGUUCUUCAAUUGUCCAUUCCAUGUUUGAAAGAUUUCGAUUGUGGCACGCAGAGUGUCACAAGUGGGCUUGUCCAAGGCAUUAUUUGCCUAUGGCCGCAUGUUCGAAUAUCCUCAAACCACUUUAUCUUUAUGCUUUGUACUUAGUUUAGUCAACUGCUUUCCUUUUGUUGUCACCGACCUAAGGUGCGUCGUUUCGCAAUUUUCAUAUGCAAGGUUGUCAAAGCUAAAAAAGUUUAAGAUGUAUUGUAGGGGAGCAUGGUAGUUGAAUCCCCAACUAAGGCCUAUUGUGAUUUUUGCAAAUCUAAGCUUUCUUUGCAAUUGACAAUAUUCAAUUUUUUUCUUUAAGGAUGUUAUCAAUGUUUUCUUUAUCUCUCACGUUUUAUAAAACCAAUUUCACAAGUUUGUCCGCAACUUUCAAAUUUCACAAGUUGCCUUGUUCAUCAAUUUAGAACAAGUGUUGCACAAUCGCCCGUCCCGUAUUUGAAAAGUUGCAUUUGUGACAAGUGUAUUAAAGCUUUGUUAGCUCCUUCGCUAAGCGAGAUGCAAUUAUGUCGACAAUGAAACAACUAUCAAAGUUGCAAUCUAAGCGACUGACUGAGAUUGAAGAGGAAUUCUUGGAUAUGAAAGAAUUGCCAAAGAAGUAAGAUUUCUCCAGACCCGGCUUGAGAUGUUUAAAGAAAAAGUCAGAGAAAUAGACGCAUUGAAUGCCUAAAUAGACAAACUACCCAUAAAUGAAUUGCGCUGAGGGUUAUUCGUUAGAACAUAAAACCACCAAAGUAGGUAGUUUUGAACGUGGAAGUAGCCUUCAAGUUCUAUCGCACAAAUGGAAGAGCGUGUCGAAGAGUUUUGGCUUUUGACAAAAUCCAACAUAAUCAGUUAUAUUUCAAGAAAGAGAAAAGUGUUUUUGCUAAAUAGCGUAUAAAUUUUCUAGGUCACAUCAUCGAAUGAUUUGAAUGGACGAACAUAAGUUGUGAGCUAUUAAGGAGUGGAGAGCGCCCACUUCCGUGAAAGAGUUACGUUUCAUCCUUCAAUAUAUUCUAAAAUAGGGUUCACCUACUAUCCUCUAGAUUCAGUACCGGGAGAAAGAAAUAGAUGGAAAAAGAAAUGGGCUUGGUAAUUUUUUUUUCUAUGUAAAUAAGAAAAAGAAAUCCAAUUUGGUACAAAGCCCAAAUUCAAUAGCCAGCCCAUCAAAUGAGGUCAACGACCCUAUUUAAUAAGGAUUUUCCAUACAAAAUUGCAUGUCCAUGGAAUACUAAAGUCCAACAACUCAAAGAUCUAUUUCUAAUAUGAAAUUCGAUGGCUAUAACACAUAUACUUGUCAGUUUCUCUCUCUUCUCCCAAUUCGAACAAUUCGACUUAUUCCAUCACACUGUUUUUAAGUUUAUUCCAUAUGAGCUAGCAAGGGAACUAAUGGACUAUAUAUCAUGGACUCCAAUGAUUCAAGAUUAAUUGACUAAAUUCUUAUAGACUGAGUUAAUCAACAUUCGUUAACUAACGGGUCAUUCAUGAAUUUACUGGAACGAUUCAGGAUCACCUCAUUUGUACUAACUACAAAGCGGACGACAUCCACAGUUUCUCUGAAAAAAUCUGGGUUACUACAACAUCACCACGAUGUAAAAUUUUUCCUGAUAAGAUGGUACUUACGUUCGAUAUGUUUUCCCCGUUUACGACUUUUAUGUUCUCUUGAAUUUGCAACUGCACCACUUUGUGACAGUAUAAAGUGAUUGAUAGAUGCAUAUUUGGAACGACUUCCAGAUCUGUCAAGAAUUUUCUUAGCCAUAAUGCUUCUGUUGUUUUCAAAAGUUGCUACGUAUUCUACCUCCAUUGUGGAAUCAACUAUACAAGUUUGUUUUAUGCUUCUCCAAACUACUACUCUUCUAUUUAGAGUGAAUACUAAUCCUGAUGUAGACUUUCUAGCAUCUUUAUCAGUUUGAAAAUCAUAAUGAGUGUAUCCAGUAAGGAUCAAAUCUUUUGUACCAUACACGAGAAUGUAGUGUUUUGUUCUUCAAAGAUAUUUUAGAAGAUUCUUAACGGUUGUCCAAUGAUCACGUCCAAGAUUGGACUGAUACCUACUGACCAUCCCUACUAAGUAGCAAAUGUCAAUCUAGUACACAACAUUGCAUAUAUCAAACUUCCAACAGCGGAAGCAUAGGAAAUUUUCUCAUAUCCUCAAUUUCUUGAGGUGUCUUAGGACAUUGUUCCUUUGACAAAUGAAUUCGUAGAUGUAUAAUAGCAUACCCUUUUUGGAAUUCUACAUUUUAUAUCUAGACAACAUUUUGUCUAUAUAAGAUGCUUGAGACAUGGCUAGUGUUUUGUUCUUGCAGUUCUGUACAAUUUGGAUCUUAAGAACGUAUUGUGCAUUUCCCAGAACUUUCAUUUGAAAUUGCAUAGCUAGCCAUUUCUUGAUAUUAGUAUGAAAUCCUAUGUCCUUUUCCAAUAAGUAGAAUAUCAUCUACAUACAAGACUAAGAAUACUACAAUGGAAUUGACGACCUUUUUUGUAAACAUAAGGUUCGUCAACCUUUUGUAUCAAAGCCAUAAGAUUUGAUCAUAGUAUCAAAUCUUAUAUUCCAGGAUCUAGAUGUUUGUUUUAAUCCAUAAAUGGAUUUUUGAAUCUUACAAACCUUUUGUUCUUGAUCUUGAUCUAUAAACCCUCUAAUUGAGUAAUAUAGAUACUCUCUUCAAGAUUGUCAUUCAAAAAAAGUUGUCUUGACAUCCAUCUGCCAAAUUUCAUAAUCAUAAAACGUGGCGAUGCAUAAGACUAUUCUAAUUGACUUUAGCAUGGCAACGAUAGAGAAAGUUUCUUCAUAGUCUAUGUUAGAAAGAGACAUGCGCAGUGGAAAAAUGGAAUACAAAAUUACCCUAAUUGCACCUAUUUAACUUGCAACCCUAAAUUAAAAGAAUUAGGGUUUAGGAAAUAUUAUACCUUUGUAUCUAUUCGAAUAUGAACGUCUAUACCUCUCACAAAAUUCCAAAAGUUUUUGAAACCAAAAUGUAACACCUUAAACUUAGGAUUUGGAAUUCGUAUCUCCAGCAUUCUCUGCAUCCCCUGCGACCUGGCAGCAUCAUCCUUACUAUUCUUAAAAACUUAUUAGAAUGAAAUUCCUCUUCACAAACCAACACGAAAUCUUUCAGCAUGCUUUUCCUCACUCACAUGCAUCCUAGGAAAAUUUCCAAGAGGUCACCCAACAUAGAAUUUCUUCAAGCUAAGCACGCUUAACUCUGAAGUCCCUAUAAUCGAGCCACCGAAAAAAAAAGGUUCACAUUGUUGGUAUAGGUAUUAAGUUUUAAUUCUUUUCAGUCUUUCUUAACAUGACUUUCAUGUCCUCAAGGUGCACCUUGUCGGUAUACUUGUCGAUUUCUCUCUUUUCUCAAUUCAAACAAUUCGACUUAUUCCAUCACAAUGUUCUAAGUUUAUUCCAUAUGAACUAGCAGGGAAACCUAAUGGACUUAUAUAUCAUGAGCUCCAACGAUUCAAGAUUAACUGGUUAAACUCUUUUAGACCGAGUUAAUCAACAUUCGUAAACUAACGGGUCAUUCCACUAAAGUCUCGCAGUUGCACUCCCCUCACUAUAGAUAUAUUCUUGUCCAUUUAAUAUAACCAUGAUCAAUAAGUUAAUCCUUCACAUGUUAUUCGUAACCUCGAAUGGAUGAAAUUACUGUUUUAUCCUUGAGACUACAUCUUAUUUCUUAAGUUUCAUUGAUCCACUAUUGAACAAUUGGUUUAAGGUCCAACCUAUAAACUUAAUCCCUCUCGGCUAAUGUGAGGGUGGGGCCCCUUGUUCAAGACUUGGAUUCAGUGCUUAAGAGAACAACCUAUCUACUAACCCUAAAACAGGUAGAAAUGAAUUUUGUCUUGCAUCCUAUGUUCCCAGCCAUUCAUCUGAUCUUACCCUUGAAAUAGGAGGCUUAUUGGAGAACGUUGAUGAGAUACCCUCACCUAUGCAGAUGUAACCCUAAAACAAGUAGAAGUGAAUUCAGUCUUAUGUAAGUACUUUACAGUGCUUAAGAGAACAACCUAUCUACUAACCCUAAAACAGGUAGAAGUGAAUUCUGUCUUGCAUCCUAUGUUCCCAGCCAUUCAUCCGAUCUUACCCUUGAAAUGAGAGGCUUAUUGGGAGAACGUUGAUGAGAUACCCUCACCUAUGCAAAUGUAAGGAUAAUCUCAUGUGAACAGGAGUUCAUAGUUAGCUUAGGAUUAAGAUUAAGCUACCUAAGUCAUCAAUAAACGAAAUAGUCAGUUCUAAACAGUAAACGGUGUUAUAACGUAAAAGUGACUAUUUCAUGGAUCAGUCUUAUGUAAGUACUUUACAUAGGAUGCCCCCACUUUCAUGUCUCUACAUGAACAAUUUAGGAUCACCUCGUUUGUACUAAUUACAAAGCGGGUCACAUCCGUAGUUUCUCUAAAUAAGGCACUAUAGACUAUUUAGGCUAUACACUCGAACUUGAUCCACGUUUAUGUCUCGACAUAAAGUUCAAAUGUAUUAAAAAGCAUUAAGACUUAGUUUAUUGGAUUUAAGAUUAUAAUUUUAAAUUUUUCAAUAACGAUUUUAUUGAACUGAAUAUGAUAACAAACUACGAGUUUUAGGACAUAAAAUCCCAACAUAUGUAUUUUUGCCUCUAAUAAUAAUGUUGAAAGAUGUUUGUUGUCAUUUCAUAUGGGUGAUAUCUCUUCUGGUUGGACAUAGUCAGGUUUUGUAAUGGGUGACUUUAACGCUAUCAAAAUGCAUUUUGAGGCUUUUGAUAGGUCUUCUGUUCCUAUGGAUAUGGAGGAGUUCGAUAUGGCUAUUUGCGAGGCUUAUUUAGUUGAACCUACAGUACAGGGUAACUGGUUCACCUGGACUAGAAAGGUUCAUGGGUCUGGUUUGAUAAAACGGUUUAAUCGUAUUCUGGUUAAUGGUGUUGGAUUACCGCAUGCCUUCGGGUAUUUCUGAUCACUCCCCUUUUAUUUUAUCCCAACUUUUAGCAGAGACAGUGGGUAGUUUCUUUUUGUUUCUUCAACCAUUGGGUUGAGGAUUCUUUGUUUAUUGAUGUUGUCUCUUCGAUUUGGAGUCACCAUGUAGGAGUUUCUCUGAUUGUGAGUUUCGUGAGAAAUUUACAUAACCACAAGCCUACCCUCCAUAGACAGUUUGGUAAGCACAUUUAGAGCCUAAGUGAGGAGGUUCGUAUUGCUAAAGAGUCCAUGGAUAAACCAGAGAAAGGUUGGGCAAAAUCCUAUGUCUGAUGUUUUGAGUCGCCAAGCAGGUCUUGCCAUUGAGGCCUUUUGGACGGCUGUUAGAUUGGAGGAAGCCUUCAUGUGUUAGAAGUCCAAGAGGUUUGUGAUUUGCCUUAGAACUUGUGUUACCUCCUCGAUGUUCUCCAUUAUGAUUAAUGGCUCUUUCAAGGGUUUUUUAAUGGGAGGAAAGGUUUGCGGUAGGGUGAUCCUUUAUCUCCUUUCCUUUUUAUCAUGGUGAUGGAGGUCCUCUCUCGUAUGUUCAAUCGGCCUCCUCCGAGCUAUCAGUUUCACAGGCAUUGUGAGAAGGUUAGCUUAACUCAUCUGACCUUUGCUAAUGAUCUUAUGAUUUUUUGUACUGCUGAUGAUUCCUCUCUGAGUUUUAUUAACGAGACUAUUCGAAAGUUUGGUGAUCUCUCGGGCUAUUUACUAAUCUUAGUAAAAUUUCUAUGUUUGUUGUAGGGGUUAAUAGUGAUGAUGUUUAUCGUUUGACUACCAGUUUGGGUUUUGUCCUCAGGCAUCUCCCUGUUCGUUAUCUUGGGCUUCCUUUACUUUCUGGGAGGUUACGACCUACUGAUUGUGCUCUCUUAUUCAACGUAUUACUAGUCAGAUUCAUUCUUGGUUUGCUAGAGUUUUAUCAUUUGCAGGUAGAUUGCAACUGGUUCGAUAUGUGCUUGAUAAUCUUCAGGUUUACUAGGCUAACGUGUUUGUGUGCCUGUGAGUGUGCAUCAUGAGGUUGAUAAAAUCUUGAGGUCUUAUCUUUGGAGGGGUAAGGAGGAAGGUAGAGGAGGUGUUAAGGUGGCGUGGGCUGAGGUGUGUUCCUUUUGAGGAGGGUGGUCUUGCUAUUCUUGAUGGGCUUCUUAGAAUGUUGUGAGUACUAUGAAGAAUCUUUGGUUGUUGCUGACUAGUUCGAGUUUUCUAUGGGUUGCUUGGGUGGAGGCUUAUAUUCAUAAAGGAAGGUCAUUGUUCAGGUCGAUUCUUGUGUUGGUCGGUCUUGGUGUCUUUGCGCUAUCAUGUGUAAACGAGAUAGUCUAAAAGAGCAUGUUCAGAUGGAGGUUGGGGAUGGUAGGCAUUGUAAACUGUGCCUGGAUCCGUGGUUGCAGGGUGGUCAUAUCCUUCAACAAGUUGGUGAGAGAGCGCUUUAUAAUGUAACGAGUAGAUAGGAGGCUAGGCUCUCUAAGUUUAUUGGUUCGAAAGGGGAGUGGAGGUGGUCGAGGGUAUCUUUGGAUUUGAUUAAUUUAUCGGAUAGGGUUCAAGUUGUAAGUUCGUGUCCUAAUGUUGGUGAUAGGUGGGUUUGGGUUCUUGGUCGUCAUAGUGGUUUUUGAUUGCUAGUGCAUGGGAUACUAUUCAUCCUCGUAGUGUUAAGGUUCGUUGGAGGUUUCUUGUGGGGUGGGGAUUGAGAGUCUCGUUAUCAUUUGUUUUUUCAUGUCCUUUUGGGUGUGAUAUUUAGUCUCGGGUCCUUUAGGUUAUGGCUUCCUCUCACAGGAUUGGGUAUUGGGGGGUUGAGUUGUUUGGGUUUGUCAUUAGAGUAUUGGUAAGGGUGUGAGAAGGAAGUUGUGGUAUGUUCUCUGGUGUGCUACGAUUUAUUUUAUGUGAAAGGAGCAUAAUCAUUGUCUCCAUGGUGGUCAAGCUCGUGAGCUCAUUGUUCUGUUUCAGCUUAUUCCAUAUUGUAUCAGUGCUCGUGUUGUUUAUUUGCGUGAGGAUGCUCAUGGUAUUAUUUAGCUUGUUUUCUUUUGAUUUUUGUUUUAUCUGCUUGUUCUCGGGCUGUGGGGUUGUUUGGACUUUUUAUGUUUUUGUUGCUCUUAAUUUUGUUGGGUUUAUUAUUGUUCUUUCUUUUGAUACUUUGGAUUCUUCCUGUUUUUGUGAGCAUUGUCCGCUCUUGUGAGGUCAUCCUUGUUGUAUUAUGAUAUUAACUUUUCAAAAAAAAAAAAGAUAAUGCAAUUCAACUUUAGAUAGAAACAUGAUUCGAAUUUUCAUUUCAAGAAAAUACAAGGGGACAGAACUCAAGGAUUAUGUGGAUCACAAAACUUGAAUUACUAGAAUCUAAAUUUCCAUAUGUUAGAUAUCAUUAGAAGCAGUUAGACCAAAAGUUAAUUAUCAAUAUGUUAGUUCACAGGAACUGCAUAAUCAAGCACAUAAACAUCCACAUUGUCAUUCAUUGUAGGCAGCUUUGAUACACAAAAAAUAUGGAUAUUUUCAGAAGUUCAAGCAUACACAAAAAACAUAUCCUUGUCAGAAAAUAGCCAACUAAGAAAGAGAAGUUCAAGAUUUAUAUACAAAGUGCAGCUGCAAAAGGACAAGCAAGAUGCCAGAAUCUAUAUAUUAUGCAGUCGGAUAUUAAUUGGCAAGUACUAACAGCAAAGGUACCAAAAUAAAACUGUAUCAAUUUAUCUUGUCUAAAACUAAACAGUAUAUGUAAAUCUUGCAAACAAACAAGUUUUUUGAAUCAAAACUGUCAAAAGAUUUUGAUUCAAGUGAUAUGUGGAUUGUGAUCUUUUGUGUCACCCAUCCAUUCCUCCUGUUUUAACCAUUUAAAUCAAUAAAUAAUUUUAUGUUCAAACAUAAGUUGGACAACCUUUGUUAAAGAACUGCUUCCCACAAAAAUAGCAUUAACCACCCUUUUUUAAUUCAACAUGGGAAUAGAGAUCGAAUCUCUGAUUUUUUGGUCUAAGGUACCUUUCCUAAACUUGUCGAAUUCCAUUUUCUACACCAACUUUAGAACGAGUAUAUAUACAUCAAGUAAUUUCAUGUUCAACUCAAAAUUGGACAACCAUAGUAUUACUCCAAAGCAAACAAUACUAAUUGUUCCAUUAAAUGUUUUUUUAUAGCUCUUGAUUGUCUCACUUUUUUGUAUUUUGAAUUUACAAGCCUCUUUUUUCUUUCUUUGGUAUGAAAGGUGGCAACUAGGCCUUGCUAGAACGAGUGGGGUAACCUUUCUAUGGUUCUACACUUAGUUUCGAAGUUCGAAGUUUUCCUCCUACAGUGGAUCAUCGCUAUUGAUUCUUCUACUGUUAAUUCGACCUCCCACGAAUUCUCUUCUUCUAAGGAUUCACUUUUCUCUAAGGCUAUGCACUUACUAAAAAGCCUUGAUCUUCUUCCCCCAAUGUUUUCAUAAACUUCUUAAGACAGACCCUGACCUUGGUUAGGCUCGGAUCUCCUUGGAUUAUCACCUUCUUCCCCUGAUAUGUAAAUGUUAACAUCAUAUUCUUCCAAUCCACUCCAGUCGUUCCCAAGGAAUACAAUCACUGCAUUCCAAGUAUGGCAACUACCCCUCCCAACUUCAAGGGUAAAAACUCAUUCACUACCUUCUAGUCUCCCAGCAUUAACUCAACAUCUUCACAAAUUACCUUCCCUUUGACUACAGUGCCCGAGCCCAAAAUAACUCCAUAAUUCGACGUUUCUCUUAUACUCAGUUGCAACUCUUUCACUAUUUUUUUCUGAAAUGAAAUUGCGUGUGACUCCACAAUCAAUUAGUACUAUAGGCACCUUCCCUUGUAUCAUCUCUUUUACCUUCAUUUUCCCUAGGUUGGAUAAUCCCACCACAUAAUUAAUGGAUAAUUCCACACUUGACUCUCCUCUACGAUCUCAGGGGCAUUCAAUUCUUUCUGAUCAAUUCCUCCUUCUUCAAUAAUUUCAUACUCCUCGCCUUCUUCCUUCACAACAAUCAUUCGCAAUUCCCUUUGCUCUUUCAUCUUGCAUUUGUGGUCAUGAGAAUAUUUCUCAUUACAGCGAAAGAAAUCCCUUCUUUCUAGAUUGAAAUUCAGCAUCAAAUAAGUGCUUCGCUGUCCCUCUUUCCGUACUUCCUCUUUUGUUGUUCCUCGUAGAGUAAUAGUUCUCAUCGGCCAAUUCAUUCCUCCUUUACUUUCUUCUGUAUUCGCAAUGGUAUUAGGCUUGGUGCUAUUAUGGGAGUUUAUCACCUUUUCUCCAGAAUAUCUAGAAAGAUUUGCUUCCUGACAUAUAUCUUCCUUGUUCUCUACCUUUUGCGCGAUUCGUAUCAUUUGUUUUUUUCUUGUCAUUUUGGGUGGGAGAUUUGGUCGAGGAUCCUUUUGCUUAUGUCAUCUUCUCAUAGAAUCGGUUAUUGGGGGUUGAGUUAUCUUGGAUUUAUAAUCAGGGUAUUGGGAAGAGUGUGAGGAGAAAACUGUGGCGCCUUCUCUGGUGUGCUACAAUUUAUUUCAUUUGGCAGGAGCGAAAUCAUCGUCUUCAUGAAGGUGCUAUUUGGGAGCCUAUGGUUGUAUUCCAGCUCAUUUGGUCGUGUAUUAAAGCGCGUGCUGCUUCUUGGUCGGAUGGUGUUCAUGGUCUUAUUUAAUGUUCUUUUCGUUUGCUUGUCCCCGGGUUAUGGGGUUUCUCUUCUCUUUAUUAACUUUGUUGUCUUUCUCUCUUCUUCUUGUCCUUUUAAUGUUUGGAACACUAGUUGGUUUCUUUUGGUUUUAGUUCUUGUUCCCAAGAUGUGGGGUUGUUUUGGGUACUUAUGGGUUGUUUUGUCUAACUACUUGUUCUGUGAGUGUUGUUCACUCUUUUGUCUUGACCUCAGGAUGUGAGGUCCACCUUGUUGUUGUAUAAUAUUAUCAUUACCUUUUCAAAAAAAAAAUCAAACUCAAUGCUAAGUUUGACUGCUCCCUUCGAAGUGACAACAAGCCUCAUUUUCGCCCUACUGUGGAUCGAGGAGGAUUCCUCCUCUUUUCAAAGCCCUCAAUCAAACUUGACGUUAUGUUUAAAACACUAUGGUCUAGUUUUGGUUAGGCCAAAAGCGAUGUUUUCCCCCAAAAGCUCUAAUAGCUAGGGAACUCAACAUGUUCUACUUGACCUAACCAACUUGACUCUAUUUUUUAUGAGCUUUUUUUAAUGCAUAUUGCAUAUGUUUUUUUUAUAAUUGUUGAUUGUCUCACUUUUUUAUGGUCUGCAUUUACGAGCCUCUUUUCUUUCUUUGUUAUGAACUGCGGUAACUAGGCAUUGCUAGAACCGAUGGGGUAACAUUUCUAUGGUUCUACACUUAGUUUCUAAGUGUGAUUGCUCACCUCUAAUUUCAAAACACUUAAUUUCUAAGCACAUACAAUGUUCACCUAGAAAAAAAUGAAAAUUGUUGUACUUAAGAUCAAAACUAAAUAGUUAUGAAAUAAGACAUAAGAGAUUUGAUUUUAACAACCUUCUCGUUGUACUUGGGAUCCACUCUGGCUUUGUGCUGGAAAAUUGGUUUGGAGCUGAUCAUAAGCUUUCGGUUGCUCUUCUGUAACCUUUAGAUACUCUUCAAAGCUAUAAGCUUUGCUUCCUGACGAAGAAUCUUCUACUAUUACAAUACAUAAGAAAAUUCUAUUUCAUAAACCAUGUAUCAUAAUUGAGGCUGAUAGAAUGAUUAUUCUAUAACCCUACCGAUAGUUUCAUUCUUAACAUUCAUAGACACGAUGCAUGGCAGCUAUCCAAUUCUAUUUCAUAUUCUCGAGAAUGGCUCGGUUUAACAAUAAUGUUAAUUUUUGUUUUCUAUUUUAAAAUAAUAACGCUGCUUACUAAUCUUUUUUUUCCAUUUGGCAUUCUACUUUUUCUACUCAGCUUUCUUUCCCUAGUGAUAACAAAUAAUACGGGUGAUAAAAAACUUAAUCACUCACUUGUUUCAGCCACCGAAAGCCCUUCUGCUUUAGAAAUAGAAAUACGGGUGAUACGGGUGUGCUGUUCAUUGAACUCUCAAUUUCAUCAAGACCAAUUUCUCACUCAAACAUGGUCUUGCAUUCUCUAGAAACGUCCUACAAACAAAAAUGAAGAAAAAAAACUACAAUAAGGUCUAUGAAAAAAUUACAAAGGAAAAUCUCAAAAACUGAUAUGUAAGUCAUAACAACCUUAAGUCCUCUUAUCAUGGGUUAAAAUGCACGUAAGGUUUUUCCAAGAGUCCGAGCAACCAGCAUGUAAAUAAGUUAAGUCAACUAAAUUUGCUAUAAAUUUACUCGUAUUAACAUUAUCAUUGUUAUAGACUUGACAACUUCAAAUUUAUCAAUAUAAAAUAUGCUUUAACAAAACGUACCUUGAGGUUCCUCAAACCUUAUUAAAAAAGCAAAUAAUACAACAAUUUAACAAAUUUAUAGUGCAUAUUAUGUAUAUCAAUUGAUCACAACAAAAUAAGAUCGAACAAAUACCCAUGAGUAAUAUUUAGCCACCAAAUGAAUAAUGAUGAAAACCUGAAAACAAAAUCGAGAAAAAAAAGGGAACAAUUCAUCAACAAAACAAAUUUAGGGGACUAAAAAAUUGCUUACCUUAUUACACACUUCAAAAUAUUAAGAAAAGUGGAGGGAAAAAACCAACCAAUAAUCAACAAAUAAACUUCAACACAAAUAGCCAUAAAUUUUCUUCUUUAAAGGUAUCACAAAUAAGUCCAUCAGUAAUACCAAAAUAAAAAAGGGCAACGUGCAAUUGAAUUCUGCAGUCGUAAAGCUAUGCUAAAGGCAGUAUGAAAUCAAACUUGAGCACUAACAAGAAAAUUUGCAAAACAAAAAUUACUAGACAUCAUUAACUAAAGUACCAGCACAACAAUGAAUGUGUAACCUCCGCAAGAGCAAACCCGAAUGGAGAAGAACAUGAAGAAAUAUAUAAAUAGAAGAAACAUAAAAGACAAACAUGAAACACAUGGAAAUAUACAAAGGGGAUAAAUAAAAGUACAAUUAUAAAGUGAUGAAGCACAAAUAUAGGUAUCAACAGAACCAGAAUACAAGUCUUACCCUAUCUCGACUGUCGAGGAGUGUUAACCAACCGUCGGAAGGUUGGUUUUAUUUUUUAGAAAAAGUUAAUGUUGUCUGAACUCUUUUCCAAGCCACUAACCACCCCUCCUUAUCUAUGAUCGACGAUCAACUCCUCAACCUCUAAUUACAUUUAAAAGAGUGAUGCGAACAUUGUGUGAAAUCCCAAACCUUUGAUGGAUCCCACCAUCACUCUCUUUCUAUCCCUUCAAAACCUCAUUAUUUUCAAGAGAGGCCUCAAAGCUUUCUUCCAAUUAACAUAAAAGAAGAAUGAAAGAGAAGGAGAGAAAGGGAAAGUGGUUCAAAAGCUAUGGAAAAAAAAGUAAAAGAAAAUGGUCUACUCAUUGGCACAUCUUACACAGAUGAUAAUGUUAGGGCAGAGAGCAAUGAGAGACAGAAUGCUUUUGGAGCCUUCUCCUCUACUUUCGAAGAUUUUAACAAACUAAAAUAUGCAAAUGUUACAAGAAAGAUCUUUGGAGAUUUGAAAUAAUCCAAAAUAAAGAAAAAGGAAAACCCCAAUAUGUACAAAUUUCAAAAUCUAAAACUUGAAAAGUGAUUGAAUGAUGAGAUAUGUUUGUACAAUCAAUUAUAGAGACAGUGAAAUAUUAAAACAAAAAUGAAACGUACCAAGAUAAAAAGAAUAGCAACUAGUAUUAUGACCUUUGUAUGUCUUCAAAAUACAAACAUCAAAAUGAAUCAAGAGAUCUACCACACAAAUAAUGGUAUCAACACAAAUAAAGCAAUUGUUUUAGUAACAAUAUUUGAGCAUGCCUAUUUUCCUUGACAAAUUUACAUUCUUCUAAUCGAACAAAAUCUGACCUUUAAAUAGUGAUAGAAACUGAAGAUGAAAGCAAGUUUAGCUACAACUUCAGACCGUGAUAUAUAUGACGGAAUCUAUAAAAAAAAGAAGAGUACCUAACUAUAUAUACACAGAGGAGAUCUGAUGCUUACUAGCACAUCAGAGGCUCAAUCGAUUUAUAUUUAAUUGAAAAACAAUCCCUAUAUUUUAAUGCAUACACAUUGAAUAGCCCCUGUUUCAAUCCAAUUUACAAAACUACCUCCAUAAAAUUACAUAAUGGGGGAAGUUCGACCGGAUGCACUGUGCUUUACCAGAACCACAUGAAAUUAUUGGAACAUAGUUCAUUCAAUUAACUUUCUAUUCAAUAAUUGAAACAAAUGGAAAGAGGACAUAUGAAUAUUAAAUAAAGAUGGAAUUAAUUGGGAACUCACGGAGUAAUGCGAUUUGUUCGGGGGCUCACUACUGGAGUUGGAAGAGAGACAAGGAUUAGAAAGGAAAGGAAGAGGAGCGUCUGAUAAUCCAGCGGAUUCUUUGAUGAGUGGAGUACUAGUAGUAGUAGUGGAGGUUCCAAGGACAUUGAAGUCAAUCCGGUGAGAGUGAGGGAAUCCAGAAGGUUGAGGUUGAAGAGAGUAGAAAUUGCAACCAAAAUCGGUGACGAUGGUGGAAUCGAAAUUGCGAGGGAAGAAGAAAAGAGCAUCACAGGUCGAAGUAGAGGAGGAAUCAACACUGGAGAAAGGAGGAAGAUGAGGAGAACCUGCCAUUAAUGGAAGAGGGAGGAAGUGAGAGAGAAAGGAGAGGGAAUUAAUUAAUUAAAGAGAAUUAGGGUUUGAGAAGAGAAAGGGAAAAUGGAGUGUACGAACAAAGAAGAAGAAGAAGAAAUGGAAAGGACGCGCUAAGAGAAGAAGAUGGAUCGGUGAAAUGGGUAUGAUAGGGUUUCUUCCUUAAAGAAACGGAAAUUCAGAGAUAGGCCUUAGGAUUUUGAGAAGAGAAAGGAAAACUGGAGUGUACGAAGAAAUGGAAAGGACGCACUAAGAGAAGAAGAUGGAGAUUGGAUCCGCAACUAAGAGAAGAAGAUGGAGAUGGAUCCGCGAAAUGGGUAUGAUAGGGUUUCUUCCUUACAGAAACGGAAAUUGAGAGAUAGGCCAAAGAAGACAAGAGAGCAAGAGAGAAUGGGGGAGGGAGGAGAGGGAGACUUGGCCGUUAGAGAAGAGGAUAAAGAAAUUUUAAAUGAGAGAGACUGUACAUGUAGGGUUUUUAUUAGAAUUUUUUUUUUUGAAAUCUUGCUUAAUUGGAUUUAGAGAAUUUUGUGUAUUCGGUUCACUGACUCGUAUUAGCUGUCCAUUGGUCCAUUGUUUUGUCAUUUUUUUUCAACAAACUAAAUGUUUUAAUCCAUUUACAAAUUAGAUUUCGAUAAAUCGAUAAUCAUAUUUUUUUACAAUAUAGGACUAAAAAAGACAACAUUGUGCGUCGGGAGUUCCUCUCCCGAUACAUUUUUCCCGACUUGUGUUCCAACGUAUAUUAGUAUGUCGAAAAGCCUUUUCUGAUGCUUUUUAUAUAUCUCCCAAUGAUUUUAUGCAUCGAGAGAGCCCUCAUUUCUUGUAGUGUUAGACAAAGAGCUUCAAUGUGGUAGGGGAAAGGCAUGACACCUUUAGGUGCUUUCAUCAAAGGGAGGAUUGAGGUUCUGAUUAUGGCGCUAAGGUUAACUGCCAUCUUCUUCUUAAUGCAAUAAAUCAUCAUUGUGCACUCUAGUGGGAUGGUGUUGUUGUCAACUAGGCAGGCGAUUUUGUUUUCAAGUCUUAGUUCUUAAUCCUUAACAACCUUUAGUAUUGAUGCUCUACCCCAACCCUCAUCUAAAACGAUAACUAACACAAUGGUUUGGAAGUUUUUGUGAAACAUCAUCUAUACUUUUUCUUUAAUGGUCGAUGAAAAAAAAGUCAGGAAAAUGGUAUUUCUGACCAUUUUAAGUGUUACCAAAAUAUCACAUUUGGUGUAGUAUGGUAUUGUUUUGAAUAUUUUGUAAAAUAGUGGAUCAAGAAGUUUUACUAAGAUAAAGUUUCAUGUUGGACAAGAGGAUAGUGGAUGGGAAUUAAGUUGAAUGGUCCACUUUUUUUUUAAAUCCUUUAAGGUUUUAUGAAAACCUUUCACAAUACCUUUUCAUAAUCAUUUUGUAAAAAUAAUAUCAAAUCAUUUAAAUAUACCGAAAAAUUAUUUCAUUUCGAAUAAACCUUUCUUUAUGCUUAAAAAAUCAUUUCAUUUUGUCAAGGAUCCCGAAUCAUUCUCUACGCUUGGUGUCAUUACCUCGUUUAGACUACUGUAUCAACAGCAUCUGAGAACAUACAAAUUCGUCUUUGUUGCUCAUACCGCUAAGCUUUAUACGCUCAUUUCAAUGCAUAAGUCAGCUUCUUAUUACCAUGUAGUUCGUACACUCCAUAGUUGCCUUCACUCUUUAUGUGCAUACAAAAGUUAGCAUCAUCUCAAAGAAACAUAAUAUUGAAAUCAUAGUCAUCAAAUCAAGCUUUAACAUUAUCAAUAAUGCUUGAACACAUAACUUUUCAUAGAAAUCUUUCUGAAACAUUCUCAUCUGAAUUCUUCUUUCAAAUCAGUAAAGAGAAAUCGUAAUAAAGUUUCUUAACAUAAAUUCUUUUGACUGAAAAGCACUCACCAAAAUUUACUAAAGAAGUCCUUCUCACAACCAUCUUUUCGCGAGGCUAAACCAACAACACUUUAACAUUUCAACAAAACUCUCGUCAUCCCCUCCUUAGUUACCUAAAUUCUCCUAUUUUAUAGAUCCCUUAUACUAACUUAGUCAUGCAAAUCCUUAAUAUUUAACCUAGUCAUGCUCAAAUCCUUAAUCUUACAUGUUAACCCAUGUCAAAUCAGAUUUGACAUUUUCUUUACAAACCUUGCUCCCCGCCUAACCCAAACCGUGAAUAAAUUCAACCACUUAACAUUUCUCGUGAAUAACCUUAUCGCUUGAUUAUAUUUUUAUUAUAAGAAACGUUCCACGUGAACUAACCAACUUUUACUCGCAUAAAACUCUUAUCACGAACUUAAACUCCAAGGCUUCCUCGUAGACUUCUUCUCCACGAAACACUUGGUUCUUCUCACGAAGACCACCCAAAACUCCUAGUCUAACACUCAAAACUUUCAUUUCCUAACUUACGCAAAGACUUUUUCGCUUCUUAUCGCACAACUUCUUUCGCGAACUACCCACUUAUCGCAAAAAAGUAUACUUAACCGUAAAAGAUCUUAUCACUUAAUCUUUCCAUGGAUUUAUUUGAACACCAACUUCUUAAUUCUUAGCCGAAUUUUACUUCCUUACUCGAAUUAGAAAUGGGUCGCACAACUUCCUUCGCGAACUACCCACUGAAUCGCAAUAACGUAUACUUAACCAUAAAUUUUUUUAUCGCUUAAUCCUUUUCGUGGAUUUAUUUAAAUGCCAAAUUCUUAAUACCUAGCCAAAUUUUACUUCAUUACUCAAAUUAGAAAUGGGUCUCAAAUUUAGAGCCUAUCGCUUCUUUAAGAUACAUGAUCUUACCGAUUCAGAGAAAUUAACCACAAGCGUUAUUAGUUUUGAUGAUCUGGCAUUGGAUUGGUACCAAGCACAAGAAGAGUUGGAAGUUUUUAAGAAUUGGGCUGACCUGAAAGAACGAAUGCUUGUACAGUUUCGAUCAAUUCGAGAAGGAACUUUGGUUGGAAGAUUUUUCUCAAUCAAACAGAAAAUGAUUGUAGAAGAAUACCGCAACCGAUUUGAUCGAUAUUUAGCUCUGGUAGCAUUUCUUCAAACGUAGUGUUAGAGGAGACUUUGAUGAUUGGGCUUAGCCCAUGAAUAAAAAUGGAAGUGGAAACCGUGGAACCGAUUGGGUUGGCCGAGAUGAUGAAAUUUGCGUUGAAGAUUGAGAAUAAGGAACUAGUGAGAAAAGAGUGUGGGUUGAGCAGAGCAUUUCAUGUAAAACUGCAACUCACCCUAUCUAUUGUGGAAAACAACAAUAUAAUGAUGACUAAGGAAGAAACCAGUAAUGGAAAGUCUGCUGAUGAGAGUUAUCACCCUGAAGGGAGUUACUGAUAGAACUAAGACAUGCACAACAGAAAAAGAAUCGAAAUUCUACCCUAAUUGGGCUUAAUUAACGAGACUAAACCAAAAAAUAAGGUUUUUAGAAUACUUACAUUUGAAGUUGCGUUUUAUUCGAACAACCACUAAGUUUGACUUAGUACUUCUAGACUCAUAAUCGAGUUGUGGGACUCGUUGGAUGAAAGAACCGGACGAAAGAAAUAGAUGAAAAAAAAUGGGCGUGGUAAAUUUUCUUUUUUUUUUCUUUAAGUAAAUAAGAAAAAGAAAUUCCAUUUGGUAUGAAAGCCCAAAUUCAAUAGCCAACCCAUCAAAUGAGUUAAAAGGCCCAUUUAUAAGGAUUUUUCAUUCAAAAUUGUAUGUCCAUGCAAUACUAAAGUCAAAGUCCAACAACUCAAAGUCCACUUUCUCUAUCAAGGACUUGAUAAAAAAAGAGAAUAUGAGUUAAUAGGAAAAUGAAAGGGAAUUCCUUGGAAAGUUGGUUUGUGUGUCAUUAAAAGUCAAGGUGGAAAACAAAGUACAACAUAUGGCUAAAUGUGAGAGUAGGCGUGCAAGUAUAAUAAAUACCUACCAAGAUGUUUAUUAAUAACAUGUGUUUGAUACAUAAUUACAACACUUUGACCAAACAACCAAUGCUUAACUAUUUUCAAAACGUCUGGUCAUCUCGCUGCAAAUCCUUCAACCUUCUUCUCUACUUGGCCUAAACACCUCAUCUUGGAAGAUGAAUUUUUGAAAGAAUGUCUAAAAGACUAAGGUUUUAUGAAAUCCUUUUCGCAAUACCUUUUCAUAAACAUCAUUUCGCAUAAACAACAUCAAAUAAUUUUAUCUCGCAUAAACCUUUCUUUAUCCUUAACAUACUCAUCAUUGAACAAUUUCACAUAAACACACAUUAGUUAACAUUCAUUUCUUUCACCAAGGAUUUUGAAUCGUUCUCUACACUUUGAUGUAGAACAUCUCCCUUCUUGAUGUUUCUUGAGUUUUAUCCUAGAGGAGGGGUUUGAAUUACCAUUUUUAUAGUUUAGGAUUAGUUAUUUGAAUUACCAAUUUUGUAUCUUGAGUUAGUUAUAACUAACUCAACUCCAAGUUGAACUAACUCAACCCCAAGUUAGUUUAACAACUCUUAUAAUCUCCAGCCUAUAAAAAAGCUUCUCAUUUUCAUUAAUAAGACAUAAAAAAAAAGAGGCAUUAUACAUAAAGAUUUCUAGCUUUGCAAUUACUGAAUCAAUUGGUAUCAGAGCGUGAUCCUAGCUCACUCUUCCCUAAAAAAACUUGGAUCCUACCACUCUUAUCCAUGGACGCGGAAGCCUCCUUCAACCAACGCUUGCAGUUGGUAGAACAAGCUAUUGAAGAACUUCGAAAAGGGCAGUCAGAUAUACAGCAAUCGUUAGUAGAAUUAACAAACCUUUUUACCCGAUUUCAUGUCCAACCUUUAGAAGAAGCAAUUCAGCCCCCAAGAAACCCAAUGGCAGCAAACCAAGAAAGACAAGAAAGACCAAGAAACCCAAUUGCAGCAAACCAAGAAAGACAAGAAAGACCAAUAAACCCUGUUGUAAACUAAGAACUACUAAGAAAUCAACCUAUUCACAUCCACAAUAAUCGAUUGUAUGGAAACAACGUACCUGAAAAUUUCUUAAAUGAUUCUGACUCUUCGAUGAAGACAACUUGCUGAACAUUCAUCAAGAACCUCAAAGAGGCUUGGACUUCGACCAUACUUUCAAGAAGAUCAUGAAAUACGUAUGAAAGUGGAUCUCCCUACCUUCAAUGGUCGAAUGGACGUGGAGAAGUUUCUUGAUUGGAUCAAGAACGUAGAAAAUUUUUUCGACUAUGCCAAUACACCGAACACAAGAAGGUUCGAUUAGUUGCUCUCAACUUCAAGGUGGCGCAAGCGCUUGGUGGGAUCAAUUACAAAACAAUAGACGAUUAUUUGGUAACCAAUCUAAAGAUUAGCUGAAUAUCUUAUAAAAAGAUGUUGCCGUAGGCUUAGUGGUGACAGGUGAGAAAGUAAGUUGUGUCUUUUAUGACUCUUAAACGUUGAAGUCAAUCAAUGAGUUCCAAAUGCAAUAUUGGAAGUUUUCUUAAAUAUUUUGAUGCUUUUGCAUGUCGUGAAAGAACUUGGUUAGAUGUGAGAAAGGGGUUUAUGAGAUUAGUUACUUACUAUUCCCUUUUUCACUGUCAUUGCUACUCAGUAGACAUGCUAUGGGCUCGUGUUUCUGUAGAAUAUAAUUUAUAUGUUCUCUCUACAAAUUUGAAGUAAUUUCUACUGUUUUUGCUAAUAUUCUCUAAAGCUUAUUCAAAAUGUAGUUGUUUAAUGACUGUUCAGAUUUAAAAUAUAUGAUAGAGUUAAAUUUAACACAGUUAAUCAGCUUAAGCAUUUGACUCUGGUGUUCUUAAGAUAUAAAUUCAAAUCCCUAUAAUUUUAUCAUGUUGAUCUUUUCAAUCUUCUCACAUACCGUCUUCAUUUCAUAAUCUUACCUACUAGCUGCGUAUCAUCAAUGAAAUUACCAUAGGAGUCCACAUGUGGUAAUUAUGGAUCUAGCACGAUAUACUGCGUAUCAUGUUGUUGGAGAUCAUUUUAAAUGAUUAACCAGUCUAUUGGUGGUUUGAGUCUUUCCUUUUGAAUCUAUAGGUUGUUCAAUGGUCUAAUAUUAACUGUGUUCAGAUUUAUGGUAAUUUUCAUUCUUUUACAGCCUUAAUAACCAAGAAAAGGUGUGCUUUGAUAAUCUUUUCUUUCUCUUCGGCAGGUUGGUAAUGUAGAAAGGAUACAUGUAUACUAUGCCCAUGGACUAGAUAGCCCAACCUUUGUUCGCCGGUGUUAUUGGCUCCUAGAUAAGUAUGUUAUGGUUGAAAGAAAGUUGUUAAAUUGCUUGCUACCAGUUGUUUCAGUGGGUCUAUCCCCAUCAUGCCACAAGCAAAGAAAAAUGAAAUUAGAUAGUGGCAGUAUAUCGUGUUCUACUUAUAUAAUUUAUGACUUGCUUCUGCUUUUUGUUCAGGACCUUUGAACACAUUGUCCUUGUUCAUUACCGUGAAACACAAGAGGUUAGGUUCAACACAAUGCAUUUGCAGUUAUUGAAAUAUUAUCUUGAGACAAACUUUUAUCAUUUGGACUACUACAUCUAUUUAAGAUUUGCUGAUUUUUCCUCCAUGGUUGCAAUAUUAGAACUUCACCAAAAUAAUGUUGUCAUGUGUGUCUUUAAAUUUUUACUGGCAGUAUGGCACCAUAUAGAUCUAGUAGUUGUGCAUGCAUGUCUUCCUCUCUAUCCUCCAUUGAAAAACUCGAUAAUUAUCUGUUUGUGUUUUAUUUUGAUGAUUUAAUCCAACAUUUAUUAUGGAUAAAGUCAGCCAUAAAAUACAUAUGUUUACUACUGCUCUUUGUACAUUUUAAAUACUAGAUUUCUUGAUGACUGUUGUCUUUAAGUUGCUCUUAAUGUUGUUGCAUAUCGAGAAAUGCACUGUAAUUUAUGUACCAAUUUUAUCACUGCUUUUAACUAAAUCUUCAAAAAUCAAGGCACCACCCGGAUGUAGACUGCUAUAUGGUGAUUCAAGUGUUGAGAGUUCUCUUUCUUCUGCUAUCCAUAAAUUUAUGGAAUGGAAAGGCAAUGAUUAUGACACUAUUUUUUGUCAGAUAAACACUGGUUUCAUAUGCUUCAACUCUGUGGUGCUUCACAGCACACGGAUAAAACUACCAAACAUUCUGCACCCAAUAUUACCAUAAUGCAUUUGGACACUUCAUUAACAACUUCUUACAAUUACCCUUUCUAUAUUAAAAAUAAUUUGUUGUCUUAACUUCCUGUUGCUCCUAGUUUCAGAAUUUUCCAUCCACAUCGUUGAACUCAAAUUCUGGUUCUGUCUCUAACCCAUUAACUCCGUGGCUUUUAUCGGAGGAACUUGAUUCCAAGGCUACUCAUGUUUAUUUUCUUGGUGAAAAUGAAUUGUCAGGUGAUACUGGCCGAACCUGUCAAAAAUAAAUGAGUCAUAGUUUGUUUGAUCAUUCAUUUUCUAAUCUUUCUUCUUUAUAUUUAAUUAGUUGUUUAAUUUCUUAAAAAAGAAUUAUGGUUUAUUUAUAGUAUAUUUGGUAGUAUGCAUGCCUCAUGUCACGUGGUUAGGAUCUGAAGCUAACCAUACGUGCGCACUUGGCUAACUACAAUGCCCACGUAGCCAAGUAAGCCUUUCCCGGAAGGGGUAGUGCGCCAAGCACUACGACAACGGGUUGCAGCGGAAGUACUAAGGUUGGUUGCAAGACACGAGAGAGGUUGGAAGGAUGAGGGAGUUUGGAUGGAUACGUCUUUGGAAUGAUACAUUGCAUUCCAACAAUAGAUGAAUACAUAUUUGGGUACAAAUAUGCUGUCUUCUUGUCAUGGGGAUACCAUGGGCAAGGAGACUUUGGGUGGCAAGGUGACCUUGCUUGGCUAAGACAUGCCAAGAUGCAAGGUUGCAAGGCUUGAUACAAAUGAGGCCCUCCCCAAGUAUUUAUAGACCAUCCCCACCGACCUUGGGCCUUAGAAGGUCGGCCAAGGGAGAUUCUAGAGAUUACAAGUUCAUUUGGUACAUAACAAGGAAGCCUAGAACAUUCUAGAGAGGACUAGACCUUUCAUGACACUCGCUGACCGUCAUAAUAGCCUUCUAGAGUGUUCCAGCACGUUCCAGCAUCAUCCAGCACGUUCCGGGGCCUUCUCGGGAGCCUCCCGCGCAUUCCAGCACAUUCUGGCACUGUCUCGAACGUUCUAGAGGCUUCUGGGGUUGUCUAGACUGAGCAUGGGCGGGGCAGCACGCACAUGGGCGUGUCUGGAGCCUUCUGGAAGCAUCUGGGGGCGUCGGGCGCCGUGCGUGGGCCUUCUAGAGCCUUCCGCGCGCGGCGCGUUGGGGCGCGCCUUCCCGAUUCUUCUGGAAGCUUCUCGAGGUUCUGGGGUGUCUGGACGUUGGGCGGACACGGGCGCGCGCGCUGGGUCCGAUGGUGGGCGCUGGUGCCGGGCGCCUAUGGCCGUGUCAACGGCAUCUGGGCGUGCUAUGGGCUGUGUCGUGGGCUGACACUCGGCUGUCAUGGGCACUCGUCGUGGCACGCGUGCGGGGCUUGUGAGCUGUCCUCGAGAGGUGCAUGCCAAUGCCGUAGGCACAUGUCGUGGUCGCCCUUAGGCUGUCUUAGGACCACGUUGGGCUGCUCCUGGGCCUUGCUGAAGGAGUCGUGGCAUGAAUUAGCGCAAUUUUGGGGGUGAUUUUUGGGUCAAAAUUUCACACGUGACACUCAGCUCCUUUAAUGCAUGUCUCUUACAGUAUAUUUGGUAGUCUUUUAUAAUGUUACACCCUUUUUUUUAAUUCCUAAAACCUUUUAACUUUCCAAAUUUUCAUUCAUUCUUUUAGAAAAUUAUUUUCAUUAUUUUUUUAUGGUUACAAAACCAUCCAUUAACUACAUUAAUUAUACAAUUCACUCCAAUAAUAAAUAAAUAACUUUUUUGGAUCUAAGGUCUUUUCUCAUUCUACAAAUUUAAUUUACUAUAUAAAGGUUAUUAUGCUAAUUGAAAAAUAUAUUUCUCUCAAGUAUGCAAUGACAGAAAAUUAGGUUAUAAAUAUAAAAAAAAUUAUAUUUUUAGGUAUUAUAAUUUUUUUAAAAAAUUUAUAUUUUUAAUUUUUAAUAAAACCUUGCAUUUGGGGAUUCACAUGUUGUUACUUGUCGAACCAAAAAAAAUUAUUCGCGGUGAAAACUCUUUAAAAACCCAAUUCGUGGAAGGAAAAAUUGAACUGUGGCGUUGAGUUAUUUUGUUGUUGAAGAAGAUCAGUAAAAAACCCACAGCAUUAAAACUUCUUUUUGUUUCUUUAACUAUAUUUUAGAUUGCAACGUAUUUUCUAUUUGCGUUUAGUUAGGGUUUCUCUUGUUUAUUCCAAGAUAUGCAUGGAUAGUUCAUGUUCGACUAUUUGGAAAGAGGGAUUUAUGUAGCACGGGUAUUAUAUUCUGGUUUUGGAAGUGUCGAGAUAAAUUAAGGACUUUUUUAAUCUUCUUCAAACAAACCUAUACGAAGGCGAAGAAUAAUUUGUGCUUGUAUUUUAGUCGGAAUAAGAAGAAACAUGAAGAGAAUGCCCACGAGGAAAAUGACCACGAGAAAAAGUUGUGUAUUCCUCCAUCCAUAAUUGAGCUCUCUAAUGUGUAUUCCUCCCUCCAUAACUGGCUUACUUUGGAUUGUUUGGAUAGAAAGAAACAAUAGAAUUUUUAAGGAUAAAUCAAGGUUUAUUGUUAACUUGUGGGAAGACACAUGUAACUUGAUCGAAGUUUGGUCUAGACGUCAUUCAUCUUGUAACAACAGUAAAGCAACAAAACCAUUUUAAUUCAUUAUAUAUAUAUAUAUAUAUAUAUAUAUAUAUAUAUAUAUAUAUAUAUAUAUAUUAUAUUUAUUUAUUUAUUUAUGUAUGUAUAUAUAUAUAUUUAUGUAUGUCAUUUACUACAAAAAAGGCCUUUCUUGACGUUUGUUGUUUUUCUUUUUGACAUUUUUUUUCAAAAAACGUCAAGAAAGGGGUAGUUCCAAAGAUAAAACGUCAAGAAUUUUUACGAAAAGGCGAGGGUAGGUCAAUUUCAGAUUUCUUGACGUUUAUUAAACAUCAACUAAUAUGUAUUUUUUCUUAACGUUUUAAAACGUCAAGAAUGUUUAUAUAUUCAACAUUCUUCAAAAUUUUCAAACGUCAAGUAAUAUGUACUUUUACUUGACAUUUUAAAACGUCAAGAAAUAUCUUAAAAAUUCUUUAUGUUUUAAAACGUCAAGAAUUUUUAUAAAAAACCGGAGAAGAGUUAUUUUUAAAUUUCUUGAUGUUUUUUAGACGUCAAGUAAAAUCGUUUUCUUUACGUUUUCAAAACGUCAAGUGUUAUUAAAUAUAUAUAUAUAUAAAAGAAAAUAUUGGGUUGAAUCCUUCGAAGACCUAGACUUGUCUCUACCGCAUUCGAAAAUGCCAAGUUCUUUAUGAGGAUCUCUCACUUCUGCCGUGUUCACCGUCCGUCCAUCCGCGUUCACCACGCCCUCUCCAAAAAUGCGUACUAGGUCCUUCGCUUUCAGUCGUUCACCAUCCACUGAGUACGAGAUCCCUAAGACUUUCGCCAUCUACCAUCCCUAAUACUCUGAAAUCGUCGUCCGUUGUCCCUCAAAAUUGUCGUCCUUCUCUACGAAAACGUCGUCCUUCUUUCGAGUCUUCAUUCCCCUUUAUGUCGUCCUUCUGUAUUUAGAGGUUAUACUUCAUUCCCCUAAGACUUCCAUUGGUUUCCAUAUUUCAAGAAUUUAAAAUUUUUAUAGGAUAUUGCUAGUGGAAAUUAAGUCAAUUCUGUUUGCUCCCAAACUACCUCCUGAUUAUGCUGUCUGUUGGGAGAAAUAAAGUCUUCAUCAUAUUUCAAGGUAGUGUAUGUUAACCAACACUUAGUGCAUUUUCGUGUUUAUGAGCUUAUUUUAGUUAAUAUGUUUUUGUAGGAAAAAUAUGCUGUCAAUAUGGCAUAUUCUACGAUGAAAUUUAGUCGUUUAACACAAAAUUUUAAGGUUCUUUUUCAACUAAUUAUGCUUUAUCUAAUAUAUUUUUCCAAAUCUCAAAGAAGAACUUUUGAUUUCAUUGGAGUUUAUCAUUAGAGGCAUUACUAUAUUGGCUGCCUCUCAGUGGGCUAUAGGUUUUCCAAUGGUCAUUUGAGACUGGUUAAUAAUAGCAAAAGUUAGAGCUUGAGAAGAAGGAGCGAAGAGAGUAGUGAAGACAAAUGAAGAAAGAAAGCUGAGUGAAAAACGAAAAUUGACAAGGUAGAGAUGUGACAUGAAAAUGAUGAUGAGAAGUGAAGGAGGCACGACACAAUACAGGUACACAAUAACAAAGCCUUGAUAAUUAAAAAAAGGAUGGUGCCAAGAAAAUUUAAAUACAAAAAAAAUGAAGGUUCUUGCAAGUGUAUUGAGUGAAUGGGAGAAAGAAAGGAUAAAAAAGGUAGAAAGAGAGAAAGAGAAGUCAAGGGUAGAGAUACAUAGCUUUGUAUAUAGAAACUUUAUGUCAACAACGACGCGCUUAGCACAGGUACGAAACCGGACACCAUCUUCUUGGUGUUUGUAUGUGCAAAAGCCUCGAGUGGCUAUGGUCUUCUUCUUCUCUGUGAGGGAAAUGGUUGAAAUUGCUAGACUAUUUCAAUUACUAUAUGAGAGGUGGCUGAAUUUUAUUGGACCUCUCUUCUUGGGCUUACUUUUUACAAUUGUUUAACAAUCUCUCUCCGAAUAUACCUUCGUCCCCUUAGCUGCUUCCCACUUUGGUAUGGAUACAUUUGUCACUACUGGAAAAAUGGAUUUUAAUCAAGACAAUGUGUCGUUGAAAAUAAAAGAAAAAAGAGGUGGGAUGAGGUACACUGUGUUGUUGAAAAUAAAAAUAUGGAUUAUUUCUUAAAACAAUUCUAUUGACACAAUUUAAUUUAUUUCCACACAAUUUUUGGGUCAUUAAUUAACGACAAUUUUUUUGUCAUUAAAAAAAUUUCAAAUGAAAAAACCUCAAAUUUCAAAAUUUUUUAAUUUCCCUCUCUCACGCAAUUACAACUAAGUAAAAACAUCAAAUUUUCUCUUAAGCAAAAACGAUGUCGUCGAAUGAAGUCUUAAUGCAAUUUUUUUUCUCACUCUACCAAAAAUGCAAAAAAAAUCUCGUCGAACGAAGUGGGCUACUGAGCGUUAUGAAGAACCCUUGCCUUCCAAUUUUUGCCACUUGUCGUCGUCGAUUCCACACUCCAACCACUGUUGUCGUUGCUGCCACAACAAGCCUUCGCCGUCGAACCCACCAAUCUAGCCACUUUCGUCGAAUAAAUUUAUUUAGAAAUAUAAGUUUUAAUGACACUUGAAAUCAAGAAAAAGGGACAUGAGGGAAUAAAAUGUGUCGUUAAAAAUAAAAAUACAAAAUUUUUCGUGACACAAAUUGAGUUUUCUUGACAAAAUUUUCGCAUUGUUAAUUAAUGACAUAAAUUAUGUGUCAUUAAAAAUUACCCUAAUAAAAAAUAAAUGUUUUCCUUCAAUCAUUACGCCUUUUGAUUUAAAACAAAUAAUUCGAAGCUUUCAUCCCACUUGUGAACAACGACCGAAAAAAACCUUACUUCAUCCCACAUCGUCGCUGUCUUUAGCUCUCUCGCAAAUGCUCUCUGGCGACGUUCCCCCCUCUCUCGCAAAUACUCUUCACGACUUUUCCUCUCUCUCAAAAUUAAGCUCUUCGCCCACCGUUUGAAGGAACUCACCAAAUUUGCAAGUAAUUGAAGAAUUCGUGGUCCAUGAGAUCGAUUAAGUCCAUUUAUGAGUUAGUUUGAUUAGAUUAUGUCACAUAUACAUGUAUUACAAUUAAGGGACACUUGAAAAUGGCAAAAUAAGUUAUAAUAAUUAAGUCCAUAGAACACAUACUUUAUUAUUUGAGAAAGUGACAAAAACAAAGACCAGCUCACACAUCAAGAGGUAAAAUGUCACAAAUGCCCUCGUUAUUGAUGUACAUUUGAUACACCUUAUACACGUCUGAUACACCUAAUACCUCUUGAUACAUUAAGUCCAUUUAUGGGUUAGUUUGAUUAGAUUAUGUCACAUAUACAUGUAUUACAAUUAAGGGACACUUGCGAAAAUGGCAAAAUAACACUACUACAAAAACAGGCUCUCUUGACGUUUUUAAACUGUCAAGAGACGGCUCUCUUGACGGUUUUAAAAACGUCGUUGAAGCCAGCGUCAAGAAAGGCAAAGUUCUUGACGGUUGAUUAAACGUCAAGAAUAGUGAACGUUGACGUUUUAUAAACGUCAAAUAUACUUAUGUUCAUGACGUUUUAGAACCGUCAAGACUGGUAUUGUUUAUGACAUUUUAAAGCCGUCAAGGAUGAACUGGUUUAUGACAUUUUAAACCCGUCAAGAAUUUUACUAUUCAUGACAUUUUAAAACUGUCAAGAAUGUAAUUGUUCUUGACAUUUGUCAACCGUCAAAAAUGCAAUUGUUCAUGACAGUUUAAAACCGUCAAGCUUGCAAUUGUUCGUGACAUUUUAAAACCGUCAAGCAUUUUUUAAUUUUUUUUAAAAAAAGAAAUUGUAAUUGAAUUAUAUGCUGUAAUGGAAAGAAAUAUAUUCUGAUUGUCCUGUAAUUGUCCAGCAACAGUUUCAUAGAUAUUUGAUAUUCAUCAAAUAUAGUUUCAAAUCUCAAACAUAUAUAAAUAAAACCAUUCACCAUAUAUAUUCAAUUCCAAGACUUUACAUAUAACAUAAUAAAAUAGGCUUUACAUUAGAUUUGCAUAUGGCAUUACAUUGCCAUGAAUCCAAAUCAACUUAAAAAGUCACAAAACAUGCUAGGCUAUAACAAUAAUAAAAAUAUAUACGAAUGAACCCCCCCUCCCCCCUUCCUCCAUAUGAACAAUUCAAAAGAAUUAUCGCUAAAGUUUCUAUACAUAAAGUUUAGGGUCAUAAAGAAGCGACACAACAAAAAAUUUCCUACUUCAGAAUCACAAAUAUUGGUCAUAAUCAUAUGUAAGAACCCAAAAGUCAGCCUAACUCAACUCGCAACCUCGUGUAGUUUCCUUCGAACCAAGACAGAUGAAUAUAAGUACCUACAAAAUAUUAUAAACUUGUAAACGAGAUACAUAAAUUUAGAUCUAAGAGAAUGAAAUUGAUACUUACGUCAUAUAGGCCACCAAUGUAAAUGUUUUUGACCUCAUUCAUGUUACAAAGAUCAAUGAUGUCCUCUCGGAGAACAGAAGUCUUUCGACUAAUACCAAAAAUGCCAACAGGUAGUGGAAUAGUGAUACUAGAAUCUUUCUCCAUUAUCUUCUCAACGUAUAUGAGAAUCAACUUCAUUCCCAUUGGCAAAACUGACGUCGAUUCACAGACAACCUCUUUUUCCUUAGUCAUUUUUAUUAAGGCUCUCUCCUAAUUCAAGAAAACAUUCGCUUUCAAUAUGAUAUGAAUAUUAAGAAUUUGAGUUUAUUAGAGGAUCGAUCACAUACCUUAAAGAUGUCCAACUCUACUUUGUCGUCAUUUACAUUGAUCUCCUCCACCUCUUUCCCUUCGAUUUUAUCAUCAACUUACUCUUCCCUUUGAUUAUUUUCAUCGAGUCACUCUCUCUCUAAGAUAUUUGGCUUCGAACAGCUACCAUGUCCAGAUAAUGGUCUAGACAAGUUUGAGUGGUUAUGUGCUUCUAAUUCGCUUACACGCCUUCGAAGUUCUUUAUUCUCAAGUGUAAUCUCAUCCUCACGUUUAGAUGUCUUUUUUACAUAAUGAAAGUAAUUGGUAGGAGUAACAUAUUCUGAUAGGGCAAGCUCUGGUCGAAGUUUUAGAUCAACUAAAUCGCGUCUAGCAUUCAAUCCAUCCUUACUUUUUCCAGGAAUAUCAAGAAAUGUACCUAAGAUAUUCAUGCAAACAUUUUUUUCAAUGUGCAUCACAUCUAAACAAUGUCUAACAUGAAGAUCCUUCCAGUAUGGCAACUCAAAAAAGAAGAUAAUCUAUUCCAACAAAUUUGUCACUUCUGUUCAUCAACCGUUUCUUAUGGUUCUUCUUCCCUCUAGAAAAUUCAAGAUCUUUCAAUUUUAAAUACACAUCCUCCCCAGGAAGUGGCUCUGGAUUGUAUCAAGUUCUUUUUUUACCAUUGACUUUUGUCGUCGAUACACAAUGAUUUCUUGCCAAAAAACUACGAUGUCCAAGGUAUGCCAUUUUCUUCCAUACUUUAACCUUAUAGAAUUUGUAUUAUCUCCACAAAUUGGGCAUGCUUUAUACCCUUUCACACAACAUCCACUAAGAUUACCAUAUGCAGGAAAAUCAUUGAUUGUCCACAACAAAACUGACCUUAAGUUGAAUGGUUCUUCUCGAUAAGCAUCAUAACAUUCAACACCACUUUCCCAUAAAAGUUUUAAAUCUUCAAUUAGUGGUGCUAAGUAUAUGCCUAUUGUCAUCCCCUGGUUGUUUUGGUCCUGAAAUUAGCAUUGAUAGCAUCAUGUACUUUCUUUUCAUACACAACCAUGGUGGAAGAUUGUAAAUAACCAUCACUACCGGCCACAACUGUAUUUAGAACUCAUGUCACCAUGAGGAUUUACUCCAUCGGCUGACAAUGCUAAACGAAGAUUUAUGGGUUCAGAACCAAAGUCUUGCCAUUUCAUGUCUACUAACUUCCAUGCUGGAGAGUCUGGCUGGAUGUCGUAACUUACCAUCAUUAAUUCUUUCAGUAGAAUGCCAAGUCAAGUUUUCAGCACAUUCAAUGCUUCUGAAUAGCCUUUUAAAUCGUGAAUGAUUGAAAGUACCAUAUCACUUUAGAGGGAAUUUGCUUUCUCCUUUCAUUUGUAUCCUUGACGUUUUUCCACCUUGAUUGACAACAUUCAUGACAUUCAAUUGCAUUAGCAAUUCUUUCUAUAGAGACAAACAAUUAUUCGGCAUGCAUGAAUCUUUUCAUAUUCCACCUAAUGCACCUAAUGUUUUCUUUGCUUCAUACAAUGAAUUCGGGAGCUCAUUGGUAUUAGGCAAAAUUUUCCUUCAAAGUUUCAAGUAAUUCUGAAAAACUAGUAUCACUCUAUCCAUACCUAACUUUUAAAUUAUACAAUUUGACUAGAGUAGACAACUUUGUGUACUUUUUGCAUCCUUCGUACAAUGGUUUUUCAGCAUCAAUAAGCAACUUCUCAAAUCCAGUUGGGUCUUUUGAAUACUCCUCAUGAGCAACUUCAAUCAUUUCUUUUACACUUCCAACAUCCUGAUCUUCACAUGUAUGGGUGUCAAACUUUGAAGAUUCAUCAUAGAAGGAUGAGUUAGGAAGUUCUUCCCCAUGCCAAAACCAAAAUUUAUAACUUUCAUCAAUACCAUUAACAUACAAGUGAUCUCUAACACCCUUUCUACUAUGUUUUUCACAAUUCCCACAUUUCAAACAAGGACAACGAAUAUAGGAGCUAGUUGUAUUAGAAAAUCCAAAUUUGAUGAAGUUUUCCACACCCAACUCAUAAUCUUUAGACAAUCUACUCUUGUGCAUCCAAGAUUUAUCCAUCAUUGUAAAUCUAAUGAGAAAUAAAGUUAUUGUCACUAUUGAUAAUUAAAGUGGAAGGACAAUGAUAAGUAAUGCCCUGUAUAACCAAUGUUGAGAAUGUGAAUCCAAUCUAUACAAAUCUUCUACAAUUAUGGUCUUCAGUUUCUACUGCUAAGAGAUUUUCAUGCAUUACAAAUGAAACUUAAGAAAAUUAAAAGAACUAACUAAACUCAUUUCUUUUUUAAAGUGAUCAUAAAAAGCUUCACUAAACAAAGAUUCCAAUCAUGAAGAUCGUAAUCAACCAUACAACAGAAUACCUGAGGAAGACAAGGCAAUUACAACACCAAGUCUUUCAAUGGAUAAUACAACAUAAUCAUUCAAAUAAGAGUGGUUUUACUUUUACCUUAAAAUGAAAUCUAUAACCAAGAUCAAGGUUAUGGUUCCAUAGGAAACAAUUAAUUAUAUUUAGCUUAAAAAAAGUCAAAACAGAAUUCACCCAAUAGAAAAAAGUAAAAACACACAAUUGAAUUAAAAAUCUCAAGCUGCACACAAAAGCAACUAUGGCAAAAAGAGGGUGAAUGAAAAAAUUAGUUAAAACACCUCCAAAUUAUUAAGGAAGAAGGCAAAACCUUGGACAACAUAAGGUAACAAACAAAGAGAAUACAUGAUCUUUUUUUCUUUUUCUUUUCACGAAGGGAGAAGAAUUGACUCAUCCUCCAAAGCUCUCAAUUAGUAGUAUUGUUAUAUGAGAUCUUCAAAAUUACUGAAAGAGGGAAGUUGAUUAUAUGACAUGCACUCCCAAAAAUUUGUUCAUACAUUCAUUUGUUUUCUUUAAAUCCUAAUAAAAUUUGAUGGUGAAGAAAAACUACAGUACUUUAAAGAUUGAAUAAAAGUAUACGAAUUUCAAUCAAUUCGAAGUUUACACCUCCAUCCUUCCUAUCUAUUAUUGCCAAUCAUGCCAUCUGAGUUUAUAUAAUGAAGAAUAAUGAAAUUGUUAUAUGUUUUAGGGAAAUAAAAGCCUAACCUCAACUUAGUGGAUGAUGGAUUUUGAAGCAACGAACGUGAGGCACUCGUUGGUGAAGUCGAAAUGACGGGCACGCAGUAGCGUGAGGCACUGAGGGAUUUUGGAAAGAUGGAAUGCAGCGGACGAAGGACUUUGAAACGACGGACGUGAGGCAUUCGAAGAGGUGGAACUCGACGGUGAAAUCGAACGGACAGACGUUGAAGGCGAACGGAUAGGCGUUGAAAGCGAACGACGACUGCUGAACACACUUUUUUCGAAUGGGAAGGAUUUCUGGAGAGGGAAAGGGGAACACGCGUGUUUUGAGUAGAAAGGGGUAGGGCUUUUUAAAAAAUAAUAUUUGCACAAUAAUUUUUUCUAUAUAUAUUUAAAGUGAUUCUGAACAAAUAAUAUUAGUACAAUAUUUUUUUCUAUAUAUAUUUAAAGAAAUUUUUAUUAUUGUAUCUAUAUAUUUAAAGAGAUUUUUUUAUUGUAUCUAUAUAUUUAAAGAGAUUUUAAAGAAAUAAAAUUAGCCCAAUAUAUUUUUCUAUAUUUAUUUAAUAACACUUGACAUUUUUAAAAUGUAAAAAAAAAAUGAUCUUACUUAACGUUUAAAAAAUGUCAACAAAUUCAAAAAAUGACUCCUCGAAUACUCAGUCGUGAAGAAGAAAAAAGUAGAUUAGGAAAAAUGUUAGAGCUGAAAAUUAAAAUUCGAUACCUUCUCAGUGUAAUUUAAAAAUAUUCUUGAAUAUUUUAUGAAUUUCUUGACGUUUUUAAAACGUCGAGUAAAAUUUUAAAUUCUUGACGUUUAAGAAACGUCAAGCAUGUCGAAUUCAUACGCUUCUUGACGUUUUAAGAACGUCAAAAAAUUAAUAGAUAUUUCUUGAUGUUUUAAAAACGUCAAAGAAAAAUUUAUUUUACUUGACAUUUAAUAAACGUCAAGAAUGAUUUUCAAAAAAUUUCUUGACGUUUUUUAUUAAAAAUGAAAUCUUUCUUGACGUUUUUCGAAAAAAACGUCAAGAAAGGAAAACUGCAAACGUCAAGAGAGCCUGUUUUGUAGUAGUGUAAGUUAUAAUAAUUAAGUUCAUAGAACACAUACUUUAUUAUUUGAGAAAAUGACAAAAACAAAGACCAACUCACACAUCAAGAGGUAAAAUGUCACAAAUGCCCUCGUUAUUGAUGUACAUUUGAUACACCUUAUACACGUCCGAUACACCUAAUAUCGCUUGAUACACUUGAUAUUUCUUACUGAUACACUUGAUACAUUUGAUAGAUACAAUUCAUGCACUCGGUACUCAUUGAUACACUCGAUACUUUUUGAUACACACCUGAAACAUCUUCAUACACAUAAUACUUCUCGUUACACUUGAUUCUUCUUGAUACACUUGAUACCCCUGAGGCCUUGAUACACUUGAUUAGUUUGAUACACUUAAAGACUUCACUUAUAAGUUUGAUACACUUAAUACACCACUAAUAAACUUGUUAUACUUCAUUGGUACACUUAACAAAUUUGAUAUGUUUGUUGUACAUGCACUACAAGAAAUUUACCCUUUGUCGAUGACAAAUAUCGUCAGUAAAUCUUCAAAAACUAAUCGACUUUUCUUUUGCCAACGAAAUUAAGCUGUCAACACACACCGUCACGCAGGUCUGUCGGAAGAUCCUCUAUCGAUGGCAAAAAAUAAACUGUCAGCAAAAUAGGAACAAUCGAUGAAAUUGAACCAUUAGUGUGCGUGUGUGUGCGCUCGCGUGUGCGCAUGUCCACGUGUGCUUGGGUGUGUGUAUGCGCACAUACAUGUGUACGUGUUUGUGUGUGCAUUUGUGUGCGUGCGGUUUGGUGUGCGUGUGCAUGUGUGCGUUUGUGUGUGUGUGCCUACGUUCGUGUGUGUGUGUGUGCGUGUGUGCACGCGUGUGUGUGUGCGUGUAUGGGUGCACGCGUGUGCAAGUGUAUGUAUGUGUGUGCGCGUGUGAUUGUGUGUGAAUAAGUUGAUAUUUUUUAAUGUUGAGUUUCUCCCAAUUUUAAAACAAUAUUUUAAUUAUCUUGAUAUUCAAGCCAUUAAUAUUAUUGUGAGAUAAAGAUAGUGAAUAAGUUGAUAUUUUUUAAUUUUGAAAUUCAAUUAAAGUUAUUUUGAUACAAAAUCUAUUGCUGAGAUUAUCAAAUUCUGAAAAAUAAUAAUUUUGUUAUGUUGAAAUUCAAUUUGGUUAUUUUGAAAUUCAAAUUCAAUUAGGUUAUUUUGAAAUUAGUAAGAUUAAAUAAAGUUAAAGUCUUGAAUCCAUUAGUUGAGUCCCGAGAUAUUAAGAAAAAAAGUAUAAUAUGAGUUUAUGUAUCUUUUUCAGGUAAAAAAUAAUUAAAGUUGAUAAAUGCAUAAUAUAAAUUAAUUACAACAUAGAAACAAAAUAAUUUUAGUUGGAGAAUGUGGAUAUUUUGGUAUUUUAUAAAAUAUUAUGCACGUGCAAAAAAUGUUAUUUGCUAAAAUUUAAAAAAAAAAUAGUUUUGCCAUUUUUCAAAAUGACCCAUAAAAAUGUUCCUAUAUCUCUUAUGACAUAGUGUAUAUCUACUGGUUCAUAUUCGACCUGUUUGUUGCAAAUAGAAUUGGAUAAAAUCGCAUUAUAUUGAAAUAAUUACACGAAUGACACUUUUAAGCCAAUAUUGAUAGAAAUUAUAGUUUAAUUAAUGUUAUUAAGUCAAAUGAACAUGGUUUAAAAGUCCUUCUAAACACAAUUAAUGUAGAUUUUUUUUUAAUUUUAACUCAUUUAUACAUCUUUAUGCAUAUGUGUGUGUGUACGUGUGCGCGUGUAGGUAGGUGUGCGUAUGUGUAUGUGCGUGCGUUUGUGCGAGUGUCCGUGUGCAUAUAUGUGUGGGUGUGUGCAUGUUUGUAUGUGUUUGUGCGUGCGUGUGUGUGCGCAGGCUAUUGCGUGUGUGCUUGGGUGUGUGGGUGUGCUCGCGCGUGCGUGUUUGUGCGCGUGUGCGUACGUGUUUACGUCUGUGCGUUUGUGCGUACGCGUGUGUGCGUUUGUGCAUGUGUGUGUGCUUGUGCGCGUGUGGAUAGGUGUGUGUGUGCAUGCGUGCGCGUGUGCAUGUGUAUGUGCGUGCGUUCGUGUGUCUGUGGGUGUCUGUGUGUAGAUGUGUGUGUGUGCGCGUGUGUGUAAGUGUGCAUGUGUACGUGUGUGCGCAGUGCUUCUAUGCUUGUGUGCGAACAAGUUAAUAUUUUUUAAUGUUGAGUUUCUUCCAAUUUUAAAAUAAUAAUUUAAUUAUCUUGAUAUUCAAGGCAUUAAUGUUAUUUUGAGAUAAAGAUAGUGAACAUGUUGAUAUUUUUUAAUUUUGAAAUUCAAUUAAGGUUAUUUUAAUACAAAAUCUAUCGUUGAGACUCUCAAAUUCCGAAAAAUAAUAAUUUUGUUAUUUUGAAAUUGAUAUUUAAUUAGGUUAUUUUGAAAUUAGUAAGAUUGAAUAAAAUUAAAAUCUUGAAUCAAUUAGUUGAGUCCCGAGAUAUUAAGAAAAAAGUUAUGAUAUGGGUUGAUGUAUCUUUUUCAGGUAAAAAAUAAUUAAAAGCUAAUAAAUGCAUAACAUAAAUUAAUUACAACGUAGAAACGAAAUAAUUACUGUUUGAGAAGGUGAAUAUUUUGGUAUUUUAUAAAAUAUCAUGCACACGUGCAAAAAAUUCUAUUUGCUAAAAUUUAAAAGAAAAAGUAGUUUUGUCAUUUUUCAAAAUGACCCAUAAAAAUGUUGCUAUAUCUCUUAUGACAAAGAGUGUGCAUCUACUGGUACAUAUUCGACUUGUUUUUUGUUCGUAAAAUUGGAUAAGACUGCAUUAUAUUGAAAUAAUUACACUAAUGACACUUUUAAACCAAUAUUGAUAGAAAUUAUAAUUUAAUUAACGUUAUUAAGUCAAAUGAACAUGGUUUAAAAGUCUUUCUAAACACAAUUAUUGUAGUUAUUUUUUAAUUUUAAUUCAUUUAUACAUCUUCGUGCAUAUGUGCGUGUGUGCAUGCGUGUGCGCGAGUGCGUACGUAUGUGCGUAUGCACGUGUCCACGUGUGCGUGGGUGUGUGUGUCUACGUGUGCGUGGGUGUGAGUGUCCACGUGUGCGCGUUUGUGCGUGUGCGUGUGGGUGUGUGUGCGUAUACGCGCGCGUGCGUGUGUACGUGAGUGGGCGUGUGAGCUUUUUGUGCUUUUCUUCCAAUUUUAAAAUAAUAAUUUAAUUAUCUUGAUAUUCAAUUCAUUAAAAUUAUUUUGAGAUAAGGUUAUUUUAAUAUAUAAAUCUAUCGUUGAGAUUCUCAAAUUCUAAAAAAUAAUAAUUUUGUAAUUUUGAAAUUCAAUUUGGUUAUUUUGAAAUUCAAAUUCAAUUAGGUUAUUUUGAAAUUAGUAAGAUUGAAUAAUGUUAUUAAAAUGUUGAAUCAAUUAGUUGAGUCCCGAGAUUUUAAGAGAAAAGUUAUGAUAUGAGUUGAUGUAUCUAUUUCAAGUAAAAAUUAAUUAAAAGUUGAUACAUACAUAACAUAAAUUAAUUAUAACGUAAAAACAAAAUAAUUAUAGUUGGGGAAGGUGAAUAUUUUGGUAUUUUAUAAAAUACCAUGCACGUGCAAAAAAUGUUGUUUGCUAAAAUUGAAAAGAAAAAGUAAUUUUGCCAUUUUUCAAAUUGACCCCUAAAAACGUUGGAUUUUUUUGCAUUCCCUUGGGCUUUCUUGUUCAAUAUUUAGUCAAAUUGCAGUAUACAUAAAAUUUGCAUUUGUUACGUCAUAAGAUUUCAUUCACUAUUUGUGUCUGAUUAUUUUAUAUUUUAUACAGGAGACUCCGUUUGAGUGUUGAGCUAGUAAUGGGAGGGACUACCGUUGACCCCAAAAUUACAAGGUUUCAUGUUGCUUACUGGAUCAUUAAUGAUUUGUCUCUAUCUUUGGCUCAUCGAGUGGUGGAGUUGGAACCCCCUGAAAGUGUAGAUUUAACUCUCUACCGUUGUCAAGAGCUGUUAAGUAUGCAAAAAUGGCCUUGAGAAAUCCUAUAAACUCUCUAAACAGGAGACAUUCUAGUGUAAGAAGAAAUGCUCAAGUCCUUGAAGAAAUUGAGGACACAACUCCAAUUCCUAGCAUGCUUUCUCCCUAAGACUAUGCUGGUCCUAGUCGGGGAGUGGCAUUUACAUCCCAGAAAGACACACAUGUAUCACCUCGUGUUGGCACUUCCAUUGCAAUGCACAACUCUGACAUAUAUAGUGCCGACAUUUCCUUCCUUAAGCUUGAAAAAAGGUGAUUUGAUGUCCAUAAAAAAUUAACAGAGCAGUUAGAUAUUUUCUAAUACGUAUCUCACGUAAUUUGAUGCUCAUUGAUACUGCAUUACUGUGUCAGGAACGUGUUGAUGUAAAAUCUUUCAGUUUUGAUGGAUCUUAUUACAAGUUUUCAACUCUUCUUAGCACGACUUCUGACAGAACAAAGGUUUUAUAUAUCUUUACACGAUCGCAUAUCACAUAUGAACGAUCGCAUAUCCCAUCUGAAAUAUCGAUCACCCCUGGUAAAAUAACCGUUUAGAUAUUCUACACGAUUGUUUGCUUAAGGAUACACGACAUUUUGUAACUAUUUUUUUUAUUAUCCUUUUUUCUUUCUAUACUAGAAUCAGAAUCAAUUGUUUGAUGAUAUUAACAACAUGUAUGAUGAUCUUCGUGAUGAUUCUAGUCAUCACAAUCUGGACAAGAAUGAUGACCAUCAAAAUAACAAACAUGUGAUCAUCCAUGAGAAUCCAUCUGUUCAAGAGUCACAUCUUCAAGAAUCUACUGUAGAGACUCAACAGUUAGUGUUUAAUUCAUUAGUUACUGCUUUAUAUUGUUUAAAAUUGCUUAGAUUAUAAAUAAACAACAAUAAUUUUUUUUCUUUUCUGUGUAGGGAAAAAAAGGAACAACGCCUCAACAACAAGAGCAGUCAGGCAGUGAUAUUAGCAUAGAUGGCAGAGAUGCACAUUUGAUAUUAACUAUAAGUAAUAUAGUAGAAAAUAUGGAAGGUCAUACUCAAACAGAAAAGGGACUGCUAGAAAUGAUUGAAAAUCUUUCGUUGGUAAGCCAACCACUUCCACUUUGUGAGAUGCUACAUUUAACUACUGUCAAAGGUCUUGCAUUAGUUUAAUUGGUAUGUGUGCCCUAAAGGGAUAAAAGCUCUUGGCAGUGAAAGACUUUACAAAACCAUUCAUCAGUUUUAAUUUGAAAAUUCCAAAAUACCAGUACAUUGACAAUAUUUAGAAUCAAAGUUCGAAAUAAAGAACUAAAUAUGCUUUUAAAUUAAAAGAUUCAUAGAACUUACUCUUGUUGACGUCUCUGAAUCUAUAAUCCACCGAAUUGGGAACCUCUGUUUUCCAGCCAAGCUGUGAUUCAUUCGCGCGUAGCUCCUUCGACGUUCGCGCCACCACAUUCUGCUCCAGGUGACGAGGAACGUCACCGAUUGACCUAUCAUCUCACCGACGUUGUUACUUAGUUGAAGCAGUCGUCGACCAAACCUGAGCCCGUCGCAUCUAUCGAAGUGCCGUCGCGUAUAUCGAAGUGUCGUCGCGCAACUCUUCACCUUCCAGCCAUGGGUUGUAAGCUGAAGUUUGUUUUUCAUUUAUUGAUUAGAUAUGAUCUAUUACACGUCGAUUCCAGUUAUUCGAAGUUGUUGCCCCAUUUUACUCUAAUUUUUGGGAUUUUUGUGGUAAGUUGUAUUGGUGAGUGUGGUGGUUUUACACUGUAAUUAUCCUUGGUUGUAGUUUUGGAUAAUUAGUUAAAUUGUUAAUUGAUUCUUGAAGGUAGCGUUUGAGUUCUUGGAUUCACAACUAAAUUGUAGAUUUGUUGGAGUUCGAUUCGCCAAUACUUUGGUAAGCUAGAAUUUACAUUGAGGAAAUUAAAUGAAAGAAAGUAUUGUGAAAGUAAUUGAGUUCCAUAUUCUUAUUAUUAGGUUUCCUUCGUUCGAGAAAUUUGAGUAACAUUAAAGUAAGGGGUUUCUAUUACUGGACUCUUUGAAAGUUUUGAAAUGUGUUGACUGUUUGGAUCUCUGGACUUAGUAUGGUUUACCAAUAUAUGUAGAAGUAGAUAUGAUGACAAAUGUAUAUUAUGCCAGACUGGUAUAGAAGUAGAUACGAUGGAUAAUGUAUUUGUAAACUGAGAAAGGUGUUAUGUAUAUAUAUAUAUCUUGACUGUCUGGUGUGUUGUUAUAGUAUCAACUGAUUUUGUGAUAGAUUGAAUAGAUUGAACGUAAGUGUGUUAAGUUGGAUUGAUGAUAUGAUGGAGUAGUUUGACUAUACUAGGAAUGGAUUGAUUAAAUGUUUAUAACGGACUAAGGGAAAAUUGUUAGCUUUGUCGAUUGGGUAGUGUGCCUUGAGGUGUCCUACGGGAUCACCACCUGUUGUGCAUUCUUCGAGAGCACUAGAAUGACAUGUGCAUUCUUCGAGAGCAAUAGACUGACAUGUGCAUUCUUCGAGAGCACUAGACUGACAUGUGCUUUCUGCAGAGCACUAGACUAAUAUUUGUGUCCUUUAGGGCAUUGGACUGAUUAUGUGUAUUCCUACAUGAUCACAAGACUUUUAAAGUGCAGGGCACCUCCAAUAGGAAGUUAACAAUUUUAUUUUUCUUCUAACAGGAUCAGUAGUGGGUCUCUUACUGGGUAUGUUUAUACUCACCCUUUUAUGUUUAAUCUUUUUCCGCGAAACUGCCAUAGGGAAAUGUCCUUCAAAUUGCUUCUACUUUAUAUUUUUUUUAUUUUGGUUUUCUUUAGUAAUUGAGACUGUUUUGGGUUUCAUGAUUGAACGACUUUUAUUAUCGAUACUUUUACACUUUCAAAAUUUUAUUUGAAAUAGAGCCCGAAUAAAAACUCUUUAAUGUUGUUAAAAAAUAUUUUUUUUAAAUUAUAAAGUCUUAUGGUUAAAGGAUGAAUCUAGUCUUAAAGUAAUAACUUCAGCUUAAUUAAAAAAAUUAGGUCGUUACAAUCUAUUUUGCAGAAAAGAAAAUCAUCGAUUUUAUUUUGGUUAAGAAAAGCUGUUUUUCUUCUACAUAUUUAUAACUCUCUUUCUUUCAUUGAGUAGGAGACGGGGUAGGAGAAAAUCAUAGGAUUCUAUUAACUUAAAAAAUAUUAAAUUAAUAGAAGUUUCAAUCAACUAACUAAUUAACCAUUAAUCAAUUAGUUAAUAAUUAAUUAAAUCAUAUUUAAUUAAUAUUUCAUUUAAAUCUUAUUGAAUGAAUAUCUCUCCAAUACCUUAUAGUUUCAUAUUAAUUUAAUUAAAUAAUAUUAAACUAAUUAAUUAAUAACUAAAUUAAAUAUUUUAUAUUUAACUUAAGUUAAAUUUGAAUCAUAUUCAAAUAUAACUUUAUCUCAUAAUUAAUAAUUUUAAUAUGAAACAAAUCCACAUUAAAUUAAUAUUUGAACUCAUUCAAAUAUUUUAUCUCAUAAAUUAAUUUUGAACUUUAUCUAAAAUUAAAUUUAUAUAAUAAAGUUUCAUUAACAUAUAAACUUUAUAUUAUAAUGUAUCACUAUAUAUUAUACUAAUUAAACUAAUUUCCAAAGUAAAUUUGAAUAUUUCAAAUUAGAACCAAUAUAAAUAAAUCACAUUACAUUUUGUAUCAUCCAUUAUUUUGUAUUCAGUCAUACUAAUAUCAUAAUAAAAAUAUAGAAAAAUUAAAAAAAAAGCAUGCACAAAUAGAGACAAAUAGACAUUGAUAGCUAUCUAUCUCUAUCUAUCUGAAACAAGCACACAUAAAUUUUAUAUUUCUCUAUCGGAUGGACAAAAAUAGCAGUCUAUUUAUAUCUACCUAAGAUACAAACAUUAAAAAAAAAAAAAAACCUUACCAAUAAAAUUCUUGACUUUUCAUGUUAUUCUAAAUGCAACACGUUCUCAGCCCAAGAAGUCAAACAACUCUUCAUUGUAAAAGUAGCUUUACUUCUUUCAUCAAACCACUUUUGCAAUACAUCUCUAAUUGAACUAAGCAUGGUAGCUACAGGUAGUUCUCUAAGAUCUUUAAAAACUAAAUUUACACUGUCUACACAAUUUGAUGUCAUCAUUCUAUAUAUGAAACUCAUUAUACCUGAGAUAGAUUCAACCAAUUUAUCAAAGAACCUUGGAAUCAACAUGUAUGAUUUAACUGUGUCACCUUUUAAUAUCUUUACUAUGUGUUCUUUUGCCCUCCAAGCUUUCUGCUAACUUAUAUUAACUCCAAGAUUUGUACAUGCCUUAUGCACAAUUGCUUUUGGAAUGAAACGAUCAGUAGACAUGAACCUGAACUCAUCUAUCAAGCAACUGUCAAUUACUGUUGAAGAAGCUUGCAUGUGACAACUAGUAUUCAAUGAACAGUCAUGUUCAUAAAUGUAUUUUCAUAGCAUCCACAACUCGCUCUUCUUAUCGUGUAAUUGAUAAUGGUAACUGAUCGUGUAAUUCCAUGUAAAUUAUCGUCAAAAACUUUAAACUAUCGAUCUUUAUAAUGAAGUACAUAAUUCUUACAUUAAUACUUAAAUUUUGUCGUAACGACCCAACUUUUCUAACUAAGUUGAAGUCAUUAAUUUUGACAAAGAGACCGUGAUUGACACAAAAUAUAGUAAAAUUCACUUGAAAUCAUACGAUCAAAGAAAACAAACUUAAGUUCGGGCCCUACUUCAAAUAACCAAAACUUUAAAAGUACUAUUUACAAAACAACAGUUCGUAAACUCAGUUCCAUCACAAAAUUUUUAAACAACCUCAUGUACAAAGGAAAAACAAAAAACAUAAAGCGAAAGCAUUUGAAGGACAUUCCCUUAUAACAAAAAACUAGUAUUCAAUGAACAGUCAUGUUCAUAAAUGUAUUUUCAUAGCAUCCACAACUCGCGCUUCUUAUAACGAGAUGUCCUAAUAAACCAUUUGCACUCUUCUAGUAGGCAUCUAAAUUCAAGAGACCUCAAAUUUGAUAUUGUAGUUCUAAAUUGAAAGUUGUUAUUCACUUCUAUUAUGCCAAAACACUUUGAAAGCACAUGCUAUUCAUGUGCACGUGAUAUUUUUUUUUUAAUUUCUUUGUCCCUCUUCCGCUGUACAGAUGUAAUAUAGGGGUCUAUCAGAUUCCUCCUCUUUUCAAAGCCUCCAAUCAAACUCAAUGCUAAGUUUGACUGCUUCCUUCAGAGUGACGACCCUCAUUUUCCCCUUCCGUGGUUUGGGGAGGAUUCCUCCUCUUUUUAAAGCCCUCAAUCAAACUUGAUGCUAUGUUUAGAACGCUAAGAAUAGGUGGUCUAGUUUUGGUUAGGCCAAAAGUGAAAAUUUCCCCCAAAAGCACUAAUAGUUAGGGAACUCAACACAUUCUACUUGACUUAAUCGACUUGACUCUCUAAUUUUUAUGUGCUUUUUUCAAUGCAUAUUGCAUAUGUUUUUUUUAUAGUUGUUGAUUGUCUCACAUUUUUAUGGUUUGCAUUUACAAGCCUUUUUUUUCUUUCUUUGGUAUGAAAUAUGGUAAUAGGCCUUGCUAGAACCGGUGGGGUAAUCUCCUUAUGGUUCUACACUUAGUUUCAAAGUUUGAUUACUCCCUUCGAAGUGACAACAAGCCUCGUUUUCCCCUAUUGUGGAUCAGAGAGGAUUCCUCCUCUUUUCAAACCCCUCAAUCAAACUCAAUGCUAAGUUUAACUGCUCCCUUCGAAGUGAGAACAAGCCUCGUUUUCCCCUAUUGUGGAUCAAAGAGGAUUCCUCCUCUUUUCAAAGCCCUCAAUCAAACUCAAUUAGAGUAAAAAGGAAAAAAUUUCAUCUCGGGUGCGUGUCCCUCACACGUGUCUCUCUAGGAUUUCCAAGUUCUCUCACUCGGCUGGUGAAGGAGGCGAACGGCUGGUGAGUGCUGCGGUCAGCAAGGGAUCAAAUUCGAAGGUAAUUCGUUCGGUUUUGGCAGAUUGAAUGUGAAAACUAAUGUCAUUUGGUAUCCAUUUCGAAAUUUAUUACAAUUGAUCAAUUGAACCAUUACGAAUGAUAUUCGUUUUGAUUCGGGAGAAUUAACGUCUGUCCAGAAAUUGUUUAAAUCGGUUUCCAAGCUGAAUUGAUUUGAACUAUCUUGAAAGUAUUGCGUGUGGUACGAAUCGAUUUAUUGGCUAUCAGUUUUGGGUUUGAAGACCGUGAUUUAAUUCACUCGCUGGAGGGAUCUCACAUGAAUCUCCUCAGUUGAAUUUCAAUUCUUUUUGAGUUCAUUCGUGUUCCCAGAUUGGGCCGAAAAGAUCAUCACGGGUGUUGGGUUGAUGUCCUAAGCAUGAAACGAUGAAGAAAUUCUCCAGUGACGUUGAGGAGGUGAAGAAACGCGUGAUGUCAAGCCUUCAACGCGUACAUGAUAUGGCGACGAACGACCGAAGGGCGACGACUGCAAAGGCUGACCUAAUUUCUGUGAGGAAGAAAUGGUCGGACAUGAGUGGACCCGAACUGGUUUACGUGAAUCGUGAAACAUAUAAAAACGAAAUACAGGAAAUUGACCGAGCGAGAUGGUCCCAUGAAGAUUGUUGGGUUGAAACAUAUAAAAACAAGUGGUCUCUUUUCGUUUCUUUAACCAUUGGGUUGAAGAAGCGUCCUUUAUGGAUGUUGUGUCCUCUGCUUGGACCAAAGAUACUAGAGUUUCUCCAAUUGUGAAUAUUGUGAGGAACUUAAGAAAUCUCAAGUCGAUUCUUCGCAGGCAUUUUGGUAGGCAUAUCCGGACCAUCAGUGAGGAUGCUCAUCUUGCCAAUGAUACCAUGGACUGAGCUCAAAGAGAGAUGGAGACGAAGUCUCUGUCGGAGGAGGCGAGUAAUCACGCGAGCUUAGCCAGGGUAAACUUUUGGAAAGCGGUUAGAGUGGAGGAAGCCGCUAUGUGCCAGAAAUCGCGAGUCAGAUGGUUGAAGCUAGAUGACCAGAAUACUGCCUUUUUUCAUCGAUCUGUUCGAUCAAGGCAGAGCAGCAAUGCUUUGAAAUCAGUUAUUGACCCAGAUGGAAAUCGAUUGACUAACCAUGAUCAGGUGACUCAGGUGGUAGUUAAUUAUUUCAAAGAUAGUCUGGGUUCUCAGAAUAUUAGCUACAGAGAGCUCUCUACUUGUAUUGAGGAGAUUGUUCAGUUUAGAUGGACUGAGGAGUGUUGCCAGGCCCUCCAGUCGCCUAUUGGCAGGAGGAAGUGAGACGUGUUCUGUUCUCCAUGGAUGGUGGAAAGGCUCCAGGCCCUGAUGGGUAUUCAGUUGGCUUCUUCAAAGGAGCUUGGACGGUGGUUGGAGAGGGUUUCUGUGAUGUCGUCUUACACUUCUUUGAGACCAAUUACUUCCCUCAAGGGGUGAAUACGACUGCUAUUACACUUAUUCCUAAAGGAAGCCCUAUCCCGUUAUACGAUACUUACGAGAUGAAACUCUAGGCAUCAAUUGUGCCCUAUCUCGUUAUAACUACAAUGAGAUGGAAAACUAGGCAUUCGUACAGGCUCUCGUCCCUUGAGAUGGGAAACUAAGCAUCUUUAGAAGUCUUCAUCUCUUAUCUAAUACCAAUGAUGGAAAGCUAGGUAUUUACUGAAUAUCCAAAUCAAAUGACCUCUAUGCACAAGAAAAUCUCUCCGAAGGGUUGCUAUAUAUCUUAGAAUAUUUUAGGUAUAGACUAAAACAUGCUAAUAUUAUUUUCAAGCUUAAACAUUUUGAAAACUUAGCACAAUCAUAAUUGCUUAUAAUUUUCAUUAGUAAAUUCAUCAAUAAAAACAUGUUUACCAAAAUGUUUCUAAAUUCAUGCUUUGGAAAUACUUUAUAUGUCAGUAUCCUCAAAUAUUCAAACAUCAAAGCAUGCUUGAAACAUUUGAUAGUAAAUUCAUGUUUAGAAAUCAACUUUAAACUCAUUUUUGUCACUUAUAGAGAGUAGCUUGGACCCUUGUCUUAUAAACUUGUUCGAUCUCCUUCAGAUCUAAAAUAAUGAAAAAUAAUGGGAAAUAAUUCCAUUUAAUUCCCGUUGAUCAUAAAAAUAUCAAAACUUUGCUUAAAAUUUCCAAAAACCACAAAAACAGCCCAAAGACAUUAGCUUGCGUACAAAAUAUUGUGGCAGAAGUUGGCAGGCGCGCGUAGGGCUUGCCUUGCCAUGUCUCGUUCUAACCUCAUGUGCAGCGUGUCACACUCACAACUUUUCAAACACGGAACAGACUAUUGUGCGGCACUUGUUGUAACUCGAUGAACACGUCAGUUGUAUGAAAUUCGAUACGAUGUAGCCUCCCUACAGGUUUUAAGAGAAAUUGGUUUUAUUAAACAUGAGAGAGAAAGGAAAGCAUUGGAAACAUCGUUAAAAAAAACUUUGAAGACUGUCCAUUGCAAAGAGAGCUUAAAUUGCAAAGAGUACCUCUGUGAUGAGAUUGGUUUGUGGAACCAAUUGGGAUGGGAAAAAGUUUAGAGAUAUUUGAGAGAAACUCUUUUCUUUUUGCAAACAGCAAUAGCGUUAGCCUUAUUUUUUCUUUUUUUAUUAAUUCAUUUUUUUAAGAAAAUUGUUUUCUUCUAGAUAUUAUAACUCUCUUUCCUUCUAGGAAUAGAAAAUGAAGUAGAAGAGAACCAUGAGAUUCUAUUAAUUUACAAAUAAUUAAAUUAAUAUAUAUUUCAAAUCUACUGAUUAAUUAAACAUUAAUCAAUUAGUUAAUAAUUAAUGAAAUCGAAUUUAAUUAAAUAAUAUUAAACUAAACUAUUAAUUAAUUCUCCAAUUAACUAAUAACACUAAAUUAUUUAUCUUAUAUUUAACUUAAAUUAAUUUUGAAUCAUAUUCAAAUAUAAGUUUCUCUCAAUAAUUUUAAUAUGAAUCCAAUUCACAUUAAAUUAAUAUUUGAACUCAUUCAAAUAUUUUAUCUCUCAUAAAUUAAUUUUGAAUCAUCCCCAAAGUUAAAUUUAUAUAGUAAAGUUUGAUAAACUUUAUAUUAUAAUGUAUCACUAUACAUUAUACUAAUUCCCAAGUUAAAUUUAAACAUUUUAAAUUACAACCAAUAUAAAUAAAUCUCAUCACCCUUUACGAGCUAGGAAAGGGACCUAAUGGACCUACAGAUUAGAAGCUACAACGAUCUAAGAUUAAUUGGCUAAACUCAUUAACCACAUUAAUCAAUAUUCGUUAGUUGUGUGUACACUCCACUAAAGACUCACAACUGAACUCUUCUCACUAAAAAUAUAUUUCUGUGUCCACGGAUAUAGACCAAUAAUAGUAAGUUAGUCCUUCACGAGUGUUUGUAACACCAGUUGGAUCAAUUUACCGCUUUACCCCUAUGUUACCUCUAAUCCUUAAAAACCAGUGCUCCUCUAAUGAACAACUUGUUUAUGGUCCUACUAAUAAACAAAAACCCCUCUCAUGUCAUAGAGAGGGUACGUGCCCUUUGUUCAAGUUUUGGAGACACCAUUUAAGCUAACAUUCAUCUACUUACCCUAAAGUAGGAAAUGAGUGAAUUCCAUUUUGUGCAAUUAUAAUCCCAACUCCCCACUCAGUCUUGUCCCCAAAAUCACUACUACAAAAAUAGGCUCUCUUGACGGUUGUAGUUUUCCUUUCUUGAUGUUUUUGAGAAAAAACGUCAAGAAAGAUGUGAUUUCAAAAAAAAAACGUCAAGAAUUUUUAUGAAAGGCCAAUUUUCAACUUUCUUGACGUUUUUCUUGACGUUUUUUGUGCAAUUAAACGUCAAGUAAGAUGUAUUUUUUCUUGACGUUUUUUAAACAUCAAGAAAUAUCUAAUAAUUUUUUGACGUUUAAAAAACGUCAAGAAUGUUCAUGAAUUCAACAUAAACGUCAAUAAUAUAUAGUUUUCCUCGACGUUUUAACAAAUUCUUAACAUUUUUAAAAUGUCGAGAUAAUUCUAAAAAGUUCUUGACAUUUUUAAAAACGUCAAGAAAUUUAUAAAAAAUUCUUGACGUUUUUAAAACGUCAAGAUAAUUCUAAAAAAUCAUUGAGAGAAAUUUUAAUUUGUUUUUGACGUUUUAAAAACGUCAAGAAAUUUCUAAAAAAUUAUUGUGUUAAUAUUCUUUUACAAAACACAACGUUUCAAUUUGAUCACUUCCCCUUUUCUUAAUUAAACCUAAUUCGCCGCGACUUUGUCCCUUCUCCACCCGAAAUCAAAAGCGUCGUUCACCUAACCUUCCCUUCGCGUUCAUCUGUGCAUUCAUCUGCGUUCAUCGCCGAAAAAGACUUCCCUUCGCGUUCAUAAGCAUUCACCUUCAUUCAUUUGCGUUCAUCGUCGUCACCCCGUCCUUUGCGUUCCCUUCACUCUUCGUUGAUUUGCGUCCGUCUGUUCACCGUUCGGAAUGCGUAAACACAUUCUCUGUUCGAAAACGAGUAAACACGUUCACCAUCCUUCUGUCGCAUUCCACUUUCGCUAAACCUCUAUUCGUUUCCAAAUCCUUCAUGGUUACUCAUUCAUUUUCUUCCCUUUCUAAAGGUAAUAAUUUUCCUUUUUUCCUUUGUGAUUAAAAUUUGUAAUUUGUAAUUUAAAAUUGGAAUGCAAAAUUAAAGAAGAGGAAAUAUGCCUUAGAGAAUGGAAGAAAGGUUUUGCAUUUUAGGCUUGAAAAGGGGGGAUACAAGUUAUUAUAAUUGUAAUAUAUAAUAUUUUGAACAAGGCUACCAAGCGUGCGAAUAUGAUUCAUUGGUUAGUUUAGGGAUUGGAAAGAGAAGGAUUGUGGAGUUUGUGAUAAUAUUUUGGUACACUGGAGCUGGAAACAGAGAAUAUUAAAAAACACAUACUGUUAUACACAGUAUUAUAAUAAUACGAAUCACUAGCUUUUCUUUCUUCUCCUUGAAUUUUUGUUAUGGGUAUUAUAUUGAGUUUUGUGUUUUAGAUUGUGAAGUAUGGGGUAGCUAAACUCUUAAUCCUAGGGAUAGAUGUAGACAAAGUUUAUGAAUUAUUCUUUGUAAUGCAUCUGAUUAUUUGCUCUUAAUCUUUUCAUGUUUUUAUGUGAAUAGCGUUCAUAAUAUCUUAAUCACAGAUUAAUUGUUGAUUGGCCAUGAACCUUAAUCUUUGCAUGACUAGAGUGGUUAUGAACUUGGAUAGAGAUAAUUAAGGAUCCUUGAGGAGGUUGUUGAAAGAAGUGGACCUAAAAACUUUUGUUUGUUAAUAAAAAGAAAAAUGAACAGAGAUUCAUCUUCGUCAGGGUCUUGAUGUUUAAUUUAAUUUAAAUUGUGUAUGAAUUUUAAUUACGAGAAUUUUAAUAUGUUGCAAGAGCACUAUAGCCAAGGUAUAGAGUGAGGGAGAUAAGGUUUAUAUGUCUUAGAGAAUGGAAAGAUGGAAUUUGUGCUAAAAUCAUUAGUGUUCCAAAUACAAUUAUGAAUUGGGUAUAGUUGCAUUCCCCCUUCUGGAUUGCAUAGCACAUAAAUAUACUCUCAUGGAUUGCAUAGCACAUAAAUAUAUGUCAAAAACAAUAACAUAAAACACAAACUUGAUUUAGUUUCAUUCACACUUGUACACCAACAUGUUUCAAGGAAUGAUCAUAUAUUAAAAAUCAUUUUCAAAUUUGGUAAUAUAAAAUGGAAGUGAGACCUUGAGGUUUUGACCACCAAUACUAUCUAACUGAUGAGUUUAUGAUUUUUGUUUCUACUGUGUUCUUUCCUUAAGCUUUAACUUGCUUUAGGGGCAAGAUGGUGAAGGUCUAGUCCACAACCUUUCCCAAGAAUUUAAUGAUGUUUGGGUUGACCCAAUUAUUGUUACACACGUUUUAUGGUAAUUGGUUGUUAUGGUUUUUAAGUGUGUUUUGAUAUCUUGUGUUAAAAAAUAAAAAAGUCGGAAAAGUUUGUUAAAGAUUAGGUGUUUUUAAGUUUGUCAUUCCACUUUAAUUCUCACCAGUACUUGCUGAAUGGAAGCCUCUUGUCUAAGACAAUUCGAGUGGAAUAACUCUCGUGACUACCACAACAUUUGGGAACUCACCAAAUGUAAGACUAUUCCUUUAUCCUAGCAUUUGAUCUCUCUCUAUAAUUUGGUUUGCUAUCGUAAGUUUGAUUAAAAUAAAUGUUGAUAAUUUCCUCUCCAUAUUUUCUUCUCUCAUUCAGAGUCAGUUAGAAUCAAUUCUAUCUUGUCUCCAUAAUUUGGAUUCAAAGAUUCAUCACAAUAAUCUUCUCAAACAACAUCUUUGAAAAGGUAUUGAAUUUUCAACUGUGUGACCUUUAUACACAAAUUUCUUCAAAGAAAUUUACAUUCUUUAGAGUUUAGAGCUUUGAAUUCUAGUACAACUUAUAAAGCUUUUGAUACUUGUUAGACUUUUUUGCUUGGUGCGGAUAAAACCUUAUUUACAUUCUUUCUUUCCUGCAUGUUCUCUUUUGAUAUUUGUUAGACUUUUUUGCUUGGUUGUCCUUAGUGUUUUCCUCUUUAGCUGAAAUUUCUCAAUCUUGAAAAAAAUAGAGCUUUAAAAUUCAACUUUAACUUUAUUUGAUACUAUCUUAGUCCAUACUUAUUUUGGUAUUUCUUUCCUUUCUCACAAACACAUCUAAGAGGUUGCCUUCACAAUAUGGCCAAAUUAACAAUAUGGCAACCCUUUUCAUUGCAAAACAUAUUAGACGUUGGUUACUUAGUUAGCCUUAUUGGGUAAAUAAUUGACAUUUAGGUACUUUUUAGUUUGUAUAUUUAUAGAUGCCAAAUCGAUAUGUGAAUUUUAAUUGUUGCUUAUUUGAAACAUUGCAACCAUUUGAUAAAAUGUUGCUAUGUGAAUCCAUCUUAACUUGAUAUAUUAUUUUAUUUUGGUUUAGGUUGUGGAAUCCAAGUUUGUAUUUGAAGUCAAAUUCAUCCAAGAUCAUUGAGUUCAUAAUACACUCAAGAUUAAGACUAAGUUAUCUAGGUCAUCCUAGUGAAAUAGAAACCUAACUAGUUAAUGUAGUAACACCAAGUGGUUACUAUUUCACAGUCUAGUCUAUUGCAAUCUCAUUGCAUAGGAUACCUUCACUCGCAUGUCAACUACAUGAACACAUUGGAUCAUUGUAUUUGUAUCAAAUACAAAGUGAGUCGUAUUCAUAAUGUUACCAGGAUAAAGGUACCCAGUCUUAUCCGUAUACUAUAGACCCUUUAAGCUGAUCUCGAACAUUGAUCCUUGUAUGUCUCUACAUACUAUUCAAUACUUAUUAAACAGUUUAGGAUGUUAGUUUAUUGGAUUUGAGUUAUUAAGACAAAACUAAUAAUAUAAUCAAUAACAAUUAUUACAAUAAUAACACUUUAUUAACAAUGGUCAAUGGAUUAAAACUUGAUUCCAAGGCUACUCAUGUUUAUUCUCUUGGUGAAAAUGAAUUGUCAGGUGAUACUGGCUGAACCUAUCAAAAAUAAAUGAGUCAUAGUUUGUUUGAUCAUUCAUUUUCUAAUCUUUCUUCUUUAUAUUUAAUUAGUUGUUUAAUUUCUUAAAAAAGAAUUCUGGUUUAUUUAUAGUAUAUUUGGUAGUAUGCAUGCCUCAGCUCCUUUAAUGCAUGUCUCUUACAGUAUAUUUGGUAGUCUUUUAUAAUGUUACACCCUUUUUUUUAAUUCCUAAAACCUUUUAACUUUCCAAAUUUUCAUUCAUUCUUUUUAGAAAAUUAUUUUUCAUUAUUUUUUUAUGGUUACAAAACCAUCCAUUAACUACAUUAAUUAGACAAUUCACUCCAAUAAUAAAUAAAUAACUUUUUUGGAUCUAAGGUCUUUUCUCAUUCUACAAAUUUAAUUUACUAUAUAAAGGUUAUUAUGCUAAUUGAAAAAUAUAUUUCUCUCAAGUAUGUAAUGACAGAAAAUUAGGUUAUAAAUAUAAAAAAAUAUAUUUUUAGGUAUUAUAAUUUUUUUUAAAAAAAUUUAUUUUAAAUUUUUAAUAAAACCUUGCAUUUGGGGAUUCACAUGUUGUUACUUGUCGAACCAAAAAGAUAAAUUCGCGGUGAAAACUCUUUAAACCCAAUUUGUGGAAGGAAAAAUUGAACUGUGGCGUUGAGUUAUUUUGUUGUUGAAGAAGAUCAGUAAAAAACCCACAACAUUAAAACUUCUUUUUGUUUCUUUAAGUAUAUUUUAGAUUGCAGCGUAUUUUCUAUUUGGGUUUAGUUAGGGUUUCUCUUGUUUAUUCCAAGAUAUGCAUGGAUAGUUCAUGUUCGACUAUUUGGAAAGAGGGAUUUAUGUAGCACGGGUAUUAUAUUCUGGUUUUGGAAGUGUCGAGAUAAAUUAAGGACUUUUUUAAUCUUCUUCAAACAAACCUAUACGAAGGCGAAGAAUAAUUUAUGCUUGUAUUUUAGUCGGAAUAAGAAGAAACAUGAAGAGAAUGCCCACGAGGAAAAUGACCACGAGAAAAAGUUGUGUAUUCCUCCAUCCUUAACUGAGCUCUCUAAUGUGUAUUCCUCCCUCCAUAACUGGCUUACUUUGGAUUGUUUGGAUAGAAAGAAACAAUAGAAUUUUAAGGAUAAAUCAAGGUUUAUUGUUAACUUGUGGGAAGACAUAUGUAACUUGAUCGGAGUUUGGUCUAGGCCUCAUUCAUCUUGUAACCAAUAUGAUGUUACUACCAACUCUUAACUUUAAGCUUUGUUAGAUUAGGUUGCUUCGGGCUUCCCUCUAGCCUUCAACCUUGUAACUUUAACUCUAUGUUAAUAGGUAAUGACUCUUAUCCUAGGUUUAUCCUAGUUUGAAGGAUUCGGUUUCUUCUUCUUAAAACAAGUUGUAUUUCGACUACUAUUUUGGAGGAAAAUGUGCUUAACUAACUAAAAAUCUAAUGACACUUCCAAAACCAGUCAUUUCGAAAGAUGUUUCCUCAAUAAUAUAUUUAUAAUGCUCUUCCUUUAUAGAGUAAAACAGUAAAGCAACAAAACCAUUUUAAUUCAUUAUAUAUAUAUAUAUAUAUAUAUAUUUAUUUAUUUAUGUAUGUAUGUAUAUGUAUAUAUAUUUACGUAUGUCAUUACUACAAAAAAGGCCUUUCUUGACGUUUGUUGUUUUUCUUUCUUGACAUUUUUUUCAAAAAACGUCAAGAAAGGGGUAGUUCCAAAGAUAAAACGUCAAGAAUUUUUACAAAAUGGCGUGGGUAGGUCAAUUUUCAGAUUUCUUGACGUUUAUUAAACAUCAACUGAUAUGUAUUUUUUCUUGACGUUUUAAAAAUGUCAAGAAAUAUCUAUAAAAAUUUUGACGUUUUUAAAACGUCAAGAAUGUUUAUAUAUUCAACAUUCUUCAAAUUUUCAAACGUCAAGUAAUAUGUACUUUUACUUGACAUUUUAAAACCGUCAAGAAAUAUCUUAAAAAUUCUUUAUGUUUUAAAACGUCAAGAAUUUUUAUAAAAAGCAGGAGAAGAGUUAUUUUUAAAAUUUCUUGAUGUUUUUUAGACGUCAAGUAAGAUCGUUUUUCUUGACGUUUUAAAAACGUCAAGUGUUAUUAAAUAUAUAUUUAUAUAUAUAUAUAUAUAUAAAGAAAAUAUUUGGGUUGAAUCCUUCGAAGCCCUAGACUUGUCUCUGCCGCAUUCGAAAAUGCCAAGUUCUCUGUGAGGAUCUCUCACUUCUGCCGUGUUCCCCGUCCGUCCGUCCACAUUCACCACGCCCUCUCCGAAAAUGCGUACUAGAUCCUUCGCUUUCAGUCGUUCACCAUCCACUGAGUACGAGAUCCCUAAGACUUCCGCCAUCUGCCAUCCUUAAUACUCUGAAAUCGUCAUUCGUUGUUCCUCAAAAUUGUCGUCCUUCUGUACGAAAAAGUCGUCCUUCUUUUGAGUCUUCAUUCCCCUUUAUGUCGUCCUUCUGUAUUUAGAGGUUAUACUUCAUUCCCCUAAAACUUCCACUGGUUUCCAUAUUUCAAGAAUUUGAAAUUUUUAUAGGAUAUUGCUAGUGGAAAUUAAGUCAAUUCUGUUUGCUCCCAAACUACCUCCUAAUUAUGUUGUCUGGUUGGGAGAAAUAAAGUCUUUGUUAUAUUUCAAGGUAGUGUAUGUUAACCAACACUUAGUGCAUUUUCGUGUUUAUGAGCUUAUUUUAGUUAAUAUGUUUUUGUAGGAAAAUAUGAUGUCAAUAUGGCAUAUUAUAUGAUGAAAUUGUAGUCGUUUAACACAAAAUUUUGAGGUACUUUUUCAACUAAUUAUGCUUUAUCUAAUAUAUUUUUCCAAAUCUUAAAGAAGAACUUUUGAUUUCAUUGGAGUUUAUCAUUAGAGGCAUUACAAUAUUGGCUGCCUCUCAAUGGGCUAUAGGUUUUCCAAUGGUCAUUUGAGACUGGUUGAUAAUAGCAAAAGUUAGAGCUUGAGAAGAAGGAGCGAAGAAAGUAGUGAAGACAAAAGAAGAAAGAAAGCUGAGUGAAAAACGAAAAUUGACAAGGUAGAGAUGUGACAUGAAAAUGAUGAUGAGAAGUGAAGGAGGCACGACACAAUACUGGUACACAAUAACAAAGCCUUGAUAAUUAAAAAAAGGAUGGUGCCAAGAAAAUUUAAAUACAAAAAAAAUGAAGGUUCUUGCAAGUGUAUUGAGUGAAUGGGAGAAAGAAAGGAUAAAAAAGGUAGAAAGAGAGAAAGAGAAGUCAAGGGUAGAGAUACAUAGCUUUGUAUAUAGAAACUUUUGCAAUUAUUUAUUUUUCUACAAUAAUUCUACUUCUAGAACCUAAAUUUUGAAAGCCUACUAAUUUUUCAGAAUUAAUUCGAGACCCCACUUUUGCUCCCCUUCCUACCUACGGUUACUUUUUGCUUAAACUUUAAAAGUUGUUUGAAAAUUUUUGCUGAAACUUGUAAAAUUGUUUGAAGUUCGUAUAUCUCUCACAUAUUGCAAGGUUUCUUAAUUAUUUUAUUGAAUUUCCUACAUAAAUGCAUUCAAACAUGAGUUGACAUUAUUGGAAAAGAUCCGUCAUCCUAAAGUAGUUCAGUUUUUUGGUGUCGUUACUCAGAAUUUGCCUAUGAUGAUUGUUUCUGAAUACCAUCCGAAGGUAUGGAUACAUUUUCUUACCCUUUAUUUUAUUCUAAUGAAAAUUAUUUCAUCAUGUUUCAUUCCAAGCAUUUCAUUACAUAUUUUGUUCAUAUAUGAUGAAUGGUGAUUAGUUUUUGUAUCAACUUAUUCCCUCUUUCAUGUAUAUUUCAUCUUCGAGGGUGAUAUAUAUCAAUUUAUUCCCUCUUCAAUUGAUUCUUGUUUUUACUCUUAGCUUAUAGGUUGCUACAUGAUCGUAUAUUAGGAGCAAAAUUGUGCAAUUAGUUUAUAGUUAGGGAGAUUUCAAUAGUAAAAAGCAAAGAGAGUAAAUGGUAACAAAAUCAUAUUGUUCACAUGAAAUGAUAAAAUAAUCAUUACACAUUUACAAGAACAGUAAAUAAAUUAUGUGAUUUUCGUGAGAAAAAUGAAGAAGAAAUAGCUUCUAACAAAAGUGAAUAUAAAUUAAAGGAGAAUAUAAAAUUGUUUAAAAUAUUUAUUUUCAAUAAUUCGGAAGUUCUUUGGCUAUAUAUAAUGGAAGAGAGCCUUUCCAAGGUGUGAUGUCUGGCGUCAACAACGACGCGCUUAGCACAGAUACGGAACCAGACACCAUCUUCUUGGUGUUUGUCUAUGCAAAAGCCUCGAGUGGCUAUGGUCUUCUUCUUCUCUGUGAGGGAAAUGGUUGAAGUUGCUAGACUAUUUCAAUUACUAUGUGAGAGGUGGCUGAAUUUUAUUGGACCUCUCUUCUUGGGCUUACUUUUUACAAUUGUUUAACAAUCUCUCUCCGAAUAUACCUUCGUCCCCUUAGCUGCUUUCCACUUUGGUAAAAUCGCCAAAGCUUUAUGUGUACAUUGCAAGAGACAGAGGAGCAAGGCAAAAUAAGGUUAUUGGAACAAGGCGAAAGUUAUCAUUGCUAGCUGCAACUUUCCUCAUUCUUCUCACCCUCCUUCAAACCAUAUUUUCUGCUAUGUAUGCAUUUCCUAGCUAGCCUUCCCCCCGCAUAUUCUAUUUUAGCUUUUUUCCUCUCCAGUUUCUGUUAUGUAUUUUUACUGAAUAUUGAUCUCCUUUUUGCUAUCAAGAUACUAUACCAUACAUGCAUGUGUAGGACUUUUAUCCCUUAUAUUUUAUAAUUUGUCUUACUACUGUUAUUGACUGAUAUACCAAUAUACAUGUGUAAAGUAUUGAUCAUAUAAUUAAUAUUAAAUUUAUUACAUUCACUCAUCAAUUUAAGUUUUUUAGUCAAUGUAUGUUCAUGAUUUAAAACAAAUAAUUCGAAGAUUUCAUCCCACUUGUGAACAACGACCGAAAAAAACCUUACUUCAUCCCACAUCGUCGCUGUCUUUCUCUCUCGCAAAUGCUCUCUGGCGUUCCCCCUCUCUAGCAAAUACUCUUCAUGACUUUUCCUCUCUCUUAGAAUUAAGCUCUUCGCCCACCGUUUGAAGGAACUCACCAAAUUUGCAAGUAAUUGAAGAAUUUGUGGUCCAUGAGAUCGAUUAAGUCCAUUUAUGAGUUAGUUUGAUUAGAUUAUGUCACAUAUACAUGUAUUACAAUUAAGGGACACUUGCGAAAAUGGCAAAAUAAGUUAUAAUAAUUAAGUCCAUAGAACACAUACUUUAUUAUUUGAGAAAGUGACAAAAACAAAGACCAACUCACACAUCAAGAGGUAAAAUGUCACAAAUGCCCUCGUUAUUGAUGUACAUUUGAUACACCUUAUACACGUCUGAUACACCUAAUACCCCUUGAUACACUUGAUACUUUUUACUGAUACACUUGAUACAUUUGAUAGAUACAAUUCAUGCACUCGGUACUCAUUGAUACACUCGAUACUUUUUGAUACACACCUGAAACAUCUUCAUACACAUAAUACUUCUCGUUCCACAUAAUACUUCUCGUUACACUUGAUUCUUCUUGAUACACUUAAAGACUUCACUUAUAAGUUUGAUACACUUGAUACACCACUAAUAAACUUGUUAUACUUCAUUGGUACACUUAACAAAUUUGAUAUGUUUGAUGUACAUGCACUACAAGAAAUUUACCCUUUGUCGAUGACAAAUAUCGUCAGUAAAUCUUCAGAAACUAAUCGACUUUUCUUUUGCCAACGAAAUUAAGCUGUCAACACACACCGUCACAUAGGUCUGUCGGAAGAUCCUCUAUCGAUGGCAAAAAAUAAUGUAAUGCCCCAAAGGUAUAUAUAUAUAUAUAUAUAUUUUGUUUUUAUUUUAUAUAUAUAUAUAUAUUUAUUUAUUUAUAUUUAAUUUAAAUAAAAAGAAAAGAAAAAGAAAUAUAUAUAUUUUGUUUUUCUUCUCCUUUUCUUUUCUUUUUCCUUUUCUUUUCUUUUCCAUAUUUCCUUCUUCCUCCCGUGCGCUGCGACCCCCAUCCAUCUUCUCCUUCUUUCCGCCGAUCUCUUCCUUCCAUUUUCUCCUUCCGUUUGUAGCCCAGCAACCGCCGCGCAGCCUAGCAACCACCACCCCGAGACUUCUCUUCUUCCGUUUCUCUUUCUUUUUCACCAUACCCACCCGCCGUUGCCCGGAUCCGUUCGCCCCAGCCCAUCACCGGUUCUGUCUCCGUGCCGAUCUACCAUCUCCAUCUCUGGUUCCCGCGUGCUGAUCUGCCGAACCCAACCGCCACCCUCUCUUUUCCCCUUCGGAUCGAAAACCGCCGCGCCCAUCCACCUGUAACUACCGCGUGACCUCCGCUCACAAACGUCGUCCAGAUCUGCAUCACAACCGCCGUCGCUCGUGCUUCACCCUUGUAGUUCGCAAUAACCUAGAUCCGCCGCUCGUAACCAUCGACCGGUUCGUGAAGCCAGCCGCGCAACCUUCGUUCCAACCGCUGCACUUUCGCGCGAUUCUCCGACCACGUUUUCUUUAGCCGACCGCUGACCGACACACACUUAGGAUUUUUCUGCGAGUUCGACAGUCGUGCGUUGAGGUGUUGGGAGUAACCUUGGGGGGAUUAAAUUCACAACCAAUUUGUGAAUUGUUGAGGGUUCAGUUCGCCAGUAUUUCGGUAAGUUGUGGAAUUUACAUAUGGAGUAAUUUGAAAGGUUGAAACUAUUUAGAACGAUGUUGAUUUUAUGAUUGAUUAUGUUUAGGAUUUGAUUCAUUGGAUUUAGUAGAUUGAAGAAUUUGCAUAGAAAUCGAGGUAAGGGAUUUUCUACUUGACUCAAUUGUGAUUGUGAACUGUAUGUGUGUUGAAUGUAUACUGUGGGUUGACUGAAAAUAUAUAUGAAUGUAUAUGAAUUGAAGUAGACUUGACGUCGAAUGUAUGUCGUGAUUGUCAUGGAAUCUAUAUAUAAAUGUGUGUAUGUGGAUAGGACGGAGAUUGUAGAUUGUGUUUGUAUGAGAUGCAGAUGUGAAUCUUGAGAUUCUCGUUUAGAUUGGGUGUAUGAUUACGCUAAAGUAUGACUGUGUGCUGGUGAACUGAGGGGUGCAUUGACUGUAUAGUUGAUUGAAUGAUGUAUUAGCAUAUUAUUGACAGACAUAUGACUAUAGUAAAAUAAGUUGACUGUUAGGAUGUUGAAAGAAAGAACUUUGUGACUUGAAGUAACUGAAAGAUGGGUAGAAUGGAAUGAGGGGAAAAUUGUUAGAUUGUAUUGGGAUGUUUACCUUGUAGGUGUCCCACGGGAUCACCAAUUUAUUGUGCACCUUUGGGAGCAUUAGACUGAUAUGUGUUUCUGCAGAACACUAGACUGAUAUGUACGGCCCUCGGGGCGUUAGACUGAUAUGUACGUACCUCGGGGCGUUAGACUGAGAUGUGUAUCCUACGGGAUCACAAGACUGCGACUGUACAGGGUGUCCCAAUAGAACUUUAACAAUUUAUUUUCCCCUGACGGGACCAGUAGAGGGUCUCUUACUGAGUAUUUAAAAUACUCACCCUUCUUAUGUUUAAUUUUCAAGCAAAGUUAAUAAAGGCGGCAAACCGGAGAGGGGCAGGAAGGAAGCGUGAUGCCAUAGGAAACGUGUAAUUGCUUCCGCUUAUGGGUUUUGAGAGAUUUAAGAUUGAUUUGAAAUUUAGUUUACAAACGUUUGUUGUAAAUAGUAUUAUUUUAUGUUUUCUUGAAUGUUUAAAAAUCAGGCCUGACUUGAAGAUGUUUUUUUUUUAAAUUGCUUACGUUUUGUUUUAUAUUAAUCAAAGUCUUUUAUUUGUUAAAAAUUAACGAUCUCGACUUACCUAGAAAAGUUGGGUCGUUACAAAUAAACUGUCAGCAAAAAUAGGAACUAUUGAUGAAAUUGAACCAUCAGUGUGCGUGUGUGUGUGCGCUCGCGUGUGCGCAUGUCCACGUGUGCUUGGGUGUGUGUAUGCGCACAUACAUGUAUACGUGAGUAGGUGUGUGCGUGUUUGCGUGUGCAUUUGUGUGCGUGUUGUUUGGUGUGUGUGUGUGCAUGUGUGCGUUUGUGUGUGUGUGCGUACGUUCGUGUGUGUGUGCUUGUGUGCACGCGUGUGUGUGUGCGUGUAUGGGUGCAUGCGCAUGCAAGUGUAUGUGUGUGUGCGCGUGUGAUUGUGUGUGAAUAAGUUGAUAUUUUUUAAUGUUGAGUUUCUCCCAAUUUUAAAACAAUAAUUUAAUUAUCUUGAUAUUCAAGCCAUUAAUAUUAUUGUGAGAUAAAGAUAGUGAAUAAGUUGAUAUUUUUUAAUUUUGAAAUUCAAUUAAAGUUAUUUUGAUACAAAAUCUAUUGCUGAGAUUAUCAAAUUCUGAAAAAUAAUAAUUUUGUUAUUUUGAAAUUCAAUUUGGUUAUUUUGAAAUUCAAAUUCAAUUAGGUUAUUUUGAAAUUAGUAAGAUUAAAUAAAGUUAAAGUCUUGAAUCCAUUAGUUGAGUCCCGAGAUAUUAAGAAAAAAGUACGAUAUGAGUUUAUGUAUCUUUUUCAGGUAAAAAAUAAUUAAAAGCUGAUAAAUGCAUAAUAUAAAUUAAUUACAACAUAGAAACAAAAUAAUUUUAGUUGGAGAAUGUGGAUAUUUUGGUAUUUUAUAAAAUAUUAUGCACGUGCAAAAAAUGUUAUUUGCUAAAAUUAAAAAAAAAAUAGUUUUGCCAUUUUUCAAAAUGACCCAUAAAAAGGUUGCUAUAUCUCUUAUGACAGAGUGUAUAUCUACUGGUUCAUAUUCGACCUGUUUGUUGCUAAUAGAAUUGGAUAAAAUCGCAUUAUAUUGAAAUAAUUACACGAAUGACACUUUUAAGCCAAUAUUGAUAGAAAUUAUAGUUUAAUUAAUGUUAUUAAGUCAAAUGAACAUAGUUUAAAAGUCCUUCUAAACACAGUUAAUGUAGUUGUUUUUAAAUUUUAACUCAUUUAUACAUCUUUAUGCAUAUGUGCGUGUGUACGUGUGCGCGUGUAGGUAGGUGUACGUAUGUGUAUGUGCAUGCGUUCGUGCGAGUGUCCGUGUGCAUGUGUGUGUGGGUGUGUGCAUGUUUGUAUGUGUUUGUGCGUGCGUGUGUGUGCGGGCUAUUGCGUGUGUGCUUGGGUGUGUGGGUGUGCUCGGUGUGCAUGUUUGUGCGCGUGUGCGUAUGUGUUUACGUGUGUGCGUUUGUGCAUGUGUGUGUGCUUGUGCGCGUGUGGAUAGGUGUGUUUGUGUGCAUUUGUGCGCGUUUGUGCGUGUGUGCGUUUGAAAUUAGUAUGAUUGAAUAAAGUUAUUAAUAUGUUGAAUUAAUUAGUUGAGUCUCGAGAUAUUAAGAAAAAUAUUAUGAUAUGAGUUGAUGUAUCUAUUUCAAGUAAAAGAUAAUUAAAAGCUGAUAAAUGCAUAACAUAAAUUAAUUACAAUGUAGAAACGAAAUAAUUACAGUUGAAGAAUGUUGAUAUUUUGGUAUUUUAUAAAAUACCAUGCACGUGCAAAAAAUGCUAGUUGCUAAAAUUCAAAGGAAAAAGUAGUUUUGUCAUUUUUCAAAAUGACCCCUAAAAACGUUGUUAUGUCUCUUAUGACAAAGAGUGUAGAUCUACUGAUCCAUAUUCGAUUUGUUUUUUGUUGGUAAAAUUGGAUAAGACCGCAUUAUAUUGAAAUAAUUACACGAAUGACACUUUUAAGCCAAUAUUGAUAGAAAUUAUAAUUUAAUCAAUGUUAUUAAGUCAAAUGAACAUGGUUUAAAACUCUUUGUAAACACAAUUAUUGUAGUUAUUUUUUAAUUUUAAUUCAUUUAUACAUCUUUGUGCAUAUGUGCGUGUGUGCGUGCGUGUGCGCGAGUGCGUACGUGUGUGCGUAUGCGCGUGUCCACGUGUGCAUGGGUGUGUGUGUCUACGUGUGCGUGGUGUGAGUGUUCACGUGUGCGCGUUUGUGCGUGUGUGUGUGGGUGUGUGUGCGUAUACACGCGUGUGCGUGUGUACCUGAGUGGGCGUGUGCGCUUUUUAUGCUUUUCUUCCAAUUUUAAAAUAAUAAUUUAAUUAUCUUGAUAUUCAAGUCAUUAAAAUUAUUUUGAGAGAAGAUUAUUUUGAUAUAAAAUCUAUCGUUGAGAUUCUCAAAUUCUAAAAAAUAAUAAUUUUGUAAUUUUGAAAUUCAAUUUGGUUAUUUUGAAAUUCAAACUCAAUUAGGUUAUUUUGAAAUUAGUAAGAUUGAAUAAUGUUAUUAAAAUGUUGAAUCAAUUAGUUGAGUCCCGAGAUUUUAAGAGAAAAGUUAUGAUAUGAGUUGAUGUAUCUAUUUCAAGUAAAAAUUAAUUAAAAGUUGAUAAAUACAUAACAUAAAUUAAUUAUAACGUAAAAACAAAAUAAUUAUAGUUGGAGAAGGUGAAUAUUUUGGUAUUUUAUAAAAUACCAUGCACGUGCAAAAAAUGUUGUUUGCUAAAAUUGAAAAGAAAAAGUAGUUUUGCCAUUUUUCAAAUUGACCCCUAAAAACGUUGGAUUGUUUUUUAUUCCCUUGGGCUUUCUUGUUCAAUAUUUAGUCAAAUUGCAGUAUACAUAAAAUUUAUGUUUGUUACGUCACAAGAUUUCAUUCACUAUUUGUGUCUGUAUUAUUUUAUAUUUUAUACAGGAGACUCCGUUUGAGUGUUGAGCUAGUAAUGGGAGGGACUACCGUUGACCCCAAAAUUACAAGGUUUCAUGUUGCUUACUGGAUCAUUAAUGAUUCGUCUCUAUCUUUGGCUCAGCGAGUGGUGGAGUUGGAAGCCCCUGAAAGUGUAGAUUUAGACUCUCUACCGUUGUCAAGAGCUGUUAAGUAUGCAAAAAUGGCCUUGAGAAAUCCUAUAAACUCUCUGAAACAGAGACAUUCUAGUGUAAGAAGAAAUGCUCAAGUCCUUGAAGAAAUUGAGGACACAACUCCAAUUCCUAGCAUGCUUUCUCCCUAAGACUAUGCUGGUCCUAGUCGGGGAGUGGCAUUUACAUCCCAGAAAGACACACAUGUAUCACCUCGUGUUGGCACUUCCAUUGCAAUGCACAACUCUGACAUAUAUAGUGCCGACAUUUCCUUCCUUAAGCUUGAAAAAAGGUGAUUUGAUGUCCAUAAAAAAUUAACUGAGCAGUUAGAUAUUUUCUAAUACGCAUCUCACGUAAUUUGAUGCUCAUUGAUACUGCAUUACUGUGUCAGGAACGUGUUGAUGUAAAAUCUUUCAGUUUUGAUGGAUCUUAUUACAAGUUUUCAACUCUUCUUAGCACGACUUCUGACAGAACAAAGGUUUUAUAUAUAUUUACACGAUCGCAUAUCACAUAUGAACGAUUGCAUAUCCCAUCUGAAAUAUCGAUCACCCCUGGUAAAACAACCGUUUAGAUAUUCUACACGAUUGUUUGCUUAAGGAUACACGAUCAUUUUGUAACUAUUUUUUUUUAUUAUCCUUUUUUCUUUCUAUACUAGAAUCAGAAUCAAUUGUUUGAUGAUAUUAACAACAUGUAUGAUGAUCUUCGUGAUGAUUCUAGUCAUCACAAUCUGGACAAGAAUGAUGACCAUCAAAAUAACAAACAUGUGAUCAUCCAUGAGAAUUCAUCUGUUCAAGAGCCACAUCUUCAAGAAUCUACUGUAGAAACUCAACUGUUAGUGUUUAAUUCAUUAGUUACUGCUUUAUAUUGUUUAAAAUUGCUUAGAUUAUAAAUAAACAACAAUAAUUUUUUUUCUUUUCUGUGUAGGGAACAAAAAUGAACAACGCCUCAACAUCAAGAGCAGUCAGGCAGUGAUAUUAGCAUAUAUGGCAGAGAUGCACAUUUGAUAUUAGCUAUAAGUAAUAUAGCAGAAAAUAUGGAAGGUCAUACUCAAACAGAAAAGGACUGCUAGAAAUGAUUGAAAAUCUUCCGUUGGUAAGCCAACCACUUCCACUUUGUGAGAUGCUACCAUUAACUACUGUCAAAGGUCUUGCAUUAGUUUAAUUGGUAUGUGUGCCCUAAAGGGAUAAAAGCUCUUGGCAGUGAAAGACUUUACAAAACCAUUCAUCAAUUUUAAUUUGAAAAUUCCAAAAUACAAGUACAUUGACAAUAUUUAGAAUCAAAGUUCUAAAUAAAGAACUAAAUAUGCUUUUAAAUUAAAAGAUACAUAGAACUUACUCUUGUUGACGUCUCUGAAUCUAUAAUCCACCGAAUUGGGGACACCACCCGUUAGAGACCUUCCUAUCUUCGAAGAUGAGAUUGGUUUGUGGAAAACAAUUGGAAUGAAAAAAAAAUUUAGAGAGAAACUAUGUAACACCCCCAAUAUCAAGGUAUUUCUCUCAAGCUAAAUUUUUUAAAUUUUAUUAAGAUUUUAAGGAAUUUGGUUGUGGUGUGGAUUUAGCAGGAAGUGAAGGGGGCUUUUAUGAAAAAAUAUACUAAUACUAAAGGUUAAAUAAUAAUAAUAUAUAAUAAUAAUAGAAUUAAUGUUAUUAUUAAUUUAAAAUAUCAAUUCUUUAUUGAUUCACGUGCAACCCCAUCUCUUUCUCCUUCACUCUUCCUCUUCCCCGUGCCCACUGCCGCUUGCCUCCCUUAGCCAUUUUAUAUUACUCUUGGACGUCAACCGGCCACGCCGUCAUUGAUCGCUUCGUCUCCGUUGAAGCUGAAGCACCGUUCGUCGUGAGUUCGAACUCUCGGCAUCGCGUCUCACCUAUGUUUUCCAGCCAAGUUGUGAUUCAUUCGCGCGUAGCUCCUUCGACGUUCGCGCCACCACAUUCUGCUCCAGGUGAUGAGUAACGUCACCGAUUGACCUAUCAUCUCACCGGCGUUGUUACUUAGUUGAAGCAGCCGUCGACCAGACCUGAGCCCGUCGCGUCUGUUGAAGUGCCAUCGCGCGCUCUUCACCUUCCAGCCAUGGGUUGUAAGCUGAAGUUUGUUUUUCGUUUGUUGAUUAGAUCUGAUCUAUUACACGCGUCGAUUCUAGUUAUUCGAAGUUGUUGCCCCCAUUUUACUCUAAUUUUUGGGAUUUUUGUGGUAAGUUGUAUUGGUGAGUGUGGUGGUUUUACAUUGUAAUUAUCCUUGGGUUGUAGUUUUGGAUAAUUAGUUCAAUUGUUAAUUGAUUCUUGAAGGUAGCAUUUGAGUUCUUUGGAUUCACAACUAAAUUGUAGAUUUGUUGGAGUUCGAUUCGCCAAUACUUUGGUAAGCUAGAAUUUACAUUGAGGAAAUUAAAUGAAAGAAAGUAUUGUGAAAGUAAUUGAGUUCCAUAUUCUUAUUAUUAGGUUUCCUUCGUUCGAGAAAUUUGAGUAACAUUAAAGUAAGGGGUUUCUAUUACUGGACUCUUUGAAAGUUUUGAAAUGUGUUGACUGUUUGGAUCUCUGGACUUAGUAUGGUUUACCAAUAUAUGUAGAAGUAGAUAUGAUGACAAAUGUAUAUUAUGCCAGACUGGUAUAGAAGUAGAUACGAUGGAUAAUGUAUUUGUAAACUGAGAAAGGUGUUAUGUAUAUAUAUAUCUUGACUGUCUGGUGUGUUGUUAUAGUAUCAACUGAUUUUGUGAUAGAUUGAAUAGAUUGAACGUAAGUGUGUUAAGUUGGAUUGAUGAUAUGAUGGAGUAGUUUGAUUAUACUAGGAAUGGAUUGAUUAAAUGUUUAUAACAGACUAAGGGAAAAUUGUUAGCUUUGUCGAUUGGGUAGUGUGCCUUGAAGGUGUCCUACGGGAUCACCACCUGUUGUGUAUUCUUCGAGAGCACUAGAAUGACAUGUGCAUUCUUCGAGAGCAAUAGACUGACAUGUGCAUUCUUCGAGAGCACUAGACUGACAUGUGCUUUCUGCAGAGCACUAGACUAAUAUUUGUGUCCUUUAGGGCAUUGGACUGAUUAUGUGUAUUCCUACAUGAUCACAAGACUUUUAAAGUGCAGGGCACCUCCAAUAGGAAGUUAACAAUUUUAUUUUUCUUCUAACAGGAUCAGUAGUGAGUCUCUUAGUGGGUAUGUUUAUACUCACCCUUUUAUGUUUAAUCUUUUUCCGCGAAACUGCCAUAAGGAAAUGUCCUUCAAAUUGCUUCUACUUUAUAUUUUUUUUAUUUUGGUUUUCUUUAGUAAUUGACACUGUUUUGGGUUUCAUGAUUGAACGACUUUUAUGUUCUUGAACUUUCUUUAUUAUCGAUACUUUUACACUUUCAAAAUUUUAUUUGAAAUAGAGCCCGAAUAAAAACUCUUUAAUGUUGUUAAAAAAUAUAUUUUUUUAAAUUAUAAAGUCUUAUGGUUAAAGGACGAAUCUAGUCUUAAAGUAAUAACUUCAGCUUAAUUCGAAAAAUUAGGUCGUUACAAUCUAUUUUGCAGAAAAGAAAAUCAUCGAUUUUAUUUUGGUUAAGAAAAGAUGUUUUUCUUCUACAUAUUUAUAACUCUCUUUCUUUCAUUGAGUAGGAGACGGGUAGGAGAAAAUCAUAGGAUUCUAUUAACUUAAAAAUUAUUAAAUUAAUAGAAGUUUCAAAUCAACUAACUAAUUAACCAUUAAUCAAUUAGUUAAUAAUUAAUUAAAUCAUAUUUAAUUAAUAUUUCAUUUAAAUCUUAUUGAAUGAAUAUCUCUCCAAUACCUUAUAGUUUUAUAUUAAUUUAAUUAAAUCAAAUUUAAUUAAAUAAUAUUAAACUAAACUAUUAAUUAAUUCUUCAAUUAAUUAAUAACUAAAUUAAAUAUUUUAUAUUUAACUUAAGUUAAAUUUGAAUCAUAUUCAAAUAUAACUUUAUCUCAUAAUUAAUAAUUUUAAUAUGAAACAAAUCCACAUUAAAUUAAUAUUUGAACUCAUUCAAAUAUUUUAUCUCUCAUAAAUUAAUUUUGAACUUUAUCUAAAAUUAAAUUUAUAUAAUAAAGUUUCAUUAACAUAUAAACUUUAUAUUAUAAUAUAUCACUAUAUAUUAUACUAAUUAUACUAAUUUCCAAAGUAAAUUUGAAUAUUUCAAAUUAGAACCAAUAUAAAUAAAUCACAUUAUCAUUUUGUAUCAUCCAUUACUUUGUAUUCAGUCAUACUAAUUGGAUCAACCUAAUACAUAAAACAAAUAUAGAAAAAUUAAAAAAAAAAAGCAUGCACAAAUAGAGACAAAUAGACAUUGAUGAUAGUUAUCUAUCUCUAUCUAUCUGAAACAAGCACACAUAAAUUGUUAUAUUUCUCUAUCGGAUGGACAAAAAUAGCAGUCUAUUUAUAUCUACCUGAGAUACAAACAUUAAAAAAAAAAAAAAAACCUUACCAAUAAAAUUCUUGACUUUUCAUGUUAUUCUAAAUGCAACGCGUUCUCAGCCCAAGAAGUCAAACAACUCUUCAUUGUAAAAGUAGCUUUACUUCUUUCAUCAAACCACUUUUGCAAUACAUCUCUAAUUGAACUAAGCAUGGUAGCUACAGGUGGUUCUCUAAGAUCUUUAAAAACUAAAUUUACACUGUCUACACAAUUUGAUGUCAUCAUUCUAUAUAUGAAACUCAUUAUACCUGAGAUAGAUUCAACCAAUUUAUCAAAGAACCUUGGAAUCAACAUGUAUGAUUUAACCGUGUCACCUUUUAAUAUCUUUACUAUGUGUUCUUUCGCCCUCCAAGCUUUCUGCUAACUUAUAUUAACUCCAAGAUUUGUACAUGCCUUAUGCACAAUUGCUUUUGGAAUGAAACGAUCAGUAGACAUGAACCUGAACUCAUCUAUCAAGCAACUGUCAAUUACUGUUGAAGAAGCUUGCAUGUGACAACUAGUAUUCAAUGAACAGUCAUGUUCAUAAAUGUAUUUUCAUAGCAUCCACAACUCGCUCUUCUUAUAACGAGAUGUCCUAAUAAACCAUUUGCACUCUUCUAGUAGGCAUCUAAAUUCAAGAGACCUCAAAUUUGAUAUUGUAGUUCUAAAUUGAAAGUUGUUAUUCACUUCUAUUAUGCCAAAACACUUUGAAAGCAUCUCUUUACUUUCAAAUAAACUAUUUUCCUUCAAAUCACCAUGAUAUGAGAUGUCUCUUAUAAUUUCAUCAUUUGAAACAUAAGAAGAAGAACCUACAUUCAAUGCAUAUCAACAUUCUAUCGUACACUACUAGAAGAAGAAGACCUUCUAAAAAAAUCAACAGUUACAUGGGCAACUAAUGGAUGUAUAUUAGUUGCAUCUUUAGCAAAAGAUAAAUACCAAGCCACAUCAUUGUCUUUUUUUACUGGCACCACAGUUGGACCUUGCUUUUACCAAAAUCAAGUAAAACAGAUAAUUCUACUUAUCCAUCCAAUUGAAUCUGUUCACAUAUUAAAUCAACUAGAGAAUUAAAGCUCACUCGGACAUCUACCAAAAUUUCAGCAACUAAGUAAUUCUCAUAAAUAUUACAUCCAUUCCAUUGACCUCCAUAAAAAACAACAAUAGGAAAAGACAUUAUAAUCUGUAAAAAAAAAUAAUAAUAAAAUUAAGUAUUUAAUUGUGAUAGAAAGAAAUAGAUAGACAUAGAUAUACAUUUAUUACUGAAUAAAAUAAUAAAAUGUACAAAAUGAUAAUACUAAACAUAAUGCAAGAAUAAGUAAACGAUCGUGCGAUGAAAUAAUAUACAUUAAACGAUCCUAUUAACCGUGAUAAACGACCAUUUAACAACGGUAAAUGAUAAUAUUGAUUAAAAUAAAUUAUCGUGUUGACAUGGGUACACGAUCAUAUGAUAUUGGUGAUCGUAUUGAAUAGUGUAAACAAUCGUCUUGUUAUCGGUACACGAUCGUGUUAAUAUUUGUAAGUGAUUCUAUUGAUAGUGGUAACUGAUCGUGUAAUUCCAUGUAAAUUAUCGUCAAAAACUUUAAUAUUUGAAAAUAUGUUAUUUUAGAAAAACUACAAGUGUUUGACAACUCUUUGAAAGCUAUUGAAAUACUCUCAAAUUGUAUUUUAAGGAAUUUUAAUAAAAAGAAAGUCUACAUAAAAAAAUUACCCUUUUUAAAGGAACAUUUUUUCUCUAAUCACUCCAAUGGAACUCAAACACGUACUUCAAGUUAAUUCUGGUAUCCAAGAAUCAGUCUCAUCUAACAUAAACAAGAACAUUCAACUUGAUAGAACUUCAUUACCUCAUUUUUACAAUUCCCAAAGUUACUAAAUGAAGGACCAUUCCUAAAACAUACUUACAUCCAACUUUCUCCAUGAAUAAACUUAUCGUCUUUUAUGUACUGAUGAAUAUAGAGAUGGAGCGAUCAGAGUUUGUUUAUGUACCAAAUUAGAGUGAGUUGAGAAAAGAGUGGAUUUACACAAGGACGAAAUGGCUGGCUGCUGCUUGUUCAAAACUGAAAGUUAGGGUGACCUUGUUUCUCAUAGGGACUCAGCAAAUUGAAGGGCCUCCAAGUCUACUUCUUGUCUCAUUAUACAUGCCAUUAGCCAUUCAACGUUGAAAGUCCAUAUCCCUUUUUCUACGGCCACCAAGGCUUCCUCCACGUCUUCCUCACAAGCCACAAAGAUCGUCUUUCAUACAUUGUUUACUUUAUCUAGCUCAUGAAUCACCUAAAUUUUCAAGCAUAAUGAAUUUGCCAAAUGAGAGAAAAAAUUAUGUAUAUACUACAAGGAAAUUGCAAGAAUUCACCCUAUAAAAAAAUAUUAAACAAAUUCUUGUUCUAGUCCCUAAAAUUUUCCAUCUUUUUUCAACUUUCAAAAUGCUUCCUAUGAGAUAUAUUCCAAUCACAUAUAGCAGAAAUGACCGAUGAGUAUUGAAUAAAUGAAUAUUAAUUGAUAAAAUAAUUUACAAAAUACUAAAACCGUUAGUUGGCUACGUUUUGGAAGCUCGAUGACUAAAAUGGAUGUUUUGAAAGUUCUAAGGCUAAAAUGGAAUUUAAAUCAACAUAAUAGUAAGUUCAAGAUCAAAGACAAGCUAAACAAUAAAAUGUUGCGACCAGAAAACAAUCUAAUCAUAAUUAGAAACAUGGAUGUAUGUAUUUGUACACCAAAUCACAAAAAAAUAACUCCAGAUUUCGAUCUAGAGACAAUUAAAAACUUGAACAAAUUUGAUAAUUAAAGAAACACGGAGAUGGCCAUAUGACCCCUUGUGCAUAGACUUUUUACAUUACAUGCUCAAUUCCUAGGAUCAAAACAAACAUAAAUAUUAAAGACUUAAGAAGCACAUACACUCAAGUUUGGCUAGUGUAUCAAUAAACAAUAUGUAUGGAACACUCGGAGAACACGUGUUGAACACUAGUUAGUACAAUAGAUGUGUUAGACAACAAGUAUUCCAAUGCAAUAAAGGUCAAGAUUGGUUACACACACAUAUUAAACUCUUGGCUUUGAAUAAGUUUUGAGUGAAGGAUGAGCUUAUUUUUAAGCAUAUAAAUACAUAAACUUAUUGACUUUGAAUUUCUAUAUAAAUAUGAUACAUACUUUUUAAAUUAUAUAUAUUAAAACUGUGUUCUAGCACUAUCCUAUAUUUUUUAGAAAAAAAUGACACGUCACCAUGUCUAUAAUUUAUUGACCCAUGUCUAGAAUUCGUAUACGUGCUUGUUUGUUGAGAACUUCACGUCUUCAUUAGAUGGGAGGAUAGCCAUAUUAUAGUGGUUGUAUGUGUAGUAUAGAGAACCAAACCUAGUACUCGAGAUUUGUACAAUAACAGAGAACUUACAUUUCCACCGGCUGACUUGACUAUCAGGGAUAGAGUUUUAGGUGGUGGUUGAGCGUGAGCUGAUAUGCAAACAUCAUACCCUUCAAAUAAAGCUCAAAAACAUGCUUUUGCCUUGAGAACUGCAGCUUUUAGGCUGGCUCGAUACUUCGAUAUGUAGUCAUCAUCAUUUAGUAUGUAAGGCAACUCGUCUGCAGAUCAAUAAGGAAUUAAUCAAUCACAAAAAUUAGGUAGGAUGAAAAACAUAAGUGGAAGAAAAUACAUUACGCUUUGAUACUAGCAAGCCAUUCGAACUUACCAACAAAUCUGCCUUCCCGGUAGCUUUCCUUUAACCAACUGGAGGAGACAAUCCAAGCUCUGAGUAAUUUGCAAUUAACUUGCAAUUUUAGUAACAAGAUAUAGUAAAAAUUAUGAGCAAGAGCACACUGACACGCUUGAAGCCACAUGGUAAUGCAUAUGCUCGAUAAUCAUUGAGAACAAUAACAGGAGAAAAUAAAGUUAAGAACAGUAGCUUGAAGAACAAAAAACAAUCUACAACAUAAAAUCUUCAAAAACACAUUGCUUAAAAUCAAGUUUACUAAUAUAAAAGGUAAGAUAUUACGUUCCACUCUCCACACUACUGAAGUUCAACAUUUCACAUGAAAGAAAUGAAAUACUACUCCCAAAUAUAACUGAAAAAAGCAUAAUUGGGUAAAGAAAAAGCAUAGAGAAAUGCAAAAGAAUCCUUGGCUUUGAUAUAUUGAAAGGUAAAAAAUAUCAACCAUAGAUGUCCGGGAGAAGAACUCCUACAAAUACACACUUAACGCAGAAUUAUCAUUCGCUAACAUGAGACCUUCUAGAGGAAUUCUGUUAGGAUACUUCCUAACAAGAACAAGAUCUUAAUUUAUUAUAAUGAACUAUAAGAAAAUACAAGAUAAAACCAAGUAUAAGGCACUUGGAACCUCCCUCUUGAGUACUCUCACCCAAGCCCUAGAUCACUUCCCAGAAUUCUCCCCUCACUUACCCUCCCUCCAUUUAUAAUAAGAUGUAACCACACUUACAUAAUAACUACUAGUAACUUUCUAAAUAUCUAAUUACCCUUAUACCCCUAACCUUAUACUAAUCUAGGUAUCUAACAUUACCCGAUGCUUCAAAACACCUUGUCCUCAAGGUGUGCUUGCAAACAUGAUCAAGGCCCCUUUCUCUUUUUUUCUCUUUUUAAUUGCAAAGAAUCCCCAGCAUUCUGCUCUUCAAUGUUGAAAAAGAAAUCUUCCCCCUCGGCUUUGAAAAACUCUCGAUUCCAAUAAGGUCCAUUGACUUCAGCCCACAAAGCAGCCCAAUGUACUUGAAUUUUCCUUUUCCAAAACACAUUGUCUUAGUUAACCCUUUGCAUAUCACCAACAAGUGUUUAAUUUUCAAACUCUUCAUCUCUAGUGGGCUAGGCCAUAAUCAAAGUGUUGCGUCAAGACCAAAAUCAUACUGCCGCGGUUUCAUUCCUAGGACCCACCUAUAUACAAGUUUUUCUUCCCUCCUAUUUUUUGGAACUCUCCACCCACUUCAUCUACAAAAUGAUGUGCCCCCAAUGUUUUAUUUAGAAUAAGUUGAAGCUCAUUUAGAGUAAGUUGAAGCCCACUUGAAAUAGUAAAACCCAAGAUUGUUCCUUUUGUCCUAAUCCUCUGUCCUACCAAUUUCUACCACGCCAUUGGCACCAUCAUGUGUGCAACAACUUCUUCCUCGUCACGUGAUUCACCCCUAUUCCAGACCACCUUCUCGAGCCUCUGUAGACCGAUAACUAUCGGCUUCUUCUUUCUCCAUUGCAACCAGCCAUUUUGUGUUUCUUUUAGCAACAAAUUUUUCUUCACUCGAGUCUUCAUUUCGAGCCUCACAGGUAAUCCUCGUCGACCUUCCUCUAUAGUUUCUUCUUGGUCACUCUUUGCCAUCCUCUUCACCUUCGUUGUAUAACCGUUGCAAUCACGUUUUCCUCGAUUCUUCUAUGGAUUCAGAUCCUUCUUGAAAUCCAUCAAUUUAUGGACCUGAAGAUUCCAAUCCGUUCUAAAUAAACACAAUCAAGAUCAGUGCCACUGAACACAGGCAUUUCAACCUUCUUGAAUUUGCUAUGAUCGUUCGAGUUUUCAUCCCUUUCAAACUUGUUUGUUUUACCUUCUACCUUGAUUUCCUUCAAUGUCUUACCUCCACCUUCGAUUAUACUCUCAAUCGUUGGUCCUUUGCUCGACGAUCCUUCCAUUCUUUCGGAGAUCGUCAAAUUAUCCUUCUGCUAUUCCUUCGAUGCAUUUAGCAACCGUUCUUGUUUUUCCAACUAGAUGACCAGUCUUUCGAUGCUUUUUGGCAAGCAUAACAAGUUUUCUUCAAUUGCCAGCAACUUGUGUAACUCCACUAGUAUCCCCGAGAUUUCCUUAUCAGAGGUCUCCAACUUCUCUUUGAUCCGUUUUUGUGCUGCUCUAUCAUUCUCCCAAGUAAAAACGCUCUGAUACCAAUUUGUUAAGAUACUGUAAAUAUACGGCAAGUGUAUCUUACUUUAUUGAAUUACCUCAAUGAAUUACAGUAUAGAGAAUAAAAAAUCACUCACAUCUACUUCCUAAAGGCACACUCCAGUGAGGAUCACAACAAAGAACAAGAAAAACUAAGAACAAACCGCAACCAUGAAAAUGACCAAAACAAACAAUAAAAAGAACUUGACUUGGACCCUCUACUUCUCCCGAGCACGAAAGACGGCAGCCUCUACUUCUUUGGAAUAUUUUGUCCCCUUUCUCCCUCCUCUUUCCUCCAUUUUAUUUUGCUUUACUAACAAACUAAUGGGAAAGAUCUCCUCCGAUAUUCUCUCCUCCUAUAAUCUCUCAUAUAUUCUUGUGUGGGUCAAUAUUACCCUUUUUAAUUCUCCUACUGUACUUAAAUAAUAUUGGAGACAUAUACUUCCUAACAAGAACAAGAUCUGAAUUUAUUAUAAUGUAACUAUAAGAAAAUACAAGAUAAAACCAAGUAUAAAGCACUUGGAACCCUCCCUCUUGAGUACUCUCACCUAAACCUUAUAUCCCUCCCUCGUACUCUCACCCAGUCCUUAUAUCACUCCCUAGAAUUCUCCCCACUUACCCUCCCUCCAUUUAUAAUAACAUGUAACCACCCUAGUUACCACACUUACAUAAUAACUACUAGUAACCACACUUACACAAUAACUACUAGUAACUUCCUAAAUAUCUAAUUACCCUUAUACCCCAACCCUAUACUAAUCUAGGUAUCUAACAAAUUCCAUAACAUAAUGUAUUAAGGGAAGAAGGAAAUCGAGGAUAAAAACACUAGCUAGCCAACAAAUAUCUUUCAUUAGUGAGCUUGAGCCAUUUUACACGUAAAAUGGGAAAAGUAAGCCUGAAACCCAAAUUAGCCUAAUGGUUGUCUUAACAACCACUACCCACCAUCACGAUAGAAACAACUAAUAAGGAAGAGCAUGAUACAAUCCAACUCAAACAUAAGAAUUGAUUUUGAUGUUUAACUAAAAGUAAAUAGGCAGUAGACUAAGAAACUAUGCCCUUUUAGAUCUAGAAGGUUCACAGCAAUUUCCAGCCUAAGCACAACUACGAGGCAAUGGAAGAAUAACGGCAAAGGCCUUGUCUGCAUGGAAUCGUUAACUUUGGUGCCAAUGAGAUGAUUAUCGGUAUUCAAAGGCCAAAAGGACACAUAAAAGAGUGUUCGUCUAAGGUUGCAAGAGAGCAAUACAAAAGUUUAGAGUUUUCCGCACUUUUCCUGUAAUGGCAUGAGCGCUUGUACUCCCAUCAGCAGUGAGAGAACCACCAAGUUCCUCAAUCAUCUAAAUCAGAAAACAACUGCACAUUAGAGCAGUCACAAUUUGGAAUAAAAAGAACUUUUUAUUGUUAGAAUCUUAGAAUAUUUAUGAAAAGUUUAUGGGAAUAUUUUUCUUAAUUCCUAAAUAUUUUCCUUUUUUAUUCCUCUGUAUAUUCUAUUUAUUCUCCCUUGUACCUAUUGUAUUUUUCAUCAGAAAAUAAUAAGAAGAAAAAUAUAGUGGUUUUUCUCCUGGUACACAGGUUUCCACGUAAAGUUGUGUGUUUGUUUGUCUCCCUUUCAAUAUGGUAUCCGAGCAGGUGGUCCAAGAAGGUCUCGUGUUCAAGCCUCGUAUUUUCGUUUCCUCCCCAUUAUUAAAAUCCAUUUCCAAUUGUUGGGCCUUUCAAAUAUUUCAAGCCCACAAGUGAGGAGAGUGUUGGUGAUAUAUAAUUGAAUUUUCUUUCUUUUUUUAAAGAAGGAUACGAGUCUCACUAUUAUUAAUAUAAAGAAAGAGACAAAGCUCAAUGUACAUGAGGAUUAUACAAAGAGCAAAAGGGGAGAGGGAAGAUUAACAGGCGCAUCCGAGCAUCACAAACUAGGUUGACACCCCCUUAGUGCCCUCAAAACAUCCAAAAAGCGACAACACAAGAUCAAAACAAAAAGCCACAAAAACAAAGACAAACAAAAUGAUAAAAAGAAUCUUUCCAAAGCAAAAUCAUAAUCAAAGGCAGCAUGCUGAGAACAAAGAAGAAUAAGCCUUGAUUGGUUGAGCAUAAACUGUUUGAAGCAGAGGGCUGAUCCGAAAGUCCUGAUCAUCAAAUGCAUGAUCCUCUCUCUCUCAUUACAUGUUUAUACCCCAACAUUACAUGUUUAUACCCCAACAUUACAUGUUUAUACCUCUCUCUCUCAUCCCUCUUAGUGGGCCCCACCUGCAUGAUCCUCUCCCAUUAUUCUCUCAUCAUUGGUUGCUAAGGAAUUUCCCUUUCUACCCUUUCUUUUAUAGGUAUAGAUAAUAGGAGGUCUUACAAAGUAAUACCUGGCCUGGCUUUCUUUAAUCUUUCUGCGAGAACCUUUCCAAAACAACUUAUAAAUUAAUGUUGAAACAACUUAUAAGCCACACUGUAAUGACCUUCCUUCUCUUGACCGAACUUCAAUAAUCGACAACUUAUAUUUAUCCACAUAAUCAGCAAAACUCUUAAUCUGCCACUAGCUUCAAACAAAGACCCAGCCAAUUCCUUUUGAACUCCAUAGUGCCUUUAUAAUACAACUGGCAAUCUCUUCUCUUUUGGUCCCCGGAAUCAAUGCUCUAUCUGGAUUAGCUUUCUUCAAGAGAUUUUUAAUAGCCAAUUGUUUCGAAUGGCCCAUGAAUCCUCUAGUGUUCCAUGAUAUAAUCUUCAUCUUUGCAACCUCUGCCUUAUAUCAAUUCAAUUUCACAUGCUGCCAAGAAAGGAACCAACUCUUGAGGGGGAAGGAUACUUGCUGACCUGCACAAAAUUUCUUUUUAUGGGGAGGAAAACAAUUUAAUAAAAUCUGGACCGAGAGAGUCACUGUCCUCUUGUUUCUCUGUCUCUAAUUGAAUUAUUUCUUCCUCAACUGGUUCAAAUUCUGUACUACUUACACUGGUGACUGAUUAAACUUCCAUGAAUUCAUCUUCUAGGCUCUCAACUUUUUUGAGACAAGAAGUAUCUUGCACAAAAAUUAAAGAAUGAACCAGAAAGUUUGGAGGAGGAUUGAGAAAAUUUUAUUACUUAAGGAGGAAGGCAGUACUGACCUUUUGCCAACUGAAUUUGGAAUUUGUAUCUUCACACAACUUUCCUCUAAUAAAUCAGAAUUAGCCAAGCUCAUCCAAAUGUUGCGAAAAGAAGUUCUCCCUUUGGUAUAGGUCUUGAGGUGCUUAGAAAAAUUUAUGGCAUGAAAUGGAAUAGCUUUCAUUGCAGAUGAUAUUUUAGUCUUGGGAGAGGCUGGUAAUUUUGGUUGAGAGCUGAAAACAGGAGAUGGCCCACAAGUGAAGUUCGUUUAUGGAGGAGAGGACUCUGAUUCUUCCUCCAAUUCGUCAGAAUACCAAAAGCCAUUGGAAUUCUGAUUAAUAAAAUUAUUGGGGCCUACCAUCUGUGUGUCAGCUUUUAAAAUGUCUGCAAAUACAUUAAGUUUGAAAAAACCUGGUUGGGGAGGGCUAGGUGAGCUGUUUUUUGAGAUAAUAAAAUGUCGGUUGGCUGCCUUUUCUUCUUUUGAGGUAUGUUUUUCUCUCUUUUCUAUUGAAGUCUUUUCCCCUUUUAAGUACGUGGAGAUCCCAGCUAUACCCAAAUUUGAAUUUUUCCUUCUGAAAAUUAUUUUUUUCGGCGAGGAUUCAAGGGCUAAAACUCUUUCCGGUCGAACAAGGUUUUCUUCUUCAUCACCCAACUUCCUAAGUCCUUCGAAAGGAUUUCUUGAGAUGGAUGGGGCAUUCUGUUUGAGAAAAUUUAGGUAUCUGGGAGACCAUCACUUUGGAGCCCUUCAUCUAAAAUCACUGAAUUUAUUCUACAUAAAUCAAUAGGAUUGGAAAAAUCACUUUGAAAUAGAUCAGAUUGGAUUAUUACAGGAGCUUAAUAAGGGUUCAAAAUCCCCAAAAUUAAGGGAAAAAAUUUCCUCAGUUCUCACUCUUUAAUUCUAUAGUUGCUGGUAAGAAUCCGCAAAGAUUUUUUCGAACUUUAAUUCUUGCUUUAGAGAACUUGAUCAGAUUGAGUGUUUCUAAGAUUAUACUCUCUAGUCCACCAAAAGUAGCUUAAGCUUAAGGCUAUAAUUGAAUUUUCUUUCAACCACCAGCUUAAACUUUUUGGUGAAUCGGUGGUUUAAUAUUUAUAUUAAUAUUUUAUAAAAAAAUGUACACAGCUAAUGCCAUAUAAAAUAAAUAAAGAAAUACUAUAAAAUCUACAUCCAUAAAAUAUGCAUGUGAACACAUAUCAGAAGAUGGAUAUUUGUAAGUUAGAAAGACCGAUAACAAAAUGUCAUAAUUAAACAACAGCAUUAAUAUUAUGGGUAGUUUCAAGCUUCAUUUGUCUAUUCUAGGUAGGGAUAUUGAAUAACUUUAAAAAAUAAUAUAAAGAUUGAAUCCCUAAACUUCAUGUGCUUGCUAGUAUACAACCUAAAAGUUCAACAGUUAAAGAAACUGAUUAAUCAUUUUUGGCAGGAUGUCAGAUUCGCCUUUCGAAAUCCUACAUAGUAGAGCCAGCCAAAUAAGCCAAGCAAGAUAUGCCUCUUAAGGAAUAUGGAGAAGUUCAAUGACUGGGUAUGUAUAUGAUAAGCCUUAACCUCAAUUUUAUUUAUCAAUGAUGGAGGGAAGGAAUCAGAAGCUUCUCUAGCUCUCCCUAUUAUUCUAAGAAACCUGAUACAAGCUAUGCCAAAACAUACCCUCCCCAAACAAUCAUAAUAGCAUUUAAUAUGAAAGCAUAAAAGACUCAUGGCUCCCUUAUACUAGGAACAUUCAGACCAACAAAUACAGCUUCCCAUCCUCCUCACCUGAAUCCUUUCUUGUGCCUACGGGUGUACACCUUCACUACCAUGGGCCUAUCAGUAUUUAGAGAUCGUAGAGGCUGUAUGAGCCAAGGAGUUGGAAGAGUAGGAUUAGGGAAGUGUGGAGUUUUCCGCUCUUUGUUUGGCCAAAAGUGUUUGUGGACUCCCGACAAGAAAAUUUCAAUUUUAUGCCUUAUUGACUUCGUAUGUCCUAGGCCCUAAGAGUUCAAAACUUUCUAGAUUUCACAACUUCUUGGACCACUCCUUCUGUCAAACACCCCUUUAAAGAAUACUAAGCCAAGGAUAUAAAACUUCAAUACCAUCAAUAGAAAAUCUCAUAAAAGAAACAUGAUUGAUGAAUAUUUUAGAAGACUAUAAAUUGGUACCGUACUUUCAUGAGCUGAGUUUUCUUUGUUUCGUUUGCAAUGUUCAUCAACAUAAUUUUAAAUGAUUUUCCUAAUGUGUUCUCUUCAGAAUUGAGGUCCUCUGAUGCCACAUUUACACUUCCAAAUUCUUGAUAGAAAUUUUGUGUACACUGAUUGGUUGGAUUUUUAGGAUAAAUACUUGAUAAAAUCUCAUGCUUUGAAUUGGCUAAAGAGCAUCCUUGAGAGCAGGUAUCGUAUACAUCACUUUUAGCUGUCAUACUAGCUGUCAUGUUGUUCUCUAUUUCUGCAAAAGAAACCGGACCGUUGCUGUCAUGCACUGCAUCCUGGUUUAAAUAAACCGUUCUGAGAUAAUUAAGCAACAUAUGGAGAAUAAUUUAAAUUGUACUAUCUUGUGGAACAAAACCUGAAUUACACAUACCCUGAAUUUCAUUUUCUUCUCCAAGGGGCACUAAAGUUACAAACUCGUCAUGUUGAAAAUUCAAAUUUUGAAUGGUAUGUUGAUCAGUUGCAUUUGAAACGUUGCAACCUCGAUUGGCAACACUAAUUCUUGCAGCAUACAGGGCUUCAGGCUUUAGUAGAGAAAGUAACUUUGGAAAGUCAGUCGAACACAUUGAAAUUCCCUGAAUGUGCGAAAUCCAUGGAUUUUAUUACACAUCCCAAAGGUGAACGACUUUGAGGCAUCUUGGUUAUAAUCAAUGUUGGAUCGGUAUGGCAACCCUAGAGGGGGGUGAAUAGGGUUUAAAUAAACUUUUUGACAAAUAAAAAGUAAAAAUCAAACUAAUUAGAUAUUUUUUAAUAUUUAAAUAAAGAACUUUGUAAACUUUGUUAAAUAACAAGAUUGAUAAAAAGAUAUGAAUGGAAAUAUGCAAUCAAACUCAACCAAUAAGAAUAUGUAACUAAAAUUAAAUUAAAAAAUAAUUAGAAAAGAGUUAGAGAAGAAGACACCGUAAUUUUAUAGUGGUUCGGUUAAACUCAACCUACAUCCACUUUCCCAAGCACCUCUUGGGAUUUUGAUUGAAAAUCUUCUUUAGACUCUUUCCACGGAUUUGAGCCGAACCGAUUCUUGCUCCUUUUUCGGGUUCAAGAGCAAACCCGAUCCUUUCCACGGGUUAGGAUCCAACCGUUACAAUAUGUUGAAGUUUUUAAAUCACACAAAAGAAAACUCUCUAAAAGAGUGAGUAUACAAUUUGAAGCUCACAAAUUUAAUCCUCACAAUACAAUAAGAAGCUCUCAAGAAUAAGAUGAAAAGAAUAAAAAUUGGAAGCUUUAAAGAGAAUAACAAUGUUGGCUUUUUGCUUGAGGAUUGUAAAGAUUUUAAUGAUCUUGUGUAAAUGUGAAGUAUUUAAAAAGAGAGGAAAGAUAAAUUCAAAAUCAUUUGGGUCAUUAGAUAUAAGUAAAAGAAAAAUGAAUGGUUGAGAUUUAAACUUAAUUAGCCGUUAGACACAAUACAAAUAAUAAUAUAAUAAUAUGUCUUUUCAAAAUACUUUGUUUAAAAAGAAAUCAAUAAAGCAACUUCACCCUCUUUUAAAAAAACUAGGCGUUAGACACAAGAAAAAAUAAUAAUAUUAAAAUCAUUUUCCUUUUAAAUUCAUUUUCUUUAUAAAAGCCAAUAAAACAUAACAAAAAGCCACAUUUGUUACUCCUUCAUUGCUCCAAGUGGCUUUCUCUAAUUGGUUCAAAUUGAAUGCUUGGUCGCCACGUCACCAUCUCGAGUAUUUUUUCGUUAAGCUUAUUUUAGCAAUAUUUUCUUCAUUUGAACUUCGAUUUGGGUGAUUCAAGAGGCGUUAGAAUCAUUUUUCCAAGCUCUACGAUAUGGUCUAUUCAAAUUAAUAAAAUUGUCAAUAAAAAAAUCAGAUUUGUUAUCAUCAAAACAUAAAUUAAUUGAAUAAUUAAAAUAAAUUAAUUUGAGAUUAAGGGCCAAAAAGCCAACAAUCUCCCCCUUUUUGAUGAUGACAAAUCAUUGAAGAAAAAUAACUUGAUGAUGACACAUGAUUAGACAUGUUAAACUUAGGCACAAUGUAGUUUUUAGAACUUGAUGGAGUAGAUGAUUCAUCAAUAUAGCCUAAACCUCUCUUAUCACCAUAAGAUUUUCCUACUUCAAUAAUUUUGUCCAAUCUUUGAGCACCUAUUGUCAACUUUUUAAUAGUUUCUUUAGCUUUAUCAAGUUCUUGUAAAACACUUAGUUCAUUUUCUUUAAGCACUUUAAUCAAGUUAUCUUUUUCACAACUAUCAUGCUCAAGAAAUCUAACUUUAUCAAGCAAAGCAUCUUUCUCAAUACAAACAUGCUUAUCACUAGAGACAUUCAAUUCUUCAAUUUGCUCAAAAUUUUCAUUCUCUUUAAAGCAAGCAAUUGUAUCAAGUAAAGACUUAUUUUCACUAAUUAAAAUAUUGUAUUUCUUCUUAAGCACAACAUACUUAGAACUAAGUUUUUCUAGGUCAUUUUGCAUGCUUUCAAAAUUUUCAAAUAAUUCAUCAAUAGAAAGAGGUUCUAGAGUUACCUUAUCAUCAUGUUCAUCAUCUUUGUCACUAUGAGCCAUGAGACCAAGAUUUGCCAUUUCUUCAACUUCACUUUCACUUUCACUACUAUCAUCCCAUGUAGCCUUCAUUGCCUUCUUCUUGGAUUUCUUAGAUGAUUUGAGGAGAGGACAAUCCGUUCUUAUAUGACCCGAUCUUUUGCAUUCAUAACAAAUCACCUCAUCCUUUUUGCUUUUCUCACCUUUUGACUCUUUUUGGGUUGAUAGGUGUUUCUUGAAAUAUUUCUUUCUUUUUAUGAAUUUUUGUACUUACGUGAGAAAUAAGCAAUGUCAUCUUCAUCAAGGCCAUCCUCAUCUUUGGGAUCAACUUCCAAGGAGAUAGUCUUUAAUGCAAUGCUCUUCUUCUUUUUGGACUCAUCCUCCAAGUGCUCCUUCAUGAUGAUCUCAUGAGUCAUGAGUGAGCCAAUAAGCUCCUCUAGUGGAAGUUUUGUGAGAUCCUUUGCUUCUUGAAUCGCCGUUACCUUAGCUUCCCAAGUCUUAGGUAGAGACCUUAGAAUUUUUCUAACAUUUUCGGAAGUUGUAUAAACUUUACCAAGACCCUUCAAAGCAUUUAUGAUGUUAGUAAAUCUAGUAAACAUAUCGGUGAUAGUCUCAUUAGCAUCCAUCUUAAACAAUUCAUAAUUAUGAACAAACAUGCUAAUUUUAGACUCUUUAACUUGAUUUGUUCCUUCAUGAGUAAUUUCAAGAGUAUUCCAAAUUUCUUGAGCGGAAGAACACAUGGAUAUUCUAUUAAACUCAUCUUUACUCAAGGCACAAUACAAACAAUUAAUAGCCUUAGCAUUAAAUGAACAUUUUUUCAUUUCAUUUUCAUCAUACUCUUCUUCUAAUUUAGGCGUAUCAACAUUAUCAACAUUUUUCAUGGGUACAUAAGGACCUUUAGCAACAAUUAACCACAAAUUAUAGUCAAUAGAUUGCAAAUAAAUUUUCGUUCUAGCUUUCCAAUAUGCAUAGUUUGAACCAUCAAAAUAAGGAGGUCUAGAAGUAGAUUGACCUUCAACAAUACCAUUUGCCAAUAGGUUUGCCAUAAUGCUCUAACAAUAAAGUUUAUCAAGAAAUUAAAAUUUCAAGAUGAGCAACCUUGCUCUGAUACCAAUUGUUGGAUCGGUAUGGCAACCCUAGAGGGGGUGAAUAGGGUUUAAAUAAACUUUUUGACAAAUAAAAAGUAAAAUCAACUAAUUAGAUAUUUUUUAAUAUUUAAAUAAAGAACUUUGUAAACUUUGUUAAAUAACAAGAUUGAUAAAAAGAUAUGAAUGGAAAUAUGCAAUCAAACUCAACCAAUAAGAAUAUGUAACUAAAAUUAAAUUAAAAAAUAAUUAGAAAAGAGUUAGAGAAGAAGACACCGUAAUUUUAUAGUGGUUCGGUUAAACUCAACCUACAUCCACUUUCCCAAGCACCUCUUGGGAUUUUGAUUGAAAAUCUUCUUUAGACUCUUUCCACGGAUUUGAGUCCGAACCGAUUCUUGCUCCUUUUUCGGGUUCAAGAGCAAACCCGAUCCUUUCCACGGGUUAGGAUCCAACCGUUACAAUAUGUUGAAGUUUUUAAAUCACACAAAAGAAAACUCUCUAAAAGAGUGAGUAUACAAUUUGAAGCUCACAAAUUUAAUCCUCACAAUACAAUAAGAAGCUCUCAAGAAUAAGAUGAAAAGAAUAAAAAUUGGAAGCUUUAGAGAGAAUAACAAUGUUGGCUUUUUGCUUGAGGAUUGUAAAGAUUUUAAUGAUCUUGUGUAAAUGUGAAGUAUUUAAAAAGAGAGGAAAGAUAAAUUCAAAAUCAUUUGGGUCAUUAGAUAUAAGUAAAAGAAAAAUGAAUGGUUGAGAUUUAAACUUAAUUAGCCGUUAGACACAAUACAAAUAAUAAUAUAAUAAUAUGUCUUUUCAAAAUACUUUGUUUAAAAAGAAAUCAAUAAAGCAACUUCACCCUCUUUUAAAAAAACUAGGCGUUAGACACAAGAAAAAAUAAUAAUAUUAAAAUCAUUUUCCUUUUAAAUUCAUUUUCUUUAUAAAAGCCAAUAAAACAUAACAAAAAGCCACAUUUGUUACUCCUUCAUUGCUCCAAGUGGCUUUCUCUAAUUGGUUCAAAUUGAAUGCUUGGUCGCCACGUCACCAUCUCGGGUAUUUUUUCGUUAAGCUUACUUUUAGCAAUAUUUUCUUCAUUUGAACUUCGAUUUGGGUGAUUCAAGAGGCGUUAGAAUCAUUUUUCCAAGCUCUACGAUAUGGUCUAUUCAAAUUAAUAAAAUUGUCAAUAAAAAAAAUCAGAUUUGUUAUCAUCAAAACAUAAAUUAAUUGAAUAAUUAAAAUAAAUUAAUUUUGAUAUUAAGGGCCAAAAAGCCAACAAUCAAUUGGUUCUCGAAGUACGCCACCUUCAUCCCCACUACAAAACUAUGUUCUGUCGAGCUGAUAGCACACUUGUUCUUUAAGAACGUCUUGAAGUUAUGGGGAGUUCCAUCAAGCAUUGUGAGUGACAGGGAUGGUAGAUUCAUUGGUACUCUCUGGACCGAACUAUUCGCCUUCUUGGGGACACGCCUAAAUAUAUCCUUAAGCUGCCAUCCUCAGACGAAUGGCCAAACUGAAGGAUUCAAUUGUAUGCUUAAGGAAUAUCUACGACAUUUUGUUGAUUCUGGACAAAAGAAUUGGGCCUAGUUGAUGGAUGUGGCUCAAUUUUGUUUUAAUGCACAAACUAGUCUAUCCACAAGAACGAGGCCUUUCGAAAUCUUGAGUGGAAGACAACCUAUACUGCCUCAUAUUGUUGAUCAUCCUUAUGCAGGAAAAAAUCCUCAAGCUCAUAACUUUACGAAAAAGUGGGAGAAGACUACGAACAUCGCUCGAGCAUACUAAGAGAAAGUCUCGAAGCGUAUGAUAAGAAGCAUCAUCCUCUCAAGUUUUGAGCGGAAGACCAACUCUUCAUAGAGUUUAAAGCAAAGCAAAUUUGAUUUAGAGGACAUCAACAUCAGCAUCUCACCAGAAAAUACGAAGGGCCUGUUGAAGUUCUGAAGAAAAUUGGAAAUGCAUCCUAUAGGGUAUCGUUGCCUGCAUGGAUAAAAAAUCAUCUAGUAGCUCAUGUGAGCAACUUGAAACCUUACCAUCAAGAUCCAGAUGACCAGUAGUGCAACAAUGGUGUAUGGUCAUCUAGUGACCUAAAGCAGAAAGACGAUAAAGAAAUGGAAGAAAUCCUUCCUAAGAGAGUGAGGAAGGGUAUACCCAUGAAGAGGAUACAUGAAUUCCUACUGAAGUGAAAGAACCUCCAUGUGGAAGAAACACGUUAGGAAUGUGCUGAAGACCUUGGAGCGUGAAAGAAGAAGAUCGAGGAAUUCUAGCUUCGCCAGUCGACAGGGAUGUCAAUUGUUUAAGUGGGGGAGAAUGUAACAAGCAUGCUUGUCCAGGGCGCUGUUUGCUUAUGGUCGCAUGCCCAAACACCCCCAAUUUACAUUGUUUUUAUGUUUUGUAUUUAGUUUUACUUUUUGCUUUCCUUUUUAUGUCAUAAACCUUGGGUGUGACUUGGCUUUUUCUUAUGCAAGCCUACCAGAACUAAAAAAGUCUAAAAUGUAUUAUAGAUGGGACAUAGUAGUUGAAUCCCUGUCCAAGCCUUGUUGCACUCUUCGCAAUCAAAGUUUUUCUUUGCAAUUGACAGUCUUCAAUGCUUGCUUUAACGAUAUUUUCAUUGAAUUUCUUUCUCCUCACGUUUUAUAAAACAUUUUCUCAAGAACGUGAAGAGAGGCUACAUCGUAUCAUGUGUUUGUCCGUGGUUUUUGGAUUUUGAUCAGCUAACUUGUUGUCUACGUAAAACAAGUGCAACAUAAUCGCUCCUCUCGUGUUUGAAAGCUCGCGAUUGUGACACAAGAAAUGCACUAGCCAAGAAUGCACACGAGGAGGGCUACACGAAAUGCCAAGCACGCAACCAAGUGAGGUUCACAAUGUGCUUGUGUGUAAGGUUAGCACGCGGGCAUGCCCAACGCGCGUGAAAAGCCUCUUGUGAGAUUCACACACAGUAGCCAGCGCCGCCCCAACCAAGGCCCUGCCGCCCACCCAUUCGUGCCAGGCAGUGUCAUAUUGCGUGUUGAGCUAUUUUUGGUAAUUUUUUAAGUUUUUUAAGUAUACUUUUGAUAUUUUCUUGGCAAAAGAUAAUUAAUUGUACUAUUUUACCAUUAUUUCAGGACAUGAGAAGAUCAUACAAAUUUAUAAACCAAGGAUUUGAGCUUGUAUCUGUGAGUGGAAAAUGUUUUAUUUAAAGUGAUUUCAAGCAUGUUCUUAAGUCAUGAUUUAUGACGGAUUUAUGAUAAAAUGUUUAAGUUAUGUUAUGAACAGUCUUUCAAGCGUGUUAUUGUUUAAAGGUAUUUAUUCAAGCAUAUUGUUUACUCUUCAAAAUGCAUAAUAUUCAAAAUGUUUUCCCACUUUCUAGGUAGAGAUCGUGUCCUCUAAGCCUAACUUGCUGCUACCUGUCUACUGAAGGAUUUCAUUUUGUUAUCGUAUGUGUCCUGUUAUUUUGUACUAAUGAUAAAUUAGUCUUUUGUGCUAUCAGACUUAGGCUUUUGGGAAGGUUUUAUAAGGUUUUGUUCUAGAUAAAUAAGAUUACGUUUUGUCUAUGUAAAACUUGUCUAAGGUUGUUAAAUGAAAAAGGUUUAGCCCAAUUGGUUUUAGUAAAAUUUAUGUGUUAUGUUUCCUCUGUUGUUUAGAGUUUAAAGGUUCAGGCUAAGGGUCAGAUGGUGUCAUCCUUGACAUGGGUGCUAUCGAUUGGCUUCACGCCAUAUCUCGAGCCACGCAAGUAGGUGCUCGUGGUGGGGUGUGAUAGCCUAAGUUGGCUUAUUAACAAUUAAAAUGUAAACAUGUCCAUAACAAAAUAGUCGGGCAAGGCCCAUGUGGACCGACUGGUAAAGGUUGAAGAGCAAAUGCUCUACCUAAUGAAAGUUCCUAACUCAAUUCGCUUCUUGGAAACCUGCCUUGAAGAAAUUAAACCCCAAAUUAAAUCCACCAGCUCUAAUACCAUAUUAAACCCCAAAUUCACCUAAAAGCUUAAGCUAGUGGUUGAAGGUAAAUUUAAUUAUAUAUAUACCAAAGUAUAAGGUUUCAUCACAAUACCAAUUGGCAAUGAGAGGAGUAGCUCAUCUAUUUUAUAAGGAGUCUAAGUUUCCUUGGUUUUUCAAUUGUGGGACUCCACAUAUCUCAACAUGCCCCUUCAAGAUGGUGCCUCUUUGGUUUCACCUAUCUUGAACCAAAUAUCCGUUUAGGCUUAAUGAGCUCUAAUACCAUAUUGAAAGCAAUGUAUACGAAACCAAAGCUUACGUGAAAACGCAAGAAUCAAAAGAAAAGCAUUGUGUUUGUAGUUUUAUUAUUUUUAUGAUAUAUUACAGAGGUACAAUUGGUGGUUUAAUAUAUAUCACUAACACUAUUGCUGCAAUGAUCGAUCAUCUCGAUGGAUUACCCAUUUAAGAGUUGUUGACAAGAGUUGACACUCUAGAAUCAAAAGUUGUAAGAACUAGAUGUUGUAAUUUAUGUCCUAAAACUCGUUGUAAUCAUAAUCUAUUCAAUAAAGUCGUUAUUGAUACUAUAAUCUUAAAGCCAAUAAACUAAGGACCCGAGGUUAUUAUUAAGUAAACUUGAACUUUAUGUAGAGACAUAAAAGUUGUGAUCAAGUUUAAGUAUAGAGCCUAAAUAGUAUAGAUUGUACGAAUAAAGUUAGGCACCUUAUUCCAGGACACAAUGAAUGCAGUUUGCUUUGUAUUUAGUAUAAACGAUGUGAUCCUAAAUCCUAGAGACAUGAAAGUGUGGACAUCCUAUGUAAAGAGUUUACAAAAGACUAGAACCAUGAAAUAGUCACUUUUAAGUUAUAACACCGUUAACUUUGAAAAACUUACUAUUUCAUUGAUAGAUAUCAAAUAUAACUUAAUCUUAAUACUGAGCUAACUAUAAGCUUCUGUUCUCACCAGCAUGCUUGUUUAAGGCGUUGUUUAUCUAUGGCCACAUGCCCAAAUACCCCCAAAUCACCUUUUCUUUAUGUCUUGUAUUUAGUUUAGUCUAUUGCUUUCCUUUUUACGUCAUAGACCUAGGGUGUGAGGUGUCACACAUUUUCAUUUGCAAACCUGUCAAAGCUCAAAAAGUCUAAACUGUACUAUAGGAGAGACCCAAUAGUUGAAUCCCCAACCAUAUCUUAUCGUAUUCUUUAUAAUCAAAUUUUUAUUUGCAAUUGAAAGUCUUCAACGCUUUCUUUAAUGAUGUUUUUAAUGAUAUUCUCUCUCACAUGUUUUAAAACAAUUUUUUCAUGAACGGGAAGGGAGGUUAUAUCAUAUCGUGAGUUUGUUCGUGAUUUUCGGAUUUUACAUGACUGACUUAUUGACUGAGCAAAACAAGUGUUCUACAAUUGUCCGUUCCAUGUUUGAAAGAUUGCGAUUGUGGCACGUAGAGUGUCACAAGUAUGCUUGUCCAAGGCAUUAUUUGCCUAUGGCCGCGUGCUCGAAUAUCCUCAAACCACUUUAUCUUUAUGCUUUGUACUUAGUUUAGUCAACUGCUUUCCUUUUGUUGUCACCGACCUAAGGUGCGUCGUUUCGCAAUUUUCAUAUGCAAGGUUGUCAAUGCUAAAAAAGUUUAAGAUGUAUUGUAGGGGAGGCAUGGUAGUUGAAUCCCCAACUAAGCCCUAUUGUGAUUUUUGCAAAUCUAAGCUUUCUUUGCAAUUGACAAUAUUCAAUUUUUUCUUCAAGGAUGUUAUCGAUGUUUUUCUUUAUCUCUCACGUUUUAUAAAACCAAUUUCUCUCAAAAGAUGAAGCGAGGCUACAUCGUACCACGAAUUUGUCCGCAACUUUCAAAUUUCACAAGGUUGCCUUGUUCAUCAAUUUAGAACAAGUGUUGCACAACCGCCUGUCCCGUAUUUGAAAAGUUGCAUUUUGUGACAAGUGGUAUUAAAGCUUUGUUAUCUCCUUGGCUAAGCGAGAUGCAAUUAUGUCGACAAUGAAACAACUAUCAAAGUUGCAAUCUGAGCGACUGACUGAGAUUGAAGAGGAAUUCUUGGAUAUGAAAGAAUUGCCAAACGAAGUAAGAUUUCUCCAGACCCAACUUGAGAUGUUUAAAGAAAAAGUAAGAGAAAUAGACGCAUUGAAUGCCUAAAUAGACAAACUACCCAUAAAUGAAUUGGCGCUGAGGGUUGAUUCGUUAGAACAUAAAACCACCAAAGUAGGUAGUUUUGAACGUGGAAGUAGCUCUUCAAGUUCUAUCGCACAAAUGGAAGAGCGUGUCGAAGAGUUUGACUUUUGACAAGCUCCAACAUAAUCAGUUAUAUUUCAAGAAAGAGAAAAGUGUUUUUGCUAAAUAGCGUAUCAAUUUUCUGGGUCACAUCAUCGAAUGUAGAAAGAUUUGAAUGGACGAACAUAAGUUGUGAGCUUUUAAGGAGUGGAGAGCCCCCACUUCCGUGAAAGAGUUACGUUUCAUCCUUCAAUAUAUUCUAAAAUAGGGUUCACCUACUAUCCUCUAGACUCAGUACCGAGAGAAAGAAAUAGAUGGAAAAAGAAAUGGGCUUGGUAAUUUUUUUUUCUAUGUAAAUAAGAAAAAGAAAUCCAAUUUGGUACAAGAGCCCAAAUUCAAUAGCCAACCCAUCAAAUGAGGUCAAUGGCCCUAUUUAUAAGGAUUUUCCAUGCAAAAUUGCAUGUCCAUGGAAUACUAAAGCCCAACAACUCAAAGCUCUAUUUCUAAUAUGAAAUUUGAUGGCUAUAACACAUAUACUUGUCAGUUUCUCUCCAUUAUCCCAAUUCGAACAAUUCGACUUAUUCCAUCACACUGUUUUAAGUUUAUUCCAUAUGAGCUAGCAAGGGAACCUAAUGGACCUAUAUAUCAUGAACUCCAAUGAUUCAAGAUUAAUUGACUAAAUUCUUAUAGACUGAGUUAAUCAACAUUCGUUAACUAACGGGUCAUUCAUGUAUGUACUGGAACGAUUCAGAAUCACCUCGUUUGUACUAACUACAAAGCGGGCGGCAUCCACAGUUUCUCUGAAAAAAUAUGGGUUACUACAACGUCACAACGAUGUACAAUUUUCCUGAUAAGAUGGUACUUACGUUCGAUAUGUUUUCCCCGUUUACGGCUUUUAGGUUCUCUUGAAUUUGCAACUGCACCACUGUUGUGACAGUAUAAAUUGAUUGAUAGAUGCAUAUUUGGAACGACUUCCAGAUCUGUCAAGAAUUUUCUUAGCCAUAAUGCUUCUGUUGUUGCUUCAAAAGUUGCUACGUAUUCUACCUCCAUUGUGGAAUCAAUUAUACAAGUUUGUUUUAUGCUUCUCCAAACUACUACCCUUCUAUUUAGAGUGAAUACUAAUCCUGAUAUAGACUUUCUAGCAUCUUUAUCAGUUUGAAAAUCAUAAUGAGUGUAUCCAGUAAGGAUUAAAUCUUUUGUACCAUACACGAGAAUGUAGUGUUUUGUUCUUCAAAGAUAUUUUAGAACAUUCUUAACGGUUGUCCAGUGAUCACGUCCAAGAUUGGACUGAUACCUACUGACCAUCCCUACUAAGUAGCAAAUGUCAGAUCUAGUACACAACAUUGCAUAUAUCAAACUUCCAACAGCGGAAGCAUAGGAAAUUUUUCUCAUAUCCUCAAUUUCUUGAGGUGUCUUAGGACAUUGUUCCUUUGACAAAUGAAUUCCAUAGAUGUAUAAUAGCAUACCCUUUUUGGAAUUCUACAUUUUAUAUCUAGACAACAUUUUGUCUAUAUAAGAUGCUUGAGACAUGGCUAGUGUUUUGUUUUUGCAGUUCUGUACAAUUUGGAUCUUAAGAACGUAUUGUGCAUUUCCCAGAACUUUCAUUUGAAAUUGCAUAGCUAGCCAUUUCUUGAUAUUAGUAUGAAAUCCUAUGUCCUUUUCCAAUAAGUAGAAUAUCAUCUACAUACAAGACUAAGAAUACUACAAUGGAAUUGACGACCUUUUUUGUAAACAUAAGGUUCGUCAACCUUUUGUAUCAAAGCCAUAAGAUUUGAUCAUAGUAUCAAAUCUUAUAUUCCAGGAUCUAGAUGUUUGUUUUAAUCCAUAAAUGGAUUUUUGAAUCUUACAAACCUUUUGUUCUUGAUCUUGAUCUAUAAACCCCUCUAAUUGAGUAAUAUAGAUACUCUCUUCAAGAUUUUCAUUCAAAAAAAUUGUCUUGACAUCCAUCUGCCAAAUUUCAUAAUCAUAAAACAUGGCGAUGCAUAAGACUAUUCUAAUUGACUUUAGCAUGGCAACGAUAGAGAAAGUUUCUUCAUAGUCUAUGUUAGAAAGAGACAUGCGCAGUGGAAAAAUGGAAUACAAAAUUACCCUAAUUGCACCUAUUUAACUUGCAACCCUAAAUUAAAAGAAUUAGGGUUUAGGAAAUAUUAUACCUUUGUAUCUAUUCGAAUAUGAACGUCUAUACCUCUCACAAAAUUCCAAAAGUUUUUGAAACCAAAAUGUAACACCUUAAACUUACACUACUACAAAAACAGGCUUUCUUGACGUUUGUAGUUUUAAUUACUUGACGUUUUUUGAAAAAAACGUCAAGAAAGCGGUGAUUUCAAAGAAAAAACGUCAAGAAUUUCUAUGAAAAGGCGGAGAUAUGCCAAUCUUCAACUUUCUUGACGUUUUUUAAACGUCAAGUAAUAUUUAUUUAUCCUUGACGUUUUAAAAACGUCAAGUAAUAUCUAUUAAAUUCUUGAAGUUUUAAAAACGUCAAGUAUUUUUAUAAAUUCGACAUUCUUGACAUUUUCUAAACAUCAAGAGAGCGGUUGUUCUUGACGUUUUAAAAACGUCAAGUUCGAUUAAAUAAAAAAAAAAAGGAAACACGCGUUAAUAAUUAGGUGAGAAUUAAUCCUUUUGCCCUAGAAAUUAAAACGCAUCUUCUUCUUCUUCACGCCUAAGCAUUUUCGAAAUCUCCACCUUCACAUUGUCGUCGCGCUUGAGUUUUUGAAAUCUCCAACUGAAAUCACCGUUCUUGAAGUUGGGGAAGCCCUAUCCCACACCCAUUCUUGACGUGAUUCGAAAUUGGUCUUCACACUCGUUCGAAAUCACCAUUCGAAAUCGCCACCGAAGAUUAAUUCCAUCUCUUCACACUCAAUCUCCGUCUGCCAUCCACCGUGCUUCAAGUCGGGCUCCUUCGAAAAUGUCAUCCAUCGUCGCUUCUCUAUACGAAAACUCCAUCCUUCUUUAUUUAGAGAUUAGAAAUUAAUUCUCAUUCACGUAUGAAGAUAUCUUGAUUUGUGAUUUGAACCUUUUGUAUUUGUAUAGAAGCGACGUAUUGCUCAUGGUGCUUUGGGUUUUUUGGGUUAGAAAUUUGAACCUCACGCAUGAAGAGGUUAGAAAUUAAUUCCUCUUCCCUCUUCACGUAUAAAGUUGGGGAAAGUCCAUAUAUCACAUGGUGCUUUGGGUUCUCCUUACAAAUCCAAUGGAGUUGAUGAUUGAUAUGAGAAGAUACAGAUUGAUAGAAGGAGAUAUGGCUUAUACGGGACCGUAUUUUCCCUACUGUCACACAGUAGGUGAGUAAUGUAACUAUUUUCCAUUAACUUUCUCUACCUUCCUAUUUCUCUUGGCUUAUACGGUUGUAUUAUGGUUGAGAAAUGGUCGUCCAUCUUACUGCUUGAUGUUGUUUGAAAACAAAAGACUAACCAUUUUAAACCAAAAUUUGUCCCGAAUAUGCACAGAUGACCGUGAGGGAUACUCUAAACUCUGCACUUGAUGAAGAAAUGUCUGUUGAUCAAAAAAAAAAAAAAUUUAUGAGAGAAGAGGUGAGGGAGAAUGAACACAAACCCAUUUAUGUUUGUAUAUUAUAUGAUUUGUCUACACUUAUGAUUAAUUUCAAACAUUUUGAUGCAGGUCGGAGAAUAUCAGGAGACUUAUAAGGUUAGGUAGGUGGAAGAGAUGAUCUCUACUUCACAUGAUAUUUGAAUUUCUUAUUCAUUUAAUUGUACAUUUUAACAAUUUUUGGCUUUUUUAUUCCCUUCAAUUAGAUAACCAAAAGGAUUUUGGAGAAAUAUGGUUCUGAGAGGGUUCUUGAUACCCCAAUCACAGAGGUUGUUUCUUAACCCAGAAACAUUGUUUUCCGUCAAUUUUAUUGAACUACAUUGUUAUUUCAUCAUUGCAGAAGCUGGUAUUUGUAUCCAAAAUUUCUCCAUUCUAUUGGAAUUUUUUUAUAUUUUUGCAAUUUAUUAUUCAAUCAAUCACUUCCCUCUUUGUUCAUGCUAAUAAAAAUCUAGCUACUUUUGAAAUUACAGGAGGUAAAAUGCAGAACAUUUGUUAACCAAGUCACUUAUUUCGGACUAAAAAAAAGGUAACAACCAAUUUGUUAACCAUGUUUGCACUUUCAAUAUUGUUUAAUUUUUUUGUGUUACACUUUCAUAUUAACUAUAGUUGCAAAAAUAGGUAACAAGAAAUUUAUUUUUUUAGAACUUAAAACAACAAUGGUUGGAUAUCCAGUUGUGAUUUAUGCAUAUUUUUUGUAUUGGCUUUUUGUUUGAUUGUGUUGAAAGAAAGUUAUAGUUCAAAGUGUUAGAGGCUUGGCCACCUUAGAUUUGCAAUUCCAUUAUGUCUUACUCUUUCGUGCAUUAUAAUUAUAAGUGUGUAGAAAAACAUGUGGUGUUUGUUUAAUUAUACAAUGUACUUACUUUCCCCUCAUGUGUGCAUUAUAAGUAUUUUCUGGCUUACUAAUAACUUCAUUGAAAUUCUAGUUAAUUUAUUUAUGAUCUAUCGCUAAACAAUUACACAAGCUGAAGUGAAUGAAUAAAUGUGCAAACACAAAAUCUACUAUGAUGUUGAGUUGAAUAGUGAUGGUUGGAUUUCUAUUAUGCUAUGUUAUAUUAAUUAUCAUCAAAUUUUUUUCAGGCUGCGAGAACCGGUGACUUAGAGCUUUUUCGUCGCGACUUGGAGCUUUCUCAAACUGUUAUUGGGAAGUUUUUGGAUAGUUUUUAGAUAAGUUAGUUAAUUUAGGAAGUUGAGUUGAACUAGGAUGUUGAGUUGAACUUAUGACAAUCUAAUGAGAUUGUUUAUAUUAUUUUUGCAACUGAUAUGAAAUAUUCAUAUAUGUAUUGUUUUGGAAAUGAUUAUAUAUAAAUAUGGUGAAGCAUUUUAUUUAUAUAUGAUUAUUUUUCUAACGCUUUGCACUAUACUAAAAAGCCUUGAUCUUCUUCCCCCCAAUGUUUUCAUAAACUUCUUAAGACAGACCCUGACCUUGGUUAGGCUCGGAUCUCCUUGGAUUAUCACCUUCUUCCCCUGAUAUGUAAAUGUUAACAUCAGAUUCUUCCAAUCCACUCCAGUCGUUCCCAAGGAAUACAAUCACUGCAUUCCAAGUAUGGCAACUACCCCUCCGAACUUCAAGGGUAAAAACUCAUUCACUACCUUCUAGUCUCCCAGCAUUAACUCAACAUCUUCACAAAUUACCUUCCCUUUGACUACAGUGCCCGAGCCCAAAAUGACUCCAUAAUUCGACGUUUCUUUUGUACUCAGUUGCAACUCUUUCACUAUUUUUUUCUGAAAUGAAAUUGCGUGUGACUCCACAAUCAAUUAGUACUAUAGCCACCUUCCCUUGUAUCAUCUCUUUUACCUUCAUUUUCCCUAGGUUGGAUAAUCCCACCACAUAAUUAAUGGAUAAUUCCACCACCACCUGACUCUUCUCUACGAUCUCAGGGGCAUUCAAUUCUUUCUGAUCAAUUCCUCCUUCAAUAAUUUCAUACUCCUCGCCUUCUUCCUUCACAACAAUCAUUCGCAAUUCCCUUUGCUCUUUCAUCUUGCAUUUGUGGUCAUGAGAAUAUUUCUCAUUACAGUGAAAGCACAAUCCCUUCUUUCUAGAUUGAAAUUCAGCAUCAAAUAAGCGCUUCGUCUGUCCCUCUUUCCGUACUUCCUCUUUUGUUGUUCCUCGUAGAGUAAUAGUUCUCAUCGGCCAAUUCAUUCCUCCUUUACUUUCUUCUGUAUUCGCAAUGGUAUUAGCCUUGGUGCUAUUGUGGGAGUUUAUCACCUUUUCUCCAGAAUAUCCAGAAAGAUUUGCUUCCUGACAUCUUCCUUGUUCUCUACCUUUUGCGCGAUUAGUAUCAUUUGUGCUAAUCCCUUCGACUCACAUAAAUCCAUCUCCGCCUAGAUCCACAGUUUCAAUCCUGACAUAAAUGUCUCUUUUACCACCUUCUCUAAUAGGUCCGACAAAGGAGCUACCCACUUAUCGAAUAAAUUUUGAUAUUCCUCUAUCGUUGUCUUUUGUUGAAUUUGCAAGAACCUUACAUACAACGAUUCCUCCCUCACGGAUCGAAAUCGCACCAAUAAUCUUUCCUUCAUAUUCACCCAAUCUACAAAGUUCUCUCGUUCUUCUUCAGAACGGUAAAAGUUCAAUGCUAGUCCCUCAAAACUAAUAGUGGAUACAGUCAUUUUCUCAAAUUCAGUAAGUUUAUGAAUGUGCAAAUACCUCUCUACGCGAAACAGCCAAGAAUCGGGAUCAUCUCCAUUGAAUAUCGACAUCUCCACCUUCUUAAACUUAUUGCAGUCAUUAUUACUUUCAUCAUCUAUUUUCUUUUCUUCCUUCCUUGUUUCGUUCUCCCAUCUUGGUCACCCUUCGCCUUCGUCCACAUUCUUCGUCGAUGAAUUGUGCAUUGUUGUCGAUUCCAUAAUUCGUAACAUCAUCUGAUUCUACCUCUCCAUAUUUUUGGAUAUUUUGGCCAACGUCUUUUCGAUCACCAGUAUCUUACUAAUCUCUUUCUUAAUGUCUUGUAUUUCCUGGUCAAACGUCUCCAUCUCUUCGAUUCGAGUAUGAACCAUUUGCAUUCUUCUUGCCCGAGAUCAAUGCUCUGAUACCAAUUUGAUGGAAACCAGUCUUGGAAUAAAAUUGCUACUAUAUUAUUAAUGAUAGAAUAGGAAUGAAAUCCUAAUUACAAUAUGAAAUCCCUCUCCUGUUAUCCUCUCUCUCAAGGAAGAAUAGAAAUUCACUUUCUCAAACAAAACCUAACUUUCCCGCCCACGAUUACUUUUUAUUUAUACUAACAAUAAGGUAACUAAACCUUCCCUUUACUAACCCUCACAUGCUAUUCAUGUGCACGUGAUAUUUUUUUUUUCAAUUUCUUUGUCCCUCUUCCGCUGUACAGAUGUAAUAUGGGGGUCUAUCAGAUUCCUCAUCUUUUCAAAACCUCCAAUCAAACUCAAUGCUAAGUUUGACUGCUCCCUUCAGAGUGACGACACUCAUUUUCCCCCUUCGGUGGUUUGGAGAGGAUUCCUUCUCUUUUUAAAGCCCUCAAUCAAACUUGAUGCUAUGUUUAGAACGCUAAGAAUAGGUGGUCUAGUUUUGGUUAGGCCAAAAGUGAAAUUUUCCCCCAAAAGCACUAAUAAUUAGGGAACUCAACACAUUCUACUUGACUUAAUCGACUUCACUCUCUAAUUUUUAUGAGCUUUUUUCAAUGCAUAUUGCAUAUGUUUUUUUUAUAGUUGUUGAUUGUGUCACAUUUUUAUGGUUUGCAUUUACAAGCCUCUUUUUUCUUUCUUUGGUAUGCAAUAUGGUAAUAGGCCCUGCUAGAAUCGGUGGGGUAAUCUCUCUAUGGUUCUACACUUAGUUUCAAAGUUUGAUUAUUCCCUUCGAAGGGUCUAUCAGAUUCCUCUUCUUUUCAAAGCCCUCAAUCAAACUCAAUUAGAGUAAAAAGGAAAAAAUUUCAUCUUGGGCGCGUGUACCUCACACGUGUCUCUCUAGGAUUUCCAAGUUCUCUCACUCGGCUGGUGAAGGAGGCGAAUGCCUGGUGAGUGUUGCGGUCAGCAAGGGAUCAAAUUCGAAGGUAAUUCAUUCGAUUUUGGCAGAUUGAAUGUGAAAACUAAUGUCAUUUGGUAUCCAUUUCGAAAUUGAUUACAAUUGAUCAAUUGAACCAUUACGAAUGAUAUUCAUUUUGAUUCGGGAGAAUUAACGUCUGUCCAGAAAUUGUUUAAAUCUAUUUCCAAGCUGAAUUGAUUUGAACUAUCUUGAAAGUAUUGUGUGUGGUACGAAUCAAUUUAUUGGCAACCACUUCUGGGUUUGAAGACCAUGAUUUAAUUCACUCACUGGAGGGAUCUCGCAUGAAUCUCCUCGGUUGAAUUUCAAUUCUUUUUGAGUUCAUUCGUGUUCCCAGAUUGGGCUGAAAAGAUCAUCACGGAUGUUGGGUUGAUGUCCUAAGCAUGAAACGAUGAAGAAAUUAUCCAGUGACGUUAAGGAGGUGAAGAAACGCAUGAUGUCAAGCCUUCAACGCGUACAUGAUAUGGCGGCGAACGACCGAAGGGCGGCGACUGCAAAGGGUGGCCUAAUUUAUGUGAGGAAGAAACGGUCGGACAUGAGUGGACCCGAACCGGUUUACGUGAACCGUGAAACAUAUAAAAAUCAAAAUACAGGAAAUGGACCGAGCGGAGAUGGUCCCAUGAAGAUUGUUGGCCCAAAGGCGUGUGGGCCGAUUGUUUUGAAUGAAAACUUGAUGAAGCCUAGUGAGCCGGUAAAUGGGCCGAAGCCGAAUGGUGUGGACACAUUUAUGAAUGGAAUUGGUCAUGGAUCUCUGGUUGAUGGGCCAUCGUUGAAUGAUGGGCCACCCAUCUCACACGAAACUGGGAUCUCACAGAAGGAGUGCUUACCUGCUGGUGCUUCAAGUGUUCAGCAUGUUGGACAAAUUGCAGCGACCGAAGGAUAUGGACCUGGGCUGGAUGCUAUUGCAAGUGCCCCAAAGAUUGGGCCUGUUGAUGGGCAUUUGAAUGAUGGGCCAGCCAUUAGAGAACCGUUUGGUACUAAUUCAAAUGGUGGGCCGCCUGUUCCUAUUCGUGGGCAUGAGGUGCAUAAAUCUAAUAAUUAUGGAGGUGUAGGUAAAAAUUCAUGGGCUUCCUUAUUUGGCUCAACAAGAGGUUUCUCUAUGACCUAUACACCUCUGACUACUGUGGGAGAGAAAAUUGUGGUGACCCCGUUUGAAGAAGUUAUUAGUCAAGGAGUUAGAGUGUGGGAGAACUCCCUCAUCAGGCAAUUAAUUGAUGCAAAAUUGUCGUAUCUAGUCAUCUAUCGUCUUAUAGAGAAGAUUUGGGGUAGAAUUGAAAUGCCAACAAUUACUCUGAUGGAGAAUGGGCUCAUCUGCUUUGAAUUCAAACAUCUGAAGUCGAUAGAGUGGAUCUUAUCCCGUGGCCCAUGGCACCUUGGAGGCAAACCUAUGCUCCUCCGCAAAUGGACUCCAGGUAUAGUUCCUGAAUCCUUUGUCUUUGAUUCAGUUCCUGUUUGGAUAAAGUUAGGGAGGAUUCCGUUGGAGCUAUAGACGGAUGUUGGUUUGACUGUGGUAGCGAGUGCAAUAGGAAAACCUUUUUCAGUUGAUCUUGCUACUAAAGAGAGGCGUCGUCUUUCUUAUUCCCGUAUAUGUGUGGAAUUGAAUGUGGACAGUAUUAUGCCUGCCGAAGUUACAGUCAACCUUAGAGGAGAGGAAUUUAUUGUAACUGUCACUUAUGAGUGGAAACGGAAAAAAUGUACCUUGUGUCGAUCUUUUGGACACUCGCAAAACACCCUUUAAAGAGGCAAUGAAAAUAGUAAAAAGGAAGCUGCAAGUAAAGAGGUUCCUGUUAAAGAGGUUGUUCCUACUAAAGAGGUGGUUCCAGAUUGUGGGGAGUAUGGAGAUGUUGUGUUGGAAUCCUUCCAACACAUGGAAGAAGGAGAAAUUAUUACCCAUAAACUGCCUGAAAAGGUGGAGGUAAAUCGGAGAGGAAUUUACCCAAUUGACAGGAAAAAUAGGGGAAUGAUCUCUAUUUGGGACAGAGGGAAAAGGGCGGAAGCGAGUAUCACUAACUCCUUUAACAACCUCAUGGAGGUGGAUAAAGGAGAUAAAUGGCCUUUAUCUAUAGUGGAUGGCUCCCCUCCUCCCUUACGAGUAGAUGACUCUUCUAUGGUCGUUUUGAGUACUACAGGUGAUGUAAUUCCUAUGGGAGAGGCGGCUCCCAUACGACCUCAUGGUUAGUUGGUGUACGUGGAACGUGCGGGGCCUUAAUAGCCCUGUAAAGUGUAGAGCGGUGAAGGACUUCUUAGCCGUGUCUAUGGUGGGUUUCUAUUGCAUCCUGGAUACUAGAGUUCGAGAGGAGAACUUUGUCUCGAUAUCUAGAAGAUUUAGUGAUUCGUAAGGGUUCAUUAGUAACUACAGCAAUAGUGGAGUAGGUCGGAUGUGGAUUAUGUGGAAACGUAACAGAUUCGUGUUCACGACUAACGAGGUUGUCGACCGGUUUAUUUCUGGUGUAAUAACAGAUUUGAUCUCUGGGGAGAAGGUAGAGGUUCUGUGUGUGUAUGCCUCUAAUAGUAAUAUCGAGAGACGUGUUUUAUGGAGGCGAAUAAUUGAGAUCUCUGCUGGUUGGAGAGGACCGGGUAUGGUCUUUGGUGAUUUUAACACCAUCAGACUCCACUCUGAAGCCUUCGGGGGUGCUCCGAACGUGGAGGAUAUGGAGGAGUUUGACAUGGCUAUUCGAGAGGCGGACCUUGUUGAACCCGCGGUCCAGGAGAACUGGUUUACUUGGACUAGUAAGAGACAUGGGUUGGGUUUGAUGAGGAGACUUGAUCGUAUCCUAGUGAAUGAUGAGGGGCUUAGUACAUGGCCUAACAUGUGGGUUAACGUCCUCCCGUGGGGUAUUUCUGAUCAUUCUUCCAUACUUGUCUAUCCCAGUAAUCAGCGAAGCCAACAAGUGGUCUCUUUUCGUUUCUUUAACCAUUGGGUUGAAGAAGCGUCCUUUAUGGAUGUUGUGUCCUCUGCUUGGACCAAAGAUACUAGAGUUUCUCCAAUUGUGAAUAGUGUAAGGAACUUAAGAAAUCUCAAGUCGAUUCUUCGCAGACAUUUUGGUAGGCAUAUUCGAACCAUCAGUGAGGAUGUUCGUCUUGCCAAUGACACCAUGGUCCGAGCUUAAAGAAAGAUGGAGACGAACUCUCUGUCGGAGGAGGCGACUAAUCACGCGAGCUUAGCCACGAUAAACUUUUGGAAAGCAGUUAGAGUGGAGGAAGCCGCUAUGCGCCAGAAGUCGCAAAUCAGAUGGUUGAAGCUAGAUGACCAGAAUACUGCCUUUUUUCAUCGAUAUGUUCGAUCAAGGCAGAGCAGCAAUGCUUUGAGAUCAGUUAUUGACCCAGAUGGAAAUUAGUUGACUAACCAUGAUCAGGUGACUCAGGUGGUUGUGAAUUAUUUCAAAGAUAGUGUGGGUUCUCAAUAUUAGCUAUAGAGAGCUCUCUACUUGUAUUGAGGAGAUUGUUCAGUUUAGAUGGACUGAGGAGUGUUGUCAGGCCCUCCAGUCGCCUAUUGGCAGGAAGGAAGUGAGACGUGUUCUGUUCUCCAUGGAUGGUGGAAAGGCUCCAGGCCGUGAUGGGUAUUUAGUUGGCUUCUUCAAAGGAGUUUGGACAGUGGUUGGAGAGGGCUUCUGUGAUGUCGUCUUACACUUCUUUGAGACCAAUUACUUCCCUCAAGGGGUGAAUACGACUGCUAUUACACUUAUUCCUAAAAGGAAUGGUGUUAAUCGAUUGGAGGAUUUCAGCCCUAUAUCUUGUUGUAGCGUUAUUUAUAAGUUCAUUUCAAGAAUCUUGGCAGAUAGGCUUCGUGUGUGGCUUCUUUCUUUUGUUAGUGGAAAUCAGCCAGCUUUCAUCCCUGGGAGGAGUAUUAUUGACAAUAUUCUUCUUUGUCAGGAGCUUGUAAGGGCAUACCAUUUGCACGAGGUAAACCUCGGUCCACUAUGAAGGUUGACCUCCAAAAAGCUUAUGAUUCUGUUAAUUGGGAUUUCCUCUUUGGCCUGCUGAUUGCCAUAGGUACGCCUUUAAGAUUUGUGAGUUGGGUUCGAGCGUGUGUGACCUCUCCGAUGUUCUCCAUUAUGAUUAAUGGAUCGUUGGAAGGUUUUUUCCAUGGGAGGAAAGGACUUAGACAAGGUGACCCUUUAUCCCCGUUCUUAUUUGUGAUGGUCAUGGAGGUGCUUUCUCGCAUGUUGAACAGCCCACCUGAGAAUUUUCAAUUCCACCAGUUUUGUGAGAAGGUCAGAUUAACUCAUCUUACUUUUAUAGAUGACUUGAUGAUCUUUUGUACUGCUGAUAAUCAUUCUAUAAGUUUCAUAAAAGAAACUAUUAAGAGGUUUGGUGAGCUUUCAGGACUGUUUGCUAAUCUUGCUAAAAGCUCAAUUUUUCUUGUGGGGGUUAAUAGUUCGAAAGCUUCUCGGCUUGCUGCUAACAUGGGUUUUUCCAUUGGUCAUCUCCCUGUUAGUUAUCUUGGGCUUCCUCUCCUCUCUGGAAGAUUGCGGAGCUCUGAUUGUGAUCCCCUUAUUCAGUGUAUUACAAGUCGUAUUCGGUCUUGGUCUGCUAGAGUGUUAUCUUUUGCAGGUAGACUUCGGCUUGUUCGCUCAGUCCUUAGGAGCCUUCAGGUUUAUUGGGCUAGUGUGUUCAUGCUUCCUAUGAAAGUCCACAGAGACGUUGAUAAGAUCUUGAGGGCUUAUCUGUGGAGAGGUAAGGAGGAGGGAAGAGGUGGUGCUAAAGUUGCCUGAGAUGAGGUUUGUCUUCCUUUUGAUGAAGGAGGUCUUGAUAUUCGUGAUGGAUCUUCUUGGAAUAUAGCUAGCACGUUGAAGAUAUUAUAGUUGCUACUUGUUAAAUCUGGUAGUUUGUGAGUUGCUUGGGUGGAAUCUUAUAUCCUUAAAGGGAGUCGCUGUGGGAGAUCGAUGCUGGGGUGGGACGAUCUUGGUGCUUUAAGGAAAUCUUGCGUAAGUGGGAUAUCCUGGCCUAGAAAGGAACGACCAGACUUAGAACGAGGUCGGAGGCCUCGAAAGUUCACAUCAAGCUAAUGGGUUGUCCGAUUCUGAGUGGUCUCGAAGUUUCUUGCCCACAAAAGCCGAACGGUGAUGCCCGAGAGUCGGUUUCUUGGUUCCGUCCCAAAACGCCGAAAGAAAGGCACAAUGGCAUAUUACGGAACGACCGGACUUAGAACGGGGUCGGAGGCCUCGAAGGUUCACAUCUGGCUACUGGGUGGUCCGAUUCUGAGUGGUCUCGAUGUUUCUUGCCCACAAAAGCCGAGGGUGAUGCCCAGACUUGGUUUCUUGGUUCCGUCCCAAAACGCCGAAAGAAAGGCACAAGGGCAUAGAAAGGAACGACCGGACUUAGAACGGGGUCGGAGGCCUCGAAGGUUCACGUCUGGCUACUGGGUGGUCCGAUUCUGAGUGGUCUCGAUGUUUCUUGCCCACAAAAGCCGAAGGGUGAUGCCCAGACUCGGUUUCUUGGUUCCGUCCCAAAACGCCGAAAGAAAGGCACAAUGGCCUAGAAAGGAACGACGGGACUUAGAACGGGGUCGGGGCCUCGACAGUUCACGUCUAGCUACUGGGUGGUCCGACUUUCAGUGGUCUCGAAGUUUCUUGCCCACAAAAGCCGAAGGUGAUGCCCCAGACUCGGUUUCUUGGUUCCGUCCCAAAACGCCGAAAGAAAGGCACAAUGGCCUAGAAAGGAACGACGGGACUUAGAACGGGGUCGGGGCCUCAACAGUUCACGUCUAGCUACUGGGUGGUCCGACUUUCAGUGGUCUCGAAGUUUCUUGCCCAAAAAAGCCGAACGGUGAUGCCCCAGACUCGGUUUCUUGGUUCCGUCCCAAAACGCCGAAAGAAAGGCACAAUGGCCUAGAAAGGAACGACGGGACUUAGAACGGGGUCAGAGGCCUCGAAGGUUCACGUGUGGCUACUGGGUAGUCCGAUUCUGAGUGGUCUCGAUGUUUCUUGCCCACAAAAGCAGAAGGGUGAUGCCAAAACUCGGUUUCUUGGUUCCGUCCCAAAACGCCGAAAGAAAGGCACAAUGGCCUAGAAAGGAACGAUCAGACUUAGAACGGGAUCGGAGGCCUCGAAAGUUCACGUCUGGCUACUGGGUGGUCCGAUUCUGAGUGGUCUCAAAGUUUCCUGCCCACAAAAGCCGAACGGUGAUGCCCCAGACUCGGUUUCUUGGAUCCGUCCCAAAACGCCAAAAGAAAGGCACAAUGGCCUAGAAAGAAACGACCGGACUUAGAACGGGGUCGGAGGCCUCCAAAGUUCACGUCUGGCUACUGGGUGGUCCGAUUCUUAGUGGUCUCGAAGUUUCUUGCCCACAAAAGCCGAACGGUGAUGCCCCAGACUCAGUUUCUUGGUUCUGUCCCAAAACGCCGAAAGAAAGGCACAAUGGCCUAGAAAGGAACGACCGGACUUAUAACGGGAUCGGAGGCCUCGAAAGUUCACGUCUGGCUACUGGGUGGUCCGAUUCUGAGUGGUCUCUAAGUUUCUUGCCCACAAAAGCCGAACGGUGAUGCCCUAAACUCGGUUGCUUGGUUCCGUCCCAAAACGUCGAAAGAUAGGCACAGUGGCCUAGAAAGGAACGACGGGACUUAGAAUGGGGUCGGCGGCCUCGAAUGUUCACGUCUAGCUACUGGGUGGUCCGAUUCUGAGUGGUCUCGAAGUUUCUUGCCAACAAAAGUCGAACGAUGAUGCCCCAGACUCGGUUUCUUGGUUCCGUCCCAAAACACCGAAAGAAUGGCACAAUGGCCUAGAAAGGAACGACCGAACUUAGAACCGGAUCGGAGGCCUCGAAAGUUCACGUCUAGCUACUGGGUGGUCUCGAAGUUUCUUGCCCACAAAAGUCGAGCGGUGAUGCCCCAGACUCUGUUUCUUGGUUCCGUCCCAAAACGCCGAAAGAAAGGCACAGUGGCCUAGAAAGGAACGACGAGACUUAGAACGGGGUCGGCGGCCUCGAAAGUUCACGUCUAGCUACUGGGUGGUCCAAUUCUGAGUGGUCUCGAAGUUUCUUACCCACAAAAGCCGAACGGUGAUGCUCCAGACUCGGUUUCUUGGUUCCGUCCCAAAACGCCGAAAGAAAGGCACAAUGGCCUAGAAAGGAACGACCGGACUUAGAACGGGGUCGGGGCCUCGACAGUUCACGUCUAGCUACUGGGUGGUCCGACUUUUAGUGGUCUCAAAGUUUCUUGCCCACAAAAGCCGAACGGUGAUGCCUCACACUCGGUUUCUUGGUUCCGUCCCAAAACGCCGAAAGAAAGGCACAGUGGCCUAGAAAGGAACGACGAGACUUAGAACGGGGUCGGCGGCCUCGAAAGUUCACGUCUAGCUACUGGGUGGUCCGAUUCUGAGUGGUCUCGAAGUUUCUUGCCCACAAAAGCCAAACGGUGAUGCCCCAGACUCGGUUUCUUGGUUCCGUCCCAAAACGCCGAAAGAAAGGCACAGUGGCCUAGAAAGGAACGACCGGACUUAGAACGGGGUCGACGGCCUCGAAAGUUCACGUCUAGCUACUGGGUGGUCCGAUUCUGAGUGGUCUCGAAGUUUCUUGCCAACAAAAGCCGAACGAUGAUGCCCCAGACUCGGUUUCUUGGUUCCGUCCCAAAACGCCGAAAGAAUGGCACAAUGGCCUAGAAAGGAACGACCGAACUUAGAACCGGGUCGGAGGCCUCGAAAGUUCACGUCUAGCUACUGGGUGAUCUCGAAGUUUCUUGCCCACAAAAGUCGAGCAGUGAUGCCCCAGACUCGGUUUCUUGGUUCCGUCCCAAAACGCCGAAAGAAAGGCAUAGUGGCCUAGAAAGGAACGACGAGACUUAGAACGGGGUCGGUGGCCUCGAAAGUUCACGUCUAGCUACUGGGUGGUCCAAUUCUGAGUGGUCUUGAAGUUUCUUGCCCCCAAAAGCCAAACGGUGAUGCCCCAGACUCGGUUUCUUGGUUCCGUCCCAAAACGCCGAAAGAAAGGCACAGUAGCCUAGAAAGGUACGACGGGACUUAGAACGGGGUCGACGUUCUCGAAAGUUCACGUCUAGCUACUGGGUGGUCCGACUCUGAGUGGUCUCGAAGUUUCUUGCCCACAAAUGCCGAACGGUGAUGCCCAGACUCGGUUUGUUGGUUCCGUCCCAAAACGCCGAAAGAAAGGCACAGUGGCCUAGAAAGGAACAACCGGACUUAGAACGGGGUCGACGUUCUCGAAAGUUCACGUCUAGCUACUGGGUGGUCCGACUCUGAGUGGUCUCGAAGUUUCUUGCCCACAAAUGCCGAACGGUGAUGCCCCAGACUCGGUUUCUUGGUUCCGUCCCAAAACGCCGAAAGAAAGGUACAGUGGCCUAGAAAGGAACAACGAGACUUAGAACGGGGUCGGCGGCCUCGAAAGUUCACGUCCAGCUAUAGAGUGGUCUAGAAAGGAACGACCGAACUUAGAACGGGGUCGGCGGCCUCGAAAGUUCACGUCUAGCUACUGGGUGAUCCGAUUCUGAGUGGUCUCGAAGUUUCUUGCUCACAAAAGCCGAACGGCGAUGCCCUAAACUCGGUUUCUUGGUUCCGUCCCAAAACGCCGAAAGAAAGGCACAGUGGCCUAGAAAGGAACAACGAGACUUAGAACGGGGUCGGCGGCCUCAAAAGUUCAGGUCUAGCUACUGGGUGGUCCAAUUCUGAGUGGUCUCGAAGUUUCUUGCUGCAAAAGCCGAACGGUGAUGCCCUAGACUCGGUUUCUUGGUUCCGUCCCAAAACACCGAAAGAAUGGCACAAUGGCCUAGAAAGGAACGACCGAACUUAGAACCGGGUCGAGGGCCUCGAAAGUUCACGUCUAGCUACUGGGUGGUCUUGAAGUUUCUUGCCCACAAAAGCCAAACGGUAAUGCCCCAGACUCGGUUUCUUGGUUCCGUCCCAAAACGCCGAAAGAAAGGCACAGUGGCCUAGAAAGGAAUGACGGGACUUAGAACGGGGUCUGCGGCCUCGAAAGUUCACGUCUAGCUAUUGGCUGGUCCGACUAUGAGUGGUCUCGAAGUUUCUUGCCCACAAAAGCCAAACGGUGAUGCCCCAGACUCGGUUUCUUGGUUCCGUCCCAAAACGCCGAAAGAAAGGCACAGUAGCCUAGAAAGGUACGACGGGACUUAGAACGGGGUCGACGUUCUCGAAAGUUCACGUCUAGCUACUGGGUGGUCCGACUCUGAGUGGUCUCGAAGUUUCUUGCCCACAAAUGCCGAACGGUGAUGCCCCAGACUCGGUUUCUUGGUUCCGUCCAGAAACGCCGAAAGAAAGGUACAGUGGCCUAGAAAGGAACAACGAGACUAAGAACGGGGUCGGCGGCCUCGAAAGUUCACGUCUAGCUACUGGGUGGUCCGACUCUGAGUGGUCUCGAAGUUUCUUGCCCACAAAAGCCGAACGGUGAUGCCCCAGACUCGGUUUGUUGGUUCCGUCCCAAAACGCCGAAAGAAAGGCAAAGUGGUCUAGAAAGGAACGACCGAACUUAGAACGGGGUCGGCGGCCUCGAAAGUUCACGUCUAGCUACUGGGUGGUCCGAUUCAUAGUGGUCUCGAAGUUUCUUGCUCACAAAAGCCGAACGGCGAUGCCCCAGACUCGGUUUCUUGGUUCCGUCCCAAAACGCCGAAAGAAAGGCACAGUGGCCAAUAAAGGAACAACGAGACUUAGAAUGGGGUCGGCGGCCUCGAAAGUUCAUGUCUAGCUACUGGGUGGUCCAAUUCUGAGUGGUCUCGAAGUUUCUUGCCGACAAAAGUCGAACGGUGAUGCCCAGACUCGGUUUGUUGGUUCCGUCCCAAAACGCCGAAAGAAAGGCACAGGGGCCUAGAAAGGAACGAACGGACUUAGAACGGGGUCGGCGGCGUGAAAGUUCACGUCUCGCUACUGGGUGGUCCGAUUCUGAGUGGUCUCGAAGUUUCUUGCCCACAAAAGCCGAACGGUGAUGCCCCAGACUAGGUUUCUUGGUUCCGUCCCAAAACGCCGAAAGAAAGGCACAAUGGCCAAUAAAGGAACAACGAGACUUAGAACGGGGUCGGCGGCCUCGAAAGUUCACGUCUAGCUACUGGGUGGUCCAAUUCUGAGUGGUCUCGAAGUUUCUUGCCGACAAAAGCCGAACGGCGAUGCCCCAGACUCGGUUUCUUGGUUCCGUCCCAAAACGCCGAAAGAAAGGCACAGUGGCCAAUAAAGGAACAACGAGACUUAGAACGGGGUCGGCGGCCUCGAAAGUUCACGUCUAGCUACUGGGUGGUCCAAUUCUGAGUGGUCUCGAAGUUUCUUGCCGACAAAAGCCGAACGGUGAUGCCCAGACUCGGUUUGUUGGUUCCGUCCCAAAACGCCGAAAGAAAGGCACAGUGGCCUAGAAAGGAACGAACGGACUUAGAACGGGGUCGGCGGCGUGAAAGUUCACGUCUCGCUACUGGGUGGUCCAAUUCUGAGUGGUCUCGAAGUUUCUUGCCGACAAAAGCCGAACGGUGAUGCCCAGACUCGGUUUGUUGGUUCCGUCCCAAAACGCCGAAAGAAAGGCACAGUGGCCUAGAAAGGAACGACGGGUCUUAGAACGGGGUCGGCGGCCUCGAAAGUUCACGUAUAGCUACUAGGUGGUCCGAUUCUGAGUGGUCUCGAAGUUUCUUGCCCACAAAAGCCGAACGGUGAUGCCCCAGACUCGGUUUCUUGGUUCCGUCCCAAAACGCCAAAAGAAAUGCACAGUGGCCUAGAAAGGAACGAUCGGACUUAGAACGGGGUCGGCAGCCUCGAAAGUUCACGUCUCGCUACUGGGUGGUCUGAUUCUGAGUGGUCUCAAAGUUUCUUGCCCACAAAAGCCGAACGGUGAUACCGUAGACUCAGUUUCUUGGUUCCGUCCCAAAACGCAGAAAGAAAGGCACAGUGGCGUAGAAAGGAACGACGGGACUUAGAACGGGGUCGGCGUCCUCGAAAGUUCACGUAUAGCUACUGGGUGGUCCGAUUCUUAGUGGUCUCGAAGUUUCUUGCCCACAAAAGCCGAACGAUGAUGCCCAAGACUCGGUUUCUUGGUUUCAUCCCAAAACGUGGAAAGAAAGGUAGAGUGGCCUAGAAAGGAACGACCAGACGUAGAACGAGGUCGGCGGCCUCGAAAGUUCACGUCUGGCUACUGGGUGGUCCGAUUCUGAGUGGUCUCAAAGUUUCUUGCCCACAAAAGCCGAACGGUGAUGCCCAAGACUCGGUUUCUUGGUUUCGUCCCAAAACGUGGAAAGAAAGGUAGAGUGGCCUAGAAAGGAACGACCGGACGUAGAACGAGGUCGGCGGCCUCGAAAGUUCACGUCUAGCUACUGGGUGGUCCGAUUCUGAGUGGUCUCGAAGUUUCUUGUCCACAAAAGCCGAACGGUGAUGCCCAGACUCGGUUUCUUGGUUCCAUCCCAAAACGCCGAAAGAAAGGCACAGUGGCCUAGAAAGGAACGACCGAACUUAGAACGGGGUCAGCAGCCUUGAAAGUUCACAUCUAGCUACAGGGUGGUCCGAUUCUGAGUUGUCUCGAUGUUUCUUGCCCAUAAAAGCCGAACAGUGAUGUCCCAGACUCGGUUUCUUGGAUUCGUCCCAAAACGCUGAAAGACAGGCACAGUGGCCUAGAAAGGAACGACCGAACUUAGAACGGGGUCGGCGGCCUCGAAUGUUCACGUCUAGCUACUGGGUGGUCUGAUUCUGAGUGGUCUCGAAGUUUCUUGCCCACAAAAGCCGAACGCUGAUGCCCUAGACCCGGUUUCUUGGUUGCGUCCCAAAACGCCGAAAGAAAGGCACAGCGGCCUAGAAAGGAACGACCGGACUUAGAACGGGGUCGGCGGCCUCGAAAGUUCACGUCUUGCUACUAGGUGGUCCGAUUCUGAGUGGUCUCGAAGUUUCUUGCCCACAAAAGCCAAACGGUGAUGCCCUAGACUCGGUUUCUUGGUUCCGUCCCGAAACGCUGAAAGAAAGGCACAGUGGCCUAGAAAGGAACGAUCGGUCUUAGAACGGGGUCUGCGGCCUUGAAAUUUCACGUCUAGCUACUGAGUGGUCCGAUUCUUAGUGGUCUCGAAGUUUCUUGCCCACAAAAGCCGAACGGUGAUGCCCUAGACUCGGUUUCUUGGUUCCGUCUCAAAACGCCGAAAGAAAGGCACAGUGGCCUAGAAAGGAACGAUCGGACUUAGAACGGGGUCGGCGGCCUCGAAAGUUCACGUCUAGGUGCUGGGUGGUCCGAUUCUGAGUGGAUCUCUGUUAGAGAAAAUGUUCUGGACAUGAUGAUGCACUUCAACAUCGCUGAAGUGAAUGGUGGUCCCAUCGAAGAGGUUAAUCAAGUUACUUUUAUCUUAGAGUCUCUUCCGAAGAGCUUCAUUCCAUUCCAAACGAAUGCGUCUUUGAACAAGAUAGAAUUUAACUUGACAACCCUUCUGAAUGAACUCCAGCGAUUCCAAAACCUUACUAUGGGUAAAGGAAAACAAGUGGAAGCAAAUGUUGCUACCACAAAAAGAAAAUUUAUAAGAGGAUCGUCCUCUAAAACCAAAGCUGGACCCUCAAAACCUAAUGCUCAAAUAAAAAAGAAGGGAAAGGGAAAGACUCCCAAACAGAACAAGGGUAAGAAAGGUGCAGAAAAAGGUAAGUGUUACCAUUGUGGCCAAAACGGGCACUGGUUAAGAAACUGCCCAAAAUACCUUGCAGAAAAAAAGGCAGAGAAGGAAACACAAGGUAAAUAUGAUUUACUAGUUGUAGAAACAUGUUUAGUGGAAUAUGAAAAUUGUACCUGGAUACUAGAUUCAGGAGCCACUAACCAUAUUUGCUUCUCAUUUCAGGAAAAUAGUUCUUGGAAAAAGCUUUCAGAAGGCGAGAUCACUCUCAAGGUUGGAACAGGAGAGAUGGUCUCAACUUCAGUAGUGGGAGAUUUAAAGUUGUUUUUUAGAGAUAGAUAUGUCAUACUUAAGAAUGUCUUAUAUGUACCUCAAAUGAAAAGAAAUUUAAUAUCUAUCUCUUGUAUUUUGGAACAAAUGUAUAGAAUAUCUUUUGAAAUUAAUGAAGCGUUCGUUUUCUAUAAAGGUAUUCUAGUUUGUUCUGCUAUACUUGAAGACAACUUAUAUAAGUUAAGACCAACCAGAGCAAAUUUUGUCUUAAAUACUGAAAUAUUCAGAACAGCUGAAACUCAGAAUAAAAGACAAAAAGUUUCUUCUAAUGCCUAUUUAUGGCACUUAAGACUUGGUCACAUAAAUCUCAAUAGGAUUGGGAGAUUAGUUAAAAGUGGGCUUCUAAGUCAGUUAGAAAAUAAUACUUUACCUCCUUGUGAAUCUUGUCUUGAAGGAAAAAUGACCAAGAGAUCUUUUACUGGAAAAGGUCUAAGAGCCAAAGGACCCUUAGAGCUCGUACAUUCGGACCUUUGUGGACCAAUGAAUGUCAAAGCUCGAGGUGGAUAUGAAUAUUUCAUUAGCUUCAUUGAUGAUUAUUCAAGGUAUGGUCAUAUUUACCUAAUACAUCAUAAGUCUAAUAGUCUUGAAAAGUUCAAAGAAUAUAAGGCUGAAGUAGAAAACGAAUUAGGUAAAACAAUAAAAAUACUUCGAUCAGAUCGAGGUGGAGAGUAUAUGGACUUACGAUUCCGAGACUAUUUAAUAGAAAAUGGAAUCCAGUCACAACUCUCUGCACCUAGUACACCUCAACAGAACGGUGUAUCAGAAAGAAGAAACCGGACCUUGUUAGACAUGGUUCGCUCUAUGAUGAGUUUUUCUCAGAUGCCAGAUUCUUUUUGGGGAUAUGCUUUAGAAACAGCUGUUUAUAUUUUGAAUAAUGUUCCCUCUAAAAGUGUUUCAGAAACACCUUAUGAGCUAUGGAAAGGGCGUAAAGGAAGUUUACGUCAUUUUAGAAUUUGGGGUUGUCCAGCACACGUGUUGGUACAAAAUCCUAAGAAAUUGGAACAUCGUUCAAAAUUAUGCUUUUUCAUAGGUUAUCCAAAAGAAUCAAGAGGUGGUUUGUUUUAUGAUCCUCAAGAAAAUAAAAUAUUUGUGUCAACAAAUGCCACAUUCUUAGAGGAAGACCACAUCAGGGAUCAUCAACCUCGUAGUAAACUAGUAUUAAAAGAAAUUUCCAAAAGUGCUAUAGAUAAACCUAGUUCAUCCACUAAGGUAGUUGAUAAGACUAGGAAAUCUGGUCAAUCACAUCCUUCUCAACAGUUGAGAGAGCCUCGACGUAGUGGGAGGGUUGUUCAUCAGCCUGAUCGCUAUUUGGGUUUAAUUGAAACUCAAGUCGUCAUACCUGACGAUGGCAUAGAGGAUCCAUUAACCUAUAAACAGGCAAUGAAAGAUGUAGAUCGUGACCAAUGGAUCAAAGCCAUGGACCUCGAAAUGGAGUCUAUGUACUUUAAUUCUGUCUGGACUCUAGUAGAUCAACCAAAUGACGUAAAACCUAUUGGUUGUAAAUGGAUCUACAAGAGAAAACGAGACCAUGCUGGUAAAGUACAGACUUUUAAGGCUCGACUUGUGGCAAAGGGUUAUACCUAGAGAGAGGGAGUAGACUAUGAGGAAACUUUCUCUCUCGUUGCCAUGUUAAAGUCAAUUAGAAUACUCUUAUCCAUCGCCACUUUUUAUGAUUAUGAAAUUUGGCAGAUGGAUGUCAAGACAGCUUUUUUGAAUGGUAAUCUUGAAGAGAGUAUCUAUAUGUCUCAACCAGAGGGGUUUAUAGAACAAGAUCAAGAACAAAAGGUUUGUAAGCUUAAAAAAUCCAUUUAUGGAUUAAAACAAGCUUCUAGAUCCUGGAAUAUAAGAUUUGAUACUGCGAUCAAAUCUUAUGGCUUUGAACAAAAUGUUGACGAGCCUUGUGUUUACAAAAAGGUCGUCAAUUCCAUUAUAGCAUUUUUAGUCUUAUAUGUAGAUGAUAUUCUACUUAUUGGAAAUGACGUAGGAUAUCUUACUGAUAUCAAGAAAUGGCUAGCUAUGCAAUUUCAAAUGAAAGAUCUGGAGAUGCACAAUACGUUCUAGGAAUCCAAAUUGUUCGAAACCGUAAGAACAAAACACUAGCCAUGUCUCAAGCAUCUUACAUAGACAAAAUGUUGUCUAGAUAUAAAAUGCAGAAUUCCAAAAAGGGUCUGCUGCCGUACAGAUAUGGAAUUCAUUUGUCAAAGGAACAAUGUCCUAAGACACCUCAAGAAGUUGAGGAUAUGAGAAAUAUUCCCUAUGCUUCCGCUGUUGGAAGUUUAAUGUAUGCAAUGUUAUGUACCAAACCUGACAUUUGCUACUCAGUAGGGAUGGUCAGUAGGUAUCAAUCCAAUCCUGGACGUGAUCACUGGACAACCGUUAAAAACAUUCUAAAAUAUCUUCGAAGAACAAAAGACUACAUGCUCAUGUAUGGUACAAAGGAUCUGAUCCUUACUGGAUACACUGAUUCAGAUUUCCAAACUGAUAAAGAUGCUAGAAAGUCUACAUCAGGAUCAGUAUUUACUCUAAAUGGAGUAGCAGUAGUUUGGAGAAGCAUAAAGCAAACUUGUAUAGCUGAUUCCACAAUGGAAGCUGAUCAUUUUACAAAAGCCCUCACGACUAAAGUGUUUGAGGGUCACCUACACAGUUUAGGUCUACGAUGUUUGUAAACUAGGACAAGUGGGAGACAUAUUGGCCAAGUGCCCUAGUUUCAUAUAUAUUCUCUCACACCACAUCUCUCAUACCACUAGGAAUUUUAGUCCAAGUGGGAGUUUGUUGGAAUUUUUUGUCCUAAAACUUGUAGUUUGUAAAUCAUAUUUUGUUCAAUAAAGUUGUUAUUGAGAAAUUAAAUAUUAUAAUCUUAAAUCCAAUAAAUCAAGUACCAAGGCUAUUUUUGAAUAAACUUGAACUUUAUGUGUAAACAUAAACGUGGAUCAAGUUCGAGUAUAUAGCCUAAAUAGUCUAUAGUAUAUGAAAUAAAGGUUGGGCGCCUUAUUUAGAGAAACUAUGGAUGCGGCCCACUUUGUAGUACAAACGAAGUGAUCCUAAUCGUUCAUGUAGAGACAUGAAUGUGGGGGCAUCCUAUGUAAAAUGUUUACAUAAGACUGAACCAUGAAUUAGUCUUUUUUACGUUAUAACACCGUUUACUGUUUAAAACUAACCAUCUCAAUUAUUGAUGACCUAGGUAACUUAGUCUUAAUCCUGAGUUAACUAUGAACUCUUGUUCACACGAGAUUAUCCUUAGAUUUGCAUAGGUGAGGGCAGCUCAUCAGCGUUGGCCCAAUAAGCCUCCCAUUUCAGGGGUAAGAUCAGGUGGAUAGCUGGGAACAUAGGGUACAAGAUGGAAUUCACUCCUACCCGCUUUAGGGUUAGUAGAUAGGUUGUUCUCUUAAGCACUGAAUCCAAGUCUUGAACAAGGGGCCCCACCCUCUCAUUGGCCCGAGAGGGAUUAAGUUUAUAGGUUGAACCUUAAACCAAUUGUUCAAUAGUGGAUUAGUGGGAUUUAAGGAGCAAGAUGUAAUCUUAGGGGUAAAACGGUAUUUUGACCCAGCCAAGGUUACGAGCAACCUAUGAAGGAUUAACUUACUGAUUAUGGUUUUAUCAAAUGGACACAAAUAUAUCUAUAGUGAGGGGAGUGCAACUACGGAACUUUAGUGGAAUGACCCGUUAGUUAACGAAUGUUGAUUAACUCGGUUUAAAAGAGUUUAGCUAGUUAAUCUUGAAUCGUUGGAGCCCAUGAUCUAUAGGUCCAUUAGGUUCCUCUACUAGCUCAUAUGGAUUAAACAUAGAACAGUGUGAUGAAAUAAGUCGAAUUGUUCGAAUUGGGGAAGAAAGGGAAACCGACAAAUAUAGUGAUAUAGCCGUCGAUCUUCUAAUUAGAAAUAGAGCUUUAUGUUUUACAUACUAUAAGUAUGAAUGCGGAUUCAUACUAAGAAGCUCGGAAUUGAUGGAAUUGGUCAAAAAAUAGUAAAAAGUCAAAAUGUUGACUAUUGACUUUGAAAAGUCAAACUUUGACCGGGCUUAUAUUCAAAUGUGAUUUGUAUUUUGGAAAAAUGAAUGCGGAUUCAUGCUCGGGAGGUUGGAAUUAGUCAAGACGGACGAAAUGGUAAAAAGUCAAAAUAUUGACUUUUGACUAAGUUUUGACUACAAAUAUCUAAUGACCAUUUUACCCUUGGUUCUAAGUUUAAUCCAUAUGAGCUAGCAGAGGAACCUAAUGGACCUAUAGAUCAUGGGCUCCAACGAUUCAAGAUUAACAAGCUAAACUCUUUUAAACCGAGUUAAUCAACAUUCGUUAACUAACGGGUCAUUCAACUAAAGUCCCGUAGUUGCACUCCCCUCACUAUAGAUAUAUUUGUGUCCAUUUGAUAAAACCAUAAUCAGUAAGUUAAUCCUUCACAGGUUGCUCGUAACCUUGGCUGGGUCAAAAUACCGUUUUACCCCCAAGAUUACAUCUUACUCCUUAAGUCCCACUAAUCCACUAUUGAACAAUUGGUUUAAGGUUCAACCUAUAAACUUAACCCCUCUCGGGCCAAUGAGAGGGUGGGGCCCCUUGUUCAAGACUUGGAUUCAGUGCUUAAGAGAACAACCUAUCUACUAACCCUAAAACGGGUAGGAGUGAAUUCCAUCUUGUACGCUAUGUUCCCAGCUACCCACCCGAUCUUACCCUUGAAAUGGGAGGCUUAUUGGGCCAACGCUGAUGAGCUACCCUCACCUAUGCAGAUCUAAGGAUAAUCUCGUGUGAACAGGAGUUCAUAGUUAACUCAGGAUUAAGACUAAGUUACCUAGGUCAUCAAUAAUUGAGAUAGUCAGUUUUAAACAGUAAACGGUGUUAUAACGUAAAAAAGACUAAUUCAUGGUUCAGUCUUAUGUAAACAUUUUACAUAGGAUGCCCCCACUUUCAUGUCUCUACAUGAACGAUUAGGAUCACCUCGUUUGUACUACAAAGUGGGCCGCAUCCAUAGUUUCUCUAAAUAAGCGCCCAACCUUUAUUUCAUAUACUAUAGACUAUUUAGGUUAUAUACUCGAACUUGAUCCACGUUUAUGUUUACACAUAAAGUUCAAGUUUAUUCAAAAAUAGCCUUGGAACUUGAUUUAUUGGAUUUAAGAUUAUAAUAUUUAAUUUCUCAAUAACAACUUUAUUGAACAGAAUAUGAUUUACAAACUACGAGUUUUAGGACAAAAAAUUCCAACAAACUCCCACUUGGACUAAAAUUCCUAGUGGUAUGAGAGAUGUGGUGUGAGAGAAUAUAUAUGAAACUAGGGCACUUGGCCAAUAAGUCUCCCACUUGUCCUAGUUUACAAACAUCGUAGACCUAAACUGUGUAGGUGACCCUCAAACACUUUAGCCGUGAGGGCUUUUGUAAAAGGAUCAGCAAUGUUUUGCUGAGAAGAAAUCUGGGUUACUACAACGUCACCACGAUGUACAAUUUCCCUGAUAAGAUGGUACUUGUGUUCAAUAUGCUUUUCUCUUUUAUGACUUCUAGGUUCUCUUGAAUUUGCAACUGCACCACUGUUGUCACAGUAUAAAGUGAUUGGUAGAUGCAUAUUUUGUUAGCCAUAUAGCUUCUUUUGCUGCUUCACAAGCCGCUAGGUAUUCAACUUCAAUUGUGGAAUCAGCUAUAUAAGUUUUGCUUUAUGCUUCUCCAAACUACUGCUCCUCCAUUUUGAGUAAAUACUGAUCCUGAUGUAGACUUUCUAGCAUCUUUAUCAGUUUGGAAAUCUGAAUCAGUGUAUCAAGUAAGGAUCAGAUCCUUUGUACCAUACAUGAGCAUGUAGUCUUUUGUUCUUCGAAGAUAUUUUAGAAUGUUUUUAACGGCUGUCCAGUGAUCACGUCCAGGAUUGGAUUGAUACCUACUGACCAUCCCUACUGAGUAGCAAAUGUCAGGUCUAGUACAUAACAUUGCAUACAUUAAACUUCCAACAGCGGAAGCAUAGGGAAUAUUUCUCAUAUCCUCAACUUCUUGAGGUGUCUUAGGACAUUGUUCCUUUGACAAAUGAAUUCCAUAUCUGUACGGCAGCAGACCCUUUUUGGAAUUCUGCAUUUUAUAUCUAGACAACAUUUUGUCUAUGUAAGAUGCUUGAGACAUGGCUAGUGUUUUGUUCUUACGGUUUCGAACAAUUUGGAUUCCGAGAACGUAUUGUGCAUCUCCCAGAUCUUUCAUUUGAAAUUGCAUAGCUAGCCAUUUCUUGAUAUCAGUAAGAUAUCCUACGUCAUUUCCAAUAAGUAGAAUAUCAUCUACAUAUAAGACUAAAAAUGCUAUAAUGGAAUUGACGACCUUUUUGUAAACACAAGGCUCGUCAACAUUUUUUCAAAGCCAUAAGAUUUGAUCGCAGUAUCAAAUCUUAUAUUCCAGGAUCUAGAAGCUUGUUUUAAUCCAUAAAUGGAUUUUUUAAGCUUACAAACCUUUUGUUCUUGAUCUUGUUCUAUAAACCCCUCUGGUUGAGACAUAUAGAUACUCUCUUCAAGAUUACCAUUCAAAAAAGCUGUCUUGACAUCCAUCUGCCAAAUUUCAUAAUCAUAAAAAGUGGCGAUGGAUAAGAGUAUUCUAAUUGACUUUAACAUGGCAACAGGAGAGAAAGUUUCCUCAUAGUCUACUCCCUCUCUCUGGGUAUAACCCUUUGCCACAAGUCGAGCCUUGAAAGUCUGUACUUUACCGGCAUGGUCUCGUUUUCUCUUGUAGAUCCAUUUACAACCAAUAGGUUUUACGUCAUUUGGUUGAUCUACUAGAGUCCAGACAGAAUUAAAGUACAUAGACUCCAUUUCGAGGUCCAUGGCUUUGAUCCAUUGGUCACGAUCUACAUCUUUCAUUGCCUGUUUAUAGGUUAAUGGAUCCUCUAUGCCAUCGUCAGGUAUGACGACUUGAGUUUCAAUUAAACCCAAAUAGCGAUCAGGCUGAUGAACAACCCUCCCACUACGUCGAGGCUCUCUCAACUGUUGAGAAGGAUGUGAUUGUCCAGAUUUCCUAGUCUUAUCAACUACCUUAGUGGAUGAACUAGGUUUAUCUAUAGCACUUUUGGAAAUUUCUUUUAAUACUAGUUUACUACGAGGUUGAUGAUCCCUGAUGUGGUCUUCCUCUAAGAAUGUGGCAUUUGUUGACACAAAUAUUUUAUUUUCUUGAGGAUCAUAAAACAAACCACCUCUUGAUUCUUUUGGAUAACCUAUGAAAAAGCAUAAUUUUGAACGAUGUUCCAAUUUCUUUGGAUUUUGUACCAACACGUGUGCUGGACAACCCCAAAUUCUAAAAUGACGUAAACUGCCUUUACGCCCUUUCCAUAGCAUAAGGUGUUUCUGAAACACUUUUAGAGGGAACAUUAUUCAAAAUAUAAGCAGCUGUUUCUAAAGCAUAUCCCCAAAAAGAAUCUGACAUCUGAGAAAAACUCAUCAUAGAGCGAACCAUGUCUAACAAGGUCCGGUUUCUUCUUUCUGAUACACCGUUCUGUUGAGGUGUACUAGGUGCAGAGAGUUGUGACUGGAUUCCAUUUUCUAUUAAAUAGUCUCGGAAUCGUAAGUCCAUAUACUCUCCACCUCGAUCUGAUCGAAGUAUUUUUAUUGUUUUACCUAAUUCGUUUUCUACUUCAGCCUUAUAUUCUUUGAACUUUUCAAGACUAUUAGACUUAGAUGUAUUAGGUAAAUAUGACCAUACCUUGAAUAAUCAUCAAUGAAGCUAAUGAAAUAUUCAUAUCCACCUCUUUGACAUUCAUUGGUCCACAAAGGUCCGAAUGUACGAGCUCUAAGGGUCCUUUGGCUCUUAGACCUUUUCCAGUAAAAGAUCUCUUGGUCAUUUUUCCUUCAAGACAAGAUUCACAAGGAGGUAAAGUAUUAUCUUCUAACUGACUUAGAAGCCCACUUUUAACCAAUCUCCCAAUCCUAUUGAGAUUUAUGUGACCAAGUCUUAAGUGCCAUAAAUAGGCAUUAGAAGAAACUUUUUGUCUUUUAUUCUGAGUUUCAGCUGUUCUGAAUAUUUCAGUAUUUAAGACAAAAUUUGCUCUAGUUGGUCUUAACUUAUAUAAGUUGUCUUCAAGUAUAGCAGAACAAACUAGAAUACCUUUAUAGAAAACGAACGCUUCAUUAAUUUCAAAAGAUAUUCUAUACAUUUGUUCCAAAAUACAAGAGAUAGAUAUUAAAUUUCUUUUCAUUUGAGGUACAUAUAAGACAUUCUUAAGUAUGACAUAUCUAUCUCUAAAAAACAACUUUAAAUCUCCCACUGCUGAAGCUGAGACCAUCUCUCCUGUUCCAACCUUGAGAGUGAUCUCGCCUUCUGAAAGCUUUUUCCAAGAACUAUUUUCCUGAAAUGAGAAGCAAAUAUGGUUAGUGGCUCCUGAAUCUAGUAUCCAGGUAGAAUUUUCAUAUUCCACUAAACAUGUUUCUACAACUAGUAAAUCAUAUUUACCUUGUGUUUCCUUCUCUGCCUUUUUUUCUGCAAGGUAUUUUGGGCAGUUUCUUAACCAGUGCCCGUUUUGGCCACAAUGGUAACACUUACCUUUUUCUGCAGCUUUCUUACCCUUGUUCUGUUUGGGAGUCUUUCCCUUUCCCUUCUUUUUUAUUUGAGCAUUAGGUUUUGAGGGUCCAGCUUUGGUUUUAGAGGACGAUCCUCUUAUAAAUUUUCUUUUUGUGGUAGCAACAUUUGCUUCCACUUGUUUUCCUUUACCCAUAGUUAGGUUUUGGAAUCGCUGGAGUUCAUUCAGAAGGGUUGUCAAGUUAAAUUCUAUCUUGUUCAAAGACGAAUUCGUUUGGAAUGGAAUGAAGCUCUUUGAAAGAGACUCUAAGAUAAAACUAACUUGAUUAACCUCUUUGAUGGGACAACCAUUCACUUCAGCGAUGUUGAAGUGCAUCAUCACGUCCAGAACAUGUUCUCUAACAGAGGUCCCUUCCUUCAUACGCUUAGUGUAAAUGUUUUUGACUGCCUCGUGUCUUAAGGACCAUUCUGGUUGCCCAAACAUUCCCCUUAAUGAAUCCAUAAUCUCUUUAGCCGUGGCUAAGGAUUCAUGUUUCUUUGCCAAUACAUCAGACAUGCUGGCAAGAAUGUAGACACGGGCUUUUUCAUUAGCUUUUAUCCAUCGAUCAUAUGCAUCCCGACUAGUUCGGUUAGCAUUAGAGGCAGGGUUUUGAGGACAUUCCUCAGUUAAGACAAAUCUUAAAUCGUCAACCACUAGUAUUGUGUUAAGAUUUGAUUUCCAAGCCGCAUAAUUAUCGCCAUUAAGUUUUUCGGAAGCUAAAAGUUGAACUAUUGAGCUAUUCAUGCUGAAAAACAAACAUAUUUUUUUUAGGAAAAAACUAUAAUCAUAAAAAAUAUCCAAUCUAAUUUAGCAAUUACUAAUAAUGUACCCUUUCAUUAUUUGUAUUUUGCAACAAUAUUUCAAAGGUUUAGAACAACCUUCUCCGAAGGGUAGUUGAUUAUUCCUCCUUUGAACCAAGACAAUCUUGACUAGAUGCUAUCUCUAGAAUAACUGCUUUAUUCUUUAUAGCACUUAGUUAUCGCUACUUUAGUCAAGAAUAUACUAACAACUUAGUAAUUCUUGUAAGUGUUACCCGCCAUUUUCAGACUUCAUAGAUUAGAAUCAUUUAUGAAAACUAAUCUAAGAAAACCUAUCCAGAUUUGGAGUUCGCGGUGUUCCGAAUCCUAUAAUACAACCCUCCGAAGGGAACGUCGCUCCAGGGCAGACAAGUAGGCAUAUUAUAGAAAUCUCACGGUGCGACCUAAUGGAAGAGACCGUGGGAUGUGCUGCCACAAAUCCCUCACCCACUUACUAUGAACUACUUCCCCUAUACACCUUGAUUUUGAUCCAUGCAAACACUCUCCGAAGGGAGGCCGCUCCUAUGCACGGCACAAAGCCCUGCAUGGACCUCACGGUGUGAACUCUUAGGGACACUAGAGCUAAAAUACAUUAUUUUUCUCUAGUUGAAGUGUUCUAUUUUAAAGAAGAAGAAAAAAAUAGGGUAAUCCAAGCUUCAAGAUUUAUAUUUAGGCUAACUUAAAGAAAUCUUUAAGUCUAGAUAAAACGUCCAAGUAUAACCAUUAUACAGGAUUUUAACCUAUGAUGUCUAGGUGAUAAACCAUUUUUAUUACCUCACACCUCUUACGAAUGCUCAUAAAACUAGGUUAACUAGGCUCAAGAACUGAUUACGAUCUCCAGGUAGGAGGUGUUCCGUAAACCGUCAACUUAAGAACCUCCAGCCUUAGUCAUCUUAUCUGACUUGUUGACAAGAUUGAACCAGGUGAGCCUUUUGUAACCAGUUUUACAAGAUAUCGACCUAUUUCUAUGAAAAAUGGAAGAUAUGUUUAACCUAAGUGAGCAUGCAUUUAAUCUUUGUUAUUGAUUUUAAAAGUCUAAUUUAUUUUAUAACACUUAUAAAAACUUUUAGACUUAAUCAAUCAUUUUAUCAAUAUAUAACCUUAUAAAAACAAUCAAUUAAUAUGGAUUUUAAUUUAUUUAACUUUAAUUAAAUCAUAUUUAAUUUUUAAUUUAAUUAAAUCAUAUUUAAUUAAAUUAAAUCAAACAAUAAUUAAUUAAUUUGCUUAAAUCAUAUUUAAUCAAGAAUAACUUAAUUAAUUAAAUAAUCAAUUAAUCACAUUAAUUAAUUUCCAUAUUAAGACCUUUUCCAGUAAAAGAUCUCUUGGUCAUUUUUCCUUCAAGACAAGAUUCACAAGGAGGUAAAGAGUUAUCUUCUAACUGACUUAGAAGCCCACUUCUAACCAAUAUCCCAAUCCUAUUGAGAUUUAUGUGACCAAGUCUUAAGUGCCAUAAAUAGGCAUUAGAAGAAACUUUUUGUCUUUUAUUCUGAGUUUCAGCUGUUCUGAAUAUUUCAGUAUUUAAGACAAAAUUUGCUCUGGUUGGUCUUAACUUAUAUAAGUUGUCUUCAAGUAUGGCAGAACAAACUAGAAUAUCUUUAUAGAAAACGAAAGCUUCAUUAAUUUCAAAAGAUAUUCUAUACAUUUGUUCCAAAAUACAAGAGAUAGAUAUUAAAUUUCUUUUCAUUUGAGGUACAUAGAAGACAUUCUUAAGUAUGACAUAUCUAUCUCUAAAAAACAACUUUAAAUCUCCCACUGCUCUAGCUGAGACCAUCUCUCCUGUUCCAACCUUGAGAGUGAUCUCGCCUUCUGAAAGCUUUUUCCAAGAACUAUUUUCCUGAAAUGAGAAGCAAAUAUGGUUAGUGGCUCCUGAAUCUAGUAUCCAGGUACAAUUUUCAUAUUCCACUAAACAUGUUUCUACAACUAGUAAAUCAUAUUUACCUUGUGUUUCCUUCUCUGCCUUUUUUUCUGCAAGGUAUUUUGGGCAUGUUCCUAACGAGUGCCCAUUUUGGACACAAUGGUAACAGUUACCUUUUUCUGCACCUUUCUUACCCUUGUUAUGUUUGGGAGUCUUUCCCUUUCCUUUAUUUUUUAUUUGAGCAUUAGGUUUUGAGGGUCCAUCUUUGGUUUUAGAGGACGAUCCUCUUAUAAAUUUUCUUUUUGUGGUAGCAACAUUUGCUUCCACUUGUUUUCCUUUACCCAUAGUAAGGUUUUAGAAUCGUUGGAAUUCAUUCAGAAGGGUUGUCAAGUUAAAUUCUAUCUUGUUCAAAGACGCAUUCGUUUGGAAUGGAAUGAAGCUCUUCGGAAGAGACUCUAAGAUAAAAUUAACUUGAUUAAUUAAUUAAUUAAUUUUAGACUUAAUCAAUCAUUUUAUCAAUAUAUAACCUUAUAAAAACAAUCAAUUAAUAUGGAUUUUAAUUUAUUUAAAUUUAAUUAAAUCAUAUUUAAUUUUUAAUUUAAUUAAAUCAUUUUUAAUUAAAUUAAAUCAAACAAUAAUUAAUUAAUUUGAUUAAAUCAUAUUUAAUGAAGAAUAACUUAAUUAAUUAAAUAAUUAAUUAAUCAUAUUAAUUAAUUUCCAUAUUAAUCAAUUAACAUGCAUACAAUAUAAUAUAACCUUUAUAUCAUACAUUUUAAUGCAUGAACAUGUUAACCUAUGGUUGGAUUUUAAAUCUAUAUGACACUCAAAAUGCACAUACAAAUUUAAAGUAAUUUAAUCAUACAUCACAUGCAUAAAUAAAAAAAACACCCUAAAAUGGACUGAUUUUUGGCUCCUAAAUUAAGCUAAGUACUAAAUUAUUACAUAAUUAAUUUGGUGUAGUACAGAACCACUCCCAAAAACUUCGAACCGGCCUAAAAACCAAAUUUAUUGGCUUGAACCGGGCCAAUUAACUAAACAGGCCCAGGCGCACACAGGUCAGGCGCAGGCGGGCGCGCGGGCGCAGGCGGGUCGCGAAGCGGGUCAAGGCCGGGUUUUCGGGUCUGUGACCUUCUUUUCUUCAUUUUUUUUCAUUUCUCUCACCCGGUUGAACCAAUUACAGCCUAACUUCAACUCUAAUGACUUUUUUUUAUUUUAAAAAAAUUACAAACACUUUGCAACAAUAAAAAUAAGCCAUUAACAAGGCUAAUUACAAUAAUUAGAACAAAAUGUUGGAUUUUCCGACUAACUUAGUCCAAGGGUAAAAUGGUCAUUAGAUAUUUCUAGUCAAAAGUCAAACUUUGACUUUUCUUAGUCAAAAGUCAAUAUUUUGACUUUUUACCAUUUUGUCCGUCUUGACUAAUUCCAACCUCCCGAGCAUGAAUCCGCAUUCAUUUGUCCAAAAUUCAAAUCACAUUUGAAUAUAAGGGCGGUCAAAGUUUGACUUUUCAAAGUCAAAUGUCAAAAUUUUGACUCUUUACUAUUUUUGACCAAAUCCAUCAAUUCCGAGCUUCUUAGUAUGAAUCCGCAUUCAUACUUAUAGUAUGUAAAACAUAAAGCUCUAUUUCUAAUUAGAAGAUCGACGACUAUAUCACUAUAUUUGUCGGUUUCCCUUUCUUCUCCCAAUUCGAGCAAUUCGACUUAUUUUAUCACCAUGUUCUAUGUUUAAUCCAUAUGAGCUAGCAGAGGAACCUAAUGGACCUAUAGAUCAUGGGCUCCAACGAUUCAAGAUUAACUAGCUAAACUCUUUUAAACCGAGUUAAUCAACAUUCGUUAACUAACGGGUCAUUCCACUAAAGUCCCGUAGUUGCACUUCCCUAACUAUAGAUAUAUUUGUGUCCAUUUGAUAAAACCAUAAUCAGUAAGUUAAUCCUUCACAGGUUGCUCAUAACCUUGGCUGGGUCAAAAUACCGUUUUACCCCCAAGAUUACAUCUUGCUCCUUAAGUCCCACUAAUCCACUAUUGAACAAUUGGUUUAAGGUUCAACCUAUAAACUUAAUCCCUCUCGGGCCAAUGAGAGGGUGGGGCCCCUUGUUCAAGACUUGGAUUCAGUGCUGAAGAGAACAGCCUAUCUACUAACCCUAAAGCGGGUAGGAGUGAAUUCCAUCUUGUACCCUAUGUUCCCAGCUAUCCACCCGAUCUUACCCCUGAAAUGGGAGGCUUAUUGGGCCAACGAUGAAUAGCUGCCCUCACCUAUGCAGAUCUAAGGAUAAUCUCGUGCGAACAAGAGCUCAUAGUUAACUCAGGAUUAAGACUAAGUUACCUAGGUCAUCAACAAUUGAGAUAGUCAGUUUUAAACAGUAAACGGUGUUAUAACGUAAAAAAGACUAAUUCAUGGUUCAGUCUUAUGUAAACAUUUUACAUAGGAUGUCUCUACAUGAACGAUUAGGAUCACCUCAUUUGUACUACAAAGUGGGCCGCAUCCAUAGUUUCUCUAAAUAAGGCGCCCAACCUUUAUUUCAUAUAUUAUAGACUAUUUAGGUUAUAUACUCGAACUUGAUCCACGUUUAUGUUUACACAUAAAGUUCAAGUUUAUUCAAAAAUAGCCUUGGAACUUGAUUUAUUGGAUUUAAGAUUAUAAUAUUUAAUUUCUCAAUAACAGCUUUAUUGAACAGAAUAUGAUUUAUAAACUACGAGUUUUAGGAGAAAAAAUUCCAACACGGAGGCCCCGAAAAUUCACGUCUAGCUACUGGGUGGUUAGAUUCUGAGUGAUCUCAAAGUUCCUUGCCCACAAAAGCUGAACGGUGAUGCCCUAGACUCGGUUUCUUCGUUCCGUCCCAAAACGCCAAAGAAAGGCACAAUCGCCUAGAAAGGAACGACCGGACUCAGACUCGGUUUCUUGGUUCCGUUCCAAAUCGCCGAAGAAAGGCACAACGACCUAGAAAGUAACGACCGGAGUAAGAACGGGGUCGGAGGACCUGCAAGUGCAUAUCUAACCACUGGGCAGUCCGAUUCUGGGUGAUCUCGAAGUUUCUUGCCCAUAAAAGCCGAACGGUGAUGCCCUAGACUCGGUUUCUUCGUUCCAUCCCAAAACGCCGAAGAAAGGAACGACCGAACUCAGAACGGGGUCGGAGGAUGCGAAAGUUCACAUCUAACCACUGGGCGGUCCGAUUCUGAGUGAUCUAGAAGUUUCUUGCCGACAAAAGCCGAACGGUGAUGCCCCAGACUCGGUUUCUUGGUUUCGUCCCAAAACACCGAAGAAAUGCACAAUGGCCUAGAAAGGAACGACCAGACUCAGAAUGGGGUUGGAGGCCUCGAAACUUCACAUCUAACCACUGGGCGGUCCGAGUCUGAGUGAUCUCGAUGUUUCUUGCCCACAAAAGCCGAACAGUGAUGCCCCAGACUUGGUUUCUUGGUUCCAUCCCAAAAUGAUGAAGAAAGGCACAACGACCUAGAAAGGAACGACCAUACUAAAAACGGGAUCGGAGGCCUCGAAAGUUCACAUCUAACCACUGGGCGGUCCGAUUCUUAGUGAUCUCGAAGUUUCUUGCCCACAAAAGGCGAACGGUGAUGCCCCAAACUCGGUUUCUUGGUUCGGUCCCAAAAAUGCCGAAGAAAGGCACAAUAGCCUAGAAAGGAACGAUCGGACUCAGAAUGGGGUCGGAGGCCUCGAAAGUUCACAUCUAACCACUUGAAGGUCCGAUUCUGAAUGAUCUCGAAGAUUUUUGCCCACAAAAGCCGAACGGUGAUGCCCCACACCCGGUUUCUUUGUUCCGUCGCAAAACUCCCAAGAAAGGCACAAUGGCCUAGAAAGGAACGAUCGGACUCAGAACAGGGUCGGAGGCCUCAAAAGUUCACAUCUAACCACUGAGCGGUCUGAUUCUGAGUGAUCUUGAAGUUUCUUACCCACAACAGCCGAACGGUGAUGCCCAUACCCGGUUUCUUGGUUCUGUCGUUAAACGCCCAAGAAAGGCACAAUGGCCUAGAAAGCAACGACCGGACUCAGAAUGGGGUCGGAGGCUUCGAAAGUUCACAUCUAACCACUGGAUGGUCCGAUUAUGAGUGAUCUCGAAGUUUCUUGCCCACAAAAGCCGAACGGUGAUGCCCAGACUCAGUUUCUUGGUUCCGUCCCAAAACUCGGAAGAAAGGCACAACGACCUAGAAAGGAACGAUCUGACUCAGAACGGGAUCAGAGGCCUCAAAAGUUCACAUCCAACCACGUGGCAGUCUGAUUCUGAGUGAUCUCAAAGUUUCUUUCCCACAAAAGCCGAAUGGUGAUGCCCCCGACUCGGUGUCUUGGUUCGGUCCCAAAACGCCGAAGAAAGGCACAGUGGCCUAGAAAGGAACGAGCAGACUCAGAACGGGGUCGAAGGCCUCAGAAGUUCACAUCUAACCAUUGGGCGGUCUGAUUCUGAGUGAUCUCGAAGUUUCUUGCCCACAAAAGCCAAACGGAGAUUCCCAGACUCGAUUUCUUGGUUCCGCCGCAAAACUCCCAAGAAAGGCACAAUGGCCUAGAAAGCAACGACCGGACUCAGAACGGGGUCGGAGGCCUCAAAAGUUCACAUCUAACCACUAGGCGGUCUGAUUCUGAGUGAUCUCGAAGUUUCUUGCCCACAAAAGCCGAACGGUGAUGCCCCAUACCCGAUUUCUUUUGUUCUGUCGCAAAAGAACCAAGAAAGGCACAAUGGCCUAGAAACGCACGACCAACCUUAGAACGAGGUCGGAGGCCUUGAAAGUUCACAUCUAACCACUGGGCGGUCUAAUUCUGAGUGAUCUCGAAGUUUCUUGCCUACAAAUACCGAACGGUGAUGCCCCAUACCCGGUUUCUUGUUUCCGUCGCAAAACGACCAAGAAUGGCACAGUGGCCUAGAAUGCAACGACCGGACUCAGAACGGGGUCGGAGGCCUCGAAAGUUCACAUCUAACCACUGGGCGGUCAAAUUAUGAGUGAUCUUGAAGUUUCUUGUCGACAAAAGCUGAACGGUGAUGCCCUAGACUCGGUUUCUUGGUUCCGUCCCAAAACGCCAAAGAAAGGCACAAUGGCUUAGAAAGGAACGAUCGGACUUAGACAGGGGUCAGAGUCCUCGAAAGUUCACAUCUAGCCACUGGGCGGUCCGAUUCUGAGUGAUCUCAAAGUUUCUUGCCCACAAAAGGCGAACGGUGAUGCCCCAGACUCGGUUUCUUGGUUCCGUCUCAAAACGUCGAAGAAAGCCACAGUGGCCUAGAAAGGAACGACCGGACGCAGACAAGGGUCGGAGUCCUCGAAAGUUCACAUCUAGCCACUGGGCGGUCCGAUUCUGAGUGAUCUCGAAGUUGCUUGCCCACAAAAGCUGAACGAUGAUGCCCUAGACUCGGUUUGUUGGUUUCGUCUCAAAAUGCCGAAGAAAGGGACAAUGGCCUAGAAAGGAACGACCAAACUCAGAACGGGGUCCGAGGUCUCCAAAAUUCACAUCUAACCACUGGGCGGUCCGAUUCUGAGUGAUCUUAAACAUUCUUGCCCACAAAAGCCGAACGGUGAUGCCCUAGACUCGAUUUCUUGGUUUCGUCCCAAAAUGCCGAAGAAAGGCACAAUGACCUAGAAAGGAACGGCCGGACUCAGAACGGUGUCGGAGGCCUCAAAAGUUCACAUCUAACCACUGGACGGUCCGAUUCUGAGUGAUCUAAAAGUUUCUUGCCUACAAAAGCCGAACGGUGAUGGCCCAUACUCGGUUUCUUGGUUCCGUCUACAAACGCCGAAGAAAGGCACAAUGGCCUAGAAAGGAACGACCGAACUCAGAACGGGGUCCGAGGCCUCGAAAGUUCACAUCUAACCAGUGGGCGGUCCGUUUCUGAGUGAUCUCGAAGUUUCUUACCCACAACAACCGAACGGUGAUGCCCAAACUCCGUUUCUUGGUUCCGUCCCAAACCGCCAAAGAAAGGCACAAUGGCUUAGAAAGGAACGACCAGACUCAGACAGGGGUCGGAAACCUCGAAAGUUCACAUCUAGCCACUGGGCGGUUCGAUUCUUAGUGAUCUCGAAGUUUCUUACCCACAAAAGGCGAACGGUGAUGCCCUAGACUCAGUUUCUUGGUUCCGUCCCAAAACGCCGGAGAAAGGCAUAAUGGCCUAGGAAGGAAUGACCAGACUCAGAACGGAGUCGGAGGCCUCGAAGGUUCACAUCUAACCACUGGGCGGUCGUAUUCUAAGUGAUCUUGAAGUUUCUUGCCCACAAAAGGGGGAAGGUGAUGGCCCAGACUCGGUUUCUUGGUUUCGUCCCAAAACGCCGACGAAAGGCACAAUGGCCUAGAAAGGAACGACCGGACUCAGACAAGGGUCAGAGUCCUCAAAAGUUCACAUCUAAGCACUGGACGGUCUGAUUCUGAGUGAUCUCGAAGUUUCUUGCCCACAAAAGCUGAACGAUGAUGCCCUAGACUCAGUUUCUUGGUUCCGUCCCAAAACGUCGAAGAAAGGCACAAUGGCCUAGAAAGGAACGGCCGGACUCAAAACGGGGUUGGAGGCCUCGAAACUUCACAUCUAACCACUGGGCGGUCUGAUGCUGAGUGAUCUCAAAGUUUCUUGCCGACAAAAGCCGAACGGUGAUGCCCAAACUCGGUUUCUUGGUUCCGUCCCAAAACGUCAAAGAAAGGCACAAUGACCUAGAAAGGAACGACCGGACUCAGAACGGGGUCGGAGGCCUCGAAAGUUCACAUCUAACCACUGGACGGUCCGAUUUGAGUGAUCUCGAAGAGUCUUGCCCACAAAGCCGAACGGUGAUGCCCUUGACUCGGUUUCUUGGUUCCGUCCCAAUCGUUUCGACAUCUUUACUCAAUCGGAGGUAACUAUACAGACAACACAAUUCAGAACUAUAGGUGAGUCCAAUAGUAGAGAAUCCCUUACCUUAUAACCUUACUUAAGCUUAUUUUUCAAACUAAAGUGCAACGAACCGACCUGAACAUAAUUGAAGAGAAAUCAAUCACUUCUACAAACAAUUUAAUCCAUUCAAUUCACUCUAUAUGUAAAUUCCAUAACUUACCCAAAUUGUGGAGAAUCAAAUUCUAACGGAGACGGAUCGGUGCAACAAAUAACCGAACAAUUCAAAUCUAAACAUACAUGGCGUGACGGAACCGGAGUGACUCGGUCUAACGGUGAUGCGACGAUAGGACAAAAUUUGAUUGACGUUCGGUGUAGGUGGAAGACGAUGAUGAAGUUGAUUGGAGAAUGAAAAGAGAAGGAAGAAAAGAGACGGUGGUGUGGCCGUAGGUUGAAGAGGAAGAGAAAGGAAGAAGAUGAAUAGGAAAAGAGAAAAAAUAAGAUUAAAUAUUAUAAAUAUAUAUAUAUAUAUAUAUGAAAUACAAAAAUAAAAGUAGAAUAACGAUGAAAUUUUGAAAAAUGAAAAUUUGGAUAAAGUAAAAUUUGAAAAUAAAGAUUUGAUACAAAUCCAAUAUUUGGAGGUAAAAAAAGUGUGUUAAGAUAAUGUAGGAGGAAAUCAAUAUUUAUGCUAAAAUUUUGCAUAUUUCAAAAUUAGUUACAGUUUAACUAAAAAGCAGGCGAGGAGAUUUUAGGGUUAAUGAAAAUUCAAAACACGUGAAAUGCUCAUGUUUGCUAUUCUUCUAAUAAAAUUUUGCUAUUUUCUCAAAUGAGUGUAAUCCAACAAAAUGAAGUUGUGUGUGUGUGAACAAAAAUGAGGUAAAUAGCUUUGAUGAUGAUGGCAAAUGGGUAAAGAAAAUCUUAUCUUAUUCUUCACUUUUCAUUUAAUUGACAAAAAGUAACCAACCAUAUGAAGGGAAAAACAAAAUGCUCUCUCAGUUACUUUACUCAGUUCUUAGUUCUUUGUGUGGGAGAUAUUUGAAAUGGAGAUGAAGAUCAAAAUGAAAGAGAGAUUAUGCAUACACUGUGAGAAGCACACAGAAAAAUUGAAAAUAAAUUGAGAAGAAGUGAGAGAUAAGCCUGAGGGAGAAAUAUUCAUGUAACGCCCCAAACUUGAAGGCAAAUUAUUUUGAGAGAAUUAUUUCGAUUUGUUCAAGAUUUUUUUUUUAAAAUAUGUUGAAGGGGAGAAAGAAGAUUUGAAAAUGUAUUAAUAUAAUUAAAUAUGUAUAUGUAUUUAAUUAUAUUUUUAUUAUUAUAUUUAUUUUACAUUUUAUUAAAUAAAAGAAAAGAAAAUGAAAAUUUUAAAUAUAUAUAUAUAUAUUUAUUUUAUAUUUUUUAUUAUAAUUAUUUUAUAUAUUUUUUUAAAUAAAAAGAAAAGAAAAUGAAAAUUUCUUUUUUCCCUUUUCUUCUUCCGCCCAGCGCCGCGACCCUCCCUUCCGUUCUCCAUCUCCGUUCGCGAAGCAACCUUGCAGCAGUCGUCCCGCGUGACUCUCCGUUCGUCUGUUUCCGUCUCCAUUCACCGAAGCCGAACCCAACCGCCACCCUCUCUUUUCUCCUUCGGAUUGAAACCGCCGCGCCCAUCCACCUGUAACUGUCGUGCCUCCCCGCUCACAACCGUCGUCCAGAUCUGCAUCGCCGAGCCGUCCAGGUCCUCGCUGCCGCUCGUGCUUCACCCUUGCAGUUCGCAGUAACCCAGAUCCGUCGCUGCAACCGUCGGCCGGUUCGUGAAGCCCUGCCGCGCAACCUCUGUUUCCAGCCGUCGCCCAUUUCGUUCUCCUCUGUUUUCUGCACUGCCACGCGACUCUCCGACCGCGUCUGUCUUCACCUCCGUGAAGUCGUCGAUGCAUACAUCUUGUGAAGCCCGGUCGCCGCGUCAGAUCGUCGGUCGAUUUUGAGGCAGCCGCCACGUCUCCUUUGGCUGACCGCUGACCGACCCACACUUAGGAUUUUUGCUACGAGUUCGAUAGUCGUGCGUUGAGGUGUUGGGAGUAACGUUGGGCUCCCUUAAAUUCACAACCAAUAUAUGAAUUGUUGAGGGUUCAGUUCGCCAAUACUUCAGUGAGUUGGAACUUACGUUGAGGAAAGUAAGUGAGAUAUGUAUCUUGAAAGUAAUCGAAUUUUUGGACUAAGGUACCUUUCGAUCUCUAAAUCAAUAAAUAAUUUUAUGUUCAAACAUAAGUUGGACAACCUUUGUUAAAGAACUGCUUCCCAAAACAAAUAGCAUUAACCACCCUUUUUUAAUUCAACACAUGGGAAUAGAGAUCGAAUCUCUAAUUUUUUGGACUAAGGUACCUUUCCUAAACUUGUCGAAUUCUAUUUUCUACACCAACUUUAAUUCGACCUCCCAUGAGUUCUCUUCUUCUAAGGAUUAACUUUUCUCUAAGGCUCUGCACUCUACUAAAAAGCCUUGAUCUUCUUCCCCCCAAUGUUUUCGUAAACUUCUUAAGACAGACCUUGGCCUUGGUUAGGCUCGGAUCUCCUUGGAUUAUCACCUUCUUCCCCUGAUAUGUAAAUGUUAACAUCAGAUUCUUCCAAUUCACUCCAGUCGUUCCCAAGGAAUACAAUCACUGCAUUCCAAGUAUGGCAACUACCCCUCCCAACUUCAAGGAUAAAAACUCAUUCACUACCUUCUAGUCUCCCAGCAUUAACUCAACAUCUUCACAAAUUACCUUCCCUUUGACUACAGUGCCCGAGCCCAAAAUGACUCCAUAAUUUGACGUUUCUCUUGUACUCAGUUACAACUCUUUCACUAUUUUUUUCUGAAAUGAAAUUGCGUGUGACUCCACAAUCAAUUAGUAUUAUAGCCACCUUCCCUUGUAUCAUCUCUUUUACCUUCAUUUUCCCUAGGUUGGAUAAUCCCACCACAUAAUUAAUGGAUAAUUCCACCAUCAUUUGACUCUCCUCUACGAUCUCAGGGGCAUUCAAUUCUUUCUGAUCAAUUCCUCCUUCUUCAAUAAUUUCAUACUCCUCGCCUUCUUCCUUCACAACAAUCAUUCACAAUUCUCUUUGAUCUUUCAUCUUGCAUUUGUGGUCAUGAGAAUAUUUCUCAUUACAGCGAAAGCACAAUCCCUUCUUUCUAGAUUGAAAUUCAGCAUCAAAUAAGCGCUUCGUCUGUCCCUCUUUCCGUACUUCCUCUUUUGUUGUUCCUCGUAGAGUAAUAGUUCUCAUCGGCCAAUUCAUUCCUCCUUUACUUUCUUCUGUAUUCGCAAUGGUAUUAGCCUUGGUGCUAUUAUGGGAGUUUAUCACCUUUUCUCCAGAAUAUCCAAAAAGAUUUGCUUCCUGACGUAUAUCUUCCUUGUUCUCUACCUUUUGCGCAAUUCGUAUCAUUUGUGCUAAUCCCUUCGACUCACAUAAAUCCAUCUCCGCCUAGAUCCACAGUUUCAAUCCCGACAUAAAUGUCUCUUUUACCACCUUCUCUAAUAGGUCCGACAAAGGAGCUACGCACUUAUCGAAUAAAUUUUGAUAUUCCUCUAUCGUUGUCUUUUGUUGAAUUUGCAAGAACCUUACAUACAACGAUUCCUCCCUAACGGAUCGAAAUCGCACAAUAAUCUUUCCUUCAUAUUCACCCAAUCUACAAAGUUCUCUCGUUCUUCUUGAGAACGGUAAAAGUUCAAUGCUAGUCCCUCAAAACUAAUAGUGGAUACAGUCAUUUUCUCAAAUUCAGUAAGUUUAUGAAUGUUCAAAUACCUCUCUACGCAAAACAGCCAAGAAUCGGGAUCAUCUCCAUUGAAUAUCGACAUCUCCACCUUCUUAAACUUAUUGCAGUCACUAUUACUUUCAUCAUCUAUUUUCUUUCCUUCCUUCCCUGUUUCGUUCUCCCAUCUUGGUCACCCUUCGCCUUCGUCCACAUUCUUCGUCGAUGAAUUGUGCAUUGUUGUCGAUUCCAUAAUUCGUAACAUCAUCUGAUUCUACCUCUCCAUAUUUUUGGAUAUUUUGGCCAACGUCUUUUCGAUCACCAGUAUCUUACUAAUCUCUUUCUUAAUGUCUUGUAUUUCCUGGUCAAACGUCUCCAUCUCUUCGAUCCGAGUCUGAACCAUUUGCAUUCUUCUUGCCCGAGAUCAAUGCUCUGAUACCAAUUUGAUGGAAACCACUCUUGGAAUGAAAUUGCUACUAUAUUAUUAAUGAUAGAAUAGGAAUGAAAUCCUAAUUACAUUAUGAAAUCCCACUCCUGUUAUCCUCUCUCUCAAGGAAGAAUAGAAAUUCACUUUCUCAAACAAAACCUAACUUUCCCGCCCACGAUUACUUUUUAUUUAUACUAACAAUAAGGUAACUAACCCUCACAUGCUAUUCAUGUGCACGUGAUAUAUUUUUUUUAAUUUCUUUGUCCCUCUUCCGCUGUACAGAUGUAAUAUAGGGGGUCUAUCAGAUUCCUCCUCUUUUCAAAGCCUCCAAUCAAACUCAAUGCUAAGUUUGACUGCUCCCUUCAGAGUGACGACCCUCAUUUUCCCCCUUCCGUGGUUUGGGGAGGAUUCCUCCUCUUUUUAAAGCCCUCAAUCAAACUUGAUGCUAUGUUUAGAACGCUAAGAAUAGGUGGUCUAGUUUUGGUUAGGCCAAAAGUGAAAUUUUCCCCCAAAAGCACUAAUAGUUAGGGAACUCAACACAUUCUACUUGACUUAAUCGACUUGACUCUCUAAUUUUUAUGAGCUUUUUUCAAUGCAUAUUGCAUAUGUUUUUUUUAUAGUUGUUGAUUGUCUCACAUUUUUAUGGUUUGCAUUUACAAGCCUCUUUUUUCUUUCUUUGGUAUGAAAUAUGGUAAUAGGCCUUGCUAGAACCGGUGGGGUAAUCUCUCUAUGGUUCUACACUUAGUUUCAAAGUUUGAUUACUCCCUUCGAAGUGACAACAAGCCUCGUUUUCCCCUAUUGUGGAUCAGAGAGGAUUCCUCCUCUUUUCAAAGCCCUCAAUCAAACUCAAUGCUAAGUUUAACUGCUCCAUUCGAAGUGACAACAAGCCUUGUUUUCCCCUAUUGUGGAUCAGAGAGAAUUCCUCCUCUUUUCAAAGCCCUCAAUCAAACUCAAUUAGAGUAAAAAAGGAAAAAUUUUCAUCUCGGGCGCGUGUACCUCACACGCGUCUCUCUAGGAUUUCCAAGUUCUCUCACUCGGGUGGUGAAGGAGGCGAACGGCUGGUGAGUGCUGCGGUCAGCAAGGGAUCAAAUUCGAAGGUAAUUCGUUCGGUUUUGGCAGAUUGAAUGUGAAAACUAAUGUCAUUUGGUAUCCAUUUCGAAAUUGAUUACAAUUGAUCAAUUGAACCAUUACGAAUGAUAUUCGUUUUGAUUCGGGAGAAUUAACGUCUGUCUAGAAAUUGUUUAAAUCGAUUUCCAAGCUGAAUUGAUUUGAACUAUCUUGAAAGUAUUGCGUGUGGUACGAAUCGAUUUAUUGGCUAUCAGUUCUGGGUUUGAAGACCGUGAUUUAAUUCACUCGCUGAAGGGAUCUCGCAUGAAUCUCCUCGGUUGAAUUUCAAUUCUUUUUUAGUUCAUUCGUGUUCCCAGAUUGGGCCGAAAAGAUCAUCACGGGUGUUGGGUUGAUGUCCUAAGCAUGAAACGAUGAAGAAAUUAUCCAGUGACAUUGAGGAGGUGAAGAAACGUGUGAUGUCAAGCCUUCAACGCGUACAUGAUAUGGCGGCGAACGACCGAAGGGCGGCGACUGCAAAGGCUGACCUAAUUUCUGUGAGGAAGAAAUGGUCGGACAUGAGUGGACCCGAACCGGUUUACGUGAACCGUGAAACAUAUAAAAACUGAAAUACAGGAAAUGGACCGAGCGGAGAUGGUCCCAUGAAGAUUGUUGGCCCAAAGGCGUGUGGGCCGAUUGUUUUGAAUGAAAACGUGAUGAAGCCCAGUGAGCCGGUAAAGGGGCUGAAGCCGAAUGGUGUGGACACAUUUACGAAUGGAAUUGGUCAUGGAUUUCUGGUUGAUGGGCCAUCGUUGAAUGAUGGGCCGUCCAUCUCACACGAAACUGGGAUCUCACAGAAGGAGUGCUUACCUGCUGGUGCUUCAAGUGUUCAGCAUGUUGGGCAAAUUGCAACAGCCGAAGGAUAUGGACCUGGGCUGGAUGCUAUUGCAAGUGCCCCAAAGAUUGGGCCGGUUGAUGGGCAUUUGAAUGAUGGGCCAGCCAUUAGAGAAUCGUUUGGUAUUAAUUCAAAUGGUGGGCCGCCUGUUUCGAUUCGUGGGCAUGAGGUGCAGAAAUCUAAUAAUUCUGGAGGUGCAGGCAAAAUUCAUGGGCUUCCUUAUUUGGCUCAACAAGAGGUUUCUCUAUGACCUAUACACCUCUGACUACCGUGGGAGAGAAAAUUGUGGUGACCCCGUUUGAAGAAGUUAUUAGUCAAGGAGUUAGAGUGUGGGAGAACUCCCUCGUCAGCCAAUUAAUUGAUGCAAAAUUGCUGUAUCUAGUCAUCUAUCGUCUUAUAGAGAAGAUUUGGGGUAGAAUUGAAAUGCCAACAAUUACUCUGAUGGAGAAUGGGCUCAUCUGCUUUCAAUUCAAACAUCUGAAGUCGAUAGAGUGGAUCUUAUCCCGUGGCCCAUGGCACCUUGGAGGCAAACCUAUGCUCCUCCGCAAAUGGACUCCAGGUAUAGUUCCUGAAUCCUUUGUCUUUGAUUCAGUUCAUGUUUUGAUAAAGUUAGGGAGGAUUCCGUUGGAGCUAUGGACGGAUGCUGGUUUGGCUGUGGUAGCGAGUGCAAUAGGAAAACCUCUUUCAGUUGAUCUUGCUACUAAAGAGAGGCGUCGUCUUUCUUAUGCCCGUAUAUGUGUGGAAUUGAAUGUGGACAGUAUUAUGCCUGCCGAAGUAACAGUCAACCUUAGAGGAGAGGAAUUUAUUGUAACUGUCACUUAUGAGUGGAAACCGAAAAAAUGUAACUUGUGUCGAUCUUUUGGACACUCGCAGAACACCUGCCCUAAGAAAAGAGGCAAUGAAGAUAGUAAAAAGGAAGCUGCAAGUAAAGAGGUUCCUGUUAAAGAGGUUGUUCCUACUAAAGAGGUGGUUCCAAUUUGUGGGGAGUAUGAAGAUGUUGUGUUGGAAUCCUUCCAACACAUGGAAGAAGGAGAAAUUAUUACCCAUAAACUGCCUGAAAAGGUGGAGGUAAAUUGGGAGGAAUUUACCCCAGUUGACAGGAAAAAUAGGGGAAUGAUCUCUAUUUGGGACAGAGGGAAAAGGGCGGAAGUGAGUAUCACUAACUCCUUUAACAACCUCAUGGAGGUGGAUAAAGGAGAUAAAUGGCCUUUAUCUAUAGUGGAUGCCUCCCCUCCUCCCUUACGAGUAGAUGACUCUUCUAUGGUCCUUUUGAGUACUGCAGGUGAUGUAAUUCCUAUGGGAGAGGCGGCUCCCAUACGACCUCAUGGUUAGUUGGUGUACGUGGAACGUGCGGGGCCUUAAUAGCCCUAUAAAGUGUAGAGCGGUGAAGGACUUCUUAGCUGUGUCUACGGUGGGUUUCUGUUGCAUCCUGGAGACUAGAGUUCGAGAGGAGAACUUUGUCUCGAUAUCUAGAAGAUUUGUGAUUCGUGGGGGUUCAUUAGUAACUACAGCGAUAGUGGAGCAGGUCGAAUGUGGAUUAUGUGGAAACGUAACAGUUUUGUGUUCACGACUAACGAGGUUGUCGACCAGUUUAUUUUUGGUGUAAUAACAGAUUUGAUCUCUGGGGAGAAGGUAGAGGUUCUGUGUGUGUAUGCCUAUAAUAGUAACAUCGAGAGACGUGUUUUAUGGAGGCAAAUGGCUGAGAUCUCUGCUGGUUGGAGAGGACCGGGUAUGGUCUUGGGUGAUUUUAACACCAUCAGACUCCAGUCUGAAGCAUUCGGGGGUGCUCCGAACGUGGGGGAUAUGGAGGAGUUUGACAUGGCUAUUCGAGAGGCGGACCUUGUUGAACACGCGGUCCAGGGGAACUGGUUUACUUGGACUAGUAAGAUACAUGGGUCGGGUUUGAUGAAGAGACUUGAUCGUAUCCUAGUGAAUGAUGAGGGGCUUAGUACAUGGCCUAACAUGAGGGUUAACGUCCUCCCGUGGGGUAUUUCUGAUCAUUCUCCCAUACUUGUCUAUCCCAGUAAUCAGCGAAGCCAACAAGUGGUCUCUUUUCGUUUCUUUAACCAUUGGGUUCAAGAAGCGUCCUUUAUGGAUGUUGUGUCCUCUGCUUGGACCAAAGAUACUAGAGUUUCUCCAAUUGUGAAUAUUGUGAGGAACUUAAGAAAUCUCAAGUCGAUUCUUCGCAGACAUUUUGGUAGGCAUAUCCGGACCAUCAGUGAGGAUGUUCGUCUUGCCAAUGAUACCAUGGACCGAGCUGAAAGAGAGAUGGAGACGAACUCUCUGUCGGAGGAGGCGAGUAAUCACGCGAGCUUAGCCACGGUAAACUUUUGGAAAGCGGUUAGAGUGGAGGAAGCCGCUAUGCGUCAGAAGUCGCGAACCAGAUGGUUGAAGCUAGAUGACCAGAAUACUGCCUUUUUUCAUCGAUCUGUUCGAUCAAGGCAGAGCAGCAAUGCUUUGAGAUCAGUUAUUGACCCAGAUGGAAAUCGGUUGACUAACCAUGAUCAGGUGACUCAGGUGGUAGUGAAUUAUUUCAAAGAUAGUCUGGGUUCUCAGAAUAUUAGCUAUGGAGAGCUCUCUACUAGUAUUGAGGAGAUUGUUCAGUUUAGAUGGACUGAGGAGUGUUGUCAGGCCCUCCAGUCGCCUAUUGGCAGGGAGGAAGUGAGACGUGUUCUGUUCUCCAUGGAUGGUGGAAAGGCUCCAGGCCCUGAUGGGUAUUCAGUUGGCUUCUUCAAAGGAGCUUGGACGGUGGUUGGAGAGGGUUUCUGUGAUGUCGUCUUACACUUCUUUGAGACCAAUUACUUCCCUCAAGGGUGAAUACGACUGCUAUUACACUUAUUCCUAAAAGGAAUGGUGCUGAUCGAUUGGAGGAUUUCAGCCCUAUAUCUUGUUGCAGCGUUAUUUAUAAGUGCAUUUCAAGAAUAUUGGCAGAUAGGCUUCGUGUGUGGCUUCCUUCUUUUGUUAGUGGAAAUCAGCCAGCUUUCAUCCCUGGGAGGAGUAUUAUUGACAAUAUUCUUCUUUGUCAGGAGCUUGUAGGGGCAUACCAUUUGCACACAGGAAAACCUCGGUGCACUAUGAAGGUUGACCUCCAAAAAGCUUAUGAUUAUGUUAAUUGGGAUUUCCUCUUUGGCCUGCUGAUUGCCAUAGGUACGCCUUUAAGAUUUGUGAGUUGGGUUCGAGCGUGUGUGACCUCUCUGAUGUUCUCCAUUAUGAUUAAUGGAUCGUUGGAAGGUUUUUUCCAUGGGAGGAAAGGACUUAGACAAGGUGACCUUUUAUCCCCGUUCUUAUUUGUGAUGGUCAUGGAGGUGCUUUCUCGCAUGUUGAACAGCCUACCUCAGAAUUUUCAAUUCCACUAGUUUUGUGAGAAGGUCAGAUUAACUCAUCUUACUUUUGUAGAUGACCUGAUGAUCUUUUGUACUGCUGAUAAUCAUUCUAUGAGUUUCAUAAAAGAGACUAUUAAGAGGUUUGGUGAGCUUUCGGGACUGUUUGCUAAUCUUGCUAAAAGCUUAAUUUUUCUUGUGGGGGUUAAUAGUUCGAAAGCCUCUCGGCUUGCUGCUAACAUGGGUUUUUCCAUUGGUCAUCUCCCUGUUCGUUAUCUUGGGCUUCCUCUCCUCUCUAGAAGAUUGCGGAGCUCUGAUUGUGAUCCCCUUAUUCAGCGUAUUACCAGUCGUAUUCGGUCUUGGUCUGCUAGAGUGUUAUCUUUUGCAGGUAGACUUCAGCUUGUUCGCUCAGUCCUUAGGAGCCUUCAGGUUUAUUGGGCUAGUGUGUUCAUGCUUCCUAUGAAAGUCCACAGAGACGUUGAUAAGAUCUUGAGGGCUUAUUUGUGGAGAGGUAACGAGGAGGGAAGAGGUGGUGCUAAAGUUGCCUGGGAUGAGGUUUGUCUUCCUUUUGAUGAAGGAGGUCUUGAUAUUCGCGAUGGAUCUUCUUGGAAUAUAGCAAGCACGUUGAAGAUAUUAUGGUUGCUACUUGUUAAAUCUGGUAGUUUAUGGGUUGCUUGGGUGGAAUCUUAUAUCCUUAAAGGGAGAUCGCUCUUGGAGAUCGAUGCUGGGGUGAGUCGAUCUUGGUGCUUUAGGGAAAUCUUGCGUAAGCGGGAUAUCCUUAAAGAUCAUGUUAAGAUGGAGGUGGGCAAUGGAAGGAAGUGUAGAGUGUGGUUGGUUCCAUGGAUUCAGGGUGGGCCGAUUAUCCAGCAGUUUGGGGAGAGGGUGAUCUAUGAUGCAGGUAGUCGGUGGGAUGCGAGGCUGGUGGAUUUCAUGGGUCGGGAUGGUGAUUGAAGGUGGCCGCUUGUUUCUUUGGAUUUGAUGGACAUUUGGGAUAGGGUUCAGGGAGUGAGGCCGAGUCCGAGUGUUGAGGAUAGGUGGGUCUGGGUGCCGGGGAGUCAUGAUAGUUUUUUAUCACCAGUGCGUGGGAGACUAUUCGUCCUCAUAGUAGUAGGGUUGGUUGGUCGGGUUUACUAUGGGGUGGGGGAAAUAUUCCUAAGCACUCCUUUUGUGCUUGGUUGGCCAUCAGGGAUAGGUUGGGUACUAGAGAUAGGUUAAGUCGGUGGGAUAGGUCGAUUCCUUUAUCGCGUUUGCUUUGUGGAGGGAACUAUGAGUCUCGUGAUCAUUUGUUUUUUUCUUGUCAUUUUGGGUGGGAGGUUUGGUCGAGGAUCCUUUUGCUUAUGUCAUCUUCUCAUAGAAUCGGUUAUUGGGAAGAGUGUGAGGAGAAAACUGUGGCGCCUUCUCUGGUGUGCUACAAUUUAUUUCAUUUGGCAGGAGCGAAAUCAUCGUCUUCAUGGAGUUGCUAUUCGGGAGCCUAUGGUUGUAUUCCAGCUCAUUCGGUCGUGUAUUAAAGCGCGUGCUGCUUCUUGGUCGGAUGGUGUUCAUGGUCUUGUUUAAUGUUCUUUUCGUUUGCUUGUCCCCGGGCUGUGGGGUUUCUCUUCUCUUUAUUAACUUUGUUGUCUUUCUCUCUUCUUCUUUUCCUUUUAAUGUUUGGAACACUAGUUGGUUUCUUUUGGUUUUAGUUCUUGUUCCCGAGAUGUGGGGUUGUUUUGGGUACUUAUGGGUUGUUUUGUCUAACUACUUGUUCUAUGAGUGUUGUUCGCUCUUUUGUCUUGACCUUAGGCUGUGAGGUCCACCUUGUUGUUGUAUAAUAUUAUCAUUACCUUUUCAAAAAAAAAAAUCAAACUCAAUGCUAAGUUUGACUGCUCCCUUCGAAGUGACAACAAGCCUUGUUUUUGCCCUACUGUGGAUCGAGGAGGAUUCCUCCUCUUUUCAAAGCCCUCAAUCAAACUUGACGUUAUGUUUAAAACACUAAAAAUAGAUGGUCUAGUUUUGGUUAGGCCAAAAGCGAUGUUUUCCCCCAAAAGCUCUAAUAGCUAGGGAACUCAACAUGUUCUACUUGACCUAACCGACUUGAGUCUGUAUUUUUUAUGAGCUUUUUUUAAUGCAUAUUGCAUAUGUUUUUUUUUAUAAUUGUUGAUUGUCUCACUUUUUUAUGGUCUGCAUUUACGAGCCUCUUUUCUUUCUUUGUUAUGAACUGCGGUAACUAGGCAUUGCUAGAACCGAUGGGGUAACAUUUCUAUGGUUCUACACUUAGUUUCUAAGUGUGAUUGCUCACCUCUAAUUUUCAAAACACUUAAUUUCUAAGCACAUACAAUGCUCACCUAGAAAAAAAUGAAAAUUGUUGUAGUUAAGAUCAAAACUAAAUAAUUAUGAAAUAAGACAUAAGAGAUUUGAUUUUAACAACCUUCCCGUUGUACUUGGGAUCCACUCUGGCUUUGUGCUGGAAAAUUGGUUUGGAGCUAAUCGUAAGCUUUCGGUUGCUCUUCUAAAACCUUUAGAUACUCUUCAAAGCUAUAAGCUUUGCUUCCUGACGAAGAAUCUUCUACUAUUACAAUACAUAAGAAAAUUCUAUUUCAUAAACCCUGUAUCAUAAUUGAGGCUGAUAGAAUGAUUAUUCUAUAACCCUACCGAUAGUUUCAUUCUUAACAUUCAUAAACACGAUGCAUGGCAGCUAUCCAAUUCUAUUUCAUGUUCUCGAGAAUGGCUCGGUUUAACAAUAAUGUUAAUUUUUGUUUUCUAUUUUAAAAUAAUAACGCUGCUUACUAAUCUUUUUUUUUCCAUUUGGCAUUCUACUUUUUCUACUCAGCUUUCUUUCCCUAGUGAUAACAAAUAAUACGGGUGAUAAAAAACUUAAUCACUCACUUGUUUCAGCCACUGAAAGCCCUUCUGCUUUAGAAAUAGAAGAUGGGUUUGAGUAGGUAGAUUUACUUGCAUUGUAUGUGCUGUUCAUUGAACUCUCAAUUUCAUCGAGACCAAUUUCUCACUCAAACAUGGUCUUGCAUUCUCUAGAAACGUCCUACAAACAAAAAUGAAGAACAAAAAACUACAAUAAGGUCUAUGAAAAAGUUACAAAGGAAAAUCUCAAAAACUAAUAUGUAAGUCAUAACAACCUUAAGUCUUCUUAUCGUGGGUUAAAAUGCACGUAAGGUUUUUCCAAGAGUCCGAGCAACUAGCAUGUAAAUAAGUUAAGUCAACUAAAUUUGCUAUAAAUUUACUCGUAUUAACAUUAUCAUUGUUAUAGACUUGACAACUUCAAAUUUAUCAAUAUAAAAUAUGCUUUAACAAAACGUACCUUGAGGUUCCUCCAACCUUAUUAAAAAAGCAAAUAAUCCAACAAUUUAACAAAUUUAUAGUGCAUAUUAUGUAUAUCAAUUGAUCACAACAAAAUAAGAUCGAACAAAUACCCAUGAGUAAUAUUUAGCCACCAAAUGAAUAAUGAUGAAAACCUGAAAACAAAACCGAGAAAAAAAAAGAAACAAUUCAUCAAUAAAACAAAUUUAGGGGACUAAAAAGUUGUUUACCUUAUUACACACUUCAAAAUAUUAAGAAAAGUGGAGGGAAAAAACCAACCAAUAAUCAACAAAUAAACUUCAACACAAAUAGCCAUAAAUUUUCUUCUUUAAAGGUAUCACAAAUAAGUCCAUCAGUAAUAACAAAAUAAAAAAGGGCAAUGUGCAAUUGAAUUCUGCAGUCGUAAAGCUAUGCUAAAGGCAGUAUGAAAUCAAACUUGAGCACUAACAAGAAAAUUUGCAAAACAAAAAUUACUAGACAUCAUUAACUAAAGUACCAGCACAACAAUGAAUGUGUAACCUCCGCAAGAGCAAACCCGAAUGGAGAAGAACAUGAAGAAAUAUAUAAAUAGAAGAAACAUAAAAGACAAACAUGAAACACAUGGAAAUAUACAAAGGGGAUAAAUAAAAGUACAAUUAUAAAGUGAUGAAGCACAAAUAUAGGUAUCAACAGAACCAGAAUACAAGUCUUACCCUAUCUCGACUGUCGAGGAGUGUUAACCAACCGUCGGAAGGUUGGUUUAUUUUUUAGAAAAAAUUAAUGUUGUCUGAAUUCUUUUCCAAGCCACUAACCAGCCCCUCCUUAUCUAUGAUCGGCGAUCAACUCCUCAACCUCUAAUUACAUUUAAAAGAGUGAUGCGAACAUUGUGUGAAAUCCCAAACCUUUGAUGGAUCCCACCAUCACUCUCUUUCUAUCCCCUUCAAAACCUCAUUAUUUUCAAGAGAGGCCUCAAAGCUUCUUCCAAUUAACAUAAAAGAAGAAUGAAAGAGAAGGAGAGAAAGGGAAAGUGGUUCAAAAGCUAUGGAAAAAAAAGUAAAAGAAAAUGGUCUACUCAUUGGCACAUCUUACACAGAUGAUAAUGUUAGGGCAAGGCAAUGAGAGACAGAAUGCUUUUGGAGCCUUCUCCUCUACUUUCGAAGAUUUUAACAAACUAAAAUAUGCAAAUGUUACAAGAAAGAUCUUUGGAGAUUUGAAAUAAUCCAAAAUAAAGAAAAAGGAAAACCCCAAUAUGUACAAAUUUCAUAAUCUAAAACUUGAAAAGUGAUUGAAUGAUGAGAUAUGUUUGUACAAUCAAUUAUAGAGACAGUGAAACAUUAAAACAAAAAUGAAACGUACCAAGAUAAAAAGAAUAGCAACUAGUAUUAUGACCUUUGUAUGUCUUCAAAAUACAAACAUCAAAAUGAAUCAAGAGAUCUACCACACAAAUACUGGUAUCAACACAAAUAAAGCAAUUGUUUUAGUAACAAUAUUUGAGUACAAUUAAACUAAGCAUGCUAUUGUCCUUGACAAAUUUACAUUCUUCUAAUCGAACAAAAUCUGACCUUUAAAUAAUGAUAGAAACUGAAGAUGAAAGCAAGUUUAGCUACAACUUCAGACCGUGAUAUAUAUGAUGGAACCUAUAAAAAAAAAGAAGAGUACCUAACUAUAUAUACACAGAGGAGAUCUGAUGCUUUCUAGCACAUCAGAGGCUCAAUCAAUUUAUAUUUAAUUGAAAAACAAUCCCUAUAUUUUAAUGCAUACACAUUGAAUAGCCCCUGUUUCAAUCCAAUUUACAAAACUACCUCCAUAAAAUUACAUAAUGGGGGAAGUUCGACCGGAUGCACUGUGCUUUACCAGAACCACAUGAAAUUAUUGGAACAUAGUUCAUUCAAUUAACUUUCUAUUCAAUAAUUGAAACAAAUGGAAAGAGGAUAAUUGAAUAUUAAAUAAAGAUGGAAUUAAUUGGGAACUCACGGAGUAAUGCGAUUUGUUCGGGGGCUCACCACUGGAGUUGGAAGAGAGACAAGGAUUAGAAAGGAAAGGAAGAGGAGCGUCUGAUAAUCCAGCGGAUUCUUUGAUGAGUGGAGUACUAGUAGUAGUAGUGGAGGUUCCAAGGACAUUGAAGUCAAUCCGGUGAGACUGAGGGAAUCCAGAAGGUUGAGGUUGAAGAGAGUAGAAAUUGCAACCAAAAUCGGUGACGAUGGUGGAAUCGAAAUUGCGAGGGAAGAAGAAAAGAGCAUCACAAGUCGAAGUAGAGGAGGAAUCAACACUGGAGAAAGGAGUAAGAUGAGGAGAACCUGCCAUUAAUGGAAGAGGGAGGAAGUGAGAGAGAAAGGAGAGGGAAUUAAUUAAUUAAAGAGAAUUAGGGUUUGAGAAGAGAAAGGGAAAAUGGAGUGUACGAACAAAGAAAAAGAAGAAGAAAUGGAAAGGACGCGCUAAGAGAAGAAGAUGGAGAUGGAUCGGUGAAAUGGGUAUGAUAGGGUUUCUUCCUUAAAGAAACGGAAAUUGAGAGAUAGGCCUUAGGGUUUUGAGAAGAGAAAGGAAAAAUGGAGUGUACGAAGAAAUGGAAAGGACGCACUAAGAGAAGAAGAUGGAGAUUGGAUCCGCGACUAAGAGAAGAAGAUUGGAGACUAAGAGAGAAGAUUCAGAUGGAUCCGCGAAAUGGGUAUGAUAGGGUUUCUUCCUUACAGAAACGGAAAUUGAGAGAUAGGCCAAAGAAGACAAGAGAGCAAGAGAGAAGGGGGAGAGAGGAGGAGAGGGAGAGGGAGACUUGGCCGUUAGAGAAGAGGAGAAAGAAACUUUAAAUGAGAGAGACUGUACAUGUAGGGUUUUUAUUAGAUUUUUUUUUUUUUUUUGAAAUCUUGCUUAAUUGGAUUUAGAGAAUUUUGUGUAUUCGGUUCACCGACUCGUAUUAGCUGUCCAUUGGUCCAUUGUUUUGUCCUUUUUUUUUCAACAAACUAAAUGUUUUAAGCCAUUUACAAAUUAGAUUUCGAUAAAUCGAUAAUCAUAUUUUUUACAAUAUAGGACUAAAAAAGAUAACUAUAUAUAUAUAUAUAUACAUACAACAGUAUUUAGUUAAAUUACAAAAAAAAAUUCUUUUGAAUUUUGUAGUUUGUGUAAAAAAAUUACCUUAAACUUUGAAAUGUUAAAAAAAAUUGUUUUGAACUUUUAAAAAUUAUUCAUAAAUACAUCUACAUACGUAGGAUGAAGGUAUUGGCAUGCUUCUCUAAAAAAACUUUCCAAAAAGAUGUUGUGUGACUUUUGAAAAGAAAAAUUACAAAUGGGGUCGUUUUUAAACAAAUUAGAUAUAUCAAGUUAUAUUUCUUUAAUUUUUUUCCUUUUUUCACAUAUUAUCAAUCACAUCUUACUUUUUUCUUUUUUCUUUGGAACCCUGCAAAAAUAACAAAAACAUUUAUAAUCACAUGACUCAUGUCACUACAUUUUCUAAAUUUUAAAAGUAGUAAAUUUAAAAGUUGAUAACCCUAUGAUUAUCGUUUGAUAGUCAUCUAAUAUCACUAAUUUUGUCAUAUUCUUAAUAUCCAAAUAAGGUUUCUUGGUGAGUCUAGAGUCAAACGUGAGGACUUAUACUAAAAAUAUAUUUAUAUUUUGAAAUUAUCUUAAGGUGAUUAAUAACAUACGCCUAAGAACAUAGCGGUAUCAUCCACUUGUAAGGGGGGAGGGGAGUCAUCCACUAUAGAUAAGGUCCACUUGUCUCCCUCACCCAACUUCAUAAGGCUGCCAAAAGAGUUAGGCAUAAUCACAUCCACACGUUUACCCUUCUCUCGAACAUAAACCAACUCUCUUUUCUUCCUAAUAACGAGUAAUUUCAUCUCGAUUACCUACCUCCUUUUCCUUAAUAUGCCUAAUGGGGGAGCUAUUAGUUUUACUUUCCUCCAACUAUUUAACGUCUAACACCACAUCCACAAGACACAAUUGUCCGUUCCUCCUCUUUGUUUGAAACCACCUUGCUCACAUCCUCCUCUCGAUGAACUUUGUUUUCCACAAUCUUAGGACACUUACCACUAGAAUGCCCAAAAGACCGGCACAAAUUAUACCUUCGAGGCUUCCACUCAUAAUUCACAGUCAUAACGAAAUCCUCUCCCCUAUGGUGAAUUGUAAAUUCAGCAAGCAUAGGAGAGUCCACAUUUGAUUCAACACAUACUCAAGCAUGUGACAACCUUCGUCUUUCCUUAGUAGCUAGAUCUAAAGAUAGAGGUUUGCCUAUAGCACUAGCCACAACAGUCAAUCUGACAUCUGUCCAUAACUCCAUUGGAAUCCUACCUAGUUUAAUCCAUAUAGGAACAUAAUAAAAAACAAAGGAUUUAGGGACAAUACCUGGAGUCCAUUUACGGAGGAGCAUACUUUUGCCAGCAAGAUGUCGCGAUCAACGAGAUAGGAUCCAUUCAACAAGUUUUGGGCAUUUGAAUUGGAAACAGAUGAGUCCGUUCUCAAGAAUUGUAAUCGUUGGCAUUUUAAUUUUAUCAACAAUAACAACGAGCUAAACGAAAUCCUCUAUCCAGGACGCACUAAUGAAAACUAAAAUGUAAAAUAAGUACGAAGUAAUUAAUUAAAACAGAAGACAAAAGAAACCCAAAGUAAGUUGACAAAAUGCCCACAAUAAGCUUCAAGAUGAGUGAGAGGGAACACCAAGAGAAACAUGAAUAGCCUUGCUAACUUUUCACUACUAGCCAACUACAUAUAUUUUUACAAUACGUGUUAGGGAAAUCUUUCCCUUUGCAAAACAAACCAAUAUAUAAUCAAUCAUUGGCUCCUUAUGGGAAAAUACAGAAGCCCUAUACAUGUCUGUUUCAAGCCUGUGUUGAACAACUUUUAAUUCCCUAAGAUAAGGAGAUUUAUCUGAAGGUUCGAGAAUAAUGACAUGUCCUAAACUAACCCACCAUUUCGCAACAGUGAACCAGUUUGAUCGUUAGGGGACAACUUUUGAUAAUAAGCGCACAACCAUGCCCCAAUUCCAAUGUUGCCCAAAAGUAAAGGCCUUUCUUCACAAUGCUCCAUAAAAAAAAAGUUCGACUUUCACAUAAAGAUCUUAUUUCUUUUUUAUUGCUCCAAGAGAUCUAAUAGAUCUAUUUUCACCACGCAAAUCCCUUUUGUUAUCAUGGAAAAUGUGUUGGUUGUGCUCAAACCAAAUCUCUGCUAGCAACACUUUUAUCAAAUUAACCCAUGUUUUUUUUUAAAAAAAAGAGGAUAUGAGUUUCACUAUUAUUAAUAUUGAAAAAUGAAGAGACAAAGCUCAAUGUCAUGAGGAUUAUACAAAGAGCAAUAGGAUGGAGGAUCAACAGACGCACCUGGACAUCUCAACUAGGUUGACACCCCCUUAGCGCCCUCAUCACAUCCAAAAAGCGACAACACAAGAUCAAAACCAAAAGCCACAAAUAGAAGGCUUUUUUUGUGUUUGUUUUGCCUUUGGACAUUACUCCUUUGUUAUGGGUUUUAGCUUGGUUGGAUAUGAUGAGGGUGCUAUGGGGGUGUCAACCUAGUUGAGAUGCCAAGGUGCACCCCCUGAUCCAUGGUUACAUGUUCAUUGUAUAACUCUCUUGUACUAUGAGCUUUUGUCUAAUUAUUAUUAUUAUUUUAAUAUUAAUAAAGAGGUUGUCUCCUUUUCAAAAAAAAAAAAAAAAACAAAAAACAAAACAAAACAAAAGCCACAAAUAUAAAACCAAACAAAAUGAUAAAAUAAUAUGUCCAAAACAAAAUCAUAAAUCAUAGGUAGCAGGUCGAGAACAAAGAAGAAUAAGCCUUGAUUGAGCAAAAAAUCCCAACAAAUAUUGAAUGUUUGGAGAAGACGGAACCAACAUUUCGAUACAAAGACAUAGUCAAUUAAAAGGUGCUAAAUAUUUUUCAUGUUAUCAACACAAAUGGGGCAGACAUGAGGUGAGAGGACAUGGGAGGGAAGUUUUCUUUGAAGUACUAAAGCACAGUUUAAUUUUCCAAACAACGUAAUCCAUAUGGGGAUAUUUAUCCAAAGAGUGAGCUAAAUAGCCCAAUGAGUGAUUGUUUUAUAAAACAUCGUUUUGAAAUAAUAAGUAUUUAACAAUUAACUCUUAACAUAAAUGAAAUCAAACUCAAACAACUUAUCUCAAACUUUCCCUUUCAGUUGCUAUACCUAGAAUCGUCGAGACGAAAAACAAUAAACUAGGCAUAGAAGCCCUAUCCCGUGAUACGAUACUUACGAGAUGAAACUCUAGGCAUCAAUUGUGCCCUAUCUCGUUAUAACUACAAUGAGAUGGAAAACUAGGCAUUCGUACAGGCUCUCAUCCCUUGAGAUGGGAAACUAAGCAUCUUUAGAAGUCUUCAUCUCUUAUCUAAUACCAAUGAUGGAAAGCUAGGUAUUUACUGAAUAUCCAAAUCAAAUGACCUCUAUGCACAGAAAUAUAUCUCCCGAAGGGUUGCUAUAUAUCUUAGAAUAUUUUAGGUAUACACUAAAACAUGCUAAUAUUAUUUUCAAGCUUAAACAUUUUGAAAACUUAGCACAAUCAUGAUUGCUUAUAAUUUUCAUUAGUAAAUUCAUCAAUAAAAACAUGUUUACCAAAAUGUUUCUAAAUUCAUGCUUUGGAAAUACUUUAUAAGUCAGUAUUCUCAAAUAUUCAAACAUCAAAGCAUGCUUGAAACAUUUGAUAGUAAAUUCAUGUUUAGAAAUCAACUUUAAACUCAUUUUUGUCAUUUAUAGAGAGUAGCUUGGACCCUUGGCUUAUAAACUUGUUCGAUCUCCUUCAGAUCUAAAAUAAUGAAAAAUAAUGGGAAAUAAUUCCAUUUAAUUCCCGUUGAUCAUAAAAAUAUCAAAACUUUGCUUAAAAUUUCCAAAAACCACAAAAACAGCCCAAAGACAUUAGCUUGCGUACAAAAUAUUGUGGCAGAAGUUGGCAGGUGCGCGUAGGGCUUGCGUGUCACAAUCCAUGUCUCGUUCUAACCUCAUGUGCAGCGUGUCACAAUCACAACUUUUCAAACACGGAACAGACUAUUGUGCGACACUUGUUGUAACUCGAUGAACACGUCAGUUGUAUGAAAUUCGAUACGAUGUAGCCUCCCUAUAGGUUUUAAGAGAAAUUGGUUUUAUUAAACAUGAGAGAGAAAGGAAAGCAUUGGAAACAUGGUUAAAAAAAACUUUGAAGACUGUCCAUUGCAAAGAGAGCUUAAAUUGCAAAGAGUACCAUUAGUGUCGUUUUUAAGAAAAUUGUUUUCUUCUAGAUAUUAUAACUCUCUUUCCUUCUAGAAAUAGAAAAUGAAGUACAAGAGAAUCAUGAGAUUCUAUUAAUUUAUAAAUAAUUAAAUUAAUAUAUAUUUCAAAUCUACUGAUUAAUUAAACAUUAAUCAAUUAGUUAAUAAUUAAUGAAAUCGAAUUUAAUUAAAUAAUAUUAAACUAAACUAUUAAUUAAUUCUCCAAUUAACUAAUAACACUAAAUUAUUUAUCUUAUAUUUAACUUAAAUUAAAUUUGAAUCAUAUUCAAAUAUAAGUUUCUCUCAAUAAUUUUAAUAUGAAUCCAAUUUACAUUAAAUUAAUAUUUGAACUCAUUCAAAUAUUUUAUCUCUCAUAAAUUAAUUUUGAAUCAUCCCCAAAGUUAAAUUUAUAUAGUAAAGUUUGAUCAACAUUAUAUUAUAAUGUAUCACUAUACAUUAUACUAAUUCCCAAGUUAAAUUUAAACAUUUUAAAUUACAACCAAUACAAAUAAAUCUCAUUACCCUUUAAGAGCUAGGAAAGGGACCUAAUGGACCUACAGAUCAGAAGCUACAACGAUCUAAGAUUAAUUGGCUAAACUCAUUAAUCAAUAUUUGUUAGCUUUGUGUACACUCCACUAAAGACUCACAACUGAACUCUUCUCACUAAAAAUAUAUUUAUGUGUCCAUGGAUAUAGACCAAUAAUAGUAAGUUAGUCCUUCACGAGUGUUUGUAACACCAGUUGGACCAAUUUACCGCUUUACCCCUAUGUUACCUCUAAUCCUUAAAAAUCAGUGCUCCUCUAAUGAACAACUUGUUUAUGGUCCUACUAAUAAACAAAAACCCAUCUCAUGUCAUAGAGAGGGUACGAGCCCUUUGUUCAAGUUUUGGAGACACCAUUUAAGCUAACAUUCAUCUACUUACCCUAAAGUAGGAAAUGAGUGAAUUCCAUUUUGUGCAAUUAUAAUCCCAACUCCCCACUCAGUCUUGUCCCCAAAAUCACUACUACAAAAACAGGCUCUCUUGACGGUUGUAGUUUUCCUUUCUUGACGAUUUUUCCCAAAAACGUCAAGAAAGAUGUGAUUUCAAAUAAAAAUACGUCAAGAAUUUUUAUGAAAGGCCAAUUUUCAACUUUCUUGACGUUUAUUAAACGUCAAGUAAGAUGUACUUUUUCUUGACGUUUUUUAAACAUCAAGAAAUAUCUAAUAAUUUUUUGACGUUUUAAAAACGUCAAGAAAUUUAUAAAAAAAUUCUUGACGUUUUUAAAACGUCAAGAUAAUUCUAAAAAAUCAUUGAUGUUUUUAAAAACUUCAAGAAAUUUAAAUUUGUUUUUGAUGUUUUAAAAACGUCAAGAAAUUUCCAAAAAAUUUAUUGUGUUAAUUUUCUUUUACAAAACGCAACGUUUCAAUUAGAUCACUUCCCCUUUUCUUAAUUAAACCUAAUUCGCCGCGACUUUGUCCCUUCUCCACCCGAAAUCAAAAGCGUCGUUCACCUAACCUUCCCUUCGCGUUCAUCUGUGCAUUCAUCUGCGUUCAUCGCCGAAAAAGACUUCCCUUCGCGUUCAUCAGCGUUCACCUUCAUUCAUUUGCCUUCAUCGUCCGUCAUUGUUCGUAUGCUUUGCGUUCCCUUCACCUUCGUUGAUUUGCGUCCGUCUGUUCACCGUUUGAAAUGUGUAAACACAUUCUCUAUUCGAAAACGAGUAAACACGUUCACCGUCCUUCUGUCGCAUUCCACUUUCACUAAACCUCUAUUCGUUUACAAAUCCUUCAUGGUUACUCAUUCAUUUUCUUCCCUUUCUAAAGGUAAUAAUUUUCCUUUUUUCCUUUGUGAUUAAAAUUUGUAAUUUUGGAAUUUAAAAUUGGAAUGCAAAAUUAAAGAAGAUGAAAUAUGCCUUAGAGAAUGGAAGAAAGGUUUUGCAUUUUAGGCUUGAAAAGGGGGAUACAAGUUAUUAUAUAUUGUAAUAUAUAAUAUUUUGAACAAGGCUACCAAGCGUGCGAAUAUGAUUCAUUGGUUAGUUUAGGGAUUGGAAAGAGAAGGAUUGUGGAGUUUGUGAUAAUAUUUUGGUACACUGGAGCUUGAAACAGAGAAUAUUAAAAAACACAUACUGUUAUACACAAUAUUAUAAUAAUACGAAUCACUAGAUUUUCUUCUUCGUUUUCUUUUUCUUCUCCUUGACUUUUUGUUAUGGGUAUUGUAUUGAGUUUUGUGUUUUAGAUUGUGAUUGUGAAGUAUGGGGUAGCUAAACUCUUAAUCCUAGGGAUAGAUGUAGACAAAGUUUAUGAAUUAUUCUUUGUAAUGCAUCUGAUUAUCUGCUCUUAAUCUUUUCAUGUUUUUAUGUGAAUAAUGUUCAUAAUAUCUUAAUCACAGAUUAAUUGUUGAUUGGCCAAUGAACCUUAAUCUUUGCAUGACUAGAGUGGUUAUGAACUUGGAAAGAGCUAAUUAAGGAUCCUUGAGGAGAGUUGUUGAAAGAAGUGGACCUAAAAACUUUUGUUUGUUAAUAAAAAGAAAAAUGAACAGAGAUUCAUCUUCGUGAAGGUCUUGAUGUUUAAUUUAAUUUAAAUUGUGUAUGAAUUUUUAAUUACGAGCAUUUUAAUAUGUUGCGUUUUAAUCCUAGGGAUAGAUGUAGACAAAGAGCACUAUAGCCAAGGUAUAGAGUGAGGGAGAUAAGGUUUAUAUGUCUUAGAGAAUGGAAAGAUGGAAUUUGUGCUAAAAUCAUUAGUGUUCCAAAUACAAUUAUGAAUUGGGUAUAGUUGCAUUCCCCCUUCUGGAUUGCAUAGCACAUAAAUAUACUCUCAUGGAUUGCAUAGCACAUAAAUAUACUGUCAAAAACAAUAACAUAAAACACAAACUUGAUUUAGUUUUAUUCACACUUGUACACCAACAUGUUUCAAGGAAUGAUCAUAUAUUAAAAAUCAUUUUCAAAUUUGGUAAUAUAAAAUGGACGAAGUGAGACCUUGAGGUUUUGACCACCAAUACUAUCUAACUGAUGAGUUUAUGAUUUUUGUUUCUACUGUGUUUUUCCUUAAGCUUUAACUUGCUUUAGGGGCAAGAUGGUGAAGGUCUAGUCCACAACCUUUCCCAAGAAUUUAAUGAUGUUUGGGUUGACCCAAUUAUUGUUAUUGGACACCGUUUUAUGGUAAUUGGUUGUUAUGGUUUUUAAGUGUGUUUUGAUAUCUUGUGUUAAAAAGUAAUUGCAAAAAGUCAGAAAAGUUUGUUAAAGAUUAAGUGUUUUUAAGUUUGUCAUUCCACUUUAAUUCUCACCAGUACUUGCUGAAUGGAAGCCUCUUGUCUAAGACAAUUCGAGUGGAAUAACUCUCGUGACUACCACAACAUUUGGGAACUCACCAAAUGUAAGACUAUUCCUUUAUCCUAGCAUUUGAUCUCUCUCUAUAAUUUGGUUUGCUAUCGUAAGUUUGAUUAAAAUAAAUGCUGAUAAUUCAACUCCAAUGUUCUUAUUUUCUUAACUCUCAUUCAGUCAGUUAGAAUCAGAACUCAUUUAUUUAUCUUGUCUCCAUAAUUUGGAUUCAAAGAUUCAUCACAAUAAUCUUCUCAACAACAUUCUUGAAAAGGUAUUGAAUUUUCAACUGUGUGACCUUUAUACACAAAUUUCUUCAAAGAAAUUUACAUUCUUUAGAGUUUAGAGCUUUGAAUUCUAGUACAACUUAUGAAGCUUUUGAUACUUGUUAGACUUUUUUGCUUGGUGCGGAUAAAACCUUAUUUACAUUCUUUCUUUCCUGCAUGUUCUCUUUUGAUAUUUGUUAGACUUUUUUGCUUGGUUGUCCUUAGUGUUUUCCUCUUUAGCUGAAAUUUCUCUAUCUUGAAAAAAAUAGAGCUUUAAAAUUCAACUUCAACUUUAUUUGAUACUAUCUUAGUCCAUACUUAUUUUGGUAUUUCUUUCCUUUCUCACAAACACAUCUAAGAGGUUGCCUUCACAAUAUGGCCAAAUUAACAAUAUGGCAACCUUUUUCAUUGCAAAACAUAUUAGAGGUUGGUUACUUAGUUAGCCUUAUUGGGUAAAUAAUUGACAUUUAGGUACUUUUUAGUUUGUAUAUUUAUAGAUGCCAAAUCGAUAUGUGAAUUUUAAUUGUUGCUUAUUUGAAACAUUGCAACCAUUUGAUAAAAUGUUGCUAUGUGAAUCCAUCUUAACUUGAUAUAUUAUUUUAUUUUGGUUUAGGUUGUGGAAUCCAAGUUUGUAUUUGAAGUCAAAUUCAUCCAAGAUCAUUGAGUUUCAAAGCUUCUUUAAUUAAGAUUUUGUUUCUUGAACUAGAAUUGUAGUCUUGUGAUUUUUGGAAUAGCAUAGUUGGAUUGGUUUUGUAAUUUUGGGAUUAUCAUAUUAGGUUGGGGUUGACUGAAGUAGUGUUUUGUAUAUGACAAUAUCAAACAAACAUGUAAAGUUUUCGAAAUGUUCAUACAUAUAUGAUUAAAUGUUAAUAUAUGUUAAAGUUUUAGAAUUGUAUUCGUGCAUAUUUAUGAGAUUGUUGGGCCACACUACAAGAAUUAUAGAGACAAUACAGGAACAAAAAUAUAAAUAAAUUAUAAUUUAGAAAAAAAUGAAACAAGCUUCAUGUUUUUUAAAUGUCAUAAACAAAUACAUUCUUGACGGUUUUUCAAUGUCAUUAACAAGUAAAUUCUUGACGUUUUUUAAACGUCAUAAACAAUUGUGUUCUUGACCGUUUUUAAAUGUCAUAAAUUACAUUCUUGAUAGUUUUUAAAUGUCAUGAAUACUCAUUCACUUGACGAUUUUUAACUGUCAUGAAUAUUUGUAUACUUGACGUUUAUAAACUGUUAAGAAUCGCUAUUCUUGACGUUUUAUUAACCAUCAAGAACUUUGACUUUCUUGACGCUGACUUCAACGACGGUUUUAAAACCGUCAAGAAUAGUGAUUCUUGACAGUUUAAAAACGUCAAGAGAGUCUAUUUUUGUAGUAGUGAAUGAUAAGCUUAUUGAGUCGGCGAUCUAGCCACUCUCACUCGUACAAAUCAAAGGACAAUCUCUCGCGAACAAGAGUUCAUAAUACACUCAAGAUUAAGACUAAGUUAUAUAGGUCAUCCUAGUGAAAUAGAAACCUAACUAGUUAAUGUAGUAACACCAAGUGGUUACUAUUUCGCGAUCUGGUCAAUUGCAAUCUCAUUGCAUAGGAUACCUUCACUCGCAUGUCAACUACAUGAACACAUUGGAUCAUUGUAUUUGUAUCAAAUACAAGGUGAGUCGUAUUCAUAAUGUUACCAGGAUAAAGGUACCCAUUCUUAUCCGUAUACUAUAGACCCUUUAAGCUGAUCUCGAACAUUGAUCCUGUAUGUCUCUACAUACUAUUCAAUACUUAUUAAACAGUUUAGGAUGUUAGUUUAUUGGAUUUGAGUUAUUAAGACAAAACUAAUAAUAUAAUCAAUAACAAUUAUUACAAUAAUAACACUUUAUUAACAAUGGUCAAUGGAUUAUAUUUACAAUCUACGAGUUUUAGGACAUAAAUUCCAACAAACUCCCACUUGGACUAAAACUCUCGUCUCUUUGGGAUGUUCAUAAUAAAGUAAUCCUCUAACAUUGAAAAUGGUAAAAUGUACAAGUGUAUUACAUAGAAUGUGUAUAUACAAAUACAAUAAACUAGGGCAUCCUCAUACCCAUUACACAUCUGCCACUUUUCCUAGAUUACCUAAUGUACAUAACUCGCAGAUCUAGACUUUCUAGAAGACCCUCGAACACUUUAGCCAUGAGAGUCUUUGUAAAUGGAUUAGUAAUAUGCCCCACUAUUAUCACAAUAUAAAGUGAUGGGGCAUGUUCAUGUUUGGAACAACUUCCAAAUUAUGCAAGAACUUCCUCACAAAACUGCUUCUUUUGCUGCUUCACAAGUAGCAAUAUACUCAACUUUCAUAAUAGAGUGUGUAAUGACGCGUGGCUCAGGCUGCUUGAUCAUGCCAGGACAUGCUUCUUGCAUGUCCAAGCCUAAAUAACCUCUUUCGCUCAAAACACACGCUCAUCUCACCUUGUCAUCCUGGCAAUCAACCCACCCAUGGCCUUGUCUAGAAAUAUGAUUUUUCUACCAGAAACUUAACUCGACUUUGAAGCUUAAAUCAAUAAGAUUCCUUCUACAAACUUACUUAGAAUGUCUUCACUAGCUUACCACAAAGUGUCACUAACAAAUUCCAAGUAUUGAGUUAUGUAGCUCAAAAUACUCUACAUUGUUCAAGUUUUUUUUUUUUUUUUUUUGAAAAUGACCUUUGAGUCUUUCUUCACUUCAAUGCCUUUCUUCUUGGUAGCCUUUCUCUGAUACUACACUCAAUUUAGGAGAUUUUCGAAGUAGAGUUACCCAAUUAACACAAGUUGAUUGUUAACAUAAUUCGUCCAAAGUUGUACAUAUAGUGAUCCUUGCAUGCUCUUUGGUUGAACCUUUUUUCUCACCUCUUACGCCCAUACUUGCCACUUUCCACUCAUGCAAGACACUUAUUUGGCAAAACUUAGGUAUCUUGUAUGUUGUCCACUUGUACUCUACCGCACAUCUUACCUCAUAUUGCUUAAGUCAUCCUUGGACGCAUAUCCCUUUUUCUAUGAGGGUUCUUUAGUAAAUUCUUACUGCCAAGAAUGCCUAAGACUUUUUUUUCUCGCCUAAUCUCCCAAACAUCUCUCAAUGCCUUCAACAAACCAUGCCAUCUUGACUAGCAUUUGGUUGAAUUGCCCCAUUGGCCGCAUGACCUAUGUCCACAUAGCCCACCUCUUUGUUGCAUGACAUUCCUUAUCCACGUUCUAACUUCUUUAGAGUUUCUUGACAUUUCCUAGAUGCUUAGCUUCCUUGCCUAGCGCAUACCCUUGGUCAUAUAGCCUUGUCUUAUAGAGGUUGUCUUGACACCUUUCGGCCAUACCACAUCUCAACCUUUGGCCACCCAACAUGUCUCUUUAGAGGUUCGCUUGACACUUUUGGCCGCCUAGAGUAUGCAACAUGCCCUAGCCAACACUUAGCCAAUUUUCGAACACCCUUUAGGCCUUUCUUUGUUACGAUGACACUUUUCUUUUAUCAUCUUAAAAAUAUUAACACAUCUUCCAUAACACUUCAACUAAACUAUCCAAUCUUAAACCAUCUUUCUCCUAACAUCAACCCCUAAUGUCCUAUUGAGUUCUUUAGAUGAAUUAAGGAUUAUUGGGUAUCAGUGUUUACACGCGAGAUGUAAGUCUUCCUCCUUGGAAUUACGUAUAGUAGUGUGCGGAGGGAGAGGAAUGUGAUGCAGGUCUUCCUCCUCAACCCUAAGGAAUUCUUCUUCGCUAACAAUGCCCUUUUGAUCGGGUAAGGGCUUGUUCGGUCAGGUCGUGAGGUGAAGGAUGUUGUUAUAAUGAUGGGGGAUUUGGUGGUGAGAGGAUAAUAGACAUGCGAGAGGACUUGGGUAAGAUUGAUGAGGGGAGUUUCAAUUUUUGGAUGAGGACUGGAAUUGAAGGAUUUGGAUUUUGGAGGAGGCAAUGAGAGAGUUAGGGGUAAGAUUGCAAGAGGUUUAGGGUCGAUGGCCACGUCUAGCUUUCAACUUUUUUCCUUUUUAUACGAGUUAGACGCGUCAUCAUGGACAUUUCUCCUCUUGAGGAGUGGUGGCAGCGGAGAAGCCUCUUCUUCUUCUCUGUCAUUCCAUUCUUCUCCCUUAACUUUAUUUAAGGUUUUGAGGUGUCUCUCUUCUUCUUUAUUUUGAUGGAGUGUUAUGGUUUGGUUGAGAUUCGCCUGAGAACAUGCAUAAGGGGUGAUUGCAGAAAAGCUAAAAGCUUAGGAACCGUCGGAGGAAGGGCAGAUCAUUAAUUGUAUGUAACGCCUUCCUCUUACGUGGUGGCAGCAACUUUGAGAAUAGAUUUAGGGAUUUCCGACGUAUCAUUAAUUGCGUGGGAAUAUGUUUAGGGAUUUCUGACGUUUAACAAAUCAGGUCAUGAAUAGGGUGCUAUUCCCGACGUUUUCGUCGUGCGUCAGGAGUUCUCUGUCUUUUUUAACUCCAUUCUUUACAUAAAGGAAACAUAAAGAGAAAUAAAAUGAGAGAGGGAGAGGGAGACCGAGAGGAAGAUUGAGAAGAAGAGGGCAUUGUCAUCACCAUUGUCGUCCCUGUUGUCGUCCCGUCGUCGUCGCCAUCGGUAAGUGGUUUAGUUUAGUUAUUGUUUUGUUUUAGUUAAUUAGUUUUAGUAUUUAGAUUUCAAAUUUGUUUUAGGUGUUAGAUUUUAGAUUUCAAAUUAGUUUUAGUAUUUAGAUUUUGAAUUAGUUGUAAGUUUUAGUAAUGAAAUUUAAUUUCAAGUGUUGUUAGAAUUUUGAAUUAGUUGUAGGUUUUAGAAAUUUGAAUUUGAAGUGUUGAAGUUGAGAUUGAAGUGUUGAAGUUGAGGUUGAAGUGUUGAAGUUGAGUUUGAAUUUAAAAUUUUCAAUUUGAAUUUAGGAAUUAAAUGAAGUUAUUUUUUUUUUAAAAAAAUAGAGGAUCUCCCGACGCAUGGUUCCUAGACAUCUCUCGAUGCUAUAUUGACAACAUCUUCGACGUUCAUACAACGUCAGAAGAUGUCUAGAAACCCUCAACGCACAACAUUGUGCAUCGAGAGUUCCUCUCCCGAUACAUUUUUCCUCACUUGUGUUCCGACAUAUAUUAGUGCGUAAGAAAAGGCUUUUCUGACGCUUUUUAUAUAUCUCCCAAUGAUUUUAUGCAUCGAGAGAGUCCUCAUUUCUUGUAGUGUUAGACAAAGAGCUUGAAUGUGGUAGAGGGGAAAGGCAUGACACCUUUAGGUGCUUUCAUCAAAGGGAGGAUUGAGGUUCUGAUUAUGGCGCUAAGGUUAACUGCCAUCUUCUUCUUAAUGCAAUAAAUCAUCAUUGUGCACUCUAGUGGGAUGGUGUUGUUGUCAACCAGGCAGGCGGUUUCGUUUUCAAGUCUUAGGUCUUAAUUCUUAACAACCUUUGAGUAUUGAUGCUCUACCCCAACCCUCAUCCAAAACGAUAACUAACACAAUGGUUUGGAAGUUUUUGUGAAACAUCAUCUAUACUUUUUCUUUAAUGGUCGAUGAAAAAAAAGUCAGGAAAAUGGUAUUUCUGACCAUUUUAAGUGUUACCAAAAUAUCACAUUUGGUGUAGUAUGGUAUUGUUUUGAAUAUUUUUGUAAAAUAGUGGAUCAAGAAGUUUUACUAAGAUAAAGUUUCAUGUUGGACAAGAGGAUAGUGGAUGGGAAUUAAGUUGAAUGGUCCACUUUUUUUUUAAAUCCUUUAAGGUUUUAUGAAAACCUUUCACAAUACCUUUUCAUAAUCAUUUUGUAAAAAUAAUAUCAAAUCAUUUAAAUAUACCGAAAAAUUAUUUCAUUUCGAAUAAACCUUUCUUUAUGCUUAAAAAAUCAUUUCAUUUUGUCAAGGAUCCCGAAUCGUUCUCUACGCUUGGUCUCAUUACCUCGCGUUUAGACUACUGUAUCAACAGCAUCUGAGAACAUACAAAUUCGUCUUUGUUGCUAUACCGCUAAGCUUUAUACGCUCAUUUCAAUGCAUAAGUCAGCUUCUUAUUACCAUGUAGUUUGUACACUCCAUGGUGGCCUUCACUCUUUAUGUGCACACAAAAGUUAGCAUCAUCUCAAAGAAACAUAGUAUUGAAAUCAUAGUCAUCAAAUCAAGCUUUAAUAUUAUAAAUAAUGCUUGAAAACAUAACUUUUCGUAGAAAUCUUUCUGAAACAUUCUCAUCUGAAUUCUUCUUUCAAAUCAGUAAAGAGAAAUCGUAAUAAAGUUUCUUAACAUAAAUUCUUUUGACUGAAAAGCACUCACCAAACUUCACUAAAGAAGUCCUUCUCACAAACCAUCUUUUCGCGUGGCUAAACCAACAACACUUUAGCAUUUCAACAAAACUCUCGUCAUCCCCUCCUUAGUUACCUAAAUUCUCCUAUUUUAUAGAUCCCUUAUACUAACUUAGUCAUGCAAAUCCUUAAUAUUUAACCUAGUCAUGCUCAAAUCCUUAAUCUUACAUGUUAACCCAUGUCAAAUCAGAUUUGACAUUUUCUUUACAAACCUUGCUCCCCGCCUAACCCAAACCGUGAAUAAAUUCAACCACUUAACAUUUCUCGUGAAUAACCUUAUCGCUUGAUUAUAUUUUUAUUAUAAGAAACGUUCCACCUGAACUAACCAACUUUUACUCGCAUAAAACUCUUAUCACGAAUCUAAACUCCAAGGCUUCCUCGUAGACUUCUUCUCCACGAAACACUUGGUUCUUCUCGCGAAGACCACCCAAAACUCCUAGUCUAACACUCAAAACUUUCAUUUCUUAACUUAACGACCCAACUUUUUACCUAAGUCGAGGUCAUUAACUUUUGACAAAAGACCUUGGUUAAUUAAAAUUUAAAACCUCAAAAGAACAAAAUUUAUUUUGUUUGUUUGGGCCCCAGUUUUAAAUUACUAAAAUUCACAUGAAAAUUUAAAACUAAAAAGUUUCAAAUCUUUGAAUACUUUAAAACUUCAAAAUUUUCUAAACAGUCUCACGUUCGAAUACAAAUAAUACUAUAAAUCACUAAGCGGAAGCAAAAUUUUAAAGUGUCCCCUGUGGCGGUCACGCUUCCUUCCUGCCCCUCGCCGGUUUGCUGCCUUUAUUACCUUUGCCUGAAAAAUUAAACAUAAGGAGGGUGAGUAUAAAAAUACCCAGUAAGAGACCCUCUACUGGUCCCGUCAGGGGAAAAUAAAUUGUUAACAUUCUAUUGGGACACCCUGUACAGUCGCAGUCUUGUGAUCCCGUAGGAUGCACAUUUCAGUCUAACGCCCCGUGGGACGUACAUUUCAGUCUAGUGUUCUGCAGAAACACAUAUCAGUCUAAUGCUCCCGAAGGUCGCAUAAAAAUUGGUGAUCCCGUAGGACACCUACAAGGCAUACAUCCCAAUAAAACUAACAAUUUUUCCCCUCAAUCCAUUCUAACCAUCUUUACGGUAAUUUAUGACAUCUUUCAGUUACUUCAAAAUAUAAAGUUCUUUCACUCAACAUUCUAACAGUCAACCUAUCUCACUUAAGUUCGAAGGUCGUUGAUAACAUUUUAAUACAUCUGUCAAGUAAACAACAAAGUCACAACACCCCUCAUUUUUACCAGCGCAAACCACAGUUCAGUAUAAUCCACAUUCAACCGAAAAAUUCACUAGUUCACAUCCAAAUCUUUAUACAGCACAAUCUAUUAAUAUCAUCAUGUACACAUAAGCAUAAUUUCAGUCAUUCACAUGUAUACUUUCGGCAAUCCACAUCAAUUCACACAUCAAUGUAUUUAUAUAUAUGUUUCCAGUCAAAUACAACAUACACUAAACAUUUAGUCUGCAACCAAACGUGUACAUCUUAAUCAUCAUCCAUACAGUCCAACACAACUCAAAAACUUUAGGUGAGUCCAGUAGAAAGUCCCUUACCUCAAAGUUAGGGAAGCUCCCUUAAUCAACUAUCGUCCACGAAACAAUCCAAAUAAGGGCAAACCGAAAUCAAAAUUCACAAAUUGGUUGUGAAUUUAAGUGAUCCAAGGUUACCUUUCACACCUUCAAGAAUAAUUUAUCAAAUUAGUCAAUUAACCCAUCCGUAACGUUUGAACACCUUGAAAACAUCACAACCCAUACUUAAAUUGUUUUGAAAACGACUACAAUUUCAUAACUUCAAUCUUACCAACAAUACUUCGACGGAUCUCAGUAAAAAUAGGGGCAGCGGCAAUCGAUUCUAAACAAAAACCAUCGUGCAAACAGAUUAGAGUGUACGUCGGUUUGUGAAUCGCGGUUAGAAGAAAAAACACGUUGCUGGAAGAAGAGGAAACGCGCGGCUAGAAGGAGGCGUGCGCGCUGCCUCAAAAUCGAUCGACGAUCUGACGCGGCGACUGGGCUUCACGAACGGAAGAAGAGAGGAAAGGAAUGGACGACGGCUGGACUUGGCUUCGACGGAGACAGAGGUCACGCGGCGGGGCUGGGCAGAGGGUCACGCGGCGGUGGGCGGAGGCCAUGGAUCUGAACGGCAAGGGAAGGGGAGAAGAUGAUGGUCGGCUGGGUUAGGGUACAGGAAAGAGAAGAAGAAAAAGAUGGAGAGAGGGUGUCACACGCGUGAGAGAGGGGAGAGAGGAAAAAGAUAUUUUAAUUUCUUUUUCUUUUCCUUUUUUUUAUGCUAAUUAUAAUAAUAAUAAUAAUAUAUAUUAUUAUGAAAGACUUUUCCAACACUUUUUUUUUUCAAGACAAAACAACAAAAUGACGUCGAACAAAAAUUAAGAGUAAAAACAUCGAAUGGUCCGAUUAAAUUAAUUACCUUAGAGUUUGGGGUGUUACAUUAUCGCACAACUUCUUUCGCGAACUACCCACUUAUCGCAAAAAAGUAUACUUAACCGUAAAAGAUCUUAUCACUUAAUCUUUCCAUGGAUUUAUUUGAACACCAACUUCUUAAUUCUUAGCCGAAUUUUACUUCCUUACUCAAAUUAGAAAUGGGUCGCACAACUUCCUUCGCGAACAACCCACUGAAUCGCAAUAACGUAUACUUAACCAUAAAUUUUUUUAUCGCUUAAUCCUUUUCGUUGAUUUAUUCAAACGCCAAAUUCUUAAUACCUAGCCAAAUUUUACUUCAUUACUCAAAUUAGAAAUGGGUCUCACAUUUAGAGCCUAUCGCUUCUUUAAGAUACAUGAUCUUACCGAUUCAGAGAAAUUAACCACAGGCGUUAUUAGUUUUGAUGAUCUGGCAUUGGAUUGGUACCAAGCACAAAAGAGUUGGAAGUUUUUAAGAAUUGGGCUGACCUGAAAGAACGAAUGCUUGUACAGUUUCGAUCAAUUCGAGAAGGAACUUUGGUUGGAAGAUUUUUCUCAAUCAAACAGAAAAUGAAUGUAGAAGAAUACCGCAACCGAUUUGAUCGAUAUUUAGCUCUGGUAGCAUUUCUUCAAACGGUAGUGUUAGAGGAGACUUUGAUGAUUGGGCUUAGCCCAUGAACAAAAAUGGAAGUGGAAACCGUGGAACCGAUUGGGUUGGCCCAGAUGAUGAAAUUUGCGUUGAAGAUUGAGAAUAAGGAACUAGUGAGAAAAGAGUGUGGGUUGAGCAGUGCAUUUCAUGUAAAACUGCAACUCACCCUAUCUAUUGUGGAAAACAACAAUACAAUGAUGACUAAGGAAGAAACCAGCAAUGGAAAGUCUGCUGAUGAGAGCUAUCACCCUGAAAGGAGUUACUGAUAGAACUAAGACAUGCACAACAGAAAAAGAAUCGAAAUUCUACCCUAAUUGGGCUUAGUUAACGAGACUAAACCAAAAAAUAAGGUUUUUAGAAUACUUACAUUUGAAGCUGCGUUUUAUUCGAACAACCACUAAGUUUGACUUAGUAUCCUCUAGACUCAUAAUCGAGUUGUGGGACCCGUUGGAUGAAAGAACCAGACGAGAGAAAUAGAUGAAAAAAAUGGGCGUGGUAAAUUUUCUUUUUUUUUUAAGUAAAUAAGAAAAAGAAAUUCCAUUUGGUGUGAAAGCCCAAAUAUAAUAGCCAACCCAUCAAAUGAGUUCAAAGGCCCCAUUUAUAAGGAUUUUUCAUUCAAAAUUGUAUGUCCAUGCAAUACUAAAGUCCAACAACUCAAAGUCCACUUUCUCUAGCAAGGACUUGAUAAAAAAAGAGAAUAUGAGUUAAUAGGAAAAUGAAAGGGAAUUCCUUGGAAAGUUGGUUUGUGUGUCAUUAAAAGUCAAGGUGGAAAACAAAGUACAACAUAUGGCUAAAUGUGAGAGUAGGCGUGCAAGUAUAAUAAAUACCUACCAAGAUGUUUAUUAAUAACAUGUGUUUGAUACAUAAUUACAACACUUUGACCAAACAACCAAUGCUUAACUAUUUUCAAAACGUAUGGUCAUCUCGCUGCAAAUCCUUCAACCUUCUUCUCUACUUGGCCUAAACACCUCAUCUUGGAAGAUGAAUUUUUGAAAGAAUGUCUAAAAGACUAAGGUUUUAUGAAAUCCUUUUCGCAAUACCUUUUCAUAAACAUCAUUUCGCAUAAACAACAUCAAAUAAUUUUAUCUCGCAUAAACCUUUCUUUAUCCUUAACAUACUCAUAACAUAACAAUUUCACAUAAACACACAUUAGUUAACAUUCAUUCCUUUCACCAAGGAUUUUGAAUCGUUCUCUACACUUUGAUGUAGAACAUCUCCCUUCUUGAUGUUUCUUGAGUUUUAUCCUAGAGGAGGGGUUUGAAUUACCAUUUUUAUAGUUUAGGAUUAGUUAUUUGAAUUACCAAUUUUGUAUCUUGAGUUAGUUAUAACUAACUCAACCCCAAGUUAGUUUAACAACUCUUGUAAUCUCCAGCCUAUAAAAAAGCUUCUCAUUUUCAUUAAUAAGACAUAAAAAAAGAGGCAUUAUACAUAAAGAUUUCUAGCUUUGCAAUUACUGCAUCAAUUGGUAUCAGAGCGUGAUCCUAGCUCACUCUUCCCUAAAAAAACUUGGAUCCUACCACUCUUAUCCAUGGACGCGGAAGCCUCCUUCAACCAACGCUUGCAGUUGGUAGAACAAGCUAUUGAAGAACUUCGAAAAGGGCAGUCGAAUAUACAACAAUCGUUAGUAGAAUUAACAAACCUUUUUACCCGAUUUCAUGUCCAACCUUUAGAAGAAGCAAUUCAGCCCCCAAGAAACCCAAUUGCAGCAAACCAAGAAAGACAAGAAAAACCAAUAAACCCUGUUGUAAACCAAGAACUACUAAGAAAUCAACCUAUUCACAUCCACAAUAAUCGAUUGUAUGGAAACAACGUACUUGGAAAUUUCUUAAACGAUUCUGACUCUUCCGAUGAAGACAACUUGCUGAACAUUCAUCAAGAACCUCAACAAAGGCUUGGACUUCGACCAUACUUUCAAGAAGAUCAAGAAAUACGUAUGAAAGUGGAUCUCCCUACCUUCAAUGGUCAAAUGGACGUGGAGAAGUUUCUUGAUUGGAUCAAGAACGUAGAAAAUUUUUUCGACUAUGCCAAUACACCCGAACACAAGAAGGUUCGAUUAGUUGCUCUCAAACUUCAAGGUGGCGCAAGCGCUUGGUGGGAUCAAUUACAAAACAAUAGACGAUUAUUCGGUAAACAAUCUAAAGAUUAGCUGAAUAUCUUAUAAAAAGAUGUUGCCAUAGGCUUAGUGGUGACAGGUGAGAAAGUAAGCUGUGUCUUUUAUGACUCUUAAACGUUGAAGUCAAUCAAUGAGUUCCAAAUGCAAUAUUGGAAGUUUUCUUAAAUAUUUUGAUGCUUUUGCAUGUUGUGAAAGAACUUGGUUAGAUGUGAGAAAGGGGUUUACGAGAUUAGUUACUUACUAUUCCCUUUUUCACUGUCAUUGCUACUCAGUAGAUAUGCUAUGGGCUCGUGUUUCUGUAGAAUAUAAUUCAGAUGCUCUUUCUCUAGAAUAUAAUUUAAAUGUUCUCUCUACAAAUUUGAAGUAAUUUCUACUGUUUUUGCUAAUAAUUUAUAUAUUAUAGAGUUAAAUUUAACACAGUUAAUCAUCUUAAGCAUUUGACUCUGGUGUUCUUAAGAUAUAAAUUCAAAUCCCUAUAAUUUUAUCAUCUUGAUCUUUUCAAUCGUCUCACAUACCGUCUUCAUUUCAUAAUCUUGCCUACUAGCUGCGUAUCAUCAAUGAAAUUACCAUAGGAGUCCACAUGUGGUAAUUAUGGAUCUAGCACGAUAUACUGCGUAUCAUGUUGUUGGAGAUCAUUUUAAAUGAUUAACCAGUCUAUUGAUGGUUUGAGUCUUUCCUUUUGAAUCUAUAGGUUGUUCAAUGGUCUAAUAUUAACUAUGUUUAGAUUUAUGGUAAUUUUCAUUCUUUUACAGCCUUAAUAACCAAGGAAAGGUGUGCUUUGAUAAUCUUUUCUUUCUCUUCAGCAGGUUGGUAAUGUAGAAAGGAUACAUGUAUACUAUGCCCACGGACUAGAUAGCCCAACCUUUGUUCGCCGAUGUUAUUGGCUCCUAGAUAAGUAUGUUAUGGUUGAAAGAAAAUUGUUAAAUUGCUUGCUACCAGUUGUUUCAGUGGGGUCUAUCCCCAUCAUGCCACAAGCAAAGAAAAAUGAAAUUAGACAGUGGCAGUAUAUCGUGUUCUACUUAUAUAAUUUAUGACUUGCUUCUGCUUUUUGUUCAGGACCUUUGAACACAUUGUCCUUGUUCAUUAUCGUGAAACACAAGAGGUUAGGUUCAGCACAAUGCAUCUGCAGUUACUGAAAUAUUAUCUUGAGACAAACUUUUAUCAUUUGGACUACUACAUCUAUUUAAGAUUUGUUGAUUUUUCCUCCAUGGUUGCAAUAUUAGAACUUCAUCCAAAAUAAUGUUGUCAUGUGUGUCUUUAUGGUGAUUCAUGUGUUGAGAGUUCUCUUUCUUCUGCUAUCCAUAAAUUUAUGGAAUGGAAAGGCAAUGAUCAUGACACUAUUUUUUGUCAGAUAAACACUGGUUUCAUAUGCUUCAACUUUAUGGUGCUUCACAGCACACAGAUAAAACUUCCAAACAAUCUGCACCCAAUAUUACCAUAAUGCAUUUGGACACUUCAUUAACAACUUCUUACAAUUAGCCUUUCUAUAUUGAAAGUAAUUUGUUAUCUUAACUUCCUGUUGCUGCUAGUUUCAGAAUUUUCCAUCCACAUCGUUGAACUCAAAUUCUGGUUCUGUCUCUAACCCAUCAACUCCGUGGCUUUUAUCGGAGGAACUUGAUUCCAAGGCUACUCAUGUUUAUUCUCUUGGUGAAAAUGAAUUGUCAGGUGAUACUGGCCGAACCUGUCAAAAAUAAAUGAGUCAUAGUUUGUUUGAUCAUUCAUUUUCUAAUCUUUCUUCUUUAUAUUUAAUUAGUUGUUUAAUUUCUUAAAAAAGAAUUAUGGUUUAUUUAUAGUAUAUUUGGUAGUAUGCAUGCCUCAGCUUCUUUAAUGCAUGUCUCUUACAGUAUAUUUGGUAGUCUUUUAUAAUGUUACACCCUUUUUUUAAUUCCUAAUACCUUUUAACUUUCCAAAUUUUCAUUCUUUCUUUUAGAAAAUUAUUUUCAUUAUUUUUUUAUGGUUACAAAACCAUCCAUUAACUACAUUAAUUAGACAAUUCACUCCAAUAAUAAAUAAAUAACUUUUUUGGAUCUAAGGUCUUUUCUCAUUCUACAAAUUUAAUUUACUAUAUAAAGGUUAUUAUGCUAAUUGAAAAAUAUAUUUCUCUCAAGUAUGCAAUGACAGAAAAUUAGGUUAUAAAUAUAAAAAAAAAAAUUAGGUAUUAUAAUUUUUUUAAAAAAAUUAUAUUUUAAUUUUUUAAUAAAACCUUGCAUUUGGGGAUUCACAUGUUGUUACUUGUCGAACCAAAAAGGAUAAAUUCGCGAUGAAAACUCUUUAAAAACCCAAUUCGUGGAAGGAAAAAUUGAACUGUGGCGUUGAGUUAUUUUGUUGUUGAAGAAGAUCAGUAAAAAACCCACACCAUUAAAACUUCUUUUUGUUUCUUUAAGUAUAUUUUAGAUUGCAGCGUAUUUUCUAUUUGGGUUUAGUUAGGGUUUCUCUUGUUUAUUCCAAGAUAUGCAUGGAUAGUUCAUGUUCGACUAUUUGGAAAGAGGGAUUUAUGUAGCACGGGUAUUAUAUUCUGGUUUUGGAAGUGUCGAGAUAAAUUAAGGACUUUUUUAAUCUUCUUCAAACAAACCUAUACGAAGGUGAAGAAUAAUUUGUGCUUGUAUUUUAGUCGGAAUAAGAAGAAACAUGAAGAUAAUGCCCAGGAGGAAAAUAACCAUGAGAAAAAGUUGUGUAUUCCUCCAUCCAUAACUGAGCUCUCUAAUGUGUAUUCCUCCCUCCAUAACUGGCUUACUUUGGACUGUUUGGAUAGAAAGAAACAAUAGAAUUUUUAAGGAUAAAUCAAGGUUUAUUGUUUACUUGUGGAAAGACAUAUGUAACUUGAUCGGAGUUUGGUCUAGGCGUCAUUCAUCUUGUAACCAAUAUGAUGUUACUACCAACUCUUAACUUUAAGCUUUGUAAGAUUAGGUUGUUUCGGGCUUCCCUCUAGACUUCAACCUUGUAACUUUAACUCUAUGUUAAUAGAUAAUGACUCUUAUCCUAGGUUUAUCUUAGUUUGAAGGAUUCGGUUUCUUCUUCUUAAAAAAAAGUUGUAUUUCGACUACUAUUUGGGAGGAAAAUGUGCUUAACUAACUAAAAAUCUAAUGACACUUCCAAAACCAGUCAUUUCAAGAAAUGUUUCCUCAAUAAUAUAUUUAAUGCUCUUCCUUUAUAGAGUAAAACAGUAAAGCAACAAAACCAUUUUAAUUCAUUAUAUAUAUAUAUGUAGAUAUAUAUAUAUUUAUGUAUGUCAUUACUACAAAAAAGGCCUUUCUUGACGUUUGUUGUUUUUCUUUCUUGACAUUUUUUUUCAAAAAAACGUCAAGAAAGGAGUAGUUCCAAAGAUAAAACGUCAAGAAUUUUUACGAAAAGGCGGGGGUAGGUCAAUUUUCAGAUUUCUUGACAUUUAUUAAACAUCAACUAAUAUGUAUUUUUUCUUGGCGUUUUAAAAACGUCAAGAAAUAUCUAUAAAAAUUUUGACGUUUUUAAGAAUGUUUAUAUAUUCAACAUUCUUCAAAAUUUUCAAACGUCAAGUAAUAUGUACUUUUACUUGACAUUUUAAAAACGUCAAGAAAUAUCUUAAAAAUUCUUUAUGUUUUAAAACGUCAAGAAUUUUUAUAAAAAGCCAGAGAAGAGUUAUUUUUUAAAUUUCUUGAUGUUUUUUUAGACGUCAAGUAAGAUCGUUUUUCUUGACGUUUUGAAAACGUCAAGUGUUAUUAAAUAUAUAUAUAUAUAUAUAUAUAUAUAUAUAUAUAUAAAAGAAAAUAUUGGGUUGAAUCCUUCGUAGCCCUAGACUUGUCUCUACCGCAUUCGAAAAUGCCAAGUUCUUUCUGAGGAUCUCUAACUUCUGCCGUGUUCACCGUCCGUCCGUCCGCGUUCACCACGUCCGGGUUUAUCUAAUAUAUUUUUCCAAAUCUUAAAGAAGAACUUUUGAUUUCAUUGGAGUUUAUCAUUAGAGGCAUUACUAUAUUGGCUGCCUCUCAGUGGGCUAUAGGUUUUCCAAUGGUCAUUUGAGACUGGUUGAUAAUAGCAAAAGUUAGAGCUUGAGAAGAAGGAGCGAAGAAAGUAGUGAAGACAAAAGAAGAAAGAAAGCUGAGUGAAAAACGAAAAUUGACAAGGUAGAGAUGUGACAUGAAAAUGAUGAUGAGAAGUGAAGGAGGCACGACACAAUACUGGUACACAAUAACAAAGCCUUGAUAAUUAAAAAAAGGAUGGUGCCAAGAAAAUUUAAAUACAAAAAAAAUGAAGGUUCUUGCAAGUGUAUUGAGUGAAUGGGAGAAAGAAAGGAUAAAAAAGGUAGAAAGAGAGAAAGAGAAGUCAAGGGUAGAGAUACAUAGCUUUGUAUAUAGAAACUUUAUGUUUAUACUCCAUUAUACGUUGUGGAGAAUAUAACAUCCUGAUAUGUCUGAUUCAAUUUGAAUGAUGCAAUUAUUUAUUUUUCUGCAAUAAUUCUACUUCUAGAACCUAAAUCAUAUUGUUCACAUGAAAUGAUAAAAUAAUCAUUACACAUUUACAAGAACAAUAAAUAAAUUAUGUGAUUUUCGUGAGAAAAAUGAAGAAGAAAUAACUUCUAACAAAAGUAAAUAUAAAUUAAAGGAGAAUAUAAAAUUGUUGAAAAUAUUUAUUUUCAAUAAUUUGGAAGUUCUUUGGCUAUAUAUAAUGAAAGAGAGCCUUUCCAAGGUGUGAUGCCUGGCGUCAACAAUGACGCGCUUAGCACAGAUACGGAACCGGACACCAUCUUCUUGGUGUUUGUCUGUGCAAAAGCCUCGAGUGGCUAUGGUCUUCUUCUUCUCUGUGAGGGAAAUGGUUGAAGUUGCUAGACUAUUUCAAUUACUAUGUGAGAGGUGGCUGAAUUUUAUUGGACCUCUCUUCUUGAGCUUACUUUUUACAAUUGUUUAACAAUCUCUCUCCGAAUAUACCUUCGUCCCCUUAGCUGCUUUCCACUUUGGUAAAAUCGCCAAAGCUUUAUGUGUACAUUACAAGAGAGAGGAGCAGGGCAAAAUAAGGUUAUUGGAACAAGGCAAAAGUUAUCAUUGCUAGCUGCAACUUUCCUCAUUCUUUUCACCCUCCUUCAAACCAUAUUGUCUGCUAUGUAUGCAUUUCCUAGCUAGCCUUCCCCGGCAUAUUCUAUUUUAGCUUUUUUCCUCUACAGUUUCUGUUAUGUAUUUUUACUGAAUAUUGAUCUCCUUUUUGCUAUCAAGAUAGUAUACCAUACAUGCAUGUGUAGGACUUUAAUUUUAUCCCUUAUAUUUUAUAAUUUGUCUUACUACUGUUAUUGACUGAUAUACCAAUAUACAUGUGUAAAGUAUUGACCAUAUAAUUAAUAUUAAAUUUAUUACAUUCACUCAUCAAUUUAAGUUUUUUAGUCAAUGUAUGUUCAUGAUGUACCAUGGUCAUAUCAUAAUAGAAUAGAUCCAAGAUUAUAUAUGUUCAAACCAACUGGUGAUUUAAUUAUCAAAGAUAUUAUGAUUUUGUCCAGUUUUUUUUUUUUCAGUCACUACUAGAAAAAUGGAUUUUAAUCAAGACAUUGUGUCGUUGAAAAUAAAAGAAAAAAGAGGUGGGAUGAGGUACAUUGUGUUGUUGAAAAUAAAAAUAUGGAUUAUUUCUUAAAACAACCAUACACAAUUUAAUUUAUUUCAACACAAUUUUUGCGUCAUUAAUUAACGACAAUUUUUUUGUCAUUAAAAAAAUUUUCAAAUGAAAAAACCUCAAAUUUCAAAAAAAUUCGAAGUGGGCUACCGAGUCGUUAUGAAGAACCCUUGCCCUCCAAUUUUUUGCCACUUGCCGUCGUCGAUUCCACACUCCAACCACUGUUGUCGUUGCUCCCACAACAAGCCUUCGCCGUCAAACCCACCAAUCUAGCCACUUUCGUCGAAUAAAUUUAUUUAGAAAUAUAAGUUUUAAUGACACUUGAAAUCAAGAAAAAGGGAUAUGAGGGAAUAAAAUGUGUCGUUAAAAAUAAAAAUACAAAAUUUUUUGUGACACAAAUUGAGUUUUCUUGACAAAAUUUUGGCAUUGUAAAUAAUUGCAUAAAUUAUGUGUCAUUAAAAAUUACCCUAAUAAAAAAUCAAUGUUUUCCUUCAAUCAUACGUUUUUUGAUUUAAAACAAAUAAUUCGAAGCUUUCAUCCCACUUGUGAACAAUGACCGAAAAAAACCUUACUUCAUCCCACAUCGUCGUUGUCUUUAGCUCUCUCACAAAUGCUCUCUGGCGACGUUCCCCCCUCUCUCGCAAAUACUCUUCACGACUUUUCCUCUCUCUCAAAAUUAAGCUCUCCGCCCACCAUUUGAAGGAACUCACCAAAUUUGCAAGUAAUUGAAGAAUUCGUGGUCCAUGAGAUAGAUUAAGUCCAUUUAUGAGUUAGUUUGAUUAUAUUAUGUCACAUAUACAUGUAUUACAAUUAAGGGACACUUGCAAAAAUGGCAAAAUAAGUUAUAAUAAUUAAGUCCAUAGAACACAUACCUUAUUAUUUGAGAAAGUGACAAAAACAAAGACCAACUCACACAUCAAGAGGUAAAAUGUCAACAAAUGCCCUCGUUAUUGAUGUACAUUUGAUACACCUUAUACACGUCUGAUACACCUAAUACCUCUUGAUACAUUAAGUCCAUUUAUGAGUUAGUUUGAUUAGAUUAUGUCACAUAUACAUGUAUUACAAUUAAGUGACACUUGCGAAAAUGGCAAAAUAAGUUAUAAUAAUUAAGUCCAUAGAACACAUACUUUAUUAUUUGAGAAAAUGACAAAAACAAAGACCAACUCACACAUCAAGAGGUAAAAUGUCACAAAUGCCCUCGUUAUUGAUGUAUAUUUGAUACACCUUAUACACGUCUGAUACACCUAAUACCCCUUGAUACACUUGAUACUUCUUACUGAUACACUUGAUACAUUUGAUAAUACAAUUCAUGCACUCGGUACUCAUUGAUACACUCGAUACUUUUUGAUACACACUUGAAACAUCUUCAUACACAUAAUACUUCUCGUUCCACAUAAUACUUCUCGUUACACUUGAUUCUUCUUGAUACACUUGAUACCCCUGAGACGUUGAUACACUUGAUUAGUUUGAUACACUUAAAGACUUCACUUAUAAGUUUGAUACACGUAAUACACCACUAAUAAACUGUUUAUACUUCAUUGGUACACUUAACAAAUUUGAUAUGUUUGAUGUACAUGCACUACAAGAAAUUUACCCUUUGUCGAUGACAAAUAUCGUCAGUAAAUCUUCAAAAACUAAUCAACUUUUCUUUUGCCAACAAAAUUAAGCUGUCAACACACACCGUCACGUAGGUCUAUUGGAAGAUCCUCUAUCGAUGGCAAAAAAUAAACUGUCAGCAAAAAUAGGAACUAUUUUGAGAUAAGGUUUGUGCGUACACGUGUGUGCGUUUGUGCAUGUGUGUGUGCUUGUGUGCGUGUGGAUAGGUGUGUGUGUGAAUGCGUGCUCGUGUGCAUGUGUGUGUGCGUGGGUUCGUGCGUCUGUGGGUGUCUGUGUGUAGGUGUGCGUGUGUGUAAGUGUGCAUGUGUACGUGUGUGCGCAGUGCUUCUAUGCUUGUGUCCGAACAAGUUAAUAUUUUUUAAUGUUGAGUUUCUUCCAAUUUUAAAAUAAUAAUUUAAUUAUCUUGAUAUUUAAGGCAUUAAUGUUAUUUUGAGAUAAAGAUAGUGAACGGGUUGAUAUUUUUUAAUUUUGAAAUUCAAUUAAGGUUAUUUUAAUACAAAAUCUAUCGUUGAGACUCUCAAAUUCCGAAAAAUAAUAAUUUUGUUAUUUUGAAAUUCAAUUUUGUUAUUUUGAAAUUCAAAUUCAAUUAGGUUAUUUUGAAAUUAGUAUGAUUGAAUAAAGUUAUUAAUAUGUUGAAUUAAUUAGUUGAGUCUCGAGAUAUUAAGAAAAAUAUUAUGAUAUGAGUUGAUGUAUCUAUUUCAAGUAAAAGAUAAUUAAAAGCUGAGAAAUGCAUAACAUAAAUUAAUUACAAUGUAGAGACGAAAUAAUUACAGUUGAAGAAUAUUGAUAUUUUGGUAUUUUAUAAAAUACCAUGCACGUGCAAAAAAUGCUAGUUGCUAAAAUUCAAAGGAAAAAGUAGUUUUGUCAUUUUUCAAAAUGACCCCUAAAAACGUUGUUAUGUCUCUUAUGACAAAGAGUGUAGAUCUACUGAUCCAUAUUCGAUUUGUUUUUUGUUGGUAAAAUUGGAUAAGACCGCAUUAUAUUGAAAUAAUUACACGAAUGACACUUUUAAGCCAAUAUUGAUAGAAAUUAUAAUUUAAUCAAUGUUAUUAAGUCAAAUGAACAUGGUUUAAAACUCUUUCUAAACAUAAUUAAUGUAUUUGUUUUUUAACUUUAAUUAAUUUACACAUCUUUGUGCGUGCGUGUGCGUGCGUUGUGCACGUGUGCGCGUGUGCUUGUGUGCGAACAAGUUAAUAUUUUUUAAUUUUGAAAUUCAAUUAAAGUUAUUUUUUAUACAAAAUCUAUCGUUGAGAUUCUCAAAUUUCGAAAAAUAAUAAUUUUGUUAUUUUGAAAUUGAAAUUUAAUUAGGUUAUUUUGAAAUUAGUAAGAUUGAAUAAAAUUAAAAUCUUGAAUCAAUUAGUUGAGUCCCAAGAUAUUAAGAAAAAAGGAUGUAUCUUUUUCAGGUAAAAAAUAAUUAAAAGCUAAUAAAUGCAUAACAUAAAUUAAUUACAACGUAGAAACGAAAUAAUUACUGUUUGAGAAGGUGAAUAUUUUGGUAUUAUAAAAUAUCAUGUACACGUGUAAAAAAUUCUAUUUGCUAAAAUUUAAAAGAAAAAGUAGUUUUGCCAUUUUUCAAAAUGACCCAUAAAAACGUUGCUAUAUCUCUUAUGACAAAGAGUGUCAUCUACUGGUACAUAUUCGACUUGUUUUUUGUUCGUAAAAUUGGAUAAGACUGCAUUAUAUUGAAAUAAUUACACUAAUGACACUUUCAAACCAAUAUUGAUAGAAAUUAUAAUUUAAUUAACGUUAUUAAGUCAAAUGAACAUGGUUUAAAAGUCUUUCUAAACAUAAUUAUUGUAGUUUUUUUUAAUUUUAAUUCAUUUAUACAUCUUUGUGCAUAUGUGCGUGUGUGCGUGCGUGUGCGUGAGUGCGUACGUGUGUGUGUAUGCGCGUGUCCACGUGUGCGUGGGUGUGUGUGUCUACGUGUGCGUGGGUGUGAGUGUCCACGUGUGCGCUUUUGUGCGUGUGCGUGUGCGUGUGUGUGCGUGUGUGUGCGUAUACGCGCGUGUGCGUGUGUACGUGAGUGGGCGUGUGCGCUUUUUGUGCUUUUCUUCCAAUUUUAAAAUAAUAAUUUAAUUAUGUUGAUAUUCAAGUCAUUAAAAUUAUUUUAAGAUAAGGUUAUUUUAAUAUAAAAUCUCCGUUCUAAAUAAACACAAUCCAGAUCAGUGCCACUGAACACAGGCAUUUCAACCUUCUUGAAUUUGCUAUGAUCGUUCGAGUUUUCAUCCAUUUCAAACUUGUUUGUUUUACCUUCUACCUUGAUUUCCUUCAAUGUCUUACCUCCACCUUCGAUGAUACUCUCAAUCGUUUGUCCUUUGCUCGAUGAUCCUUCCAUUCUUCCGGAGAUUGUCGAAUUAUCCUUCUGCUAUUCAUUUGAUGCAUUUAGCAACCGUUCUUGUUUUUCUAACUAGAUGACUAGUCUUUCGAUGCUUUUUGGCAAGAAUAACAAGUUUUCUUCAAUUGCCAGCAACUUGUGUAACUGAACUUGUAUCCCUGAGAUUUCCUUAUCAGAGGUCUCCAACUUCUCUUCGAUCCGUUUUUUGUGCUGCUCUAUCGUUCUCCCAAGUAAAAUCGCUCUGAUACCAAUUUGUUAAGAUACUGUAAAUAUACGGCAAGUGCAUCUUACUUUAUUGAAUUACCUCAACGAAUUACAGUAUAGAGAAUAAAAAAUCACUCACAUCUACUUCCUAAAGGCACACUCCAGUGAGGAUCACAACAAAGAACAAGAAAAACUAAGAACAAACUGCAACCAUGAAAAUGACCAAAACAAACAAUAAAAAGAACUUGACUUGGACCCUCUACUUCUCCCGAGCAUGAAAGAGGGCAGCCUCUACUUCUUUGGAAUAUUUUGUCCCCUUUCUCCCUCCUCUUUCCUCCCUUUUUAUUUUUCUUUACUAACAAACUAAUGGGAAAGAUCUCCUCCAAUAUUCUCUCCUCCUAUAAUCUCUCAUAUAUUCUCGUGUGGGUCAAUAUUACCCUUUUUAAUUCUUCUACUGUAUUUAAAUAAUAUUGGAGACAUAUGCUUCCUAACAAGAACAAGAUCUGAAUUUAUUAUAAUGUAACUAUAAGAAAAUACAAGAUAAAACCAAGUAUAAAGCAUUAGAACCCUCCCUCUUGAGUACUCUCACCCAAGCCUUAUAUCACUCCCCAGAAUUCUCCCCACCACCCUAGUUACCACACUUACAUAAUAACUACUAGUAACCACACUUACACAAUAACUUCCUAAAUAUCUAAUUACCCUUAUACCCCAACCCUAUACAUAAUCUAGGUAUCUAACAAAUUCCAUAACAUAAUGUAUUAGGGGAAGAAGGAAAUCGAGGAUAAAAAACACUAGCUAGCCAACAAAUAUCUUUCAUUAGUGAGCUUGAGCCAUUUUACACGUAAAAUGGGAAAAGUAAGCCUGCAACCCAAAUUAGCCUAAUGGUUGUCUUAACAACCACUACCCACCAUCAUGAUAGAAACAACUGAAAAGGAAGAGCAUGAUACAAUCCAACUCAAAUAUAAGAAUUGAUUUUGAUGUUUAACUAAAAGUAAACAGGCAGUAGAAUAAGAAACUAUGCCCUUUUAGAUCUAGAAGGUUCACAACAAUUUCCAGCCUAAACACAACUACGAGCCAAUGGAAGAAUAACGGCAAAGCCCUUGUGUGCAUGGAAUCGCUAACUUUGGUGCAAAUGAGAUGAUUAUCGGUAUUCAAAGGCCAAAAGGACACAUAGAAGAGUGUUCGUCUAAGGUUGGAAGACUAACCUUGAAAAGAGAGCAAUACAAAAAUUUAGAGUUUUCCGCACUUUUCCUGUAAUGACAUGAGUGCUUGUACUCCCAUAAGCAGUGAGAGAACCACCAAGCUCCUCAAUCAUCUAAAUCAGAAAACAAAUGCACAUUAGAGCAGUCACAAUUUGGAAUAAAUAGAACUUUUUAUUGUUAGAAUCUUAGAAUAUUUACGAAAAGUUUAUGGGAAUAUUUUUCUUAAUUCCUAAAUAUUUUCCUUUUUUAUUCCUCUGUAUAUUCUAUUUAUUCUCCCUUGUACCUAUUGUAUUUUUCAUCAGAAAAUAAUAAGAAGAAAAAUAUAGUGGUUUUUCUCCUGAUACACAGGUUUCCACGUAAAGUUGUGUGUUUGUUUGUCUCCCUUUCAAUAUGGUAUCCGAGCAGGUGGUCCAAAAAGGUCUUGUCUUGUCGUUUCCUCCCUAAUUAAAAUCCAUUUCCAGUUGUUGGGCCUUUCAAAUAUUUCAAGCCCACAAGUGAGGAGAGUGUUGGUGAUAUAUAAUUGAAUUUUCUUUCUUUUUUUAAAAAAGGAUACGAGUCUCACUAUUAUUAAUAUAAAGAAAGAGACAAAGCUCAAUGUACAUGAGGAUUAUACAAAGAGCAAAAGGGGAGAGGGAAGAUCAAUAGGCGCAUCCGGACAUCUCAAACUAGGUUGACACCCCCUUAGUGCCCUCAAAACAUCCAAAAAGCGACAACACAAGAUCAAAACAAAAAGCCACAAAAACAAAGACAAACAAAAUGAUAAAAAGAAUCUUUCCAAAGAAAAAUCAUAAUCAAAGGCAGCAUGCUGAGAAAUGCAUUAUAUAGGGUAUCGUUGCCUGCAAGGAUAAAAAAUCAUCUAGUAGCUCAUGUGAGCAACUUGAAACCUUACCAUCAAGAUCCAGAUGACCAGUAGUGCAACAAUGGUGUAUGGUCAUCUAGUGACCUAAAGCAGAAAGACGAUAAAGAAAUGGAAGAAAUCGUUCCUAAGAGAGUGAGGAAGGGUAUACCCAUGAAGAGGAUACAUGAAUUCCUACUGAAGUGAAAGAACCUCCAUGCGGAAGAAACACGUUAGGAAUGUGCUGAAGGGUAUACCCAGUCGACAGGGACGCCAAUUGUUUAAGAGCGGGAGAAUGUAACAAGCAUGCUUGUCCAGGGCGCUGUUUGCUUAUGGCCGCAUGCCCAAACACCCAAAAUUUACAUUGUUUUUAUGUAUAAUCAUUUAGUUUUACUUUUUACUUUCCCUUUUAUGUCAUAAACCUUGGGUGUGAUUUGGCUUUUUCUUAUGCAAGCCUACCAGAACUAAAAAAGUCUAAAAUGUACUAUAGAUGGGACAUAGUAGUUGAAUCCCUGCCCAAGCCUUGUUGCACUCUUCGCAAUCAAAGUUUUUCUUUGCAAUUGACAAUCUUCAAUGCUUGCUUUAACGAUAUUUUCAUUGAAUUUCUUUCUCCUCACGUUUUAUAAAACAUUUUCUCAAGAACGUGAAGAGAGGCUACAUCGUAUCAUGUGUUUGUCCGUGGUUUUUGGAUUUUGAUCAGCUAACUUGUUGUCUACGUAAAACAAGUGCAACAUAAUCGCUCCUCUCGUGUUUGAAAGCUCGCGAUUGUGACACAAGAAAUGCACUAGCCAAGAAUGCACACGAGGAGGGCUACACGAAAUGCCAAGCACGCAACCAAGUGAGGUUCACAAUGUGCUUGUGUGUGAGGUUAGCACGCGGGCAUGCCCAACGCGCGUGAAAAGCCUCUUGUGAGAUUCACACACACUAGCCAGCGCCCAACCAAGGCCCUGCCGCGCACCCAUUCGUGUCAGGCAGUGUCAUAUUGCGUGUUGAGCUAUUUUUGGUAAUUUUUUGAGUUUUUUAAGUAUACUUUUGAUAUUUUCUUGGCAAAAGAUAAUUAAUUGUACUAUUUUACCAUUAUUUCAGGACAUGAGAAGAUCAUACAAAUUUAUAAACCAAGGAUUUGAGCUUGUAUCUUUGAGUGGAAAAUGUUUUAUUUAAAGUGAUUUCAAGCAUGUUCUUAAGUCAUGAUUUAUGACGGAUUUAUGCUAAAAUGUUUAAGUUAUGUUAUGAAAAGUCUUUCAAGCGUGUUAUUGUUUAAAGGUAUUUAUUCAAGCAUAUUUUUUACUCUUCAAAAUGCAUAAUAUUCAAAAUGUUUUCCCACUUUCUAGGUAGAGAUCGUGUCCUCUAAGCCUAACUUGAACCUGUCUACUAAAGGAUUUCAUUUUGUUAUCGUAUGUGUCCUGUUAUUUUGUACUAAUGGUAAAUUAGUCUUUUGUGCUAUCAGACUUACGCUUUUGGAAAGGUUUUAUAAGGUUUUGUUCUAGAUAAAUAAGAUUACGUUUUUUCUAUGUAAAACUUGUCUAAGGUUGUUAAAUGAAAAAGGUUUAGCCCAAUUGGUUUUAGUAAAACUUAUGUGUUAUGUUUCCGCUGUUGUUUAGAAUUUAAAGGUUCAGGCUAAGGGUCAGAUAGUGUCGUUCUUGACGUGGGUGCUAUCGAUUGGCUUCACGCCAUAUCUCGAGCCACGCAAGUAGGUGCUCGUGGUGGGGUGUGAUAGCCUAAGUUGGCUUAUUAACGGUUAAAAUGUAAACAUGUCCAUAACAAAAUAGUUGGGCAAGGCCCAUGUGGACCGACUGGUAAAGGUUGAAGAGCAAAUGCUCUACCUAAUGAAAGUUCCUAACUCAAUUCGCUUCUCGGAAACCCGCCUUGAAGAAAUUUUUUAGAAAGCUGAUGCUAUUAAUUAAACCACCACCCAAAAUCUUAAGCUAGUGAUUAAAAGUAAAUUUAAUUAUAUAUCACUAACAAUCCCCCACUUAUGGGUUCGAAAUAUCUAAAAGGUCCAACAAGUGAAAAUCAAUUUUAAUUGGGAAGGAAACACCAAUACAGGGACUUGAACAUAAGACCUUUUGAACCACCUGCUCUAAUACCAUAUUAAACCCCAAAUUCACCCAAAAGCUUAAGCUAGUGGUUGAAGGUAAAUUUAAUUAUAUAUUACCAAAGUAUGAGGUUUCAUCACAAUACCAAUUGGCAAUGAGAGGAGUAGCUCAUCUAUUUUAUAAAGAGUCUAAGUUUCCUUGGUUUUUCAAUUGUGGGAACAUGCCCCUUCAAGAUGGUGCCUCUUUGGUUUCACCUAUCUUGAACCAAAUAUCCGUUUAGGCUUAAUGAGCUCUAAUACCAUAUUGAAAGCAAUAUAUACGAAACCAAAGCUUAAGUGAAAACGUAAGAAUCGAAAGAAAAGCAUUGUGUUUGUAGUUUUAUUAUUUUUAUGAUAAUUACAGACGUACAAUUGGUGGUUUAAUAUAUAUCACUAACACUAUUGCUGCAAUGAUCGAUCAUCUCGAUGGAUUACCCAUUUAAGAGUUGUUGACAAGAGUUGACACUCUAGAAUCAAAAGUUGUAAGAACUAGAUGUUGUAAUAAAUGUCCUAAAACUCGUUGUAAUCAUAAUCUAUUCAUUAAAGUCGUUAUUGAUACUAUAAUCUUAAAGCCAAUAAACUAAGGACCCGAAGUUAUUAUUAAGUAAACUUGAACUUUAUGUAGAGACAUAAAAGUUGAUCAAGUUUAAGUAUAGAGCCUAAAUAGUAUAGAUUGUACGAAUACAGUUAGGCACCUUAUUCCAGGACAAUGAAUGCAGUCUGCUUUGUAUUUAGUAUAAACGAUGUGAUCCUAAAUCCUAGAGACAUGAAAGUGUGGACAUCCUAUGUAAAGAGUUUACAAAAGACUAGAACCAUGAAAUAGUCACUUUUAAGUUAUGACACCGUUAACUUUGAAAAACUUACUAUUUCAUUGAUAGAUAUCAAAUAUAACUUAAUCUUAAUACUGAGCUAACUAUAAGCUUCUGUUCUCACCAGCAUGCUUGUUUAAGGCGUUGUUUAUCUAUGGCCACAUGCCCAAAUACCCCCAAAUCACCUUUUCUUUAUGCCUUGUAUUUAGUUUAGUCUAUUGCUUUUCUUUUUAUGUCAUAGACCUAGGGUGUGAGGUGUCACACAUUUUCAUUUGCAAACCUGUCAAAGCUCAAAAAGUCUAAAUUGUACUAUAGAAGAGACCCAAUAGUUGAAUCCCCAACCAUGUCUUAUCGUAUUCUUUAUAAUCAAAUUUUUAUUUGCAAUUGAAAGUCUUCAACGCUUUCUUUAAUGAUGUUUUUAAUGAUAUUCUCUCUCACAUUUUAUAAAAUAAUUUUUUCAAGAACGGGAAGGGAGGUUAUAUCAUAUCGUGAGUUUGUUCGUGAUUUUUGGAUUUUACAUUACUGACUUAUUGACUGAGCAAAACAAGUCCUCUACAAUUGUCCGUUCCAUGUUUGAAAGAUUGUGAUUGUGGCACGCAGAGUGUCACAAGUGUGCUUGUCCAAUGCAUUAUUUGCCUAUGGUCGUAUGCUCGUAUAUCCUCAAACCACUUUAUCUUUAUGCUUUGUACUUAGUUUAGUCAACUGCUUUCCUUUUGUUGUCACCGACCUAAGGUGCGUCGUUUCGCAAUUUUCAUAUGCAAUGUUGUCAAUGCUAAAAAAGUUUAAGAUGUAUUGUAGGGGAGGCAUGGUAGUUGAAUCCCCAACUAAGCCCUAUUGUGAUUUUUGCAAAUCUAAGCUUUCUUUGCAAUUGACAAUAUUCAAUUUUUUCUUUAAGGAUGUUAUCAAUGUUUUUCUUUAUCUCUCACGUUUUAUACAACCAAUUUCUCUCAAAAGAUGAAGCGAGGCUACAUCGUACCAUGAGUUUAUCCGCAACUUUCAAAUUUCACAAGGUUGCCUUGUUCAUCAAUUUAGAACAAGUGUUGCACAAUCGCCCGUCCCGUAUUUGAAAAGUUGCAUUUUGUGACAAGUGGUAUUAAAGCUUUCUUAGCUCCUUGGCUAAGCGAGAUGCAAUUAUGUCGACAAUGAAACAACUAUCAAAGUUGCAAUCUGAGCGACUGACUGAGAUUGAAGAGGAAUUCUUGGAUAUGAAAGAAUUGUCAAAGGAAGUAAGAUUUCUCCAGACCUAACUUGAGAUGUUUAAAGAAAAAGUCAGAGAAAUAGACGCAUUGAAUGCCUAAAUAGACAAACUACCCAUAAAUGAAUUGGCGUUGAGGGUUGAUUCGUUAGAACAUAAAACCACCAAAGUAGGUAGUUUUAAACGUGGAAGUAGCUCUUCAAGUUCUAUCGCACAAAUGGAAGAGCGUGUCGAAGAGUUUGACUUUUGACAAGCUCCAACAUAAUCAGUUAUAUUUCAAGAAAGAGAAAAGUGUUUUUGCUAAAUAGCAUAUCAAUUUUCUGGGUCACAUCAUCGAAUGUAGAAAGAUUUGAAUGGAUGAACAUAAGUUGUGAGCUAUUAAGGAGUGGAGAGCCCCCACUUCCGUGAAAGAGUUACGUUUCAUCCUUCAAUAUAUUCUAAAAUAGGGUUCACCUACUAUCCUCUAGACUCAGUACCGAGAGAAAGAAAUAGAUGGAAAAAGAAAUGGGCUUGGUAAUUUUUUUUUCUAUGUAAAUAAGAAAAAGAAAUCCAAUUUGGUACAAGAGCCCAAAUUCAAUAGCCAGCCCAUCAAAUGAGGUCAACGACCCUAUUUAUAAGGAUUUUCCAUGCAAAAUUGCAUGUCCAUGGAAUACUAAAGCCCAACAACUCAAAGCUCUAUUUCUAAUAUGAAAUUCGAUGGCUAUAACACAUAUACUUGUCAGUUUCUCUCUCUUCUCCAAUUCGAACAAUUCGACUUAUUUUAUUUAUUCCAUCACACUGUUUUAAGUUUAUUCCAUAUGAGCUAGCAAGGGAAACUAAUGGACCUAUAUAUCAUGGACUCUAAUGAUUCAAGAUUAAUUGACUAAAUUCUUAUAGACUAAGUUAAUCAACAUUCGUUAACUAACGGGUCAUUCAUGUAUGUACUGGAACGAUUCAGAAUCACCUCGUUUGUACUAACUACAAAUCGGGCGACAUCCACAGUUUCUCUGAAAAAAUCUGGGUUACUACAACGUCACCACGAUGUACAAUUUUCCUGAUAAGAUGGUACUUACGUUCGAUAUGUAUUCCCCGUUUACGGCUUUUAGGUUCUCUUGAAUUUGCAACUGCACCACUGUUGUGACAGUAUAAAGUGAUUGAUAGAUGCAUAUUUGGAACGACUUUCAGAUCUGUCAAGAAUUUUCUUAGCCAUAAUGCUUCUGUUGUUGCUUCAAAAGUUGCUACGUAUUCUACCUUCAUUGUGGAAUCAACUAUACAAGUUUGUUUUAUGCUUCUCCAAACUACUACUCUUCUAUUUAGAGUGAAUACUAAUCCUGAUGUAGACUUUCUAGCAUCUUUAUCAGUUUGAAAAUCAUAAUGAGUGUAUCCACUAAGGAUCAAAUCUUUUGUACCAUACACGAAAAUGUAGUGUUUUUUUCUUCAAAUAUAUUUUAGAACAUUCUUAACGGUUGUCCAGUGAUCACAUCCAAGAUUGGACUGAUACAUACUGACCAUCCCUACUAAUUAACAAAUGUCAGAUCUAGUACACAACAUUGCAUAUAUCAAACUUCCAACAGCGGAAGAAUAGGAACAUUUUCUCAUAUCCUCAAUUUCUUGAGGUGUCUUAGGACAUUGUUCCUUUGACAAAUGAAUUUCGUAGAUGUAUAAUAGCAUACCCUUUUUGGAAUUCUACAUUUUAUAUCUAGACAACAUUUUGUCUAUAUAAGAUGCUUGAGACAUGGCUAGUGUUUUGUUCUUGCAGUUCUGUACAAUUUGGAUCUUAAGAACGUAUUGUGCAUUUCCCAGAACUUUCAUUUGAAAUUGCAUAGCUAGCCAUUUCUUGAUAUUAGUAUGAAAUCCUAUGUCCUUUUCCAAUAAGUAGAAUAUCAUCUACAUACAAGACUAAGAAUACUACAAUGGAAUUGACGACCUUUUUUGUAAACAUAAGGUUCGUCAACCUUUUGUAUCAAAGCCAUAAGAUUUGAUCAUAGUAUCAAAUCUUAUAUUCCAGGAUCUAGAUGUUUGUUUUAAUCCAUAAAUGGAUUUUUGAAUCUUACAAACCUUUUGUUAUUGAUCUUGAUCUAUAAACUCCUCUAAUUGAGUAAUAUAGAUACUCUCUUCAAGAUUGUCAUUCAAAAAAAGUUGUCUUGACAUCCAUCUGCCAAAUUUCAUAAUCAUAAAACGUGGCGAUGCAUAAGACUAUUCUAAUUGACUUUAGCAUGGCAAAGAUAGAGAAACUUUCUUCAUAGUCUAUGUUAGAAAGUGACAUGCGCAGUGGAAAAAUGGAAUACAAAAUUACCCUAAUUGCACCUAUUUAACUUGCAACCCUAAAUUAAAAGAAUUAGGGUUUAGGAAAUAUUAUACCUUUGUAUCUAUUGGAAUAUGAACGUCUAUACCUCUCACAAAAUUCCAAAAGUUUUUGAAACCAAAAUGUAACACCUUAAACUUAGGAUUUGGAAUUCGUAUCUCCAGCAUUCUCUGCAUCCCCUGCGACCUGGCAGCAUCAUCCUUACUAUUCUUAAAAACUUAUUAGAAUGAAAUUCCUCUUCACAAACCAACACGAAAUCUUUCAUCAUGCUUUUCCUCACUCACAUAUAUCCUAGGAAAAUUUCCAAGAGGUCACCCAACAUAGAAUUUCUUCAAGCUAAGCAAGCUUAACUAUGAAGUCCCUAUAAUCGAGCCACCGAAAAAAAAAGGUUCACAUUGUUGGUAUAGGUAAUAAGUUUCAAUUCUUUUAAGUCUUUCUUAACAUGACUUUCAUGUCCUCAAGGUGCACCUUGUCGGUAUACUUGUCGAUUUCUCUCUCUUCUCUCAAUUCGAACAAUUCGACUUAUUCCAUCACAAUGUUCUAAGUUUAUUCCAUAUGAACUAGCAGGGAAACCUAAUGGACUUAUAUAUCAUGGGCUCCAGCGAUUCAAGAUUAACUUGUUAAACUCUUUUAGACCGAGUUAAUCAACAUUCGUAAACUAACGGGUCAUUCCACUAAAGUCCCGCAGUUGCACUCCCCUCACUAUAGAUAUAUUCUUGUCCAUUUAAUAUAACCAUGAUCAAUAAGUUAAUCCUUCACAUGUUAUUCGUAACCUCGAAUGGAUCAAAUUACUGUUUUAUCCUUGAGACUACAUCUUAUUUCUUAAGUUUCAUUGAUCCACUAUUGAACAAUUGGUUUAAGGUCCAACCUAUAAACUUAAUCCCUCUCGGGCUAAUGUGAGGGUGGGGCCCCUUGUUCAAGACUUGGAUUCAGUGCUUAAGAGAACAACCUAUCUACUAACCCUAAACAGGUAGAAGUGAAUUUUGUCUUGCAUCCUAUGUUCCUAGCCAUUCAUCUGAUCUUACCCUUGAAAUAGGAGGCUUAUUGGGAGAACGUUGAUGAGAUACCCUCACCUAUGCAUAUGUAACCCUAAAACAAGUAGAAGUGAAUUCAGUCUUAUGUAAGUACUUUACAGUGCUUAAGAGAACAACCUAUCUACUAACCCUAAAACAGAUAGAAGUGAAUUCAGUCUUAUGUAAGUACUUUAUAGUGUUUAAGAGAACAACCUAUCUACUAACCCUAAAACAGGUAGAAGUGAAUUAUGUCUUGCAUCCUAUGUUCCCAGCCAUUCAUCCGAUCUUACCCUUGAAAUGAGAGGCUUAUUGGGAGAACGUUGAUGAGAUAUCCUCACCUAUGCAAAUGUAAGGAUAAUCUCAUGUGAACAGGAGUUCAUAGUUAGCUUAGGAUUAAGAUUAAGCUACCUAAGUCAUCAAUAAACGAAAUAGUCAGUUCUAAACAGUAAACGGUGUUAUAACGUAAAAGUGACUAUUUCAUGGAUCAGUUUUAUGUAAGUACUUUACAUAGGAUGCCCCCACUUUCAUGUCUCUACAUGAACAAUUUAGGAUCACCUCGUUUGUACUAAUUACAAAGCGGGUCACAUCCGUAGUUUCUCUAAAUAAGGCACUAUAGACUAUUUAGGCUAUACACUCGAACUUGAUCCACGUUUAUGUCUCGACAUAAAGUUCAAAUGUAUUAAAAAAUAGCAUUAAGACUUAGUUUAUUGGAUUUAAGAUUAUAAUUUUAAAUUUUUCAAUAACGAUUUUAUUGAACUGAAUAUGAUAACAAACUACGAGUUUUAGGACAUAAAAUCCCAACAUAUGUAUUUUUGCCUCUAAUAAUAAUGUUGAAAGAUGUUUGUUGUGGUUUCAUAUAGGUGAUAUCUCUUCUGGUUGGACAUAGUUAGGUUUCGUAAUGGGUGACUUUAACGAUAUCAAAAUGCAUUUUGAGGCUUUUGAUAGGUCUUCUGUUCCUAUGGAUAUGGAGGAGUUCGAUAUGGCUAUUUGCAAGGCUUAUUUAGUUGAACCUACAGUACAGGGUAACUGGUUCACCUGGACUAGAAAGGUUCAUGGGUCUGGUUUGAUAAAAUGGUUUAAUCGUAUUCUGGUUAAUGGUGUUGGAUUACUGCAUGGCCUUCGGGUAUUUCUGAUCACUCCCCUCUUAUUUUAUCCCAACUUUUAGCAGAGACAGUGGGUAGUUUCUUUUUGUUUCUUCAACCAUUGGGUUGAGGAUUCUUUGUUUAUUGAUGUUGUCUCUUUGAUUUGGAGUCGCCAUGUAGGAGUUUCUCUGAUUGUGAGUUUCGUGAGAAAUUUACAUAACCACAAGCCUACCCUCCAUAGACAGUUUGGUAAGCACAUUCAGACCUAAGUGAGGAGGUUCGUAUUGCUAAAGAGUCCAUGGAUAAAGCUCAGAGAAAGGUUGGGCAAAAUCCUAUGUCUGAUGUUUUGAGUCGCCAAGCAGGUCUUGCCAUUGAGGCCUUUUGGACGGCUGUUAGAUUGGAGGAAGCCUUCAUGUGUUAGAAGUCCAAGAGGUUUGUGAGUUGCCUUAGAACUUGUGUUACCUCCUCGAUGUUCUCCAUUAUGAUUAAUGGCUCUUUCAAGGGUUUUUUAAUGGGAGGAAAGGUUUGGGUAGAGUGAUCCUUUAUCUCCUUUCCUUUUUAUCAUGGUGAUGGAGGUCCUCUCUCGUAUGUUGAAUCGGCCUCCUCCGAGCUAUCAGUUUCACAGGCAUUGUGAGAAGGUUAGCUUAACUCAUCUAACCUUUGCUAAUGAUCUUAUGAUUUUUUGUGCUGCUGAUGAUUCCUCUCUGAGUUUUAUUAACGAGACUAUUAGAAAGUUUGGUGAUCUCUCGGGGCUAUUUACUAAUCUUAGUAAAAUUUCUAUGUUUGUUGUAGGGGUUAAUAGUGAUGAUGUUUAUCGUUUGACUACCAGUUUGGGUUUUGUUCUCAGGCAUCUCCCUGUUCGUUAUCUUGGGCUUCCUUUACUUUCUGGGAGGUUACGACCUACUGAUUGUGCUCUCUUAUUCAACGUAUUACUAGUCAGAUUCAUUCUUGGUUUGCUAGAGUUUUAUCAUUUGCAGGUAGAUUGCAACUGGUUUGAUAUGUGCUUGAUAAUCUUCAGGUUUACUAGGCUAACGUGUUUGUGCUGCCUGUGAGUGUGCAUCAUGAGGUUGAUAAAAUCUUGAGGUCUUAUCUUUGGAGGGGUAAGGAGGAAGGUAGAGGAGGUGUUAAGGUGGCGUGGGCUGAGGUGUGUUCCUUUUGAGGAGGGUGGUCUUGCUAUUCUUGAUGGGUCUUCUUAGAAUGUUGUGAGUACUAUGAAGAAUCUUUGGUUGUUGCUGACUAGUUCGAGUUUUCUAUGGGUUGCUUGGGUGGAGGCAUAUGUUCAUAAAGGAAGGUCAUUGUGGGAGGUCGAUUCUUGUGUUGGUCGGUCUUGGUGUCUUUGCGCUAUCAUGUGUAAACGAGAUAGUCUAAAAGAGCAUGUUCAGAUGGAGGUUGGGGAUGGUAGGCAUUGUAAACUGUGCCUGGAUCCGUUGUUGCAGGGUGGUCCUAUCCUUCAACAAGUUGGUGAGAGAGCGCUUUAUAAUGUAACGAGUAGAUAGGAGGCUAGGCUCUCUAAGUUUAUUGGUUCGAAAGGGGAGUGGAGGUGGUCGAGGGUGUCUUUGGAUUUGAUUAAUUUAUGGGAUAGGGUUCAAGUUGUAAGUUCGUGUCCUAAUGUUGGUGAUAGGUGGGUUUGGGUUCUUGGUCGUCAUAGUGGUUUUUUGAUUGCUAGUGCAUGGGAUACUAUUCAUCCUCGUAGUGUUAAGGUUCGUUGGACAGGUUUCUUGUGGGGUGGGGAUUGAGAGUCUCGUUAUCAUUUGUUUUUUCAUGUCCUUUUGGUUGUGAUAUUUAGUCUCGGGUCCUUUAGGUUAUGGCUUCCUCUCACAGGAUUGGGUAUUGGGGGGUUGAGUUGUUUAGGGUUUGUCAUUAGAGUAUUGGUAAGGGUGUGAGAAGGAAGUUGUGGUAUGUUCUCUGGUGUGCUACGAUUUAUUUUAUGUGAAAGGAGCAUAAUCAUUGUCUCCAUGGUGGUCAAGCUCGUGAGCUCAUUGUUCUGUUUCAGCUUAUUCCAUCUUGUAUCAGUGCUCGUGUUGUUUAUUUGCGUGAGGAUGCUCAUGGUAUUAUUUAGCUUGUUUUCUUUUGAUUUUUGUUUUAUCUGCUUGUUCUCGGGCUGUGGGGUUGUUUGGACUUUUUAUGUUUUUGUUGCUCUUAAUUUUGUUGGGUUUAUUAUUGUUCUUUCUUUUGAUACUUUGGAUUCUUCCUGUUUUUGUGAGCAUUGUCCGCUCUUGUGAGGUCAUCCUUGUUGUAUUAUGAUAUUAACUUUUCAAGAAAAAAAAAAAGAUAAUGCAAUUCAACUUUAGAUAGAAACAUGAUUCGAAUUUUCAUUUCAAGAAAAUACAAGGGGACAGAACUCAAGGAUUAUGUGGAUCACAAAACUUGAAUUACUAGAAUCUAAAUUUCCAUAUGUUAGAUAUCAUUAGAAGCAGUUAGACCAAAAGUUAAUUAUCAAUAUGUUAGUUCACAGGAACUGCAUAAUCAAGCACAUAAACAUCCACAUUGUCAUUCAUUGUAGGCAGCUUUGAUACACAAAAAAUAUGGAUAUUUUCAGAAGUUCAAGCAUACACAAAAAACAUAUCCUUGUCAGAAAAUAGCCAACUAAGAAAGAGAAGUUCAAGAUUUAUAUACAAAGUGCAGCUGCAAAAGGACAAGCAAGAUGCCAGAAUCUAUAUAUUAUGCAGUCGGAUAUUAAUUGGCAAGUACUAACAGCAAAGGUACCAAAAUAAAACCGUAUCAAUUUAUCUUGUCUAAAACUAAACAGUAUAUGUAAAUCUUGCAAACAAACAAGUUUUUUGAAUCAAAACUGCCAAAAGAUUUUGAUUCAAGUGAUAUGUGGAUUGUGAUCUUUUGUGUCACCCAUCCAUUCCUCUGUUUUAACCAUUUAAAUCAAUAAAUAAUUUUAUGUUCAAACAUAAGUUGGACAACCUUUGUUAAAGAACUGCUUCCCAAAACAAAUAGCAUUAACCACCCUUUUUUAAUUCAACACAUGGGAAUAAAGAUCGAAUCUCUGAUUUUUUGGUCUAAGGUACCUUUCCUAAACUUGUCGAAUUCCAUUUUCUACACCAACUUUAGAACGAGUAUAUACAUCAAGUAAUUUCAUGUUCAACUCAAAAUUGGACAACCAUAGUAUUACUCCAAAGCAAACAAUACUAACUGUUCCAUUAAAUAUUUUUUUAUAGCUCUUGAUUGUCUCACUUUUUUGUAUUUUGAAUUUACAAGCCUCUUUUUUCUUUCUUUGGUAUGAAAGGUGGCAACUAGGCCUUGCUAGAACGAGUGGGGUAACCUUUCUAUGGUAGUACACUUAGUUUCGAAGUUCGAAGUUUUCCUCCUACAGUGGAUCAUCGAUAUUGAUUCUUCUACUGUUAAUUCGACCUCCCAUAAUUCUCUUCUUCUAAGGAUUCACUUUUCUCUAAGGCUCUGCACUUUACUAAAAAGCCUUGAUCUUCUUCCCCCCAAUGUUUUCAUAAACUUCUUAAGACAGACCCUGACCUUGGUUAGGCUCGGAUCUCCUUGGAUUAUCACCUUAUUCCUGAUAUGUAAAUGUUAACAUCAUAUUCUUCCAAUCCACUCCAGUCGUUCCCAAGGAAUACAAUCACUGCAUUCCAAGUAUGGCAACUACCCCUCCCAACUUCAAGGGUAAAAACUCAUUCACUACCUUCUAGUCUCCCAGCAUUAACUCAACAUCUUCACAAAUUACCUUCCCUUUGACUACAGUGCCCGAGCCCAAAAUGACUCCAUAAUUCGACGUUUCUCUUGUACUCAGUUGCAACUCUUUCACUAUUUUUUCCUGAAAUGAAAUUGCGUGUGACUUCACAAUCAAUUAGUACUAUAGCCACAUUCCCUUGUAUCAUCUCUUUUACCUUCAUUUUCCCUAGGUUGGAUAAUCCCACCACAUAAUUAAUGGAUAAUUCCACCACCACCUGACUCUCCUCUACGAUCUCAGGGGCAUUCAACUCUUUCUGAUCAAUUCCUCAUUCUUCGAUAAUUUCAUACUCCUCGCCUUCUUCCUUCACAACAAUUAUUCACAAUUCCCUUUGCUCUUUCAUCUUGCAUUUGUGGUCAUGAGAAUAUUUCUCAUUACAGCGAAAGCACAAUCACUUCUUUCUAGAUUGAAAUUCAGCAUCAAAUAAGCGCUUCGCCUGUCCCUCUUUCCGUACUUCCUCUUUUGUUGUUCCUCGUCGAGUAAUAGUUCUCAUCGGCCAAUUCAUUCCUCCUUUACUUUCUUCUGUAUUCGCAAUGGUAUUAGCCUUGGUGCUAUUAUUGGAGUUUAUCACAUUUUCUCCAGAAUAUCCAGAAAUAUUUGCUUCCUGAUGUAUAUCUUCCUUGUUCUCUACCUUUUGCGCGAUUCGUAUCGUUUGUGCUAAUCCCUUCGACUCACAUAAAUCCAUCUCCGCCUAGAUCCACAGUUUCAAUCACGACAUAAAUGUCUCUUUUACCACCUUCUCUAAUAGGUCCGACAAAGGAGCUACCCACUUAUCGAAUAAAUUUUGAUAUUCCUCUAUCGUUUUCUUUUGUUGAAUUUGCAAGAACCUUACAUACAACGAUUCCUCCCUCACGGAUCGAAAUCGCACAAAUAAUCUUUCCUUCAUAUUCACCCAAUCUACAAAGUUCUCUCGUUCUUCUUGAGAACGGUAAAAGUUCAAUGCUAGUCCCUCAAAACUAAUAGUGGAUACAGUCAUUUUCUCAAAUUUAGUAAGUUUAUGAAUGUGCAAAUACCUCUCUACGUGAAACAGCCAAGAAUCGGGAUCAUCUCCAUUGAAUAUCGACAUCUCCACCUUCUUAAACUUAUUGCAGUAACUAUUACUUUCAUCAUAUAUUUUCUUUCCUUCCUUCCUUGUUUCGUUCUCCCAUCUUGGUCACCCUUCACCUUCGUCCACAUUCUUCGUCGAUAAAUUGUGCAUUGUUGUCUAUUCCAUAAUUCGUAACAUCAUCUAAAUUCUACCUCUCCAUAUUUUUGGAUAUUUUGGCCAACGUCUUUUCGAUCAUCAGUAUCUUACUAAUGUCUUUCUUAAUGUCCUGUAUUUCCUGGUCAAACGUCUCCAUCUCUUCGAUCCGAGUCUGAACCAUUUGCAUUCUUCUUGCCCGAGAUCAAUGCUCCGAUACCAAUUUGAUGGAAACCAGUCUUGGAAUGAAAUUGCUACUAUAUUAUUAAUGAUAGAAUAGGAAUGAAAUCCUAAUUACAAUAUGAAAUCCCUCUCCUGUUAUCCUCUCUCUCAAGGAAGAAUAGAAAUUCACUUUCUCAAACAAAACCUAACUUUCCCGCCCACGAUUACUUUUUAUUUAUACUAACAAUAAGGUAACUAACCCUUCCCUUUACUAACCCUCACAUGCUAUUCAUGUGCACGUGAUAUAUUUUUUUUAAUUUCUUUGUUCCUCUUCCACUGUAUAGAUGUAAUAUAGGGGGUCUAUCAGAUUCCUCCUCUUUUCAAAGCCUCCAACCAAACUCAAUGCUAAGUUUGACUGCUCCCUUCAGAGUGAAGACCCUCAUUUUCCCCCUUCCGUGGUUUGGGGAGGAUUCCUUCUCUUUUUAAAGCCCUCAAUCAAACUUGAUGCUAUGUUUAGAACGCUAAGAAUAGGUGGUCUAGUUUUGGUUAGGCCAAAAGUGAAAAUUUCCCCCAAAAGCACUAAUAGUUAGGGAACUCAACACAUUCUACUUGACUUAAUCGACUUGGCUCUCUAAUUUUUAUGAGCUUUUUUCAAUGCAUAUUGCAUAUGUUUUUUUUAUAGUUGUUGAUUGUCUCACAUUUUUAUGGUUUGCAUUUACAAGCCUCUUUUUUCUUUCUUUGGUAUGAAAUAUGGUAAUAGGCCUUGCUAGAAUCGGUGGGGUAAUCUCUCUAUGGUUCUAAGGAGCUUGGACGGUGGUUGGAGAGGGUUUCUAUGAUGUCGUCUUACACUUCUUUGAGACCAAUUACUUCCCUCAAGGGGUGAAUACGAUUGCUAUUACACUUAUUCCUAAAAGGAAUGGUGCUGAUCGAUUGGAGGAUUUCAGCCCUAUAUCUUAUUGCAGGGUUAUUUAUAAGUGCAUUUCAAGAAUAUUGGCAGAUAGGCUUCGUGUGUGGCUUCCUUCUUUUGUUAGUGGAAAUCAGCCACCUUUCAUCCCUGGGAGGAGUAUUAUUGACAAUAUUCUUCUUUGUCAGGAGCUUGUAGGGGCAUACCAUUUGCACAGAGGUAAACCUCGGUGCACUAUGAAGGUUGACCUCCAAAAAGCUUAUGAUUCUGUUAAUUGGGAUUUCCUCUUUGGCCUGCUGAUUGCCAUAGGUAGGCCUUUAAGAUUUAUGAGUUGGGUUCGAGCGUGUGUGACCUCUCCGAUGUUCUCCAUUAUGAUUAAUGGAUCGUUGGAAGGUUUUUUCCAUGGGAGGAAAGGACUUAGACAAGGUGACCCUUUAUCCCAUUCUUAUUUGUGAUGGUCAUGGAGGUGCUUUCUCGCAUGUUGAACAGGCCACCUCAGAAUUUUCAAUUCCACCAGUUUUGUGAGAAGGUCAGAUUAACUCAUCUUACUUUUGUAGAUGACCUAAUGAUCUUUUGUACUGCUGAUAAUCAUUCUAUGAGUUUCAUAAAAGAGACUAUUAAGAGGUUUGGUGAGCUUUCGGGAUUGUUUGCUAAUCUUCCUAAAAGCUCAAUUUUUCUUGUGGGGGUUAAUAGUUCGAAAGAUUCUCGGCUUGCUGCUAACAUGGGUUUUUCCAUUGGUCAUCUCCCUAUUCGUUAUCUUGGGCUUCCUCUCCUCUCUGGAAGAUUGCGGAGCUCUGAUUGUGAUCCCCUUAUUCAGCGUAUUACCAUUCGUAUUCGGUCUUGGUCUGCUAAAGUGUUAUCUUUUGCAGGUAGACUUCAGCUUGUUCGCUCAGUCCUUAGGAGCCUUCAGGUUUAUUGGGCUAGUGUGUUCAUGCUUCCUAUGAAAGUCCACAGAGACGUUGAUAAGAUCUUGAGGGCUUAUCUGUGGAGAGGUAAGGAGGAGGGAAGAAGUGGUGCUAAAGUUGCCUGGGAUGAGGUUUGUCUUCCUUUUGAUGAAGGAGGUCUUGAUAUUCGCGAUGGAUCUUCUUGGAAUAUAGCAAGCACGUUGAAGAUAUUAUGGUUGCUACUUGUUAAAUCUGGUAGUUUGUGGUUUCUUGGGUGGAAUCUUAUAUCCUUAAAGGGAGAUCGCUGUGGGAGAUCGAUGCUGGGGUGGGUCGAUCUUGGUGCUUUAGGGAAAUCUUGCGUAAGCGGGAUAUCCUUAAAGCUCAUGUUUAGAUGGAGGUGGGCAAUGGAAGGAAGUGUAGAGUGUGGUUGGUUCCAUGGAUUCAGGGUGGGCCGAUUAUCCAGCAGUUUGGGGAGAGGGUGAUCUAUGAUGCGGGUAGUCGGUGGGAUGUGAGGCUGGUGGAUUUCAUGGGUCGGGAUGGUGAUUGGAGGUGGCCGCUUGUUUCUUUGGAUUUGAUGGACAUUUGGGAUAAGGGUUCAGGGAGUGAGGCCGAGUCCGAGUGUUGAGGAUAGGUGGGUCUGGGUGCGGGGAGUCGUGAUAGUUUUUCGAUCACUAGUGCGUGGGAGACUAUUCGUCCUCAUAAGUAGGGUUGGAUGGUCGGGUUUACUAUGGGGUGGGGGAAAUAUUCCUAAGCACUCCUUCUGUGCUUGGUUGGCCAUCAGGGAUAGGUUGAGUACUAGAGAUAGGUUAAGUCGGUGGAUAGGUCGAUUCCUUUAUCGUGUUUGCUUUGUGGAGGGAACUAUGAGUCUCGUGAUCAUUUGUUUUUUUCUUGUCAUUUUGGGUGGGAGAUUUGGUCGAGGAUCCUUUUGCUUAUGUCAUCUUCUCAUAGAAUCGGUUAUUGGGGGUUGAGUUAUCUUGGAUUUAUAAUCAGGGUAUUGGGAAGAGUGUGAGGAGAAAACUGUGGCGCCUUCUCUGGUGUGCUACAAUUUAUUUCAUUUGGCAGGAGCGAAAUCAUCGUCUUCAUGGAGGUGCUGUUCGGGAGCCUAUGGUUGUAUUCCAGCUCAUUCGGUCGUGUAUUAAAGCGUGUGCUGCUUCUUGGUCGGAUGGUGUUCAUGGUCUUAUUUAAUGUUCUUUUCGUUUGCUUGUCCUCGGGCUGUGGGGUUUCUCUUCUCUUUAUUAACUUUGUUGUCUUUCUCUCUUUUCUUGUCCUUUUAAUGUUUGGAACACUAGUUGGUUUCUUUUGGUUUUAGUUCUUGUUCCCGAGAUGUGGGGUUGUUUUGGGUACUUAUGGGUUGUUUUGUCUAACUACUUGUUUUGUGAGUGUUGUUCGCUCUUUUGUCUUGACCUCAGGCUGUGAGGUCCACCUUGUUGUUGUAUAAUAUUAUCAUUAUUACCUUUUCAAAAAAAAAUCAAACUCAAUGCUAAGUUUGACUGCUCCCUUCGAAGUGACAACAAGCCUCGUUUUCGCCCUACUGUGGAUCGAGGAGGAUUCCUCCUCUUUUCAAAGCCCUCAAUCAAACUUGACGUUAUGUUUAAAACACUAAAAAUAGAUGGUCUAGUUUUGGUUAGGCCAAAAGCGAUGUUUUCCCCCAAAAUCUCUAAUAGCUAGGGAACUCAACAUGUUCUACUUGACCUAAUUGACUUGACUCUGUAUUUUUUAUGAGCUUUUUUUAAUGCAUAUUGCAUAUGUUUUUUUUUUAUAAUUGUUGAUUGUCUCACUUUUUUAUGGUCUGCAUUUACGAGCCUCUUUUCUUUCUUUGUUAUGAACUGCGGUAACUAGGCAUUGCUAGAACCGAUGGGUAACAUUUCUAUGGUUCUACACUUAGUUUCUAAGUGUGAUUGCUCACCUCUAAUUUUCAAAACACUUAAUUUCUAAGCACAUACAAUGUUCACCUAGAAAAAAAUGAAAAUUGUUGUAGUUAAGAUCAAAACUAAAUAGUUAUGAAAUAAGACAUAAGAGAUUUGAUUUUAACAACCUUCCCGUUGUACUUGGGAUCCACUCUGGCUUUGUGCUGGAAAAUUGGUUUGGAGCUGAUCGUAAGCUUUCGGUUGCUCUUCUGUAACCUUUAGAUACUCUUCAAAGCUAUAAGCUUUGCUUCCUGACGAAUAAUCUUCUACUAUUACAAUACAUAAGAAAAUUCUAUUUCAUAAACCCUGUAUCAUAAUUGAGGCUGAUAGAAUGAUUAUUCUAUAACCCUACUAUAGUUUCAUUCUUAACAUUCAUAGACACGAUGCAUGGCAGCUAUCCAAUUCUAUUUCAUGUUCUCGAGAAUGGCUCGGUUUAACAAUAAUGUUAAUUUUUGUUUUCUAUUUUAAAAUAAUAACGCUGCUUACUAAUAACUAAAUGUUUUAAGCCAUUUACAAAUUAGAUUUCAAUAAAUCGAUAAUCAUAUUUUUUUACAAUAUAGGACUAAAAAAGAUAACUAAUUUAUAUAUAUAUAUAAUAUAUAUACAUAUACAACAGUAUUUAGUUAAAUUACAAAAAAAAAUUCUUUUGAAUUUUGUAGUUUGUGUAAAAAAAUAACCUUAAACUUUGAAAUGUUAAAAAAAAUUGUUUUGAACUUUUAAAAAUUAUUCAUAAAUACAUCUAUAUACGUAGGAUGAAGGUAUUGGCAUGCUUCUCUAAAAAAACUUUCCAAAAAGAUGUUGUGUGACUUUUGAAAAGAAAAAUUACAAAUGGGGUCGUUUUUAAACAAAUUAGAUAUAUCGAGUUAUAUUUAUUUAAUUUUUUUCCUUUUUUCACAUAUUAUCAAUCACAUCUUACUUUUUUCUUUUUUCUUUGGAACCCUGCAAAAAUAACAAAAACAUUUAUAAUCACAUGACUCAUGUCACUACAUUUUCUAAAUUUUAAAAGUAGUAAAUUUAAAAGUUGAUAACCCUAUGAUUAUCGUUUGAUAGUCAUCUAAUAUCACUAAUUUUGUCAUAUUCGUAAUAUCCAAAUAAGGUUUCUUGGUGAGUCUAGAGUCAAACGUGAGGACUUAUACUAAAAAUAUAUUUAUAUUUUGAAAUUAUCUUAAGGUGAUUAAUAACAUACGCCUAAGAACAAUAGCGGUAUCAUCCACUUGUAAGGGGGGAGGGGAGUCAUCCACUAUAGAUAAGGUCCACUUGUCUCCCUCACCCAACUUCAUAAGGCUGCCAAAAGAGUUAGGCAUAAUCACAUCCACACGUUUACCCUUCUCUCGAACAUAAACCAACUCUCUUUUCUUCCUAAUAACGAGUAAUUUCAUCUCGAUUACCUACCUCCUUUUCCUUAAUAUGCCUAAUGGGGGAGCUAUUAGUCUUACUUUCCUCCAACUAUUUAAAGUCUAACACCACAUCCACAAGACACAAUUGUCCAUUCCUCCUCUUUGUUUGAAACCACCUUGCUCACAUCCUUCUCUCGAUGAACUUUGUUUUCCACAAUCUUAGGACACUUACCACUAGAAUGCCCAAAAGACCGGCACAAAUUACACCUUCGAGGCUUCCACUCAUAAUUCACAGUCAUAACGAAAUCCUCUCCCCUAAGGUGAAUUGUAAAUUCAGCAAGCAUAGGAGAGUCCACAUUUGAUUCAACACAUCUCAAGCAUGUGACAACCUUCGUCUUUCCUUAGUAGCUAGAUCUAAAGAUAGAGGUUUUCCUAUAGCACUAGCCACAACAGUCAAUCUGACAUCUAUCCAUAACUCCAUUGGAAUCCUACCUAGUUUAAUCCAUAUAGGAACAUAAUAAAAAACAAAGGAUUUAGGGACAAUACCUGGAGUCCAUUUACAGAGGAGCAUACUUUUGCCAGCAAGAUGUCGCGAUCAACGAGGUAGGAUCCAUUCAACAAGUUUUGGGCAUCUGAAUUGGAAACAUAUGAGUCCGUUCUCAAGAAUUGUAAUCGUUGGCAUUUUAAUUUUAUCAACAAUAACAACGAGCUAAACAAAUCCUCUAUCCAGGACGCACUAAUGAAAACUAAAAUGUAAAAUAAGUACGAAGUAAUUAAUUAAAACAGAAGACAAAAGAAACCCAAAGUAAGUUGACAAAAUGCCCACAAUAAGCUUCAAGAUGAGUGAGAGGGAACACCAAGAGAAACAUGAAUAGCCUUGCUAACUUUUCACUACUAGCUAACUACAUAUAUUUUUACAAUACGUGUUAGGGAAAUCUUUCCCUUUGCAAAACAGACCAAUAUAUAAUCAAUCAUUGGCUCCUUAUGGGAAAAUACAGAAGCCCUAUACAUGUCUGUUUCAAGCUUGUGUUGAACAACUUUUAAUUCCCUAAGAUAAGGAGAUUUAUCUGAAGGUUCGAGAAUAAUGGCAUGUCCUAAACUAACCCACCAUUUCGCAACAGUGAACCAGUUUGAUCGUUAGGGGACAACUUUUGAUAAUAAGCGCACAACCAUGCCCCAAUUCCAAUGUUGCCCAAAAGUAAAGGCCUUUCUUCACAAUGCUCCAUAAAAAAAAAGUUUGACUUUCACAUAAAGAUCUUAUUUCUUUUUUAUUGCUCCAAGAGAUCUAAUAGAUCUAUUUUCACCACGCAAAUCCCUUUUGUUAUCAUGGAAAAUGUGUUGGUUGUGCUCAAACCAAAUCUCUGCUUGCAACACUUUUAUCAAAUUAACCCAUGUUUUUUUUUAAAAAAAAAGAGGAUAUGAGUCUCACUAUUAUUAAUAUUGAAAAAUGAAGAGACAAAGCUCAAUGUCAUGAGGAUUAUACAAAGAGCAAUAGGAUGGAGGAUCAAUAGACGCACCUGGACAUCUCAACUAGGUUGACACCCCCUUAGCACCCUCAUCACAUCCAAAAAGCGACAACACAAGAUCAAAACCAAAAGCCACAAAUAGAAGGCUUUUUUUGUGUUUGUUUUGCCUUUGGACAUUACUCCUUUGUUAUGGGUUUUAGCUUGGUUGGAUAUGAUGAGGGUGCUAUGGGGGUGUCAACCUAGUUGAGAUGCCAAGGUGCACCCCCUGAUCCAUGGUUACAUGUUCAUUGUAUAACUCUCUUGUACUAUGAGCUUUUGUCUAAUUAUUAUUAUUAUUUUAAUAUUAAUAAAGAGGUUGUCUCCUUUUCAAAAAAAAAAAAAAAACAAAAAACAAAACAAAACAAAAGCCACAAAUAUAAAACCAAGCAAAACGAUAAAAUAAUAUGUCCAAAACAAAAUCAUAAAUCAUAGGUAGCAGGUCGAGAACAAAGAAGAAUAAGCCUUGAUUGAGCAAAAAAUCCCAACAAAUAUUGAAUGUUUGGAGAAGACGGAACCAACAUUUCGAUACAAAGACAUAGUCAAUUCAAAGGUGCUAAAUAUUUUUCAUGUUAUCAACACAAAUGGGGCAGACAUGAGGUGAGAGGACAUGGGAGGGAAGUUUUCUUUGAAGUACUAAAGCACAGUUUAAUUUUCCAAACAACGUAAUCCAUAUGGGGAUAUUUAUCCAAAGAGUGAGCUAAAUAGCCCAAUGAGUGAUUGUUUUAUAAAACAUCGUUUUGAAAUAAUAAGUAUUUAACAAUUAACUCUUAACAUAAAUGAAAUCAAACUCAAACAACUUAUCUCAAACUUUCCCUUUCAGUUGCUAUACCUAGAAUCGUCGAGACGAAAAACAAUAAACUAGGCAUAGAAGCCCUAUCCCGUGAUACGAUACUUACGAGAUGAAACUCUAGGCAUCAAUUGUGCCCUAUCUCGUUAUAACUACAAUGAGAUGGAAAACUAGGCAUUCGUACAGGCUCUCAUCCCUUGAGAUGGGAAACUAAGCAUCUUUAGAAGUCUUCAUCUCUUAUCUAAUACCAAUGAUGGAAAGCUAGGUAUUUACUGAAUAUCCAAAUCAAAUGACCUCUAUGCACAAGAAAAUAUUUCCCGAAGGGUUGCUAUAUAUCUUAGAAUAUUUUAGGUAUAGACUAAAACAUGCUAAUAUUAUUUUCAAGCUUAAACAUUUUGAAAACUUAGCACAAUCAUGAUUGCUUAUAAUUUUCAUUAGUAAAUUCAUCAAUAAAAACAUGUUUACCAAAAUGUUUCUAAAUUCAUGCUUUGGAAAUACUUUAUAAGUCAGUAUUCUCAAAUAUUCAAACAUCAAAGCAUGCUUGAAACAUUUGAUAGUAAAUUCAUGUUUAGAAAUCAACUUUAAACUCAUUUUUGUCAUUUAUAGAGAGUAGCUUGGACCCUUGGCUUAUAAACUUGUUCGAUCUCCUUCAGAUCUAAAAUAAUGAAAAAUAAUGGGAAAUAAUUCCAUUUAAUUCCCGUUGAUCAUAAAAAUAUCAAAACUUUGCUUAAAAUUUCCAAAAACCACAAAAACAGCCCAAAGACAUUAGCUUGCGUACAAAAUAUUGUGGCAGAAGUUGGCAGGUGCGCGUAGGGCUUGCCUUGCCAUGUCUCGUUCUAACCUCAUGUGCAGCGUGUCACAAUCACAACUUUUCAAACACGGAACAGACUAUUGUGCGACACUUGUUGUAACUCGAUGAACACGUCAGUUGUAUGAAAUUCGAUACGAUGUAGCCUCCCUAUAGGUUUUAAGAGAAAUUGGUUUUAUUAAACAUGAGAGAGAAAGGAAAGCAUUGGAAACAUCGUUAAAAAAAACUUUGAAGACUGUCCAUUGCAAAGAGAGCUUAAAUUGCAAAGAGUACCAUUAGUGUCGUUUUUAAGAAAAUUGUUUUCUUCUAGAUAUUAUAACUCUCUUUCCUUCUAGGAAUAGAAAAUGAAGUAGAAGAGAAUCAUGAGAUUCUAUUAAUUUAUAAAUAAUUAAAUUAAUAUAUAUUUCAAAUCUACUGAUUAAUUAAACAUUAAUCAAUUAGUUAAUAAUUAAUGAAAUCGAAUUUAAUUAAAUAAUAUUAAACUAAACUAUUAAUUAAUUCUCCAAUUAACUAAUAACACUAAAUUAUUUAUCUUAUAUUUAACUUAAAUUAAAUUUGAAUCAUAUUCAAAUAUAAGUUUCUCUCAAUAAUUUUAAUAUGAAUCCAAUUCACAUUAAAUUAAUAUUUGAACUCAUUCAAAUAUUUUAUCUCUCAUAAAUUAAUUUUGAAUCAUCCCCAAAGUUAAAUUUAUAUAGUAAAGUUUGAUAAACUUUAUAUUAUAAUGUAUCACUAUACAUUAUACUAAUUCCCAAGUUAAAUUUAAACAUUUUAAAUUACAACCAAUACAAAUAAAUCUCAUUACCCUUUACGAGCUAGGAAAGGGACCUAAUGGACCUACAGAUCAGAAGCUACAACGAUCUAAGAUUAAUUGGCUAAACUCAUUAAUCAAUAUUUGUUAGCUUUGUGUACACUCCACUAAAGACUCACAACUGAACUCUUCUCACUAAAAAUAUAUUUAUGUGUCCAUGGAUAUAGACCAAUAAUAGUAAGUUAGUCCUUCACGAGUGUUUGUAACACCAGUUGGACCAAUUUACCGCUUUACCCCUAUGUUACCUCUAAUCCUUAAAAACCAGUGCUCCUCUAAUGAACAACUUGUUUAUGGUCCUACUAAUAAACAAAAACCCAUCUCAUGUCAUAGAGAGGGUACGAGCCCUUUGUUCAAGUUUUGGAGACACCAUUUAAGCUAACAUUCAUCUACUUACCCUAAAGUAGGAAAUGAGUGAAUUCCAUUUUGUGCAAUUAUAAUCCCAACUCCCCACUCAGUCUUGUCCCCAAAAUCACUACUACAAAAACAGGCUCUCUUGACGGUUGUAGUUUUCCUUUCUUGACGUUUUUUCCCAAAAACGUCAAGAAAGAUGUGAUUUCAAAUAAAAAAACGUCAAGAAUUUUUAUGAAAGGCCAAUUUUCAACUUUCUUGACGUUUAUUAAACGUCAAGUAAGAUGUACUUUUUCUUGACGUUUUUUAAACAUCAAGAAAUAUCUAAUAAUUUUUUGACGUUUUAAAAACGUCAAGAAAUUUAUAAAAAAAUUCUUGACGUUUUUAAAACGUCAAGAUAAUUCUAAAAAAUCAUUGAUGUUUUUAAAAACUUCAAGAAAUUUUAAUUUGUUUUUGAUGUUUUAAAAACGUCAAGAAAUUUCCAAAAAAAUUAUUGUGUUAAUUUUCUUUUACAAAACGCAACGUUUCAAUUAGAUCACUUCCCCUUUUCUUAAUUAAACCUAAUUCGCCGCGACUUUGUCCCUUCUCCACCCGAAAUCAAAAGCGUCGUUCACCUAACCUUCCCUUCGCGUUCAUCUGUGCAUUCAUCUGCGUUCAUCGCCGAAAAAGACUUCCCUUCGCGUUCAUCAGCGUUCACCUUCAUUCAUUUGCCUUCAUCGUCCGUCACCGUUCGUCUGCUUUGCGUUCCCUUCACCUUCGUUGAUUUGCGUCCGUCUGUUCACCGUUUGAAAUGUGUAAACACAUUCUCUAUUCGAAAACGAGUAAACACGUUCACCGUCCUUCUGUCGCAUUCCACUUUCGCUAAACCUCUAUUCGUUUCCAAAUCCUUCAUGGUUACUCAUUCAUUUUCUUCCCUUUCUAAAGGUAAUAAUUUUCCUUUUUUCCUUUGUGAUUAAAAUUUGUAAUUUGGAAUUUAAAAUUGGAAUGCAAAAUUAAAGAAGAGGAAAUAUGCCUUAGAGAAUGGAAGAAAGGUUUUGCAUUUUAGGCUUGAAAAGGGGGGAUACAAGUUAUUAUAAUUGUAAUAUAUAAUAUUUUGAACAAGGCUACCAAGCGUGCGAAUAUGAUUCAUUGGUUAGUUUAGGGAUUGGAAAGAGAAGGAUUGUGGAGUUUGUGAUAAUAUUUUGGUACACUGGAGCUGGAAACAGAGAAUAUUAAAAAACACAUACUGUUAUACACAAUAUUAUAAUAAUACGAAUCACUAGAUUUUCUUCUUCGUUUUCUUUUUCUUCUCCUUGAAUUUUUGUUAUGGGUAUUGUAUUGAGUUUUGUGUUUUAGAUUGUGAAGUAUGGGGUAGCUAAACUCUUAAUCCUAGGGAUAGAUGUAGACAAAGUUUAUGAAUUAUUCUUUGUAAUGCAUCUGAUUAUCUGCUCUUAAUCUUUUCAUGUUUUUAUGUGAAUAAUGUUCAUAAUAUCUUAAUCACAGAUUAAUUGUUGAUUGGCCAUGAACCUUAAUCUUUGCAUGACUAGAGUGGUUAUGAACUUGGAAAGAGCUAAUUAAGGAUCCUUGAGGAGGUUGUUGAAAGAAGUGGACCUAAAAACUUUUGUUUGUUAAUAAAAAGAAAAAUGAACAGAGAUUCAUCUUCGUGAGGGGUCUUGAUGUUUAAUUUAAUUUAAAUUGUGUAUGAAUUUUUAAUUACGAGCAUUUUAAUAUGUUGCGUUUUAAUCCUAGGGAUAGAUGUAGACAAAGAGCACUAUAGCCAAGGUAUAGAGUGAGGGAGAUAAGGUUUAUAUGUCUUAGAGAAUGGAAAGAUGGAAUUUGUGCUAAAAUCAUUAGUGUUCCAAAUACAAUUAUGAAUUGGGUAUAGUUGCAUUCCCCCUUCUGGAUUGCAUAGCACAUAAAUAUACUCUCAUGGAUUGCAUAGCACAUAAAUAUACUAUCAAAAACAAUAACAUAAAACACAAACUUGAUUUAGUUUCAUUCACACUUGUACACCAACAUGUUUCAAUUAAUGAUCAUAUAUUAAAAAUCAUUUUCAAAUUUGGUAAUAUAAAAUGGAAGAAGUGAGACCUUGAGGUUUUAACCACCAAUACUAUCUAACUGAUGAGUUUAUGAUUUUUGUUUCUAUUGUGUUUUUCCUUAAGCUUUAACUUGCUUUAGGGGCAAGAUGGUGAAGGUCUAGUCCACAACCUUUCCCAAGAAUUUAAUGAUGUUUGGGUUGACCCAAUUAUUGUUAUUGGACACCGUUUUAUGGUAAUUGGUUGUUAUGGUUUUUAAGUGUGUUUUGAUAUCUUGUGUUAAAAAGUAAUUGCAAAAAGUCAGAAAAGUUUGUUAAAGAUUAAGUGUUUUUAAGUUUGUCAUUCCACUUUAAUUCUCACCAGUACUUGCUGAAUGGAAGCCUCUUGUCUAAGACAAUUCGAGUGGAAUAACUCUCGUGACUACCACAACAUUUGGGAACUCACCAAAUGUAAGACUAUUCCUUUAUCCUAGCAUUUGAUCUCUCUCUAUAAUUUGGUUUGCUAUCGUAAGUUUGAUUAAAAUAAAUGCUGAUAAUUCAACUCCAAUGUUCUUAUUUUCUUAACUCUCAUUCAGUCAGUUAGAAUCAGAACUCAUUUAUUUAUCUUGUCUCCAUAAUUUGGAUUCAAAGAUUCAUCACAAUAAUCUUCUCAACAACAUUCUUGAAAAGGUAUUGAAUUUUCAACUGUGUGACCUUUAUACACAAAUUUCUUCAAAGAAAUUUACAUUCUUUAGAGUUUAGAGCUUUGAAUUCUAGUACAACUUAUGAAGCUUUUGAUACUUGUUAGACUUUUUUGCUUGGUGCGGAUAAAACCUUAUUUACAUUCUUUCUUUCCUGCAUGUUCUCUUUUGAUAUUUGUUAGACUUUUUUGCUUGGUUGUCCUUAGUGUUUUCCUCUUUAGCUGAAAUUUCUCUAUCUUGAAAAAAAUAGAGCUUUAAAAUUCAACUUCAACUUUAUUUGAUACUAUCUUAGUCCAUACUUAUUUUGGUAUUUCUUUCCUUUCUCACAAACACAUCUAAGAGGUUGCCUUCACAAUAUGGCCAAAUUAACAAUAUGGCAACCUUUUUCAUUGCAAAACAUAUUAGAGGUUGGUUACUUAGUUAGCCUUAUUGGGUAAAUAAUUGACAUUUAGGUACUUUUUAGUUUGUAUAUUUAUAGAUGCCAAAUCGAUAUGUGAAUUUUAAUUGUUGCUUAUUUGAAACAUUGCAACCAUUUGAUAAAAUGUUGCUAUGUGAAUCCAUCUUAACUUGAUAUAUUAUUUUAUUUUGGUUUAGGUUGUGGAAUCCAAGUUUGUAUUUGAAGUCAAAUUCAUCCAAGAUCAUUGAGUUUCAAAGCUUCUUUAAUUAAGAUUUUGUUUCUUGAACUAGAAUUGUAGUCUUGUGAUUUUUGGAAUAGCAUAGUUGGAUUGGUUUUGUAAUUUUGGGAUUAUCAUAUUAGGUUGGGGUUGACUGAAGUAGUGUUUUGUAUAUGACAAUAUCGAACAAACAUGUAAAGUUUUCGAAAUGUUCAUACAUAUAUGAUUAAAUGUUAAUAUAUGUUAAAGUUUUGGAAUUGUAUUCGUGCAUAUUUAUGAGAUUGUUGGGCCACACUACAAGAAUUAUAGAGACAAUACAGGAACAAAAAUAUAAAUAAAUUAUAAUUUAGAAAAAAAAUGAAACAAGCUUCAUGUUUUUUAAAUGUCAUAAACAAAUACAUUCUUGACGGUUUUUCAAUGUCAUUAACAAGUAAAUUCUUGACGUUUUUUAAACGUCAUAAACAAUUGUGUUCUUGACCGUUUUUAAAUGUCAUAAAUUACAUUCUUGAUAGUUUUUAAAUGUCAUGAAUACUCAUUCACUUGACGAUUUUUAACUGUCAUGAAUAUUUGUAUACUUGACGUUUAUAAACUGUUAAGAAUCGCUAUUCUUGACGUUUUAUUAACCGUCAAGAACUUUGACUUUCUUGACGCUGGCUUCAACGACGGUUUUAAAACCGUCAAGAAUAGUGAUUCUUGACAGUUUAAAAACGUCAAGAGAGUCUAUUUUUGUAGUAGUGAAUGAUAAGCUUAUUGAGUCGGCGAUCUAGCCACUCUCACUCGUACAAAUCAAAGGACAAUCUCUCGCGAACAAGAGUUCAUAAUACACUCAAGAUUAAGACUAAGUUAUCUAGGUCAUCCUAGUGAAAUAGAAACCUAACUAGUUAAUGUAGUAACACCAAGUGGUUACUAUUUCACGGUCUGGUCUAUUGCAAUCUCAUUGCAUAGGAUACCUUCACUCGCAUGUCAACUACAUGAACACAUUGGAUCAUUGUAUUUGUAUCAAAUACAAGGUGAGUCGUAUUCAUAAUGUUACCAGGAUAAAGGUACCCAGUCUUAUCCCUAUACUAUAGACCCUUUAAGCUGAUCUCGAACAUUGAUCCUUGUAUGUCUCUACAUAAUAUUCAAUACUUAUUAAACAGUUUAGGAUGUUAGUUUAUUGGAUUUGAGUUAUUAAGACAAAACUAAUAAUAUAAUCAAUAACAAUUAUUACAAUAAUAACACUUUAUUAACAAUGGUCAAUGGAUUAUAUUUACAAUCUACGAGUUUUAGGACAUAAAUUCCAACAAACUCCCACUUGGACUAAAACUCUAGUCUCUUUGGGAUGUUCAUAAUAAAGUAAUCCUCUAACAUUGAAAAUGGUAAAAUGUACAAGUGUAUUACAUAGAAUGUGUAUAUACAAAUACAAUAAACUAGGGCAUCCUCAUACCCAUUACACAUCUGCCACUUUUCCUAGAUUACCUAAUGUACAUAACUCGCAGAUCUAGACUUUCUAGAAGACCCUUGAACACUUUAGCCAUGAGAGUCUUUGUAAAUGGAUUAGUAAUAUGCCCCACUAUUAUCACAAUAUAGAGUGAUGGGGUAUGUUCAUGUUUGGAACAACUUCCAAAUUAUGCAAGAACUUCCUCAGCAAAACUGCUUCUUUUGCUGCUUCACAAGUAUCAAUAUACUCAACUUUCAUAAUAGAGUGUGUAAUGACGCGUGGCUCAGGCUGCUUGAUCAUGCUAGGACAUGCUUUCUGCAUGUCCGAAGCCUAAAUAACCUUCUUUCGCUCAAAACACACGCUCAUCUCACCUUGUCAUCCUGGCAAUCAACCACCCUUGGCCUUGCUAGAAAUAUGAUUUUUCUACCAGAAACUUAACUCGACUUUGAAGCUUAAAUCAAUAAGAUUCCUUCUACAAACUUACUUAGAAUGUCUUCACUAGCUUACCACAAAGUGUCACUAACAAAUUCCAAGUAUUGAGUUAUGUAGCUCCAAAAUACUCUAACAUUGUUUAGGUUUUUUUUUUUUUUUUUUUUUUUUUUUUCUGAAAAUGACCUUUGAGUCUUUCUUCACUUCAAUGCCUUUCUUCCUGGUAGCCUUUCUCCUGAUACUACACUCAAUUUAGGAGAUUUUCGAAGUAGAGUUACCCAAUUAACACAAGUUGAUUGUUAACAUAAUUCGUCCAAAGUUGUACAUAUAGUGAUCCUUGCAUGCUCUUUGGUUGACACUUUUAUUAUCACCUCUUACGCCUAUACUUGCCACUUUCCACCUCAUGCAAGACACUUAUUUGGCAAAACUUAGGUAUCUUGUAUGUUGUCCACUUGUACUCUACCGCACAUCUUACCUCAUAUUGCUUAAGUCAUCCUUGGACGCAUAUCCCUUUUUCUAUAAGGGUUCUUUAGUAAAUUCUUACUGCCAAGAAUGCCUAAGACUUUUUUUUUCUCGCCUAAUCUCCCAAACAUCCCUCAAUGCCUUCAACAAACCAUGCCAUCUUGACUAGCAUUUUGUUGAAUUGCCCCAUUGGCCGCAUGGCCUAUGUCCACAUAGCCCACCUCUUUGUUGCAUGACAUUCCUUAUCCACGUUCUAACUUCUUUAGAGUUUCUUGACAUUUCCUAGAUGCUUAGCUUCCUUGCCUUAGCGCAUACCCUUGGUCAUAUAGCCUUGUCUUAUAGAGGUUGUCUUGACACCUUUCGGCCCAUACCACAUCUCAACCUUUGGCCACCCAACAUGUCUCUUUAAAGGUUCGCUUGACACUUUUGGCCGCCUAGAGUAUGCAACAUGCCCUAGCUAACACUUAGCCAAUUUUCGAACACCCUUUAGGCCUUUCUUUGUUACGAUGACACUUUUCUUUUGUCAUCUUAAAAAUAUUAACACAUCUUCCAUAACACUUCAACUAAACUAUCCAAUCUUAAACCAUCUUUCUCCUAACAUCAACCCCUAAUGUCCUAUUGAGUUCUUUAGAUGAAUUAAGGAUUAUUGGGUAUCAGGGUUUACAUGCGAGAUGUAAGUCUUCCUCUUUGGAAUUACGUAUAGUAGUGUGCGGAGGGAGAGGAAUGUGAUGCAGUUCUUCCUCCUCAACCCUAAGGAAUUCGUCUUCGCUAACAAUGCCCUUUUUAUCGGGUAAGGGCUUGCUCGGUCAGGUCGUGAGGUGAAGGAUGUUGUUAUAAUGAUGAGGUAUUUGGUGGUGAGAGGAUAAUAUUAAAGGUUUUGAGGUGUCUUCUUCUUCUCUCGCCAUUCUUCAUCUUAUUAAGCUUCUUCUUCUCUUUAUUCUUUAUCUUUAUUAAAGGUUUUAAGGUGUCUCUGUUCUUCUUUAUUUUGAUGGAGUGUUAUGGUUUGGUUGAGAUUCGCCUGAGAACAUGCAUAAGGGGUGAUUGGAGAAAAGCUAAAAGCUUAGGAACCGUCAGAGGAAGGGCAGAUCAUUAAUUGUAUGUUACGCCUUCCUCUGACGUGGUGGCAGCAACGUUGAGAAUAGAUUUAGGGAUUCCCGACGUAUUAUUAAUCGCGUGGGAAUAUGUUUAGGGAUUUCUGACGUUUAACAAAUUAGGUCAAGAAUAGGGUGCUAUUCUCGACGUUUUCGUUGUGCGUCAGGAGUUCUCUGUCUUUUUUAACUCCAUUCUUUACAUAAAAAAAACAUAAAGAGAAAGAAAAUGAGAGAGAGAGAGGGAGACCGAGAGGAAGAUUGAGAAGAAGAGGGCAUUGUCAUCUCCAUUGCCGUCCUCUGUUGUCGUCCUGUCGUCGUCGCCAUCUGUAAGUGGUUUAGUUUAGAUAUUGUUUUGUUUUAGUUAAUUAGUUUUAGUAUUUAGAUUUCAAAUUUGUUUUAGGUGUUAGAUUUUAGAUUUCAAAUUAGUUUUAGUAUUUAGAUUUUGAAUUAGUUGUAAGUUUUAGUAUUGAAAUUUAAUUUCAAGUGUUGUUAGAAUUUUAAAUUAGUUGUAGGUUUUAGAAAUUUGAAUUUGAAGUGUUGAAGUUGAGAUUGAAGUGUUAAAGUUGAGGUUGAAGUGUUGAAGUUGAGUUUGAAUUUAAAAUUUUCAAUUUGAAUUUAGGAAUUAAUUGAAGUUAUUUUUUUUUAAAAAAAUAGAGGAUCUCCCGACGCAUGGUUCCUAGACAUCUCUCGAUGCUAUAUUGACAACAUCUUUGACGUUCAUACAACGUCGGAAGAUGUCUAGAAACUCUCGACGCACAACAUUGUGCAUCGGGAGAGGAACUCCCGAUACAUUUUUCCUGACUUGUGUUCCGACAUAUAUUAGUGCGUCAGAAAAGCCUUUUCUGACGCUUUUUAUAUAUCUCCCAAUGAUUUUAUGCAUCGAGAGAGCCCUCAUUUCUUGUAGUGUUAGACAAAGAGCUUCAAUGUGGUAGAGGGGAAAGGCAUGACACCUUUAGGUUUCAUCAAAGAGAGGAUUGAGGUUCUGAUUACGGCGCUAAGGUUAACUGCGCCAUCUUCUUCUUAAUGCAAUAAAUCAUCAUUGUGCACUCUAGUGGGAUGGUGUUGUUGUCAACCAGGCAGGCGGUUUCGUUUUCAAGUCUUAGUUCUUAAUUCUUAACAACCUUUGAGUAUUGAUGCUCUACCCCAACCCUCAUCCAAAACGAUAACUAACACAAUGGUUUGGAAGUUUUUGUGAAAUAUCAUCUAUACUUUUUCUUUAAUGGUCGAUGAAAAAAAAAGUCAGGAAAAUGGUAUUUCUAACCAUUUUAAGUGUUACCAAAAUAUCACAUUUGGUGUAGUAUGGUAUUGUUUUGAAUAUUUUUGUAAAAUAGUGGAUCAAGAAGUUUUACUAAGAUAAAGUUUCAUGUUGGACAAGAGGAUAGUGGAUGGGAAUUAAGUUGAAUGGUCCACUUUUUUUUUAAAUCCUUUAAGGUUUUAUGAAAACCUUUCACAAUACCUUUUCAUAAUCAUUUUGUAAAAAUAAUAUCAAAUCAUUUAAAUAUACCAAAAAAUUAUUUCAUUUCAAAUAAACCUUUCUAUGCUUAAAAAAUCAUUUCAUUUUGUCAAGGAUCCCGAAUCGUUCUCUACGCUUGGUCUCAUUACCUCGCGUUUAGACUACUGUAUCAACAGCAUCUGAGAACAUACAAAUUCGUCUUUGUUGCUCAUACCGCUAAGCUUUAUACGCUCAUUUCAAUGCAUAAGUCAGCUUCUUAUUACCAUGUAGUUCGUACACUCCAUAGUGGCCUUCACUCUUUAUGUGCACACAAAAGUUAGCAUCAUCUCAAAGAAACAUAAUAUUGAAAUCAUAGUCAUCAAAUCAAGCUUUAACAUUAUAAAUAAUGCUUGAAAACAUAACUUUUCAUAGAAAUCUUUCUGAAACAUUCUCAUCUGAAUUCUUCUUUCGAAUCAGUAAAGAGAAAUCGUAAUAAAGUUUCUUAACAUAAAUUCUUUUGACUGAAAAGCACUCACCAAACUUUACUAAAGAAGUCCUUCUCACAACCAUCUUUUCGUGUGGCUAAACCAACAACACUUUAGCAUUUCAACAAAACUCUCAUCAUCCCCUCCUUAGUUACCUAAAUUCUCCUAUUUUAUAGAUCCCUUAUACUAACUUAGUCAUGCAAAUCCUUAAUAUUUAACCUAGUCAUGCUCAAAUCCUUAAUCUUACAUGUUAACCCAUGUCAAAUAAGAUUUGACAUUUUCUUUACAAACCUUGCUCCCCACCUACCCAAACCGUGAAUAAAUUCAACCACUUAACAUUUCUCGUGAAUAACCUUAUCGCUUGAUUAUAUUUUUAUUAUAAGAAACGUUCCACAUGAACUAACCAACUUUUACUCGCAUAAAACUCUUAUCACGAACUUAAACUCCAAGGCUUCCUUGUAGACUUCUUCUCCACGAAAUGCUUGAUUCUUCUCGGGAAGACCACCCAAAACUCCUAGUCUAACACUCAAAACUUUCAUUUCUUAACUUACGCAAAGACUUUUUCGCUUCUUAUCGCACAACUUCUUUCGCGAACUACACACUUAUCGCAAAAAAGUAUACUUAACCGUAAAAGAUCUUAUCACUUAAUCUUUCCAUGGAUUUAUUUGAACACCAACUUAUUAAUUCUUAGCCGAAUUUUACUUCCUUACUCAAAUUAGAAAUGGGUCGCACAACUUCCUUCGCAAACUACCCACUGAAUCGCAAUAACGUAUACUUAACCAUAAAUUUUUUUAUCGCUUAAUCCUUUUCGUGGAUUUAUUCAAACGCCAAAUUCUUAAUACCUAGCCAAAUUUACUUCAUUACUUAAAUUAGAAAUGGGUCUCACAUUUAGAGCCUAUCGCUUCUUUAAGAUACAUGAUCUUACUGAUUCAGAGAAAUUAACCACAGGCGUUAUUAGUUUUGAUGAUCUGGCAUUGGAUUGGUACCAAGCACAAGAAGAGUUGGAAGUUUUUAAGAAUUGGGCUGACCUGAAAGAACGAAUGCUUGUACAGUUUCGAUCAAUUCGAGAACGAACUUUGGUUGGAAGAUUUUUCUCAAUCAAACAGAAAAUGAAUGUAGAAGACUACCGCAACCGAUUUGAUCGAUAUUUAGCUCUAGUAGCAUUUCUUCAAACGGUAGUGUUAGAGGAGACUUUGAUGAUUGGGCUUAGCCCAUGAAUAAAAAUGGAAGUGGAAAUUGUGGGUUGAGCAGUGCAUUUCAUUGGGUUGGCCCAGAUGAUGAAAUUUGCGUUGAAGAUUGAGAAUAAGGAACUAGUGAGAAAAGAGUGUGGGUUGAGCAGUGCAUUUCAUGUAAAACUGUAACUCACCCUAUCUAUUGUGGAAAACAACAAUACAAUGAUGACUAAGGAAGAAACCAACAAUGGAAAGUCUACUGAUGAGAGCUAUCACCCUGAAGGGAGUUACUGAUAGAACUAAGACAUGCACAACAGAAAAAGAAUCGAAAUUCUACCCUAAUUGGGCUUAAUUAACGAGACUAAACCAAAAAAAUAAGGUUUUUAGAAUACUUACAUUUGAAGCUGCGUUUUAUUCGAACAACCACUAAGUUUGACUUAGUAUCCUCUAGACUCAUAAUCGAGUUGUGGGACCCGUUGGAUGAAAGAAUCGGACGAGAGAAAUAGAUGAAAAAAAUGGGCGUGGUAAAUUUUCUUUUUUUUUUUUAAGUAAAUAAGAAAAAGAAAUUCCAUUUGGUGUGAAAGCCCAAAUUUAAUAGGAAAAUGAAAGGGAAUUCCUUGGAAAGUUGGUUUGUGUGUCAUUAAAAGUCAAGGUGGAAAACAAAGUACAACAUAUGGCUAAAUGUGAGAGUAGGCGUGCAAGUAUAAUAAAUACCUACCAAGAUGUUUAUUAAUAACAUGUGUUUGAUACAUAAUUACAACACUUUGACCAAACAACCAAUGCUUAACUAUUUUCAAAACGUCUGGUCAUCUCGCUGCAAAUCCUUCAACCUUCUUCUCUACUUGGCCUAAACACCUCAUCUUGGAAGAUGAAUUUUUGAAAGAAUGUCUAAAAGACUAAGGUUUUAUGAAAUCCUUUUCGCAAUACCUUUUCAUAAACAUCAUUUCGCAUAAACAACAUCAAAUAAUUUUAUCUCGCAUAAACCUUUCUUUAUCCUUAACAUACUCAUAACAUAACAAUUUCACAUAAACACACAUUAGUUAACAUUCAUUCCUUUCACCAAUGAUUUUGAAUCGUUCUCUACACUUUGAUGUAGAACAUCUCCCUUCUUGAUGUUUCUUGAGUUUUAUCCUAGAGGAGUGGUUUGAAUUACCAUUUUUAUAGUUUAGGAUUAGUUAUUUGAAUUACCAAUUUUGUAUCUUGAGUUAGUUAUAACUAACUCAACUCCAAGUUAAACUAACUCAACCCCAAGUUAGUUUAACAACUCUCGUAAUCUCCAGCCUAUAAAAAAGCUUCUCAUUUUCAUUAAUAAGACAUAAAAAAAAAAAGAGGCAUUAUACAUAAAGAUUUCUAGCUUUGCAAUUACUGCAUCAAUUGGUAUCAGAGUGUGAUCCUAGCUCACUCUUCCCUAAAAAAACUUGGAUCCUACCACUCUUAUCCAUGGACGCAUAAGCCUCAUUCAACCAAGGCUUGCAGUUGGUAGAACAAGCUAUUGAAGAACUUCGAAAAGGGCAGUCGGAUAUACAGCAAUCGUUAGUAGAAUUAACAAACCUUUUUACCCGAUUUCAUGUCCAACCUUUAGAAGAAGCAAUUCAUCCCCCAAGAAACCUAAUUGCAGCAAACCAAGAAAGACAAGAAAGACCAAGAAACCCAAUUGCAGCAAACCAAGAAAGACAAGAAAGACCAAUAAACCCUGUUGUAAACCAAGAACUACUAAGAAAUCAACCUAUUCACAUCCACAAUAAUCGAUUGUAUGGAAACAACGUACUUGGAAAUUUCUUAAACGAUUCUGACUCUUUCGAUGAAGACAACUUGCUGAACAUUCAUCAAGAACCUCAACAAAGGUUUGGACUUCGACCAUACUUUCAAGAAGAUCAAGAAAUACGUAUGAAAGUGGAUCUCCCUACCUUCAAUGGUCGAAUGGACGUGGAGAAGUUUCUUGAUUGGAUCAAGAACGUAGAAAUUUUUUUCGACUAUGCCAAUACACCCGAACACAAGAAGGUUCGAUUAGUUGCUCUCAAACUUCAAGGUGGCGCAAGCGCUUGGUGGGAUCAAUUACAAAACAAUAGACGAUUAUUCGGUAAACAAUCUAAAGAUUAGCUGAAUAUCUUAUAAAAAGAUGUUGCCGUAGGCUUAGUGGUGACAGGUGAGAAAGUAAGCUGUAUCUUUUAUGACUCUUAAACGUUGAAGUCAAUCAAUGAGUUCCAAAUGCAAUAUUGGAAGUUUUCUUAAAUAUUUUGAUGCUUUUGCAUGUUGUGAAAGAACUUGGUUAGAUGUGAGAAAGGGGUUUAUGAGAUUAGUUACUUACUAUUCCCUUUUUCACUGUCAUUGCUACUCCGUAGACAUGCUAUGGGCUCGUGUUUCUGUAGAAUAUAAUUCAGAUGCUCUUUCUCUAGAAUAUAAUUUAUGUGCUUUCUCUACAAAUUUGAAGUAAUUUCUACUGCUUUUGCUAAUAUUCUCUAAAGCUUAUUCAAAAUGUAGUUGUUUAAUGACUGUUCAGAUUUAAAAUAUAUUAUAGAGUUAAAUUUAACACAGUUAAUCAGCUUAAGCAUUUGACUCUGGUGUUCUUAAGAUAUAAAUUCAAAUCCCUAUAAUUUUAUCAUGUUGAUCUUUUCAAUCUUCUCACAUACCGUCUUCAUUUCAUAAUCUUGCCUACUAGCUGUGUAUCAUCAAUGAAAUUACCAUAGGAGUCCACAUGUGGUAAUUAUGGAUCUAGCACGAUAUACUGCGUAUCAUGUUGUUGGAGAUCAGUUUAAAUGAUUAACCAGUCUAUUGGUGGUUUGAGUCUUUUCUUUUGAAUCUAUAGGUUGUUCAAUGGUCUAAUAUUAACUGUGUUUAGAUUUAUGGUAAUUUUCAUUCUUUUACAGCCUUAAUAACCAAGAAAAGGUGUGCUUUGAUAAUCUUUUCUUUCUCUUCAGCAUGUUGGUAAUGUAGAAAGAUUACAUGUAUACUAUGCCCAUGGACUAGAUAGCCCAACCUUUGUUCGCCGGUGUUAUUGGCUCCUAGAUAAGUAUGUUAUGGUUGAAAGAAAAUUGUUAAAUUGCUUGCUACCAGUUGUUUCAGUGGGGUCUAUCCCCAUCAUGCCACAAGCAAAGAAAAAUGAAAUUAGACAGUGGCAGUAUAUCGUGUUCUACUUAUAUAAUUUAUGACUUUCUUCUGCUUUUUGUUCAGGACCUUUGAACACAUUGUCCUUGUUCAUUACCGUGAAACACAAGAGGUUAGGUUCAACACAAUGCAUCUGCAGUUACUAAAAUAUUAUCUUGAGACAAACUUUUAUCAUUUGGACUACUACAUCUAUUUAAGAUUUGCUGAUUUUUCCUCCAUGGUUGCAAUAUUAGAACUUCAUCCAAAAUAAUGUUGUCAUGUGUGUCUUUAAAUUUUUACUGGCAGUCUGGCACCAUAUAGAUCUAGUAGUUGUGCAUGCAUGUCUUCCUCUCUAUCCUCCAUUGAAAAACUCGAUAAUUAUCUAUUUGUGUUUUAUUUUGAUGAUUUAAUCCAACAUUUAUUAUGGAUAAAGUCAGCCAUAAAAUACAUAUGUUUACUACUGCUCUUUGUACAUUUUAAAUACUAGAUUUCUUGAUGAUUGUUGUCUUUAAGUUGCUCUUAAUGUUGUUGCAUAUCGAGAAAUGCACUGUAAUUUCUGUACCAAUUUUAUCACUGCUUUUAACUAAAUCUUCAAAAAUCAAGGCACCACCUGGAUGUAGAGUGCUAUAUGGUGAUUCAAGUGUUGAGAGUUCUCUUUCUUCUGCUAUCCAUAAAUUUAUGGAAUGGAAAGGCAAUGAUCAUGACACUAUUUUUUGUCAGAUAAACACAGGUUUCAUAUGCUUCAACUCUGUGGUGCUUCACAGCACACGGAUAAAACUUCCAAACAUUCUGCACCCAAUAUUACCAUAAUGCAUUUGGACACUUCAUUAACAACUUCUUACAAUUAGCCUUUCUAUAUUGAAAAUAAUUCGUUGUCUUAACUUCAUGUUGCUGCUAGUUUCAAAAUUUUGCAUCCACAUCGUUGAACUCAAAUUCUGGUUCUGUCUCUAACCCAUCAACUCCGUGGCUUUUAUCGGAGGAACUUGAUUCCAAGGCUACUCAUGUUUAUUCUCUUGGUGAAAAUGAAUUGUUAGGUGAUACUGGCCGAACCUGUCAAAAAUAAAUGAGUCAUAGUUUGUUUGAUCAUUCAUUUUCUAAUCUUUCUUCUUUAUAUUUAAUUAGUUGUUUAAUUUCUUAAAAAAGAAUUCUGGUUUAUUUAUAGUAUAUUUGGUAGUAUGCAUGCCUCAGCUCCUUUAAUGCAUGUCUCUUACAGUAUAUUUGGUAGUCUUUUAUAAUGUUACACCCUUUUUUUUAAUUCCUAAAACCUUUUAACUUUCCAAAUUUUCAUUCAUUCUUUUAGAAAAUUAUUUUCAUUAUUUUUUUAUGGUUACAAAACCAUCCAUUAACUACAUUAAUUAGACAAUUCACUCCAAUAAUAAAUAAAUAACUUUUUUGGAUCUAAGGUCUUUUCUCAUUCUACAAAUUUAAUUUACUAUAUAAAGGUUAUUAUGCUAAUUGAAAAAUAUAUUUCUCUCAAGUAUGCAAUGACAGAAAAUUAGGUUAUAAAUAUAAAAAAAUAAUAUUUUUAGGUAUUAUAAUUUUUUUAAAAAAAUUAUAUUUUAAAUUUUUAAUAAAACCUUGCAUUUGGGGAUUCACAUGUUGUUACUUGUCGAACCAAAAAAGAUAAAUUCGUGGUGAAAACUCUUUAAAAGCCCAAUUCGUGGAAGGAAAAAUUGAAGUGUGGCGUUGAGUUAUUUUGUUGUUGAAGAAGAUCAGUAAAAAACCCACAGCAUUAAAACUUCUUUUUUGUUUCUUUAAGUAUAUUUUAGAUUGCAACGUAUUUUCUAUUUGGGUUUAGUUAGGGUUUCUCUUGUUUAUUCCAAGAUAUGCAUGGAUAGUUCAUGUUCGACUAUUUGGAAAGAGGGAUUUAUGUAGCACGGGUAUUAUAUUCUGGUUUUGGAAGUGUCGAGAUAAAUUAAGGACUUUUUUAAUCUUCUUCAAACAAACCUAUACGAAGGCGAAGAAUAAUUUGUGCUUGUAUUUUAGUCGGAAUAAGAAGAAACAUGAAGAGAAUGCCCACGAGGAAAAUGACCAUGAGAAAAAGUUGUGUAUUCCUCCAUCCAUAACUGAGCUCUCUAAUGUGUAUUUCUCCCUCCAUAACUGGCUUACUUUGGACUGUUUGGAUAGAAAGAAGAAUCCUUCGAAGCCCUAGACUUGUCUCUACCGCAUUCGGAAAUGCCAAGUUCUCUCUGAGGAUCUCUAACUUCUGCCGUGUUCACCGUCCGUCAGUCCGCAUUCCUACGUCUGCGUUCACCGCGUUCACCACGUCCGAGUUUAUCUAAUAUAUUUUUCCAAAUCUUAAAGAAGAACUUUUGAUUUCAUUGGAGUUUAUCAUUAGAGGCAUUACUAUAUUUGCUGCCUCUCAGUGGGCGAUAGGUUUUCCAAUGGUCAUUUGAGACUGGUUGAUAAUAGCAAAAGUUAGAGCUUGAGAAGAAGGAGAGAAGAAAGUAGUGAAGACAAAAGAAGAAAGAAAGCUGAGUGAAAAACGAAAAUUGACAAGGUAGAGAUGUGACAUGAAAAUGAUGAUGAGAAGUGAAGGAGGCACGACACAAUACUGGUACACAAUAACAAAGCCUUGAUAAUUAAAAAAAGGAUGGUGCCAAGAAAAUUUAAAUACAAAAAAAAUGAAGGUUCUUGCAAGUGUAUUGAGUGAAUGGGAGAAAGAAAGGAUAAAAAAGGUAGAAAGAGAGAAAGAGAAGUCAAGGGUAGAGAUACAUAGCUUUGUAUAUAGAAACUUUAUGUUUAUACUCCAUUAUACGUUGUGGAGAAUAUAACAUCCUGAUAUGUUUGAUUCAAUUUGAAUGAUGCAAUUAUUUAUUUUUCUGCAAUAAUUCUACUUCUAGAACCUAAAUUUUGAAAGCCUACUAAUUUUUCAGAAUUAAUUCGAGACCCCACUUUUGCUCCCCUUCCUACCUACGGUUACUUUUUGCUUAAACUUUAAAAGUUGUUUGAAAAUUUUUGCUGAAACUUGUAAAAUUUGUUUGAAGUUCGUAUAUCUCUCACAUAUUGCAAGGUUUCUUAAUUAUUUUAUUGAAUUUCCUACAUAAAUGCAUUCAAACAUGAGUUGACAUAAAUGCAUUUUGCUAUCAAGAGAGUAUACCAUACAUGCAUGUGUAGGACUUUUAUCCCUUAUAUUUUAUAAUUUGUCUUACUACUGUUAUUGACUGAUAUACCAAUAUACAUGUGUAAAGUAUUGAUCAUAUAUAAUUAAUAUUAAAUUUAUUACAUUCACUCAUCAAUUUAAGUUUUUUAGUCAAUGUAUGUUCAUGAUGUACCAUGGUCAUAUCAUAAUAGAAUAGAUCCAAGAUUAUAUAUGUUCAAACCAACUGGUGAUUUAAUUAUCAAAGAUAUUAUGAUUUUGUCCAGUUUUUUUUUUCAGUCACUACUAGAAAAAUGGAUUUUAAUCAAGACAUUGUGUCGUUGAAAAUAAAAGAAAAAAAGAGGUGGGAUGAGGUACAUUGUGUUGUUUGAAAAUAAAAAUAUGGAUUAUUUCUUAAAACAAUCAUAUUGACACAAUUUAAUUUAUUUCAAAACAAUUUUUGCGUCAUUAAUUAACGACAAUUUUUUUGUCAUUAAAAAAAUUUUCAAAUGAAAAAACCUCAAAUUUCAAAAAAGUUCGAAGUGGGCUACCGAGUCGUUAUGAAGAACCCUUGCCCUCCAAUUUUUUGCCACUUGCCGUCGUCGAUUCCACACUCCAACCACUGUUGUCGUUGCUCCCACAACAAGCCUUCGCCGUCAAACCCACCAAUCUAGCCACUUUCGUCGAAUAAAUUUAUUUAGAAAUAUAAGUUUUAAUGACACUUGAAAUCAAGAAAAAGGGAUAUGAGGGAAUAAAAUGUGUGUCGUUAAAAAUAAAAAUACAAAAUUUUUUGUGACACAAAUUGAGUUUUCUUGACAAAAUUUUCGCAUUGUAAAUAAUGGCAUAAAUUAUGUGUCAUUAAAAAUUACCCUAAUAAAAAAUCAAUGUUUUCCUUCAAUCAUAUGCUUUUUGAUUUAAAACAAAUAAUUCGAAGCUUUCAUCCCACUUGUGAACAAAUGACCGAAAAAAACCUUACUUCAUCCCACAUCGUCACUGUCUUUAGCUCUCUCGCAAAUGCUCUCUGGCGACGUUCCCCCCUCUCUCGCAAAUACUCUUCACGACUUUUUCUCUCUCUCAAAAUUAAGCUCUUCGCCCACCGUUUGAAGGAACUCACCAAAUUUGCAAGUAAUUGAAGAAUUUGUGGUCCAUGAGAUCGAUUAAGUCCAUUUAUGAGUUAGUUUGAUUAGAUUAUGUCACAUAUACAUGUAUUACAAUUAAGGGACACUUGCGAAAAUGGCAAAAUAAGUUAUAAUAAUUAAGUCCAUAGAACACAUACUUUAUUAUUUGAGAAAGUGACAAAAACAAAGACCAACUGUAACGACCCAACUUUUCUAGGUAAGUCGAGAGUCGUUAAUUUUUGACAAAAGACUUUGGUUGAUACAAAAUGAAAUGUAAGCCAAUUGAAAAACAACUUUAAGUCAGGCCUGAUUUUCAAAUAUUCCAAAAACUUAAAAAAAGUACUAUUUACAAAUAAAAGUUUGUAAGUUAUGUUUCAAUACAACGUCUUAAACCUAAAACAAAACAAUAAGCGGAAGCAAACUAACACAUUUCCUAUGGCAAUCACACUUCCUUGCUGCCCCUCGCCGGUUUGCCGCCUUUAUUACCUUUGCCUGAAAAUUAAACAUAAGAAGGGUGAGUAUAAAAAUACCCAGUAAGAGACCCUCUACUGGUCCCGUCAGGGGAAAAAUAAAUUGUUAACAUUCUAUUGGGACACCCUGUACAGUCGCGCAGUCUUGUGAUCCCGUAGGAUGCACAUUUCAGUCUAACGCCUCGAGGGACGUACAUUUCAGUGUAGUGUUCUGCAGAAACACAUAUCAGUCUAAUGCUCCCGAAGGUACAGAAUAAUUGGUGAUCCCGUGGGACACCUACAAGGCACACAUCCCAAUAAAAGCUAACAAUUUUUCCCCUCAAUCCAUUCGUACCAUCUUUCAGUUACUUCAAAAUAUAAAGUUCUUUCACUCAACGUUCUAACAGUCAACUUAUCUCACUUUAGCCCAAUGUCUGUCAGUAACAUACUAAUACGUCAGUCAAUCAAACUAUAUAGUCAUAACGCCUCUCAGUUCACCAGCACACAGUCAUACUUUAGUAUAACGUACACCCAGUCUAAACGACAAUCACAAAGUUCACAUCCGCAUCUCAAUACAAACACAAUCUACAAUUGUCGUCCUGUCUACAUCCACACACAUAUAUAUAUAUUCCAAGACAAUCACAAUAUGCAUUCAACAUCAAGUCUACUUCAAUUCAUGUGUAUAUAUAUAUUUUCAGUCAUCCACAGUAUACAUUCAACACCGAACCUACAUCCAUACGUAUAUAUAUAUUGUCUCAACACAUUUACUCAAUCAGAGGUGACUAACAUUACAAUUCAAAAGCAUAGGUGAGUCCAGUAGAAAAUAAAAUCCCUUACCUCACUUUUAUGCAAGUUCUUCAAUCUACUAAAUCCAAUGAAUCAAAUCCUAAACAUAAUCAAUCAUAAAAUCAACAUCUUUCUAAAUAGUUUCAACCAUUCAAAUUACCCCAUAUGUAAAUUCCACAACUUACCCAAGAAGUGGAAAAUCAAGUCCACUUCAACCUUUUGGAAAAUCAAGGAUUCGCUCACUGAAUCAAGAUGUACCUUCAAGAAUUAAGCAUUUCGCCAACAAUUAAAUCCAAUGGCAGCAUUCAACAAAAACCAAGAAACCAACAAAAACCAUAACUUGUUCUUACCCAAAUAUGAGCCCAAUGGUUCACGGCGAGGCAAAAAUGACAAUCAAGAACGAAUCAAGCGGCUGUAAAUAGAGCAACACUGAAUGCGACUCAACUGGAAAAGAAAAUCGGCUUCAAAUCGUAACUCCGUCUUACAACGAGCAGAAGAACGUCGACUUGAUAGGGGACACGUAAUUUAGGAAGAGAUCGACUUGGAUCCGUGUAUGACUUCACGAGAUGUAUGCGUCGACGGCUUCACGGAGGUGAAGACAGACGCGGUCGGAGAGUCACGCGGCAGUGCAGAAAACGGAGGAGAAAGGAACGGGCGGCGGCUGGGCUUGGCUUCGACGGAGACAGAGAUUGCGCAGCAGGGCUUCACGAACGGAGAGGAAAGGAAUGGGCACGGCGAUGCAGAUCUGGACGACUGCUGCAAGGUGACGCGUACGGCACUUCACGAACCGGCGACGGUUGCAGCGACGGAUCUGGGUUAUGGCGAACUGCAAGGGUGAAGCACAAGCGACGGCGAGGACCUGGACGGCUCGGCGAUGCAGAUCUGGAUGACGAUUUGCUUUGACGCGGGAGGCACGACGGUUGUGAGCGGAGAGGCACGGUGGUUGUGAGCGGAUGGGCGCGGCGGUUUCGAUCCGAAGGAGAAAAGGAAGACGACCGGAAAGAAGAAGAAGAAACGACCGGCAGCUUGUGUGGCCGACUGGGUGAACGGAGAAGAGAGGGAUGUGCGGCUGCUAGGGUACGGGAAGGAGAAAGGGAUGGAGGACGCACGGGAGGAAGAAGGAAGGAAAAAUUUCUUUUUUCUUUUCUUUUAUUUAAAUAAUAAAAAUAAAACUAAAAUAUAAAUAAAUAUAUAUAUAAUAAAAUUUCUUUUUCUUUUCUUUUAUUUAAACUAAAUAAUAAAACUAAAAAUAUAAAUAAAUAUAUAUAUAAUUAUAUUAUCACAUUUUCAAAUCUUCUUUCCCCCCUUCAACAUAUUUUCUUCAAAACAAUAAAUCUUGUACAAAUCGAAAAAAUCUCUUAAAAUAAAAUACCUUCGAGUUUGGGGCGUUACAUUCUUCCCUCCUUAAGGCGAAAGUUCUAAUCCUGAAAUAACUCUUGAUAACGAGUCCUCAUCUCUUCUUCUCGCUCCCAUGUCGCCUCUUCAAUUCGAUGAUUCCGCCACAAAACCUGUACUAAUGGAAUGCUUCUAUUACGAAGCAUCUUUACCUCUCUAGCCAGAAUCUCCACAGGUUGUUCUACAUAGCUCAAAUGCUCAUCAAUCUCCAAGGGUUCAUAGUCCACGACAUGAGAUGUAUCGGCCACAUACUUCCUCAACAUCGAAACAUGGAAAACAUUAUGGACUGCAGAGAGUGAUGGUGGUAAUGCCAAGCGAUACGCCACAACACCAACCCUCUCUAAGAUCUCAAAUGGUCCAACAAAACGAGGACUUAACUUCCCUUUCUUCUCAAAACGCAUAACACCCUUCAUAGGUGCUACCUUCAAGAAUACCUUUUCUCCCACAUCAAACUUAAGGUCUUUUCGCCGUACAUCUGCAUAACUCUUUUGUCUACUCUGCGCUGUUUGCAUACGUGCUCUAAUCUUUUGAAUAGCCUCAUUAGUAGACCGAACUAAUUUAGGUCCCAUCAACCUCUGUUCACCAACCUCACUCCAACAAAUAGGGGUUCUACAACAUUUACCAUACAAAGCCUCAAAUGGUGCCAUACCGAUGGUAGCCUGGAAACUGUUGUUAUAAGCAAACUCCAUCAAAUGUAGAUGAGAGUCCCAACUACCUGGAAACUCUAGAACACAAGCUCGUAGCAUAUCCUCUAAAACUUGGUUCAAACGUUCAGUUUGACCAUCAGUUUGUGGAUGAAAGGCUGUACUGAAAUCUAAUCUCGUACCCAUAGCAGUCUGAAGUCCCUUCCAAAACUUGGAAGUAAACCGUGCAUCCCUGUCAGAAACAAUCGAUACAGGCACUCCAUGCAGUCUCACAACCUCAGUUAAAUACAACUGUGCCCACUUACUAGCAGUAUAAGUGGAUUUCCCUGGUACAAAAUGUGCCGAUUUCGUAAGCCUGUCUACAACAACCAAAAUCACUGUGAAACCCUUCAGGGUCUUAGGCAGCCCUGAAAUAAAAUCCAUCGACACAUUCUCCCACUUCCACUCUGGCACACUUAAAGGUUGUAACAAACCUGCUGGUUUCUGUCUAGGUGCCUUAACCUGCUGACAUACUAGACACUUACUAACGAAUUCCGCCACUUCCCUUUUCAUAUUCCGCCACCAAUAAAAUCGUUUUAGAUCCUGAUACAUUUUCGUACUACCAGGAUGCAUGGAAAAUGAAGAAUUAUGGGCUUCAUCUAGUAAGUCAAUCUUAGCUGCACUGUUCGCUGGCACACACAAACGUCUCUCAAACAUCAAUCCACCAUCAGAGGAUAUGGAGAACUCAUCAGUCUGCUCUGUUCCAACAAGGCGACGUCUCUCCGGAGUCAAAUAAGGAUCAUUACUCUGAGCAUCAACAAUCUUCUGCCUCAGAGUCAGUUGCACCGUUAAUUGAGCUAACUGUGAGGUGACUCUCCCCACAGAUACUACAAUCUCAGCUCUCUCCAAGUCUCGAUGUAAUGGUACCUGUCUAGUAAUGAGUGCUGCCGAAUGUGAUACUUUUCUACUAAGAGCAUCAGCCACCACAUUCGCCUUACCAGGAUGGUACAAUAUCUCACAGUCAUAAUCCUUUACCAACUCGAGCCACCUUCGCUGUCUCAUAUUCAACUCCUUCUGAGUGAAGAAGUACUUCAGGCUCUUAUGGUCAGUAAAGAUUUGUAUCUUUUCACCGUACAAAUAAUGUCUCCAUAUCUUCAAUGCAAAAACCACUGCUGCCAACUCCAAAUCAUGUGUGGGGUAGUUCUGCUCGUGACUCUUCAACUGACGAGAGGCAUAAGCAACCACCUUACCUUUCUGCAUCAAAACACAACCCAGUCCUUUCUUGGAAGCAUCACUGUAAAUCACAAAACUUCCGGAUCCAUCUGGUACUGUAAGGACCGGUGCAGUAACUAACCUUUGCUUAAGGUUCUGAAAACUAUCCUCGCAAGCUGGACUCCAAACAAACGGAGUUCCCUUCCUUGUCAACUGAGUCAAGGGAGUAGCCAAACGUGAAAAAUCCUCCACAAACCUCCGGUAGUACCCUGCUAAACCCAGAAAACUACGAACCUCACUAACUGUAGAGGGUCGAGACCAACUGGUAACCGCUUCUAUCUUUGCAGGGUCUACAGAAACUCCCUCACUGGAAACCACAUGACCAAGAAAAGCCACCUGCUUCAACCAAAAUUCGCACUUAGAGAAUUUAGCAUAAAGUUUAUUGACUCGAAGAGUCUCUAACACUUUAUGUAAGUGUUCCUCAUGUUCGGCCUCAGUCUUGGAAUAAACCAAAAUAUCAUCAAUGAAGACUAUCACAAAAGUGUCUAAGAAAUCCUUAAACACCCUGUUCAUCAAAUCCAUAAAUACUGCAGGUGCAUUAGUCAAACCAAAAGACAUUACCAUGAAUUCAUAAUGUCCGUACCUCGAACGAAAAGCAGUCUUAGGAAUAUCACGGUCUCUAAUCCUCAACUGGUGAUAACCUGACCGUAAGUCAAUCUUAGAGAACACCGUGGCUCCCUGUAACUGAUCGAACAAAUCAUCGAUUCUAGGUAAAGGAUAUCUGUUCUUGAUUGUUACUUUAUUCAACUCUCUAUAGUCAAUGCAAAGACGCAUCGACCCAUCCUUCUUCUUCACAAACAAUACUGGUGCACCCCAAGGCGACACACUAGGUCGAAUAAAGCCUUUGUCAAGCAACUCCUGUAACUGUACCUUCAGUUAUUUCAACUCGACAGGAGCCAUCCUAUAAGGGGCUCUAGAAAUGGGAGUAGUGUCUGGCUCCAACUCAAUGGCAAAAUCAAUCUCUCUAUGUGGCGGUAGUCCUGGAAGAUCUUCUGGAAACACAUCUGGGUAUUCUCUUACCACAGGUUCUGAAGUUAAGGAAGUCUCAUCUUCCCUAGUAUCCACCACACUUGCCAAAAUACUCCAGGUACCCUGGUUGAGCAGUUUACUAGCUUUCAUAGCUGAGAUUACUUUAGGCAGUACUACUGUUCCUACCCCUUGAAUUUAAAGCUAGAUUCGGUAGGGGGACUGAACACAACCUCUUUACGAGAGCAAUCAAUACUAGCAUGAUUAGUAGCUAGCCAAUCCAUACCUAAAAUUACAUCAAAGUCACGCAUAUCUAAUACCAACAAGGUUACGUCCAGCACACGACCAGCUAUCUCAAUUUCACAUGCUUUAAUCUUUUCCUUAGACAACAUAAUUUCUCCAGACGGUGUAGACACUGACAAAACAUAAUCUAAGGGUUCCACCUCUAAGCAUGCAUGCGUCACAAAAAGCGAUGAAAUAAAUGAAUGAGAAGACCCCGAGUCAAACAAGGUCAAGGCAAAAUGCCCUAACACUGGUAAUGUACCUGUCACCACUGUGCAGGCCUUCUCUGCUUAUGAUCUAUUAGUGGCAAAGAUUGUACCCCGCUGUGGAGGUUUCGCUCCCUGACUGCUCUGUCCAGCCCCAGUAGAUCUCAAGGGACAUCGAUCAGCCAUGUGUCCCUCUUGCUUGCACUUAUAACAGACUCUCGUUCCCAUCAAACAACGACCCAGGUGGUGUUUCCCACACGUAUUGCAUAGUGGCUUCUCUCGAGUAGUGUCUCCUGCCCCGCCAGAACUCUGCUGGAAACUGCAAAAAGGAUCGCCUAAUCUCAAGUUCCUCUGAGGAAUUCCCACAGUUCUCUGCUCUGCUUUCCUCUUUUGACCAGACGACGAUCCCUUAUCAAAACUCCUUGCCCGAAUUUCAUCCUUCCCAAUGCUCAUAUCCACUGCCAGGCGCAGCGCUUCAGCCUGGGUAGUGGGCUUUAGUGCUCGCACAAAGCCUCUAAUCUCAUCUCUCAAUCCUUUGACGAACCUAUCAGCUCUAGCCUGCUCAUUACCAACAAGUUCAGGGGCAAAACGCGACAGCAUAUCAAACUCCUGGUCGUACUCCUCGACUGUCAUAUGUCCUUGCUUCAAUUCCAAGAAUUCCUGGCUUUUGGCGUCUCUAAGGUUAGCCGAGAAAAACUUGGUAUAGAAGCAGUCUUUAAACUGAUCCCAGGUAAUCUGUCUCACAUCUCCACCUAGCAUACGCAUCGUAGUUCUCCACCAGAUAAUACCUCUGUCCCUCAGAAGAAAAGCAGCACACUGAACUCUAUGCUCCUCUGGACAUCUCAUGUAAUUAAAUAUGGUUUCCACAGAGGACAACCACAACUCAGCUUUAGUAGGAUCCUCUAGUGACCCAUCAAACGUCUGAGGGUCAUAUUUCCUAAAGUCCCUCAAAUGUUUCGCCUCAGCAGAAAGUUGGUUCGGUAAUGUCUGCGGCUGUUGUGCAGCCAAUCCUUGCGCAGGAGGGGCUGCUGGUGCAGGUGGAGCUGCUGGUACAGGGGGAACCACAGGUGCAGGUGGAACUGCAGGUGCCUGCUGGUUCUGAGCUAUAGCCGUCAUAAGCUCCGUGAACCUCUGCUCCAUGUGAGCAGACAGUGCAGCAAACUCAACAUGAGUCACGGGUGCAGUAGGAAUUCGCUAUUCAGCUUGACCCUCAGUAGGUUGAUUACGACCUGCUCCUCUACCCGGCCUCUACGACCUCCUCUACGUACACCUCUCUUUGGCGGCAUAAUUCCUAUUAUCCACCAACAACACUCUUUAAAAAGUCUUAAUCAUAAGCAUAAGAAGUCUUUAUCGUCAUGCAAUCUAGUUUAAUUUAGGCAAAGUCAUGCAAAUAAACCAUACAUAUAAGCAUAAAGCAUACCUGACGAGAGACGAAGGGUCGCGUUAGGCAUAGGGACAUAAAACAUAGACUUACAUCGUAAGUCAGUCUACAGAACCUAAAACUUAGGCUCUGAUACCAACUGUAACGACCCAACUUUUCUAGGUAAGUCGAGGUCGUUAAUUUUUGACAAAAGACUUUGGUUGAUACAAAAUGAAAUGUAAGCCAAUUGAAAAACAACUUUAAGUCAGGCCUGAUUUUCAAAUAUUCCAAAAACUUAAAAAAAGUACUAUUUACAAAUAAAAGUUUGUAAGCUAAGUUUCAAUACAACGUCUUAAACCUAAAAAAAACAAUAAGCGGAAGCAAAAUAACACAUUUCCUAUGGCAAUCACGCUUCCUUCCUGCCCUCGCCGGUUUGCCGCCUUUAUUACCUUUGCCUGAAAAUUAAACAUAAGAAGGGUGAGUAUAAAAAUACCCAGUAAGAGACCAACUGGUGAUUUAAUUAUCAAAGAUAUUAUGAUUUUGUCCAGUUUUUUUUCAGUCAUACUAGAAAAAUGGAUUUUAAUCAAGACAUUGUGUCGUUGAAAAUAAAGAAAAAAGAGGUGGGAUGAGGUACAUUGUGUUGUUGAAAAUAAAAAUAUGGAUUAUUUCUUAAAACAAUCAUAUUGACACAAUUUAAUUUAUUUCAAAACAAUUUUUUCGUCAUUAAUUAACAAUUCUUUUGUCAUUAAAAAAAAUUUCAAAUGAAAAAACCUCAAAUUUCAAAAAAGUUCGAAGUGGGCUACCGAGUCGUUAUGAAGAACCCUUGCCCUCCAAUUUUUUGCCACUUGUCGUCGUCGAUUCCACACUCCAACCACUGUUGUCGUUGCUCCCACAACAAGCCUUCGCCGUCAAACCCACCAAUCUAGCCACUUUCGUCGAAUAAAUAGAAAUAUAAGUUUUAAUGACACUUGAAAUCAAGAAAAAAAGAUAUGAGGGAAUAAAAUGUGUCGUUAAAAAUAAAAAUACAAAUUUUUUUGUGACACAAAUUGAGUUUUCUUGACAAAAUUUUCGCAUUGUAAAUAAUGGCAUAAAUUAUGUGUCAUUAAAAAUUACCCUAAUAAAAAAUCAAUGUUUUCCUUCAAUCAUACGCUUUUUGAUUUAAAACAAAUAAUUCGAAGCUUUCAUCCCACUUGUGAACAAUGACCGAAAAAAACCUUACUUCAUCCCACAUCGUCACUGUCUUUAGCUCUCUCGCAAAUGCUCUCUGGCGACGUUCCCCCUCUCUCGCAAAUACUCUUCACGACUUUUCCUCUCUCUCAAAAUUAAGCUCUUCGCCCACCGUUUGAAGGAACUCACCAAAUUUGCAAGUAAUUGAAGAAUUUGUGGUCCAUGAGAUCGAUUAAGUCCAUUUAUGAGUUAGUUUGAUUAUUAGAUUAGAUUAUGUCACAUAUACAUGUAUUACAAUUAAGGGACUUGCGAAAAUGGCAAAAUAAGUUAUAAUAAUUAAGUCCAUAGAACACAUACUUUAUUAUUUGAGUGACAAAAACAAAGACCAACUGUAACGACCCAACUUUUCUAGGUAAGUCGAGGUCGUUAAUUUUUGACAAAAGACUUUGGUUGAUACAAAAUGAAAUGUAAGCCAAUUGAAAAACAACUUUAAGUCAAACCUGAUUUUCAAAUAUUCCAAAAACUUAAAAAAAGUACUAUUUACAAAUAAAAGUUUGUAAGCUAAGUUUCAAUACAACGUCUUAAACCUAAAAAAAACAAUAAGCGGAAGCAAAAUAACACAUUUCCUAUGGCAAUCACACUUCCUUCCUGCCCCUCGCCGGUUUGCCGCCUUUAUUACCUUUGCCUGAAAAUUAAACAUAAGAAGGGUGAGUAUAAAAAUACCCAGUAAGAGACCCUCUACUGGUCCCGUCAGGGGAAAAAUAAAUUGUUAACAUUCUAUUGGGACACCCUGUACAGUCGCAGUCUUGUGAUCCCGUAGGAUGCACAUUUCAGUCUAACGCCCGAGGGACGUACAUUUCAGUGUAGUGUUCUGCAGAAACACAUAUCAGUCUAAUGCUCCCGAAGGUGCAGAAUAAUUGGUGAUCCCGUGGGACACCUACAAGGCACACAUCCCAAUAAAAGCUAACAAUUUUUCCCCUCAAUCCAUUCGUACCAUCUUUCAGUUACUUCAAAAUAUAAAGUUCUUUCACUCAACGUUCUAACAGUCAACUUAUCUCACUUUAGCCCAAUGUCUGUCAGUAACAUACUAAUACGUCAGUCAAUCAAACUAUAUAGUCAUAACGCCUCUCAGUUCACCAGCACACAGUCAUACUUUAGUAUAACGUACACCCAGUCUAAACGACAAUCACAAGUUCACAUCCGCAUCUCAUACAAACACAAUCUACAAUUGUCGUCCUGUCUACAUCCACACACAUAUAUAUAUAUUCCAAGACAAUCACAAUAUGCAUUCAACAUCAAGUCUACUUCAAUCCAUGUGUAUAUAUAUAUUUUCAGUCAUCCACAGUAUACAUUCAACACCGAACCUACAUCCAUACGUAUAUAUAUAUGUCUCAACACAUUUACUCAAUCAGAGGUGACUAACAUUACAAUUCAAAAGCAUAGGUGAGUCCAGUAGAAAAUAAAAUCCCUUACCUCACUUUUAUGCAAGUUCUUCAAUCUACUAAAUCCAAUGAAUCAAAUCCUAAACAUAAUCAAUCAUAAAAUCAACAUCUUUCUAAAUAGUUUCAACCAUUCAAAUUACCCCAUAUGUAAAUUCCACAACUUACCCAAGAAGUGGAAAAUCAAGUCCACUUCAACCUUUUGGAAAAUCAAGGAUUCGCUCACUGAAUCAAGAUGUACCUUCAAGAAUUAAGCAUUUCGCCAACAAUUAAAUCCAAUGGCAGCAUUCAACAAAAACCAAGAAACCAACAAAAACCAUAACUUGUUCUUACCCAAAUAUGAGCCCAAUGGUUCACGGCGAGGCAAAAAUGACAAUCAAGAACGAAUCAAGCGGCUGUAAAUAGAGCAACACUGAAUGCGACUCAACUGGAAAAGAAAAUCGGCUUCAAAUCGUAACUCCGUCUUACAACGAGCAGAAGAACGUCGACUUGAUAGGGGACACGUAAUUUAGGAAGAGAUCGACUUGGAUCCGUGUAUGACUUCACGAGAUGUAUGCGUCGACGGCUUCACGGAGGUGAAGACAGACGCGGUCGGAGAGUCGCGCGCAGUGCAGAAAACGGAGGAGAAAGGAACGGGCGGCGGCUGGGCUUGGCUUCGACGGAGACAGAGAUUGCGCAGCAGGUCUUCACGAACGGAGAGGAAAGGAAUGGGCACGGCGACGCAGAUCUGGACGACUGCUGCAAGGUGACGCGUACGGCUUGCUUCACGAACCGACCGACGAUUGCAGCGACGGAUCUGGGUUACGGCGAACUGCAAGGGUGAAGCACAUGCGGCGGCGAGGACCUAGACGGCUCGGCGAUGCAGAUCUGGACGACGAUUUGCUUUCCGAGGGAGCACGACGGUUGUGAGCGGAGAGGCACGGCGGUUGUGAGCGAAUGGGCGCGGCGGUUUCGAUCCGAAGGAGAAAAGGAAGACGACCGGAAAGAAGAAGAAGAAACGACCGGCAGCUUGUGUGGCCGACUGGGUGAACGGAGAAGAGAGGGAUGUGCGGCUGCUAGGGUACGGGAAGGAGAAAGGGAUGGAGGACGCACGGGAGGAAGAAGGAAGGAAAAUUUCUUUUUUCUUUUCUUUUAUUUAAAUAAUAAAAAUAAAACUAAAAUAUAAAUAAAUAUAUAUAUAAUAAAAUUUCUUUUUCUUUUCUUUUAUUUAAACUAAAUAAUAAAACUAAAAAUAUAAAUAAAUAUAUAUAUAUAUAUUAUAUUAUCACAUUUUCAAAUCUUCUUUCCCCCCUUCAACAUAUUUUCUUCAAAACAAUAAAUCUUGUACAAAUCGAAAAAAUCUCUUAAAAUAAAAUACCUUCGAGUUUGGGGCGUUACACCAACUCACACAUCAAGAGGUAAAAUGUCACAAAUGCCCUCGUUAUUGAUGUACAUUUGAUACACCUUAUACACGUCUGAUACACCUAAUACCUCUUGAUACAUUAAGUCCAUUUAUGAGUUAGUUUGAUUAGAUUAUGUCACAUAUACAUGUAUUACAAUUAAGGGACACUUGCGAAAAUGGCAAAAUAAGUUAUAAUAAUUAAGUCCAUAGAACACAUACUUUAUUAUUUGAGAAAAUGACAAAAACAAAGACCAACUCACACAUCAAGAGGUAAAAUGUCACAAAUGCCCUCGUUAUUGAUGUACAUUUGAUACACCUUAUACACGUCUGAUACACCUAAUACCCCUUGAUACACUUGAUACUUCUUACUGAUACACUUGAUACAUUUGAUAGAUACAAUUCAUGCACUCGGUACUCAUUGAUACACUCGAUACUUUUUGAUACACACCUGAAACAUCUUCAUACACAUAAUACUUCUCGUUCCACAUAAUACUUCUCGUUACACUUGAUUCUUCUUGAUACACUUGAUACCCCUGAGACCUUGAUACACUUGAUUAGUUUGAUACACUUAAAGACUUCACUUAUAAGUUUGAUACACUUGAUACACCACUAAUAAACUUGUUAUACUUCAUUGGUACACUUAACAAAUUCGAUAUGUUUGACGUACAUGCACUACAAGAAAUUUACCCUUUGUCGAUGACAAAUAUCGUCAGUAAAUCUUCAAAAACUAAUCAACUUUUCUUUUGCCAACGAAAUUAAGCUGUCAACACACACCGUCAGGUAGGUCUGUCGGAAGAUCCUCUAUCGAUGGCAAAAAAUAAACUGUCAGCAAAAAUAGGAACUAUCGAUGAAAUUGAACCAUCAGUGGGCGUGUGUGUGUGCGCUCGUGUGUGCGCAUGUCCACGUGUGCUUGGGUGUGUGUAUGCGCACAUACAUGUGUACGUGAGUAGGUGUGUGCGUGUUUGCGUGUGCAUUUGUGUGCGUGCGGUUUGGUGUGCGUGUGCAUGUGUGUGUUUGUGUGUGUGUGCCUAUGUUCGUGUGUGUGUGCGUGUAUGGGUGCACGCGCGUGCAAGUGUAUGUAUGUGUGUGCGCGUGUGAUUGUGUGUGAAUAAGUUGAUAUUUUUUAAUGUUGAGUUUCUCCCAAUUUUAAAACAAUAAUUUAAUUAUCUUGAUAUUCAAGCCAUUAAUAUUAUUGUGAGAUAAAGAUAGUGAAUAAGUUGAUAUUUUUUAAUUUUGAAAUUCAGUUAAAGUUAUUUUGAUACAAAAUCUAUUGCUGAGAUUAUCAUAUUCUGAAAAAUAAUAAUUUUGUUAUUUUGAAAUUCAAUUUGGUUAUUUUGAAAUUCAAAUUCAAUUAGGUUAUUUUGAAAUUAGUAAGAUUAAAUAAAGUUGAAGUCUUGAAUCCAUUAGUUGAGUCCCGAGAUAUUAAGAAAAAAGUAUGAUAUGAGUUUAUGUAUCUUUUUCAGGUAAAAAAUAAUUAAAAGCUGAUAAAUGCAUAAUAUAAAUUAAUUACAAUAUAGAAACAAGAUAAUUUUAGUUGGAGAAUGUGAAUAUUUUGGUAUUUUAUAAAAUAUUAUGCACGUGCAAAAAAUGUUAUUUGCUAAAAUUAACAAAAAAAGUUUUGCCAUUUUUCAAAAUGACCCAUAAAAAUGUUGCUAUAUCUCUUAUGACAGAGUGUAUAUCUACUGGUUCAUAUUCGACAUGUUUGUUGCUAAUAGAAUUGGAUAAAAUCGCAUUAUAUUGAAAUAAUUACACGAAUGACACUUUUAAGCCAAUAUUGGUAGAAAUUAUAGUUUAAUUAAUGUUAUUAAGUCAAUGAACAUGGUUUAAAAGUCCUUCUAAACACAAUUAAUGUAGUUGUUUUUUAAUUUUAACUCAUUUAUACAUCUUUAUGCAUAUGUGCUGUGUACGUGUGCGCGUGUAGGUAGGUGUGCGUAUGUGUAUGUGCGUGUGUUCGUGCGAGUGUCCGUGUGCAUGUGUGUGUGGGUGUGUGCAUGUUUGUAUGUGUUUGUGCGUGCGUGUGUGUGCACGGGCUAUUGCGUGUGUGCUUGGGUGUGCUCGCGCGUGCGUGUUUGUGCGCGUGUGCGUAUGUGUUUACGUGUGUGCGUUUGUGCGUACGCGUGUGUGCGUUUGUGCAUGUGUGUGUGCUUGUGCGCGUGUGGAUAGGUGUGUGUGUGUGCAUGCGUGCGCGUGUGCAUGUGUGUGUGCGUGCGUUCGUGCGUCUGUGGGUGUCUAUGUGUAGGUGUGCGUGUGCACGCGUGUGUGUAAGUGUGCAUGUGUACGUGUGUGCGCAGUGCUUCUAUGCUUGUGUGCGAACAAGUUAAUAUUUUUUAAUGUUGAGUUUCUUCCAAUUUUAAAAUAAUAAUUUAAUUAUCAUGAUAUUCAAGGCAUUAAUGUUAUUUUGAGAUAAAGAUAGUGAACAGGUUGAUAUUUUUUAAUUUUGAAAUUCAAUUAAGGUUAUUUUAAUACAAAAUCUAUCGUUGAGACUCUCAAAUUUCGAAAAAUAAUAAUUUUGUUAUUUUGAAAUUCAAAUUCAAUUAGGUUAUUUUGAAAUUAGUAUGAUUGAAUAAAGUUAUUAAUAUGUUGAAUUAAUUAGUUGAGUCUCGAGAUAUUAAGAAAAAUAUUAUGAUAUGAGUUAAUAUAUCUAUUUCAAGUAAAAGAUAAUUAAAAGCUGAUAAAUGCAUAACAUAAAUUAAUUACAAUGUAGAAACGAAAUAAUUACAGUUGAAGAAUGUUGAUAUUUUGGUAUUUUAUAAAAUACCAUGCACGUGCAAAAAAUGCUAGUUGCUAAAAUUCAAAGGAAAAAGUAGUUUUGUCAUUUUUCAAAAUGACCCCUAAAAACGUUGUUAUGUCUCUUAUGACAAAGAGUGUAGAUCUACUGAUCCAUAUUCGAUUUGUUUUUGUUGGUAAAAUUGGAUAAGACCGCAUUAUAUUGAUAAUAACGAAUGACAGUUUUAAGCCAAUAUUGAUAGAAAUUAUAAUUAAUCAAUGUUAUUAAGUCAAAUGAACAUGGUUUAAAACUCUUUCUAAACAUAAUUAAUGUAUUUGUUUUUUAACUUUAAUUAAUUUACACAUCCUUGUGUGUGUGCAUAUGUGCGCGUGCGUGUGCGUGUGUGGAUGGGUGUGUGUUGCGUGCGUGUGUUGUGCACGUGUGCGCGUGUGCUUGUGUGCGAACAAGUUGAUAUUUGUUAAUGUAAAUUUCUCCCAAUUUAAAAUAAUAAUUCAAUUAUCUUGAUAUUCAAGUCAUUAAUGUUAUUUUGAGAUAAAAAUAGUGUACAAGUUGAUAUUUUUUAAUUUUGAAAUUCAAUUAAAGUUAUUUUGAUACAAAAUCUAUCGUUGAGAUUCUCAAAUUUCAAAAAAUAAUAAUUUUGUUAUUUGAAAUUGAAAUUUAAUUAGGUUUUGAAAUUUUGUAAAUGAAUAAAAUUAAAAUCUUGAAUCAAUUAGUUGAGUCCCGAGAUAUUAAGAAAAAGGAUGUAUCUUUUCAGGUAAAAAUAAUUAAAAGCUAAUAAAUGCAUAACAUAAAUUAUAAUUACAACGUUAGAACGAAAUAAUUACUGUUUGAGAAGGUGAAUAUUUUGGUAUUUUAUAUAAUAAUAUCAUGCACACGUGCAAAAAUUCUAUUUGCUAAAAUUAAAAGAAAAAGUAGUUUUGCCAUUUUUCAAAAUGACCCAUAAAAACGUUGCUAUAUCUCUUAUGACAAAGAGUGUUGCAUCUCUGGUACAUAUUCGACUUGUUUUUUGUUCGUAAAAUUGGAGAAAUUGAGGACACAACUCCAAUUCCUAGCAUGUUUCUCUCCUAAGACUAUGCUGGUCCUAGUCGGGGAGUGGCAUUUACAUCCCAGAAAGACACACAUGUAUCACCUCGUGUUGGCACUUCCAUUGCAAUGCCACAACUCUGACAUAUAUAGUGCCGACAUUUCCUUCCUUAAGCUUGAAAAAAGGUGAUUUGAUGUCCAUAAAAAAUUAACUGAGCAGUUAGAUAUUUUCUAAUAUGUAUCUCACGUAAUUUGAUGCUCAUUGAUACUGCAGUACUGUGUCAGGAACGUGUUUGAUGUAAAAUCUUUCAGUUUUGAUGGAUCUUAUUACAAGCUUUCAACUCUUCUUAGCACGACUUCUGACAGAACAAAGGUUUGAUAUAUCUUUACACGAUCGCAUAUCACAUAUGAACGAUCGCAUAUCCCAUCUGAAAUAUCGAUCACCCUUGGUAAAACAACCGUUUAGAUAUUCUACACGAUUGUUUGCUUAAGGAUACACGAUCAUUUUGUAACUAUUUUUUUUUUAUCCUUUUUUCUUUCUAUACUAGAACCAGAAUCAAUUGUUUGAUGAUAUUAACAACAUGUAUGAUGAUCUUCGUGAUGAUUCUAGUCAUCACAAUCUGGAAGAAUGAUGACCAUCAAAAUAACAAACAUGUGAUCAUCCAUGAGAAUCCAUUUGUUCAAGAGUCACAUCUUCAAGAAUCUACUGUAGAAACUCAACAGUUAGUGUUUAAUUCAUUAGUUACCGCUUUAUAUUGUUUAAAAUUGCUUAGAUUAUAAAUAAACAACAAUAAUUUUUUUUCUUUUCUGUGUAGGGAACAAAAAUGAACAACGCCUCAACAUCAAGAGUAGUCAGGCAGUGAUAUUAGCAUAUAUGGCAGAGAUGCACAUUUGAUAUUAACUAUAAGUAAUAUAGCAGAAAAUAUGGAAGGUCAUACUCAAACAGAAAAGGGAUUGCUAGAAAUGAUUGAAAAUCUUCCGUUGGUAAGCCAACCACUUCCACUUUGUGAGAUGCUACCAUUAACUACUGUCAAAGGUCUUGCAUUAGUUUAAUUGGUAUGUGUGCCCUAAAGGGAUAAAAGCUCUUGGCAGUGAAAGAUUUUACAAAACCAUUCAUCAAUUUUAAUUUGAAAAUUCCAAAAUACCAGUACAUUGACAAUAUUUAGAAUCAAAGUUCUAAAUAAAGAACUAAAUAUGCUUUUAAAUUAAAAGAUACAUAGAACUGACUCUUGUUGACGUCUUUGAAUCUAUAAUCCACCGAAUUGGGGACACCACCCGUUGGAGACCUUCCUAUCUUCGAAGAUGAGAUUGGUUUGUGGAAAACAAUUGGAAUGAAAAAAAAAUUUAGAGAGAAACUAUGUAACACCCCCAAUAUCAAGGUAUUUCUCUCAAGCUAAAUUUUUAAAAUUUUAUUAAGAUUUUAAGGAAUUUGGUUGUGGUGUGGAUUUAGCAGGAAGUGAAGGGGGCUUUUAUGAAAAAAUAUACUAAUACUAAAGGUUAAAUAAUAAUAAUAGAAUUAAUGUUAUUAUUAAUUUAAAAUAUCAAUUCUUUAUUGAUUCACGUGCAACCCCAUCUCUUUCUCCUUCACUCUUCCUCUUCCCGUGCCCACCGCCACCUGCCUCCCUUAGCCAUUUUAUAUUACUCUUGGACGUCAGCCGGCCACGCCGUCACCGAUCCCUUCGUCUCCGUUGAAGCCGAAGCACCGUUCGUCGUGAGUUCGAACUCUCGGCAUCGCGUCUCACCUCUGUUUUCCAGCCAAGCUGUGAUUCAUUCGCGCGUAGCUCCUUCGACGUUGCGCCACCACAUUCUGCUCCAGGUGACGAGGAGCGUCACCGAUUGACCUAUCAUCUCACCGCGUUGUUACUUAGUUGAAGCAGCCGUCGACAGACCUGAGCCCGUCACGUCUGUUGAAGUGCCGUCGCGCGGCUCUUCACCUUCAGCCAUGGGUUGUAAGCUGAAGUUUGUUUUUCGUUUGUUGAUUAGAUCUGAUCUAUUACACGCGUCGAUUCCAGUUAUUCGAAGUUGUUGCCCCCAUUUUACUCUAAUUUUUGGGAUUUUUGUGGUAAGUUGUAUUGGUGAGUGUGGUGGUUUUACAUUGUAAUUAUCCUUGGGUUGUAGUUUUGGAUAAUUAGUUAAAUUGUUAAUUGAUUCUUGAAGUUAGCGUUUGAGUUCUUUGGAUUCACAACUAAGUUGUAGAUUUGUUGGAGUUCGGUUCGCCAAUAAAGCUAGAAUUUACAUUGAGGAAAUUAAAUGAACGAAAGUAUUGUGAAAGUAAUUGAGUUCCAUAUUCUUAGUAUUAGGUUUCCUUCGUUCGAGAAAUUUAAGUAACAUUAAAGUAAGGGGUUUCUAUUACUGGACUCUUUGAAAGUUUUGAAAUGUGUUGACUGUUUGGAUCUCUGGACUUAGUAUGGUUUACCAAAUAUGUAGAAGUAGAUAUGAUGACAAAUGUAUAUUAUGCCAGACUAGUAUAGAAGUAGAUACGAUGGAUAAUGUAUUUGUAAACUAAGAAAGGUGUUAUGUAUAUAUAUAUAUCUUGACUGUCUGGUGUGUUGUUAUAGUAUCAACUGAUUUUAUGAUAGAUUGAAUAGAUUGAACGUAAGUGUGUUAAGUUGGAUUGAUGAUAUGAUGAAGUAGUUUGACUAUACUAGGAAUGGAUUGAUUAAAUGUUUAUAAUGGACUAAGGGAAAAUUGUUAGCUUUGUCGAUUGGGUAGUGUGCCUUGCAGGUGCCUACAGGAUCACCACCUGUUGUGCAUUCUUCGAGAGCACUAGAAUGACAUGUGCAUUCUUCGAGAGCAAUAGACUGACAUGUGCAUUCUUCGAAAGCACUAGACUUACAUGUGCUUUCUGAAGAGCACUACUAAUAUUUGUGUCCUUUAGGGCAUUGGACUGAAUUAUGUGUAAUUUCUACAUGAUCACAAGACUUAUCUAAAGGUGCGAGGGCACCUCCAAGUAGGAAGUUAACAAUUUUAUUUUUCUUCAGUGAACCAGUUUGAUCAGUAGUGGGUCUCUUACUGGGUAUAAGUUUAUAACCAUCACCCUUUUCCAAUGUUUCCCAAAAGUCUUGGCCUUUCUGCGAAACUGCUCCAUAAGGAAAAUGUCCUUCAAAUUGACUUAUACAUCUUAUAUUUUUUUUAUUGCUGCAAGUUUUCUUAUAGAUCUAAUUUGAGCACUGUUUUGGGUUUCAUGAUCAUGAACGAUGUGUUAGUUGUUCUUGAACCUUAUCUUUAUUAUCGAUACUUUUAUCAACUUUACCAAAAUUUUAUUGGAAAUAGAGCCCGAUAUAAAACUCACUCUUAUUAAUGUUGUAAAAUGAAGAGACAUAGCUCAAUUUUUUUAAGAUUAUACAAAGUGCUAUAGGAUGGAGGUUAAAGAGACGAAUCUAGUCAUCUAAAGUAAGUUAACUUCAGCUUAGCAUUCGAAACACAUUCAGGUCGUUACAAUACUAUUUUGCAAUCAAAAGCCACAAAUCGAAUGCGAUUUUUAUGUUUGUUUUGCCUUAAGAAAAGACUGCUUUGUUAUCGGUUCUAGCAUAGUUGGAUAUGAUGACGGUGCUCUGGGGGUGUCUUUCUAGUUGAGAUGCCAAGGUGCACCCCCUGAUCCGGGGUUACAGGUUCAUUGAAUAACUCUCUUGUACUAGGAGCUUCUAUCUAACUAUUAAAAAUAUAUUAAUAUUAAUAAAGAAGUUGUCUCCUUUUCAAAAAAAUCAACUAAACUAAUUACACCAUUAAUCAAUUAGUUAAUAAUAUAAAUUAAAUCAAUAUUAUAAAUUAAUAUUUCCAAAUUUAAAUCUUAUUGAAUGAAUAUCUCUCCAAUACCUUAUAAGUUUUAUACUUAAUUUAGCAUUAAAUCCCAACAAAUAUUGAAUGUUUAAAUAAUAUUAAACUAACACUUCGAUUCAAUUAAUUAAUCAACUCAAAGGUGCUAAAUAUUUUUCAUAUUAUCAACUUAAAUGGGUUAAAUUUGAAGUCAUAUUACAUAAUAUGGAACUUUUAUCUCAAUAACUAAAUUAAAGUUUAAUUAUACAUACAACGUUAUCCAUAUAACGAUAUUAAACUUUAUAUUGAGCUAAAUGUAUCACUGUAUGAUUAUACUAAUUAUACAUAAUUUUCCAAUAAUAAAUAUUGAAUAUUUCAAAUUAGAACCAAUAUGAAAUCAAACUCAAACAACUUAUCUCAAAUUUUGCCUAUCAGUUCCAUUACUUUGUAUUGUCGAGUCGAAAUACAAUAAAUUAGGCAUCGAAGCCCUAAUACAUAAAACGAAAUAUACGAGAUGAAACUCUAAAAAAAAAAAAUGCCCUAUCUCGCUAUAACUACAAUGAGAUGGACAAAUAGACAUUCGUAUAGGCUAUCUAUCUCUAUCUAUCUGAAACUAAGCACACAUAGAAUUGUUCAUAUCUUCUCUAAUACCGAUGAGACAAAAAUAGCAAUCUAUUUAAUAUCUACCUGAGAUGACAAACAUUAAAAAAAAAAACCUUACCGAAGGGUUAAUAUAUAUCUUAGAAUACUUUAGGUAUAGACUAAAACAUGCUAACACGAUUCUCAAGCCCAAAGAAGUUCAAAACUUAGCACAAUCUUCAUUGCUUAAAAGUAGCUUUACUUCUUUCAUCAAUAACCACAUGUUUGCCAAUACAUCUCUAAAUUGAAGCUAAGCAUGGUAGCUACAGGUCAGUUCUCUAAGAUCUUUAAAAACUAAAUUUACACUGUCUACACAAUUUGAUAGUCAAUUCAUGUCUAGAUAUCAACUUGAAACUCAUUUUUGUCAUACCUAGAGAGUAGAUUCAACCAAUGGCUUAUCAAAUUGUUCGAACUCCUUGGAAUCUAACAUGUAUGAUUUAUACUGUCUCACCUUUUAAUAUCUUUACUAUGUGUUCUUUUGCCCAUCCAAGCUUUCUGCUUAAUAUUAACUCCAAGCAUUUGUACAUGCCUUAUGCACAAUUGCUUUCGGAAUGAAUACGAUGGCAGAAGUAGACAUGAACUUGAACUGCAUGCUAUCAAGCAACUGUCAAUCUAACCUGUUGAAGAAGCUUGUCAUAAUGACAACUAAUCAUUCAAUGAACGGUCUAUUGUUCGAUAAUUCUACUUACUCCAUCCAAUUGAAUCUGUUCUACGAUAUUAAAUACAAUGUAGAGAAUCUAAAGGUGAUUCGAGACAUUCGUACCAUUAAAUUUCAGCAACUAAGUAAUUCAUUCAUAACAUAGUUAACAUCCACUUCCAUUGACCGUCCAUUAAAAAGACAACUUAAAUCGGAAAGAGUACCAUUAUAAUCGUUUGUAAAAAAAAAAAAAUCUUCUAGAUAUUAUAAGUCUAUUUAAUUCUGGGAAUAGAAAAUGAAAUAGAAUAGAAUCAUGAGAUUCUAUACAUUUAUUACUGAAUAAAAGAAUAAAUAUGUACAAACUACUGAUAAUACUAAACACUAAUGCAUUAGUUAAUAAGUAAACGAAAUCGAAUGCAAUGAAAUAAUAUUACAUUAAACGAUCCUAUUAACCGUGAUAAACGACCAUUUACACAACGGUAAAUGACUAAUAUUUGACUUAAAAUAAAUUUGAAUCGUGUUGAAACAUGGGUUUAUCACGAUCAUUAUGAUAUUGGUGCAAUUCGUAUUGAAUUAAGAUGUAAACUCAAUCGUCUAUGUUAUCGGUCACACGAUCGUGUUGAAUCAUUUGUAAAGUUGAAUUUCUAUUGUAUAGUUUGGUAAACUGAUCGUGUAAUGUCUCACUGUAAAUUAUCGUAAAAAACUAGUUAAACUUAUCGAUCUUUAAUUACAUGAAGUACAAAUAAAUCUCAUUACCCAUUAAUACUUAAGAAUUUGUUGUAACGAUCCAACUUUUCUGAAGCUAAGUUGAAGUCAGAUUAAUUUGGACAAAGAGACCUUGAUUGACACAAAUUAGCUUUAUGUAAAAUUCACUUGAAACUCAUAACUGAACUCAAAGAAAACAAACUAUAUGUUCGGGCCCUAUUUCAAAUAGACCAAAACUUUAAAAGUACUAUUUACAAAACAACAGUUCGUAAACUCCAGUUCCAUCAACAAAAUUCUUUAAACCAACCUUACAUGUACAAAGGAAAAACCAAUGAAACACUAAAGAAGAACCCGUUUAUUGGUCCCAUUAGGGGAAAAAGAAACUGUCUAACUUCCUAUUGAGGGUACCCUACCACAGUUCACAGUCUUGGUGAUACCAUGUAGGAUACACAUUAAUCAGUCUAACACCUCAAAGGACGCAAUAAAUCAAGUCUACUGUUCUGCAAGUAUAAUCACAACUAUCCAGUCAGUAAUGCUCUCGAAAGGACUGCUACAAUAUCAGGCUCUAGUGACUAUCAAAGGAUGCACAUAUUCAGGUGGUGAUCCCGUAGGACACCCAGCAAGAUGUAACUACCGAAUAGAAAUCGUCAACAAUUUUCCCCUCAAUCCAAUUCUAAACAUUCUUAACACUCAUUCAUAGUACAGUCCGAGCUACUUCAACAUAUAAUCCUUUCACUUAACACCCUGAAAUAGCUCAUACCUAUCUCACUUUAGCCCAAUGUCCAGCCAGUAACAUAUCAAUACAUAACGUCAAUCAAACGUCAAUAUAAGUCUAUAACACCCCUCAAUUCACCAGUACACAGCCCUAAACUUUAGUAUAACCUACACCCAAUCUAAACGACAAGAAAUUUCCAAACAAGUAUCACAUCCACAUUCCAUUACAAAACACAAUCUUACAAUUGUCGUCCUGUCUACAUUCCAUACAUAUAUAUAUAUAUCCCAGACAAUCACCAAUAUGCAUUCAACAUCAAAAGCGUCGUACAUCAAUCCAUGUAUAUAUAUAUAUUUUUCAGUGCAUUCACAGUAUACAUUCAACACCGAAGUCUACAUCCAUAUGUAUAUAUCAUCGUUUUGAUUCAUUCAUUUACCUUCAACGUCAGUCAGGUAACUAUACAGACAGCACAAUUCAAAAUCUAUGAGGUGAGUCCGUCAGUUCACCGUUAGAAAUGUGUAAUCCCUUACUCUAUUCGAUAACCUGUAAACACGUUAAGCUUCCUUUUGUCAAACUAAAGUUGCAACGAACCUCGACUCGUAAACAUAAUUGAAGAGAAAUCAAUCACUUUCUUCACAAACUAAAUUUAAUCCAUUUCCAAUUUUCACUCUAUGAUGUAAAUUUCCAAUAACUUACCCAAAUUGUGGAGAAUGCAAAUUCUAACGGAGACGGAUCGAUGCAACAAAUAACCGAACAAAGGUUCAGCAUUCUAAACAUGAACAUGGGGAUACAAGUGACUAGAACUGUAAGAUGUACUCGGGCUAACAAGGUUACCAUGCGAGCGAAUAGGAAAAAAUGGUUGCUUGACGGAUUCUAAAGUGUAGGAUUGUGAAGACGGUGGUGAUAGUUUGGUACAUUGGAGAAGGAAACAGAGAAGGAAGAAAAGAGAGAUUAUGCUAUACACAAUGUGAGAAGCACACAAAAAAAUUGAAAAUAAACUUCGAAAAGAAGAGAGAGACCUUGAAGUUCUGUUAGGGAGAAAGUAUUCAGUUUCCUGUUUCAAAUUGUGAAGUAUGGCAAAGCUAAAUUCUUCAUCCAAGGGAUUGAAAUAGACAAAGGUUAUGAAAUAUACAAAGUCAGCCAUCCGCUUCUUCUCCUCUUCAGCUUUGCAUGUUUUCGUCUCCCUCAUCUUCAUAAUAUAUUAAACAUAAAUUAAAUGUAAAAUAUCCACGAACCCGAAUCUUUACACGACAAGACUAUUUACUCCAACUUUUUAAGAGCUAACAAACUAUUCUACUCCAACUUUUUAAACUACAAAUUUAAUUUCUCAACUUUUAAACUAUUUAUAAACUUACAAAUCUACUUUGAUUCAUCUUCUUCAGGAUCUUGAUAUCUAACAUAAUUUAAAAAAAAUAUCAAAAUUUAAUUACGAGCACUUUAAAAUGUUGCAUUAAAAUCCUAGGGAAAGACCUAGAUUAAGAGCAAUAUAGACAAGGUUUAAGAGGUAACUAGACACACUUUAAAAGUUCUAAGGGAAAGAAUCUUUUGUUUAACUAUUACAGUAAUUAAUUUUGAAAAUAUGUUAUUUUAGAAAAACUAAAGUUGUUUGACAACUUCUGGAUUGAAUAGCUAUUGAAUAUACUCUCAAGGAUUGUAUUUUAAGCAAUUUUAAUAAAAAGAAAGUCUAACAUAAAACACAGAUUACCCUUUGUUAAAGGAACAUUUUUUCUCUAAUCACGUUCCAAUGGAACAUCAAACACGUAACUUCAAGUUCAAUUCUGGUAAUAUCCAAUGGAAUCAGUCUCAUCCAGACAUUUAAACAAGAACACUAUCUAACUUGAUGAGAACUUCAUUUUUACCUCAUAUUUACAAUUCCCAAAGCUUUAACUUAAAUGAAGGACCAUAUCCUGAAAACAUACUUACAUCCAACUUUCUCCAUGAAUAAACUUAUCGUUCUUUUGAUGUACUGAUGAAUAUUAGAGAUGGAGCGAUCAGAGUUUGUUUAUGUACCAAAUUAGAGUGAGUUGAGAAAAGAGUGGAUUUAACACUAAGGACGAAAUGGCUGGCUGCUGCUUGUUCAAAACUGAAAGUUUUUAAGGGUGACCUUGUACUUUCAUAGGGACUCAGCAAAUGCUGAAGGGAAGCCUCCAGGUCUAAGACAAUUCGAGUGGAAUAACUCUCAUUACUACCAUGCCAUUUAGGAACUCAUUCAACGUUAGAAUAGUCCAUUAUCCUAGCUUUUGAUCUACGGCCACCAAUUGGCUUCCUAUCCUACGUCUUCCUCACAAGCCACAAAGAUCGUUCUACUCCAAUACGCUUGUUUACUUUACUCUCAGUCAGUCAGUUAGAAUCAGAACUCAUAAAUUUAUCAAGCAUAAUGAAUUUGGCUUCAAAGAUUGAGCAGAAAAAACUUCUCAUGUAUAUACUUGACAAGGUAUUGAAUUUGCAAGAAUGUCACCCUUAUACAAAAAAUUAUUCAAACAAAUUUACAUUGUUCUAGUCCCUAAAAUUUUCCAUUCUUUUCCCAACUUAUCAAAAUUUUGAUUCCUAUGAGACUAUAUUCCAAGGUGCACAUAUAGCAGAAAUGACCGAUGAGUAUUGGAUAAAUGAAUAUUAGUUGAUAAAUGUUAGACUUUACAAAAUACUAAAAUCGUUAGUUGGCUACGUCUUUAGCUGAAAGUUCUCGAUCUUGAUUAAAAUGGAUGUUUUGAAAGUUAACUAAGGCUAAAAUGGAUACUAUCUAAAUCCAUACAUAAUUUAGUAAGUCUUUCCAAGAUCAAAGUCACAGCUAAGAGGUUGCCAUAACAAUGUUGCCAAAGUAAGAAAAUGGCAAUCUUAAUCAUAAUUAGAAACAUGAGAUGUAUGUUAUUUAGUAAACCAAAUUCACAAAAUAAUUAACAUCCAAGUACUUUUUAGUUCGUAUAUUUCUAGAUGACAAUUAAAAACUUGAACAUUAAUUGUUGAUUAAUUGAAACAUUGAAACCACGUGAUAAGAUGUUGCCAUAUGAACCCAUCUUGACUUGCUAUAGUACUUUAUUUUACAUUACAUGCUCAAUUCCUAGUUUGUAUUUCAAAACAAAUUCAUACAAUAUUAAAGACUUUAAGAAGCACAUACACUCUAGAUUUUGGCUAGUGUACUCGAAUUGUAAACAAGUGAUGUAUGGAACAGCAUCGGAGAACACGUGUUGUAACACUAGGAUUAGUACAGUAGGAUGGUGUUGACUGAAACAAUGUACUGUAUAUGACUAUAUGAAAUUUCUAUAUAAAGUUAUCGAAAUGAUCAUACAUAUAUGAUUAAAUGUUAAUAUAUAUUAAAACUGUAGAAUUCUAGUCAUGCAUAUUCCUGAUAUUUUUUAGCCACACUACAAGAAUGACACAGUCAACACAUGUACUAUGAUUUAAUUGACCCAUGAUCUAGAAAUUCGUGAUACGUGCUUCAUGUUUGUUGAAGAACUUCAACGUCUUCAUUAGAUGACGGAUUAGCCAUGUCAUUAAUAAGUGGAUUCUAUAUGUAAUAUAGAGAACCUAAACCAUAGUAAUCGAGACCGUUUGUACAAUAACAGAGAACUUACAUUCUCCACCGGUUUUAAAUGACUUGACUACUCAAGGACUUGACGAGUUUUAAGUGUCAUGGAUGGUUGUAGACGUGACGCUGAUAAACUGCAAACAAUCGCUAUACCUGACGUUCAAAUAAAGUUCAAGAACAUUGACUUUCUUGCCGCUGGAGUCAACUGCAGCUUUUAGGCUGGCUCGAAUACUGAUUCUUGAUAGUGUAAAAACGUCAAGAGAGUCUAUCAUUGUAGUAGUGAAUGAUAGGCAUACUCAGUCUGCAGAUCAAUACAGGAUCAUUAAUACAAAUCACAAGACAAUCUCUAGCGUACAAGAGAUGAAAAUACACUCAAGUGGAAGACUAAAUUACAUAGGUCACGCUUGUGAUACUAGCAAGCCAAUUCGAUACUGUACCAACAACAUCUGCCUUCCCGUUCACGGUUUCGUCUAUUGCAACCACACUGGAUAGGAGAAAAUCACAAGCAUCUGAAGUACAUUUGCACAUUAGAUCAUUGCAAUUUUAGUAAAUACAAGAUGAGUAGUAAUCAUAAUGUUACCAGGAUGAAGGCACCCAGUCUUAGCCGUAUACUGUACACACUUGAAGCCGACAUGGUACAUUGAUCCAGUAUGUCUCGAUAAUCUAUUGAGAACUUAUUAAACAGGAGAAAAUAAUAGUUUAAUGAACAGUAGCUAUGAAGAACAAAAAACAUUCUACAAUCAAUAACAAUCUUCACAAUAACAACACUUGCUUAACAAUGGUCAAUGGAUUAUACUUACAAUAUAAAAGGUUUAAGAUAUUACGUUCAACACUCUCCACACUUGGACUGAAAGUCUCAACACUUUCACAUGAAAGAAAUGAAAUACUACUCUCAAAUUAUAACUGGAAAAAAGCAUAAAUGGGUUACAUAGAAAAAGCAUAGAGAAAUGCAAAAGAAUCCUUGGCUUUGAUAUAUUGAAAGGUAAAGAAUAUCAACCAUAGAUGCCCGGGAGAAGAACUCCUACAAAUACACACUUAACGCAGAUUAUCAUUCGCUAACAUGAGACCUUCUAGAGGAAUUCUGUUAGGAUACUUCCAAACAAGAACAAGAUCUUAAUUUAUUAUAAUGAACUAUAAGAAAAUACAAGAUAAAACCAAGUAUAAGGCACUUGGAACCUCCCUCUUGAGUACUCUCACCCAAGCCCUAGAUCACUCCCCAAUUCUCCCCUCACUUACCCUCCCUCCAUUUAUAAUAAGAUGUAACCACACUUACAUAAUAACUACUAGUAACUUUCUAAAUAUCUAAUUACCCUUAUACCCCUAACCUUAUAAUAAUCUAAGUAUCUAACAUUACCCGAUCCUUCAAAACACCUUGUCCUCAAGGUGUGCUUACAAACAUGAUCAAGGCCCCUUUCUCUUUUUUUCUCUUUUUAAUUGCAAACAAUCCCCAGCAUUCUGCUCUUCAAUGUUGAAAAGAAAUCCUCCCUUCGGCUUUGAAAAACUCUUGAUUCCAAUAAGGUCCAUUGACUUCAGCCCACAAAGCAGCCCAAUGUACUUGAAUUUUCCUUUUCCAAAACACAUUGUCUUAGUUAACCCUUUGCAUAUCACCAACAAGUGUUUAAUUUUCAAACUCUUCAUCUCUAGUGGGCUCGGCCAUAAUCAAAGUGUUGCGUCAAGACCAAAAUCAUAUUGCCGCCGGUUUCAUUCCUAGGACCCACCUACAUACACGUUUUUCUUCCCUCCUAUUUUUGGAACUCUCCACCCACUUCAUCUACAAAAUGAUGUGCCCCCAAUGUUUUAUUUAGAAUAAGUUGAAGCUCAUUUAGAGUAAGUUGAAGCCCACUUGAAAUAGUAAAACCCAAGAUUGUUACUUUUGUCCUAAUCCUCUUUCCUACCAAUUUCUACCACGUCAUUGUCACCAUCAUGUGUGCAGCAACUUCUUCCUCGUCACGUGAUUCACCCCUAUUCCAGACCACCUUCUCGAGCCUCUGUAGACCGGUAACUGUCGGCUUCUUCUUUCUCCAUUGCAACCAGCCAUUUUGUUUUCUUUGAGCAACAAAUUUUUCUCCACUCGAGUCUUCAUUUCGAGCCUCACAGGUAAUCCUCGUCGACCUUCCUCUAUAGUUUCUUCUUGGUCACUCUUUGCCAUCCUCUUCACCUUCGUUGUAUAACCGUUGCAAUCGCGUUUUCCUCGAUUCUUCUAUGGAUUUAGCAACUUCUUGGAAUCCAUCGAUUUAUGGACCUGAAGAUUCCAAUCCGUUCUAAAUAAACACAAUCCAGAUCAGUGCCACUGAACACAGGCAUUUCAACCUUCUUGAAUUUGCUAUGAUCGUUCGAGUUUUCAUCCCUUUUAAAGUUGUUUGUUUUACCUUCUACCUUGAUUUCCUUCAAUGUCUUACCUCCACCUUCGAUGAUACUCUCAAUCGUUGGUCCUUUGCUCGACGAUCCUUCCAUUCUUUCGGAGAUUUUCGAAUUAUCCUUCUGCUAUUCCUUCGAUGCAUUUAGCAACCGUUCUUGUUUUUCCAACUAGAUGACCAGUCUUUCGAUGCUUUCUGGCAAGGAUAACAAGUUUUAUUCAAUUGCCAGCAACUUGUGUAACUCCACUUGUAUCCCCGAGAUUUCCUUAUCAGAGGUCUCCAACUUCUCUUCGAUCCGUUUUUGUGCUGCUCUAUCGUUCUCCCAAGUUAAAACGCUGUACCAAUUUGUUAAGAUACUGUAAAUAUACGGCAAGUGUAUCUUACUUUAUUGAAUUACCUCAACGAAUUACAGUAUAGAGAAUAAAAAAUCACUCACAUCUACUUCCUAAAGGCACACUCCAGUGAGGAUCACAACAAAGAACAAGAAAAACUAAGAACAAACCGCAACCAUGAAAAUGACCAAAACAAACAAUAAAAAGAACUUGACUUGGACCCUCUACUUCUCCCAAGCACGAAAGACGGCAGCCUCUACUUCUUUGGAAUAUUUUGUCCCCUUUCUCCCUCCUCUUUCCUCCCUUUUAUUUUGCUUUACUAACAAACUAAUGGGAAAGAUCUCCUCCGAUAUUUCUCCUCCUAUAAUCUCUCCUAUAUUCUCGUGUGGGUCAAUAUUACCCUUUUUAAUUCUUCUACUGUAUUUAAAUAAUAUUGGAGACAUAUACUUCCUAACAAGAACAAGAUCUGAAUUUAUUAUAAUGUAACUAUAAGAAAAUACAAGAUAAAACCAAGUAUAAAGCAUUGGAACCCUCCCUCUUGAGUACUCUCACCCAAGCCUUAUAUCACUCCCCAGAAUUCUCCCAACUUACCCUCCCUCCAUUUAUAAUAACAUGUAACCACCCUAGUUACCACACUUACAUAAUAACUACUAGUAACCACACUUACACAAUAACUACUAGUAACUUCCUAAAUAUCUAAUUACCCUUAUACCCCAACCCUAUACUAAUCUAGGUAUCUAACAAAUUCCAUAACAUAAUGUAUUAGGGGAAGAAGGAAAUCGAGGAUAAAAACACUAGCUAGCCAACAAAUAUCUUUCAUUAGUGAGCUUGAGCCAUUUUACACGUAAAAUGGGAAAAGUAAGCCUGAAACCCAAAUUAGCCUAAUGGUUGUCUUAACAACCACUACCCACCAUCACGAUAGAAACAACUGAGAAGGAAGAGCAUGAUACAAUCCAACUCAAACAUAAGAAUUGAUUUUUGUUUAAUUAAAAGUAAACAGGCAGUAGAAUAAGAAACUAUGCCCUUUUAGAUCUAGAAGGUUCACAACAAUUUCCAGCCUAAGCACAACUACGAGCAAUGGAAGAAUAACGCAAAGGCCUUGUGUGCAUGGAAUCGCUAACUUUGUGCAAAUGAGAUGAUUAUCGGUAUUCAAAGGCCAAAAGGACACAUAGAAGAGUGUUCGUCUAAGGUUGCAAGACUAACCCUGAAAAGAGAGCAAUACAAAAAUUUAGAGUUUUCCGCAUUUCCUGUAAUGACAUGAGUGCUUGUACUCCCAUCAGCAGUGAGAGAACCACCAAGCUCCUCAAUCAUCUAAAUCAGAAAACAACUGCACAUUAGAGCAGUCACAAUUUGGAAUAAAUAGAACUUUUUAUUGUUAGAAUCUUAGAAUAUUUAUGAAAAGUUUAUGGGAAUAUUUUUCUUAAUUCCUAAAUAUUUUCCUUUUUUAUUCCUCUGUAUAUUCUAUUUAUUCUCCCUUGUACCUAUUGUAUUUUUCAUCAAAAAUAAUAAGAAGAAAAAUAUAGUGGUUUUUCUCCUGGUACACAGGUUUCCACGUAAAGUUGUGUGUUUUUGUCUCCCUUUCAAUAUGGUAUCGAGCAGGUGGUCCAAGAAGGUCUUGUGUUCAAGCCUCGCAUUGUCGUUUCCUCCCCAAUUAAAAUCCAUUUCCAGUUGUUGGGCCUUUCAAAUAUUUCAAGCCCACAAGUGAGGAGAGUGUUGGUGAUAUAUAAUUGAAUUUUCUUUCUUUUUUUAAAAAAGGAUACGAGUCUCACUAUUAUUAAUAUAAAGAAAGAGACAAAGCUCAAUGUACAUGAGGAUUAUACAAAGAGCAAAAGGGGAGAGGGAAGAUCAACAGGCGCAUCCGGGCAUCUCAAACUAGGUUGACACCCCCUUAGUGCCCUCAAAACAUCCAAAAAGCGACAACACAAGAUCAAAACAAAAAGCCACAAAAACAAAGACAAACAAAAUGAUAAAAAGAAUCUUUCCAAAGCAAAAUCAUAAUCCAAGGCAGCAUGCUGAGAACAAAGAAGAAUAAGCCUUGAUUGGUUGAGCAAAAACUGUUUGAAGCAGAGGGUUGAUCCGAAAGUUCUGAUCAUCACAAUAUCCUACGUCGAAGAUCUUCUUUUGCAUUACAUUUUCUAAAAUUUCCAAUCCACUCUGUUAAAGGCCUUUUCAAGGUCUAAUUUAAUGAUCCAUCUUUUCUUUUUUCGGAUACUAUAGACCUCCACAGUUUCUUUUGCUAUUAAAAUAGGAUCCAAUAUUUGGCACUCUUCCAGAAAGCCACAUUGUAAUGGAGAAGUAUGUUAGGAUUCUAACAAUAAAACACAAAAUAUCCUAACCAAAUGGCUAAACAGAGGCAGCACUCUGUAAUUCUUUAUUUAUGUAAAAGCCAAAACACAUUCAACUGUAGUAGAUAUGAAAAAUAAAGGAUGAACAACAUAGAAAACUUACCCAGCUCCUUUAUACGGGGCUGGAUACCCUCAGGCUACAACAGCCUUUACUCUCCUUGAAAUAACCAAAAAAGACCUAGCCUCCCCUACCCCAACAUUACAUAUUUAUACCUCUCUCUCUCAUCCCUCCUGGCGGCCCCACCUGCACGAUCCUCUCCCAUUAUUCUCUCAUCAUUGGUUGCUAAGGAAUUUCCCUUUCUACCGUUCCUUUUAUAGGUAUAGAUAAUAGGAGGUCUUACAAAGUAAUACUGGCCUGACUUUCUUUAAUCUUUCUGCGAGAACCUUUCCAAACAACUUAUAAAUUAAUGUUGAAACAACUUAUAAGCCACACUGUAAUGACAUUCCUUCUCUUGACCGAACUUCAAUAAUCGACAACUUAUAUUUAUCCACAUAAUCAGCAAAACUCUUAAUCUGCCACUAGCUUCAAACAAAGACCCAGCCAAUUCCUUUUAAACUCCAUAGUGCCUUUAUAAUACAACUGGCAAUCUCUUCUCUUUUGGUCUCCGGAAUCAAUGCUCUAUCUGGAUUAGCUUUCUUCAAAAGAUUUUUAAUAGCCAAUUGUUUCGAAUGGCCCAUGAAUCCUCUAGUGUUCCAUGAUAUAAUCUCCAUCUUUGCUACCUCUGCCUUAUAUCAAUUCAAUUUCACAUGCUGCCAAGAAAGGAACCAACUCUUGAGGGGGAAGGAUACUUGUUGACCUGCACAAAAUUUCUUUUUAUGGGGAGGAAAACAGUUUAAUAAAAUCUGGACCAAGAGAGUCAAUGUCCUCUUGUUUCUCUGUCUCUGAUUGAAUUAUUUCUUCCUCAACUGGUUCAAAUUCUGCACUACUUAAACUGGUGACUGAUUCAACUUCCAUGAAUUCAUCUUCUAGGUUCUCAACUUUUUUGAGACAAGAAGUAUCUUGCACAAAAUUAAAGAAUGAACCAAAAAGUUUAGAGGAGGAUUGAGAAAAUGUAUUACUUAAGGAGGAAGGCAGUACUGACCUUUUGCCAAGUGAAUUUGGAAUUUGUAUCUUCACACAACUUUCCUCUAAUAAAUCAGAAUUAGCCAAGCUCAUCCAAAUGUUGCGAAAAGAAGUUCUCCCUUUGGUAUAGGUCUUGAGGUGCUUAGAAAAAUUUCUGGCAUGAAUUGGAAUAACUUUCAUUGCAGAGGAUAUUUUAGUCUUGGGAGAGGUUGAUAAUUUUGGUUGAGAAAUGAAAACAGGAGAUGGCCCGCAAGUGAAGUUCCUUGAUGGAGGAGAGGACUCUGAUUCUUCCUCCAAUUCGUCAGAAUACCAAAAGCCAUUGGAAUUCUGAUUAAUAAAAUUCUUGGGGCCUACCAUCUGUGUGUCAGCUUUUAAAAUAUCUGCAGAUACAUUAAGUUUGAAAAAAUCUGGUUGGGGAGGGCAAGGUGAGCUAUUUUUUUAGAUAAUAAAAUGCUGGGUGCCUGUCUUUUCUUCUUUCGAGAUCUGUUUUUCUCUCUUUGCCUUUUGAAAAUUAUUUUUUCCGGUCGAACAAGGUUUUCUUCUUCCUCACCCAACUUCCUAAGUGCUUCGAAAGGAUUUCUUGAGAUGGAUGGGGCAUUCUGUUUGAGAAAAUUCAGGUAUCUGAGAGACCAUCACUUUGGAGCCCUUCAUCUAAAAUCACUGAAUUUAUUCUACAUAAAUCAAUAGGAUUGGAAAAAUCACUUUGAAAUAGAUCAAAUUGGAUUAUUACAGGAGCUUCUAAGGGUUCAAAAUCCCCAAAAUUAAGGGAAAAAUUUCCUCAGUUCUCACUCUUUAAUUCUAUAGUUGCUGGUAAGAAUCCGCAAAGAUUUUUCCGAACUUUAAUUCUUGCUUCAGAGAACUUGAUCAGAUUGAGUGUUUCUAAGAUUAUACUUUCUAGUCCACCAAAGUAGCUUAAGCUUAAGGCGAUAAUUGAAUUUUCUUUCAACCACCAGCUUAAACAUUUUGGUGAAUCGGUGGUUUAAUAUUUAUAUUCAUAUUUUAUAAAAAAAAGUAUACAACUAAUGCCAUAUAAAAUAAAUAAAGAAAUACUAUAAAAUCUACAUCCAUAAAAUAUGCAUGUGAACACAUAUCAGAAGAUGGAUAUUCGUAAGUUAGAAAGACCGAUCAAAAAAUGUCAUAAUUAAACAACAACAUUAAUAUUAUGGGUAGUUUCAAGCUUCAUUUGUCUAUUUUAGGUAGGGAUAUUGAAUAACUCUUAAAAAUAAUAUAAAGAUUGAAUCCCUAAACUUCAUGUGCUUGCUAGUAUACAACCUAAAAGUUCAACAGUUAAAGAAACUGAUUAAUCAUUUUUGGCAGGAUGUCAGAUUCGCCUUUUGAAAUCCUACAUGAGUAGAGCCAACCAAAUAAGCCAAGCAAGAUAUGCCUCUUAAGGAAUAUGGAGAAGUUCAAUGACUAGGUAUGUAUAUGAUAAGCCUUAACCUCAAUUUUAUUUAUCAAUAAUGGAGGGAAGGAAUCAGAAGCUUCUCUAGCUCUCCCAAUUAUUCUAAGAAAUCUGAUACAAGCUAUGCCAAAACAUACCCUCCCCAAACAAUCAUAAUAGCAUUUAUAUGAAAGCAUAAAAGACUCAUGGCUCCCUUAACUAGCAACAUUCAGACCAACAAAUACAGCUUCCCAUCCUCCUCUCCUGAAUCCUUUCUUGUGCCUACGGGUGUACACCUUCACUACCAUGGGCCUAUCAGUAUUUAGAGAUCGUAGAGGCUGUAUGAGCCAAGGAGCUGGAAGAGUAGGAUUAGGGAAGUGUGGAGUUUUCCGCUCUUUGUUUGGCCAAAAGUGUUUGUCCGAAAUCCUACAGCUUCAACUAACUUUGGAAAGUCAGUCGAACACAUUGAAAUUCCCUGAAUGUGUGAAAUCCAUGGAUUUUAUUACACAUCCCAAAGGUGAACGACUUUGAGGCAUCUUGGUUAUAAUCAAUUGGUUCCUGAAGUACGCCACCUUCAUCCCCACUACAAAACUAUGUUCUGUCGAGCUGAUAGCACACUUGUUCUUUAAGAACGUCUUGAAGUUAUGAGGAGUUCCAUCAAGCACUGUGAGUGACAGGGAUGGUAGAUUCAUUGGUACUCUCUGGACCGAACUAUUCGCCUUCUUGGGGACACGCUUAAAUAUAUCCUUAAGCUGCCAUCCUCAAACGAAUGGCCAAAUAUUGGCCAUGUGCCCUAGUUUCAUAUAUAUUCUCUCACACCACAUCUCUCAUACCACUAGGAAUUUUAGUCCAAGUGGGAGUUUGUUGGAAUUUUUUGUCCUAAAACUCGUAGUUUGUAAAUCAUAUUCUAUUCAAUAAAGUUGUUAUUGAGAAAUUAAAAUAUUAUAAUCUUAAAUCCAAUAAAUCAAAGUUCCAAGGCUAUUUUUUGAAUAAACUUGAACUUUAUGUGUAAACAUAAACGUGGAUCAAGUUCGAGUAUAUAGCCUAAAUAGUCUAUAGUAUAUGAAAUAAAGGUGGGGCGCCUUAUUUUGAGAGACUAUGGAUGCGGCCCACUUUGUAGUACAAACGAUGUGAUCCUAAUCGUUCAUGUAGAGACAUGAAAGUGGGGGCAUCCUAUGUAAAAUGUUUACAUAAGACUGAACCAUGAAUUAGUCAUUUUUACGUUAUAACACCGUUUACUGUUUAAAACUGACUAUCUCAAUUAUUGAUGACCUAGGUAACUUAGUUCUUAAUCCCUGAGUUAACUAUGAACUCCUGUUCAUACGAGAUUAUCCUUAGAUCUGCUAUAGGUGAGGGCAGCUCAUCUAGCGUUGGCCCAAUAAGCUCUCCACAUUUCAGGGGUAAGAUCGGGUGGAUAGCUGGGAACAUAGAGUACAAGAUGGAAUUCACUCCGUAACCCGCUUUAGGGUUAGUAGAUAGGUUGUUCUCUUAAGCACUGAAUCCAAGUCUUGAACAAGGGGCCCCACCCUCUCAUUGGCCCGAGAGGGACUUAAGUUUAUAAGGUUGAACCUUAAACCAAUUGUUCAAUAGUGGAUUAGUGGGACUUACAGGAGCAAGUAUGUAAUCUUGGGGGUAAAACGCGUAUAUUUGACCCAGCCAAGGUUACGAGCAACCUGUGAAGGAUUAACUUUACUUGAUUAUGGUUUUAUCAAAUGGACACAAAUAUAUCUAUAGUGAGGGGAGUGCAACUACGGGACUUUAGUGGAAUGACCCGUUAGUUAACGAAUGUUGAUUAACUCGGUUUAGAAAGAUAGUUUAGCUAGUCUAGAUCUUGAAUCGUUGGAGCCCAUGAUCUAUAGGUCCAUAUAGGUUCCUCUGCUGAGCUCAUAUGGAUUAAACUUAGAACAGUGUGAUGAAAUAAGUCGAAUUGUUCGAAUCAGGGCAGAAGAAAGGAAAACCGACAUAUACAGUGAUAUAAUCGUCGGUCUUCUAAUUAGAAAUAUGAGCUUUAUGUUUUACAUACUAUAAGUAUGAAUACAGAUUCAUACUAAGAAGCUCGAAAAUUGGUCAAAAAUAGUAAAAAGUCAAAAUGUAUGACUUUUGACUUUGACAAAGUCAAACUUUGACCAGCCUUAUAUUCAAAUGUGAUUUGAAUUUUGGAAACAAUGAAUGCGGAUUCAUGCUCGGGAGGUUGGAAUUAGUCAAGACGGACAAAAUGGUAAAAAGUCAAAAUAUCUGUAUCUUUUGACUUAGAGAAAGUCAAAGUUCUGAACUUUUGACUAGAAAAAUCUAAUGACCAUUUUCACCCUAUGGACUCAAGUUAGUGGGAAAAUUCCAACAUUUUGUUGGAUAAUCCCACUAACUCUUAGUGGGAUAUGUGGCUAUAUGAGAUAUAGACACCUAGCCCACUAAGUUCCACUAAUUGUUAGUGGAAUAUUAGGUGUUGAGAUUUGGCAAUUGAAUUGCAUGCAUUUUGCAUGUAAUUAGGCUAUAAAUACGAGAUGUUUUCGAGAAUGUUGAAGGUACCUUUUGCUCUCUUUGUGAUCAUUUUCAGUAAUCUCAACAAAAGAAAAAAAAAAGCUUCCAAUCUCAUUUUAUCUCCACUAACUUUCUACACCAAAAUUGGGUCCCACAACCCGGUUCUUUGUCUAGAAGGAUAGCUAGUUGAGUACUAGUGGUGGUCUGCGGGCUCAGAAUUGGUAAGAAUGACAUCAAACCUUUUGAAAGUCUUCAAAGGUAAUACUUCUUAAAACCCUAAUUUGAUUAGUUUAUGGUUACAUGUUAAUUGUGGCAAUUAGGGUAGAAAUUCGAUUCUUUUUCCGCUGUGCAUGACCUUAGUUCUAUCAUGUGGUAUCAGAGCAUGCUAUCAUUUUUACCCAACUUGCAUGGUGGUGGGUUCAUAUUUCAUUAGAUAAAUUUUGGUUUGAACUAAAAUGGAUAUAUUAUGAUUUUGGCUCUAGAUCUCUAAGUGUUUUUGUUCUAAUUAUUGUAAUAUAGCCUUGUUAAUGGCUUAUUUUUAUUGUUGCAAAAGUGUAUUGUAAUUUUUUAAAAAAUAAAAAAAAGUCAUUAGAGUUGAAGCUAGGCUGUCAAUUGGUUCAACUCGGGUGAAGAGAAUUGAAAAACCAAGUGAAGAAAAGAAGGUCACAGACCCGAAUACCCGGUUGUUGACCCGCUUCGCGACCCGCACGCGCCCGCAAUGCCCGCAUGUGUCCGCGCGCCCGCCUUCGCCGCAGCCUGUCUUCGCACGACCCGUAGUGCGCCUGGGCCGGUUCAAGCCAAUAAAUUUGGUUUUUGGGCCGGUUCAAGCGGUUCGGUUGGUUUUUUAGCACGGUUCGAAAUUUUUGGGAGUGGUUCUGUACUACACCAAAUUAAGGAUUAUGUAAUAAUUUAGCACUUAGCUUAAUUUAGGAGCCAAAAAUCAGUCCUGAUUUUAGGGUGUUUUUUUUAUUUAUGCAUGUGAUGUCCAUGAUUAAAUUACUUUAAAUUUGUAUGUGCAUUUUGAAUGUCAUAACUGAGAUCUUAAAGAUCCCACCAUAGGUUAACAUGUUCAUGCAUUAAAAUGUAUGAUAUAAAGGUUAUAUUGUAUUGUAUGCAUGUUAAUUGAUUAAUAUGGAAAUUAAUUAAUAUGAUUAAUUAAUUAUUGUAAUUAAUUAAGUUAUUCUUGAUUAAAUAUGAAUUUAAUCAAAUUAAUUAAUUAGUUGUUUCGAUUUAAUUUAACUUAAAUAUGAAUUUAAUUAAAGUUAAGAUAAAUUAAAAUCCAUUAUUAAUUGAUUGUUCGUUUAUUAUAUAUUGAUAAAAGUGAUUGAUUAAGUUUGAAAAGUUUUUAUAAGUGUUAUAAAAUAAAUUAGACUUUUAAAAUCAAUAACAAAGAUUAAAUGCAUGCUCACUUAGGUUAAACAUAUCUUCCAUUUUUCAUAGAAAGUAAAGGUACGAUAUCAUUGUAAAACAUGGUUACAAAAGGCUCACCUGGUUCAAUCUUGUCAACAAGUCAGAUAAGAUGACUAAGGUUGGAGGUUUCUUAAGUUGACGGUUUACGGAACACCUCCUACCUGGAGAGUCCGUAAUCAAGUUCUUGAGCCUAGUUAACCUAGUUUUAUGAGCAUUCGUGAGAGGUGUUGAGGUCAAUAAAAAUGGUUUUUCACCUAGGACAUCAUAGGUUAGAAAUCCUGUAUAAUGGUUACGUACUUGGAUGUUUUAUUCUAGACUUAAGAUUUGUUUAAGUUAGCCUAAAUAUAAAUACUUGAAGUUUGGAUUACCCUAUUUUUUUCUUUUAGAACACUUCAACUAGAGAAAAAUAAUGUAUUUUAGCUCUAGUGUCCCUAAGAGUUCACACCGUGAGGUCCAUGCAGGGCUUUGUGCCGUGCAUAGGAGCGGCCUCCCUUACGGAGAGUGUUUGUCAAUGGAUCAAAAUCAAGGUGAAUAGGGGAAGUAGUUCAUAGUAAGUGGGUUGAGGGAUUUGUGGCCAGCACAUCCCACGGUCUCUUCCAUUAGGUCGCACCGUGAGGAUUUCUAUAAUAUGCCUGCUUGUCUGCCCUGGAGUCGACGUUCACCCUUCGGAGGGUUGUAUUAUAGGAUUCGGAACACCGCGAACUCCAAAACUGGAUAGGAUUUCUUAGAUUAGUUUUCAUAAAUGAUUCUAAUCUAUAAAAUCUGAAAAUGGUGGGUAACACUUACAAGAAUUACUAAUGUUGUAUAGUAUAUUCUUGACUAAAGUAGCGAUAAACUAAGUGCUGAUAAAGAAUAAAGAGUUAUUCUUGAGAUAGCAUCUAGUCAAGAUUGUCUUGGUAUCAAAGGAGGAAUAAGUCAACUACCCUUCGGAGAAGGUUGUUCUAAACCUUUGAAAUAUUGUUGCAAAAUACAAAUAAUGAAAGGGUACCAUUAUUAGUAAUUGCUAAAUUAGAUUGGAUAUUUUUUAGUGAUUGAUAGUUUUUUCUUAAAAAGAAUAUGUUUGUUUUUCAGCAUGAAUAGCUCAAUAGUUCAACUUUUAGCUUUCCGAAAAACUUAAUGGCGAUACAUUAUGCGGCUUGGAAAUCAAAUCUUAACACAAUACUAGUGGUUGAACGAUUUAAGUAUUUGUCUUAACUGCAGGAAUGUCCUCAAAACCCUGCCUCUAAUGCUAACCGAACUAGUCGGGAUGCAUAUGAUCGAUGGAUAAAAGCUAAUGAAUAAAGCCCGUGUUUACAUUCUUGCCAGCAUGUCUGAUGUAUUGGCAAAAGAAACAUGAAUCCUUAGCCACGGCUAAAGUGAGAUUAUGGAUUCAUUAAGGGGAAUGUCUUGGGCUAACCAUGAAUGGUCCUUAAGACACGAGGCAGUCAAAUACAUUUACACUAAGCGUAUGAACGGAAGCGGAACCUCUGUUAGAGAACAUUGUUCUGGACAUCGAUGAUGCACUUCAACAUCGCUGAAGUGAAUGGUGGUCCCAUCGAAGAGGUUAAUCAAGUUAGUUUUGAUCUUAUUGAGUCUCUUCCGAAGAGCUUCAUUCCAAUUCCAAACGAAUGCGUCUUUGAACAAUGAUAGAACUUUAACUUUGACAACCCUUCUGAAUGAACUCCAGCAGAUUCGCAAAACCUAACUUAUGGGUAAAGGAAAUACAAUGUGGAAGCAAAUGUUGCUACCACAACAAAGAAAAUUUAUAAGAGGAUCGUCCUCUAAAACCAAAGCUGGACCCUCAAAACCUAAUGCUCAAAUAAAAAAGAAGGGAAAGGGAAAGACUCCCAAACAGAACAAGGGUAAGAAAGUGCAGAAAAAGGUAAGUGUUACCAUUGUGGCCAAAACGGGCACUGGUUAAGAAACUGCCCAAAAUACCUUGCAGAAAAAAAGGCAGAGAAGGAAACACAAGGUAAAUAUGAUUUACUAGUUGUAGAAACAUGUUUAGUGGAAUAUGGAAAUAUUCUACCUGGAUACUAGAUUCAGGAGCCACUAACCAUAUUUGCUUCUCAUUUCAGGAAAAUAGUUCUUGAAAAAGCUUUCAGAAGGCGAGAUCACUCUCAAGGUUGGAACAGGAGAGAUGGUCUCAGCUUCAGCAGUGGGAGAUUUAAAGUUGUUUUUUAGAGAUAGAUAUGUCAUACUUAAGAAUGUCUUAUAUGUACCUCAAAUGAAAAGAAAUUUAAUAUCUAUCUCUUGUAUUUUGGAACAAAUGUAUAGAAUAUCUUUUGAAAUUAAUGAAGCGUUCGUUUUCUAUAAAGGUAUUCUAGUUUGUUACUGCUAUACUUGAAGACAACUUAUAUAAGUUAAGACCAACUAGAGCAAAUUUUGUCUUAAAUACUGAAAUAUUCAGAACAGCCUGAAACUCAGAAUAAAAGACAAAAAGUUUCUUCUAAUGCCUAUUUAUGGCACUUAAGACUUGGUCACAUAAAUCUCAAUAGGAUUGGGAGAUUGGUUAAAAGUGGGCUUCUAAGUCCGUUAGAAGAUAACUCUUUACCUUCCUUGUGAAUCUUGUCUUGAAGGAAAAAUGACCAAGAGAUCUUUUACUGGAAAAGGUCUAAGAGCCAAAGGACCCUUAGAGCUCGUACAUUCGGACCUUUGUGGACCAAUGAAUGUCAAAACUCGAGGUGGAUAUGAAUAUUUCAUUAGCUUCAUUGAUGAUUAUUCAAGGUAUGGUCAUAUUUACCUAAUACAUCAUAAGUCUAAUAGUCUUGAAAAGUUCAAAGAAUAUAAGGCUGAAGUAGAAAACGAAUUAGGUAAAACAAUAAAAAUACUUCGAUCAGAUCGAGGUGGAGAGUAUAUGGACUUACGAUUCCGAGACUAUUUAAUAGAAAAUGGAAUCCAGUCACAACUCUCUGCACCUAGUACACCUCAACAGAACGGUGUAUCAGAAAGAAGAAACUGGACCUUGUUAGACAUGGUUCGCUCUAUGAUGAGUUUUUCUCAGAUGUCAGAUUCUUUUUGGGGAUAUGCUUUAGAAACAGCUGCUUAUAUUUUGAAUAAUGUUCCCUCUAAAAGUGUUUCAGAAACACCUUAUGAGCUAUGGAAAGGGCGUAAAGGCAGUUUACGUCAUUUUAAAAUUUGGGGUUGUCCAGCACAUGUGUUGGUACAAAAUCCAAAGAAAUUGGAACAUCGUUCAAAAUUAUGCUUUUUUAUAGGUUAUCCAAAAGAAUCAAGAGGUUGGUAUUGAAUUUUAUGAUCCUCAAGAAACAUAAAAUACCACAUCAGGGAUCAUCAACCUCGUAGUAAACUAGUAUUUAAAGAAAUUUCCAAAAGUGCUAUAGAUAAAACCUAGUUCAUCCACUAAAGUAGUUGAUAAGACUAGGAAAUCUGGUCAAUCACAUCCUUCUCAACAGUUGAGAGAGCCUCGACGUAGUGGGAGGGUUGUUCAUCAGCCUGAUCGCUAUUUGGGUUUAAUUGAAACUCAAGUCGUCAUACCUGACGAUGGCAUAGAGGAUCCAUUAACCUAUAAACAGGCAAUGAAAGAUGUAGAUCGUGACCAAUGGAUCAAAGCCAUGGACCUCGAAAUGGAGUCUAUGUACUUUAAUUCUUUCUAGGACUCUAGUAGAUCAACCAAAUGACGUAAAACCUAUUGGUUGUAAAUGGAUCUACAAGAGAAAACGAGACCAUGCCGGUAAAGUACAGACUUUUAAGGCUCGACUUGUGGCAAAGGGUUAUACCUAGAGAGAGGGAGUAGACUAGAGGAAACUUUCUCUCCCGUUGCCAUGUUAAAGUCAAUUAGAAUACUCUUAUCCAUCGCCACUUUUUAUGAUUAUGAAAUUUGGCAGAUGGAUGUCAAGACAGCUUUUUUGAACGGUAAUCUUGAAGAGAGCAUCUAUAUGUCUCAACCAGAGGGGUUUAUAAAACAAGAUCAAGAACAAAAGGUUUGUAAGCUUAAAAAAUCCAUUUAUGGAUUAAAACAAGCUUCUAGAUCCUGGAAUAUAAGAUUUGAUAUUGCGAUCAAAAUCUUAUGGCUUUGAACAAAAUGUUGACGAGCCUUGUGUUUACAAAAGGUCGUCAAUUCCAUUAUAGCAUUUUUUAGUCUUAUAUGUAGAUGAUAUUCUACUUAUUGGAAAUGACUAGGAUAUCUUCCUGAUAUCAAGAAAUUGGCUAGCUAUGCAAUUUCAAAUGAAAGAUCUGGGAGAUGCACAAUACGUUCUCGGAAUCCAAAUUGUUCGAAACCGUAAGAACAAAACACUAGCCAUGUCUCAAGCAUCUUACAUAGACAAAAUGUUGUCUAGAUAUAAAAUGCAGAAUUCCAAAAAGGGUCUGCUGCCGUACAGAUAUGGAAUUCAUUUGUCAAAGGAACAAUGUCCUAAGACACCUCAAGAAGUUGAGGAUAUGAGAAAUAUUCCCUAUGCUUCCGCUGUUGGAAGUUUAAUGUAUGCAAUGUUAUGUACUAGAACCUGACAUUUGCUACUCAGUAGGGAUGGUCAGUAGGUAUCAAUCCAAUCAUGGACGUGAUCACUGGACAGCCGUUAAAAACAUUCUACAUGCUCAUGUAUGCGUACAAAGGAUAUGAUCCUUACUGGAUACACUGAUUCAGAUUUCCAAACUAAUAAAGAUGUUAGAAAGUCUACAUCAGAAUCAGUAUUUACUCUAAAUGGAGGUAGCAGUAGUUUGGAGAAGCAUAAAGCAAACUUGUAUAGCUGAUUCCACAAUGGAAGCUGAUCAUUUUACAAAAGCCCUCACGGCUAAAGUGUUUGAGGGUCACCUACACAGUUUAGGUGUACGAUGUUUGUAAACUAGGACAAGUGGGAGACUUAUUGGCCAAUGUGCCCUAGUUUCAUAUAUAUUCUCUCACACCACAUCUCUCAUACCACUAGGAAUUUUAGUCCAAGUGGGAGUUUGUUGGAAUUUUUUGUCCUAAAACUCGUAGUUUGUAAAUCAUAUUCUAUUCAAUAAAGUUGUUAUUGAGAAAUUAAAUAUUAUAAUCUUAAAUCCAAUAAAUCAAAGUUUCCAAGGCUAUUUUUUGAAUAAACUUGAACUUUAUGUGUAAACAUAAACGUGGAUCAAGUUCGAGUAUAUAGCCUAAAUAGUCUAUAGUAUAUGAAAUAAAGGUUGGGCGCCUUAUUUUGAGAGACUAUGGAUGCGGCCCACUUUGUAGUACAAACGAUGUGAUCCUAAUCGUUCAUGUAGAGACAUGAAAGUGGGGGCAUCCUAUGUAAAAUGUUUACAUAAGACUGAACCAUGAAUUAGUCAUUUUUACGUUAUAACACCGUUUACUGUUUAAAACUGACUAUCUCAAUUAUUGAUGACCUAGGUAACUUAGUCUUAAUCCUGAGUUAACUAUGAACUCCUUGUUCAUACGAGAUUAUCCUUAGAUUCUGCAUAGGUGAGGGCAGCUCAUCAGCGUUGGCCCAAUAAGCCUCCCAUUUCAGGGGUAAGAUCGGGUGGAUAGCUGGGAACAUAGGGUACAAGAUGGAAUUCACUCCUACCCGCUUUAGGGUUAGUAGAUAGGUUGCUCUCUUAAGCACUGAAUCCAAGUCUUGAACAAGGGGCCCCACCCUCUCAUUGGCCCGAGAGGGAUUAAGUUUAUAGGUUGAACCUUAAACCAAUUGUUCAAUAGUGGAUUAGUGGGAUCUUAAGGAGCAAGAUGUAAUCUUUGGGGUAAAACGGUAUUUUGACCCAGCCAAGGUUACGAGCAACCUGUGAAGGAUUAACUUACUGAUUAUGGUUUUAUCAAAUGGACACAAAUAUAUCUAUAGUGAGGGGAGUGCAACUACGGGACUUUAGUGGAAUGACCCGUUAGUUAACGAAUGUUGAUUAACUCGGUUUAAAAGAGUUUAGCUAGUUAAUCUUGAAUCGUUGGAGCCCAUGAUCUAUAGGUCCAUUAGGUUCCUCUGCUAGCUCAUAUGGAUUAAACUUAGAACAGUGUGAUGAAAUAAGUCGAAUUGUUCGAAUAGGGAGAAGAAAGGAAAACCGACAUAUACAGUGAUAUAAUCGUCGAGUCUUCUAAUUAGAAAUAGAGCUUUAUGUUUUACAUACUAUAAGUAUGAAUGCGGAUUCAUACUAAGAAGCUCGGAAUUGGUCAAAAAUAGUAAAAAGUCAAAAUGUUGACUUAUUGACUUUGAAAAGUCAAACUUUGACCCGGCCUUAUAUUCAAAUGUGAUUUGAAUUUUGGAAAAAUGAAUGCGGAUUCAUGCUCGGGAGGUUGGAAUUAGUCAAGACGGACUACAAAUUGGUUAACAAAGUCAAAAUAUUGACUUUUGACUUAGAAAAGUCAAAGUUUGACUUUUGACUAGCAAAAAUCUAAUGACCAUUUUACCCAUUGGACUAAGUUAAGUGGGAAAAUCUCAACCAAUUACUAUGUUGGAUAAUCACCACUAACUCCUUAGUGGGAUAUGUGGCUAUAUGAGAUAUAGACACCUAGCCCACUAAGUAUCCACUAAUUGUUAAGUGGAAUAUUAGCGUGUUGAGAAUUUGGCAAUUGAAUUGCAUGCCAUUAUUUGCAUGUAAUUAGGCUAUACCAAUAGAAGAAUGUUUUCAAACUGUUGAAGCGCACUUUGUGCCUCUUUUAUCAUUUUCAUAAUCUCAAGCAAAAGGAAAAAAGAAAGCUUCCUAAUCUCAAUUUUAUCUCCAUUACUUUCUACACCAAAAUUGGGUCCCACAACCCGGUUCUUUGUCUAGAGGCAUAGCAGUUGAGUACUAGUGGUGGUCAUCGGGUAGAAUUGGUAAGAAGACAUCAAGACCUUUUGAAAGCUUCAAAGGUAAUACUUCUUAAAACCCUAUAUUUAGAUUAGUUUAUGGUAUACAUGUUAAUUGUGGCAAUUUAGGGUAGAAAUUCGAUUCUUUUUCCGCUGUGCAUGACUUAGUUCUAUCACCAAUACUAGAAGAAGGAUUCAAUUGUAUGCUUAUGGCAAUAUCUACGUAUAUUUUGUUGAUUCUGGACAAAAGAAUUGGGACCUAGUUGAUGGUAUGUGGCUCAAUUUUGUGUUUAAUGCACAAACUAGUCUAUCCACAAGAACGAGUCCUUUCGAAAUCUUGAGUGGAAGACAACCUAUACUGCCGUCAUAUUGUUGAUCAUCCUUAUGCAGGAAAAAAUCCUACAAGCUCAUAACUUUACGAAAACGUGGGAGAAGACUACGAACAUCGCUCGAGCAUACUAAGAGAAAGACUCGAAGCGUAUGAUAUAGAAGCAUCCAUCCUCUCAAGUUUUGAGCGGAAGACCAACUUUCGUAGAGUUUAAAGCGAAAGCAAAUUUGAUUUAGAGGACAUCAACAUCAACAUCUCACCAGAAAAUACGAAGGGCCUGUUGAAGUUUUGAAGAAAUUCUGAGAAAUGCAUUAUAUAGGGUAUCGUUGCUUGCAUGGAUAAAAAAUCAUCUAGUAGCUCAUGUGAGCAACUUGAAACCUUACCAUCAAGAUCCAGAUGACCAGUAGUGCAACAAUGGUGUAUGGUCAUCUAGUGACCUAAAGCAGAAAGACGAUAAAGAAAUGGAAGAAAUCGUUCCUAAGAGAGUGAGGAAGGGUAUACCCAUGAAGAGGAUACAUGAAUUCCUACUGAAGUGAAAGAACCUCCAUGCGGAAGAAACACGUUAGGAAUGUGCUGAAGGGUAUACCCAGUCGACAGGGACGCCAAUUGUUUAAGAGCGGGAGAAUGUAACAAGCAUGCUUGUCCAGGGCGCUGUUUGCUUAUGGCCGCAUGCCAAACACCCAAAAUUUACAUUGUUUUUUAUGUUUGUAUUUAGUUUUACUUUUUGCUUUCCUUUUAAUGUCAUAAACCUUGGGUGUGACUUGGCUUUUUCUUAUGCAAGCCUACCAGAACUAAAAAAGUCUAAAAUGUACUAUAGAUGGGACAUAGUAGUUGAAUCCCUGCCCAAGCCUUGUUGCACUCUUCGCAAUCAAAGUUUUUUCUUUGGCAAUUGACAAUCUUCAAUGCUUGCUUUAACGAUAUUUUCAUUGAAUUUCUUUCUCCUCACGUUUUAUAAAACAUUUUCUCAAGAACGUGAAGAGAGGCUACAUCGUAUCAUGUGUUUGUCCGUGGUUUUUGGAUUUUGAUCAGCUAACUUGUUGUCUAUGUAAAACAAGUGCAACAUAAUCGCUCCUCUCGUGUUUGAAAAGCUCGCGAUUGUGACACAAGAAUGCACUAGCCAAGAAUGCACACGAGGAGGGCUACACGAAAUGCCAAGCACGCAACCAAGUGAGGUUCACAAUGUGCUUGUGUGUGAGGUUAGCACGCAGGCAUGCCCAACGCGCGUGAAAAGCCUCUUGUGAGAUUUACACACACUAGCCAGCGCCCAACCAAGGCCCUACCGCCCACCCAUUCGUGUCAGGCAGUGUCAUAUUGCGUGUUGAGCUAUUUUUGGUAAUUUUUUGAGUUUUUUAAGUAUAAUUUUGAUAUUUUCUUGGCAAAAGAUAAUUAAUUGUACUAUUUUACCAUUAUUUCAAGACAUGAGAAGAUCACAAAAUUUAUAAACCAAGGAUUUGAGCUUGUAUCUUUGAGUGGAAAUGUUUUAUUUAAAAGUGAUUUCAAGCAUGUUCUUAAGUCAUGAUUUAUGACGGAUUUAUGCUAAAAUGUUUAAGUUAUGUUAUGAAAAGUCUUUCAAGCGUGUUAUUGUUAAAGGUAUUUAUUCAAGCAUAUUUUUUACUCUUCAAAAUGCAUAAUAUUCAAAAUGUUUUCCCACUUUCUAGUAGAGAUCGUGUCCUCUAAGCCUAACUUGAACCUGUCUACUAAAGGAUUUCAUUUUGUUAUUGUAUGUGUCCUGUAUUUUGUACUAAUGGUAAAUUAGUCUUUUGUGCUAUCAGACUUAUGCUUUUGGAAAGGUUUAUAUAAGGUUUUGUUCUAGAUAAAUAAGAUUACGUUUUUUCUAUGUUAAACUUGUCUAAGGUUGUUAAUGAAAAAGGUUUAGCCCAAUUGGUUUCAGUAAAACUUAUGUGUUAUGUUUCCACUGUUGUUUAGAGUUUAAAGUUCAGGCUAAGGGUCAGAUAGUGUCGUUCUUGACGUGGGUGCUAUCGAUUGGCUUCACGCCAUAUCUCGAGCCACGCAAGUAGGUGCUCGUGGUGGGGUGUGAUAGCCUAAGUUGGCUUAUUAACGGUUAAAAUGUAAACAUGUCCAUAACAAAAUAGUUGGGCAAGGCCCAUGUGGACCGACUGGUAAAGGUUGAAGAGCAAAUGCUCUACCUAAUGAAAGUUCCUAACUCAAUUCGCUUCUUGGAAACCCGCCUUGAAGAAAUUUUUUAGAAAGCUGAUGCUAUUAAUUAAACCACCACCCAAAAUCUUAAGCUAGUGAUUAAAAGUAAAUUUAAUUAUAUAUCACUAACAAUCCCCCACUUAUGGGUUCGAAAUAUCUAAAAGGUCCAACAAGUGAAAAUCAAUUUUAAUUGGGAAGGAAACACCAAUACAGGGACUUGAACAUAAGACCUUUUGGACCACCUGCUCUAAUACCAUAUUAAACCCCAAAUUCACCCAAAAGCUUAAGCUAGUGGUUGAAGGUAAAUUUAAUUAUAUAUUACCAAAGUAUGAGGUUUCAUCACAAUACCAAUUGGCAAUGAGAGGAGUAGCUCAUCUAUUUUAUAAGGAGUCUAAGUUUCCUUGGUUUUUCAAUUGUGGGAACAUGCCCCUUCAAGAUGGUGCCUCUUUGGUUUCACCUAUCUUGAACCAAAUAUCCGUUUAGGCUUAAUGAGCUCUAAUACCAUAUUGAAAGCAAUAUAUACGAAACCAAAGCUUACGUGAAAACGUAAGAAUCGAAAGAAAAGCAUUGUGUUUGUAGUUUUAUUAUUUUUAUGAUAAUUACAGACGUACAAUUGGUGGUUUAAUAUAUAUCACUAACACUAUUGCUGCAAUGAUCGAUCAUCUCGAUGGAUUACCCAUUUAAGAGUUGUUGACAAGAGUUGACACUCUAGAAUCAAAAGUUGUAAGAACUAGAUGUUGUAAUAAAUGUCCUAAAACUCGUUGUAAUCAUAAUCUAUUCAUUAAAGUCGUUAUUGAUACUAUAAUCUUAAAGCCAAUAAACUAAGGACCCGAAGUUAUUAUUAAGUAAACUUGAACUUUAUGUAGAGACAUAAAAGUUGAUCAAGUUUAAGUAUAGAGCCUAAAUAGUAUAGAUUGUACGAAUACAGUUAGGCACCUUAUUCCAGGACACAAUGAAUGCAGUCUGCUUUGUAUUUAGUAUAAACGAUGUGAUCCUAAAUCCUAGAGACAUGAAAGUGUGGACAUCCUAUGUAAAGAGUUUACAAAAGACUAGAACCAUGAAAUAGUCACUUUUAAGUUAUAACACCGUUAACUUUGAAAAACUUACUAUUUCAUUGAUAGAUAUCAAAUAUAACUUAAUCUUAAUACUGAGCUAACUAUAAGCUUCUGUUCUCACCAGCAUGCUUGUUUAAGGCGUUGUUUAUCUAUGGCCACAUGCCCAAAUACCCCCAAAUCACCUUUUCUUUAUGUCUUGUAUUUAGUUUAGUCUAUUGCUUUCCUUUUUAUGUCAUAGACCUAGGGUGUGAGGUGUCACACAUUUUCAUUUGCAAACCUGUCAAAGCUCAAAAAGUCUAAAUGUACUAUAGAAGAGACCCAAUAGUUGAAUCCCCAACCAUGUCUUAUCGUAUUCUUUAUAAUCAAAUUUUUAUUUGCAAUUGAAAGUCUUCAACGCUUUCUUUAAUGAUGUUUUUAAUGAUAUUCUCUCUCACAUUUUAUAAUAAUUUUUUCAAGAACGGGAAGGGAGGUUAUAUCAUAUCGUGAGUUUGUUCGUGAUUUUCGGAUUUUACAUGACUGACUUAUUGACUGAGCAAAACAAGUGUUCUACAAUUGUCCGUUCCAUGUUUGAAAGAUUGCGAUUGUGGCACGCAGAGUGUCACAAGUGUGCUUGUCCAAGGCAUUAUUUGCCUAUGGUCGUAUGCUCGUAUAUCCUCAAACCACUUUAUCUUUAUGCUUUGUACUUAGUUUAGUCAACUGCUUUCCUUUUGUUGUCACCGACCUAAGGUGCGUCGUUUCGCAAUUUUCAUAUGCAAUGUUGUCAAUGCUAAAAAAGUUUAAGAUGUAUUGUAGGGGAGGCAUGGUAGAAAAUUGAAUCCAUCUCAACUAAGGCCCCUAUUGUGAUUUUUGCAAAUCUAAGCUUUCUUUGCAAUUGACAAUAUUCAAUUUUUUCUUUAAGGAUGUUAUCAAUGUUUUUCUUUAUCUCUCACGUUUUAUACAACCAAUUUCUCUCAAAAGAUGAAGCGAGGCUACAUCGUACCAUGAGUUUAUCCGCAACUUUCAAAUUUCACAAGGUUGCCUUGUUCAUCAAUUUAGAACAAGUGUUGCACAAUCGCCCGUCCCGUAUUUGAAAAGUUGCAUUUUGUGACAAGUGGUAUUAAAGCUUUCUUAGCUCCUUGGCUAAGCGAGAUGCAAUUAUGUCGACAAUGAAACAACUAUCAAAGUUGCAAUCUGAGCGACUGACUGAGAUUGAAGAGGAAUUCUUGGAUAUGAAAGAAUUGCCAAAGGAAGUAAGAUUUCUCCAGACCUAACUUGAGAUGUUUAAAGAAAAAGUCAGAGAAAUAGACGCAUUGAAUGCCUAAAUAGACAAACUACCCAUAAAUGAAUUGGCGUUGAGGGUUGAUUCGUUAGAACAUAAAACCACCAAAGUAGGUAGUUUUGAACGUGGAAGUAGCUCUUCAAGUUCUAUCGCACAAAUGGAAGAGCGUGUCAAGAGUUUGACUUUUGACAAGCUCCAACAUAAUCAGUUAUAUUUCAAGAAAGAGAAAAGUGUUUUUGCUAAAUAGCGUAUCAAUUUUCUGGGUCACAUCAUCGAAUGUAGAAAGAUUUGAAUGGAUGAACAUAAGUUGUGAGCUAUUAAGGAGUGGAGAGCCCCCACUUCCGUGAAAGAGUUACGUUUCAUCCUUCAAUAUAUUCUAAAAUAGGGUUCACCUACUAUCCUCUAGACUCAGUACCGAGAGAAAGAAAUAGAUGGAAAAAGAAAUGGGCUUGGUAAUUUUUUUUUCUAUGUAAAUAAGAAAAAGAAAUCCAAUUUGGUAUAAGAGCCCAAAUUCAUUAGCCAGUCCAUCAAAUGAGGUCAACGACCCUAUUUAUAAGGAUUUUCCAUGCAAAAUUGCAUGUCCAUGGAAUACUAAAGCCCAACAACUCAAAGCUCUAUUUCUAAUAUGAAAUUCGAUGGCUAUAACACAUAUACUUGUCAGUUUCUCUCUCUUCUCCCAAUUCGAACAAUUCGACUUAUUCCAUCACACUAUUUUAAGUUUAUUCCAUAUGAGCUAGCAAGGGAACCUAAUGGACCUAUAUAUCAUGGACUCCAAUGAUUCAAGAUUAAUUGACUAAAUUCUUAUAGACUGAGUUAAUCAACAUUCGUUAACUAACGGGUCAUUCAUGUAUGUACUGGAACGAUUCAGAAUCACCUCGUUUGUACUAACUACAAAGCGGGCGGCAUCCACAGUUUCUCUGAAAAAAUCUGGGUUACUACAACGUCACCACGAUGUACAAUUUUCCUGAUAAGAUGGUACUUACGUUCGAUAUGUAUUCCCCGUUUACGGCUUUUAGGUUCUCUUGAAUUUGCAACUGCACCACUGUUGUGACAGUAUAAAGUGAUUGAUAGAUGCAUAUUUGGAACGACUUUCAGAUCUGUCAAGAAUUUUCUUAGCCAUAAUGCUUCUGUUGUUGCUUCAAAAGUUGCUACGUAUUCUACCUCCAUUGUGGAAUCAACUAUACAAGUUUGUUUUAUGCUUCUCCAAACUACUACUCUUCUAUUUAGAGUGAAUACUAAUCCUGAUGUAGACUUUCUAGCAUCUUUAUCAGUUUGAAAAUCAUAAUGAGUGUAUCCAGUAAGGAUCAAAUCUUUUGUACCAUACACGAAAAUGUAGUGUUUUGUUCUUCAAAUAUAUUUUAGAACAUUCUUAACGGUUGUCCAGUGAUCACAUCCAAGAUUGGACUGAUACCUACUGACCAUCCCUACUAAGUAACAAAUGUCAGAUCUAGUACACAACAUUGCAUAUAUCAAACUUCCAACAGCGGAAGCAUAGGAAAAUUUUCUCAUAUCCUCAAUUUCUUGAGGUGUCUUAGGACAUUGUUCCUUUGACAAAUGAAUUCCGUAGAUGUAUAAUAGCAUACCCUUUUUGGAAUUCUACAUUUUAUAUCUAGACAACAUUUUGUCUAUAUAAGAUGCUUGAGACAUGGCUAGUGUUUUGUUCUUGCAGUUCUGUACAAUUUGGAUCUUAAGAACGUAUUGUGCAUUUCCCAGAACUUUCAUUUGAAAUUGCAUAGCUAGCCAUUUCUUGAUAUUAGUAUGAAAUCCUAUGUCCUUUUCCAAUAAGUAGAAUAUCAUCUACAUACAAGACUAAGAAUACUACAAUGGAAUUGACGACCUUUUUUAUAAACAUAAGGUUCGUCAACCUUUUGUAUCAAAGCCAUAAGAUUUGAUCAUAGUAUCAAAUCUUAUAUUCCAGGAUCUAGAUGUUUGUUUUAAUCCAUAAAUGGAUUUUUUAAUCUUACAAACCUUUUGUUCUUGAUCUUGAUCUAUAAACCCUCUAAUUGAGUAAUAUAGAUACUCUCUUCAAGAUUGUCAUUCAAAAAAAGUUGUCUUGACAUCCAUCUGCCAAAUUUCAUAAUCAUAAAACGUGGCGAUGCAUAAGACUAUUCUAAUUGACUUUAGCAUGGCAAAGAUAGAGAAACUUUCUUCAUAGUCUAUGUUAGAAAGAGACAUGCGCAGUGGAAAAAUGGAAUACAAAAUUACCCUAAUUGCACCUAUUUAACUUGCAACCCUAAAUUAAAAGAAUUAGGGUUUAGGAAAUAUUAUACCUUUGUAUCUAUUCGAAUAUGAACGUCUAUACCUCUCACAAAAUUCCAAAAGUUUUUGAAACCAAAAUGUAACACCUUAAACUUAGGAUUUGGAAUUCGUAUCUCCAGCAUUCUCUGCAUCCCCUGCGACCUGGCAGCAUCAUCCUUACUAUUCUUAAAAACUUAUUAGAAUGAAAUUCCUCUUCACAAACCAACACGAAAUCUUUCAUCAUGCUUUUCCUCACUCACAUAUAUCCUAGGAAAAUUUCCAAGAGGUCACCCAACAUAGAAUUUCUUUCAAGCUAAGCACGCUUAACUAUGAAGUCCCUAUAAUCGAGCCACCGAAAAAAAAAGGUUCACAUUGUUGGUAUAGGUAAUAAGUUUCAAUUCUUUUAAGUCUUUCUUAACAUGACUUUCAUGUCCUCAAGGUGCACCUUGUCGGUAUACUUGUCGAUUUCUCUCUCUUCUCUCAAUUCGAACAAUUCGACUUAUUCCAUCACAAUGUUCUAAGUUUAUUCCAUAUGAACUAGCAGGGAAACCUAAUGGACUUAUAUAUCAUGGGCUCCAGCGAUUCAAGAUUAACUGGUUAAACUCUUUUAGACCGAGUUAAUCAACAUUCGUAAACUAACGGGUCAUUCCACUAAAGUCCCGCAGUUGCACUCUCCCUCACUAUAGAUAUAUUCUUGUCCAUUUAAUAUAACCAUGAUCAAUAAGUUAAUCCUUCACAUGUUAUUCGUAACCUCGAAUGGAUCAAAUUACUGUUUUAUCCUUGAGACUACAUCUUAUUUCUUAAGUUUCAUUGAUCCACUAUUGAACAAUUGGUUUAAGGUCCAACCUAUAAACUUAAUCCCUCUCGGGCUAAUGUGAGGGUGGGGCCCCUUGUUCAAGACUUGGAUUCAGUGCUUAAGAGAACAACCUAUCUACUAACCCUAAACAGGUAGAAGUGAAUUUUGUCUUGCAUCCUAUGUUCCCAGCCAUUCAUCUGAUCUUACCCUUGAAAUAGGAGGCUUAUUGGGAGAACGUUGAUGAGAUACCCUCACCUAUGCAUAUGUAACCCUAAAACAAGUAGAAGUGAAUUCAGUCUUAUGUAAGUACUUUACAGUGCUUAAGAGAACAACCUAUCUACUAACCCUAAAACAGAUAGAAGUGAAUUCAGUCUUAUGUAAGUACUUUACAGUGCUUAAGAGAACAACCUAUCUACUAACCCUAAAACAGGUAGAAGUGAAUUCUGUCUUGCAUCCUAUGUUCCCAGCCAUUCAUCCGAUCUUACCCUUGAAAUGAGAGGCUUAUUGGGAGAACGUUGAUGAGAUACCCUCACCUAUGCAAAUGUAAGGAUAAUCUCAUGUGAACAGGAGUUCAUAGUUAGCUUAGGAUUAAGAUUAAGCUACCUAAGUCAUCAAUAAACGAAAUAGUCAGUUCUAAACAGUAAACGGUGUUAUAACGUAAAAGUGACUAUUUCAUGGAUCAGUUUAUGUAAGUACUUUACAUAGGAUGCCCCCACUUUCAUGUCUCUACAUGAACAAUUUAGGAUCACCUCGUUUGUACUAAUUACAAAGCGGGUCACAUCCGUUAGUUUCUCUAAAUAAGGCACUAUAGACUAUUUAGGCUAUACACUCGAACUUGAUCCACGUUUAUGUCUCGACAUAAAGUUCAAAUGUAUUAAAAAAUAGCAUUAAGACUUAGUUUAUUGGAUUUAAGAUUAUAAUUUUAAAUUUUUCAAUAACGAUUUUAUUGAACUGAAUAUGAUAACAAACUACGAGUUUUAGGACAUAAAAUCCCAACAUAUGUAUUUUUGCCUCUAAUAAUAAUGUUGAAAGAUGUUUGUUGUGGUUUCAUAUAGGUGAUAUCUCUUCUGGUUGGACAUAGUUAGGUUUUGUAAUGGGUGACUUUAACGAUAUCAAAAUGCAUUUUGAGGCUUUUGAUAGGUCUUCUGUUCCUAUGGAUAUGGAGGAGUUCGAUAUGGCUAUUUGCGAGGCUUAUUUAGUUGAACCUACAGUACAGGGUAACUGGUUCACCUGGACUAGAAAGGUUCAUGGGUCUGGUUUGAUAAAAUGGUUUAAUCGUAUUCUGGUUAAUGGUGUUGGAUUACUGCAUGGCCUUCGGGUAUUUCUGAUCACUCCCCUCUUAUUUUAUCCGCAACUUUUAGCAGAGACAGUGGGUAGUUUCUUUUUGUUUCUUCAACCAUUGGGUUGAGGAUUCUUUGUUUAUUGAUGUUGUCUCUUUGAUUUGGAGUCGCCAUGUAGGAGUUUCUCUGAUUGUGAGUUUCGUGAGAAAUUUACAUAACCACAAGCCUACCCUCCAUAGACAGUUUGGUAAGCACAUUCAGACCUAAGUGAGGAGGUUCGUAUUGCUAAAGAGUCCAUGGAUAAAGCUCAGAGAAAAGGUUGGGCAAAAUCCUAUGUCUGAUGUUUUGAGUCGCCAAGCAGGUCUUGCCAUUGAGGCCUUUUGGACGGCUGUUAGAUUGGAGGAAGCCUUCAUGUGUUUAGAAGUCCAAGAGGUUUGUGAGUUGCCUUAGAACUUGUGUUACCUUCCUCGAUGUUCUCCAUUACGAUUAAUGGCUCUUUCAAGGGUUUUUUAAUGGGAGGAAAGGUUUGUGUAGAGUGAUCCUUUAUCUCCUUUCCUUUUUAUCAUGGUGAUGGAGGUCCUCUCUCGUAUGUUGAAUCGGCCUCCUCCGAGCUAUCAGUUUCACAGGCAUUGUGAGAAGGUUAGCUUAACUCAUCUAACCUUUGCUAAUGAUCUUAUGAUUUUUUGUGCUGCUGAUGAUUCCUCUCUGAGUUUUAUUAACGAGACUAUUAGAAAGUUUGGUGAUCUCUCGGGGCUAUUUACUAAUCUUAGUAAAAUUUCUAUGUUUGUUGUAGGGGUUAAUAGUGAUGAUGUUUAUCGUUUGACUACCAGUUUGGGUUUUGUUCUCAGGCAUCUCCCUGUUCGUUAUCUUGGGCUUCCUUUACUUUCUGGGAGGUUACGACCUACUGAUUGUGCUCUCUUAUUCAACGUAUUACUAGUCAGAUUCAUUCUUGGUUUGCUAGAGUUUUAUCAUUUGCAGGUAGAUUGCAACUGGUUUGAUAUGUGCUUGAUAAUCUUCAGGUUUACUAGGCUAACGUGUUUGUGCUGCCUGUGAGUGUGCAUCAUGAGGUUGAUAAAAUCUUGAGGUCUUAUCUUUGGAGGGGUAAGGAGGAAGGUAGAGGAGGUGUUAAGGUGGCGUGGGCUGAGGUGUGUUCCUUUUGAGGAGGGUGGUCUUGCUAUUCUUGAUGGGUCUUCUUAGAAUGUUGUGAGUACUAUGAAGAAUCUUUGGUUGUUGCUGACUAGUUCGAGUUUUCUACGGGUUGCUUGGGUCGAGGCAAAUGUUCAUAAAGGAAGGUCAUUGUGGGAGGUCGAUUCUUGUGUUGGUCGGUCUUGGUGUCUUUGUGCUAUCAUGUGUAAACGAGAUAGUCUAAAAGAGCAUGUUCAGAUGGAGGUUGGGGAUGGUAGGCAUUGUAAACUGUGCCUGGAUCCGUUGUUGCAGGGUGGUUCCUAUCCUUCAACAAGUUGGUGAGAGAGCGCUUUAUAAUGUAACGAGUAGAUAGGAGGCUAGGCUCUCUAAGUUUAUUGGUUCGAAAGGGGAGUGGAGGUGGUCGAGGGUGUCUUUGGAUUUGAUUAAUUUAUGGGAUAGGGUUCAAGUUGUAAGUUCGUGUCCUAAUGUUGGUGAUAGGUGGGUUUGGGUUCUUGGUCGUCAUAGUGGUUUUUUGAUUGCUAGUGCAUGGGAUACUAUUCAUCCUCGUAGUGUUAAGGUUCGUUGGACAGGUUUCUUGUGGGGUGGGGAUUGAGAGUCUCGUUAUCAUUUGUUUUUUCAUGUCCUUUUGGUUGUGAUAUUUAGUCUCGGGUCCUUUAGGUUAUGGCUUCCUCUCACAGGAUUGGGUAUUGGGGGGUUGAGUUGUUUAGGGUUUGUCAUUAGAGUAUUGGUAAGGGUGUGAGAAGGAAGUUGUGGUAUGUUCUCUAGGGAAAAUUGUGCUACGAUUUAUUUUAUGUGAAAGGAGCAUAAUCAUUGUCUCCAUGGUGGUCAAGCUCGUGAGCUCAUUGUUCUGUUUCAGCUUAUUCCAUCUUGUAUCAGUGCUCGUGUUGUUUAUUUGCGUGAGGAUGCUCAUGGUAUUAUUUAGCUUGUUUUCUUUUGAUUUUUGUUUUAUCUGCUUGUUCUCGGGCUGUGGAGUUGUUUGGACUUUUUAUGUUUUUGUUGCUCUUAAUUUUGUUGGGUUUAUUAUUGUUCUUUCUUUUGAUACUUUGGAUUCUUCCUGUUUUUGUGAGCAUUGUCCGCUCUUGUGAGGUCAUCCUUGUUGUAUUAUGAUAUUAACUUUUCAAGAAAAAAAAAAAGAUAAUGCAAUUCAACUUUAGAUAGAAACAUGAUUCGAAUUUUCAUUUCAAGAAAAUACAAGGGGACAGAACUCAAGGAUUAUGUGGAUCACAAAACUUGAAUUACUAGAAUCUAAAUUUCCAUAUGUUAGAUAUCAUUAGAAGCAGUUAGACCAAAAGUUAAUUAUCAAUAUGUUAGUUCACAGGAACUGCAUAAUCAAGCACAUAAACAUCCACAUUGUCAUUCAUUGUAGGCAGCUUUGAUACACAAAAAAUAUGGAUAUUUUCAGAAGUUCAAGCAUACACAAAAAACAUAUCCUUGUCAGAAAAUAGCCAACUAAGAAAGAGAAGUUCAAGAUUUAUAUACAAAGUGCAGCUGCAAAAGGACAAGCAAGAUGCCAGAAUCUAUAUAUUAUGCAGUCGGAUAUUAAUUGGCAAGUACUAACAGCAAAGGUACCAAAAUAAAACCGUAUCAAUUUAUCUUGUCUAAAACUAAACAGUAUAUGUAAAUCUUGCAAACAAACAAGUUUUUUGAAUCAAAACUGCCAAAAGAUUUUGAUUCAAGUGAUAUGUGGAUUGUGAUCUUUUGUGUCACCCAUCCAUUCCUCCUGUUUUAACCAUUUAAAUCAAUAAAUAAUUUUAUGUUCAAACAUAAGUUGGACAACCUUUGUUAAAGAACUGCUUCCCAAAACAAAUAGCAUUAACCACCCUUUUUUAAUUCAACACAUGGGAAUAAAGAUCGAAUCUCUGAUUUUUUGGUCUAAGGUACCUUUCCUAAACUUGUCGAAUUCCAUUUUCUACACCAACUUUAGAACGAGUAUAUACAUCAAGUAAUUUCAUGUUCAACUCAAAAUUGGACAACCAUAGUAUUACUCCAAAGCAAACAAUACUAACUGUUCCAUUAAAUAUUUUUUUAUAGCUCUUGAUUGUCUCACUUUUUUGUAUUUUGAAUUUACAAGCCUCUUUUUUCUUUCUUUGGUAUGAAAGGUGGCAACUAGGCCUUGCUAGAACGAGUGGGGUAACCUUUCUAUGGUAGUACACUUAGUUUCGAAGUUCGAAGUUUUCCUCCUACAGUGGAUCAUCGAUAUUGAUUCUUCUACUGUUAAUUCGACCUCCCACUAAUUCUCUUCUUCUAAGGAUUCACUUUUCUCUAAGGCUCUGCACUUUACUAAAAAGCCUUGAUCUUCUUCCCCCCAAUGUUUUCAUAAACUUCUUAAGACAGACCCUGACCUUGGUUAGGCUCGGAUCUCCUUGGAUUAUCACCUUAUUCCCCUGAUAUGUAAAUGUUAACAUCAUAUUCUUCCAAUCCACUCCAGUCGUUCCCAAGGAAUACAAUCACUGCAUUCCAAGUAUGGCAACUACCCCUCCCAACUUCAAGGGUAAAAACUCAUUCACUACCUUCUAGUCUCCCAGCAUUAACUCAACAUCUUCACAAAUUACCUUCCCUUUGACUACAGUGCCCGAGCCCAAAAUGACUCCAUAAUUCGACGUUUCUCUUGUACUCAGUUGCAACUCUUUCACUAUUUUUUCCUGAAAUGAAAUUGCGUGUGACUUCACAAUCAAUUAGUACUAUAGCCACAUUCCCUUGUAUCAUCUCUUUUACCUUCAUUUUCCCUAGGUUGGAUAAUCCCACCACAUAAUUAAUGGAUAAUUCCACCACCACCUGACUCUCCUCUACGAUCUCAGGGGCAUUCAACUCUUUCUGAUCAAUUCCUCAUUCUUCGAUAAUUUCAUACUCCUCGCCUUCUUCCUUCACAACAAUCAUUCACAAUUCCCUUUGCUCUUUCAUCUUGCAUUUGUGGUCAUGAGAAUAUUUCUCAUUACAGCGAAAGCACAAUCCCUUCUUUCUAGAUUGAAAUUCAGCAUCAAAUAAGCGCUUCGCCUGUCCCUCUUUCCGUACUUCCUCUUUUGUUGUUCCUCGUAGAGUAAUAGUUCUCAUCGGCCAAUUCAUUCCUCCUUUACUUUCUUCUGUAUUCGCAAUGGUAUUAGCCUUGGUGCUAUUAUGGGAGUUUAUCACCUUUUCUCCAGAAUAUCCAGAAAGAUUUGCUUCCUGACGUAUAUCUUCCUUGUUCUCUACCUUUUGCGCGAUUCGUAUCGUUUGUGCUAAUCCCUUCGACUCACAUAAAUCCAUCUCCGCCUAGAUCCACAGUUUCAAUCACGACAUAAAUGUCUCUUUUACCACCUUCUCUAAUAGGUCCGACAAAGGAGCUACCCACUUAUCGAAUAAAUUUUGAUAUUCCUCUAUCGUUUUCUUUUGUUGAAUUUGCAAGAACCUUACAUACAACGAUUCCUCCCUCACGGAUCGAAAUCGCACAAAUAAUCUUUCCUUCAUAUUCACCCAAUCUACAAAGUUCUCUCGUUCUUCUUGAGAACGGUAAAAGUUCAAUGCUAGUCCCUCAAAACUAAUAGUGGAUACAGUCAUUUUCUCAAAUUCAGUAAGUUUAUGAAUGUGCAAAUACCUCUCUACGCGAAACAGCCAAGAAUCGGGAUCAUCUCCAUUGAAUAUCGACAUCUCCACCUUCUUAAACUUAUUGCAGUAACUAUUACUUUCAUCAUAUAUUUUCUUUCCUUCCUUCCUUGUUUCGUUCUCCCAUCUUGGUCACCCUUCGCCUUCGUCCACAUUCUUCGUCGAUGAAUUGUGCAUUGUUGUCGAUUCCAUAAUUCGUAACAUCAUCUAAAUUCUACCUCUCCAUAUUUUUGGAUAUUUUGGCCAACGUCUUUUCGAUCACCAGUAUCUUACUAAUCUCUUUCUUAAUGUCCUGUAUUUCCUGGUCAAACGUCUCCAUCUCUUCGAUCCGAGUCUGAACCAUUUGCAUUCUUCUUGCCCGAGAUCAAUGCUCUGAUACCAAUUUGAUGGAAACCAGUCUUGGAAUGAAAUUGCUACUAUAUUAUUAAUGAUAGAAUAGGAAUGAAAUCCUAAUUACAAUAUGAAAUCCCUCUCCUGUUAUCCUCUCUCUCAAGGAAGAAUAGAAAUUCACUUUCUCAAACAAAACCUAACUUUCCCGCCCACGAUUACUUUUUAUUUAUACUAACAAUAAGGUAACUAACCCUUCCCUUUACACAUGCUAUUCAUGUGCACGUGAUAUAUUUUUUUUAAUUUCUUUGUCCCUCUUCCACUGUAUAGAUGUAAUAUAGGGGGUCUAUCAGAUUCCUCCUCUUUUCAAAGCCUCCAACCAAACUCAAUGCUAAGUUUGACUGCUCCCUUCAGAGUGACGACCCUCAUUUUCCCCCUUCCGUGGUUUGGGGAGGAUUCCUCCUCUUUUUAAAGCCCUCAAUCAAACUUGAUGCUAUGUUUAGAACGCUAAGAAUAGGUGGUCUAGUUUUGGUUAGGCCAAAAGUGAAAAUUUCCCCCAAAAGCACUAAUAGUUAGGGAACUCAACACAUUCUACUUGACUUAAUCGACUUGACUCUCUAAUUUUUAUGAGCUUUUUUCAAUGCAUAUUGCAUAUGUUUUUUUUAUAGUUGUUGAUUGUCUCACAUUUUUAUGGUUUGCAUUUACAAGCCUCUUUUUUCUUUCUUUGGUAUGAAAUAUGGUAAUAGGCCUUGCUAGAAUCGGUGGGGUAAUCUCUCUAUGGUUCUACACUUAGUUUCAAAGUUUGAUUACUCCCUUCGAAGUGACAACAAGCCUCGUUUUCCCCUAUUGUGGAUCAUAGAGGAUUCCUCCUCUUUUCAAAGCCCUCAAUCAAACUCAAUGCUAAGUUUAACUGCUCCUUCGAAGUGACAACAAGCCUCGUUUUCCCUAUUGUGGAUCAGAGAGGAUUCCUCCUCUUUUCAAAGCCCUCAAUCAAACUCAAUUAGAGUAAAAAGGAAAAAUUUUCAUCUCGGGCGCGUGUACCUCACACGCGUCUCUCUAGGAUUUCCAAGUUCUCUCACUCGCUGGUGAAGGAGGCGAACGGCUGGUGAGUGCUGCGGUCAGCAAGGGAUCAAAUUCGAAGGUAAUUCGUUCGGUUUUGGCAGAUUGAAUGUGAAAACUAAUGUCAUUUGGUAUCCAUUUCGAAAUUGAUUACAAUUGAUCAAUUGAACCAUUACGAAUGAUAUUCUUUUGAUUCGGGAGAAUUAACGUCUGUCAGAAAUUGUUUAAAUCGAUUUCCAAGCUGAAUUGAUUUGAACUAUCUUGAAAGUAUUGCGUGUGGUACGAAUCGAUUUAUUGGCUAUCAGUUCUGGUUUGAAGACCGUGAUUUAAUUCACUCGCUGGAGGGAUCUCGCAUGAAUCUCCUCGGUUGAAUUUCAAUUCUUUUUUAGUUCAUUCGUGUUCCCAGAUUGGGCCGAAAAGAUCAUCACGGGUGUUGGGUUGAUGUCCUAAGCAUGAAACGAUGAAGAAAUUAUCCAGUGACGUUGAGGAGGUGAAGAAACGCGUGAUGUCAAGCCUUCAACGCGUACAUGAUAUGGCGGCGAACCGAAGGGCGGCGACUGCAAAGGCUGACCUAAUUUCUGUGAGGAAGAAACGGUCGGACAUGAGUGGACCCGAACCGGUUUACGUGAACCGUGAAACAUAUAAAAACGAAAUACAGGAAAUGGACCGAGCGGAUGGUCCCAUGAAGAUUGUUGGCCCAAAGGCGUGUGGGCCGAUUGUUUUGAAUGAAAACUUGAUGAAGUCCUGAGCCGGUAAAGGGGCUGAAGCCGAAUGGUGUGGACACAUUUACGAAUGGAAUUGGUCAUGGAUCUCUGGUUGAUGGGCCAUCGUUGAAUGAUGGGCCGUCCAUCUCACACGAAACUGGGAUCUCACAGAAGGAGUGCUUACCUGUGGUGCUUCAAGUGUUCAGCAUGUUGGGCAAAUUGCGGCCAAGGAUAUGGACCUGGGCUGGAUGCUAUUGCAAGUGCCCCAAAGAUUGGGCCGGUUGAUGGGCAUUUGAAUGAUGGGCCAGCCAUUAGAGAACGUUUGGUACUAAUUCAAAUGGUGGGCCGCCUGUUCGAUUCGUGGGCAUGAGGUGCAUAAAUCUAAUAAUUCUGGAGGUGCAGGCAAAAAUUCAUGGGCUUCCUUUUUGGCUCAACAAGAGGUUUCUCUAUGACCUAUACACCUCUACUACCGUGGGAGAGAAAAUUGUGGUGACCCCGUUUGAAGAAGUUAUUAGUCAAGGAGUUAGAGUGUGGGAGAACUCCUCGUCAGCCAAUUAAUUGAUGCAAAAUUGCGUAUCUAGUCAUCUAUCGUCUUAUAGAGAAGAUUUGGGGUAGAAUUGAAAUGCCAACAAUUACUCUGAUGGAGAAUGGGCUCAUCUGCUUUCAAUUCAAACAUCUGAAGUCGAUAGAGUGGAUCUUAUCCCGUGGCCAUGGCACCUUGGAGGCAAACCUAUGCUCCUCCGCAAAUGGACUCCAGGUAUAGUUCCUGAAUCCUUUGUCUUUGAUUCAGUUCCUGUUUGGAUAAAGUUAGGGAGGAUUCCGUUGGAGCUAUGGACGGAUGCUGGUUUGGCUGUGGUAGCGAGUGCAAUAGGAAAACCUCUUUCAGUUGAUCUUGCUACUAAAGAGAGGCGUCAUCUUUCUUAUGCCCGUAUAUGUGUGGAAUUGAAUGUGGACAGUAUUAUGCCUGCCGAAGUAACAGUCAACCUUAGAGGAGAGGAAUUUAUUGUAACUGUCACUUAUGAGUGGAAACCGAAAAAAUGUAACUUGUGUCGAUCUUUUGGACACUCGCAGAACACCUGCCCUAAGAAAAGAGGCAAUGAAGAUAGUAAAAAGGAAGCUGCAAGUAAAGAGGUUCCUGUUAAAGAGGUUGUUCCUACUAAAGAGGUGGUUCCAGAUUGUGGGGAGUAUGGAGAUGUUGUGUUGGAAUCCUUCCAACACAUGGAAGAAGGAGAAAUUAUUACCCAUAAACUGCCUGAAAAGGUGGAGGUAAAUCGGGAGGAAUUUACCCCAGUUGACAGGAAAAAUAGGGGAAUGAUCUCUAUUCGGGACAGAGGGAAAAGGGGGAAGUGAGUAUCACUACUCCUUUAACAACCUCAUGGAGGUGGAUAAAGGAGAUAAAUGGCCUUUAUCUAUAGUGGAUGGCUCCCCUCCUCCCUUACGAGUAGAUGACUCUUCUAUGGUCCUUUUGAGUACUACAGGUGAUGUAAUUCCUAUGGGAGAGGCGCUCCCAUACGACCUCAUGGUUAGUUGGUGUACGUGGAACGUGCGGGGCCUUAAUAGCCCUGUAAAGUGUAGAGCGGUGAAGGACUUCUUAGCCGUGUCUACGGUGGGUUUCUGUUGCAUCCUGGAGACUAGAGUUCGAGAGGAGAACUUUGUCUCGAUAUCUAGAAGAUUUGUGAUUCGUGGGGGUUCAUUAGUAACUACAGCAAUAGUGGAGUAGGUCGAUGUGGAUUAUGUGGAAACGUAACAGAUUCGUGUGUGUUCACGACUAACGAGGUUGUCGACCAGUUUAUUUCUGGUGUAAUAACAGAUUUGAUCUCUGGGGAGAAGGUAGAGGUUCUGUGUGUGUAUGCCUCUAAUAGUAAUAUCAGAGACGUGUUUUAUGGAGGCGAAUGGCUGAGAUCUCUGCUGGUUGGAGAGGACCGGGUAUGGUCUUGGGUGAUUUUAACACCAUCAGACUCCACUCUGAAGCCUUCGGGGGUGCUCGAACGUGGGGGAUAUGGAGGAGUUUGACAUGGCUAUUCGAGAGGCGGACCUUGUUGAACCGCGGUCCAGGGGAACUGGUUUACUUGGACUAGUAAGAUACAUGGGUCGGGUUUGAUGAAUAGACUUGAUCGUAUCCUAGUGAAUGAUGAGGGGCUUAGUACAUGGCUAACAUGAGGGUUAACGUCCUCCCGUGGGGUAUUUCUGAUCAUUCUCCAUACUUGUCUAUCCCAGUAAUCAGCGAAGCCAACAAGUGGUCUCUUUUCGUUUCUUUAACCAUUGGGUUGAAGAAGCGUCCUUUAUGGAUGUUGUGUCCUCUGCUUGGACCAAAGAUACUAGAGUUUCUCCAAUUGUGAAUAUUGUGAGGAACUAAGAAAUCUCAAGUCGAUUCUUCGCAGACAUUUUGGUAGGCAUAUCCGGACCAUCAGUGAGGAUGUUCGUCUUGCCAAUGAUACCAUGGACCGAGCUAAAGAGAGAUGGAGACGAACUCUCUGUCGGAGGAGGCGAGUAAUCACGCGAGCUUAGCCACGGUAAACUUUUGGAAAGCGUUAGAGUGGAGGAAGCCGCUAUGCGCCAGAAGUCGCAAAUCAGAUGGUUGAAGCUAGAUGACCAGAAUACUGCCUUUUUUCAUCGAUCUGUUCGAUCAAGGCAGAGCAGCAAUGCUUUGAGAUCAGUUAUUGACCCAGAUGGAAAUCGGUUGACUAACCAUGAUCAGGUGACUCAGGUGGUAGUGAAUUAUUUCAAAGAUAGUCUGGGUUCUCAGAAUAUUAGCUACAAGAGCUCUCUACUAGUAUUGAGGAGAUUGUUCAGUUUAGAUGGACUGAGGAGUGUUGCAGGCCCUCCAGUCGCCUAUUGGCAGGGAGGAAGUGAGACGUGUUCUGUUCUCCAUGGAUGGUGGAAAGGCUCCAGGCCCUGAUGGGUAUUCAGUUGCUUCUUCAAAGGAGCUUGGACGGUGGUUGGAGAGGGUUUCUGUGAUGUCGUCUUACACUUCUUUGAGACCAAUUACUUCCCUCAAGGGGUGAAUACGACUGCUAUUACACUUAUUCCUAAAAGGAAUGGUGCUGAUCGAUUGGAGGAUUUCAGCCCUAUAUCUUAUUGCAGCGUUAUUUAUAAGUGCAUUUCAAGAAUAUUGGCAGAUAGGCUUCGUGUGUGGCUUCCUUCUUUUGUUAGUGGAAAUCAGCCAGCUUUCAUCCCUGGGAGGAGUAUUAUUGACAAUAUUCUUCUUUGUCAGGAGCUUGUAGGGGCAUACCAUUUGCACAGAGGUAAACCUCGGUGCACUAUGAAGGUUGACCUCCAAAAAGCUUAUGAUUCUGUUAAUUGGGAUUUCCUCUUUGGCCUGCUGAUUGCCAUAGGUACGCCUUUAAGAUUUGUGAGUUGGGUUCGAGCGUGUGUGACCUCUCCGAUGUUCUCCAUUAUGAUUAAUGGAUCGUUGGAAGGUUUUUUCCAUGGGAGGAAAGGACUUAGACAAGGUGACCCUUUAUCCCCGUUCUUAUUUGUGAUGGUCAUGGAGGUGCUUUCUCGCAUGUUGAACAGCCCACCUCAGAAUUUUCAAUUCCACCAGUUUUGUGAGAAGGUCAGAUUAACUCAUCUUACUUUUGUAGAUGACCUAAUGAUCUUUUGUACUGCUGAUAAUCAUUCUAUGAGUUUCAUAAAAGAGACUAUUAAGAGGUUUGGUGAGCUUUCGGGACUGUUUGCUAAUCUUGCUAAAAGCUCAAUUUUUCUUGUGGGGGUUAAUAGUUCGAAAGAUUCUCGGCUUGCUGCUAACAUGGGUUUUUCCAUUGGUCAUCUCCCUAUUCGUUAUCUUGGGCUUCCUCUCCUCUCUGGAAGAUUGCGGAGCUCUGAUUGUGAUCCCCUUAUUCAGCGUAUUACCAUUCGUAUUCGGUCUUGGUCUGCUAAAGUGUUAUCUUUUGCAGGUAGACUUCAGCUUGUUCGCUCAGUCCUUAGGAGCCUUCAGGUUUAUUGGGCUAGUGUGUUCAUGCUUCCUAUGAAAGUCCACAGAGACGUUGAUAAGAUCUUGAGGGCUUAUCUGUGGAGAGGUAAGGAGGAGGGAAGAGUGGUGCUAAAGUUGCCUGGGAUGAGGUUUGUCUUCCUUUUGAUGAAGGAGGUCUUGAUAUUCGUGAUGGAUCUUCUUGGAAUAUAGCAAGCACGUUGAAGAUAUUAUGGUUGCUACUUGUUAAAUCUAGUAGUUUGUGGGUUUCUUGGGUGGAAUCUUAUAUCCUUAAAGGGAGAUCGCUGUGGGAGAUCGAUGCUGGGAUAGGAUUCAGGGAGUGAGGCCGAGUCCGAGUGUUGAGGAUAGGUGGGUCUGGGUGCCGGGGAGUCGUGAUAGUUUUUCGAUCACUAGUGCGUGGGAGACUAUUCGUCCUCAUAGUAGUAGGGUUGGAUGGUCGGGUUUACUAUGGGGUGGGGGAAAUAUUCCUAAGCACUCCUUCUGUGCUUGGUUGGCCAUCAGGGAUAGGUUGAGUACUAGAGAUAGGUUAAGUCGGUGGGAUAGGUCGAUUCCUUUAUCGCGUUUGCUUUGUGGAGGGAACUAUGAGUCUCGUGAUCAUUUGUUUUUUUCUUGUCAUUUUGGGUGGGAGAUUUGGUCGAGGAUCCUUUUGCUUAUGUCAUCUUCUCAUAGAAUCGGUUAUUGGGGGGUUAAGUUAUCUUGGAUUUAUAAUCAGGGUAUUGGGAAGAGUGUGAGGAGAAAACUGUGGCGCCUUCUCUGGUGUGCUACAAUUUAUUUCAUUUGGCAGGAGCGAAAUCAUCGUCUUCAUGGAGGUGUUGUUCGGGAGCCUAUGGUUGUAUUCCAGCUCAUUCGGUCGUGUAUUAAAGCGUGUGCUGCUUCUUGGUCGGAUGGUGUUCAUGGUCUUAUUUAAUGUUCUUUUCGUUUGCUUGUCCUCGGGCUGUGGGGUUUCUCUUCUCUUUAUUAACUUUGUUGUCUUUCUCUCUUUUUCUUGUCCUUUUAAUGUUUGGAACACUAGUUGGUUUCUUUUGGUUUUAGUUCUUGUUCCCGAGAUGUGGGGUUGUUUUGGGUACUUAUGGGUUGUUUUGUCUAACUACUUGUUUUGUGAGUGUUGUUCGCUCUUUUGUCUUGACCUCAGGCUGUGAGGUCCACCUUGUUGUUGUAUAAUAUUAUCAUUAUUACCUUUUCAAAAAAAAAAUCAAACUCAAUGCUAAGUUUGACUGCUGCCCUUCGAAGUGACAACAAAGCCUCGUUUUCGCCCUACUGUGGAUCGAGGAGGAUUCCUCCUCUUUUCAAAGCCCUCAAUCAAACUUGACGUUAUGUUUAAAACACUAAAAAUAGAUGGUCUAGUUUUGGUUAGGCCAAAAGCGAUGUUUUCCCCCAAAAUCUCUAAUAGCUAGGGAACUCAACAUGUUCUACUUGACCUAAUUGACUUGACUCUGUAUUUUUUAUGAGCUUUUUUUAAUGCAUAUUGCAUAUGUUUUUUUUUUAUAAUUGUUGAUUGUCUCACUUUUUUAUGGUCUGCAUUUACGAGCCUCUUUUAUUUCUUUGUUAUGAACUGCGGUGACUAGGCAUUGCUAGAACCGAUGGGGUAACAUUUCUAUGGUUCUACACUUAGUUUCUAAGUGUGAUUGCUCACCUCUAAUUUUCAAAACACUUAAUUUCUAAGCACAUACAAUGUUCACCUAGAAAAAAAAUGAAAAUUGUUGUAGUUAAGAUCAAAACUAAAUAGUUAUGAAAUAAGACAUAAGAGAUUUGAUUUUAACAACCUUCUCGUUGUACUUGGGAUCCACUCUGGCUUUGUGCUGGAAAAUUGGUUUGGAGCUGAUCGUAAGCUUUCGGUUGCUCUUCUGUAACCUUUAGAUACUCUUCAAAGCUAUAAGCUUUGCUUCCUGACGAAUAAUCUUCUACUAUUACAAUACAUAAGAAAAUUCUAUUUCAUAAACCCUGUAUCAUAAUUGAGGCUGAUAGAAUGAUUAUUCUAUAACCCUACGAUAGUUUCAUUCUUAACAUUCAUAGACACGAUGCAUGGCAGCUAUCCAAUUCUAUUUCAUGUUCUCGAGAAUGGCUCGGUUUAACAAUAAUGUUAAUUUUUGUUUUCUAUUUUAAAAUAAUAACGCUGCUUACUAAUAACUAAAUGUUUUAAGCCAUUUACAAAUUAGAUUUCAAUAAAUCGAUAAUCAUAUUUUUUUACAAUAUAGGACUAAAAAAGAUAACAUUUAUAUAUAUAUAUAUAUAUAUAUAUAUAUAUAUAUAUAUAUAUUACAUACAACAGUAUUUAGUUAAAUUACAAAAAAAAAUUCUUUUUGAAUUUUGUAGUUUGUGUAAAAAAAUAACCUUAAACUUUGAAAUGUUAAAAAAAAUUGUUUUGAACUUUUAAAAAUUAUUCAUAAAUACAUCUACAUACGUAGGAUGAAGGUAUUGGCAUGCUUCUCUAAAAAAACUUUCCAAAAAGAUGUUGUGUGACUUUUGAAAAGAAAAAUUACAAAUGGGGUCGUUUUUAAACAAAUUAGAUAUAUCGAGUUAUAUUUAUUUAAUUUUUUUCCUUUUUUCACAUAUUAUCAAUCACAUCUUACUUUUUUCUUUUUUCUUUGGAACCCUGCAAAAAUAACAAAAACAUUUAUAAUCACAUGACUCAUGUCACUACAUUUUCUAAAUUUUAAAAGUAGUAAAUUUAAAAGUUGAUAACCCUAUGAUUAUCGUUUGAUAGUCAUCUAAUAUCACUAAUUUUGUCAUAUUCGUAAUAUCCAAAUAAGGUUUCUUGGUGAGUCUAGAGUCAAACGUGAGGACUUAUACUAAAAAUAUAUUUAUAUUUUGAAAUUAUCUUAAGGUGAUUAAUAACAUACGCCUAAGAACAAUAGCGGUAUCAUCCACUUGUAAGGGGGGAGGGGAGUCAUCCACUAUAGAUAAGGUCCACUUGUCUCCCUCACCCAACUUCAUAAGGCUGCCAAAAGAGUUAGGCAUAAUCACAUCCACACGUUUACCCUUCUCUCGAACAUAAACCAACUCUCUUUUCUUCCUAAUAACGAGUAAUUUCAUCUCGAUUACCUACCUCCUUUUCCUUAAUAUGCCUAAUGGGGGAGCUAUUAGUCUUACUUUCCUCCAACUAUUUAAAGUCUAACACCACAUCCACAAGACACAAUUGUCCAUUCCUCCUCUUUGUUUGAAAACCACCUUGCUCACAUCCUUCUCUCGAUGAACUUUGUUUUCCACAAUCUUAGGACACUUACCACUAGAAUGCCCAAAAGACCGGCACAAAUUACACCUUCGAGGCUUCCACUCAUAAUUCACAGUCAUAACGAAAUCCUCUCCCCUAAGGUGGAAUUGUAAAUUCAGCAAGCAUAGGAGAGUCCACAUUUGAUUCAACACAUACUCAAGCAUGUGACAACCUUCGUCUUUCCUUAGUAGCUAGAUCUAAAGAUAGAGGUUUUCCUAUAGCACUAGCCACAACAGUCAAUCUGACAUCUAUCCAUAACUCCAUUGGAAUCCUACCUAGUUUAAUCCAUAUAGGAACAUAAUAAAAAACAAAAGGAUUUAGGGACAAUACCUGGAGUCCAUUUACAGAGGAGCAUACUUUUGCCAGCAAGAUGUCGCGAUCAACGAGGUAGGAUCCAUUCAACAAGUUUUGGGCAUCUGAAUUGGAAACAUAUGAGUCCGUUCUCAAGAAUUGUAAUCGUUGGCAUUUUAAUUUUAUCAACAAUAACAACGAGCUAAACAAAAUCCUCUAUCCAGGACGCACUAAUGAAAACUAAAAUGUAAAAUAAGUACGAAGUAAUUAAUUAAAACAGAAGACAAAAGAAACCCAAAGUAAGUUGACAAAAUGCCCACAAUAAGCUUCAAGAUGAGUGAGAGGGAACACCAAGAGAAACAUGAAUAGCCUUGCUAACUUUUCACUACUAGCUAACUACAUAUAUUUUUACAAUACGUGUUAGGGAAAUCUUUCCCUUUGCAAAACAGACCAAUAUAUAAUCAAUCAUUGGCUCCUUAUGGGAAAAUACAGAAGCCCUAUACAUGUCUGUUUCAAGCUUGUGUUGAACAACUUUUAAUUCCCUAAGAUAAGGAGAUUUAUCUGAAGGUUCGAGAAUAAUGGCAUGUCCUAAACUAACCCACCAUUUCGCAACAGUGAACCAGUUUGAUCGUUAGGGGACAACUUUUGAUAAUAAGCGCACAACCAUGCCCCAAUUCCAAUGUUGCCCAAAAGUAAAGGCCUUUCUUCACAAUGCUCCAUAAAAAAAAAGUUUGACUUUCACAUAAAGAUCUUAUUUCUUUUUUAUUGCUCCAAGAGAUCUAAUAGAUCUAUUUUCACCACGCAAAUCCCUUUUGUUAUCAUGGAAAAUGUGUUGGUUGUGCUCAAACCAAAUCUCUGCUUGCAACACUUUUAUCAAAUUAACCCAUGUUUUUUUUUAAAAAAAAAAAGAGGAUAUGAGUCUCACUAUUAUUAAUAUUGAAAAAUGAAGAGACAAAGCUCAAUGUCAUGAGGAUUAUACAAAGAGCAAUAGGAUGGAGGAUCAAUAGACGCACCUGGACAUCUCAACUAGGUUGACACCCCCUUAGCACCCUCAUCACAUCCAAAAAGCGACAACACAAGAUCAAAACCAAAAGCCACAAAUAGAAGGCUUUUUUUGUGUUUGUUUUGCCUUUGGACAUUACUCCUUUGUUAUGGGUUUUAGCUUGGUUGGAUAUGAUGAGGGUGCUAUGGGGGUGUCAACCUAGUUGAGAUGCCAAGGUGCACCCCCUGAUCCAUGGUUACAUGUUCAUUGUAUAACUCUCUUGUACUAUGAGCUUUUGUCUAAUUAUUAUUAUUAUUUUAAUAUUAAUAAAGAGGUUGUCUCCUUUUCAAAAAAAAAAAAAAAACAAAAACAAAAACAAAACAAAACAAAAGCCACAAAUAUAAAACCAAGCAAAACGAUAAAAUAAUAUGUCCAAAACAAAAUCAUAAAUCAUAGGUAGCAGGUCGAGAACAAAGAAGAAUAAGCCUUGAUUGAGCAAAAAAUCCCAACAAAUAUUGAAUGUUUGGAGAAGACGGAACCAACAUUUCGAUACAAAGACAUAGUCAAUUCAAAGGUGCUAAAUAUUUUUCAUGUUAUCAACACAAAUGGGGCAGACAUGAGGUGAGAGGACAUGGGAGGGAAGUUUUCUUUGAAGUACUAAAGCACAGUUUAAUUUUCCAAACAACGUAAUCCAUAUGGGGAUAUUUAUCCAAAGAGUGAGCUAAAUAGCCCAAUGAGUGAUUGUUUUAUAAAACAUCGUUUUGAAAUAAUAAGUAUUUAACAAUUAACUCUUAACAUAAAUGAAAUCAAACUCAAACAACUUAUCUCAAACUUUCCCUUUCAGUUGCUAUACCUAGAAUCGUCGAGACGAAAAACAAUAAACUAGGCAUAGAAGCCCUAUCCCGUGAUACGAUACUUACGAGAUGAAACUCUAGGCAUCAAUUGUGCCCUAUCUCGUUAUAACUACAAUGAGAUGGAAAACUAGGCAUUCGUACAGGCUCUCAUCCCUUGAGAUGGGAAACUAAGCAUCUUUAGAAGUCUUCAUCUCUUAUCUAAUACCAAUGAUGGAAAGCUAGGUAUUUACUGAAUAUCCAAAUCAAAUGACCUCUAUGCACAAGAAAAUAUUUCCCGAAGGGUUGCUAUAUAUCUUAGAAUAUUUUAGGUAUAGACUAAAACAUGCUAAUAUUAUUUUCAAGCUUAAACAUUUUGAAAACUUAGCACAAUCAUGAUUGCUUAUAAUUUUCAUUAGUAAAUUCAUCAAUAAAAACAUGUUUACCAAAAUGUUUCUAAAUUCAUGCUUUGGAAAUACUUUAUAAGUCAGUAUUCUCAAAUAUUCAAACAUCAAAGCAUGCUUGAAACAUUUGAUAGUAAAUUCAUGUUUAGAAAUCAACUUUAAACUCAUUUUUGUCAUUUAUAGAGAGUAGCUUGGACCCUUGGCUUAUAAACUUGUUCGAUCUCCUUCAGAUCUAAAAUAAUGAAAAAUAAUGGGAAAUAAUUCCAUUUAAUUCCCGUUGAUCAUAAAAAUAUCAAAACUUUGCUUAAAAUUUCCAAAAACCACAAAAACAGCCCAAAGACAUUAGCUUGCGUACAAAAUAUUGUGGCAGAAGUUGGCAGGUGCGCGUAGGGCUUGCCUUGCCAUGUCUCGUUCUAACCUCAUGUGCAGCGUGUCACAAUCACAACUUUUCAAACACGGAACAGACUAUUGUGCGACACUUGUUGUAACUCGAUGAACACGUCAGUUGUAUGAAAUUCGAUACGAUGUAGCCUCCCUAUAGAUUUUAAGAGAAAUUGGUUUUAUUAAACAUGAGAGAGAAAGGAAAGCAUUGGAAAUAUCGUUAAAAAAAACUUUGAAGACUGUCCAUUGCAAAGAGAGCUUAAAUUGCAAAGAGUAUCUCUGUGAUGAGAUUGGUUUGUGGAACCAAUUGGGAUGGGAAAAAUUUUAGAGAUAUUUGAGAGAAACUCUUUUCUUUUUGCCAAGAGAAAUAGCGUUAGCCUUAUUUUUUUCUUUUUUUAUUAAUUCAUUUUUUUAAGAAAAUUGUUUUCUUCUAGAUAUUAUAACUCUCUUUCCUUCUAGGAAUAGAAAAUGAAGUAGAAGAGAAUCAUGAGAUUCUAUUAAUUUAUAAAUAAUUAAAUUAAUAUAUAUAUUUCAAAUCUACUGAUUAAUUAAACAUUAAUCAAUUAGUUAAUAAUUAAUGAAAUCGAAUUUAAUUAAAUAAUAUUAAACUAAACUAUUAAUUAAUUCUCCAAUUAACUAAUAACACUAAAUUAUUUAUCUUAUAUUUAACUUAAAUUAAAUUUGAAUCAUAUUCAAAUAUAAGUUUCUCUCAAUAAUUUUAAUAUGAAUCCAAUUCACAUUAAAUUAAUAUUUGAACUCAUUCAAAAUAUUUUAUCUCUCAUAAAUUAAUUUUGAAUCAUCCCCAAAGUUAAAUUUAUAUAGUAAAGUUUGAUAAACUUUAUAUUAUAAUGUAUCACUAUACAUUAUACUAAUUCCCAAGUUAAAUUUAAACAUUUUAAAUUACAACCAAUACAAAUAAAUCUCAUUACCCUUUACGAGCUAGGAAAGGGACCUAAUGGACCUACAGAUCAGAAGCUACAACGAUCUAAGAUUAAUUGGCUAAACUCAUUAAUCAAUAUUUGUUAGCUUUGUGUACACUCCACUAAAGACUCACAACUGAACUCUUCUCACUAAAAAUAUAUUUAUGUGUCCAUGGAUAUAGACCAAUAAUAGUAAGUUAGUCCUUCACGAGUGUUUGUAACACCAGUUGGACCAAUUUACCGCUUUACCCCUAUGUUACCUCUAAUCCUUAAAAAACCAGUGCUCCUCUAAUGAACAACUUGUUUAUGGUCCUACUAAUAAACAAAAACCCAUCUCAUGUCAUAGAGAGGGUACGAGCCCUUUGUUCAAGUUUUGGAGACACCAUUUAAGCUAACAUUCAUCUACUUACCCUAAAGUAGGAAAUGAGUGAAUUCCAUUUUGUGCAAUUAUAAUCCCAACUCCCCACUCAGUCUUGUCCCCAAAAUCACUACUACAAAAACAGGCUCUCUUGACGGUUGUAGUUUUCCUUUCUUGACGUUUUUUCCCAAAAACGUCAAGAAAGAUGUGAUUUCAAAUAAAAAAACGUCAAGAAUUUUUAUGAAAGGCCAAUUUUCAACUUUCUUGACGUUUAUUAAACGUCAAGUAAGAUGUACUUUUUCUUGACGUUUUUUAAACAUCAAGAAAUAUCUAAUAAUUUUUUGACGUUUUAAAAACGUCAAGAAAUUUAUAAAAAAAUUCUUGACGUUUUUAAAACGUCAAGAUAAUUCUAAAAAAUCAUUGAUGUUUUUAAAAACUUCAAGAAAUUUUAAUUUGUUUUUGAUGUUUUAAAAACGUCAAGAAAUUUCCAAAAAAAUUAUUGUGUUAAUUUUCUUUUACAAAACGCAACGUUUCAAUUAGAUCACUUCCCCUUUUCUUAAUUAAACCUAAUUCGCCGCGACUUUGUCCCUUCUCCACCCGAAAUCAAAAGCGUCGUUCACCUAACCUUCCCUUCGCGUUCAUCUGUGCAUUCAUCUGCGUUCAUCGCCGAAAAAGACUUCCCUUCGCGUUCAUCAGCGUUCACCUUCAUUCAUUUGCCUUCAUCGUCCGUCACUUCGUCUGCUUUGCGUUCCCUUCACCUUCGUUGAUUUGCGUCCGUCUGUUCACCGUUUGAAAUGUGUAAACACAUUCUCUAUUCGAAAACGAGUAAACACGUUCACCGUCCUUCUGUCGCAUUCCACUUUCGCUAAACCUCUAUUCGUUUCCAAAUCCUUCAUGGUUACUCAUUCAUUUUCUUCCCUUUCUAAAGGUAAUAAUUUUCCUUUUUUCGUUUGUGAUUAAAAUUUGUAAUUUGGAAUUUAAAAUUGGAAUGCAAAAUUAAAGAAGAGGAAAUAUGCCUUAGAGAAUGGAAGAAAGGUUUUGCAUUUUAGGCUUGAAAAGGGGGGAUACAAGUUAUUAUAAUUGAAUAUAUAAUAUUUUGAACAAGGCUACCAAGCCGUGCGAAUAUGAUUCAUGGUUAGUUUAGGGAUUGGAAAGAGAAGGAUUGUGGAGUUUGUGAUAAUAUUUUUGGUACACUGGAGCUGGAAACAGAGAAUAUUAAAAAACACAUACUGUUAUACACAAUAUUAUAAUAAUACGAAUCACUAGAUUUUCUUCUUCGUUUUCUUUUCUUCUCUCUUCAAUUUUUGUUAUGGUAUUGUAUUGAGUUUUGUGUUUUAGAUUGUGAAUAUGGGUAGCUAAACUCUUAAUCCUGGGAUAGAUGUAGACAAAGUUUAUGAAUUAUUCUUUGUAAUGCAUCUGAUUAUCUGCUCUGAAUCUUUUCAUGUUUUUAUGUGAUUAAUUGUUGAUUGGCCAUGAACCUUAAUCUUUGCAUGACUAGAGUGGUUAUGAACUUGGAAAGAGCUAAUUAAGGAUCCUUGAGGAGGUUGUUGAAAGAAGUGGACCUAAAAACUUUUGUUUGUUAAUAAAAAGAAAAAUGAACAGAGAUUCAUCUUCGUGAGGGGUCUUGAUGUUUAAUUUAAUUUAAAUUGUGUAUGAAUUUUUAAUUACGAGCAUUUUAAUAUGUUGCGUUUUAAUCCUAGGGAUAGAUGUAGACAAAGAGCACUAUAGCCAAGGUAUAGAGUGAGGGAGAUAAGGUUUAUAUGUCUUAGAGAAUGGAAAGAUGGAAUUUGUGCUAAAAUCAUUAGUGUUCCAAAUACAAUUAUGAAUUGGGUAUAGUUGCAUUCCCCCUUCUGGAUUGCAUAGCACAUAAAUAUACUCUCAUGGAUUGCAUAGCACAUAAAUAUACUAUCAAAAACAAUAACAUAAAACACAAACUUGAUUUAGUUUCAUUCACACUUGUACACCAACAUGUUUCAAUUAAUGAUCAUAUAUUAAAAAUCAUUUUCAAAUUUGGUAAUAUAAAAUGGAAGAAGUGAGACCUUGAGGUUUUAACCACCAAUACUAUCUAACUGAUGAGUUUAUGAUUUUUGUUUCUAUUGUGUUUUUUCCUUAAGCUUUAACUUGCUUUAGGGGCAAGAUGGUGAAGGUCUAGUCCACAACCUUUCCCAAGAAUUUAAUGAUGUUUGGGUUGACCCAAUUAUUGUUAUUGGACACCGUUUUAUGGUAAUUGGUUGUUAUGGUUUUUAAGUGUGUUUUGAUAUCUUGUGUUAAAAAGUAAUUGCAAAAAGUCAGAAAAGUUUGUUAAAGAUUAAGUGUUUUUAAGUUUGUCAUUCCACUUUAAUUCUCACCAGUACUUGCUGAAUGGAAGCCUCUUGUCUAAGACAAUUCGAGUGGAAUAACUCUCGUGACUACCACAACAUUUGGGAACUCACCAAAUGUAAGACUAUUCCUUUAUCCUAGCAUUUGAUCUCUCUCUAUAAUUUGGUUUGCUAUCGUAAGUUUGAUUAAAAUAAAUGCUGAUAAUUCAACUCCAAUGUUCUUAUUUUCUUAACUCUCAUUCAGUCAGUUAGAAUCAGAACUCAUUUAUUUAUCUUGUCUCCAUAAUUUGGAUUCAAAGAUUCAUCACAAUAAUCUUCUCAACAACAUUCUUGAAAAGGUAUUGAAUUUUCAACUGUGUGACCUUUAUACACAAAUUUCUUCAAAGAAAUUUACAUUCUUUAGAGUUUAGAGCUUUGAAUUCUAGUACAACUUAUGAAGCUUUUGAUACUUGUUAGACUUUUUUGCUUGGUGCGGAUAAAACCUUAUUUACAUUCUUUCUUUCCUGCAUGUUCUCUUUUGAUAUUUGUUAGACUUUUUUGCUUGGUUGUCCUUAGUGUUUUCCUCUUUAGCUGAAAUUUCUCUAUCUUGAAAAAAAUAGAGCUUUAAAAUUCAACUUCAACUUUAUUUGAUACUAUCUUAGUCCAUACUUAUUUUGGUAUUUCUUUCCUUUCUCACAAACACAUCUAAGAGGUUGCCUUCACAAUAUGGCCAAAUUAACAAUAUGGCAACCUUUUUCAUUGCAAAACAUAUUAGAGGUUGGUUACUUAGUUAGCCUUAUUGGGUAAAUAAUUGACAUUUAGGUACUUUUUAGUUUGUAUAUUUAUAGAUGCCAAAUCGAUAUGUGAAUUUUAAUUGUUGCUUAUUUGAAACAUUGCAACCAUUUGAUAAAAUGUUGCUAUGUGAAUCCAUCUUAACUUGAUAUAUUAUUUUAUUUUGGUUUAGGUUGUGGAAUCCAAGUUUGUAUUUGAAGUCAAAUUCAUCCAAGAUCAUUGAGUUUCAAAGCUUCUUUAAUUAAGAUUUUGUUUCUUGAACUAGAAUUGUAGUCUUGUGAUUUUUGGAAUAGCAUAGUUGGAUUGGUUUUGUAAUUUUGGGAUUAUCAUAUUAGGUUGGGGUUGACUGAAGUAGUGUUUUGUAUAUGACAAUAUCGAACAAACAUGUAAAGUUUUCGAAAUGUUCAUACAUAUAUGAUUAAAUGUUAAUAUAUGUUAAAGUUUUGGAAUUGUAUUCGUGCAUAUUUAUGAGAUUGUUGGGCCACACUACAAGAAUUAUAGAGACAAUACAGGAACAAAAAUAUAAAUAAAUUAUAAUUUAGAAAAAAAAUGAAACAAGCUUCAUGUUUUUUAAAUGUCAUAAACAAAUACAUUCUUGACGGUUUUUCAAUGUCAUUAACAAGUAAAUUCUUGACGUUUUUUAAACGUCAUAAACAAUUGUGUUCUUGACCGUUUUUAAAUGUCAUAAAUUACAUUCUUGAUAGUUUUUAAAUGUCAUGAAUACUCAUUCACUUGACGAUUUUUAACUGUCAUGAAUAUUUGUAUACUUGACGUUUAUAAACUGUUAAGAAUCGCUAUUCUUGACGUUUUAUUAACCGUCAAGAACUUUGACUUUCUUGACGCUGGCUUCAACGACGGUUUUAAAACCGUCAAGAAUAGUGAUUCUUGACAGUUUAAAAACGUCAAGAGAGUCUAUUUUUGUAGUAGUGAAUGAUAAGCUUAUUGAGUCGGCGAUCUAGCCACUCUCACUCGUACAAAUCAAAGGACAAUCUCUCGCGAACAAGAGUUCAUAAUACACUCAAGAUUAAGACUAAGUUAUCUAGGUCAUCCUAGUGAAAUAGAAACCUAACUAGUUAAUGUAGUAACACCAAGUGGUUACUAUUUCACGGUCUGGUCUAUUGCAAUCUCAUUGCAUAGGAUACCUUCACUCGCAUGUCAACUACAUGAACACAUUGGAUCAUUGUAUUUGUAUCAAAUACAAGGUGAGUCGUAUUCAUAAUGUUACCAGGAUAAAGGUACCCAGUCUUAUCCCUAUACUAUAGACCCUUUAAGCUGAUCUCGAACAUUGAUCCUUGUAUGUCUCUACAUAAUAUUCAAUACUUAUUAAACAGUUUAGGAUGUUAGUUUAUUGGAUUUGAGUUAUUAAGACAAAACUAAUAAUAUAAUCAAUAACAAUUAUUACAAUAAUAACACUUUAUUAACAAUGGUCAAUGGAUUAUAUUUACAAUCUACGAGUUUUAGGACAUAAAUUCCAACAAACUCCCACUUGGACUAAAACUCUAGUCUCUUUGGGAUGUUCAUAAUAAAGUAAUCCUCUAACAUUGAAAAUGGUAAAAUGUACAAGUGUAUUACAUAGAAUGUGUAUAUACAAAUACAAUAAACUAGGGCAUCCUCAUACCCAUUACACAUCUGCCACUUUUCCUAGAUUACCUAAUGUACAUAACUCGCAGAUCUAGACUUUCUAGAAGACCCUUGAACACUUUAGCCAUGAGAGUCUUUGUAAAUGGAUUAGUAAUAUGCCCCACUAUUAUCACAAUAUAGAGUGAUGGGGUAUGUUCAUGUUUGGAACAACUUCCAAAUUAUGCAAGAACUUCCUCAGCAAAACUGCUUCUUUUGCUGCUUCACAAGUAUCAAUAUACUCAACUUUCAUAAUAGAGUGUGUAAUGACGCGUGGCUCAGGCUGCUUGAUCAUGCUAGGACAUGCUUUCUGCAUGUCCGAAGCCUAAAUAACCUCUUUCGCUCAAAACACACGCUCAUCUCACCUUGUCAUCCUGGCAAUCAACCCACCCUUGGCCUUGCCUAGAAAUAUGAUUUUUCUACCAGAAACUUAACUCGACUUUGAAGCUUAAAUCAAUAAGAUUCCUUCUACAAACUUACUUAGAAUGUCUUCACUAGCUUACCACAAAGUGUCACUAACAAAUUCCAAGUAUUGAGUUAUGUAGCUCCAAAAUACUCUAACAUUGUUUAGGUUUUUUUUUUUUUUUUUUUUUUUCUGAAAAUGACCUUUGAGUCUUUCUUCACUUCAAUGCCUUUCUUCCUGGUAGCCUUUCUCCUGAUACUACACUCAAUUUAGGAGAUUUUCGAAGUAGAGUUACCCAAUUAACACAAGUUGAUUGUUAACAUAAUUCGUCCAAAGUUGUACAUAUAGUGAUCCUUGCAUGCUCUUUGGUUGACACUUUUAUUAUCACCUCUUACGCCUAUACUUGCCACUUUCCACCUCAUGCAAGACACUUAUUUGGCAAAACUUAGGUAUCUUGUAUGUUGUCCACUUGUACUCUACCGCACAUCUUACCUCAUAUUGCUUAAGUCAUCCUUGGACGCAUAUCCCUUUUUCUAUAAGGGUUCUUUAGUAAAUUCUUACUGCCAAGAAUGCCUAAGACUUUUUUUUCUCGCCUAAUCUCCCAAACAUCCCUCAAUGCCUUCAACAAACCAUGCCAUCUUGACUAGCAUUUGGUUGAAUUGCCCCAUUGGCCGCAUGGCCUAUGUCCACAUAGCCCACCUCUUUGUUGCAUGACAUUCCUUAUCCACGUUCUAACUUCUUUAGAGUUUCUUGACAUUUCCUAGAUGCUUAGCUUCCUUGCCUAGCGCAUACCCUUGGUCAUAUAGCCUUGUCUUAUAGAGGUUGUCUUGACACCUUUCGGCCAUACCACAUCUCAACCUUUGGCCACCCAACAUGUCUCUUUAGAGGUUCGCUUGACACUUUUGGCCGCCUAGAGUAUGCAACAUGCCCUAGCUAACACUUAGCCAAUUUUCGAACACCCUUUAGGCCUUUCUUUGUUACGAUGACACUUUUCUUUUGUCAUCUUAAAAAUAUUAACACAUCUUCCAUAACACUUCAACUAAACUAUCCAAUCUUAAACCAUCUUUCUCCUAACAUCAACCCCUAAUGUCCUAUUGAGUUAUUUAGAUGAAUUAAGGAUUAUUGGGUAUCGGGGUUUACACGCGAGAUGUAAGUCUUCCUCCUUGGAAUUACGUAUAGUAGUGUGCGGAGGGAGAGGAAUGUGAUGCAGUUCUUCCUCCUCAACCCUAAGGAAUUCGUCUUCGCUAACAAUGCCCUUUUUAUCGGGUAAGGGCUUGUUCGGUCAGGUCGUGAGGUGAAGGAUGUUGUUAUAAUGAUGAGGUAUUUGGUGGUGAGAGGAUAAUAUUAAAGGUUUUGAGGUGUCUUCUUCUUCUCUGCCAUUCCAUUCUUCUCCCUUAGCUUUAUUAAAGGUUUUGAGGUGUCUCUGUUCUUCUUUAUUUUGAUGGAGUGUUAUGGUUUGGUUGAGAUUCGCCUGAGAACAUGCAUAAGGGGUGAUUGGAGAAAAGCUAAAAGCUUAGGAACCGUCGGAGGAAGGGCAGAUCAUUAAUUGUAUGUUACGCCUUCCUCUGACGUGGUGGCAGCAACGUUGAGAAUAGAUUUAGGGAUUCCCGACGUAUCAUUAAUCGCGUGGGAAUAUGUUUAGGGAUUUCUGACGUUUAACAAAUCAGGUCAAGAAUAGGGUGCUAUUCCCGACGUUUUCGUUGUGCGUCAGGAGUUCUCUGUCUUUUUUAACUCCAUUCUUUACAUAAAAAAAACAUAAAGAGAAAGAAAAAAGAGAGGGAGAGGGAGACCGAGAGGAAGAUUGAGAAGAAGAGGGCAUUGUCAUCUCCAUUGCCGUCCCUGUUGUCGUCCUGUCGUCGUCGCCAUCGGUAAGUGGUUUAGUUUAGAUAUUGUUUUGUUUUAGUUAAUUAGUUUUAGUAUUUAGAUUUCAAAUUUGUUUUAGGUGUUAGAUUUUAGAUUUCAAAUUAGUUUUAGUAUUUAGAUUUUGAAUUAGUUGUAAGUUUUAGUAUUGAAAUUUAAUUUCAAGUGUUGUUAGAAUUUUAAAUUAGUUGUAGGUUUUAGAAAUUUGAAUUUGAAGUGUUGAAGUUGAGAUUGAAGUGUUAAAGUUGAGGUUGAAGUGUUGAAGUUGAGUUUGAAUUUAAAAUUUUCAAUUUGAAUUUAGGAAUUAAUUGAAGUUAUUUUUUUUAAAAAAAAUAGAGGAUCUCCCGACGCAUGGUUCCUAGACAUCUCUCGAUGCUAUAUUGACAACAUCUUCGACGUUCAUACAACGUCGGAAGAUGUCUAGAAACUCUCGACGCACAACAUUGUGCAUCGGGAGAGGAACUCCCGAUACAUUUUUCCUGACUUGUGUUCCGACGUAUAUUAGUGCGUCAGAAAAGCCUUUUCUGACGCUUUUUAUAUAUCUCCCAAUGAUUUUAUGCAUCGAGAGAGCCCUCAUUUCUUGUAGUGUUAGACAAAGAGCUUCAAUGUGGUAGAGGGGAAAGGCAUGACACCUUUAGGUUUCAUCAAAGGGAGGAUUGAGGUUCUGAUUACGGCGCUAAGGUUAACUGCGCCAUCUUCUUCUUAAUGCAAUAAAUCAUCAUUGUGCACUCUAGUGGGAUGGUGUUGUUGUCAACCAGGCAGGCGGUUUCGUUUUCAAGUCUUAGUUCUUAAUUCUUAACAACCUUUGAGUAUUGAUGCUCUACCCCAACCCUCAUCCAAAACGAUAACUAACACAAUGGUUUGGAAGUUUUUGUGAAACAUCAUCUAUACUUUUUCUUUAAUGGUCGAUGAAAAAAAAGUCAGGAAAAUGGUAUUUCUGACCAUUUUAAGUGUUACCAAAAUAUCACAUUUGGUGUAGUAUGGUAUUGUUUUGAAUAUUUUUGUAAAAUAGUGGAUCAAGAAGUUUUACUAAGAUAAAGUUUCAUGUUGGACAAGAGGAUAGUGGAUGGGAAUUAAGUUGAAUGGUCCACUUUUUUUUUAAAUCCUUUAAGGUUUUAUGAAAACCUUUCACAAUACCUUUUCAUAAUCAUUUUGUAAAAAUAAUAUCAAAUCAUUUAAAUAUACCAAAAAAUUAUUUCAUUUCAAAUAAACCUUUCUAUGCUUAAAAAAUCAUUUCAUUUUGUCAAGGAUCCCGAAUCGUUCUCUACGCUUGGUCUCAUUACCUCGCGUUUAGACUACUGUAUCAACAGCAUCUGAGAACAUACAAAUUCGUCUUUGUUGCUCAUACCGCUAAGCUUUAUACGCUCAUUUCAAUGCAUAAGUCAGCUUCUUAUUACCAUGUAGUUCGUACACUCCAUAGUGGCCUUCACUCUUUAUGUGCACACAAAAGUUAGCAUCAUCUCAAAGAAACAUAAUAUUGAAAUCAUAGUCAUCAAAUCAAGCUUUAACAUUAUAAAUAAUGCUUGAAAACAUAACUUUUCAUAGAAAUCUUUCUGAAACAUUCUCAUCUGAAUUCUUCUUUCGAAUCAGUAAAGAGAAAUCGUAAUAAAGUUUCUUAACAUAAAUUCUUUUGACUGAAAAGCACUCACCAAACUUUACUAAAGAAGUCCUUCUCACAACCAUCUUUUCGUGUGGCUAAACCAACAACACUUUAGCAUUUCAACAAAACUCUCAUCAUCCCCUCCUUAGUUACCUAAAUUCUCCUAUUUUAUAGAUCCCUUAUACUAACUUAGUCAUGCAAAUCCUUAAUAUUUAACCUAGUCAUGCUCAAAUCCUUAAUCUUACAUGUUAACCCAUGUCAAAUCAGAUUUGACAUUUUCUUUACAAACCUUGCUCCCCACCUAACCCAAACCGUGAAUAAAUUCAACCACUUAACAUUUCUCGUGAAUAACCUUAUCGCUUGAUUAUAUUUUUAUUAUAAGAAACGUUCCACAUGAACUAACCAACUUUUACUCGCAUAAAACUCUUAUCACGAACUUAAACUCCAAGGCUUCCUCGUAGACUUCUUCUCCACGAAAUGCUUGAUUCUUCUCGCGAAGACCACCCAAAACUCCUAGUCUAACACUCAAAACUUUCAUUUCUUAACUUACGCAAAGACUUUUUCGCUUCUUAUCGCACAACUUCUUUCGCGAACUACACACUUAUCGCAAAAAAGUAUACUUAACCGUAAAAGAUCUUAUCACUUAAUCUUUCCAUGGAUUUAUUUGAACACCAACUUCUUAAUUCUUAGCCGAAUUUUACUUCCUUACUCGAAUUAGAAAUGGGUCGCACAACUUCCUUCGCAAACUACCCACUGAAUCGCAAUAACGUAUACUUAACCAUAAAUUUUUUUAUCGCUUAAUCCUUUUCGUGGAUUUAUUCAAACGCCAAAUUCUUAAUACCUAGCCAAAUUUACUUCAUUACUCAAAUUAGAAAUGGGUCUCACAUUUAGAGCCUAUCGCUUCUUUAAGAUACAUGAUCUUACUGAUUCAGAGAAAUUAACCACAGGCGUUAUUAGUUUUGAUGAUCUGGCAUUGGAUUGGUACCAAGCACAAGAAGAGUUGGAAGUUUUUAAGAAUUGGGCUGACCUGAAAGAACGAAUGCUUGUACAGUUUCGAUCAAUUCGAGAAGGAACUUUGGUUGGAAGAUUUUUCUCAAUCAAACAGAAAAUGAAUGUAGAAGACUACCGCAACCGAUUUGAUCGAUAUUUAGCUCUAGUAGCAUUUCUUCAAACGGUAGUGUUAGAGGAGACUUUGAUGAUUGGGCUUAGCCCAUGAAUAAAAAUGGAAGUGGAAAUGUGGAACCGAUUGGGUUGGCCCAGAUGAUGAAAUUUGCGUUGAAGAUUGAGAAUAAGGAACUAGUGAGAAAAGAGUGUGGGUUGAGCAGUGCAUUUCAUGUAAAACUGCAACUCACCCUAUCUAUUGUGGAAAACAACAAUACAAUGAUGACUAAGGAAGAAACCAGCAAUGGAAAGUCUACUGAUGAGAGCUAUCACCCUGAAGGGAGUUACUGAUAGAACUAAGACAUGCACAACAGAAAAAGAAUCGAAAUUCUACCCUAAUUGGGCUUAAUUAACGAGACUAAACCAAAAAAUAAGGUUUUUAGAAUACUUACAUUUGAAGCUGCGUUUUAUUCGAACAACCACUAAGUUUGACUUAGUAUCCUCUAGACUCAUAAUCGAGUUGUGGGACCCGUUGGAUGAAAGAACCGGACGAGAGAAAUAGAUGAAAAAAAUGGGCGUGGUAAAUUUUCUUUUUUUUUUUUAAGUAAAUAAGAAAAAGAAAUUCCAUUUGGUGUGAAAGCCCAAAUUUAAUAGGAAAAUGAAAGGGAAUUCCUUGGAAAGUUGGUUUGUGUGUCAUUAAAAGUCAAGGUGGAAAACAAAGUACAACAUAUGGCUAAAUGUGAGAGUAGGCGUGCAAGUAUAAUAAAUACCUACCAAGAUGUUUAUUAAUAACAUGUGUUUGAUACAUAAUUACAACACUUUGACCAAACAACCAAUGCUUAACUAUUUUCAAAACGUCUGGUCAUCUCGCUGCAAAUCCUUCAACCUUCUUCUCUACUUGGCCUAAACACCUCAUCUUGGAAGAUGAAUUUUUGAAAGAAUGUCUAAAAGACUAAGGUUUUAUGAAAUCCUUUUCGCAAUACCUUUUCAUAAACAUCAUUUCGCAUAAACAACAUCAAAUAAUUUUAUCUCGCAUAAACCUUUCUUUAUCCUUAACAUACUCAUAACAUAACAAUUUCACAUAAACACACAUUAGUUAACAUUCAUUCCUUUCACCAAGGAUUUUGAAUCGUUCUCUACACUUUGAUGUAGAACAUCUCCCUUCUUGAUGUUUCUUGAGUUUUAUCCUAGAGGAGUGGUUUGAAUUACCAUUUUUAUAGUUUAGGAUUAGUUAUUUGAAUUACCAAUUUUGUAUCUUGAGUUAGUUAUAACUAACUCAACUCCAAGUUAAACUAACUCAACCCCAAGUUAGUUUAACAACUCUCGUAAUCUCCAGCCUAUAAAAAAGCUUCUCAUUUUCAUUAAUAAGACAUAAAAAAAAAGAGGCAUUAUACAUAAAGAUUUCUAGCUUUGCAAUUACUGCAUCAAUUGGUAUCAGAGUGUGAUCCUAGCUCACUCUUCCCUAAAAAAACUUGGAUCCUACCACUCUUAUCCAUGGACGCAGAAGCCUCCUUCAACCAAGGCUUGCAGUUGGUAGAACAAGCUAUUGAAGAACUUCGAAAAGGGCAGUCGAUAUACAGCAAUCGUUAGUAGAAUUAACAAACCUUUUUACCCGAUUUCAUGUCCAACCUUUAGAAGAAGCAAUUCAUCCCCCAAGAAACCCAAUUGCAGCAAACCAAGAAAGACAAGAAAGACCAAUAAACCCUGUUGUAAACCAAGAACUACUAAGAAAUCAACCUAUUCACAUCCACAAUAAUCGAUUGUAUGGAAACAACGUACUUGGAAAUUUCUUAAACGAUUCUGACUCUUUCGAUGAAGACAACUUGCUGAACAUUCAUCAAGAACCUCAACAAAGGUUUGGACUUCGACCAUACUUUCAAGAAGAUCAAGAAAUACGUAUGAAAGUGGAUCUCCCUACCUUCAAUGGUCGAAUGGACGUGGAGAAGUUUCUUGAUUGGAUCAAGAACGUAGAAAUUUUUUUCGACUAUGCCAAUACACCCGAACACAAGAAGGUUCGAUUAGUUGCUCUCAAACUUCAAGGUGGCGCAAGCACUUGGUGGGAUCAAUUACAAAACAAUAGACGAUUAUUCGGUAAACAAUCUAAAGAUUAGCUGAAUAUCUUAUAAAAAGAUGUUGCCGUAGGCUUAGUGGUGACAGGUGAGAAAGUAAGCUGUAUCUUUUAUGACUCUUAAACGUUGAAGUCAAUCAAUGAGUUCCAAAUGCAAUAUUGGAAGUUUUCUUAAAUAUUUUGAUGCUUUUGCAUGUUGUGAAAGAACUUGGUUAGAUGUGAGAAAGGGGUUUAUGAGAUUAGUUACUUACUAUUCCCUUUUUCACUGUCAUUGCUACUCCGUAGACAUGCUAUGGGCUCGUGUUUCUGUAGAAUAUAAUUCAGAUGCUCUUUCUCUAGAAUAUAAUUUAUGUGCUUUCUCUACAAAUUUGAAGUAAUUUCUACUGCUUUUGCUAAUAUUCUCUAAAGCUUAUUCAAAAUGUAGUUGUUUAAUGAUUGUUCAGAUUUAAAAUAUAUUAUAGAGUUAAAUUUAACACAGUUAAUCAGCUUAAGCAUUUGACUCUGGUGUUCUUAAGAUAUAAAUUCAAAUCCCUAUAAUUUUAUCAUGUUGAUCUUUUCAAUCUUCUCACAUACCGUCUUCAUUUCAUAAUCUUGCCUACUAGCUGUGUAUCAUCAAUGAAAUUACCAUAGGAGUCCACAUGUGGUAAUUAUGGAUCUAGCACGAUAUACUGCGUAUCAUGUUGUUGGAGAUCAGUUUAAAUGAUUAACCAGUCUAUUGGUGGUUUGAGUCUUUUCUUUUGAAUCUAUAGGUUGUUCAAUGGUCUAAUAUUAACUGUGUUUAGAUUUAUGGUAAUUUUCAUAAGCCUUAAGAAAAGGUGUGCUUUGAUAAUCUUUUCUUUCUCUUCAGCAUGUUGGUAAUGUAGAAAGAUUACAUGUAUACUAUGCCCAUGGACUAGAUAGCCCAACCUUUGUUCGCGGUGUUAUUGGCUCCUAGAUAAGUAUGUUAUGGUUGAAAGAAAAUUGUUAAAUUGCUUGCUACCAGUUGUUUCAGUGGGGUAUAUCCCCAUCAUGCUACAAGCAAAGAAAAAUGAAAUUAGACAGUGGCAGUAUAUCGUGUUCUACUUAUAUAAUUUAUGACUUUCUUCUGCUUUUUGUUCAGGACCUUUGAACACAUUGUCCUUGUUCAUUACCGUGAAACACAAGAGGUUAGGUUCAACACAAUGCAUCUGCAGUUACUAAAAUAUUAUCUUGAGACAAACUUUUAUCAUUUGGACUACUACAUCUAUUUAAGAUUUGCUGAUUUUUCCUCCAUGGUUGCAAUAUUAGAACUUCAUCCAAAAUAAUGUUGUCAUGUGUGUCUUUAAAUUUUUACUGGCAGUCUGGCACCAUAUAGAUCUAGUAGUUGUGCAUGCAUGUCUUCCUCUCUAUCCUCCAUUGAAAAACUCGAUAAUUAUCUAUUUGUGUUUUAUUUUGAUGAUUUAAUCCAACAUUUAUUAUGGAUAAAGUCAGCCAUAAAAUACAUAUGUUUACUACUGCUCUUUGUACAUUUUAAAUACUAGAUUUCUUGAUGAUUGUUGUCUUUAAGUUGCUCUUAAUGUUGUUGCAUAUCGAGAAAUGCACUGUAAUUUCUGUACCAAUUUUAUCACUGCUUUUAACUAAAUCUUCAAAAAUCAAGGCACCACCUGGAUGUAGAGUGCUAUAUGGUGAUUCAAGUGUUGAGAGUUCUCUUUCUUCUGCUAUCCAUAAAUUUAUGGAAUGGAAAGGCAAUGAUCAUGACACUAUUUUUUGUCAGAUAAACACAGGUUUCAUAUGCUUCAACUCUGUGGUGCUUCACAGCACACGGAUAAAACUUCCAAACAUUCUGCACCCAAUAUUACCAUAAUGCAUUUGGACACUUCAUUAACAACUUCUUACAAUUAGCCUUUCUAUAUUGAAAAUAAUUCGUUGUCUUAACUUCAUGUUGCUGCUAGUUUCAAAAUUUUGCAUCCACAUCGUUGAACUCAAAUUCUGGUUCUGUCUCUAACCCAUCAACUCCGUGGCUUUUAUCGAGGAACUUGAUUCCAAGGCUACUCAUGUUUAUUCUCUUGGUGAAAAUGAAUUGUUAGGUGAUACUGGCCGAACCUGUCAAAAAUAAAUGAGUCAUAGUUUGUUUGAUCAUUCAUUUUCUAAUCUUUCUUCUUUAUAUUUAAUUAGUUGUUUAAUUUCUUAAAAAAGAAUUCUGGUUUAUUUAUAGUAUAUUUGGUAGUAUGCAUGCCUCAGCUCCUUUAAUGCAUGUCUCUUACAGUAUAUUUGGUAGUCUUUUAUAAUGUUACACCCUUUUUUUUAAUUCCUAAAACCUUUUAACUUUCCAAAUUUUCAUUCAUUCUUUUAGAAAAUUAUUUUCAUUAUUUUUUUUGGUUACAAAACCAUCCAUUAACUACAUUAAUUAGACAAUUCACUCCAAUAAUAAAUAAAUAACUUUUUUGGAUCUAAGGUCUUUUCUCAUUCUACAAAUUUAAUUUACUAUAUAAAGGUUAUUAUGCUAAUUGAAAAAUAUAUUUCUCUCAAGUAUGCAAUGACAGAAAAUUAGGUUAUAAAUAUAAAAAAAUAUAUAUUUUUAGGUAUUAUAAUUUUUUUAAAAAAAUUAUAUUUUAAAUUUUUAAUAAAACCUUGCAUUUGGGGAUUCACAUGUUGUUACUUGUCGAACCAAAAAAGAUAAAUUCGUGGUGAAAACUCUUUAAAAGCCCAAUUCGUGGAAGGAAAAAUUGAAGUGUGGCGUUGAGUUAUUUUGUUGUUGAAGAAGAUCAGUAAAAAACCCACAGCAUUAAAACUUCUUUUUGUUUCUUUAAGUAUAUUUUAGAUUGCAACGUAUUUUCUAUUUGGGUUUAGUUAGGGUUUCUCUUGUUUAUUCCAAGAUAUGCAUGGAUAGUUCAUGUUCGACUAUUUGGAAAGAGGGAUUUAUGUAGCACGGGUAUUAUAUUCUGGUUUUGGAAGUGUCGAGAUAAAUUAAGGACUUUUUUAAUCUUCUUCAAACAAACCUAUACGAAGGCGAAGAAUAAUUUGUGCUUGUAUUUUAGUCGGAAUAAGAAGAAACAUGAAGAGAAUGCCCACGAGGAAAAUGACCAUGAGAAAAAGUUGUGUAUUCCUCCAUCCAUAACUGAGCUCUCUAAUGUGUAUUCCUCCCUCCAUAACUGGCUUACUUUGGACUGUUUGGAUAGAAAGAAGAAUCCUUCGAAGCCCUAGACUUGUCUCUACCGCAUUCGAAAAUGCCAAGUUCUCUCUGAGGAUCUCUAACUUCUGCCGUGUUCACCGUCCGUCCGUCCGCGUUCACCACGUCCGAGUUUAUCUAAUAUAUUUUUCCAAAUCUUAAAGAAGAACUUUUGAUUUCAUUGGAGUUUAUCAUUAGAGGCAUUACUAUAUUGGCUGCCUCUCAGUGGGCGAUAGGUUUUCCAAUGGUCAUUUGAGACUGGUUGAUAAUAGCAAAAGUUAGAGCUUGAGAAGAAGGAGCGAAGAAAGUAGUGAAGACAAAAAAGAAAGAAAGCUGAGUGAAAAACGAAAAUUGACAAGGUAGAGAUGUGACAUGAAAAUGAUGAUGAGAAGUGAAGGAGGCACGACACAAUACUGGUACACAAUAACAAAGCCUUGAUAAUUAAAAAAAGGAUGGUGCCAAGAAAAUUUAAAUACAAAAAAAAUGAAGGUUCUUGCAAGUGUAUUGAGUGAAUGGGAGAAAGAAAGGAUAAAAAAGGUAGAAAGAGAGAAAGAGAAGUCAAGGGUAGAGAUACAUAGCUUUGUAUAUAGAAACUUUAUGUUUAUACUCCAUUAUACGUUGUGGAGAAUAUAACAUCCUGAUAUGUUUGAUUCAAUUUGAAUGAUGCAAUUAUUUAUUUUUCUGCAAUAAUUUCUACUACUUAAGAACCUAAAUUUUGAAAGCCUACUAAUUUUUCAGAAUUAAUUCGAGACCCCACUUUUGCUCCCCUUCCUACCUACGGUUACUUUUUGCUUAAACUUUAAAAGUUGUUUGAAAAUUUUUGCUGAAACUUGUAAAAUUUGUUUGAAGUUCGUAUAUCUCUCACAUAUUGCAAGGUUUCUUAAUUAUUUUAUUGAAUUUCCUACAUAAAUGCAUUCAAACAUGAGUUGACAUAAAUGCAUUUUGCUAUCAAGAGAGUAUACCAUACAUGCAUGUGUAGGACUUUUAUCCCUUAUAUUUUAUAAUUUGUCUUACUACUGUUAUUGACUGAUAUACCAAUAUACAUGUGUAAAGUAUUGAUCAUAUAAUUAAUAUUAAAUUUAUUACAUUCACUCAUCAAUUUAAGUUUUUUAGUCAAUGUAUGUUCAUGAUGUACCAUGGUCAUAUCAUAAUAGAAUAGAUCCAAGAUUAUAUAUGUUCAAACCAACUGGUGAUUUAAUUAUCAAAGAUAUUAUGAUUUUGUCCAGUUUUUUUUCAGUCACUACUAGAAAAAUGGAUUUUAAUCAAGACAUUGUGUCGUUGAAAAUAAAAGAAAAAAGAGGUGGGAUGAGGUACAUUGUGUUGUUGAAAAUAAAAAUAUGGAUUAUUUCUUAAAACAAUCAUAUUGACACAAUUUAAUUUAUUUCAAAACAAUUUUUGCGUCAUUAAUUAACAAUUUUUUUGUCAUUAAAAAAUUUUCAAAUGAAAAAACCUCAAAUUUCAAAAAAGUUCGAAGUGGGCUACCGAGUCGUUAUGAAGAACCCUUGCCCUCCAAUUUUUUGCCACUUGCCGUCGUCGAUUCCACACUCCAACCACUGUUGUCGUUGCUCCCACAACAAGCCUUCGCCGUCAAACCCACCAAUCUAGCCACUUUCGUCGAAUAAAUUUAUUUAGAAAUAUAAGUUUUAAUGACACUUGAAAUCAAGAAAAAGGGAUAUGAGGGAAUAAAAUGUGUCGUUAAAAAUAAAAAUACAAAAUUUUUUGUGACACAAAUUGGUUUUCUUGACAAAAUUUUCGCAUUGUAAAUAAUGGCAUAAAUUAUGUGUCAUUAAAAAUUACCCUAAUAAAAAAUCAAUGUUUUCCUUCAAUCAUAUGCUUUUUGAUUUAAAACAAAUAAUUCGAAGCUUUCAUCCCACUUGUGAACAAUGACCGAAAAAAACCUUACUUCAUCCCACAUCGUCACUGUCUUUAGCUCUCUCGCAAAUGCUCUCUGGCGACGUUCCCCCUCUCUCGCAAAUACUCUUCACGACUUUUUCUCUCUCUCAAAAUUAAGCUCUUCGCCCACCGUUUGAAGGAACUCACCAAAUUUGCAAGUAAUUGAAGAAUUUGUGGUCCAUGAGAUCGAUUAAGUCCAUUUAUGAGUUAGUUUGAUUAGAUUAUGUCACAUAUACAUGUAUUACAAUUAAGGGACACUUGCGAAAAUGGCAAAAUAAGUUAUAAUAAUUAAGUCCAUAGAACACAUACUUUAUUAUUUGAGAAAGUGACAAAAACAAAGACCAACUGUAACGACCCAACUUUUCUAGGUAAGUCGAGGUCGUUAAUUUUUGACAAAAGACUUUGGUUGAUACAAAAUGAAAUGUAAGCCAAUUGAAAAACAACUUUAAGUCAGGCCUGAUUUUCAAAUAUUCCAAAAACUUAAAAAAAGUACUAUUUACAAAUAAAAGUUUGUAAGCUAAGUUUCAAUACAACGUCUUAAACCUAAAACAAACAAUAAGCGGAAGCAAAAUAACACAUUUCCUAUGGCAAUCACACUUCCUUCCUGCCCCUCGCCGGUUUGCCGCCUUUAUUACCUUUGCCUGAAAAUUAAACAUAAGAAGGGUGAGUAUAAAAAUACCCAGUAAGAGACCCUCUACUGGUCCCGUCAGGGGAAAAAUAAAUUGUUAACAUUCUAUUGGGACACCCUGUACAGUCGCAGUCUUGUGAUCCCGUAGGAUGCACAUUUCAGUCUAACGCCCGAGGACGUACAUUUCAGUGUAGUGUUCUGCAGAAACACAUAUCAGUCUAAUGCUCCCGAAGGUGCAGAAUAAUUGGUGAUCCCGUGGGACACCUACAAGGCACACAUCCCAAUAAAAGCUAACAAUUUUUCCCCUCAAUCCAUUCGUACCAUCUUUCAGUUACUUCAAAAUAUAAAGUUCUUUCACUCAACGUUCUAACAGUCAACUUAUCUCACUUUAGCCCAAUGUCUGUCAGUAACAUACUAAUACGUCAGUCAAUCAAACUAUAUAGUCAUAACGCCUCUCAGUUCACCAGCACACAGUCAUACUUUAGUAUAACGUACACCCAGUCUAAACGACAAUCACAAGUUCACAUCCGCAUCUCAUACAAACACAAUCUACAAUUGUCGUCCUGUCUACAUCCACACACAUAUAUAUAUAUUCCAAGACAAUCACAAUAUGCAUUCAACAUCAAGUCUACUUCAAUCCAUGUGUAUAUAUAUAUUUUCAGUCAUCCACAGUAUACAUUCAACACCGAACCUACAUCCAUACGUAUAUAUAUAUUGUCUCAACACAUUUACUCAAUCAGAGGUGACUAACAUUACAAUUCAAAAGCAUAGGUGAGUCCAGUAGAAAAUAAAAUCCCUUACCUCACUUUUAUGCAAGUUCUUCAAUCUACUAAAUCCAAUGAAUCAAAUCCUAAACAUAAUCAAUCAUAAAAUCAACAUCUUUCUAAAUAGUUUCAACCAUUCAAAUUACCCCAUAUGUAAAUUCCACAACUUACCCAAGAAGUGGAAAAUCAAGUCCACUUCAACCUUUUGGAAAAUCAAGGAUUCGCUCACUGAAUCAAGAUGUACCUUCAAGAAUUAAGCAUUUCGCCAACAAUUAAAUCCAAUGGCAGCAUUCAACAAAAACCAAGAAACCAACAAAAACCAUAACUUGUUCUUACCCAAAUAUGAGCCCAAUGGUUCACGGCGAGGCAAAAAUGACAAUCAAGAACGAAUCAAGCGGCUGUAAAUAGAGCAACACUGAAUGCGACUCAACUGGAAAAGAAAAUCGGCUUCAAAUCGUAACUCCGUCUUACAACGAGCAGAAGAACGUCGACUUGAUAGGGGACACGUAAUUUAGGAAGAGAUCGACUUGGAUCCGUGUAUGACUUCACGAGAUGUAUGCGUCGACGGCUUCACGGAGGUGAAGACAGACGCGGUCGGAGAGUCACGCGGCAGUGCAGAAAACGGAGGAGAAAGGAACGGGCGGCGGCUGGCUUGGCUUCGACGGAGACAGAGAUUGCGCAGCAGGGCUUCACGAACGGAGAGGAAAGGAAUGGGCACGGCGAUGCAGAUCUGGACGACUGCUGCAAGGUGACGCGUACGGCACUUCACGAACCGGCCGACGGUUGCAGCGACGGAUCUGGGUUAUGGCGAACUGCAAGGGUGAAGCACAAGCGACGGCGAGGACCUGGACGGCUCGGCGAUGCAGAUCUGGAUGACGAUUUGCUUUCCGAGGGAGGCACGACGGUUGUGAGCGGAGAGGCACGGUGGUUGUGAGCGGAUGGGCGCGGCGGUUUCGAUCCGAAGGAGAAAAGGAAGACGACCGGAAAGAAGAAGAAGAAACGACCGGCAGCUUGUGUGGCCGACUGGGUGAACGGAGAAGAGAGGGAUGUGCGGCUGCUAGGGUACGGGAAGGAGAAAGGGAUGGAGGACGCACGGGAGGAAGAAGGAAGGAAAAAUUUCUUUUUUCUUUUCUUUUAUUUAAAUAAUAAAAAUAAAACUAAAAUAUAAAUAAAUAUAUAUAUAAUAAAUUUCUUUUUCUUUUCUUUUAUUUAAACUAAAUAAUAAAACUAAAAUAUAAAUAUAUAUAUAUAAUUAUAUUAUCACAUUUUCAAAUCUUCUUUCCCCCUUCAACAUAUUUUCUUCAAAACAAUAAAUCUUGUACAAAUCGAAAAAAUCUCUUAAAAUAAAAUACCUUCGAGUUUGGGGCGUUACAUUCUUCCUCCUUAAGGCGAAAGUUCUAAUCCUAAAUAACUCUUGAUAACGAGUCCUCAUCUCUUCUUCUCGCUCCCAUGUCGCCUCUUCAAUUCGAUGAUUCCGCCACAAAACCUUUACUAAUGGAAUGCUUCUAUUACGAAGCAUCUUUACCUCUCUAGCGAAUCUCCACAGGUUGUUCUACAUAGCUCAAAUGCUCAUCAAUCUCCAAGGUUCAUAGUCCACGACAUGAGAUGUAUCGGCCACAUACUUCCUCAACAUCGAAACAUGGAAAACAUUAUGGACUGCAGAGAGUGAUGGUGGUAAUGCCAAGCGAUACGCCACAACACCAACCCUCUCUAAGAUCUCAAAUGGUCCAACAAAACGAGGACUUAACUUCCCUUUCUUCUCAAAACGCAUAACACCCUUCAUAGGUGCUACCUUCAAGAAUACCUUUUCUCCCACAUCAAACUUAAGGUCUUUUCGCCGUACAUCUGCAUAACUCUUUUGUCUACUCUGCGCUGUUUGCAUACGUGCUCUAAUCUUUUGAAUAGCCUCAUUAGUAGACCGAACUAAUUUAGGUCCCAUCAACCUCUGUUCACCAACCUCACUCCAACAAAUAGGGGUUCUACAACAUUUACCAUACAAAGCCUCAAAUGGUGCCAUACCGAUGGUAGCCUGGAAACUGUUGUUAUAAGCAAACUCCAUCAAAUGUAGAUGAGAGUCCCAACUACCUGGAAACUCUAGAACACAAGCUCGUAGCAUAUCCUCUAAAACUUGGUUCAAACGUUCAGUUUGACCAUCAGUUUGUGGAUGAAAGGCUGUACUGAAAUCUAAUCUCGUACCCAUAGCAGUCUGAAGUCCCUUCCAAAACUUGGAAGUAAACCGUGCAUCCCUGUCAGAAACAAUCGAUACAGGCACUCCAUGCAGUCUCACAACCUCAGUUAAAUACAACUGUGCCCACUUACUAGCAGUAUAAGUGGAUUUCCCUGGUACAAAAUGUGCGAUUUCGUAAGCCUGUCUACAACAACCAAAAUCACUGUGAAACCCUUCAGGGUCUUAGGCAGCCCUGAAAUAAAAUCCAUCGACACAUUCUCCCACUUCCACUCUGGCACACUUAAAGGUUGUAACAAACCUGCUGGUUUCUGUCUAGGUGCCUUAACCUGCUGACAUACUAGACACUUACUAACGAAUUCCGCCACUUCCCUUUUCAUAUUCCGCCACCAAUAAAAUCGUUUUAGAUCCUGAUACAUUUUCGUACUACCAGGAUGCAUGGAAAAUGAAGAAUUAUGGGCUUCAUCUAGUAAGUCAAUCUUAGCUGCACUGUUCGCUGGCACACACAAACGUCUCUCAAACAUCAAUCCACCAUCAGAGGAUAUGGAGAACUCAUCAGUCUGCUCUGUUCCAACAAGGCGACGUCUCUCCAUCAAAUAAGGAUCAUUACUCUGAGCAUCAACAAUCUUCUGCCUCAGAGUCAGUUGCACCGUUAAUUGAGCUAACUGUGAGGUGACUCUCCCCACAGAUACUACAAUCUCAGCUCUCUCCAAGUCUCGAUGUAAUGGUACCUGUCUAGUAAUGAGUGCUGCCGAAUGUGAUACUUUUCUACUAAGAGCAUCAGCCACCACAUUCGCCUUACCAGGAUGGUACAAUAUCUCACAGUCAUAAUCCUUUACCAACUCGAGCCACCUUCGCUGUCUCAUAUUCAACUCCUUCUGAGUGAAGAAGUACUUCAGGCUCUUAUGGUCAGUAAAGAUUUGUAUCUUUUCACCGUACAAAUAAUGUCUCCAUAUCUUCAAUGCAAAAACCACUGCUGCCAACUCCAAAUCAUGUGUGGGGUAGUUCUGCUCGUGACUCUUCAACUGACGAGAGGCAUAAGCAACCACCUUACCUUUCUGCAUCAAAACACAACCCAGUCCUUUCUUGGAAGCAUCACUGUAAAUCACAAAACUUCCGGAUCCAUCUGGUACUGUAAGGACCGGUGCAGUAACUAACCUUUGCUUAAGGUUCUGAAAACUAUCCUCGCAAGCUGGACUCCAAACAAACGGAGUUCCCUUCCUUGUCAACUGAGUCAAGGGAGUAGCCAAACGUGAAAAAUCCUCCACAAACCUCCGGUAGUACCCUGCUAAACCCAGAAAACUACGAACCUCACUAACUGUAGAGGGUCGAGACCAACUGGUAACCGCUUCUAUCUUUGCAGGGUCUACAGAAACUCCCUCACUGGAAACCACAUGACCAAGAAAAGCCACCUGCUUCAACCAAAAUUCGCACUUAGAGAAUUUAGCAUAAAGUUUAUUGACUCGAAGAGUCUCUAACACUUUAUGUAAGUGUUCCUCAUGUUCGGCCUCAGUCUUGGAAUAAACCAAAAUAUCAUCAAUGAAGACUAUCACAAAAGUGUCUAAGAAAUCCUUAAACACCCUGUUCAUCAAAUCCAUAAAUACUGCAGGUGCAUUAGUCAAACCAAAAGACAUUACCAUGAAUUCAUAAUGUCCGUACCUCGAACGAAAAGCAGUCUUAGGAAUAUCACGGUCUCUAAUCCUCAACUGGUGAUAACCUGACCGUAAGUCAAUCUUAGAGAACACCGUGGCUCCCUGUAACUGAUCGAACAAAUCAUCGAUUCUAGGUAAAGGAUAUCUGUUCUUGAUUGUUACUUUAUUCAACUCUCUAUAGUCAAUGCAAAGACGCAUCGACCCAUCCUUCUUCUUCACAAACAAUACUGGUGCACCCCAAGGCGACACACUAGGUCGAAUAAAGCCUUUGUCAAGCAACUCCUGUAACUGUACCUUCAGUUAUUUCAACUCGACAGGAGCCAUCCUAUAAGGGGCUCUAGAAAUGGGAGUAGUGUCUGGCUCCAACUCAAUGGCAAAAUCAAUCUCUCUAUGUGGCGGUAGUCCUGGAAGAUCUUCUGGAAACACAUUGGGUAUUCUCUUACCACAGGUUCUGAAGUUAAGGAAGUCUCAUCUUCCCUAGUAUCCACCACACUUGCCAAAAUACUCCAGGUACCCUGGUUGAGCAGUUUACUAGCUUUCAUAGCUGAGAUUACUUUAGGCAGUACUACUGUUCCUACCCCUUGAAUUUAAAGCUAGAUUCGGUAGGGGGACUGAACACAACCUCUUUACGAGAGCAAUCAAUACUAGCAUGAUUAGUAGCUAGCCAAUCCAUACCUAAAAUUACAUCAAAGUCACGCAUAUCUAAUACCAACAAGGUUACGUCCAGCACACGACCAGCUAUCUCAAUUUCACAUGCUUUAAUCUUUUCCUUAGACAACAUAAUUUCUCCAGACGGUGUAGACACUGACAAAACAUAAUCUAAGGGUUCCACCUCUAAGCAUGCAUGCGUCACAAAAAGCGAUGAAAUAAAUGAAUGAGAAGACCCCGAGUCAAACAAGGUCAAGGCAAAAUGCCCUAACACUGGUAAUGUACCUGUCACCACUGUGCAGGCCUUCUCUGCUUAUGAUCUAUUAGUGGCAAAGAUUGUACCCCGCUGUGGAGGUUUCGCUCCCUGACUGCUCUGUCCAGCCCCAGUAGAUCUCAAGGGACAUCGAUCAGCCAUGUGUCCCUCUUGCUUGCACUUAUAACAGACUCUCGUUCCCAUCAAACAACGACCCAGGUGGUGUUUCCCACACGUAUUGCAUAGUGGCUUCUCUCGAGUAGUGUCUCCUGCCCCGCCAGAACUCUGCUGGAAACUGCAAAAAGGAUCGCCUAAUCUCAAGUUCCUCUGAGGAAUUCCCACAGUUCUCUGCUCUGCUUUCCUCUUUUGACCAGACGACGAUCCCUUAUCAAAACUCCUUGCCCGAAUUUCAUCCUUCCCAAUGCUCAUAUCCACUGCCAGGCGCAGCGCUUCAGCCUGGGUAGUGGGCUUUAGUGCUCGCACAAAGCCUCUAAUCUCAUCUCUCAAUCCUUUGACGAACCUAUCAGCUCUAGCCUGCUCAUUACCAACAAGUUCAGGGGCAAAACGCGACAGCAUAUCAAACUCCUGGUCGUACUCCUCGACUGUCAUAUGUCCUUGCUUCAAUUCCAAGAAUUCCUGGCUUUUGGCGUCUCUAAGGUUAGCCGAGAAAAACUUGGUAUAGAAGCAGUCUUUAAACUGAUCCCAGGUAAUCUGUCUCACAUCUCCACCUAGCAUACGCAUCGUAGUUCUCCACCAGAUAAUACCUCUGUCCCUCAGAAGAAAAGCAGCACACUGAACUCUAUGCUCCUCUGGACAUCUCAUGUAAUUAAAUAUGGUUUCCACAGAGGACAACCACAACUCAGCUUUAGUAGGAUCCUCCAGUGACCCAUCAAACGUCUGAGGGUCAUAUUUCCUAAAGUCCCUCAAAUGUUUCGCCUCAGCAGAAAGUUGGUUCGGUAAUGUCUGCGGCUGUUGUGCAGCCAAUCCUUGCGCAGGAGGGGCUGCUGGUGCAGGUGGAGCUGCUGGUACAGGGGGAACCACAGGUGCAGGUGGAACUGCAGGUGCCUGCUGGUUCUGAGCUAUAGCCGUCAUAAGCUCCGUGAACCUCUGCUCCAUGUGAGCAGACAGUGCAGCAAACUCAACAUGAGUCACGGGUGCAGUAGGAAUUCGCUAUUCAGCUUGACCCUCAGUAGGUUGAUUACGACCUGCUCCUCUACCCCAGCCUCUACGACCUCUCUACGUACACCUCUCUUUGGCGGCAUAAUUCCUAUUAUCCACCAACAACACUCUUUAAAAAGUCUUAAUCAUAAGCAUAAGAGUCUUUAUCGUCAUGCAAUCUAGUUUAAUUUAGGCAAACUCAUGCAAAUAAACCAUACAUAUAAGCAUAAAGAUACCUGACGAGAGACGAAGGGUCGCGUUAGCCAUAGGGACAUAAAACAUAGACUUACAUCGUAAGUCAGUCUACAGAACCUAAAACUUAGGCUCUGAUACCAACUGUAACGACCCAACUUUUCUAGGUAAGUCGAGGUCGUUAAUUUUUGACAAAAGACUUUGGUUGAUACAAAAUGAAAUGUAAGCCAAUUGAAAAACAACUUUAAGUCAGGCCUGAUUUUCAAAUAUUCCAAAAACUUAAAAAAAGUAUUUUACAAAUAAAAGUUUGUAAGCUAAGUUUCAAUACAACGUCUUAAACCUAAAAAAAAACAAUAAGCGGAAGCAAAAUAACACAUUUCCUAUGGCAAUCACGCUUCCUUCCUGCCCCUCGCCGGUUUGCCGCCUUUAUUACCUUUGCUGAAAAUUAAACAUAAGAAGGGUGAGUAUAAAAAUACCCAGUAAGAGACCCUCUACUGGUCCCGUCAGGGAAAAAUAAAUUGUUAACAUUCUAUUGGGACACCCUGUACAGUCGCAGUCUUGUGAUCCCGUAGGAUGCACAUUUCAGUCUAACGCCUCGAGGGACGUACAUUUCAGUGUAGUGUUCUGCAGAAACACAUAUCAGUCUAAUGCUCCCGAAGGUGCAGAAUAAUUGGUGAUCCCGUGGGACACCUACAAAGCACACAUCCCAAUAAAAGCUAACAAUUUUUCCCCUCAAUCCAUUCGUACCAUCUUUCAGUUACUUCAAAAUAUAAAGUUCUUUCACUCAACGUUCUAACAGUCAACUUAUCUCACUUUAGCCCAAUGUCUGUCAGUAACAUACUAAUACGUCAGUCAAUCAAACUAUAUAGUCAUAACGCCUCUCAGUUCACCAGCACACAGUCAUACUUUAGUAUAACGUACACCCAGUCUAAACGACAAUCACAAGUUCACAUCCGCAUCUCAUACAAACACAAUCUACAAUUGUCGUCCUGUCUACAUCCACACACAUAUAUAUAUAUUCCAAGACAAUCACAAUAUGCAUUCAACAUCAAGUCUACUUCAAUCCAUGUGUAUAUAUAUAUUUUCAGUCAUCCACAGUAUACAUUCAACACCGAACCUACAUCCAUACGUAUAUAUAUAUUGUCUCAACACAUUUACUCAAUCAGAGGUGACUAACAUUACAAUUCAAAAGCAUAGGUGAGUCCAGUAGAAAAUAAAAUCCCUUACCUCACUUUUAUGCAAGUUCUUCAAUCUACUAAAUCCAAUGAAUCAAAUCCUAAACAUAAUCAAUCAUAAAAUCAACAUCUUUCUAAAUAGUUUCAACCAUUCAAAUUACCCCAUAUGUAAAUUCCACAACUUACCCAAGAAGUGGAAAAUCAAGUCCACUUCAACCUUUUGGAAAAUCAAGGAUUCGCUCACUGAAUCAAGAUGUACCUUCAAGAAUUAAGCAUUUCGCCAACAAUUAAAUCCAAUGGCAGCAUUCAACAAAAACCAAGAAACCAACAAAAACCAUAACUUGUUCUUACCCAAAUAUGAGCCCAAUGGUUCACGGCGAGGCAAAAAUGACAAUCAAGAACGAAUCAAGCGGCUGUAAAUAGAGCAACACUGAAUGCGACUCAACUGGAAAAGAAAAUCGGCUUCAAAUCGUAACUCCGUCUUACAACGAGCAGAAGAACGUCGACUUGAUAGGGGACACGUAAUUUAGGAAGAGAUCGACUUGGAUCCGUGUAUGACUUCACGAGAUGUAUGCGUCGACGGCUUCACGGAGGUGAAGACAGACGCGGUCGGAGAGUCGCGCGGCAGUGUAGAAAACGGAGAAGAAAGGAACGGGCGGCGGCUAGGCUUGGCUUCGACGGAGACAGAGAUUGCGCAGCAGGUCUUCACGAACGGAGAGGAAAGGAAUGGGCACGGCGACGCAGAUCUGACGACUGCUGCAAGGUGACGCGUACGGCUUGCUUCACGAACCGACCGACGAUUGCAGCGACGGAUCUGGGUUACGGCGAACUGCAAGGGUGAAGCACAUGCGGCGGCGAGGACCUAGACGGCUCGGCGAUGCAGAUCUGGACGACGAUUUGCUUUCGAGGGAGGCACGACGGUUGUGAGCGGAGAGGCACGCGGUUGUGAGCGAAUGGGCGCGGCGGUUUCGAUCCGAAGGAGAAAAGGAAGACGACCGGAAAGAAGAAGAAACGACCGGCAGCUUGUGUGGCCGACUGGGUGAACGGAGAAGAGAGGGAUGUGCGGCUGCUAGGGUACGGGAAGGAGAAAGGGAUGGAGGACGCACGGGAGGAAGAAGGAAGGAAAAUUUCUUUUUUCUUUUCUUUUAUUUAAAUAAUAAAAAUAAAACUAAAAUAUAAAUAAUAUAUAUAUAAUAAAAUUUCUUUUUCUUUUCUUUUAUUUAAACUAAAUAAUAAAACUAAAAUAUAAAUAAAUAUAUAUAUAAUUAUAUUAUCACAUUUUCAAAUCUUCUUUCCCCCCUUCAACAUAUUUUCUUCAAAACAAUAAAUCUUGUACAAAUCGAAAAAAUCUCUUAAAAUAAAAUACCUUCGAGUUUGGGGCGUUACACCAACUCACACAUCAAGAGGUAAAAUGUCACAAAUGCCCUCGUUAUUGAUGUACAUUUGAUACACCUUAUACACGUCUGAUACACCUAAUACCUCUUGAUACAUUAAGUCCAUUUAUGAGUUAGUUUGAUUAGAUUAUGUCACAUAUACAUGUAUUACAAUUAAGGGACACUUGCGAAAAUGGCAAAAUAAGUUAUAAUAAUUAAGUCCAUAGAACACAUACUUUAUUAUUUGAGAAAAUGACAAAAACAAAGACCAACUCACACAUCAAGAGGUAAAAUGUCACAAAUGCCCUCGUUAUUGAUGUACAUUUGAUACACUUAUACACGUCUGAUACACCUAAUACCCCUUGAUACACUUGAUACUUCUUACUGAUACACUUGAUACAUUUGAUAGAUACAAUUCAUGCACUCGGUACUCAUUGAUACACUCGAUACUUUUUGAUACACACCUGAAACAUCUUCAUACACAUAAUACUUCUCGUUCCACAUAAUACUUCUCGUUACACUUGAUUCUUCUUGAUACACUUGAUACCCCUGAGACCUUGAUACACUUGAUUAGUUUGAUACACUUAAAGACUUCACUUAUAAGUUUGAUACACUUGAUACACCACUAAUAAACUUGUUAUACUUCAUUGGUACACUUAACAAAUUCGAUAUGUUUGACGUACAUGCACUACAAGAAAUUUACCCUUUGUCGAUGACAAAUAUCGUCAGUAAAUCUUCAAAAACUAAUCAACUUUUCUUUUGCCAACGAAAUUAAGCUGUCAACACACACCGUCAGGUAGGUCUGUCGGAAGAUCCUCUAUCAAUGGCAAAAAAUAAACUGUCAGCAAAAAUAGGAACUAUCGAUGAAAUUGAACCAUCAGUGGGCGUGUGUGUGCGCUCGUGUGUGCGCAUGUCCACGUGUGCUUGGGUGUGUGUAUGCGCACAUACAUGUGUACGUGAGUAGGUGUGUGCGUGUUUGCGUGUGCAUUUGUGUGUGCGGUUUUGUGCGUGUGCAUGUGUGUGUGUUUGUGUGGUGUGCCUAUGUUCGUGUGUGUGUGUGCGUGUAUGGGUGCACGCGCGUGCAAGUGUAUGUGUAUGUGUGUGCGCGUGUGAUUGUGUGUGAAUAAGUUGAUAUUUUUUAAUGUUGAGUUUCUCCCAAUUUUAAAACAAUAAUUUAAUUAUCUUGAUAUUCAAGCCAUUAAUAUUAUUGUGAGAUAAAGAUAGUGAAUAAGUUGAUAUUUUUUAAUUUUGAAAUUCAGUUAAAGUUAUUUUGAUACAAAAUCUAUUGCUGAGAUUAUCAUAUUCUGAAAAAUAAUAAUUUUGUUAUUUUGAAAUUCAAUUUGGUUAUUUUGAAAUUCAAAUUCAAUUAGGUUAUUUUGAAAUUAGUAAGAUUAAAUAAAGUUGAAGUCUUGAAUCCAUUAGUUGAGUCCCGAGAUAUUAAGAAAAAAGUAUGAUAUGAGUUUAUGUAUCUUUUUCAGGUAAAAAAUAAUUAAAAGCUGAUAAAUGCAUAAUAUAAAUUAAUUACAAUAUAGAAACAAGAUAAUUUUAGUUGGAGAAUGUGAAUAUUUUGGUAUUUUAUAAAAUAUUAUGCACGUAAAAAAUGUUAUUUGCUAAAAUUAACAAAAAAAUAGUUUUGCCAUUUUUCAAAAUGACCCAUAAAAAUGUUGCUAUAUCUCUUAUGACAGAGUGUAUAUCUACUGGUUCAUAUUCGACAUGUUUGUUGCUAAUAGAAUUGGAUAAAAUCGCAUUAUAUUGAAAUAAUUACACGAAUGACACUUUUAAGCCAAUAUUGGUAGAAAUUAUAGUUUAAUUAAUGUUAUUAAGUCAAUGAACAUGGUUUAAAAGUCCUUCUAAACACAAUUAAUGUAGUUGUUUUUUAAUUUUAACUCAUUUAUACAUCUUUAUGCAUAUGUGCGCGUGUAGGUAGGUGUGCGUAUGUGUAUGUGCGUGUGUUCGUGCGAGUGUCCGUGUGCAUGUGUGUGUGGGUGUGUGCAUGUUUGUAUGUGUUUGUGCGUGCGUGUGUGUGCACGGGCUAUUGCGUGUGUGCUUGGGUGUGUGGGUGUGCUCGCGCGUGCGUGUUUGUGCGCGUGUGCGUAUGUGUUUACGUGUGUGCGUGUGUGCGUUUGUGCAUGUGUGUGUGCUUGUGCGCGUGUGGAUAGGUGUGUGUGUGCAUGCGUGCGCGUGUGCAUGUGUGUGUGCGUGCGUUCGUGCGUCUGUGGGUGUCUAUGUGUAGGUGUGCGUGUGCACGCGUGUGUGUAAGUGUGCAUGUGUACGUGUGUGCGCAGUGCUUCUAUGCUUGUGUGCGAACAAGUUAAUAUUUUUUAAUGUUGAGUUUCUUCCAAUUUUAAAAUAAUAAUUUAAUUAUCAUGAUAUUCAAGGCAUUAAUGUUAUUUUGAGAUAAAGAUAGUGAACAGGUUGAUAUUUUUUAAUUUUGAAAUUCAAUUAAGGUUAUUUUAAUACAAAAUCUAUCGUUGAGACUCUCAAAUUUCGAAAAAUAAUAAUUUUGUUAUUUUGAAAUUCAAUUUUGUUAUUUUGAAAUUCAAAUUCAAUUAGGUUAUUUUGAAAUUAGUAUGAUUGAAUAAAGUUAUUAAUAUGUUGAAUUAAUUAGUUGAGUCUCGAGAUAUUAAGAAAAAUAUUAUGAUAUGAGUUAAUAUAUCUAUUUCAAGUAAAAGAUAAUUAAAAGCUGAUAAAUGCAUAACAUAAAUUAAUUACAAUGUAGAAACGAAAUAAUUACAGUUGAAGAAUGUUGAUAUUUUGGUAUUUUAUAAAAUACCAUGCACGUGCAAAAAAUGCUAGUUGCUAAAAUUCAAAGGAAAAAGUAGUUUUGUCAUUUUUCAAAAUGACCCCUAAAAACGUUGUUAUGUCUCUUAUGACAAAGAGUGUAGAUCUACUGAUCCAUAUUCGAUUUGUUUUUUUGUUGGUAAAAUUGGAUAAGACCGCAUUAUAUUGAAAUAAUUACACGAAUGACAGUUUUAAGCCAAUAUUGAUAGAAAUUAUAAUUAAUCAAUGUUAUUAAGUCAAAUGAACAUGGUUUAAAACUCUUUCUAAACAUAAUUAAUGUAUUUGUUUUUUAACUUUAAUUAAUUUACACAUCCUUGUGCGUGUGUGCAUAUGUGCGCGUGCGUGUGCGUGUGUGGAUGGGGUGUGUGUGUGUGCGUGUGUUGUGCACGUGUGCGCUGUGUGUGUGCGAACAAGUUGAUAUUUGUUAAUGUAAAAUUUCUCCCAAUUUGAAAAUAAUAAUUCAAUUAUCUUGAUAUUCAAGUCAUUAAUGUUAUUUUGAGAUAAAAAUAGUGUACAAGUUGAUAUUUUUUAAUUUUGAAAUUCAAUUAAAGUUAUUUUGAUACAAAAUCUAUCGUUGAGAUUCUCAAAUUUCGAAAAAAAAUAAUUUUGUUAUUUUGAAAUUGAAAUUUAAUUAGGUUAUUUUGAAAUUAGUAAGAUUGAAUAAAAUUAAAAUCUUGAAUCAAUUAGUUGAGUCCCGAGAUAUUAAGAAAAAAGGAUGUAUCUUUUUCAGGUAAAAAAUAAUUAAAAGCUAAUAAAUGCAUAACAUAAAUUAAUUACAACGUAGAAACGAAAUAAUUACUGUUUGAGAAGGUGAAUAUUUUGGUAUUUUAUAAAAUAUCAUGCACACGUGCAAAAAAUUCUAUUUGCUAAAAUUUAAAAGAAAAAGUAGUUUUGCCAUUUUUCAAAAUGACCCAUAAAAACGUUGCUAUAUCUCUUAUGACAAAGAGUGUGCAUCUACAUAUUCGACUUGUUUUUUGUUCGUAAAAUUGGAGAAAUUGAGGACACAACUCCAAUUCCUAGCAUGCUUUCUCCCUAAGACUAUGCUGGUCCUAGUCGGGGAGUGGCAUUUACAUCCCAGAAAGACACACAUGUAUCACCUCGUGUUGGCACUUCCAUUGCAAUGCACAACUCUGACAUAUAUAGUGCCGACAUUUCCUUCCUUAAGCUUGAAAAAAGGUGAUUUGAUGUCCAUAAAAAAUUAACUGAGCAGUUAGAUAUUUUCUAAUAUGUAUCUCACGUAAUUUGAUGCUCAUUGAUACUGCAGUACUGUGUCAGGAACGUGUUGAUGUAAAAUCUUUCAGUUUUGAUGGAUCUUAUUACAAGCUUUCAACUCUUCUUAGCACGACUUCUGACAGAACAAAGGUUUGAUAUAUCUUUACACGAUCGCAUAUCACAUAUGAACGAUCGCAUAUCCCAUCUGAAAUAUCGAUCACCCUUGGUAAAACAACCGUUUAGAUAUUCUACACGAUUGUUUGCUUAAGGAUACACGAUCAUUUUGUAACUAUUUUUUUUAUUAUCCUUUUUUCUUUCUAUACUAGAACCAGAAUCAAUUGUUUGAUGAUAUUAACAACAUGUAUGAUGAUCUUCGUGAUGAUUCUAGUCAUCACAAUCUGGACAAGAAUGAUGACCAUCAAAAUAACAAACAUGUGAUCAUCCAUGAGAAUCCAUUUGUUCAAGAGUCACAUCUUCAAGAAUCUACUGUAGAAACUCAACAGUUAGUGUUUAAUUCAUUAGUUACCGCUUUAUAUUGUUUAAAAUUGCUUAGAUUAUAAAUAAACAACAAUAAUUUUUUUUCUUUUCUGUGUAGGGAACAAAAAUGAACAACGCCUCAACAUCAAGAGUAGUCAGGCAGUGAUAUUAGCAUAUAUGGCAGAGAUGCACAUUUGAUAUUAACUAUAAGUAAUAUAGCAGAAAAUAUGGAAGGUCAUACUCAAACAGAAAAGGGAUUGCUAGAAAUGAUUGAAAAUCUUCCGUUGGUAAGCCAACCACUUCCACUUUGUGAGAUGCUACCAUUAACUACUGUCAACGGUCUUGCAUUAGUUUAAUUGGUAUGUGUGCCCUAAAGGGAUAAAAGCUCUUGGCAGUGAAAGAUUUUACAAAACCAUUCAUCAAUUUUAAUUUGAAAAUUCCAAAAUACCAGUACAUUGACAAUAUUUAGAAUCAAAGUUCUAAAUAAAGAACUAAAUAUGCUUUUAAAUUAAAAGAUACAUAGAACUGACUCUUGUUGACGUCUUUGAAUCUAUAAUCCACCGAAUUGGGGACACCACCCGUUGGAGACCUUCCUAUCUUCGAAGAUGAGAUUGGUUUGUGGAAAACAAUUGGAAUGAAAAAAAAAUUUAGAGAGAAACUAUGUAAACCCCCAAUAUCAAGGUAUUUCUCUCAAGCUAAAUUUUUAAAAUUUUAUUAAGAUUUUAAGGAAUUUGGUUGUGGUGUGGAUUUAGCAGGAAGUGAAGGGGCUUUUAUGAAAAAAUAUACUAAUACUAAAGGUUAAAUAAUAAUAAUAGAAUUAAUGUUAUUAUUAAUUUAAAAUAUCAAUUCUUUAUUGAUUCACGUGCAACCCCAUCUCUUUCUCCUUCACUCUUCCUCUUCCCGUGCCCACCGCCGCCUGCCUCCCUUAGCCAUUUUAUAUUACUCUUGGACGUCAGCCGGCCACGCCGUCACCGAUCCCUUCGUCUCCGUUGAAGCCGAAGCACCGUUCGUCGUGAGUUCGAACUCUCGGCAUCGCGUCUCACCUCUGUUUUCCAGCCAAGCUGUGAUUCAUUCGCGCGUAGCUCCUUCGACGUUCGCGCCACCACAUUCUGCUCCAGGUGACGAGGAGCGUCACCGAUUGACCUAUCAUCUCACCGGCGUUGUUACUUAUUGAAGCAGCCGUCGACCAGACCUGAGCCCGUCACGUCUGUUGAAGUGCCGUCGCGCGGCUCUUCACCUUCCAGCCAUGGGUUGUAAGCUGAAGUUUGUUUUUCGUUUGUUGAUUAGAUCUGAUCUAUUACACGCGUCGAUUCCAGUUAUUCGAAGUUGUUGCCCCCAUUUUACUCUAAUUUUUGGGAUUUUUGUGGUAAGUUGUAUUGGUGAGUGUGGUGGUUUUACAUUGUAAUUAUCCUUGGGUUGUAGUUUUGGAUAAUUAGUUAAAUUGUUAAUUGAUUCUUGAAGUUAGCGUUUGAGUUCUUUGGAUUCACAACUAAAUUGUAGAUUUGUUGGAGUUCGAUUCGCCAAUACUUUGAUAAGCUAGAAUUUACAUUGAGGAAAUUAAAUGAAAGAAAGUAUUGUGAAAGUAAUUGAGUUCCAUAUUCUUAGUAUUAGGUUUCCUUCGUUCGAGAAAUUUAAGUAACAUUAAAGUAAGGGUUUCUAUUACUGGACUCUUUGAAAGUUUUGAAAUGUGUUGACUGUUUGGAUCUCUGGACUUAGUAUGGUUUACCAAAUAUGUAGAAGUAGAUAUGAUGACAAAUGUAUAUUAUGCCAGACUAGUAUAGAAGUAGAUACGAUGGAUAAUGUAUUUGUAAACUGAGAAAGGUGUUAUGUAUAUAUAUAUAUCUUGACUGUCUGGUGUGUUGUUAUAGUAUCAACUGAUUUUGUGAUAGAUUGAAUAGAUUGAACGUAAGUGUGUUAAGUUGGAUUGAUGAUAUGAUUGUAACGACCCAACUUUUCUAAGUAAGUCGAGGUCAUUAAUUUUUUUUACAAAUAAAAGACUUUGAUUAAUAUAAAACAAAACGUAAGCUAAUUUAAAAACAUCUUUAAGUCAGGCCUGAAUUUCAAACAUUUAAGAAAACAUAAAAACAAUACUAUUUACAAUAAACGUUUGUAAGCAAACUUUCAAUUCAUCUUAAACCUCACAAGAACCCAUAAGCGGAAGCAAACAACAUAUUUCCUAUGGCAGUCACGCUUCCUUCCUGCCCCUCGCCGGUUUGCCGCUUUUAUUACCUUUGCCUGAAAAUUAAACAUAAGAAGGGUGAGUAUUUAAAUACUCAGUAAGAGACUCUCUACUAGUCCCGUCAGAGGGAAAAUAAAUUGUUAACGUUCUAUUGGGACACCCUGUACGGUCGCAGUCUUGUGAUCCCGUAGGAUACACAUCUCAGUCUAACGCCCCGAGGGACGUACAUAUCAGUCUAGUGUUCUGCAGAAACACAUAUCAGUCUAAUGCUCCCGAAGGUGCCAAAAUAAAUUGGUAAUCUCCGUGGGACACCUACAAGGUACACAUCCCAAUACAAUCUAACAAUUUUCCGUUCAUUCCGUUCAAUCCAUCUUUCAAUUACUUCAAAACACAAAGUUCUUUCUUUCCACGUCCUAACAGUCAACUUAUUUUACUUCAGUCAUAUGUCUGUCAAUAAUAUGCUAAUACAUCAGUCAAUCAAACUAUACAGUCAACACACCCCUCAGUUCAUCAGCACACAGUCAUACUUUAACCGUAACGUACACCCAAUCUAAACGAAAAUCACAAGUUCACAUCUGCAUCUCAUACAAACACAAUCUACAGUCUUCGUCCUGUCCACAUACACACACUUAUAUAUAUAUUCCAUGACAAUCACGAUAUACAUUCGACGUCAAGUCUACUUCAAUUCAUAUGCAUUCAUAUAUAUUUUCAGUCAAUCCACAGUAUACAUUUAACACAUACAAUUCACAGUCAUAAGUGAGUCCAGUAGAAAAUCCCUUACCUCAAAGUUAGGGAAGCUCCUUAAUCAACUAACGUCCUCGAAACAAUCCUAAGCAUAACAACACAAAAUUCAAUUACUUUCACGAUACAUAUGUCACUUACUUUCCUCAACGUAAGUUCCAACUCACCGAUAUAUUGGCGAACUGAACCUUCAACAAUUCACAAACGGGUUGUGAAUGUAAGGGAGCCUAACGUUACUCCCAACACCUCAACGCACGAAUGUCGAACUCGCAGCAAAAAUCCUAAGUGUGGGUCGGUCAGCGGUCGGCCAAAGGGAACGUGGCGGCUGGGCUUCACGGAUGGAGACCGUCGCGAACAGACCGCCGAAUCUGAACGGUUACAGCAAAUCUGAACGGUUACAGUAAAUCUGAACGGUUACAGCAACUAGUCGGCCGACGUUGAUAGCAGGUGGAGCGGCGGUUGUGAGUGGGGAGCGUGGUCGAUGGAGACAGAACCGGCGGAGACGGUUGCAGAACCGUGGCUUCGACGGAGACAGAACCGGCGAUGGAGACGGCAGAUCGGCGCGCGGGACGACUGCUGCAAGGUUGCUUCGCGAACCGGAGAUGGAGACGGCAGAUCGGCGCGCGAGACGACUGCUGCAAGGUUGCUUCGCGAACCGGAGAUGGAGACGGCAGAUCGGGCGUUCGGCUUCAGUAGGGGAAGAUGCGGCGAUGAGGCUGGGUUUGGACGGAGCGAAGAGGAGAAAGAAGAAGGAGAUGGCCGGGAGAUGGUCGAUGGCUUGCUGGCGAACAGAAGGAGAAGAAGAAUGGAGGUCGGCGGCUUGCUGCGAACUGAAGGAGAAGAAGAAUGGAGGUCGGCGGUUGCUGCGAACGGAUGGGGUCGGUCGCGGCGCUGGGGGGAAGAAGAAAAGAGAAAGAGAGAAACGGAAGAAGAGAAGUCUCGGGCGUGCGCGUUGCUGGGCUGAGGACGGCGGGUUGCUGUGGCUGCGCAACGAGAGGAAGGGGAAGGGCGCACGGGGAGGAAAGGAAAGAGAAAAGAAAUGAAAAAGAAAAAGAAAAAAGAAAAAAGAAAAGAAAAGAAUAUAUAUAAUAAAGAAUUUUCUUUUCUCUUUUUUUUUAUUUAAAUUAAAUUAAAAAAUAUAUAAAAAAUAAAAAAAUGUAUAUAUAUAUAUAUAUAUUUUUACCUUUGGGGCUUUACAAUGAUGAAGUAGUUUGACUAUACUAGGAAUGGAUUGAUUAAAUGUUUAUAACGGACUAAGGGAAAAUUGUUAGCUUUGUCGAUUGGGUAGUGUGCCUUGCAGGUGUCCUACGGGAUCACCACCUGUUGUGCAUUCUUCGAGAGCACUAGAAUGACAUGUGCAUUCUUCGAGAGCAAUAGACUGACAUGUGCAUUCUUCGAAAGCACUAGACUUACAUGUGCUUUCUGAAGAGCACUAGACUAAUAUUUGUGUCCUUUAGGGCAUUGGACUGAUUAUGUGUAUUUCUACAUGAUCACAAGACUUUUAAAGUGCAGGGCACCUCCAAUAGGAAGUUAACAAUUUUAUUUUUCUUCUAACAGGAUCAGUAGUGGGUCUCUUACUGGGUAUGUUUAUACUCACCCUUUUAUGUUUAAUCUUUUUCCGCGAAACUGCCAUAGGGAAAUGUCCUUCAAAUUGCUUAUACUUUAUAUUUUUUUUAUUUUGGUUUUCUUUAGUAAUUGAGACUGUUUUGGGUUUCAUGAUUGAACGACUUUUAUGUUCUUGAACUUUCUUUAUUAUCGAUACUUUUACACUUUCAAAAUUUUAUUUGAAAUAGAGCCCGAAUAAAAACUCUUUAAUGUUGUUAAAAAAUAUAUUUUUUUAAAUUAUAAAGUCUUAUGGUUAAAGGACGAAUCUAGUCUUAAAGUAAUAACUUCAGCUUAAUUCGAAAAAUUAGGUCGUUACAAUCUAUUUUGCAUAAAAGAAAUUUUGGUUAAGAAAAGCUGUUUUUCUUCUACAUAUUUAUAACUCUCUUUCUUUCAUUGAGUAGGAGACGGGAUAGGAGAAAAUCAUAGGAUUCUAUUAACUUAAAAAAUAUUAAAUUAAUAGAAGUUUCAAAUCAACUAACUAAUUAACCAUUAAUCAAUUAGUUAAUAAUUAAUUAAAUCAUAUUUAAUUAAUAUUUCAUUUAAAUCUUAUUGAAUGAAUAUCUCUCCAAUACCUUAUAGUUUUAUAUUAAUUUAAUUAAAUCAAAUUUAAUUAAAUAAUAUUAAACUAAACUAUUAAUUAAUUAAUAACUAAAUUAAAUAUUUUAUAUUUAACUUAAGUUAAAUUUGAAUCAUAUUCUAAUAUAACUUUAUCUCAUAACUAAAUUAAAUUUAUAUAAUAAAGUUUCAUUAACAUAUAAACUUUAUAUUAUAAUGUAUCACUGUAUAUUAUACUAAUUAUACUAAUUUCCAAAAUAAAUUUGAAUAUUUCAAAUUAGAACCAAUAUAAAUAAAUCACAUUAUCAUUUUGUAUCAUCCAUUACUUUGUAUUUAGUCAUACUAAUUGGAUCAACCUAAUACAUAAAACAAAUAUAGAAAAAUUAAAAAAAAAAAAAGCAUGCACAAAUAGAGACAAAUAGACAUUGAUAGCUAUCUAUCUCUAUCUAUCUGAAACAAGCACACAUAAAUUGUUAUAUUUCUCUAUCGAUAGACAAAAAUAGCAGUCUAUUUAUAUCUACCUGAGAUACAAACAUUAAAAAAAAAAAACCUUACCAAUAAAAUUCUUGACUUUAUUCUAAAUGCAACACGUUCUCAGCCCAAGAAGUCAAACAACUCUUCAUUGUAAAAGUAGCUUUACUUCUUUCAUCAAACCACUUUUGCAAUACAUCUCUAGCUAAUUGAACUAAGCAUGGUAGCUACAGGUAGUUCUCUAAGAUCUUUAAAAACUAAAUUUACACUGUCUACACAAUUUGAUGUCAUCAUUCUAUAUAUGAAACUCAUUAUACCUGAGAUAGAUUCAACCAAUUUAUCAAAGAACCUUGGAAUCAACAUGUAUGAUUUAACUGUGUCACCUUUUAAUAUCUUUACUAUGUGUUCUUUUGCCCUCCAAGCUUUCUGCUAACUUAUAUUAACUCCAAGAUUUGUACAUGCCUUAUGCACAAUUGCUUUCGGAAUGAAACGAUCAGUAGACAUGAACCUGAACUCAUCUAUCAAGCAACUGUCAAUUACUGUUGAAGAAGCUUGCAUAUGACAACUAGUAUUCAAUGAACGGUCAUGUUCAUAAUUCUACUUAUCCAUCCAAUUGAAUCUGUUCACAUAUUAAAUCAACUAGAGAAUUAAAGCUGACUCGGACAUCUACCAAAAUUUCAGCAACUAAGUAAUUCUCAUAAAUAUUACAUCCAUUCCAUUGACCUCCAUAAAAAACAACAAUAGGAAAAGACAUUAUAAUCUGUAAAAAAAAAAAAAAAUUAAGUAUUUAAUUGGGAUAGAAAGAAAUAGAUAGACAUGAAUAUACAUUUAUUACUGAAUAAAAGAAUGAAAUGUACAAAAUGAUAAUACUAAACACAAUGCAAGAAUAAGUAAACGAUCGUGCAAUGAAAUAAUAUACAUUAAACGAUCCUAUUAACCGUGAUAAACGACCAUUUAACAACGGUAAAUGAUAAUAUUGAUUAAAAUAAAUUAUCGUGUUGACAUGGGUACACGAUCAUAUGAUAUUGGUGAUCGUAUUGAAUAGUGUAAACAAUCGUCUUGUUAUCGGUACACGAUCGUGUUAAUAUUUGUAAGUGAUUCUAUUGAUAGUGGUAACUGAUCGUGUAAUUCCAUGUAAAUUAUCGUAAAAAACUUUAAACUAUCGAUCUUUAUAAUGAAGUACAUAAUUCUUACAUUAAUACUUAAAAUUUGUUGUAACGAUCCAACUUUUCUAACUAAGUUGAAGUCAUUAAUUUGGACAAAGAGACCUUGAUUGACACAAAUUAUAGUAAAAUUCACUUGAAAUCAUACGAUCAAAGAAAACAAACUUAAGUUCGGGCCCUAUUUCAAAUAACCAAAACUUUAAAAGUACUAUUUACAAAACAACAGUUCGUAAACUCAGUUCCAUCACAAAAUUUUUAAACAACCUCAUGUACAAAGGAAAAAACAAGAAACAUAAAGCGAAAGCAUUUGAAGAACAUUCCCUUAUGGCAAUCACGUCUCCUUCUUGUCCCUCGUCGGUCUACCUCCUUUGUUACCUUUGCCUGAAAUAGUUAAACAUGAAAGGAUGAGUAUAAACAUACCCAAUAAGAGACCCGCUAUUGGUCCAUUAGGGGAAAAAGAAACUGUUAACUUCCUAUUGGGGUACCCUGCACAGUCACAGUCUUGUGAUCCCGUAGGAUACACAUAAUCAGUCUAACACCUCAAAGGACACAUAAAUCAAUCUACUGUUAUGCAGAAACACAUAUCAGUCUAAUGCUCUCGAAGGAUGCACAUAUCAGUCUAGUGCUAUCGAAGGAUGCACAUAUCAGGUGGUGAUCCCGUAGGACACCCGCAAGGUAACUACCCAAUAGAAAUCUAACAAUUUUCCCCUCAAUCCAUUCUAAACAUCUUAACACUCAUUCAUAGUACAGUCCAGCUACUUCAACAUAUAAUCCUUUCACUUAACACCCUAAUAGUCAACCUAUCUCACUUGAGCCCAAUGUCCGCCAGUAACAUAUCAAUACAUCAGUCAAUCAAACUAUAUAGUUAUAACACCCCUCAAUUCACCAGUACACAGCCCUACUUUAGUAUAACCUACACCCAAUCUAAACGACAAUCACAAGUUCACAUCCACAUUCCAUACAAACACAAUCUACAAUUGUCGUCCUGUCUACAUCCAUACAUAUAUAUAUAUUCCCAGACAAUCACAAUAUGCAUUCAACAUCAAGUCUACAUCAAUCCAUGUAUAUAUAUAUUUUUUUUCAGUCAUUCACAGUAUACAUUCAACACCAAGUCUACAUCCAUAUGUAUAUAUAUCGUUUUGACAUCUUUACUCAAUCAGAGGUAACUAUACAGACAGCACAAUUCAAAACUAUAGGUGAGUCCAGUAGUAGAGAAUCCCUUACCUUAUAACCUUACUUAAGCUUCUUUUUCAAACUAAAGUGCAACGAACCGACCUAAACAUAAUUGAAGAGAAAUCAAUCACUUCCACAAACAAUUUAAUCCAUUCAAUUCACUCUAUAUGUAAAUUCCAUAACUUACCCAAAUUGUGGAGAAUCAAAUUCUAACGGAGACGGAUCGGUGCAACAAAUAACCGAACAAUUCAGAUCUAAACAUACAUGGCGUGACAGAACUGGAGUGACUCGGGCUAACGGUUAUGCGACGAUAGGAAAAAAUUUGCUUGACGUUCGGUGUAGGUGGAAGACGGUGGUGAAGUUGAUUGGAGAAGGAAAAGAGAAGGAAGAAAAGAGAGAUUAUGCAUACACUGUGAGAAGCACACAAAAAAAUUGAAAAUAAAUUGAAAAGAAGAGAGAGAUAAGUCUGAGGGAGAAAUAUUCAUUUCCUUUUCAAAGUGAAUUGCAAAGAAAUUUUCUCAAAUUGAAAAGAAAGGAGAAAUAUACAAAGUCAGCCACCGCUUCUUCUCCCUUCAGUUUGCAGUUUUCGUCUCCCUCUCUUCUAUUAUUAAAAUAAAUAAAUAAAAUAUCACAACCCGACUUAACACAAACUAUUUACUCCAACUUUUUAAACUACAAAUUUAAUUUCUCAACUUUUAAACUAUUUUAAACUUACAAAUCUACUUUAUUCAUUUCUUCAGAUUUAUAUCUAACAAAUAAAAAAAAAUCAAAAUUUAUAGACACUUAAAACAUAAAAUUGAAAGACCUAUUAAACAAUUGAAAGGUUUAAGAGGUAACUAGACAAACUUUAAAAGUUCUAAGGGAAAGAAUCUUUUGUUUAACUAUUACAGUAAUUAAUUUUGAAAAUAUGUUAUUUUAAAAAAACUACAAGUGUUUGACAACUCUUUGAAAGCUAUUGAAAUACUCUCAAAUUGUAUUUUAAGCAAUUUUAAUAAAAAGAAAGUCUACAUAAAAAAAUUACCCUUUUUAAAGGAACAUUUUUUCUCUAAUCACUCCAAUGGAACUCAAACACGUACUUCAAGUUAAUUCUGGUAUCCAAGAAUCAGUCUCAUCCAACAUAAACAAGAACAUUCAACUUGAUAGAACUUCAUUACCUCAUUUUUACAAUUCCCAAAGUUACUAAAUGAAGGACCAUUCCUAAAACAUACUUACAUCCAACUUUCUCCAUGAAUAAACUUAUCGUCUUUUAUGUACUGAUGAAUAUAGAGAUGGAGCGAUCAGAGUUUGUUUAUGUACCAAAUUAGAGUGAGUUGAGAAAAGAGUGGAUUUACACAAGGACGAAAUGGCUGGCUGCUGCUUGUUCAAAACUGAAAGUUAGGGUGACCUUGUUUCUCAUAGGGACUCAGCAAAUUGAGGGGCCUCCAGGUCAACUUCUGGUCUCAUUAUACAUGCCAUUAGCCAUUCAACGUUGAAAGUCCAUAUCCCUUUUUGUACGGCCACCAAGGCUUCCUCCACGUCUUCCUCACAAGCCACAAAGAUCGUCUUCCAUACGUUGUUUACUUUAUCUAGCUCAUGAAUCACCUAAAUUUUCAAGCAUAAUGAAUUUGCCAAAUGAGAGAAAAAAUUAUGUAUAUACUACAAGGAAAUUGCAAGAAUUCACCCUAUCAAAAAAUAUUAAACAAAUUCUUGUUCUAGUCCCUAAAAUUUUCCAUCUUUUCCCAACUUUCAAAAUGAUUCCUAUGAGAUAUAUUCCAAUCACAUAUAGCAGAAAUGACCGAUGAGUAUUGGAUAAAUGAAUAUUAGUUGAUAAAAUAAUUUACAAAAUACUAAAAUCGUUAGUUGGCUACGUUUUGGAAGCUCGAUGAUUAAAAUGGAUGUUUUGAAAGUUCUAAGGCUAAAAUGGAAUUUAAAUCAACAUAAUAGUAAGUUCAAGAUCAAAGACAAGCUAAACAAUAAAAUGUUGCAAGCAGAAAACAAUCUAAUCAUAAUUAGAAACAUGAAUGUAUGUAUUUGUAAACCAAAUCACAAAAAAUAACUCCAAAUUUCGAUCUAGAGACAAUUAAAAACUUGAACAAAUUUGAUAAUUAAAGAAACACGGAGAUGGCCAUAUGACCCCUUGUGCAUAGACUUUUUACAUUACAUGCUCAAUUCCUAGGAUCAAAACAAACAUAAAUAUUAAAGACUUAAGAAGCACAUACACUCUAGUUUGGCUAGUGUAUCAAUAAACAAUAUGUAUGGAACACUCGGAGAACACGUGUUGAACACUAGUUAGUAUACAGUAGAUGUGUUAGACAACAAGUAUUCCAAUGCAAUAAAGGUCAAGAUUGGUCACACACACAUAUUAAACUCUUGGCUUUGAAUAAGUUUUGAGUGAAGGACAAGCUUAUUUUUAAGCAUAUAAAUACAUAAACUUAUUGACUUUGAAUUUCUAUAUAAAUAUGAUACAUACUUUUUAAAUUAUAUAUAUUAAAACUGUGUUCUAGCACUAUCCUAUAUUUUUUAGAAAAAAAUGACACGUCACCAUGUCUAUGAUUUAUUGACCCAUGUCUAGAAUUCGUAUACGUGCUUGUUUGUUGAGAACUUCACGUCUUCAUUAGAUGGGAGGAUAGCCAUAUUAUAGUGGUUGUAUAUGUAAUAUAGAGAACCAAACCUAGUACUCGAGAUUUGUACAAUAACAGAGAACUUACAUUUCACCGGUUGACUUGACUAUCAGGGAUAGAGUUUUAGGUGGUGGUUGAGCGUGAGCUGAUAUGCAAACAUCAUACCCUUCAAAUAAAGCUCAAGAACAUGCUUUUGCCCUGAGAACUGCAGCUUUUAGGCUGGCUCGAUACUUCGAUAUGUAGUCAUCAUCAUUUAGUAUGUAAGGCAACUCGUCUGCAGAUCAAUAAGGAAUUAAUCAAUCAAAAAUUAGGUAGGAUGAAAAACAUAAGUGGAAGAAAAUACAUUACGCUUUGAUACUAGCAAGCCAUUCGAACUUACCAACAAAUCUGCCUUCCGUUAGGUUUCCUUUAACCAACUGGAGGAGAAAAUCCAAGCUCUGAGUAAUUUGCAAUUAACUUGCAAUUUUAGUAACAAGAUAUAGUAAAAAUUAUGAGCAAGAGCACACUGACACACUUGAAGCCACAUGGUAAUGCAUAUGCUCGAUAAUCAUUGAGAACAUUAACGGAGAAAAUAAAGUUAAGAACAGUAGCUUGAAGAACAAAAAACAUUCUACAACAUAAAAUCUUCAAAAACACAUUGCUUAAAAUCAAGUUUACUAAUAUAAAAGGUAAGAUAUUACGUUCCACUCUCCACACUACUGAAGUUCAACAUUUCACAUGAAAGAAAUGAAAUACUACUCUCAAAUAUAACUGAAAAAAGCAUAAAGGGUAAAGAAAAAGCAUAGAGAAAUGCAAAAGAAUCCUUGGCUUUGAUAUAUUGAAAGGUAAAGAAUAUCAACCAUAGAUGCCCGGGAGAAGAACUCCUACAAAUACACACUUAACGCAGAUUAUCAUUCGCUAACAUGAGACCUUCUAGAGGAAUUCUGUUAGGAUACUUCCAAACAAGAACAAGAUCUUAAUUUAUUAUAAUGAACUAUAAGAAAAUACAAGAUAAAGUAUCACUUGGAACCUCCCUCUUGAGUACUCUCACCCAAGCCCUAGAUCACUCCCCAGAAUUCUCCCCUCACUUACCCUCCCUCCAUUUAUAAUAAGAUGUAACCACACUUACAUAAUAACUACUAGUAACUUUCUAAAUAUCUAAUUACCCUUAUACCCUAACCUUAUAAUAAUCUAAGUAUCUAACAUUACCCGAUCCUUCAAAACACCUUGUCCUCAAGGUGUGCUUACAAACAUGAUCAAGGCCCCUUUCUCUUUUUUUCUCUUUUUAAUUGCAAACAAUCCCCAGCAUUCUGCUCUUCAAUGUUGAAAAAGAAAUCCUCCCCUUCGGCUUUGAAAAACUCUUGAUUCCAAUAAGGUCCAUUGACUUCAGCCCACAAAGCAGCCCAAUGUACUUGAAUUUUCCUUUUCCAAAACACAUUGUCUUAGUUAACCCUUUGCAUAUCACCAACAAGUGUUUAAUUUUCAAACUCUUCAUCUCUAGUGGGCUCGGCCAUAAUCAAAGUGUUGCGUCAAGACCAAAAUCAUAUUGCCGCCGGUUUCAUUCCUAGGACCCACCUACAUACACGUUUUUCUUCCCUCCUAUUUUUGGAACUCUCCACCCACUUCAUCUACAAAAUGAUGUGCCCCAAUGUUUUAUUUAGAAUAAGUUGAAGCUCAUUUAGAGUAAGUUGAAGCCCACUUGAAAUAGUAAAACCCAAGAUUGUUACUUUUGUCCUAAUCCUCUUUCCUACCAAUUUCUACCACGUCAUUGUCACCAUCAUGUGUGCAGCAACUUCUUCCUCGUCACGUGAUUCACCCCUAUUCCAGACCACCUUCUCGAGCCUCUGUAGACCGGUAACUGUCGGCUUCUUCUUUCUCCAUUGCAACCAGCCAUUUUGUGUUUCUUUGAGCAACAAAUUUUUCUCCACUCGCGUCUUCAUUUCGAGCCUCACAGGUAAUCCUCGUCGACCUUCCUCUAUAGUUUCUUCUUGGUCACUCUUUGCCAUCCUCUUCACCUUCGUUGUAUAACCGUUGCAAUCGCGUUUUCCUCGAUUCUUCUAUGGAUUUAGCAACUUCUUGGAAUCCAUCGAUUUAUGGACCUGAAGAUUCCAAUCCGUUCUAAAUAAACACAAUCCAUGAUCAGUGCCACUGAACACAGGCAUUUCAACCUUCUUGAAUUUGCUAUGAUCGUUCGAGUUUUCAUCCCUUUUAAAGUUGUUUGUUUUACCUUCUACCUUGAUUUCCUUCAAUGUCUUACCUCCACCUUCGAUGAUACUCUCAAUCGUUGGUCCUUUGCUCGACGAUCCUUCCAUUCUUCCGGAGAUUUUCGAAUUAUCCUUCUGCUAUUCCUUCGAUGCAUUUAGCAACCGUUCUUUUUCCAACUAGAUGACCAGUCUUUCGAUGCUUUCUGGCAAGGAUAACAAGUUUUAUUCAAUUGCCAGCAACUUGUGUAACUCCACUUGUAUCCCCGAGAUUUCCUUAUCAGAGGUCUCCAACUUCUCUUCGAUCCGUUUUUGUGCUGCUCUAUCGUUCUCCCAAGUUAAAACGCUCUGAUACCAAUUUGUUAAGAUACUGUAAAUAUACGGCAAGUGUAUCUUACUUUAUUGAAUUACCUCAACGAAUUACAGUAUAGAGAAUAAAAAAUCACUCACAUCUACUUCCUAAAGGCACACUCCAGUGAGGAUCACAACAAAGAACAAGAAAAACUAAGAACAAACCGCAACCAUGAAAAUGACCAAAACAAACAAUAAAAAGAACUUGACUUGGACCCUCUACUUCUCCCGAGCACGAAAGACCAGCCUCUACUUCUUUGGAAUAUUUUGUCCCCUUUCUCCCUCCUCUUUCCUCCCUUUUAUUUUGCUUUACUAACAAACUAAUGGGAAAGAUCUCCUCGAUAUUUUCUCCUCCUAUAAUCUCUCCUAUAUUCUCGUGUGGGUCAAUAUUACCCUUUUUAAUUCUUCUACUGUAUUUAAAUAAUAUUGGAGACAUAUACUUCCUAACAAGAACAAGAUCUGAAUUAUAUUAUAACUAUAAAAAAAUACAAGAUAAAACCAAGUAUAAAGCACUUGGAACCCUCCCUCUUGAGUACUCUCACCCAAGCCUUAUAUCACUCCCCAAAAUUCUCCCAACUUACCCUCCCUCCAUUUAUAAUAACAUGUAACCACCCUAGUUACCACACUUACAUAAUAACUACUAGUAACCACACUUACACAAUAACUACUAGUAACUUCCUAAAUAUCUAAUUACCCUUAUACCCCAACCCUAUACUAAUCUAGGUAUCUAACAAAUUCCAUAACAUAAUGUAUUAGGGGAAGAAGGAAAUCGAGGAUAAAAACACUAGCUAGCCAACAAAUAUCUUUCAUUAGUGAGCUUGAGCCAUUUUACACGUAAAAUGGGAAAAGUAAGCCUGAAACCCAAAUUAGCCUAAUGGUUGUCUUAACAACCACUACCCACCAUCACGAUAGAAACAACUGAGAAGGAAGAGCAUGAUACAAUCCAACUCAAACAUAAGAAUUGAUUUUGAUGUUUAAUUAAAAGUAAACAGGCAGUAGAAUAAGAAACUAUGCCCUUUUAGAUCUAGAAGGUUCACAACAAUUUCCAGCCUAAGCACAACUACGAGGCAAUGGAAGAAUAACGACAAAGGCCUUGUGUGCAUGGAAUCGCUAACUUUUGUGCAAAUGAGAUGAUUAUCGGUAUUCAAAGGCCAAAAGGAUACAUAGAAGAGUGUUCGUCUAAGGUUGCAAGACUAACCCUGAAAAGAGAGCAAUACAAAAAUUUAGAGUUUUCCGCAAAUUUCCUGUAAUGACAUGAGUGCUUGUACUCCCAUCAGCAGUGAGAGAACCACCAAGCUCCUCAAUCAUCUGAAUCAGAAAACAACUGCACAUUAGAGCAGUCACAAUUUGGAAUAAAUAGAACUUUUUAUUGUUAGAAUCUUAGAAUAUUUAUGAAAAGUUUAUGGGAAUAUUUUUCUUAAUUCCUAAAUAUUUUCCUUUUUUAUUCCUCUGUAUAUUCUAUUUAUUCUCCCUUGUACCUAUUGUAUUUUUCAUCAAAAAAUAAUAAGAAGAAAAAUAUAGUGGUUUUUCUCCUGGUACACAGGUUUCCACAUAAAGUUCUGUGUUUAUUUGUCUCCCUUUCAAUAUGGUAUCUGAGCAGGUGGUCCAAGAAGGUCUUGUGUUCAAGCCUCGCAUUGUCGUUUCCUCCCCAAUUAAAAUCCGUUUCCAGUUGUUGGGCCUUUCAAAUAUUUCAAGCCCACAAGUGAGGAGAGUGUUGGUGAUAUAUAAUUGAAUUUUCUUUCUUUUUUUAAAAAAGGAUACGAGUCUCACUAUUAUUAAUAUAAAGAAAGAGACAAAGCUCAAUGUACAUGAGGAUUAUACAAAGAGCAAAAGGGGAGAGGAAGAUCAACAGGCGCAUCCGGGCAUCUCAAACUAGGUUGACACCCCCUUAGUGCCCUCAAAACAUCCAAAAAGCGACAACACAAGAUCAAAACAAAAAGCCACAAAAACAAAGACAAACAAAAUGAUAAAAGAAUCUUUCCAAAGCAAAAUCAUAAUCCAAGGCAGCAUGCUGAGAACAAAGAAGAAUAAGCCUUGAUUGGUUGAGCAAAAACUGUUUGAAGCAGAGGGUUGAUCCGAAAGUUCUGAUCAUCACAAUAUCCUACGUCGAAGAUCUUCUUUUGCAUUACAUUUUCUAAAAUUUCCAAUCCACUCUGUUAAAGGCCUUUUCAAGGUCUAAUUUAAUGAUCCAUCUUUUCUUUUUUCGGAUACUAUAGACCUCCACAGUUUCUUUUGCUAUUAAAAUAGGAUCCAAUAUUUGGCACUCUUCCAGAAAGCCACAUUGUAAUGGAGAAGUAUGUUAGGAUUCUAACAAUAAAACACAAAAUAUCCUAACCAAAUGGCUAAACAGAGGCAGCACUCUGUAAUUCUUUAUUUAUGUAAAAGCCAAAACACAUUCAACUGUAGUAGAUAUGAAAAAUAAAGGAUGAACAACAUAGAAAACUUACCCAGCUCCUUUAUACGGGGCUGGAUACCCUCAGGCUACAACAGCCUUUACUCUCCUUGAAAUAACCAAAAAAGACCUAGCCCCCCUACCCCAACAUUACAUAUUUAUACCUCUCUCUCUCAUCCCUCCUGGCGGGCCCCACCUGCACGAUCCUCUCCCAUUAUUCUCUCAUCAUUGGUUGCUAAGGAAUUUCCCUUUCUACCGUUCCUUUUAUAGGUAUAGAUAAUAGGAGGUCUUACAAAGUAAUACUGGCCUGACUUUCUUUAAUCUUUCUGCGAGAACCUUUCCAAACAACUUAUAAAUUAAUGUUGAAACAACUUAUAAGCCACACUGUAAUGACAUUCCUUCUCUUGACCGAACUUCAAUAAUCGACAACUUAUAUUUAUCCACAUAAUCAGCAAAACUCUUAAUCUGCCACUAGCUUCAAACAAAGACCCAGCCAAUUCCUUUUAAACUCCAUAGUGCCUUUAUAAUACAACUGGCAAUCUCUUCUCUUUUGGUCUCCGGAAUCAAUGCUCUAUCUGGAUUAGCUUUCUUCAAAAGAUUUUUAAUAGCCAAUUGUUUCGAAUGGCCCAUGAAUCCUCUAGUGUUCCAUGAUAUAAUCUCCAUCUUUGCUACCUCUGCCUUAUAUCAAUUCAAUUUCACAUGCUGCCAAGAAAGGAACCAACUCUUGAGGGGGAAGGAUACUUGCUGACCUGCACAAAAUUUCUUUUUAUGGGGAGGAAAACAAUUUAAUAAAAUCUGGACCAAGAGAGUCAAUGUCCUCUUGUUUCUCUGUCUCUGAUUGAAUUAUUUCUUCCUCAACUGGUUCAAAUUCUGCACUACUUAAACUGGUGACUGAUUCAACUUCCAUGAAUUCAUCUUCUAGGUUCUCAACUUUUUUGAGACAAGAAGUAUCUUGCACAAAAUUAAAGAAUGAACCAAAAAGUUUGGAGGAGGAUUGAGAAAAUUUAUUACUUAAGGAGGAAGGCAGUACUGACCUUUUGCCAACUGAAUUUGGAAUUUGUAUCUUCACACAACUUUCCUCUAAUAAAUCAGAAUUAGCCAAGCUCAUCCAAAUGUUGCGAAAAGAAGUUCUCCCUUUGGUAUAGGUCUUGAGGUGCUCAUAAAUUUUUUGGCAUGUAUUGGAAUAGCUUUCAUUGCAGAGGAUAUUUUAGUCUUGGGAGAGGCUGGUAAUUUUGGUUGAGAACUGAAAACAGGAGAUGGCCAGCAAGUGAAGUUCCUUGAUGGAGGAGAGGACUCUGAUUCUUCCUCCAAUUCGUCAGAAUACCAAAAGCCAUUGGUAUUCUGAUUAAUAAAAUUCUUGGGGCCUACCAUCUGUGUGUCAGAUUUUAAAAUGUCUGCAGAUACAUUAAGUUUGAAAAAAUCUGGUUGGGGAGGGCUAGGUGAGCUAUUUUUUGAGAUAAUAAAAUACCGGCUGGCUGCCUUUUCUACUUUCAAGGUCUGUUUUUCUCUCUUUUCUGUUGAAGUCUUUUCCCCUUCUAAGUACGUGGAGAUGCCAGCUAUACCCAAAUUUGAAUUUUGCCUUCUGAAAAUUUUUUUUCCGGCGAGGAUUCAAGGUCUGAAACUCUUUCCGGUCGAACAAGGUUUUCUUCUUCAUCCAACUUCCUAAGUGCUUCGAAAGGAUUUCUUGAGAUGGAUGGGGCAUUCUGUUUGAGAAAAUUCAGGUAUCUGGGAGACCAUCACUUUGGAGCCCUUCAUCUAAAAUCACUGAAUUUAUUCUACAUAAAUCAAUAGGAUUGGAAAAAUCACUUUGAAAUAGAUCAGAUUGGAUUAUUACAGGAGCUUCUAAGGGUUCAAAAUCCCCAAAAUUAAGGGAAAAUUUUCCUCAGUUCUCACUCUUUAAUUCUAUAGUUGCUGGUAAAAAUCCGCAAAGAUUUUUCCAAACUUUAAUUCUUGCUUCAGAGAACUUGAUCAGAUUGAGUGUUUCUAAGAUUAUACUUUCUAGUCCACCAAAGUAGCUUAAGCUUAAGGCUAUAAUUGAAUUUUCUUUCAACCACCAGCUUAAACUUUUUGGUGAAUCGGUGGUUUAAUAUUUAUAUUAAUAUUUUAUAAAAAAGUAUACAGCUAAUGCCAUAUAAAAUAAAUAAAGAAAUACUAUAAAAUCUACAUCCAUAAAAUAUGCAUGUGAACACAUAUCAGAAGAUGGAUAUUCGUAAGUUAGAAAGACCGAUAACAAAAUGUCAUAAUUAAACAACAUCAUUAAUAUUAUGGGUAGUUUCAAGCUUCAUUUGUCUAUUCUAGGUAGGGAUAUUGAAUAACUCUUAAAAAUAAUAUAAAGAUUGAAUCCCUAAACUUCAUGUGCUUGCUAGUAUACAACCUAAAAGUUCAACAGUUAAAGAAACUGAUUAAUCAUUUUUGGCAGGAUGUCAGAUUCGCCUUUCGAAAUCCUACAUGAGUAGAGCCAGCCAAAUAAGCCAAGCCUCUUAAGGAAUAUGGAGAAGUUCAAUGACUGGGUAUGUAUAUGAUAAGCCUUAACCUCAAUUUUAUUUGUCAAUAAUGGAGGGAAGGAAUCAAAAGCUUCUCUAGCUCUCCCAAUUAUUCUAAGAAACCUAAUACAAGGUAUGUCAAAACAUACCCUCCCCAAACAAUCAUAAUAGCAUUUAUAUGAAAGCAUAAAAGACUCAUGGCCCCCUUAACUAGCAACAUUCAGACCAACAAAUACAGCUUCCCAUCCUCCUCUCCUGAAUCCUUUCUUGUGCCUACGGGUGUACACCUUCACUACCAUGGGCCUAUCAGUAUUUAGAGAUCGUAGAGGCUGUAUGAGCCAAGGAGCUGGAAGAGUAGGAUUAGGGAAGUGUGGAGUUUUCCGCUCUUUGUUUGGCCAAAAGUGUUUGUGGACUCCCGACAAGAAAAUUUCAAUUUUAUGCCUUAUUGACUUCGUAUGUCCUAGGCCCUAAGAGUUCAAAACUUUCUAGAUUUCACAACUUCUUGGACCACUCCUUGUGCCAAACACCCCUUUAAAGAAUACUAAGCCAAGGAUAUAAAACUUCAAUACCAUCAAUAGAAAAUCUCAUAAAAGAAACAUGAAUGAUGAAUAUUUUAGAAGACUAUAAAUUGGUACCGUACCUUCAUGAGCUGAGUUUUCUUAGUUUCGUCUGCAAUGUUCAUCAGCAUAAUUUUAAAUGAUUUUCCUAAUGUGUUCUCUUCAGAAUUGAGGUCCUCUGAUGCCACAUUUACACUUCCAAAUUCUUGACAGAAAUUUUGUGUACACUGAUUGGUUGGAUUUUUAGGAUAAAUACUUGAUAAAAUCUCAUGCUUUGAAUUGGCUAAAGAGCAUCCUGGAGAGCAGGUAUCGUAUACAUCACUUUUAGGAUCAAGAUUUUUGUUAGAGUGGGAAUGGAAAUGGUCCAGAUUGACUCCUUUUACUUUCUUUGACUUCAGGGAAGAAAGUGAUGCUUCCCAAACUCUCUUUGCGCUAUGUUUAGAGCAAGAACAAUGUGUCUCAUCCAAAUUACCAAGAGUAUUGGAUAAUUUUGCAAUACUAGCUGUCGUGUUGUUCUCUAUUUCUGCAAAAGAAACCAGACCGUUGCUGUCAUGCACUGCAUCCUGGUUUAAAUAAACCGUUAUGAGAUAAUUAAGCAACAUAUGGAGAAUAAUUUAAAUUGUACUAUCUUGUGGAACAAAACCUGAAUUACACAUACCCUGAAUUUCAUUUUCUUCUCCAAGGGGCACUAAAGUUACAAACUCGUCAUGUUGAAAAUUCAAAUUUUGAGUGGUAUUGCAUCAGUUGCAUUUGAAACGUUGCAACCUCGAUUGGCAACACUGAUUCUUGCAGCAUACGGGGCUUCAGGCUUUAAUAGAGAAAGUAACUUUGGAAAGUUAGUCGAACACAUUGAAAUUCCCUGAAUGUGCGAAAUCCAUGGAUUUUAUUACACAUCCCAAAGGUGAACGACUUUGAGGCAUCUUGGUUAUAAUCAAUUGGUUCUCGAAGUACGCCACCUUCAUCCCCACUACAAAACUAUGUUCUGUCGAGCUGAUAGCACACUUGUUCUUUAAGAACGUCUUGAAGUUAUGGAGAGUUCCAUCAAGCAUUGUGAGUGACAGGGAUGGUAGAUUCAUUGGUACUCUCUGGACCGAACUAUUCGCCUUCUUGGGGACACGCCUAAAUAUAUCCUUAAGCUGCCAUCCUCAGACGAAUGGCCAAACUGAAGGAUUCAAUUGUAUGCUUAAGGAAUAUCUACGACAUUUUGUUGAUUCUGGACAAAAGAAUUGGGCCUAGUUGAUGGAUGUGGCUCAAUUUUGUUUUAAUGCACAAACUAGUCUAUCCACAAGAACGAGUCCUUUCGAAAUCUUGAGUGGAAGACAACCUAUACUGCCUCAUAUUGUUGAUCAUCCUUAUGCCGGAAAAAAUCCUCAAGCUCAUAACUUUACGAAAAAGUGGGAGAAGACUACGAACAUCGCUCGAGCAUACUAAGAGAAAGUCUCGAAGCGUAUGAUAAGAAGCAUCAUCCUCUCAAGUUUUGAGCGGAAGACCAACUCUUCAUAGAGUUUAAAGCAAAGCAAAUUUGAUUUAGAGGACAUCAACAUCAGCAUCUCACCAGAAAAUACGAAGGGCCUGUUGAAGUUCUGAAGAAAAUUGGAAAUGCAUCCUAUAGGGUAUCGUUGCCUGCAUGGAUAAAAAAUCAUCUAGUAGCUCAUGUGAGCAACUUGAAACCUUACCAUCAAGAUCCAGAUGACCAGUAGUGCAACAAUGGUGUAUGGUCAUCUAGUGACCUAAAGCAGAAAGACGAUAAAGAAAUGGAAGAAAUCCUUCCUAAGAGAGUGAGGAAGGGUAUACCCAUGAAGAAGAUACAUGAAUUCCUACUGAAGUGAAAGAACCUCCAUGUGGAAGAAACACGUUAGGAAUGUGCUGAAGACCUUGGAGCGUGAAAGAAGAAGAUCGAGGAAUUCUAGCUUCGCCAGUCGACAGGGACGUCAAUUGUUUAAGUGGGGGAGAAUGUAACAAGCAUGCUUGUCCAAGGCGCUGUUUACUUAUGGCCGCAUGCCCAAACACCCCCAAUUUACAUUGUUUUUAUGUUUUGUAUUUAGUUUUACUUUUUGCUUUCCUUUUUAUGUCAUAAACCUUGGGUGUGACUUGGCUUUUUCUUAUGCAAGCCUACCAGAACUAAAAAAGUCUAAAAUGUACUAUAGAUGGGACAUAGUAGUUGAAUUCCUGCCCAAGCCUUGUUGCACUCUUCGCAAUCAAAGUUUUUCUUUGCAAUUGACAGUCUUCAAUGCUUGCUUUAACGAUAUUUUCAUUGAAUUUCUUUCUCCUCACGUUUUAUAAAACAUUUUCUUAAGAACGUGAAGAGAGGCUACAUCGUAUCAUGUGUUUGUCCGUGGUUUCUGGAUUUUGAUCAGCUAACUUGUUGUCUACGUAAAACAAGUGCAACAUAAUCGCUCCUCUCGUGUUUGAAAGCUCGCGAUUGUGACACAAGAAAUGCACUAGCCAAGAAUGCACACGAGGAGGGCUACACGAAAUGCCAAGCACGCAACCAUGUGAGGUUCACAAUGUGCUUGUGUGUGAGGUUAGCACGCGGGCAUGCCCAACACGCGUGAAAAGCCUCUUGUGAGAUUCACACACAGUAGCCAGCGCCCAACCAAGGCCCUACUACCCACCCAUUCGUGCCAGGCAGUGUCAUAUUGCGUGUUGAGCUAUUUUUGGUAAUUUUUUGUGUUUUUUAAGUAUACUUUUGAUAUUUUAUUGGCAAAAGAUAAUUAAUUGUACUAUUUUACCAUUAUUUCAGGACAUGAGAAGAUCAUACAAAUUUAUAAACCAAGGAUUUGAGCUUGUAUCUAUGAGUGGAAAAUGUUUUAUUUAAAGUGAUUUCAAGCAUGUUCUUAAGUCAUGAUUUAUGACGGAUUUAUGAUAAAAUGUUUAAGUUAUGUUAUGAAAAGUCUUUCAAGGGUGUUAUUGUUUAAAGGUAUUUAUUCAAGCAUAUUGUUUACUCUUCAAAAUGCAUAAUAUUCAAAAUGUUUUCCCACUUUCUAGGUAGAGAUCGUGUCCUCUAAGCCUAACUUGCUACUACCUGUCUACUAAAGGAUUUCAUUUUGUUAUCAUAUGUGUCCUGUUAUUUUGUACUAAUGAUAAAUUAGUCUUUUGUGCUAUCAGACUUAGGCUUUUGGGAAGGUUUAAUAAGGUUUUGUUCUAGAUAAAUAAGAUUACGUUUUUUCUAUGUAAAACUUGUCUAAGGUUGUUAAAUGAAAAAGGUUUAGCCCAAUUUUUUAGUAAAAUUUAUGUGUUAUGUUUCCGCUGUUGUUUAGAGUUUAAAGGUUCAGGCUAAGGGUUAAAUGGUGUCGUUCUUGACGUGGGUGCUAUCGAUUGGCUUCACGCCAUAUCUCGAGCCACGCAAGUAGGUUCUCGUGGUGGGGUGUGAUAGCCUAAGUUGGCUUAUUAACGGUUAAAAUGUAAACAUGUCCAUAACAAAAUAGUCGGGCGAGGCCCAUGUGGACCGACUGGUAAAGGUUGAAGAGCAAAUGCUCUACCUAAUGAAAGUUCCUAACUCAAUUCGCUUCUUGGAAACCCGCCUUGAAGAAAUUUUUUAGAAAGCUGAUGCUAUUAAUUAAACCACCACCCAAAAUCUUAAGCUAGUGAUUAAAAGUAAAUUUAAUUAUAUAUCACUAACAAUCCCCCACUUAUGGGUUCAAAAUAUCUAAAAGGUCCAACAAGUGAAAAUCAAUUUUAAUUGGGAAGGAAACACCAAUACAAGGUGUAACGACCCAACUUUUCCAAAUAAGUCGAAGUCAUUAAUUUCAAAUAAAGACCUGAGUUUACGCAAAAUCUCAAUCUCAAAUAAUUUCAAAGUCUCAAAGAAAACAAAAAUUUAUAUUUGGGCCCUGUUUAAAAUAGCCAACACUUUCAAGAAAAGUUUACUAAUUCGUGAAUACAGUUCAACUAUAAAAUUUUCUAAACAAUCUCAAGAACUAAAACAAAACAUGAGAAACAAAACAUUAAGCGGAAGCAAAUUAAAAUAUCCCCUAUGGCAAUCACGCUUCCUUCCUGCCCCUCGCCGGUUUGUCGCCUUUAUUACCUUUGCCUGAAAAAAUUAAACAUAAGGAGGGUGAGUAUAAAAUACCCAGUAAGAAACCCUCUACUGGUCCCAUCAGGGGAAAAUAAAUUGUUAACAUUCUAUUGGGACACCCUGUACAGUCGCAGUCUUGUGAUCCCGUAGGAUGCAUAUUUCAGUCUAACGCCCCGAGGGACGUACAUUUCAGUCUAGUGUUCUGCAGAAACACAUAUCAGUCUAAUGCUCCCGAAGGUGCAGAAUAAUUGGUGAUCCCGUGGGACACCUACAAGGCACACAUCCCAAUAAAAGCUAACAAUUUUUCCCCUCAGUCCAUUCUAAACAUCUUAACAGUCAUUCACAGAUCAGUUAAACAUUCUCAUCAUAUAAACUCCUUAUUUAACCCCAAACAGUCGUCUUACUCUAAUUUAGCCCAAGGUCAAUAAAAAGUAUAUCAUUACAUCAGUUAACAAGCUAAACAAUCAUAAUCUCCUCCUCAGCCACCAAGGGCACAACCAUGACGUUUCCUCCGUUCACAAGCACACAACAUAACAGUAGAUUAUACAUUCAGUCUAGACAACAAUCAAUCUACUAAUCAAAUCCACACUUUAUAUAAGCAACAUCUACGAGAUUCAGUCGUUUCCACAUCCUUAUCUUUGUACAUAUACAUAACCAGACAGUCACAACAUAUACUCAACCACAGUCCACAUCAACCCAUGCACAUAUAUAUAUUAAUUUCUCCCAGUCAAACACACAAACAUUAAACUUUAAGUCAAUACCCAAACAUACAUCAUAACUGUCGUCCCUACUCAGUUCACAUAUAAUAUUUCGGUCCAUACAGUCAAUACAUCUUAAUUAGUCAAUAUAUCUUAAUUUUGUUGUUGAGUCCAGUAGAAAAUCCCUUACCUCAAAGUUAGGGAAGCUCCUUAAUCAACUAUCGUCCACGAAACAAUCCAAAUAAGGGCAAACUGAAAUCAAAAUUCACAAUUUGGUUGUGAAUUUAAGUGAUCCAAUAAAUCAAAUCCUAAACAUAAUCAAACAUAAAAUCAACAUCUUUCUAAAUAGUUUCAACCAUUCAAAUUACCCCAUAUGUAAAUUCCACAACUUACCCAAGAAGUGGAAAAUCAAUUCCACUUCAACCUUUUGGAAAAUCAAGGAUUCGCUCACUGAAUUAAGAUGUACCUUCAAGAAUUAAGCAAUUCGCCAACAAUUAAAUCCAAUGGUAGCAUUCAACAAAAACCAAGAAACCAACAAAAACCAUAACUUGUUCUUACCAAAUAUGAGCCCAAUGGUUCACGGCAAGGCAAAAAUGACAAUCAAGAACGAAUAAACGGCUGUAAAUAGAGCAACACUGAAUGCGACUCAACCGGAAAAGAAAAUCGGCUUCAAAUCGUAACUCCGUCUUCCAACGAGCAGAAGAACGACGACUUGAUAGGGACACGCAAUUUAGGAAGAGAUCGGCUACCGGUGGGGACACGGCGUUGCAGAUCUGGACAACGGCGCGGAGACAAAGGUUGCGCGGUGCUGGGUAGAGGGUCACACGGCACUGGGCGGAGGGUCACGCGGUGCUGGGCAGAGGGUCACACGACGCUGGGCAGAAAACAGAGGAGAAAGGAGAGGGGAGACAGCCGGCGGUUACAGGUUCACGCGGCGGCCUUGGCUUCGACGGACGGAAGGGAAGAGAGGAGAUGAUCGGCGGCUGCGACAAAUAGAAGAAGAAAAAAGGAAAGAGGUGGGCGGCUGCUAGGGUGAACGAAGAAGAAGAAAGAGAUGGAGGACGCACGGGAGGAAGAAGGAAGGGAAAAAUUCUUUUUCUUUUCUUUUAUUUAUUUUAAAUAAUAAAAACUAAAAUAUAAAUAAAUAUAUAUAUAAUUAUAUUAUCACAUUUUCAAAUCUUCUUUCUCCCCCUUCAACAUAUUUUCUUAAAAAAAUAAAUCUUGUACAAAUCGAAAAAUUUUCUUAAAAUAAAUUACCUUCGAGUUUGGGGCGUUACACAAGGACUUGAACAUAGGACCUUUUGGACCACCUGCUCUGAUACCAUAUUAAACCCCAAAUUCACCCAAAAGCUUAAGCUAGUGGUUGAAGGUAAAUUUAAUUAUAUAUUACCAAAGUAUGAGGUUUCAUCACAAUACCAAUUGGCAAUGAGAGGAGUAGCUCAUCUAUUUUAUAAGGAGUCUAAGUUUCCUUGGUUUUUCAAUUGUGGGAACAUGCCCCUUCAAGAUGGUGCCUCUUUGGUUUCACCUAUCUUGAACCAAAUAUCCGUUUAGGCUUAAUGAGCUCUAAUACCAUAUUGAAAGCAAUAUAUACGAAACCAAAGCUUACGUGAAAACGCAAGAAUCGAAAGAAAAGCAUUGUGUUUGUAGAGGCACAAUUGGUUGUUUAAUAUAUAUCACUAACACUAUUGCUGCAAUGAUCGAUCAUCUCGAUGGAUUACCCAUUUAAGAGUUGUUGACAAGAGUUGACACUCUAGAAUCAAAAGUUGUAAGAACUAGAUGUUGUAAUUUAUGUCCUAAAACUCGUUGUAAUCAUAAUCUAUUCAAUUAAGUCGUUAUUGAUACUAUAAUCUUAAAGCCAAUAAACUAAGGACCCGAGGUUAUUAUUAAGUAAACUUGAACUUUAUGUAGAGACAUAAAAGUUGAUCAAGUUUAAGUAUAGAGCCUAAAUAGUAUAGAUUGUACGAAUACAGUUAGGCACCUUAUUCCAGGACACAAUGAAUGCAGUCUGCUUUGUAUUUAGUAUAAACGAUGUGAUCCUAAAUCCUAGAGACAUGAAAGUAUGGACAUCCUAUGUAAAGAGUUUACAAAAGAAUAGAACCAUGAAAUAGUCACUUUUAAGUUAUAACACCGUUAACUUUGAAAAACUUACUAUUUCAUUGAUAGAUAUCAAAUAUAACUUAAUCUUAAUACUGGGCUAACUAUAAGCUUUUGUUCUCACCAGCAUGCUUGUUUAAGGCGUUGUUUAUCUAUGGCCACAUGCCCAAAUACCCCCAAAUCACCUUUUCUUUAUGUCUUGUAUUUAGUUUAGUCUAUUGCUUUCCUUUUUAUGUCAUAGACCUAGGGUGUGAGGUGUCACACAUUUUCAUUUGCAAACCUGUCAAAGCUCAAAAAGUCUAAACUAUACUAUAGGAGAGACCCAAUAGUUGAAUCCCCAACCAUGUCUUAUCGUAUUCUUUAUAAUUAAAUUUUUAUUUGCAAUUGAAAGUCUUCAACGCAUUCUUUAAUGAUGUUUUUAAUGAUAUUCUCUCUCACAUUUUAUAAAACAAUUUUUUCAAGAACGAGAAGGGAGGUUAUAUCAUAUCGUGAGUUUGUUUGUGAUUUUCGGAUUUUACAUGCCUGACUUAUUGACUGAGCAAAACAAGUGUUCUACAAUUGUCCGUUCCAUGUUUGAAAGAUUGCGAUUGUUGUGGUACAGAGUGUCACAAGUGUGCUUGUCCAAGGCAUUAUUUGCCUAUGGUCGUAUGCUCGUAUAUCCUCAAACCACUUUAUCUUUAUGCUUUGUACUUAGUUUAGUCAACUGCUUUCCUUUUGUUGUCACCGACCUAAGGUGCGUCGUCGUUUGCAAUUUUCAUAUGCAAUGUUGUCAAUGCUAAAAAAGUUUAAGAUGUAUUGUAGGGGAGGCAUGGUAGUUGAAUCCCCAACUAAGCCCUAUUGUGAUUUUUGCAAAUCUAAGCUUUCUUUGUAAUUGACAAUAUUCAAUUUUUUCUUUAAGGAUGUUAUCAAUGUUUUUCUUUAUCUCUCACGUUUUAUAAAACCAAUUUCUCUCAAAAGAUGAAGCGAGGCUACAUCGUACCACAAGUUUGUCCGCAACUUUCAAAUUUCACAAGGUUGCCUUGUUCAUCAAUUUAGAACAAGUGUUGCACAAUCGCCCGUCCCGUAUUUGAAAAGUUGCAUUUUGUGACAAGUGGUAUUAAAGCUUUGUUAGCUCCUUGGCUAAGCGAGAUGCAAUUAUGUCAACAAUGAAACAACUAUCAAAGUUGCAACCGGAGCGACUGACUGAGAUUGAAGAGGAAUUCUUGGAUAUGAAAGAAUUGCCAAACGAAGUAAGAUUUCUCUAGACCCAACUUGAGAUGUUUAAAGAAAAAGUCAGAGAAAUAGACGCAUUGAAUGCCUAAAUAGACAAACUACCCAUAAAUGAAUUGGUGCUGAGGGUUGAUUCGUUAGAACAUAAAACCACCAAAGUAGGUAGUUUUGAACGUGGAAGUAGCUCUUCAAGUUCUAUUGCACAAAUGGAAGAGCGUGUCGAAGAUUUUGACUUUUGACAAGCUCCAACAUAAUCAGUUAUAUUUCAAGAAAGAGAAAAGUGUUUUUGCUAAAUAGCGUAUCAAUUUUCUAGGUCACAUCAUCGAAUGUAGAAAGAUUUGAAUGGACGAACAUAAGUUGUAAGCUAUUAAGGAGUGGAGAGCCCCCACUUCCGUGAAAGAGUUACGUUUCAUCCUUCAAUAUAUUCUAAAAUAGGGUUCACCUACUAUCCUCUAGACUCAGUACCGGGAGAAAGAAAUAGAUGGAAAAAGAAAUGGGCUUGGUAAUUUUUUUCUAUGUAAAUAAGAAAAAGAAAUCCAAUUUGGUACAAGAGCCCAAAUUCAAUAGCCAGCCCAUCAAAUGAGGUCAACGACCCUAUUUAUAAGGAUUUUCCAUGCAAAAUUGCAUGUCCAUGGAAUACUAAAGCCCAACAACUCAAAGCUCUAUUUCUAAUAUGAAAUUCGAUGGCUAUAACACAUAUACUUGUCAGUUUCUCUCUCUUCUCCCAAUUCGAACAAUUCGACUUAUUCCAUCACACUGUUUUAAGUUUAUUCCAUAUGAGCUAGCAAGGGAACCUAAUGGACCUAUAUAUCAUGGACUCCAAUGAUUCAAGAUUAAUUGACAAAAUUCUUAUAGACUGAGUUAAUCAACAUUCGUUAACUAACGGGUCAUUCAUGUAUGUACUGGAACGAUUCAGAAUCACCUCGUUUGUACUAACUACAAAGCGGGCGGCAUCCACAAUUUCUCUGAAAAAAUCUGGGUUACUACAACGUCACCACGAUGUACAAUUUUCCUGAUAAGAUGGUACUUACGUUCGAUAUGUUUUCCCCAUUUACGGCUUUUAGGUUCUCUUGAAUUUGCAACUGCACCACUGUUGUGACAGUAUAAAGUGAUUGAUAGAUGCAUAUUUGGAACGACUUUCAGAUCUGUCAAGAAUUUUCUUAGCCAUAAUGCUUCUGUUGUUGCUUCAAAAGUUGCUACGUAUUCUCCCUCCAUUGUGGAAUCAACUAUACAAGUUUGUUUUAUGCUUCUCCAAACUACUACUCUUCUAUUUAGAGUGAAUACUAAUCCUGAUGUAGACUUUCUAGCAUCUUUAUCAGUUUGAAAAUCAUAAUGAGUGUAUCCAGUAAGGAUCAAAUCUUUUGUACCAUACACGAGAAUGUAGUGUUUUGUUCUUCAAAGAUAUUUUAGAACAUUCUUAACGGUUGUCUAGUGAUCACGUCCAAGAUUGGACUGAUACCUACUGACCAUCCCUACUAAGUAGCAAAUGUCAGAUCUAGUACACAACAUUGCAUAUAUCAAACUUCCAACAGCGGAAGCAUAGGAAAUUUUUCUCAUAUCCUCAAUUUCUUGAGGUGUCUUAGGACAUUGUUCCUUUGACAAAUGAAUUCCGUAGAUGUAUAAUAGCAUACCCUUUUUGGAAUUCUACAUUUUAUAUCUAGACAACAUUUUGUCUAUAUAAGAUGCUUGAGACAUGGCUAGUGUUUUGUUCUUGCAGUUCUGUACAAUUUGGAUCUUAAGAACGUAUUGUGCAUUUCCCAGAACUUUCAUUUGAAAUUGCAUAGCUAGCCAUUUCUUGAUAUUAGUAUGAAAUCCUAUGUCCUUUUCCAAUAAGUAGAAUAUCAUCUACAUACAAGACUAAGAAUACUACAAUGGAAUUGACGACCUUUUUUGUAAACAUAAGGUUCGUCAACCUUUUGUAUCAAAGCCAUAAGAUUUGAUCAUAGUAUCAAAUCUUAUAUUCCAGGAUCUAGAUGUUUGUUUUAAUCCAUAAAUGGAUUUUUGAAUCUUACAAACCUUUUGUUCUUGAUCUUGAUCUAUAAACCCCUAUAAUUGAGUAAUAUAGAUACUCUCUUCAAGAUUGUCAUUAAAAAAAAAGUUGUCUUGACAUCCAUCUGCCAAAUUUCAUAAUCAUAAAACGUGGCGAUGCAUAAGACUAUUCUAAUUGACUUUAGCAUGGCAACGAUAGAGAAAGUUUCUUCAUAGUCUAUGUUAGAAAGAGACAUGCGCAGUGGAAAAAUGGAAUACAAAAUUCCCCUAAUUGCACCUAUUUAACUUGCAACCCUAAAUUAAAAGAAUUAGGGUUUAGGAAAUAUUAUACCUUUGUAUCUAUUCGAAUAUGAACGUCUAUACCUCUCACAAAAUUCCAAAAGUUUUUGAAACCAAAAUGUAACACCUUAAACUUAGGAUUUGGAAUUCGUAUCUCCAGCAUUCUCUGCAUCCCCUGCCACCUGGCAGCAUCAUCCUUACUAUUCUUAAAAACUUAUUAGAAUGAAAUUCCUCUUCACAAAACAACACGAAAUCUUUCAGCAUGCUUUUCCUCACUCACAUGCAUCCUAGGAAAAUUUCCAAGAGGUCACCCAACAUAGAAUUUCUUCAAGCUAAGCACGCUUAACUUUGAAGUCCCUAUAAUCGAGCCACCGAAAAAAAAAGGUUCACAUUGUUGGUAUAGGUAUUAAGUUUUAAUUCUUUUCAGUCUUUCUUAACAUGACUUUCAUGUCCUCAAGGUGCACCUUGUCGGUAUACUUGUCGAUUUCUCUCUCUUCUCUCAAUUCGGACAAUUCGACUUAUUCCAUCACAGUGUUCUAAGUUUAUUCCAUAUGAACUAGCAGGGAAACCUAAUGGACUUAUAUAUCAUGGGCUCCAUGAUCAAUAAGUUAAUCCUUCACAUGUUAUUCGUAACCUCGAAUGGAUCAAAUUACUGUUUUAUCCUUGAGACUACAUCUUAUUUCUUAAGUCUCAUUGAUCCACUAUUGAACAAUUGGUUUAAGGUCCAACCUAUAAACUUAAUCCCUCUCGGGCUAAUGUGAGGGUGGGGCCCCUUGUUCAAGACUUGGAUUAGUGCUUAAGAGAACAACCUAUCUACUAACCCUAAAACAGGUAGAAGUGAAUUUUUUCUUGCAUCCUAUGUUCCCAGCCAUUCAUCUGAUCUUACCCUUGAAAUAGGAGGCUUAUUGGGAGAACGUUGAUGAGAUACCCUCACCUAUGCAGAUGUAACCCUAAAACAAGUAGAAGUGAAUUCAGUCUUAUGUAAGUACUUUAUAGUGUUUAAGAGAACAACCUAUCUACUAACCCUAAAACAGGUAGAAGUGAAUUUUUUCUUGCAUCCUAUGUUCCCAGCCAUUCAUCUGAUCUUACCCUUGAAAUAGGAGGCUUAUUGGGAGAACGUUGAUGAGAUACCCUCACCUAUGCAGAUGUAACCCUAAAACAAGUAGAAGUGAAUUCAGUCUUAUGUAAGUACUUUAUAGUGUUUAAGAGAACAACCUAUCUACUAACCCUAAAACAGGUAGAAGUGAAUUAUGUCUUGCAUCCUAUGUUCCCAGCCAUUCAUCCGAUCUUACCCUUGAAAUGAGAGGCUUAUUGGGAGAACGUUGAUGAGAUACCCUCACCUAUGCAAAUGUAAGGAUAAUCUCAUGUGAACAGGAGUUCAUAGUUAGCUUAGGAUUAAGAUUAAGCUACCUAAGUCAUCAAUAAACGAAAUAGUCAGUUCUAAACAGUAAACGGUGUUUAACGUAAAAGUGACUAUUUCAUGGAUCAGUCUUAUGUAAGUACUUUACAUAGGAUGCCCCCACUUUCAUGUCUCUACAUGAACAAUUUAGGAUCACCUCGUUUGUACUAAUUACAAAGCGGGUCACAUCUGUAGUUUCUCUAAAUAAGGCACUAUAGACUAUUGAGGCUAUAUACUCGAACUUGAUCCACAUUUAUGUCUCGACAUAAAGUUCAAAUGUAUUAAAAAAUAGCAUCAAGACUUAGUUUAUUGGAUUUAAGAUUAUAAUUUUUAAUUUUUCAAUAAUGAUUUUAUUGAACUGAAUAUGAUAACAAACUACGAGUUUUAGGACAUAAAAUCCCAACAUAUGUAUUUUUGCCUCUAAUAAUAAUGUUGAAAGAUGUUUAUUGAUGUUGUCUCUUUGAUUUGGAGUCGCCAUGUAGGAGUUUCUCUGAUUGUGAGUUUCGUAAGAAAUUUACAUAACCACAAGCCUACCCUCCAUAUACAGUUUGGUAAGCACAUUCAGAGCCUAAGUGAGGAGGUUCGUAUUGCUAAAGAGUCCAUGGAUAAAGCUCAGAGAAAGGUUGGGCAAAAUCCUAUGUCUGAUGUUUUGAGUCGCCAAGCAGGUCUUGCCAUUGAGGCCUUUUGGACGGCUGUUAAAUUGGAGGAAGCCUUCAUGUGUUAGAAGUCCAAGAGGUUUGUGAGUUUCCUUAGAACUUGUGUUACCUCCUCGAUGUUCUCCAUUAUGAUUAAUGGCUCUUUCAAGGGUUUUUUAAUGGGAAGAAAGGUUUGCGGUAGGGUGAUCCUUUAUCUCCUUUCCUUUUUAUCAUGGUGAUGGAGGUCCUCUCUCGUAUGUUAAAUCGGCCUCCUCCGAGCUAUCAGUUUCACAGGCAUUGUGAGAAGGUUAGCUUAACUCAUCUGACCUUUGCUAAUGAUCUUAUGAUUUUUUGUGCUAUGAUGAUUCCUCUUUGAGUUUUAUUAACGAGACUAUUCGAAAGUUUGGUGAUCUCUCGGGGCUAUUUACUAAUCUUAGUAAAAUUUCUAUGUUUGUUGUAGGGGUUAAUAGUGAUGAUGUUUAUCGUUUGACUACCAGUUUGGGUUUUGUCCUCAGGCAUCUCCCUGUUCGUUAUCUUGGGCUUCCUUUACUUUCUGGAAGGUUACGACCUACUGAUUGUGCUCUCUUAUUCAACGUAUUACUAGUCAGAUUCAUUCUUGGUUUGCUAGAGUUUUAUCAUUUGCAGGUAGAUUGCAACUGGUUCAAUAUGUGCUUGAUAAUCUUCAGGUUUACUAGGCUAACGUGUUUGUGCUGCCUGUGAGUGUGCAUCAUGAGGUUGAUAAAAUCUUGAGGUCUUAUCUUUGGAGGGUAAGGAGGAAGGUAGAGGAGGUGUUAAGGUGGCGUGGGCUGAGGUGUGUUCCUUUUGAGGAGGGUGGUCUUGCUAUUCUUGAUGGGUCUUCUUAGAAUGUUGUGAGUACUAUGAAGAAUCUUUGGUUGUUGCUGACUAGUUCGAGUUUUCUAUGGGUUCCUUGGGUGGAGGCUUAUAUUCAUAAAGGAAGGUCAUUGUGGGAGGUCGAUUCUUGUGUUGGUCGGUCUUGGUGUCUUUGCGUUAUCAUGUGGAAACGAGAUAGUCUAAAAGAGCAUGUUCAGAUGGAGGUUGGGGAUGGUAGGCAUUGUAAACUGUGCCUGGAUCCGUGGUUGCAGGGUGGUCCUAUCCUUCAACAAGUUGGUGAGAGAGCGCUUUAUAAUGUAACGAGUAGAUAGGAGGCUAGGCUCUCUAAGUUUAUUGGUUCGAAAGGGGAGUGGAGGUGGUCGAGGGUGUCUUUGGAUUUGAUUAAUUUAUGGGAUAGGGUUCAAGUUGUAAGUUCGUGUCCUAAUGUUGGUGAUAGGUGGGUUUGGGUUCUUGGUCGUCAUAGUGGUUUUUUGAUUGCUAGUGCAUGGGAUACUAUUCAUCCUCGUAGUGUUAAGGUUCGUUGGACAGGUUUCUUGUGGGGUGGGAUUGAGAGUCUCGUUAUCAUUUGUUUUUUCAUGUCCUUUUGGGUGUGAUAUUUAGUCUCGGGUCCUUCAGGUUAUGGCUUCCUCUCACAGGAUUGGGUAUUGGAGGGUUGAGUUGUUUGGGGUUUGUCAUUAGAGUAUUGGUAAGGGUGUGAGAAGGAAGUUGUGGUAUGUUCUCUGGUGUGCUACGAUUUAUUUUAUGUGAAAGGAGCAUAAUCAUUGUCUCCAUGGUGGUCAAGCUCGUGAGCUCAUUGUUCUGUUUCAGCUUAUUCCAUCUUGUAUCAGUGCUCGUGUUGUUUAUUUGCGUGAGGAUGCUCAUGGUAUUAUUUAGCUUGUUUUCUUUUGAUUUUUGUUUUAUCUGCUUGUUCUCGGGCUGUGGGGUUGUUUGGACUUUUUAUGUUUUUGUUGCUCUUAAUUUUGUUGGGUUUAUUAUUGUUCUUUCUUUUGAUACUUUGGAUUCUUCCUAUUUUUGUGAGCAUUGUCCGCUCUUGUGAGGUCAUCCUUGUUGUAUUAUGAUAUUAACUUUUCAAAAAAAAAAGAAAGAUAAUGCAAUUCAACUUUAGAUAAAAACAUGAUUCGAAUUUUCAUUUCAAGAAAAUACAAGGGGACAGAACUUUUCUUUCACUAUUUCAAUUACUAGAAUCUAAAUUUCAAUUCUCACUUUUUUGUAUUUUGAAUUUACAAGCCUCUUUUUUCUUUCUUUGGUAUGAAAGGUGGCAACUAGGCCUUGCUAGAACGAGUGGGGUAACCUUUCUAUGGUUCUACACUUAGUUUCGAAGUUCGAAGUUUUCCUCCUACAGUGGAUCAUCGCUAUUGAUUUUUCUACUGUUAAUUCGACCUCCCACGAAUUCUCUUCUUCUAAGGAUUCACUUUUCUUUAAGGCUCUGCACUCUACUAAAAAGCCUUGAUCUUCUUCCCCCCAAUGUUUUCAUAAACUUCUUAAGACAGACCCUGACCUUGGUUAGGCUCGGAUCUCCUUGGAUUAUCACCUUCUUCCCCUAAUAUAUCAAUGUUAACAUCAUAUUCUUCCAAUCCACUCCAGUCGUUCCCAAGGAAUACAAUCACUGCAUUCCAAGUAUGGCAACUACCCCUCCCAACUUCAAGGGUAAAAACUCAUUCACUACCUUCUAGUCUCCCAGCAUUAACUCAACAUCUUCACAAAUUACCUUCCCUUUGACUACAGUGCCCGAGCCCAAAAUGACUCCAUAAUUCGACGUUUCUCUUGUACUCAGUUGCAACUCUUUCACUAUUUUUUUUAAAUGAAAUUGCGUGUGACUCCACAAUCAAUUAGUACUAUAGCCACCUUCCCUUGUAUCAUCUCUUUUACCUUCAUUUUCCCUAGGUUGGAUAAUCCCACCACAUAAUUAAUGGAUAAUUCCACCAUCACUUGACUCUCCUCUACGAUCUCAGGGGCAUUCAAUUCUUUCUGAUCAAUUCCUCCUUCUUCAAUAAUUUCAUACUCCUCGCCUUCUUCCUUGACAACAAUCAUUCGCAAUUCCCUUUGCUCUUUCAUCUUGCAUUUGUGGUCAUGAGAAUAUUUCUCAUUACAACGAAAGCACAAUCCCUUCUUUCUAGAUUGAAAUUCAGCAUCAAAUAAGCGCUUCGUCUGUCCCUUUUUCCGUACUUCCUCUUUUGUUGUUCCUCGUAGAGUAAUAGUUCUCAUCGGCCAAUUCAUUCUCCUUUACUUUCUUCUGUAUUCAAUGGUAUUAGCCUUGGUGCUAUUAUGGGAGUUUAUCACCUUUUCUCCAGAAUAUCCAGAAAGAUUUGCUUCCUGACGUAUAUCUUCCUUGUUCUCUACCUUUUGCGCGAUUCGUAUCAUUUGUGCUAAUCCCUUCGACUCACAUAAAUCCAUCUCGCGUAGAUCCAUAGUUUCAAUCCCGACAUAAAUGUCUCUUUUACCACCUUCUCUAAUAGGUCCGACAAAGGAGCUACCCACUUAUCGAAUAAAUUUUGAUAUUCCUCUAUCGUUGUCUUUUGUUGAAUUUGCAAGAACCUUACAUACAGCGAUUCCUCCCUAACGGAUCGAAAUCGCACCAAUAAUCUUUCCUUCAUAUUCACCCAAUCUACAAAGUUCUCUCGUUCUUCUUGAGAACGGUAAAAGUUCAAUGCUAGUCCCUUAAAACUAAUAGUGGAUACAGUCAUUUUCUCAAAUUCAGUAAGUUUAUGAAUGUGCAAAUACCUCUCUACGCGAAACAGCCAAGAAUCAGGAUCAUCUCCAUUGAAUAUCGACAUCUCCACCUUCUUAAACUUAUUGCAGUCACUAUUACUUUCAUCAUCUAUUUUCUUUCCUUCCUUCCUUGUUUCGUUCUCCCAUCUUGGUCACCCUUCGCCUUCGUCCACAUUCUUCGUCGAUGAAUUGUGCAUUGUUGUCGAUUCCAUAAUUCGUAACAUCAUCUGAUUCUACCUCUCCAUAUUUUUGGAUAGUUUGGCAACGUCUUUUCGAUCACCAGUAUCUUACUAAUCUCUUUCUUAAUGUCCUGUAUUUCCUGGUCAAACGUCUCCAUCUCUUCGAUUCGAGUCUGAAACCAUUUGCAUUCUUCUUGCCCAAGAUCAAUGCUCUAAUACCAAUUUGAUGGAAACCAGUCUUGGAAUAAAAUUGCUACUAUAUUAUUAAUGAUAGAAUAGGAAUGAAAUCCUAAUUACAAUAUGAAAUCCCUCUCCUGUUAUCCUCUCUCUCAAGGAAGAAUAGAAAUUCACUUUCUCAAACAAAACCUAACUUUCCCGCCCACGAUUACUUUUUAUUUAUACUAACAAUAAGGUAACUAACCCUUCCCUUUACUAACCCUCACAUGCUAUUCAUGUGCACGUGAUAUUUUUUUUUAAUUUCUUUAUCCCUCUUCUGCUGUACAGAUGUAAUAUAGGGGGUCUAUCAGAUUCCUCCUCUUUUCAAAGCCUCCAAUCAAACUCAAUGCUAAGUUUGACUGCUCCCUUCAGAGUGACGACCCUCAUUUUCCCCCUUCCGUGGUUUGGGGAGGAUUCCUCCUCUUUUUAAAGCCCUCAAUCAAACUUGAUGCUAUGUUUAGAACGCUAAGAAUAGGUGGUUUAGUUUUGGUUAGGCCAAAAGUGAAAUUUUCCCCCACAAGCACUAAUAGUUAGGGAACUCAACACAUUCUACUUGACUUAAUCGACUUGACUCUCUAAUUUUUAUGAGCUUUUUUCAAUGCAUAUUGCAUAUGUUUUUUUUAUAGUUGUUGAUUGUCUCACAUUUUUAUGGUUUGCAUUUACAAGCCCCUUUUUUCUUUCUUUGGUAUGAAAUAUGGUAAUAGGCCUUGCUAGAACCGGUGGGGUAAUCUCUCUAUGGUUCUACACUUAGUUUCAAAGUUUGAUUACUCCCUUCGAAGUGACAACAAGCCUCGUUUUCCCCUAUUGUGGAUCAGAGAGGAUUCCUCCUCUUUUCAAAGCCCACAAUCAAACUCAAUUAGAGUAAAAAGGAAAAAUUUUCAUCUCGGCGCGUGUACCUCACACGCAUCUCUCUAGGAUUUCCAAGUUCUCUCACUCGGCUGGUGAAGGAGGCGAACGGUUGGUGAGUGCUGCGGCCAGCAAGGGAUCAAAUUCGAAGGUAAUUCGUUCAAUUUUGGCAGAUUGAAUGUGAAAACUAAUGUCAUUUGGUAUCCAUUUCGAAAUUGAUUACAAUUGAUCAAUUGAACCAUUACGAAUGAUAUUCGUUUUGAUUCGGGAGAAUUAACGUCUGUCCAGAAAUUGUUUAAAUCGGUUUCCAAGCUGAAUUGAUUUGAACUAUCUUGAAAGUAUUGCGUGUGGUACAAAAUCGAUUUAUUGGCUAUCAGUUCUGGGUUUGGAGACUGUGAUUUAAUUCACUCUGCUCGCAUGAAUCUCCUCGGUUGAAUUUCAAUUCUUUUUUAGUUCAUUCAUGUUCCCAAAUUGGCCGAAAAGAUCAUCACGGGUGUUGGGUUGAUGUCUUAAGCAUGAAACAAUGAAGAAAUUAUCCAGUGACAUUGAGGAGGUGAAGAAACGCGUGAUGUCAAGCCUUCAACGCGUACAUGAUAUGGCGGCGAACGACCGAAGGGCGGCGACUGCAAAGGCUUGUGAGGAAGAAAUGGUCGGACAUGAGUGGACCCGAACCGGUUUACGUGAACCAUGAAACAUAUAGAAAUCGAAAUACAGGAAAUGGACCGAGCGGAGAUGGUCCCAUGAAGAUUGUUGGCCCAAAGGCGUGUGGACCGAUUGUUUCGAAUGAAAACUUGAUGAAGCCCAGUGAGCCGGUAAAGGGGUGAAGCCGAAUGGUGUGUUCACAUUUACGAAUGGAAUUGGUCAUGGAUCUCUGGUUGAUGGGCCAUCGUUGAAUGAUGGGCCGUCCAUCUCACACGAAAUUGGGAUCUCACAGAAGGAGUGCUUACCUGCUGGUGCUUCAUGUGUUCAGCAUGUUGGGCAAAUUGCAGCGGCCGAAGGAUAUGGACCUCGACUGGAUGCUAUUGCAAGUGCCCAAAGAUUGGGCCGGUUGAUGGGCAUUUGAAUGAUGGGCCAGCCAUUAGAGAACCGUUUGGUACUAAUUCCAAUGGUAGGCCGCCUGUUUCGAUUCGUGGGCAUGAGGUGCAGAAAUCUAAUAAUUCUAGAGGUGCAGGCAAAAAUUCAUGGGCUUCCUUAUUUGGCUCAACAAGAGGUUUCUCUAUGACCUAUACACCUCUGACUACCGUGGGAGAGAAAAUUGUGGUGACCCCGUUUGAAGAAGUUAUUAGUUAAGGAGUUAGAGUGUGGGAGAACUCCCUCGUCAGCCAAUUAAUUGAUGCAAAAUUGUUGUAUCUAGUCAUCUAUCGUCUUAUAGAGAAGAUUUGGGGUAGAAUUGAAAUGCCAACAAUUACUCUGAUGGAGAAUGGGCUCAUCUGCUUUCAAUUCAAACAUCUGAAGUCAAUACAGUGGAUCUUAUCCCGUGGCCCAUGGCACCUUGGAGGCAAACCUAUGCUCCUCCGCAAAUGGACUCCAGGUAUAGUUCCUGAAUCCUUCGUCUUUGAUUCAGUUCCUGUUUGGAUAAAGUUAGGGAGGAUUCCGUUGGAGCUAUGGACGGAUGCUGGUUUGGCUGUGGUAGCGAGUGCAAUAGGAAAACCUCUUUUAGUUGAUCUUGCUACUAAAGAGAGGCGUCGUCUUUCUUAUGCCCGUAUAUGUGUGGAAUUGAAUGUGGACAAUAUUAUGCCUGCCGAAGUAACAGUCAACCUUAGAGAGAGAGGAAUUUAUUGUAACUGUCACUUAUGAGUGGAAACCGAAAAAAUGUAACUUGUGUAGAUCUUUUGGACACUUGCAGAACACCUGCCCUAAGAAAAGAGGCAAUGAAGAUAGUAAAAAGGAAGCUGCAAGUAAAGAGGUUCCUGUUAAAGAGGUUGUUCCUACUAAAGAGGUGGUUCCAGAUUGUGGGGAGUAUGGAGAUGUUGUGUUGGAAUCCUUCCAACACAUGGAAGAAGGAGAAAUUAUUACCCAUAAACUUCCUGAAAAGGUGGAGGUGAAUCGGGAGGAAUUUACCCCAGUUGACAGGAAAAAUAGGGGAAUGAUCUCUAUUCGGGACAGAGGGAAAAGGGCAGAAGUGAGUAUCACUAACUCCUUUAAGAACCUCAUGGAGGUGGAUAAAGGAGAUAAAUGGCUUUUAUCUAUAGUGGAUGGCUCCCCUCCUCCCUUACGAGUAGAUGACUCUUUAUGGUCCUUUUGAGUACUACAGGUGAUGUAAUUCCUAUGGGAGAGGCGGCUCCCAUAUGACCUCAUGGUUAGUUGGUGUACGUGGAACGUGCGGGGCCUUAAGAGCCCUGUAAAGUGUAGAGCGGUGAAGGACCGGGUAUGGUCUUGGGUGAUUUUAACACCAUCAGACUCCACUCUGAAGCCUUUGGGGGUGCUCCGAACGUGGUGGAUAUGGAGGAGUUUGACAUGGCUAUUAAAGAGGCGAACCUUGUUGAACCCGCGGUCCAGGGGAACUGGUUUACUUGGACUAGUAAGAUACAUGGGUCGGGUUUGAUGAAGAGACUUGAUCGUAUCCUAGUGAAUGAUGAGGGGCUUAGUACAUGGCCUAACAUGAGGGUUAACGUCCUCCCGUGGGGUAUUUCUGAUCAUUCUCCCAUACUUGUCGAUCCUAGUAAUCAGCGAAGCCAACAAGUGGUCUCUUUUCGUUUCUUUAACCAUUGGGUUGAAGAAGCGUCCUUUAUGGAUGUUGUGUCCUCUACUUGGACCAAAGAUACUAGAGUUUCUCCAAUUGUGAAUAUUGUGAGGAACUUAAGAAAUCUCAAGUCGAUUCUUCGCAGACAUUUUGGUAGGCAUAUCCGGACCAUCAGUGAGGAUGUUCGUCUUCCAAUGAUACCAUGGACCGAGCUCAAAGAGAGAUGGAGACGAACUCUCUGUCGGAGGAGGCGAGUAAUCACGCGAGCUUAGCCACGGUAAACUUUUGGAAAGCGGUUAGAGUGGAGGAAGCCGCUAUGCGCCAGAAGUCGCAAAUCAGAUGGUUGAAGCUAGAUGACCAGAAUACUGCCUUUUUUCAUCGAUCUGUUCGAUCAAGGCAGAGCAGCAAUGCUUUGAGAUCAGUUAUUGACCCAGAUGGAAAUCGGUUGACUAACUAUGAUUAGGUGACUCGGGUGGUAGUGAAUUAUUUCAAAGAUAUAUGGGUUCUCAGAAUAUUAGCUAUAGAGAGCUCUCUACUAGUAUUGAGGAGAUUGUUCAGUUUAGAUGGACUGAGAAGUGUUGUCAGGCCCUCCAGUCGCCUAUUGGUAGGGAGGAAGUGAGACUUGUUCUGUUCUCCAUGGAUGGUGGAAAGGCUCCAGGCCCGAUGGGUAUUCAGUUGGCUUCUUCAAAGGAGCUUGGAGUGGUUGAAGAAGGUUCUCUGUGAUGUCGUCUUACACUUCUUUGAGACCAAUUACUUCCCUCAAGGGGUGAAUACGACUAUUACACUUAUUCCUAAAAGGAAUGGUGCUGAUCGAUUGGAGGAUUUCAGCCCUAUAUCUUGUUGCAGCGUUAUUUAUAAGUGCAUUUCAAGAAUAUUGGCAGAUAGGCUUCGUGUGUGGCUUCCUUCUUUUGUUAGUGGAAAUCAGCCAGCUUUCAUCCCUGGGAGGAGUAUUAUUGACAAUAUUCUUCUUUGUCAGGAGCUUGUAGGGGCAUACCAUUUGUACAGAGGUAAACCUCGGUGCACUAUGAAGGUUGACCUCCACAAAGCUUAUGAUUCUGUUAAUUGGGAUUUCCUCUUUGGCCUGCUGAUUGCCAUAGGUACGCCUUUAAGAUUUGUGAGUUGGGUUCGAGCGUGUGUGACCUCUCCGAUGUUCUCCAUUAUGAUUAAUGGAUCGUUGGAAGGUUUUUUCCAUGGGAGGAAAGGACUUAGACAAGGUGACCCUUUAUCCCGUUCUUAUUUGUGAUGGUCAUGGAGGUGCUUUCUCGCAUGUUGAACAACCCACCUCAGAAUUUUCAAUUCCACCAGUUUUGUGAGAAGGUCAGAUUAACUCAUCUUACUUUUGUAGAUGACCUGAUGAUCUUUUGUACUGCUGAUAAUCAUUCUAUGAGUUUCAGAAAGAGACUAUUAAGAGGUUUGGUGAGCUUUCGGGACUGUUUGCUAAUCUUCCUAAAAGCUCAAUUUUUCUUGUCAGGGUUAAUAGUUCGAAAGCUUCUCGGCUUGCUGCUAACAUGGGUUUUUCCUGAUAGAACUAAGUCAUGCACAGCGGAAAAAGAAUCGAAUUUCUACCCUAAUUGCCACAAUUAACAUGUAACCAUAAACUAAUCAAAUUAGGGUUUUAAGAAGUAUUACCUUUGAAGCUUUCAAAAGGUUUGAUGUUUCUUACCAAUUCUACCCGAGACCACCACUAGUACUCAACUGCUAUCCUCUAGACAAAGAACCGGGUUGUGGGACCCAAUUUUGGUGUAGAAAGUAGUGGAGAUAAAAUGAGAUUGGAAGCUUUUUUUUUUCUUUUGUUGAGAUUAUGAAAAUGAUAAAGAGGCAAAAUCCUUCAACAUUUGAAAACAUCUCUAUUUAUAGCCUAAUUACAUGCAAAAUGCAUGCAAUUCAAUUGCCAAAUCUCAACACCUAAUAUUCCACUAACAAUUAGUGGAACUUAGUGGGCUAGGUGUCUAUAUAUCAUAUAGCCACAUAUCCCACUAAGAGUUAGUGGGAUUAUCCAACAAAAUGUUGGAUUUUCCCACUAACUUAGUCCAAGGGUAAAAUGGUCAUUAGAUUUUUUAGUCAAAAGUCAAACUUUGACUUUUCUAAGUCAAAAGUCAAUAUUUUGACUUUUUACCAUUUUGUCCGUCUUGACUAAUUCCAACCUCCCGAGCAUGAAUCCGCAUUCAUUUUUCCAAAAUUCAAAUCACAUUUGAAUAUAAGGCCGGUCAAAGUUUGACUUUUCAAAGUCAAAAGUCAACAUUUUGACUUUUUACUAAUUUUGACCAAUUCCGAGCUUCUUAGUAUGAAUCCGCAUUCAUACUUAUAGUAUGUAAAACAUAAAGCUCUAUUUCUAAUUAGAAGACGACGAUUAUAUCACUGUAUAUAUGUCGGUUUUCCUUCCUUCUCCCUAUUCGAACAAUUCGAUUAUUUCAUCACACUGUUCUAAGUUUAAUCCAUAUGAGCUAGCAGAGGAACCUAAUGGACCUAUAGAUCAUGGGCUCCAACGAUUCAAGAUUAACUAGCUAAACUCUUUUAAACCGAGUUAAUCAACAUUCGUUAACUUAACGGGUCAUUCCACUAAAGUCCCGUAGUUGCACUCCCUCACUAUAGAUAUAUUUGUGUCAUUUGAUAAAACCAUAAUCAGUAAGUUAAUCCUUCACAGGUUGCUCGUAACCUUGGCUGGGUCAAAAUACCGUUUUACCCCCAAGAUUACAUCUUGCUCCUUAAGUCCCACUAAUCCACUAUUGAACAAUUGGUUUAAGGUUCAACCUAUAACUUAUCCCCUCUCGGGCAAUGAGAGGGUGGGGCCCCUUGUUCAAGACUUGGAUUCAGUGCUUAAGAGAGCAACCUAUUACUAACCCUAAAGCGGGUAGGAGUGAAUUCCAUCUUGUACCCUAUGUUCCCAGCUAUCCACCGAUCUUACCCCUGAAAUGGGAGCUUAUUGGGCCAACGCUGAUGAGCUGCCCUCACCUAUGCAGAUCUAAGGAUAAUCUCGUAUGAACAGGAGUUCAUAGUUAACUCAGGAUUAAGACUAAGUUACCUAGGUCAUCAAUAAUUGAGAUAGUCAGUUUUAAACAGUAAACGGUGUUAUAACGUAAAAAUGACUAAUUCAUGGUUCAGUCUUAUGUAAACAUUUUACAUAGGAUGCCCCCACUUUCAUGUCUCUACAUGAACGAUUAGGAUCACAUCGUUUGUACUACAAAGUGGGCCGCAUCCAUAGUCUCUCAAAAUAAGGCGCCCAACCUUUAUUUCAUAUACUAUAGACUAUUUAGGCUAUAUACUCGAACUUGAUCCACGUUUAUGUUUACACAUAAAGUUCAAGUUUAUUCAAAAAAAUAGCCUUGGAACUUUGAUUUAUUGGAUUUAAGAUUAUAAUAUUUAAUUUCUCAAUAACAACUUUAUUGAAUAGAAUAUGAUUUACAAACUACGAGUUUUAGGACAAAAAAUUCCAACAUUUCCAUCGGUCAUCUCCUUGUUCGUUAUCUUGGGCUUCCUCUCCUCUCUGGAAGAUUGUGGAGCUCUGAUUGUGAUCCCCUUAUUCAGCGUAUUACCAGUCGUAUUCGGUCUUGGUCUGCUAGAGUGUUAUCUUUUGUAGGUAGACUUCAGCUUGUUCGCUCAUUCCUUAGGAGCCUUUAGGUUUAUUGGGCUAGUGUGUUCAUGCUUCCUAUGAAAGUCCAGAGAGACGUUGAUAAGAUCUUGAGGGCUUUAUCUGUGGAGAGGUAAGAAGGAGGGAAGAGGUGUUGCUAAAGUUGCCUGGUGAGGUUUGUCUUCCUUUGAUGAAGGAGGUCUUGAUAUUUGCGAUGGAUCUUCUUGGAAUAUAGCAAGCACGUUGAAGAUAUUAUGGUUGCUACUUGUUAAAUCUGGUAGUUUGUGGGUUGCUUGGGUGGAAUCUUAUAUCCUUAAAGGGAGAUCGCUGUGGGAGAUCGAUGCUGGGGUGGGUCGAUCUUGGUGCUUUAGGGAAAUCUUACGUAAGCAGGAUAUCCUUAAAGCUCAUGUUAAGAUGGAGGUGGGCAAUGGAAGGAAGUAUAGAGUGUGGUUGGUUCCAUGGAUUCAGGGUGGGCCAAUUAUCCAGCAGCUUGGGGAGAGGGUGAUCUAUGAUGCGGGUAGUCGGUGGGAUGCGAGGCUGGUGGAUUUCAUGGGUCGGGAUGGUGAUUGGAGGUGGCCACUUGUUUAUUUGGAUUUGAUGGACAUUUGGGAUAGGGUUCAGGGAGUGAGGCCGAGUCCGAGUGUUGAGGAUAGGUGGGUUUGGGUGCCGGGGAGUCAUGAUAGUUUUUCGAUCACCAGUGCGUGGGAGACUAUUCGUCCUCAUAGUAGUAGGGUUGGCUAUUCGUCCUCCUUUUGUGCUUGGUUGGCCAUCAUGGAUAGGUUGGGUACUAGAGGUAGGUUAAGUCGGUGGGAUAGGCCGCUUCCUUUAUCGUGUUUGCUUUGUGGAGGGAACUAUGAGUCUCGUGAUCAUUUGUUUUUUUUCUUGUCAUUUUGGGUGGGAGAUUUGGUCGAGGAUCCUUUUGCUUAUGUCAUCUUCUCAUAGAACCGGUUAUUGGGGGGUUGAGUUAUCUUGGAUUUAUAAUCAGGGUAUUGGGAAGAGUGUGAGGAGAAAACUGUGGCGCUUCUCUAGUGCUACAAUUUUAUUUCAUUUGGCAGGAGCGAAAUCAUCGUCUUCAUGGAGGUGCUAUUCGGGAGCCUCUGGUUGUAUUCCAGCUCAUUCGGUCGUGUAUUAAAGCGCAUGCUGCUUCUUGGUCGGAUGGUGUUCAUGGUCUUAUUUAAUGUUCUUUUCGUUUGCUUGUCCGGGUUGUGGGGUUUCUCUUCUCUUUAUUAACUUUGUUGUCUUUCUCUCUUCUUCUUGUCCUUUUAAUGUUUGGAACACUAGUUGUUGGUUCUUUUGGUUUUAGUUAUUGUUCCCGAGAUGUGGGGUUGUUUUGGGUACUUAUGGGUUGUUUUGUCUAACUACUUGUUCUGUGAGUGUUGUUCGCCUCUUUUGUCUUGACCUCAGGCUGUGAGGUGCACAAUUGUUGUUGUAUAAUAUUAUCAUUACCUUUUCAAAAAAAAAAAAAAAAUCAAACUCAAUGCUAAGUUUGACUGCUCCUUCGAAGUGACAACAAGCCUCGUUUUCGCCCUACUGUGGAUCGUGGAGGAUUCCUCCUCUUUUCAAAGCCCUCAAUCAAACUUGACGUUAUGUUUAAAACACUAAAAAUAGAUGGUCUAGUUUUGGUUAGGCCAAAAGCGAUGUUUUCCCCCAAAAGCUCUAAUAGCUAGGGAACUCAACAUGUUCUACUUGACUAACCGACUUGACUCUGCAUUUGUUAUGAGCUUUUUUAAUGCAUAUUGCAUAUGUUUUUUUAUAAUUGUUGAUUGUCUCACUUUGUAUGGUAUGCCUUUACGAGCCUCUUUUCUUUCUUUGUUAUGAACUGCGGUGACUAGGCAUUGCUAGAACCGAUGGGGUAACAUUUCUAUGGUUCUACACUUAGUUCUAAGUGUGAUUGCUCACCUCUAAUUUUCAAAACACUUAAUUUCUAAGACAUAUCAAUGUUCACUAGAAAAAAUUGAAAAUUGUUGUAGUUAAGAUCAAAACUAAAUAGUUAUGAAAUAAGACAUAAAUUUGAUUUAACAACCUUCCCGUUGUACUUGGAUCCACUCUGGCUUUGUGCUGGAAAAUUGGUUUGGAGCUGAUCGUAACUUUCGGGCUUCUAUAACCUUAGAUACUCUUCAAAGCUAUAAGCUUUGGCUUCUGACGAAGAAUCUUCUACUAUUACAAUACAUAAGAAAAUUCUAUUUCACAAACCCUGUAAUAAUUGAGGCUGAUAGAAAUUAUUCUAUAACCCUACCGAUAGUUUCAUUCUUAACAUUCAUAGACACGAUGCAUGGCAGCUAUCCAAUUCUAUUUCAUGUUUCGAGAAUGCUCGGUUUAACAUAAUGUUAAUUUUUGUUUUCUAAUUUAAAAUAAUAACGCUGGCUUACUAAUCUUUUUUUUUUUUUUCAUUUGCAUUCUACUUUUUCUACUUAGCUUCUUUCCCUAGUGAAACAAAUAACACGGGUGAUAAUAAACUAAUCACUCACUUGUUUCAGCACCGAAAGCCCUUCUGUUCAUGAACUCUCAUUUCAUCGAGACUAAUUUCUCACUCAAACAUGUCUUGCAUUCUCUAGAAACGUCCUACAAACAAAAAGAAGAACAAAAACUACAAUAAGGUCUAUAAAAAGUUACAUAAGGAAAAUCUCAAAAACUGAUAUGUAAGUCAUAACAACCUUAAGUCCUCUUAUCGUGGGUUAAAAUGCCGUAAGGUUUUUCCAAGAGUCCGAGCAACUAGCAUGUAAAAAGUUAAGUCAACUAAAAUUUGCUAUAAAUUACUCGUAUUAACAUUAUCAUUGUUAGACUUGACAACUUCAAAUUUAUCAAUAUAAAAUAUCUUUAACAAAACGUACCUUGAGGUUCCUCCAACCUCAUAUAAAAAAGCAAAUAAUGCAAAAAAUUAACAAAUUUAUAGUGCAUAUUAUUAUAUCAAUUGAUCACAACAAAAUAAGAUCGAACAAAACCUAUGAGUAAUAUAGCCACCAAAUGAAUAACGAUGAAAACCGAAAACAAAACCGAGAAAAAAAAGGAAACAAUUCAUCAACAAAACAAAUUUAGGGGACUAAAAAAUGCUUACUUAUUACACACUUCAAAAUAUUAAGAAAAGUGGAGGGAAAAAACCAACCAAUAAUCAACAAAUAAACUUCAACACAAAUAGCCAUAAAUUUCUCUUUAAAGGUAUCACAAAUAAGUCCAUCAGUAAUAACAAAAUAAAAAGGGCAAUGUGCAAUUGAAUUCUGCAGUCGUAAAGCUAUGCUAAAGGCAAUAUGAAAUCAAACUUGAGCAAUAACAAGAAAAUUUGCAAAACAAAAAUUACUAGACAUCAUUAACUAAAGUACCACACAACAAUGAAUGUGUAACCUCCGCAAGAGCAAAACCCGAAUGGAGAAAACAUGAGAAAUAUAUAAAUAGAAGAAAACAUAAAACAAACAUGAAACACAUGGAAAUAUACAAAGGAUAAAUAAAAAGUACACAUUAUAAAGUGAUGAAGCACAAUAUAGGUAUCAACAGAACCAGAAUAAAUCUUACCCUAAUCUCGACUGUCGAGGAGUGUUAACCAACCGUCGGAAGGUUGUUUUAUUUUUAGAAAAAUUUAAUGUUGUCUGAAUUCUUUCCAAGCCACUAACCAGCCCUCCUUAAUCUAUGAUCGCGAUCAACUCCUCAACAUCUAAUUACAUUUAAAAGAGUGAUGCGAACAUUGUGUGAAAUCCCAAACCUUUGAUGGAUCCACCAUCACUCUCUUCUAUCCCCUUCAAAACCUCAUUAUUUUCAAGAGAGGCCUCAAAGCUUCUUCCAUUAACAUAAAAAGAAUGAAAGAGAAGGAAGAAAGGGAAAGUGGUUCAAAAGCUAUGGAAGAAAAAAGUAAAAGAAAAUGGUCUACUCAUUGGCACAUUCUACACAGAUGAUAAUGUUAAGGCCAGGCAAUGAGAGACAGAAAUGCUUUUGGAGCUUCUCCUCUACUUUCGAAGAUUUUAACAAACUAAAAUAUGCAAAUGUUACAAGAAAGAUCUUUGGAGAUUUGAAAUAAUCCAAAAUAAAGAAAAAGGAAAACCCCAAUAUAUACAAAUUUCAGAAUCUAAAACUUGAAAAGUGAAUCGAAUGAUGAGAUAUGUUGUACAAUCAAUUAUAGAGACAGUGAAAUUAAAACAAAAAUGAAACGUAUCAAGAAAAAAGAAUAGCAACUAGUAUUAUGACCUUUGUAUAUCUUCAAAAAUACAAACAUAAAAAUGAAUCAAGAGAUCUACCACACAAAUAAUGGUAUCAACACAAAUAAAGCAAUUGUUUUAGUAACAAUAUUUGAGUACAAUUAAACUAAGCAUGCUAUUGUCCUUGACAAAUUUACAUUCUUCUAAUCGAACAAAAUCUGACCUUUAAAUAGUGAUAGAAACUGAAGAUGAAAGCAAGUUUAGCUACAACUUCAGACCGUGAUAUAUAUGACUGUUGGAAUUUUUUGUCCUAAAACUCGUAGUUUGUAAAUCAUAUUCUAUUCAAUAAAGUUGUUAUUGAGAAAUUAAAAUAUUAAUAAUCUAAAUCCAAUAAAUCAAAGUUCCAAGGCUAUUUUUGAAAAAUAACUUGAACUUUAUGUGUAAACAUAAACGUGGAUCAAGUUCGAGUAUAUAGCCUAAAUAGUCUAUAGUAUAUGAAAUAAAGGUUGGGCGCCUUAUUUUGAGAGACUAUGGAUGCGGCCCACUUUGUAGUAAAACGAUGUGAUCCUAAUCGUUCAUGUAGAGACAUGAAAUGGGGGCAUCCUAUGUAAAAGUUUACAUAAGACUGAACCAUGAAUUAGUCAUUUUUACGUUAUAACACCGUUUACUGUUUAAAACUGACUAUCUCAAUUAUUGAUGACCUAGGUAACUUAGUCUUAAUCCUGAGUUAACUAUGACUCCUGUUCAUACGAAUUAUCCUUAGAUCUGCAAGGUGAGGGCAACUCAUCAGCGUUGGCCCAAUAAGCCUCCCAUUUCAGGGGUAAGAUCGGGUGAUAGCUGGGAACAUAGGGUACAAGAUGGAAUUCACUCCUACCCGCUUUAGGGUUAGUAGAUAGGUUGCUCUCUUAAGCACUGAAUCCAAGUCUUGAACAAGGGCCCCACCCUCUCAUUGGCCCGAGAGGGAUUAAGUUUAUAGGUUGAACCUUAAACCAAUUGUUCAAUAGUGGAUUAGUGGGACUUAAGGAGCAAGAUGUAAUCUUGGGGGUAAAACGGUAUUUUGACCCAGCCAAGGUUACGAGCAACCUGUGAAGGAUUAACUUACUGAUUAUGGUUUUAUCAAAUGGACACAAAUAUAUCUAUAGUGAGGGGAGUGCAACUACGGGACUUUAGUGGAAUGACCCGUUAGUUAACGAAUGUUGAUUAACUCGGUUUAAAAGAGUUUAGCUAGUUAAUCUUGAAUCGUUGGAGCCCAUGAUCUAUAGGUCCAUUAGGUUCCUCUGCUAGCUCAUAUGGAUUAAACUUAGAACAGUGUGAUGAAAUAAGUCGAAUUGUUCGAAUAGGGAGAAGAAAGGAAAACCGACAUAUACAGUGAUAUAAUCGUCGGUCUUCUAAUUAGAAAUAGAGCUUUAUGUUUACAUACUAUAAGUAUGAAUGCGGAUUCAUACUAAGAAGCUCGGAAUUGGUCAAAAAUAGUAAAAAGUCAAAAUGUUGACUUUUGACUUUGAAAAGUCAAACUUUGACCGGCCUUAUAUUCAAAUGUGAUUUGAAUUUUGGAAAAAUGAAUGCGGAUUCAUGCUCGGGAGGUUGGAAUUAGUCAAGACGGACAAAAUGGUAAAAAGUCAAAAUAUUGACUUUUGACUUAGAAAAGUCAAAGUUUGACUUUUGACUAGAAAAAUCUAAUGACCAUUUUACCCUUGGACUAAGUUAGUGGGAAAAUCCAACAUUUUGUUGGAUAAUCCCACUAACUCUUAGUGGGAUAUGUGGCUAUAUGAGAUAUAGACACCUAGCCCACUAAGUUCCACUAAUUGUUAGUGGAAUAUUAGGUGUUGAGAUUUGGCAAUUGAAUUGCAUGCAUUUUUGCAUGUAAUUAGGCUAUAAAUAGAGAUGUUUUCAAAUGUUGAAGGACUUUUGCCUCUUUUAUCAUUUUCAUAAUCUCAACAAAAGAAAAAAAAACUUCCAAUCUCAUUUUAUCUCCAUUACUUUCUACACCAAAAUUGGGUCCCACAACCCGGUUCUUUGUCUAGAGGAUAGCAGUUGAGUACUAGUGGUGGUCUCGGGUAGAAUUGGUAAGAAGACAUCAAACCUUUUGAAAGCUUCAAAGGUAAUACUUCUUAAAACCCUAAUUUGAUUAGUUUAUGGUUACAUGUUAAUUGUGGCAAUUAGGGUAGAAAUUCGAUUCUUUUUCCGCUGUGCAUGACUUAGUUCUAUCAUGUGGUAUCAGAGCAUGCUUCAUUUUUACCCAAUUGCAUGUGGUGGGUUCAUAUUUAUUAGAUAAAUUUUGGUUUGAACUAAAAUGGAUAUAUUAUGAUUUUGGCUCUAGAUUAAGUGUUUUUGUUCUAAUUAUUGUAAUUAGCCUUGUUAAUGGCUUAUUUUUAUUGUUGCAAAGUGUUUGUAAUUUUUAAAAAAAAUAAAAAAGUCAUUAGAGUUGAAGCUAGGCUGUAAUUGGUUCAACCGGGUGAGAGAAUUGAAAAAAAUGAAGAAAAGAAGGUCACAGACCCGAAAACCCGGUUUUGACCCGCUUCGCGACCCGCACGCGCCCGCAUGCCCGCGCGCCCUCCUGCGCCCGCGCGCCCUCCUGCGCCCGCGCGCCCUCUGCGCCGCGCGCGCCCUGUGCCGCGCGCGCCGCAUGCCCCCGCCGCUUGCGCCGCGCGCCUGCCUUCGCACGNNNNNNNNNNNNNNNNNNNNNNNNNNNNNNNNNNNNNNNNNNNNNNNNNNNNNNNNNNNNNNNNNNNNNNNNNNNNNNNNNNNNNNNNNNNNNNNNNNNNNNNNNNNNNNNNNNNNNNNNNNNNNNNNNNNNNNNNNNNNNNNNNNNNNNNNNNNNNNNNNNNNNNNNNNNNNNNNNNNNNNNNNNNNNNNNNNNNNNNNNNNNNNNNNNNNNNNNNNNNNNNNNNNNNNNNNNNNNNNNNNNNNNNNNNNNNNNNNNNNNNNNNNNNNNNNNNNNNNNNNNNNNNNNNNNNNNNNNNNNNNNNNNNNNNNNNNNNNNNNNNNNNNNNNNNNNNNNNNNNNNNNNNNNNNNNNNNNNNNNNNNNNNNNNNNNNNNNNNNNNNNNNNNNNNNNNNNNNNNNNNNNNNNNNNNNNNNNNNNNNNNNNNNNNNNNNNNNNNNNNNNNNNNNNNNNNNNNNNNNNNNNNNNNNNNNNNNNNNNNNNNNNNNNNNNNNNNNNNNNUCACGGAUGUAUGCGUCGACGGCUUUACGCAGGUGAAGACAGACGCGGUCGGAGAGUCGCGCGGCAGUGUAGAAAACGGAGAAAAGGAACGGGCGGCGGGUGGGCUUUGCUUCGACGGAGACAGAGAUUGCGCAACAGGUCUUCACGAACGGAGAGGAAAGGAAUGGGCACGGCGACGCAGAUCUGGACGAUUGCUGCAAGGUGACGCGUACGGCUUGCUUAACGAACCGAUCGACGAUUGCAGCGACGGAUCUGGGUUACGGCGAACUGCAAGGGUGAAGCACAUGCGGCGGCGAGGACCUAGACGGCUCGGCGAUGCAGAUCUGGACGACGAUUUGCUUUCCGAGGGAGGCACGACGGUUGUGAGCGAAGAGGCACGACGGUUGUGAGCGAAUGGGCGCGGCGGUUUCGAUCCGAAGGAGAAAAGGAAGACGACCGGAAAGAAGAAGAAGAAACGACCGGCAGCUUGUGUGGCUGACUGGGUGAACGGAGAAGAGAGGGAUGUGCGGCUGCUAGGGUACGAGAAGGAGAAAGGGAUGGAGGACGCACGGGAGGAAGAAGGAAGGAAAAUUUUCUUUUUUCUUUUCUUUUAUUUAAAUAAUAAAAAUAAAAAUAAAACUAAAAUAUAAAUAAAUAUAUAUAUAAUAAAAUUUCUUUUUCUUUUCUUUUAUUUAAACUAAAUAAUAAAACUAAAAAUAUAAAUAAAUAUAUAUAUAAUUAUAUUAUCACAUUUUCAAAUCUUCUUUCCGCCCUUCAACAUAUUUUCUUCAAAACAAUAAAUCUUGUACAAAUCGAAAAAAUCUCUUAAAAUAAAAUACCUUCGAGUUUGGGGCGUUACACCAACUCAC
rnacentral:lncRNA from 1 species